GCCCAUCAUCAACAAAUGCUCCUUUCUCCCUUAAUCAGCAAGAACUAGUCCCCAACACAAAAAACAACCAAAAAUGGCGUGCAACUCUAGGAACUUGAACAACAACGACAAGCGCGAUUCAGUGAAUCCACCAUUGAACCAACCCGAAAUAGAUCCUAAACCGUUCCUUUUCCCUUUUUCACAUGUCUCAUGCGGCAGUAGGAUAAGGAAAACCCUAAAACCUUCUAGAAAAUGGGCUAGGUGUCAUCUCCAAUGUUUCAAUCCUACAAAUUUUGGGAUAACUCGUACGAUCUCGUACAAUAUUUGGCAGAUUUCCAUAGGUUUUGGGGAGGAAUUCGUUUUCCCUAAAUCUCAUUGGUCCACCAAUUUCAAUAUUGGUACAAUAGAUUGAUGAAACCUUAAGCGGUGAGAGGAUUUUUGAAUUUCAAAAUUCAAAAACAUCCUUCUUUUAAAUCCCCAAAAGACCCCUAAUUCGGGGAUAUAAAAAGAGCCCUGGGGUCACUAUUCUGGGGGAUUUUUUUCUCUUCUUUGAGGAAUUUUUGGUUUCUUCUCUCCUUUUCUUUCCCUUAGGAGUUGGAAAUUUUAGAAGCCUUUGUUUUUUUCGUUUAGAGAAAUUUUAGGUUUGAAAAAAGGGGGAAAUUCUUAGUUUGGAAAAUUUUAGGUCACGGUUAAGGGUUACUUUCCCUUCUGAGGUGGAAAAAUUAAGGGAGAAAGCUAGGUUGGAACAUUUUUCUAAGAAAAAUUUCUGAUUUGGAAAAACUGAGAUAGAGGGAAGAAAGAAAAAGAAAAGAUUUCUGAAGAAAGAUUAAAUCUUUGAAGUUUUCCAGUGGUCGUGAUCCCCGUAUCAGUUCCUCGUCUUUUUUUGCUACUCCCGAAAAGGUAACGUCCUAUUUUCGUUCAAUUUCUAUUAUAUUUCUGCUCCCUCUCGUCAUUCUAUAAUCAUGACUGUCAUUUCGAAGAUUUUGUAAGCUGGGUUGUCUGCUGUAGAGGUAUUCAAGACCACAGGUUUCCAUUUUAGUGAAAAGCAAUGUUUCUUUGUAGUGCUACGUUGGGAUGAAUUCCUAUUGUGAUUGUAUGACAUAUGGUUUUCAUCGUCUUUAGAUCUUGAUUUCGUGAUUGGUCAUCUACUCUCAGCAUUACUGAUUAAUUUCUGUUCUAAUGUAUCAUCUUGUGGACUGUCUGUGAUUUGAAGCAGUUAAAGAUCUAAUUUUGAUUCUGUCUUAACAAUUUUCAUCCUCUUGUUGCCUUGAUUCGUAGUUGUAGUUUUAUAAUCUUAAGUGCUGAGUGUAGCUCGUUGGGAGGCUAUGAAAGCCCCAAGUUUCAUAUGAUAAAAUGUGAGCUUUCAAACUUUGUUGUUGUUUCUGCAUUUAGGACACAUUGAUUUUUAGAGUUUCUGAUUUCGUUAUAAUUCAUCUGGGAGCAUUUGCUUUUGUUCAUACAAUGUUUUUGAUGAAAAUUUUCUUCGAAUUCGACUUUCAUGAAUGCCGUAUUGUUUAUAUGAUGACCUUCUAGCCUAAGGAUUGUUGCUAAUAUCCUGUUCUAAAAAAAAAGAAGGGUUAUUGAGUCACUUUAUUCCUGUAAACGAUUGAGUAAAAGUGCAGUGUUUCUUUUCUGUUAAAAAGGAUGAUAGGGUCAAAGGGUUUUGCAUUCUCUUUGGGAGUUGCUAUUAGGAGCCUCCUUUGAGACCAUUAUUUAUAAAGGUUAAAUAAAAAGAUGUCUAUUCUAUUUAUAUUAUAUUCUCUCAUUUAACCUGCUUUGAUAUGAGUUUAACACAUACACUUGUAGUUAUUCAUUGAAAAUUGUUUCAAAAAAAAAAAAUUAGCUUUUCUUGCGUCAUUACUAACUCGUAUGAGCUUGUAUAUCUCCUUUAUGAAACUUUUAGGAUCCUGUUCGUUUGUCUAUUAAAUGCAUCUCUUCUUGCAUCAUCUUAUUGAUGUUGGGAAAAAAAAUGUUUUUAGUCGCAUUGUUUCUCCCCUCUUUCCCAUUUACUUCAGUACCUAAGGUUAAGUGUUUUGAUCCGUUUGAAUAUCGAAUAGUUUCCACGUUUUAUUUAAAGCCAUCCUUUCUUUUUCAUAUUAUUGUUUGCUAAAAAAUUUUUGAUAGGAUAAAAGUUGUUUGCGUGCUGUAUGCGUGGUGACAUGCCUAAUAAUGUGCUUACUCUACGGGGACAUGUUGUUAUUUCUUCUCUCAAAGAUAGGUCUAGUAAAUUUGGGAGAAAUUCUAUUUUAGUUGCUUCCUGAUUCUUCGCAACUCUUUGUUGUUAUCUUGAGUUUUAGUAAUAGCCAUCUAUACCUAAAAGGGCUAGAGAACAAUAAUCAGCAAAAGAAAAAAAUAUAUAAUAAUAAUAAUGAUUAACUCCUAAGCACAUCAAAUUGGUCUGAUUGCUAUUUUCCAUCACAAUGCAUGUGUGAAGUUGAUUCAUUUCUCUUGAAAUUCUAUAUUUUGAACCAUCAUGGGUUCCUUUUCAUCGAUUGAUCCAUCAUACUACUUACUUGUGUGGCGUUUGGUAUUCUGGAUGCGUUUUGAUUUCCUUUAUAUUUUUCCUUGCAUGUGAAUUCGUUUUGGAGUCCAAAUGGAUUCUUUCCCAUUGCAUCUCUUAAUGGGCCAUUCAGGCCCUCCAUUCCUAUCAAGUCAAGCCCUGAAAAAAAGCCUAAAAUGAAUUGCAUGGCGUACGGAUAUGAGAAGUCGAAAGAAGAGAGAAGAUGGAUUAAAGCCCCAUUUUUAAAGUGGCGAAGAGACUCAAAAGUCUCAUUUUUUAGUUUAUUUAUUUACUUAUCGAUUUUAUUCAUUUAUUUCUUUAUUUAUUCAUUUGGGCCACGAAGCCAAAGUUGUGCUUAAUAUAGGUAGAGCGAUACUAGGACAGGUGAAAUGGGUCGAAAUCCCAAUUAGACUAGGACAGGUCUUAUUGAUUUGGGCCCAGUGGCCUAAAUCCCUUACUUUCUCCCCUUCCCCUUUUUCUUUACAUUUCUUUACCUUAUGUGUUUUGGUGAACCUAGUUAAAUCCUUAGUCAAGUCGAUAAAAAGUUAGUUCUGCAUAAACACCAAAAUCUUUUUCAAAAAUUGCCUUCUUUUCAAAACUAAACCUUUUUCCAAAGUUAGUCAAAGGCGAUUUCCAAACAGUCCGGAUAACCGCAAGUUAGCGGACGUUUUAGGUGCCUAACACCUUCCUAAAACAUUAAUAAGAACCGCUUACUCAGAAUCUCUUAACUUAAACAAUUUUUCUUUUUUGGAUCGUUUGAAGUAACUCUAUAAAGGUUUCUAAAUUCCUUUUCAAAAUUAAGUGGCGACUCUCUUUCAAAAGUCAAAAUUUCCGCAAAACGCGCUUCAGCCAUAAUUCUCUGCCUCAAAUCAUUAACAUUCGGAACACAGUCUACCUUGCAAUCUCAACAUAUCAUCUACCCCUUGGGAGAAAACCUCUACCUUAUGGUCCUUAACUGAAUCCUUCAGUCUGACCAAAUAGGAUCCCUAUCCUGCUUCUUCUUUACCUCCAAGACCAAAGAGGACUCGAAACUGCUCUAAACUAACAUACUCCCUUCUGCGGAAUCAAGAAAUCUAACACCCAACCUAGACAAACGAUGCACAUCACGAGCUAAUUCUUUCUUAUCAUUCUCUAUAUGAGCUAUACUAACCAUAGACAACCUGCUAAGAGCAUCUUCCACAAUAUUGGCCUUGCUAGGGUGAUAUAUCACACUCAUAUCGUAGUCUUUUAGAAAAUCUACCCAUCUUCUUUGUCUAAGGUUUGUCUCCAGAUUUUCAAAGCAAAAACUACAGCUGCUAAUUCAAGAUCAUGGGUUGGGUAAUUCUUCUCAUGAGGCUUCAACUGUCUAAGGCAUAAGCUAUAACUUUACCCUUAUGCAUCAACACACAACCCAAACCAACUCUAGAAGCAUCCCAGUACACCACAAGACCAUCAGUACCAUCGGGUAAAGCUAACACUGGGGCUGAAGUGAGUCGAGUCUUCAACUCUUGAAAUCUCUUCUCACAGGCAUCUGUCCACUGGAACUUAACUUUCUUUUCGGUCAAUCGGGUCAUGGGGGACCCGAUUGAAGAGAAGCCCUCAACAAAAUGACAGUAGUAACCAGCUAAACCCAAGAAACUCCUAAUAUCAGACGGGGAGGUAAGUCUAGGCCAAUUCUUCAUAGCUUCUGUCUUUUGAGGAUCAACUCUUAUACCUUCGGAAGAAACAAUAUGACUCAGAAAAGCAACUGACCUUAACCAAAAUUCACACUUGCUAAAUUUAGUAAAUAAUUAAUGAGCUCUAAGGGUUUCCAACAUGAUUCGAAGAUGAUCUUCAUGGCCAUCCUUACUUAGAGAAUAUAAAAGAAUAUCCUCUAUGAACACAAUAACAAACAAAUACAGAUACCACUUGAAAACUCAGUUCAUAAGAUCCAUGAAAGCUGCUGGAGCAUUGGUUAACCCAAAGGACAUGACAAGAAACUCAAAAUGACCAUAGCGGGUUCGAAAAACUGUCUUUGGAAUAUCACACUCUCUCACUUUAAGAUAAUGAUAGCCGGAUCUAAGGUCUAUCUUUGAGAAAUAACUUGCACCCAGUAGCUGAUCAAAUAAAUCAUUGAUUCUAGGAAGAGGGUACUUGUUCUUAAUAGUCACCUUGUUGAGUUGAUGGUAGUUAAUGCACAUACGCAAUGUACCAACUUUCUUCCACACAAAUAGAACAGGUGCACCCCACGGGGAAACACUGGGUCUGAUAAAGCCUUUUUCUAAGAGUUCUUUGAGUUUCUCCUUCAACUCUUUAAGUUCUGCAGGAGCUAUACGGUAUGGAGGGAUGGAGAUAGGCUGAGUUUCAGGAAAAAGAUCAAUCCUGAAUUCUAUUUCUCUAUCAGGUGGGACCCCUGGAAGGUCUUCAGGGAAAAUAUCAGGAAACUCUUUAACAAUGCUAAUUGACUGAAUAGUCGGAGUCUCAGACUUGAGUUCUUUAACUCGAACUAGAUGAUAGAUGAAACCCUUGAAAAUCAACUUCCUAGCUUUGAGGUAGGAUAUGAAAUGGCUCUUUGGAGUUAUAGAACUCUCGAACCACUCAAACACGGGUUCGUUAUGAAACUAAAACUUGACCACUUGGGUAUGACAAUCUAUAGACGCAUAGCACGAGUGAAGCCAAUCUAUACCCAGAAUGAUGUCAAAAUUAACAAUAUCUAGCUCAAUCACAUCAGCACAUAUGACCCGAUGAAGGACAACACCAGGACACUUCUUAUACACUCGCUUAGAAAUAACAAACUCUCCUACCAGGGUAGAAACAAGAAUAGGCUCAGGAAUCCAUUCAAGUUCCAUCUCAAAACUUAUAGCAACCAGAGGUGUUACAUAAGAGAAACUUGAACUGGGGUCCAUUAAUACAUACACAUCAAAAUGAAAGACAUGGAGCAUACCAGUGACAAUAUCUGUAGAAUCCUCCUGCUCCUGGCGAGGUGGUAUAGAACAGAAGAAAUUCUGGAAUGAACCGCCAACAGUACUAGAAGAGACGCCCUGCGGAGGAACUGGGCAGACUACGAGAACGAGGGCACUGGUAGCUUGACUCUGGGGAUGAGCAUCUUGACUCCCCUAUCUGGCAUACGGAUAAUCUCUAAGUCGGUGGCCCAACUUGACAAAACCAAAGCAACCUCUCUGAUCAACAAAACACUUGCCAAAAUAAUCUCUACCAUACUUGGCAUAUAAAGGAAGACAAGGUCUGUUACUUACACUUUCCUGAGAAUUGGACGGGAUAGGCCUGUUCCCCUGCUCCUGCCUACUUCUAGGUACGGAAGCACUAACUAAGGAAGGCGCGGGCAUAAAUUGACAUCUCUGGAAUUAAGGGAAGUCCCCUCCAUAGAAUCUGGAAUGACCAAAUCCCUGCUGCUCUGAUCUAGCUAUUUUAUUCCCUCUUACUCUCUCUCUCUCUCUUUUUCACCUUAUCAGCUUUAAUCUGUUGGGCAUGCAUCAUUAAUCAAUAAAGGUCCAUCUCCUUAUUAAGCAUAGCAGAUCUACCCUCUUUCACAAUAUAACUCGACACACCGGUCACGAACUUACUCAUAAUGGUCCUGGAGUCAGCCAUUAUACUAGGUGCAUAUUUGGACAACUGAUUAAAUCUAAGGGUCAUGGAGCCUUGUCACAAAUUCAUAAAUUCCUCUAUAAUUGUUUCCCUCAUCUCAAGAGGAAAGAAUCUAUCCAAGAACGCAUCCUGGAAUAACUACCAAGUCAUGGGAGCGGGAUCCUCCACUCUACUUUCCCUCCACACUUCCACCCAAUCAUAUGCAACAUCUUUCGCUCGAUAGGCAGCCAAUUCAACACUCUCCUCCUCAGUCACGUGCAUAAUCUGGGUGAUCUUUCUCACUUCAUCCAAGUACAUUUGUGGGUCUUCACCUACCUUCGACCCAUAGAACUCAGGUGGAUUUAUCUUUAUAAAGUCACAAACCCGAGCUGCAGCAAAAUUAUUCUCUUGCAGAAGUGGAACAGUAGCCUGGUUGUUAGCUUGAGUAUUGCGGUAACUGCCUGGGCUACCACCUGAAAAUCUGCCCAGAAUUAUGUAUGUGACACAUGCUCGUUCAGGGGAUCAAUGGGUUAAGGUUGCUUAUUGUUUCUAUGAGCUCAACGAGGAGACAUUUUCUGUCAUAAGAGAGGCCGAAUUAAUAGCAGAGAGAAGUAGUCGUAGGCACGAUAGACUUUUGAAUGAAAAAUAUGACUUUCCCUAAAACUUCUUGUAGCCUCUAGCUCAUAGAUAUGGCGCGCUACACACCGAUGAUCAAGAAUCUACAUAACAUGGCUUGCCUGUCAUCACUUCUAGAACUCACUUUGACAAUUGUCAUUCUAAUAUAAGAGAGAAUGACAUAUCAUAAACAUACUGGAAUAAGAUACGAAACUAGCCUGUACAAUCCAAAAUACUGAAAUUCUGUACAUACCAACCCUUUAGCCUGACAAAGCCUAUAUACAUCAAAAUCAAGGAGACAAUGUGACAAACCCCCAAAUGACUCAAAAAGUAAUGAAAGCUAUAACAAUAAAAUGGUAUCACAAAAUUAUAAACACGGUCCUCGAACCAUGGGGACUCACCACUGAGAAGAUGAAAAGAGGCACCCGAAUAUAUAUCACUAACGCGGCUGAGUACCUGAACCUACAUUACGAGAAAAUGUAGCCCAUAGGAAAAUAUGUGGGUCAGCACUUUAAAAUGUAUUGAGUAUGUCAGGGUGCAUGCAACAAUGUAAAUAUCGUCAUCAAUUUCAUGAAAGUAUGCAUAUGUACAAUGAUGGCUCAUUUGGCUUGCGGUANNNNNNNNNNNNNNNNNNNNNNNNNNNNNNNNNNNNNNNNNNNNNNNNNNNNNNNNNNNNNNNNNNNNNNNNNNNNNNNNNNNNNNNNNNNNNNNNNNNNNNNNNNNNNNNNNNNNNNNNNNNNNNNNNNNNNNNNNNNNNNNNNNNNNNNNNNNNNNNNNNNNNNNNNNNNNNNNNNNNNNNNNNNNNNNNNNNNNNNNNNNNNNNNNNNNNNNNNNNNNNNNNNNNNNNNNNNNNNNNNNNNNNNNNNNNNNNNNNNNNNNNNNNNNNNNNNNNNNNNNNNNNNNNNNNNNNNNNNNNNNNNNNNNNNNNNNNNNNNNNNNNNNNNNNNNNNNNNNNNNNNNNNNNNNNNNNNNNNNNNNNNNNNNNNNNNNNNNNNNNNNNNNNNNNNNNNNNNNNNNNNNNNNNNNNNNNNNNNNNNNNNNNNNGUCGUACUCUUGCCAGGGAGUAUAACCUAAAUUUAGUGAUCACAAUCUCAUACACAGCCUCAGGCCCACAAUUAUCAAUAUCAAUCCUACGGUGGCACGUAGUUUUGGGGGAAAUACUACAUUUACCACUUGGUGCUAAAUAAUACUCCUAGACACAAGCUCAGAGCGUGUUAGGAAAUCCACCACAAACAUCACAAGGGUCUAUCAUAAAGACCAAAUGAAAUCUCUUUGUCAUUUAUCAAAUCAUAAUCAAUUUGUGGAUUCCUAACUCUACUCAAAUCAAAUCAAUCUUUCUCAAUAUUAAAAUGAAUCAAUUCAUUAUGUCAUGGAAACAUCAAUAACUUUGAGGAAAUAUCAAGACUCAUUGUAACAAGUCAAUUCUCAUGAAUCAAUAUACUCAAUAAUCCAAUUGUUCAUAAGGAAGGUUAAAGCUUGACACAUAGCUUGAAAGCACUAGAAAUACCAACUCAUGGACGAAACUUGAAAUUCAUAAUAUUAAAUAUCAAGUCAUAACUUGGAAAUUGUAAAAUAAUCAUGUAUAACAAAUCUUGAACGAUUUAUAUUCUCAUAAUCUCAUGAUGAAUUAAUCUGGGUAUAAACCCACUUGCAAAAUCAUAUAAAUCCAUAAUAAAAUCAAAGCUUUGAGCAAAAGAACGAAAUAAUUGCUCUUGUUCAGAACCCCGCAUACCUUAAUCUUUGAAAUUGGUUGAAAUAUAGAGCUUGAGACUUUACUCACACUUGUAAUUAAAAAAUUUCUUGAAGCCCACUCUAUGAGGAACUUGAUUCUUGAAGGAAUCUUGAAGAUUUAUGGAUGAUGUUUGGAGGAUUAAUUUCCUUAAAUAAAACCCUAGAUAUAUUUCUUAAGAGAAUUGGAAGAGAGAAAUGAAGAAAUCAGGUUUUGGAUGAGGAUUCUCACAUAUAUAGAGGCCUCCAAAAAGGGAAAAGGACUAAAAUACCCUUGCAAAAAUCGUCCAUCAAUUGCUGAAAAAAAUAGCUGAUGACAUCCAUGAUAAGCUGUUAGGCCUAUCAUAGGCCAUCACGAAUUGUCGUCACAAAAAGGGUGGACUUUGUGAGGUGACGACAUUUUGUGACGGGCCGUCAGGCUUGUGACAAGUCGUCACAAAAGGUCAUCACGGAUUUUUCAGUAUGACACGCUGGAGUAAAAUAAGCAUAACUCUUUGCUCCGAUAUCGGAUUUUAAUGAAAUGGGUAUAGUUGGAAAGAUAAUUCAAUUAUAUAUAUUUUGGUAGGUCAUGAGAUCAAUAAUUCCUAGUACAAUGGGAGAUAUUCUCAUUUAAAGUUGACUAUGUGAAAAUCCUUCUCAAGAAUUCAAUCGGUAAAGAAUGUUUUGAUUCGCCCAAGCGUUAGGGCAUCUUUAAAGCCUUAAUAAACAUCACCCUUGGCCAGGAAACAACCAAAAAACUAUAAUUUAUUUCUCAUGGGAUUGUGUCAUGGUGGCACUAUUGGUUAGAAUCUCGGGGUAUUACAAUCCCUCCCCCUUGGAAACAUUCGUCCUCGAAUGUUGCUAGAUCGGCCAAGAACAAGUGAAAUAUGAGGAUUUAUAGCUGGAACAACUCACUCAAAAGACUUACUUCACUCUAUACCUUCGAAUAGUACAGAAAAUACACGAAUCCUUGAUGAAAGUAGACACACUGCUGAAUCUUUAAUAAGAAGGAGGCGGAAUUAAGAAAGAAUGAUACCUUCUGCUCGCUCCGAACUCACAGAAAAGAGUCGAGGGUACUUGGCUCGUAUAUCAGCUUUGUCUUCCCAAGUAGCACUCUCAACAUAUUGAUUUUUCCAAAGCAUUUUUACCGAAGGAACUUCUUUAUUCCUUAGCCUACGGAUCUACAAAUCCAAAAUCUCAACCAGAAUCUCCUCGAAUGAAAGGCUAUCCUGAAGUAAAAUAAGUAUAAUUCCUUGAACCGAUAUUGGAUUUUGACGAAAUGGGUAUCGUUGGAAAUUUAAUUCAAUUAUCUAUCUUUUGGUAGGUCAUGAUCUCAAUAAUUCAUGGUACAACAGGAGAUAUGCUCAUUUGAAGUUGACUAUGCCAAAAUCCGUCUCAAGAAUUCAAUCGGUAAAGAAUGUUUUGAUUCGCCCAAGCGUUAGGAAAUUUUUAAAGCCUUAAUACACAUAAACCUUGACCAUAAAACACCAAAAAACUAUAAUUUAUUUCUCAUGGGCUUGAGUCAUGGUGGCACUGUUGGUUAGAAGCUCGGGGUAUUACAUUAUUACUUUUAAUUAUCUUUGCUACUUACCUUUCUGCAAAUAUAAUGCAAAUUUAUCUUAUAAUGUUAUAAUUGAAUUAAAAAAAUAUUUGAGAUCAACCACAUAUUUUUGAUAGUAAAUGAUGUAUUAUAUUUCUAUUAACAUAGUGAAUUACUUAUGUAGGACUUAAUUACCUGCAUAACUCAAUGCUAAAAUAAUAUAUAGAUAAUCCCUAAAUUAAGUAAAUCUGCAUAACUCUAAUUGAGGCCCUUUCAUUAUUUACUUUUGUCUUCUAGGUUUAAGUGGGUAAAUAGAUGAAAAGAAAAAGAAAAGACUCUCACAUCUAGUUUCCCCAGAAGCACCUCUUUGGAAGAAGCGUGUUGUUGAAGCAACUCAUUUUCAGAUUAAAGCAGUCUUUUGUUUUGUUCCUCCUUAGAAACAAAAGCAUGAGCCGGGGCAACCAUUUUCUUUUCUCACAGGAAAUGAAGAACAAGAAGAACACUACAAUUUAAAAGCAAGCUUUAAAUUUCAAAAACAAAAUAGAAAUCAUGAGAGCAAAAGGGGAAAAAAAUGCAAAAAGACCUCACCAGUAGUAGGCUACAAAGGAUGAGAGAGAGAGAGAGGAAGGAGGGUUAUGUUAAAAAUGAAAUGAAUACAGUGGAAGCAGAGCACAUCUAUCAAAUAUUCUUUAAAAACACACCAGCUACAUCACCGACGUUUCAAAAUCAAGGCAACUUUUUAUCCUGUUCAGAAAAAAAUUUCAAAGUGUGAGUUGGACUGAGGUUGUCUUAACUACGUAAAUUGGUUUUCCCUCUUAAAAUAUUCAUUUUUAUAUUCCUUUUAAUUGAACACAAUUUUAAGAGGGCUAACUAAUUUACGCAGUUAAGACAACCUCAAUCCAACUCUCACAUUUUGAAUUUUUUUUCUGAAUAGGACAAAAAGUUGCCUUGAUUUUGAAACAUCGGUGAUAUAGCUGGUGUUUUUAAAGAAAUAAUAUAGAUGUGCUCUGCCUCUACUGUAUUCGUUCCAUUUUUCAUAAAACCCUCCUUCCCCUCUCUCUCAUCCUUUGUAUCCUAGUACUGGUGAGGUCUUUUUGCACUUUGUUUUUCCCUUUUUGCUCUCAUGAUUUCUUAUUUUGUUUAUGAGAUUUAAAGCAUGGCUUUAAAAUUACAGUGUUCUUCUUGUUCUUCAUCUACUGUAAGAAAAGGAAAUGGCUGCCCCGGCUCAUGCUUUUGUUUCUAAGGAGGAACAAAAUAAAAGAUUGUUCGAAUCUGAAAAUGAGUUGCUUCAAUAGCACCCUUCUUCUAAAAAGUUGCUUCUAGGGAAACUAGAUGUGAGAGCCUUUUCUUUUCUCUUUCCAUUUGUUUAUCUACUUAAACCUGAGAAGCCAAAAGUAAAUAAAAAAGGGGCCUCAAUUAGAGUCAUGCAAGUUUUUGUACUGUAGGGAUUAUCGAUGUGGAAAUCUAUAUAUUAUUUAUGCAUGUAUUAACGUAUUGCUUGGUAGUUGAUUUAGCAUUGAGUUAUGCAGGUAAUUAAGUCCUCCAUAGUUAAUAUUCAAAUAUUAGUAGUUGGUUUAGCCUACGUUUACUCCUAUUAACAUAGAAUAGCCCUCGAAACCCCAAAAAAGGCCCAUAAAAACCCAUCUACCAAAUAGAUGGCUCUGUAGCCUUUCUCAACUAGUUUGAUGGCCUGCUUUUAGGGCCCAAAUAUGGAUGAACAUAGUUAUGCUAUUCAAGAAAAUUAUAGUAGUACUAUUGGGACUUUGCAUUAAAAGGGAAAAAUAAGUUGUCUAGUAAAGUGAGAAUCCUUCAAGUUUUUAAAAUUAGGUGGGAGGGACAAAAGUUUUUUGAAUAUUUAUUUUUAGUUUUUUGUUCCAACAACUUCUCCCAGUUGUCAAAAAACUUUGAUAGUUGUUUGAAAACUUCUAGCAGUUGUUCAACAACUAUCAAAGUUGUUCGAUAACUGCGGUAAGUUGUUCAACAACUAGGCGAAGUUAUUCGGCAACUGGGAGAAGUUCAACAACUAUGUGAAGUCGUUGAGACAACUAAUGUAGUUGUCGAACAACACCAGUUGUUCAAAUGACUUAAUCUUUUUAAAAGGGACAAGUUGUGGGACCCACUUUUUCCCUUUUCUUACUUCGAAACGUGGGAGGUCUAUUGAUUCAUUUUUCACACUUAAGUAUUUAAGUUGUAUAUAUCAUGAACUAGUUAGCUUAUAUUUGGGUUGUAAAUUGUAAUAUUAAGUGUAGAGAUAGUCCUAUAUACAUUUAGUACGUCAAAGAAAGCUACUCGAAAACAUUGUGCAAUUCAAUUUGUCGCAAGAAGCACUUAAUCAUCACGCAAAUACUUAUUGGUUCCGAAUAUUUAACCCUAAUCAAUGAUUUUAAUACUAAUGAAUUAAGAAUAUCAGAUCAUUCAAUCAUGAUAACAAAAAUAAUUUAUAAAAGAUAUUAUCUUGUAAUAGUGGGUAUAAGGAGAGGUAGAUGUAGGCUGAGGAGGUCUUGGUAAAGGUGAUUAAAUUAGGUACGUGUAGCUUUUCGAGGAUAUGAUCUAGAUAUAAAAAUGCGGAGAUCAAGGAUGUGGUUAGUGGGUGGAUGAGCGCUGUCUAAUUUCUCUAUUAAGUAGUCAUUUUUUUAUUACUUUCAUACUAUCUUAUUCUUCUAUAUUAGAAUAAUUUGUUUGCUUUUAGUUCAGUUAUCAUAUUAAUUGUUUGUCGGUUCUACCAUUUUCAGAUUUACUUUUUUAUUUGUCUUACAUGCCUAAUUUUGUUUUAUAUGUUUUACUUGAGUUGAGAGUUGAGAGUCAAUCGAGAACAACCUCUCUAUCUUCACAAGGCAGAAGUACAUGUCCAUACUACCUCUCCAAACUCCAUGUGUAAUAUUAUGAAUGUUAUUAUUGUAUAUAUCUUGAAUUGAUUGAUCAAAUGUAAAUACCCGAUGUUGCGGUAUACUUAUACCCAUGGGCAUAGGGAUGGUCUCAGAAAAAGGGUGAUUUGAUGCACAUCUUUUAUCAAAUUAUUAUAGUGUACAAAAGCUUAAUAUUAGCUAUAAUACAUCUAUAUUAAAUUUAGUACAUACUUAACACAACUAAAAAGAAAAUAUGCACACUCCUCGUCAAAUUUCUGACAACGACACUGCUACUUCCUCAACUAUGAACGUGUUAAGAUGACGCCAUAUAGCAUUUGUCAUCUGCAUGACGCCCAAACUCUUUUAUCACUGGACCUACCCAACCUGUCACCUCAUUUUCUGCUUUUAUAAUUGCAUAUCCUUCCAAAUUUCAUACACCAUCCAUUUCAUUUUAAUUAGAUUAAAAAUAACUAUUUUAAUUUAUUUGUGUAAUUUAUAAAAUUAUAAUAAAGAUUAUUACGUGAAGUAUUAAAUGAAGUGAAAGGUGUAUUCUACGAAUAUAUAAAGGCUAGUUUCAUUCAAUCCGUAUUCCGUACUAAGCUCGGAUCCAAACAACUCUAUAUAUAAAUAAUAAUAAUUAAAUUUUAAAAUAUAAUGUAUAUUAUAUUUUUUACUUUAUAAUUAAUAUAGUUUAAUGACCGAUAUGUUAAAUAUAUUUUAUUAAAAUUUUUAUAAUUAUUAAAGUUCUUAAUCACAUAAUUGGAUAAGUUUUUUAAAAAAUUAUUUGUAUGGAAGAAAGUAAUACAGGAGAAUUAGAAUAUAAAAUAACAUGAUACAACAACAACAAUAACAACAUACCCAGUGGAUUCCCACAUAGAGGGGUCUGGGGAGGGUAGAGUGUACGCAGAUCAUACCACUACCUAAGAUGAAGUAAAGAGUCUUUUUCCGACAGACCCUCGGCUUAGGACCGAUAGCAGUAUAAUAAACACAAAACAUAAAUGUAUAAAAACUAGUACAGUCUGCAAACUAAACUAACGUCACUAGCUAUAAGAUAAUAGUUAUACUACAGUCACAAGAUAAUACUAAAACUAUCUAUCCGAAAUCAUACACAUCACUCAACACCACAAACAAGAAACUUCGAGCACAAAUAAAGAAUGCUCCCCUAUUAUUACCGACACACUUUCAACCCCUAACCCUCUACUCUAAUCGGCAUUCUCCAUACCUUCCUCAUCACAUCCCUCCAAUAUUUGUUCAGUCUACCUCUACCCUACCUAAAAUCAUCCAUAGCCAGUGUCUCACACCUCCGCACUAGAGCAUCAGAGCCCCUCUUCAUCACAUGUUGUCACCAACGUAACCUUACUUCUCGUAUCUUGUCCUCCACCGAGGCCACUCCUACCUCUCCCAAAUAAUCUCAUUUCUUACCUUAUCUUUCCUAGUAUGGCCAUACAUCCAUCGUAAUAGUCUCAUCUCCGCUACCUUCAACUUAUGGAUGUGGGAGUUCUUAACUGGCCAAUACUCUCCAUACAAUAUAGUCGGCCUAACUACCAGUCUGUAGAACUUCCCUUUAAGCUUUGGGGGCAUCUUAUUAUCUUAUAAAACUCCCAAAGCGAGCCUUCAUUCAAACCAUCCAAUCCCAAUAUUAUGUGUGACAUCCACGUCAAUCUCACCAUUGCCUUAAAUCAUAGACCCCAGAUACUUGAAACUCUCCUUCUUCUGAAUGGCCUGAGAGUCUAGCUUCACAACCAUGUUAGCAUUCUAUGACACAUCACUAAACAUACACUUCAAGUACUCUGCCUUGGUCGUGCUUAACCGAAAUCCUUUAGACUCAAGGGUCUGUCUCAAAAUCUCCAACUUAUCAUUAACUCCUCCCCGAGUCUUGUUAAGAAGUACCACAUUAUCAGCAAAUAACAUACACCAAGGCACCUCAUCUUGAAUAUGUCUUGUCAAAACAUUCAUCACCAAGGCAAAUAAAAAAGGGCUAAGAGUCAAACCCUGAUACAACCCUACCAAAAUCAAAAAAUGCUUUGAAUCUUCACCUACCGUCCUCACCCGAGUCUUUGCGCCAUCAUACAUUUCCUAAAUCAACCAAGUGUAUGCAACAGGCACCUCUCUAGCCUCGAAACACCUCCAGAGAAUCUCCUUGGGAACUCUGUCAUAAGCCUUCUCAAGAUCAAUAAAUACCAUGUGAAAGUCCUUCUUCAUCUCCCAAAACUGUUCCACUAAUCUCCUCAUAAGGUGAACGGCCUCAGUAUUCGAGCGACCUAGCAUGAAAUCAAACUGAUUCUCAGCGGUAAUCACGCUCCUUCUCAGCCUUAACUCUACCACCCUUUCCCAAAUCUUCAUAGUAUGACUCAACAACUUAAUACCUCUAUAGUUGUUGCAACUUUGGAUGUCUCCCUUGUUCUUUUACAAUGGAAUAAUUGUACUCCACCUCCAUGCUUCAGGCAUCCUUCCCACCCUAAAAAUGAUGUUAAGAACCUUGUCAACCACUCCAAACUUGCCCUGCUAGUGCAUUCCAAAAAUCCACUGAAACCUCAUCUGGCCCCAUCGUCCUACAUCAACGCAUCGUGUGAAUAGCCCUCUUAACCUUCUUAACCUCGAUAGGCCUACAAUAACCAUAGUCGUGACACUCCUCAAAUUUCUCCAAGUCCCCAAACACGAAACCUUGGUCCCCCUUAUCAUUCAAAAGUUUAUGAAAAUAGGACUGCCACCUUUUUUUAAUGAGGGCAUCCUCAACCAACAUAGUACCAUCCUCAACCUUGAUGCACUUAUCCCUGCCUUUCUUCUUUAAAACCGCAUACAAGCUCUAAAAAGAUGUCAUUUUAGCCACUGUAACCGCUAACUUAGCCUCUCACCUAGCUAUCGCUUGUACUCUUCCUUAUUCAUCCGCCUCUCUUGAUCAUUCUUGCUCUCAACCAAUUUAGCAUAAGCCACCUUCUUAGACUCCACCUUUCUCAUAUAUAUUCAUUCCACCACUAUUCCCCUCGAUGUUUUCCAAAUUGGCCUCUCAAGAAACUAACACCUCUCUAGCGAUCACCAUAACUUAUAUCCAUCCAUAUCUCUCACCUUAGUGCCUACCAUUUAGUUUCCUGGACACACGUUAUACUAACCCUCCAUUUUCCAAGAAUCUUCAUCAGCUCUAUAGUCUUAGCUUGAAGCGUCUCUAUGUUCCAGGAUUCAACUUUCAACCUAUAAUCACCCUUAUCCAACUUAGCCGUACUAUCCCCCGCCCUCAACCCAAGACUAAAACCUAGACUCGACCCCAACCCCAACUUCAAUCAAUGACAUGACCCUAGUCCAUCAUAUAUCACCCCAACCACCACUCAAAAGGAUACAAUAGAAGAAAAUAAAGAAAAAAGCUGAAAAACAUGAUGAGCAAAAGAGUAUGACUAAAAACAGCUAAAUCAGCAAACAAAAACUGGUAAGCAGGAUUGAUACUCAAAAGCAACAACAAGUACUAUUCUACUCACUAGCAACAAACACCUACUAAGUUACAGAGAAACCGUAACCAAUAAUCCCAGAGGAAUACUUAAAAAAUCAAAUAAAAAAUCAGGAUAGAAAAGAGACAAGAAGCAUAUACCAAAUAAACUAGAGAAGACUGAAAUGAGUGCACCUAAUACAGGGAGAAGACACAGUGAAAGGAGUUUUCCUAAUCGUUUUGUCGAAUUCCAGCAAAUUGGUGCAGAAAUUGGUCGUCAGAAUUUGUUGCGAUCACCUUUACCCUACUGCUGGUACCGCAUCCCUGUACUUGGAGGCUAGAGAAUGUGCUAGUCGCGAAAAAAAUGAGCAAGACACCGGAAUCUUGAUGUCACCGCCUGAAGUAUAGAUCUGAACUUGAAGUACCUGAAAAGGGUUAUAAAGAAAAUAAAAGAGAAGAAAAGAAAAGUGACGAUCAAAUUGCCAAAAAUUGACGUCACUCACUAAAAACUGAUGCGUUUGUUGGGCCACAGAGAUAGGCCACUAAAAAAGUCGCUAUCAUUUUAAUGGUCGGCGUAAGAAGUGAGAGAGAAAAAGACGACGAUUAUGCUAGAAUCUGAUGGGGUCGGCGAAACUGAUAGGGUCGUCGGGACGUGUUUAUGGUGGCCGACACAAGUAAUUUACCGGCGGCAGAUUAGUAGUUCUUUGCUAUCGCCAGAAUCUUCAAGACACGAAGAGAUAGGUUAAUUUCUUCGUUGCCAUCGAUUGAAAAAUUGCAAGAUGCUAAACCCUCAGCAUAUAUGACAACUACUAAUGUCAUCAAUUUAACUUGAAACGCCCGUUCAAUAAAAUAACAUGUCAAUAUUUUAAUAAUUACAGAUCCAUUCCGAUUAAAAAUAGAAAAAUAUUGAUUUUAAUGAAUUUAUGGGUACAAAAUUUCUCAGUUAUAAAUAGAAAUAAAUUUAUUUUAAUAUUUAUUAUUUUAUUUUCAAAGACUUGACUUUACCUUAAUAUUAUGAAGUAAUUUCACUACUAAAAUAUUCAAGAAACUCUUUUCUAGUCUAGAAAUACUCCCUCCGUUUCACAAUAAGUGAAUUAUUGAAGCAAUUUUAGUGUUUCAAAAUAAGUGAAUGAUUCACAAUUCAAGGUAGAUGUUUGAAUUUUUUCCAAAUUUACCCUCCAUUAAAUGUGCACUAGGACUGAUGUAUCAUGUUUCAUUGCUUUUUGAAGAGGGUAAAAAUGAAAAAAUAUGAUAAAUUUAUGUCUUUGCUUUUUUUUUUCUUAACAUGUGUGCCGAAAUUCAACAAUUAACUUAUUUUGGAACGGAGGGAGUACUAUAUUUUUUUUAAGAAGUGAACAUCAGUGACUAUAAGGGUGUAGUUGAAAAUUAUUACUAGCUUUAAUUUUAUGUGAAAAUUUAUUUCUAAAAAAGUUUUUUGAGCCAAAAUAAUUAUUAAUUUAAAAUGAAGGAAAUUUUAAUAAAAAGACAACCUGUGGCAAGAAAAAAUCAGUUACAAAUACACAAGAGGAAAUGGUCUUAACAAAAAGAAUAAGGACAAAAAUAAAAAUAUUUAGCAAUAGAACAUCAUCAAUCCUUGUGAGGACUACCGAAAAUUGAGAUCCUCCCUUAUAUAUAAUAGUAAAUUGUAUUCUUUUUUCAUAUGGUUAACACUGUUUGCAAUAAAGAUUACAAUGACAGAAACAAAUUGCAAUCACAAUGCAUAUAAAAUAUGAAAAAAUAAGAAUUUUAUUGAUAAAUGAUAUGGAUAUAAUUCUGUUACUCCCUUGAUUCUUCUUUCUUUAUUUUUCUCCGUAAUUCGAGGAUCAUUAGUAGCGUACUUCUUGAAUGUAGAAAGAUUUAAAUUUGAUAUGAAUUUUUAUCGUAUUUCUCGAAUGUAAAAAGAUUUGAAUUUGAUAUGAUAUUUUUUGUAAUUCAAGGGUCGUUAGUAGCAUAUUUCUUGAAUGUAAGAAGAUUUAGAUUUGAUAUGGAUUUUCUUUGUAAUUCAAAGGCCGUUAAUAACAUAUUUCUUGAACAUAGAAAUGUUUGAAUUUGUUCUCCAUAAAAGAAGUGUUUAUGGAUCUUCUUGAUAUAUUUGAUUAUAAAAAAGAGAGUGAUAUUCAAUGAGUUUAUGAAAUUAUUGGGAGAUGAUUAAUCUCUUUAUUAAGGGUUUAGAGUAGAGUAGCCACCAAGUUAGGUUUGGCGUAAAGUAACCCCUAAUAACUCUAACAAAAUUGAAUUCUUAUUAUAGAGUUCACAAAAUUAUGAUGUCUAUAAACGCUUUGUAUUGUCAGACGUUAUGACUACAAAAUCCUUUGCUAAAAUGUCAAAAUACAAUUAUUUUUAUUCUUUGAGAUGAUGAAUGAAGUACGUGUUAAUUUAGUAGAGUCACUUAGCUCAAGUCAUUCAUGCGGCGAACCAUGAAAUCAGAAAACUACAUCAAGCUAGAAGAAGAGAAAAGCAAUAACAAAAAUACCAUAUUUAGCACAUUUUCAUAGCUUGAACUCGUGACCCCCUGAUCACAUGGAGGGAACUAUCCACAAUAAUUCAAAAAAAUACUUCUCAUAGAUAAUCACAAAAUCUCAAGCAAGACUAAAUCUUUUAAGAAUUUUACUACACACAAAGACAAAAACAAAGGGCAGUCCGGUGCACUAAGCUCCCGUUAUGUGCUGAGUCCAGGAAAAAAUUGGACCACAAAGGUCUAUUAUACACAGUCUUUCCACUGUGGACCCCUCUUUCCGUAGCUCGGACCUAUGAUCUUCUGGUCACACGACAAUAACUUUACCAGUUACGACAAGACUCCUUAUCUUACACACAAAAAUAACAUUUUUAAAAAUGAAAUCUUUAGCAAUUUUUUAAAAUUCUUUCUACCCAAAUUUCCAAGAUAAGCUAAAAUAUAACACUGAUAACAUAUGGUUAAAUAAACAAUAAGAAAAAAAUGCAAACUACCCAAAAAAAUUCAGGCAAAUAAAACUUGUAAUACAUCAAGAUUAAUUUUGAACAAUAGCUUAAAAAAAAUCUCACUUUCUCACAACUGAAUAAUUAAAUUCCAACUUUGCCUUAACAUUAUGUCUCCAUUGAUGAUGGAUACUGUAGCAUUAAGAGCGUUACUAAAUAAUGAAAUAUGACAUUCUUUUUGGGACGGACAAAAAGAAAAUGACGACAUAUAUAAUAGGGCAGAGGAAGUAUGUUAAUACUAAAAGGGUAGCUUCAUGUGGCGGUGGAUGUAUGUUAAUACUAAAAAGGCAGCUCGGUGUACUAAAACUUCUUGCUAUAAGGGACUGCAGAGAAGGGCUGGACUGCAAGAAUUUUAUUGUGCACAACAUUAUCUUGCAUUUCUGACAGAGGCUGUUUCUAUGACUUGAACUCGUGACUUCCCAAUCACAUGACAAUAAUUUUAUCAGUUACUCUAAAACUCCCCUUCAUAUUUUUUUUUUGAUUUGAUAAAAAUAUUAAAGAUACGUAAAAUAUAAAAGAUACACAUAUAAUUCUUUCUGCAAACCCACUUAUAUGGAGUAAUAAAAACUUAUAAGGUAUCAAAAAUGAUAUAUGCAUGGGAUUUCCCUUUUGGUUAAAGUUUUAACAGGUUAAUUUCGUGUAUAAUUGUAGACUUUUACUCAUUAAUGACAAAAUUAUUGAACUUUACCUCUUUAAUAAAGUAGUAGAUUUAAUGGCAUUGAAAAUCAUUAAUGAGUUUUUAUUAUGUGUUUAUAUAUAUUGAGUACAAGAAGUGAUAGACAUAUCUAAAACUAAAUCAAUCAAUUAGAAAAACAAUUUCUAUUCCAAUGGAGAACUUCCUCCAUGUUCACCUUUUGAUUUCAAUUAUUUUCUCAAUUUUGCUUGUAAUUUUAUGCAAUGAACAUUCUUUUUCAUCCCUUAACACCAGUUACAUUGUGGAAUAUGUCUAUUGAUCCAACGAAGCUUUCCGAUCCUCCGAUGCCAUCCUAUACACUCACCAUUUACAAUCUCUAUUUAUUUGAAAAGUCAAAAUUCAAGGACUAUGACUCGUUUCUUAGAAAUAGGUUCGCCGGUUGUCAAGCUAGGGCAAAUCAUUUGGCAUCGGUUCUUGAAAAUGGUGACGCGAUUAGUACGAAUGGAACUCUGGUAAGGCCACACGAUGAGCAUGAGAGUAAAGUGGCCAACGAAAAGGUUCUGGUAACAACAAGUAUACAUUUCAUAUGUCAGUAUGUUGUAUCUUUUACUCUUUUUUUUUUGGUUUCCCAUCCGGCACCUGGUGCCCGCAUUGGAGCUUCGACUAAUCUGGAUACACGUUGCAAGGCCCAUUAAGGUGGCAGCGCUCCCAACAGAAUUUUCUCCUAAGGGUGGAGCAGCCUCAUCCACUACACCACAACCCAUAUUGGUGCAUCUUUUACUCACUGAACAAGUUAAAAGUUACUUGCUAAUAGACACUGGUAGUGAUUUAGUUUGGUGGAAAUGUGGACCAUGUAAUGCAAAUGGAUGUUACAAACAGAUAAAUAAUCCUUUAUAUGUUUCAACUAAUUCAAAAACAUAUCGAAAGCUCGAUUGCCUUGUAGAAAGUAGAAACUGUGAAAUCACGAAUAAGGAAUAUGAUUAUAGUCCGUAUAGUAAUACGUGUAUGUAUAAUUACAAAUAUGUCAAUGGAUCAAGAACAAGAGGCUGGAUUGCACACGACGUGAUUACUUUUGUUUUAGGCCGAAAGCAGGUAAGCAUUGUUUUUCGAUGUGGCAAAGAUGAAACUCAUGGAAAGCCUUUUAGUGGUCAAUUUUCUAGAGAUGCUAUCCCCGGACGUAAUGGGUGGUGGAAAUCAUUUAGCAUCGCAAUUUAAAGCUGACAUAAUGUCCAUGUUCCUACCGGGAGCUAUCUCCACAAAAGGAUCAACACUUGGCUUCCACACAAUGCCAUUUAAGAAAACAACAUCAGCAACGCUAUUACAUGAUUUCAGAUUCCUUUCCGUUUACUUCGUCAUCCUUUAUAAAGUUUUCAUUAAUGAUAGGGAAGUCCCGAUGUUCCCAUCAUUGUCUAGGAAUUCUAGAAAUUAUGCCACAAGCGGUAGCUGCAUCGUGGACACAGGAACAUUUAUUUCCCGUUUUCCUCAUGAUUUUUAUAUUGUAUAUUACACAUUCAGAUAACAAUUAUGUGGUAUUCCUAUGGUUAAUGUUCCACCUGGAUCAGUUUAUGACACUUGCUAUAAAGUGGAUACAACUGGUCUGGAUCCACAUUUCCCCAUUGUGACCAACCAAAUGGCCUCUCCGACACUAACAACCCAAACUCCCCUUUGCCUCAGCCUGCCUGGGAGCACUUGGUCCAUUUUCUACCCAAAACAUACAUGGUCAUUGGGGCCACCCCCAGAACUGUGAUCUAUAUAGCACACUGAUUUAGCCCAAGAAUGGCCUAUUUGCGUCGUUUCAUUUGUUUGACCACCCAAAUAGCCCAACCGACCCCAACGACCCGCACUAUCCCACUUUUAAGCCUGCCUUGGUGCCUCUGGUCGAUUUUUAGACUAAAAAAGCUCAAGCCCUAAGCCAACCCCUAAAACCGUGAGUUAUAGCACGUCUAUUUUGCCAACAAAAUUGCAUAUUUUUGACAUUUUGCCUGUUUGACCACCCAAAUGGCCCCACCGACCCAAACGACCCACUUUUCCAUUCAUCAGUCUACUUGGAAGCUUUAAUCUAGUUUUGACCCAAAACACGCCUAAACCCCAGGUCCACCCAGAACUGUGAGCUAUAGCACACCAAUUAUCACUGAAAAUGACCCAUUCGCGUUGAUAUUCUAGUUUGACCACCCAAACAGCCCCGUUGACCCCUACGACCAAUACUUUUCCGCUCUUCAGCCUACCUGAGAGCCCCCAAUUGACUUUUAACCUAAAAUAUGCCUAGGACCACCCCAAAAUCAUGAGCUAUAGCUCACUAAUUUGGCCCAAAAAUGGCCCGUUUAUACCGUUUUGCUCAUUUGACCAACUGAACGAUCCCGCUGAACUCAAUGACCCACAAUGCCCCGCUCCUCGGCCUGCUUGGGAGCCCUCAAUCGAUUGUUGACCUAAAAAACAUUUGGUCUCUGGGCCAACCCCCAGAAUUGUGUGCUAUAACACACCGACUUGGCUUGAAAAUGGCCCAUUCGUAUCAUUUUGCCUGUUUAAUAACCCAAAUGGCCCUGCCGACCCCAACGGCCCACACUUCCCGCUUUUUAGCCAACCUGGGACCCGCGAUCAAUUUUUAGUCAAAAACAUGUGUGGGCCUUGGGCACACCCUCUGAACCUUAAGGUAUAGCACCCCAAUUUUGCCAAAAAAUAGCCCAUUCAUACCAUUUCAUCCGCUUGAUCACACAAACGGCCCUUCGCCACCCAACAACCCUCACUCUUCCACUUAUUAGCCUGCCUAGGAUCCUCUGGUUUAUUUUCAGCCUAAAACACGCCUACGCCCUGGGGCCACUUUCGGAAUCGUCAGCUAUAACACACCGAUUUGGCCUAAAAAUAGUUGGUUCAUGCCAUUUCACCCGUUUGACUACGCAAACGGACCCACUAACCCCAACGACCUAUACUCCCCCGCUCUUCAGCCUGCUUGGGAGCCUCCGAUCAAUUUUUAGACUAAAACACACCUGAGCCCCGGUCCCACCUCUAGAACCAUGAGUUAUAGCGUAAUUAUUUGGCCUGAAAAUAGGAUGUUCACACCGUAUCACCCGUUUGACCACCCAAAUAACCUCAAGGAAUUUUUGGACAAAACAUGGUAGGAGCUCGGGUGGGACUCUCAGAAUCGUGAGCUAUAUCACAUCGAUUUAUCCCAAAAAUGGCCCGUUCAUGUUGUUUCACCUAUUUGACCACCUAAACAGCCCCACCGACCCCAACAGCCCAUACUUCCUCACUUAUAAGCUUUCCUGGGAGCCCCUGAUCGAUUUUUAGCCCAAAUACGCCCAUUCUCCAAGCACACCCCAGAACUGUGAGCUAUAGCACAUCAAUUAGGCUCAAAAAAUGGCCCGUUGGCAUAGUUUUGGUUGUUUGAUCACCAAAACAACCCCGUCGACCCGAACAACCCUGACUCCCUCGCUCCUCAACCCACCGAGGUGCCCCUGAUUGAUAUUUGGCCCAAAAAAUAUGACCAAACACUGGCACACUCCUAGAAUUGUGAGGUACAGCAUACCAAUUUAGCCCAAAAAUGGUCCGUUUAUCCCGAUUCACCCUUUUGACCCCCCCAAAUAGCCCCAUCAACCCCAACCACCCACACUCUCCCGCUCCUCAGCCUGCCCAAAAGCCCUCGAUCAAUUUUUGACCCAAACCACGCUCGGUCCCUUCACUCACCUUUGAAAUCGUGGGCUAUAUCACAUUGAUUUUGCUCCGAAUUAGUCCGUUCGCGCCUUUUUGCCUGUUUGACCAACCAAAUAGCCCUACCGAUCACUGUCUACCCCAAUGACCCAUACACCCCUGUUCCACAGCAUGCCUGGGAGCCUCCAGUUAAUUUUCAGCCUAAAACAUGCCUGGGCGCUGGUCUCACCUACAAAACCGUAAGCUAUAGAACACCAAUUUGACAAGAAAAUGGUUUGUUCGUGCUGUUUCACUCGUUUUACCACUUAAAUGGCCCCGCCAACCCAAACAACCCACACUUUCUCGCUCCUCAGCCUGCCUAGGACCCCUGGUAAAUUUUUUGCCCAAACCAUGCCCGAGCCCUAGGCUCACUCCCAAAAUUAUGAUCUAUAACACAUCGGUUUGGCCUAAAAAUGCUUUAUUCGUGCCAUUCAGCCCGUUUGAUCACUCAAACAGCCCCGUUGAACCCAAUGACCCAUAUUUUCUCACUCCUCUUGCUGUCUGGGAGCCCUCGACCAAUUUUUAACCUAAAAUAGGCUCGAUCCCCAAGCCCACCCUCAAAACCGUGAGCUAUAGCUCACCUACAAUUUUGUUCGUUUGACUAACGAAACGGUACCGCUGACCUUAACGACCCACAAUUCCCCGCUCUUCGGCCUGCUUAGGAGCCCUCAAUCGAUUUUUGACCCAAAACACAUUUAGGCUCUGAGCCAAUCCCCAAAAUUGUGAGCUAUAACACACCUAUUUGGCCCGAAAAUAACCCAUUCAUAUCAUUUUCCUUGUUUAAUAACCCAAACGGCCCCACCGGCCCCAAUAGCCCAUACUCUCCACUUUUUAGCCAACCUAGGAGCCACGAUCAAUUUUCAGUCAAAAAAUGCACGUGGGCCUUGGGCACAGCCUCUGAACCAUGAGGUAUAGCACCCUAAUUUUGCCAAAAAAUAUCUUAUUUGCACCGUUUCAUCCGUUUGAUCACACAAACGGCCCAUCUCCACCAAACGGCCAACACUAUUCCUCUUAUUAGCUUGCCUAGGAUCCUCUGGUGUAUUUUCAGCCUAAAACGCAGCUACACCCUUGGCCCACACCCAAAAUCGUAAACUAUAACACAUCGAUUUGUCCUAAAAAUGGUUUGUUCAUGCCAUUUCACCCGUUUGACCACCCAAACGGCCCCACUGGCCCCAACGACCUAUACUCCCCUGCUCCUUGGCGUUCGUGGGAGCCUCCGUUCAAUUUUUAGACUAAAACACACCUCAGCCCCGGGCCCACCCCCAGAACAAUGAGUUAUAGCACAAUGAUUUGGCCUGAAAAUAGCACGUUCAUGCCGUAUCGCCCUUUUGACCACCCAAAUGGCCUCAGGGAAUUUUUAGACAAAACAUGGUUGGGACUCAGGUGGGACCCUCAGAACCGUGACCUAUCACAUCGAUUUGGCCUAAGAAUGGCCCAUUCAUGUUGUUCGCCUGUUUGACCACCUAAACAGCCCCACUGACCCCAAUAACCCACACUCUCUCAUUUAUCAGCCUGCCUGGGAGCCCCCGAUAGAUUUUUGACCCAAACACGCCCAGUCCCCGAGCACACCCUAGAACCGUGAGCUAUAGCACACCGAUUAGACCCAAAAAAUGACCUGUUGGCGCAGUUUUACUUGUUUGAUCAUCCAAAUGGCCCCGUCGACCCAAACAACCCUUACUCCCUUGCUCUUAAACCCACCUGGGUGCCCCUGAUUGAUAUUUGGCCUAAAACAUAUGACCAAACCCUGGGCCACUUUCGAAACUGUGAGGUAUAGCAUAAUAACUUAGCCAAAAAAUGGCCCGUUUAUGUCAAUUCACCCUUUUGACCCCCCAAGCAUCCCCGUCGACCCCAACCACCCAUACUCUCUCGCUCCUCAGCCUGCUCGAGAGCCACCAAUCGAUUUUUGACCCAAACCACGCUUUGUCCCUUGACUCACCUUCGAGAUCGUGGGCUAUAUCACAAAAAUUUUGCUCAAAUAUGGUCCGUUUGCACCCUUUUGCCUGUUUGACAAACCAAAUAGCACUACCGACCACCGCCGACCCCAACGACCUACACACCCCUGUUCCAUAACAUUCUUGGGAGCCUCCGAUCAAUUUUCAGCAUAAUACAUGCUUGGGCGCUAGGCUCAUCUCCGAAACCAUGAGCUAUAGCACACCAACUUGGCCAGAAAAUGGUUCAUUCGUGCCGUUUCACUUAUUUUACCACUCAAAUAUCCCCACCAACUCCAACGACCCAUAAUUCCCCACUCCUCAGCCUACCUAGGACCCUUGGUUAAUUUUUUCCCAAAACACGCCCGAGCCCUAGGCCCACUCCCAAAACUAUGAGCUAUAACACACCAAUUUGGCCUAAAAAUGUUUCAUUCGUGCCAUUCAGCCCGUUUGACCACUCAAACAGCCUCGUCAAACCCAAUGGCCCAUAUUUUCCUGCUCCUCUUCUUGUCUGGGAACCCCCGACCAAUUUUUGACCAAAAAUAGGCUCAAGCCCCAAGCCCAUCCUCAAUACCAUGAGCUAUAACUCACUGAUUUAGCCAGAAAGUUACCCAUUCGUGCCGUUUCUCCUGUUUGACCACCCAAACAAUGCUAUCGACCCCAAUAGCCCUCUCAUCCUGUCUGGGAGACGUCGCUUGAUUUUUGAUCCAAAAUACGUAUGUGCCAUAGGCCCACCCGAAGAAUCGUGAGCUAUAACACAUUGAUUUGGCUUGAAAAUAGUCUAUUCACAUCAUUUAGCCCAUUUGACCACCCAAACGGCCCCGCCGACAACAACAACCCACUCACCCCUGCUUUUUAGCCUUUUUGGGAGCCCUCAAUUGAUUUUUAGUCCAAAAUAUUUUUGAGUCCCGACUCCACCCCCAAAAUCGUGAGCAAUAACACACCGAUUUGGCCCAAAAAUGGUCUAUUUUCAUUGUUUCAUCUCCUUUGACCACCCAAAUGGUUCCAUCGACCCAAAAGGACCAUACUCCCUCGCUUUUCAUCCUGGCUAGGAGCCCCUAGUCCUUUUUCAGGCCAAAACACAUUGGGACCCUGGUCCUACCUCCAAAACCAUGAUUUAUAGCACAUCGAUGCACUAGGAUUUCGUUAUAUGUUCGGUCCCGCUCAUGUUUCUUCGGUCCACCUCUACCCCACCUAAAACCAUCCAUAACCAGUAUUUCACAUAGCCGGCCGGACGACCACUCUGUAGAACUUAUCUUUAGUAUUCGAGUGCCUCUUCUAAUCACAUAGAACUCUCGAAGCGAGACUUCAUUUCAACCACCCUGCCCCAAUAUGAUGCGUUACAUCCUCGUUAAUCUCAGCAUUGCCCGGAAUGAACCUGACUCUGAUACCAUAUUGAAGUGAGUGACCAUCUCAUCUAAGAGUUUAACUAUUAGAGAGAGUACACUUUUACUAUUUAAUUAUAUUCUCAACAGUUACUUAAUAUGCUAUUUUUGCAUUGAUCAAAUGAACUUUACGUGGCAUUCUAAACUAAAGGAAGACACAAAAUUUUUCUUUCAAACAGUUCAAGAAAGAAUCUUUUGUCCUUUUGAAAAAGAGAAAUAAAGUCACAUUUGUUGGCUUGUUUUGUCCCUACAGUUGAACUAAGAGAACUUUGAGUUGAGGUUUUUUCUAUUAUUAAGGAUGUCCAAUUUUGGAAAAGUACUACUCCUUUCGUUUAAAAAGGAAUGGUAGACCAAACAACAUAUUAAUUUUAUAUAUUAUAUUAACUCCUAACUAGCUACCAAACCUGGAAUUACUUAUGUAGGAUUCCUACAUAACUCGUUGCUAAGCUAGCUACCAAAUGACCUCUUAAUACCUUCUUUCUUUGUUCAUUGAGGAGACAAAGACCAAUGUAAGCAUAAUUUAAUUUAUGUGUAUAAUAUGUUCAGAACCAAGGUGCAGAAUAAAUACUUUACAUAAAUACAAAACUUCCUAAAUGAGUUGAACCAACUGAUAUAAACGGUUUGAUUCACUCAGCUCCUGAUUCAUCAAUUGAUGACCACAGUAUUUUUUCAUGAGAUCUGGCAGGUAGUUUUUUUUUAUAACCUGAUUUUUUAUAACAAAAAAAAAAGUACCACUAAUGACUCUGCAACAACAAAAUCUUUUGAAGAAUCCAAUGAAAGUUGAGAGACUCUCUUCUCAGCUAUAGCUUUUGGUGAAUCUCUUGUUGAAAUUGAUUAAAAUUAUUUACUAUCAUUUCGACCGGUUUUGUCAUUUUUCUCAUUUUUAGUUCUUUUUAUAAAAUUCAUUAUUGGAUCUUUCNNNNNNNNNNNNNNNNNNNNNNNNNNNNNNNNNNNNNNNNNNNNNNNNNNNNNNNNNNNNNNNNNNNNNNNNNNNNNNNNNNNNNNNNNNNNNNNNNNNNNNNNNNNNNNNNNNNNNNNNNNNNNNNNNNNNNNNNNNNNNNNNNNNNNNNNNNNNNNNNNNNNNNNNNNNNNNNNNNNNNNNNNNNNNNNNNNNNNNNNNNNNNNNNNNNNNNNNNNNNNNNNNNNNNNNNNNNNNNNNNNNNNNNNNNNNNNNNNNNNNNNNNNNNNNNNNNNNNNNNNNNNNNNNNNNNNNNNNNNNNNNNNNNNNNNNNNNNNNNNNNNNNNNNNGGGUUUAAAAUCCUUAAGUUUUUUCAAGGUGUUUGUGCUUUUAUCAUGUAUUGUUACUUGAAAAAUUAUGUUAUUUUGGCGUUGAACUAAUGAACUCUACGUGGACUAAUAAACUGAAGAAUGACACAAAAGUUUUGUUUCAAAUAGUUCAAGAAAGAAUGUUUUGUCUUUUUGAAACAAGGAAAUAGAGCCACAUUUCUUCCACUGAUUUGUCCACUCAUAGUGCUCUUGGUUUUCCCGCCUUCCACAAAAAACCUUGCAAUAGAGAUUUCCAAUUCAUCCUAGACAAUCUCAACACUAAGUUGGCUGGAUGGAAAACUAAAUUCCUCAAUAUAGCUGGCAGAAUCACCCUUACCAAGUCCUCCCUUGCUAGUAUUUCUGCUCAUGUCAUGUAAUUCAUUUUGAUCCCCACAAAAAUCCACUAAUUGAUUGACAGAACCCAAAAGUACUUUUUCUGGGGCACCACCCCUGAUAAUAAGAAAAUGUAUCUAAUCAAUUGGGAAACCUUGACUAAUGCUAAAGCUAAUUGGGGCCUGGGCUUCCAGAAAGCUUCCAUUAGGAACACCACUAUGUUAUCCAGUCUAGCUUGGAGACUUUAAAAGCAUCCCAACAGUAUCUUGGCAAAAAUUCUGUAAAAUAAAGUAGCCCCCAUGGCAUAUUCAUCAAAGCCAACAACUUUAGAACUUGGAAAAGUUUCUUUGUGGGUUGGGAAAUUUGUAAAACUGCCUCCUCUUUGAAUAUCCAUAAUGAUGACAAGAUCAACUUCUGGAAGGACAGAUGGAUGCCUCACUGUGAACUCCUUCUUUCUGUCAUCCAAGAUCUUCUUCCUUAUUAUUCCCAAGACAUUAAACACUCUGAGGUCUAGAGAAAUGGCUUCUGUAACCUCAAGGAUCUUCCGAUUGAAAUCCCUAAGGAUGUCAUCCAAACUUUAACCAACUUUAUUUUCCCAAAUCCCAGAGCCCAUACUGAUGAGCUCAUUUGGAAUCUCACUGGUAAUUGUCUGUUCUCCAGCAGAAGUGCUUAUAAUCAUAUUGCCAAAACCUCUGAGAUCAAUUACUCCUCUAAUUUCAACUGGAUAUAGAAGGCUAAAUCCCUUAAAAAUUUAAAACAUUUAUUUGUUUAAGCCAGCAUAAUAGUUUCCCCAAUAACCUUAACCUCUCCAAGAGAGGAGUGAGACAAAAUACUAGUUAUGCUAUCUGCAAUCAUCACCAGGAAGAAAAAUCCCACAUUUACUUUAAGUGUCCUAUCCUCAACGAUUUGGGAGUGCAAACUAUCCACAAGAUGACCCAGUCCAAAAACCUCCUAUUUCCAGUCUCCUACCCUCUUACUAGCACAAUAUCUGGAGAUCUCUUCAACACUCCCAAUUCAACAGACUAAUCCACUGGCAUGACAUCAUUCCUUUUAACCUCUAGACACUCUGGGACACCAGGAACUCUAAUACCUUCAAGAAAAAAAGGGACCAUCCCAAUUUUAACCAUGCUUACUCCCAAACUAUUUAGUAUAAACAUCUUACUCAAAAGAAUACCCCAAUCAAGCAAAACCAAAUCAUCAACAUUAAGUGGAAUCCUCCCACCUGCCAUACCUUCAAGCUCAAUACUGAUAAUUCUUGCCUUAGAAACCUCGGGAAGGGUGGAAUAGGAGGGGUAGUCAGAUCCAGUAAUGGAGGCUGAGUGUUAGGCUUUAACAUAAACUUUCACCGGACUACCAAAAACAUGGUAGAGCAAAAUAAUCUUCUCCCCACUAAAAUUAACUUUGAUUCCUUGGAAGUGAUAUCUAUGUUAAAAAACGGGAACCUCCACUAUGAUACUUUAAUUUUGGAAUGCAGGUCAAAAUUAAAAAGAAUAAGGAAUUCGAAAGUCAAGUACUGUUAUAGAGAACAAAAUGGAGUGGCGGAUGCUCUAGAAAAAUACAGAGCAAGGGCAAGCGGGUUUUAGGAGACUACCCUUUUUGAAGUUCCACCGAUAUGUGCAAAAGAUGCAGUUUUAGCAGACAUCUCAAAAACUUUUUGAGAGAACAAUUAGGAUGAUUUUAAUUGGCCAGGCCAGAACUAUUCCUUUUUGAACCCUGACUAAUCGUCAAAAAUUGAAACUUAAACUGUAUUCUCUUUUAUAUUAAUGCAUGUCCUUUCUACCAAAAAAUAAUAACAUUAUUUCGCAUAUUGAAUCACCAAAAAGAAGAGAUAUUUAUACCAAUUUAAAUUGAUGGACCUUGAACAUUCACAAAGAAAGAUAAGUUGAAAAUGUUAUAUCAUUCUUGCAUAUCGAAAGAAUGUUAUCAAAUCAAGAAUAAUUUUUUUAAAUGAAAAAUUAAAAAAUGCAGUAAAUAAAUUCACGAAUAGCACGAAUGAUAGAGAAGUAUAUGUAAGAAAGGCUAAGUAAUAGAAUUUCAUUUAUAUUCAGAUUUCAUUUAAAUACAAAUUCAAAUAUCACAUAUGUUUAUUAAAAUAAGAUUAAUUUAUUAUUCUUCCUUAUCCUUAUCCUUACAUUUUUCAAAUACAAUAUAUAUUUAAAAUUAAUAUAGAUUUGAGUUGAGAUAAGUAUUGAAAUCAACGAGACAAUACUAAUACUAAUACUAAUACUAAUACUAAUACUAAUACUAAUAGUAAUACUAAUAUUAAUACUAAUAAAAAUAAUAACAUUUUAACUAUUUUUAUUUUACCACUAUUAGAUUGUACUCCUAUUACUAUUACUAUUACUAUUAUUAUUUGUUCAUUGUUAUUUGAGAUAAAUAUUAAGAUAAAUCGUGUAGCAAAAAAAAAAAAUUGUGUGCCAUGAUUAUUAAUUUAGUACAUCUAAAUUAUAAGUUUAUCUUUGAAAGUAUGUUUUAUCUCCAAUUUAAAUUCAAAAAAAUUUGAUAGAAUAUCCAAUAUCUUAGAUGAGCGGUUAAAACCUUCAAUACAGGUCAGGCUCGUUGGGAUGGCCCGGCCCAGCCUGUAAUUUGAUAGGGUUGGGCUAUAAUUUUUAUAGCCCAUUUAAGAAUAGGGCUUUUUAGCCCUUCAUGAAUAAGUCUAUUGACCCGUCGGCUUGAGCCAUAUGGGUUUGCGUGACCCGUGGGUCAAAUAAAAAAUAAAAAAAUAAAAUAUAGUACUAAUAAUAAAAAAAUGAGUCCAAACUCAAAGUUUAUAUGAACCAUCAUAUAUAGAUUUUAAUAUUAAUUAUAUUUAAAUAAUAUAUAAAUAAUUUACAUAUAAAAUAUAAGUUUUUUAAGAAAUCAAAUAUGUUUGAUGAAGAUGACGUGGCGAUGUUGAAUACACCAUAAAUGCCAUGAGAGUUUUCUUUAAAGUGUUUAUUUUACUUUUAAUGGACUAAACAUUGACAUUUCUUUGUGUUUUAUUUUGAUCAAUUAAAACAAAAUUAGGUUAAUAUUGUUAUUUAGCGAGUUAUAUUAUUACUCAUUAAUUAUUUUAUUUAUUUUUCAAUAUCUNNNNNNNNNNNNNNNNNNNNNNNNAUCUUUUUGUAAAUUUGAGACUUGAUUAAUGAGUAGUAACUUCAAGCAAUAUUAUAUUGUAAAUAUUUAUGCAAUUAAUAUUUUAAAAUUUAAAUUAAGAUUAUAAAAAUAAUAUAUUUUAAAAAAUGGGCUGGCCCGUGGAGGCCCACAACCCAUAGUGUGACGGGUUGGGCUUGCUAUUUUCUAGUCUGUCAAGUUGAUGGGUUAGCCUGACCAAGCCCGUCAAACUCUAAAGCCUGUGUGAGCUAGCUCGGAUGAGCUGGUCUGAUCCAUAUUAACAACUUUAGGAGCAGUUAUAUAACAAUAAGAAUCUAAUUAGAACUAUUUAGUAUUAUAAUUAUCUACUUAUAAUAUGUAAUUUUAUAUUUUUUUAAUAUUAUUUUAAAUUUAAAGUCAACAAUUUAUUUGUAACACCCCAAGAUCCCAUCCCGAGACGUCACACGGUGCUUAAGGCCACACGCGGCCUCAAGCUAACCCUCUAAAACUGUCAUCACUUCUAGAACUCACUUUGACAAUAGUCGUGCUAAUAUAAGAGAGAAUGACAUAUCAUAAACAUACUGGAAUAAGAUAAGAAACUAGUCUGUACAAUCCAAAAUAUUGAAAUUCUGUACAUACCGAUCCUUUAGUCUGACAAAGCCUCUAUACAUCAAAAUCAAGGAGACAUUGGGACAAACCCCCAACUGAAUCAAGGAGAUAUUGGGACAAACCCCCAACUGACUCAAACAGUACUGAAAGCCAUAACAACAAAAUUGUAUCACAAAAUUAUAAACACGAUCCUCGAACCAUGAGGACUCACCCCUGAGCAGAUGAAAAGAGGCACCCAAAAAUCGCUAACGUGGCUGAGUACCUAAACCUAUAUUAUAAGAAAAUAUAGCCCUUAUAAAAAUAUAUGGGUCAGCACUUUGGAAUGUACUGAGUAUGUGGGGGGCAUGCAACAAUGUAAAUAUCGUCAUCAAUUUCAUGAAAUUAUGCAUAUGUACAAUGAUGGCUCACUUGGAUUGAGUUAGAUUGAAACAUAUUUUUUAUAAUCUCAUCGUAAAUAAAUCAUAUGAUAAAAACCUUAUAAAUCAUCAUAAANNNNNNNNNNNNNNNNNNNNNNNNNNNNNNNNNNNNNNNNNNNNNNNNNNNNNNNNNNNNNNNNNNNNNNNNNNNNNNNNNNNNNNNNNNNNNNNNNNNNNNNNNNNNNNNNNNNNNNNNNNNNNNNNNNNNNNNNNNNNNNNNNNNNNNNNNNNNNNNNNNNNNNNNNNNNNNNNNNNNNNNNNNNNNNNNNNNNNNNNNNNNNNNNNNNNNNNNNNNNNNNNNNNNNNNNNNNNNNNNNNNNNNNNNNNNNNNNNNNNNNNNNNNNNNNNNNNNNNNNNNNNNNNNNNNNNNNNNNNNNNNNNNNNNNNNNNNNNNNNNCAAAUCAAAUCUCUUUCUCAUUUAUCAAAUCAUAAUUAUUUUGAGGAUUCCUAACUCGACUCAAAUCAAAUCAAUCUUUCUCAAUAGCAAAAUGCAUCAAUUCAUUAAAUCAUGGCAACAUCAAUAACUUUGAGGAAAUAUCAAGACUCAUUGUAACAACUCAAUUCUCAUGAAUCAAUAUACUCAAUAAUCCAAUUUUUCAUAAGAAAUAUUAAAGCUUGACACAUAUCUUUAAAGCACUUGAAAUACCAACUCAUGGUAGAAACUUUAAAUUCACAAUAUUAAAUAUCAAGUCAUAAGUUGGAAAUUGUAAAAUAAUCAUGUAUAACAAAGCCUGAACGAUUUAUAUUCUCCUAAUCUCAUGAUGAAGUAAUUUGGAUAUAAACCCACUUGCAAAAUCAUAUAAAUUCAUAAUAAAAAUCAAAGCUUUGAGCACAAGAGCGAAAGAAUUUCUCUUGUUCAAAACCCCACGUACCUCAAUCUUUGAAAUUGGUUGAACUCUAGUGCUUGAUACUUUACUCACACUUGUAAUAAAAAAAAUUCUUGAAGCCCACUCUAUGAGAAACUUGAUUCUUGAAGGAAUCUUGAAGAUUUAUGGAUGAUUUUUGGAAGAUUAAUUCCCUAAAAUAAAACCCUAGAUAUAUUUCUAAAGAGAAUUGGAAGAGAGAAAUGAAGAAAUUAGGUUUUGGAUGAGGAUUCUCAUAUAUAUAUAUAGACGCCUCCAAAAAUGGGAAAUGACUAAAAUACCCUUGCAAAAAUCGUCCAUCAAUUGCUGAAAAAAAUAGUUAAUGACAUCUGUGAUAAGCUGUCAGGCCCAUGAUAGGCCAUCACGAAUUGUCGUCACAAAAAGGGUGGAUUUUGUGACUUUCUGCCUUAAGGUGAUGACAUUUUGUGAUGGGCCGUCAGGCUUGUGACAAGUCAUCACAAAAGGUCGUCACAGAUUUUCCAGGCUGUCACGUUGGAGUAAAAUAAGCAUAACUCUUUUGCUCCAAUAUCGGAUUUUAAUGAAAUGGGUACCGUUGGAAAGAUAAUUCAAUUAUAUAUCUUUUGGUAGGUGAUGAGAUAAAUGAUUCAUAGUACAACGGGAGAUAUGCUCAUUUAAAGUUAACUAUGCCAAAAUCCUUCUCAAGAAUUCAAUGGGUAAAGAAUGUUUUGAUUCGCCCAAGCGUUAGGACAUCUUUAAAGACUUAAUACACAUCUCCCUUGACCAGGAAACAACCAAAACACUAUAAUGUAUUUCUCAUGGGCUUAAGUCAUGGCGGCACUAUUGGUUAGAAUCUCGGGGUAUUACAAUACCUCCCCCUUGGAAAUAUUCAUCCUCAAAUAUUGCCAGAUAGGCCAAGAACAAGAUAAAAAUGAGGACGUAUAGUUGGAACGACUUACUCGAAAGACUUAAUUCACUCUAUACCUUCGAAUACUAUAGAAAAUGCACAUAUUCGUGAUGAAAGCAGACACACUGCUGAAUCUUUAAUAAGAAGGGGGUGGAAUUAAGAAAGAAUGAUACCUUCUACUCGCUCAGAACUCACAGAUAAGAGGUGAGGGUACUUGGAUCGCAUAUCAUCUUUGUCUUCCUAAGUAGCACUAUCAACAGAUUGAUUUCGCCGAAGCACUUUAACCAAAGCAACUUCUUUGUUCCUUAGCCUAAGGAUCUGAAAAUCCAAAAUCUUAACUGGAAUCUCCUUGAAUGAAAGACUAUCCUGAAUAUCUAAGCUUUCAGAAGAAUCAACCAUGACAGAAUCACCAAUACACUUCUUAAGCAUAGAAACAUAAAAUACCGGAUGAACGCUAGACAACUCUGUGGGUAAAUCCACCUCAUAAGCUACUUUGCCAACAUGGCUCCGGACCUUGUAUGGACCAACAUAACGGGGACUAAGCUUUCCCUUCUUCCCAAAUCUCUUUACCCUUUUCAUGGGUGAAACCUUCAAGGACACCAAAUCAUUAACAUUAAACUCAAGAUCUUUUCUUCUCACAUCCGCAUACGACUUCUGAUGACUUUGAGCGGUUUUCAAUCUUUCUCAAAUCAACUUAACUUUUUCCGUAGACUCGAACACAUCAUCCAGCCCAAUCAUAGCUACUUCUCCUACUUUAAAUCAACCUAUGGGCGAUCUACAUUUUCUCCCAUACAACUAUUAUUAUACGCAAAUUCGAUCAAUGGAAAGUGCUCAUCCCAACUACCUUUGAAAUCAAGUGCACAUGCCCUCAACAUGUCCUCUAAAGUCUGAAUAGUUCUCUCAGCCGGACCAUCGGUCUGCGGAUGGAAAGCAGAACUUAGACAAACUUGGGUAUCGAGACCCUUCUAAAAAGCCCUCCAAAAUUGAGAAGUAAAAUGAGUACCCCUAUCAGAGAUGAUAGCUAAAGGAACUCCAUGAAAUCUUACUAACUCACGGAUAUACAAUCUAGAAUAAUCCUCAGCUAUAUAAGACAAAUGCACUGGCAAGAAAUGAGCUGAUUUAGUCAAUCGGUCUACGACAAUCCAAAUCAAAUCAUGAUGAUGAUAAGAAGGAGGCAAACUAAUUACAAAAUCCAUAUUCACUUCUUUCCAAUUCCAAUUAGGAAUUACAAACUCAUUAAUUACACCACCGAGCCUCUGGUGCUCUACCUUAACUUGUUGACAAGUAGAAUACUUUGUCACAAAUCCUGCUAUGUCUUUCUUCAUACCGUUCCACCAAUAUAUUUCCCGCAAAUUGCGGUACAUCUUGGUAGCACCAGGAUAAUAGAAUAUCGCACACCAUGCAAUUUGUUGACACCUAAUUUUUUCCCUCCACAACUAAAUUUAAUCCUGAGUUUCUUCGAUUCUUAAUAAAAUCGGAAUAUUUAUUUCAUUCGAAUAAAAAAUUUUCAAAAAUAUAUUUGUACGUAAUUUUGUCAUCUUAAGUAGAAAUUAUAUAUUAUCGUAUUCAAAUAUACGAUAUUAUAUGAGUUUAUUACUUAGAUAUUUACUCUAUGAAAUAUCAGAUUUCAAUUAAGGAUCAUUUCGAAAAAUAAUAAUUAAAAUCAUGAUCUAAAUAUAAUUUAUUCUCGAAAAUAUUUUGUUUGGAUAAAUAUGCAUUUUAUUUUAUUAAUUCAAGAAGCUCAGGAUUAAACAAGGUGUUAAUUCGUAUCAAAUUUUUAUUUAAUUUAGUCAAUUUAUUAAAUUAGAACUUAAUUGAAAUUAAUUUGACCAUAAUUGCAAUGUAAUUGGUUAAUUUAAUUUGAAUUAGGCUAAAAUUUAAAAAUGAUUGUCUAAAUUUUCAUCCAUUGGCUGUUUCAUAAAUAGUCUAAAUCUCUACAUUACUAAAAUCCUAAUUCUACCCAACAAUAUUCAGAUCCCUCCUGCCCAGUUCCUUUUCAUAUUAACAGGCCCAAAAUCCCUGACCUGGCCGACCAUCAUCAAAUCCCCCUUUCUACCUUAAUCAGCAAGAACUAGUCCCCAAUGCAAAAAACAACCAAAAAUAGAGUACAACUACAGGAACUUGAACAACAAUGACAAGCUCGAUUCAGUGAAUCCACCAUUGAACCAACUCGAAACCAAUCCUAAACUAUUCUUUUUCCCUCUGUCACGCGUCUCACGCGGCAGUAGGAUAAGAAAAACCCUCGAACCUUCUAGAAAAUGGGCUAGGUGUCAUCUCCAACAGUCCAAUCCCGCAAAUUUUGGGAUAACUCGUACGAACUCAUACAAUAUUUGGCUGAUUUCCAUAGGUUUUGGGGAAGAAUUCAUUUUCCCUAAAUCUCAUUGGUCCACCAAUUUCAAUAUUGGUACAAUUGAUUGAUGAAACCCUAAGCGGUGAGAGGAUUUUCAAAUUUCAAAAUUCAAAAAAUCCUUCUUUUAAAUCCCUAAAAGUAAUUCAGGGGAUAUAAAAAGACCCCUGGGGUCACUAUUUCGGGGAUUAUUGGUUUCUUCUCUCCUGUUCUUUCCCUUAGGAGUUGGAAAUUUUAGAAGCCUCUGUUUGUUUUGUUUAGAGAAAUUUUGGGUUCAAAAAAAGGGGGAAAUCCUUAGGUUGGAAAAUUUUAGGUCACGGUUGAGGGUUACUUUCCCUUCUGAGGUGGAAAAAUUAAGGGAGAAAGCUAGGUUGGAAUAUGUUUUUGAGAAAAAUUUCUAAAUCGAAAAAACUGAGAUAGAGGGAAGAAAGAAAAAGAAAAGAUUUCUGAAGAAAGAUUAAAUCUUUGAAGUUUUCCGGUGGUCAUGAUCCCCGUAUCAGUUCGUCGUCUUGUUUUGCUGCUCCGAAAAAGGUAACCUCCUAUUUUCAUUUAGUUUUCAUUAUAUUUCUUCUUCCUCUCGUCAUUCUAUAGUCAUAACUGUCAUUCUGAAGAUUUUGGAAGCUGGGUUGUCUGCUGUAGAGGUCUUCAUGACCAUAGGUUUCAAUUUUAGUAAAAGGCAAUGUUUCUUUGCAGUUCUACGUUGGGAUGAAUUCCUAUUAUGAUUGUAUGACAUGUGGUUUUCAUCAUCUUUAGAUCUUGAUUUCAUGAUUGGUCAUCUACUCUCAUUAUUACUGCUUAAUUUAUGUCCUAAUGUAUCAUCUUGUGGACUGUCUGUGAUUUGAAGCAGUUAAAGAUCAUAUUUUGAUUCUUGCUUAACAAUUUUCAUCCUCUUGUUGCCUUGAUUCGUAGUUGUAGUUUUAUAAUCUUACGUGUUGAGUGUAGCUCGUUAGGAGGCUAUGAAAGCCCCAAGUUUCAUAUGAUAAACUGUGAGCUUUCAAAAAUUGUUGUUGUUUCUGCAUUUAGGACAGAUUGAUUUUUAGAGUUUUUGAUUUCGUUAUAAUUCAUCUGGGAGCAUUUGCCUUUGUUCAUACAAUGUUUUUGAUGAAAAUUUUCUUUGAAUUCGACUUUCGUGAAUGCCAUAUUGUUUAAAUGAUGAGCUUCUAGCCUAAGGAUUAUUGCUAAAAUCCUGUUCUAAGAAAAUGAAGGGUUACUAAGUAACUUUAUUCCUGUAAACGAUUGAGUAAAAGUGUUGUGUUUCUUUUCAGUUAAAAAGGAUGAUAGGGUCAAAGGGUUUUGCAUUCUCUUUAGGAGUUGCUAUUAUGGGCCUCCUUUGUGACCUUUAUUUAUAUAGGUUAAAUAAAAAGAAGUCUAUUCUAUUUAUAGUAUAUUUUCUCAAUUCACCAGCUUUGAUCUGAGUUUAACACAUACACUUGUAGUUAUUAGUUGAAAAUUGUUUCAAAAAAAAAAAUUAGCUUUUCUUGCGUCGUUACUAACUCGUAUGAGCUUGUAUAUCUCCUUUAUGAAACUUUUAGGAUCCUGUUCAUUUGUCUAUUAAAUACAUCUCUUCCCUCAUCAUCUUAUUGAUGUUGGGCAAAGAAAAUGUUUUUAGUCGCAUUGCUUCUCCCCUAUUUCCUAUUUACUUCAGUACCUAAGGUUAAGAGUUUUGGAUCCGUUUGAAUAUCGAAUAGUUUCCAUGUUUUAUUUAAAGCCAUCCUUUAUUUUUCAUAUUAUCAUUUGCUAAAAAAAUUUUGAUAAGAUAAAAGUUGUUUGCGUGUAGUAUGUGUGGUGACAUGCCUAAUAAUGUGCUUACUCUAUGGGAACAUGUUGUUAUUUCUUCUCUAAAAGAUAGGUCUAGUAAAUUUGGGAGAAAUUCUAUUUUAGUUGCUUCCUGAUUCUUCCCAACUCUUUGUUGUUAUCUUGAGUUUUAGUAAUAGCCAUCUAUACCUAAAAGGGCUAGAGAACAUUAAUCACCAAAAUAAAAAUAUAUAUAUAUAUAAUAAUAAUAAUGAUUAACUCCUGCGCACAUCAAAUUGGUUUGACUGCUAUUUUCCAUCACAAUGCACGUGUGAAGUUUAUUCAUUUCUCUUGAAAUUCUAUAUUUUGAACCAUAGUGGGUUCCUUUUCAUUGAUUGAUCCAUCAUACUACUUAUUUGUGUGGCGUUUGGUAUUUUGGAUGCGUUUUGAUUUCCUUUAUCUUUUGCCUUGCAUGUGAAUUCGUUUUGGAGUCCGAAUGGAUUCUUUCCCAUUGCAUCUCUUAAUGGGCCAUUGAGGCCCUCCAUGACUAUCAAAUGAAGCCCCAAAAGAAAGCCUAAAAUAAAUUUCAUGGUGUACGAAUACGAGAAGUCGAAAGAAGAGAGAAGAUGGAUUGAAGCCCCAUCUUUAAAGUGGCGAAGAGACUCAAAAGUCUCAUUUAUUAGUUUAUUUAUUUACUUAUCAAUUUUAUUCAUUUUAUUUAUUUAUUUAUUUAUUUAUUUAUUCAUUUGGGCCACGAAGCCAAAGUUGUACUUAAUAUAGGUGGAGCGAUACUCGAGCCAACUACUCGAAAACAAGACUAGGACAGGUGAAAUGGGUCGAAAGCCCAAUUAGACUAGGACAGGUCUUAUUGAUUUGGGCCAAGUGGCCUAAAUCCCUUACUUUCUCCCCUUCCCCUUUUUCUUUAUGUUUCUUUACCUUAUCUGUUUUGGUGAACCUUGUUAAAUCCUUUGUCAAGUCGCUAAAAAGCUGGUUCUUCAUAAACACCGAAAUCUUUUUCUAAAAUUGCCUUCUUUUCAAAACUAAACCUUUUUCAAAAGUUAGUCAAUGACGAUUUCCAAAUAGUACGGAUAACCGCAAGUUAGCGGACGUUUUAGGUGCCUAACACCUUCCUAAAAUGUUAACAAGAACCGCUUACUCAGAAUCUCUUAACUUAAAUGAUUUUCCUAUUUUGGUUCAUUUGAAGUAACUCUAUAAAGGUUACUUAAUUCCUUUUCAAAAUUAAGUGGCGACUCUCUUUCAAAAGUCAAAAUUUCUGCAAAACAGAAAUGGCGACUCUGCUGGGGACUUUUCAAACUAGGUUCUAACCAAAUGUUCGAUUUCGUCUUUUGAUUAACUGUUUAUGUGUUUAUAUUAUUCGAUUCUAUUAAUAUUAACUAUCGUAUCUCAUGGCAUACCCCUGCAUUAUUUAAACUGUUUUGGGGUUUUGUAGAUGUCUAACUUUUUAUGAGGUCCUGUCUAACUUUUUAUAAGGGACUCUAUUCUGAAUAUAACAUGCAGAUAAGACAACUUCCCCGUCAUAUAGUCAGGUAGACCUGAGCUUAAAAGCAUAAAAUUCAUCAUUUUCUUAAGUGUUCUAUUCUUUCGUUCUAUUACACCAUUUUGUUGGGGUGUAUAGGGAGCACAAAACUCAUGGAUAAUGCCUUUUUUUCUCACAAAAAUCUUCUAGAGUUUUAGUACUAUAGAGGUAGACCAAUGAAAUAUUGGAGGGAGGUGAUUAGGCAUGAUAUGGUGCUAUUACAGCUUACAGAGGACAUGACCCUUGAUAGGAAGGUGUGGAGAACACGGAUUAGGGUAGAGGGUUAAGGGGUUGGAGGGCGGCGCUAGUAAUGGGGAGUUUCUGGUUCGUAGUAUUGUUGUUGUAGUUUUUGGGGUUAGUGGUGUUGGCUUUUUGGCAUCCCGUACUAGUUUAUUAUGCACUUAUCUUUUGUGUUUUUUAUACUGUUAGUUUAUUUUGUGCACCAUACUAGUUUAUAUGCACUUACUUUUUGUAUUUGUUAUACUGUUAUUGGUCCAAAACCGGGGUUCUAUCGGAAAUAACCUCUCUACUUUUCUUGAGGUAGUGGUAUGGUUUACGUACACUCUACCCUCCACAGACCCCACUGGGUGGGAAUACACUAGGUAUGUUGUUGUUUUUGUUGGGGUUUCAUGGAUGUCCCGGCCCCUGUUGUUCAAUUCAAAAAUGUGUUGGAAAUACAAAUGGUUUAUUAUCACGUGAGUCGUCUGACGCUGUUCGUAUUUUCAAACUCAAGUUGUUCGCUUGUGAACUAAUGUUCAAGCCCACUCUAGACACUGAGGAUAGAACGAAACCAAAACCCUAUUUUAGGCAUGAGCCUAGGAUGACCCAUUACCCGAGCGGGGUAUUGGGUCCAUUAGAGAACCCGCCCUACGUCUGUUGACCCCGAGUCAACUAUAGACGAAUAAUAUUUAUGUGUUGAUAAAAAUACAUACUUUUCUAAUUCAAUCCAAUAUCCUUUGGGGUCGGGGGAAGGCUUAUCUUUAUCUGCUUUCAUGUAGGAUAUGGCUCAACUACAUUCCUUCGAAAAGUUCAAGAUGGUUACUAAACUUGAUGAUUUCUUGAAACUAUGGUGGGACCAUAAGAGUGCAGAAGAGAAAAAGAUUGUUAGAACACACAUUGGGCAUCUUCCUUCUUUGAUCGAGAUGGACGCUUAGCCCGAAAUGAUCCAUGUACUAACAACUUUUUGGGAUGAUCAGAAUAUGGUAUUUCACUUUGGGGAUGUUGAAUUGACUCCUUCCAUUGAAGAGGUAUUGAUUUGUUAUGAGAGUACGGAAAUGUGUUUUGAGAGAAGGGAGACACCUAAUAAGAACAUUUUAGUCCCGGUAGUGUGGGAUCGUAAAAAGAUCAAGGGGGUAUUUUUAACUGAUGAUGACACUUGGCUAGGAGAACGUGACGGAACAAAUAUCACUUUAUGUGAGUUGUAUCGUCGGUUCAGGAGAGUCAAUACUUUUCACAAAUUUAGGCACAAAUAUGAGUCAGAACCAAAAUGGAAGGAGACGAGACCCUUUGCAUUUGCGGUAGGCCUACUUGGAACCGUGGUGUUCCCAUAAGGGGAAAAUGUCACAAUUCAUCCGACGGUUGUUUCAGUGAUCCAUGCACUCUUCUUUGGAAUGGAUUACAAUUCUAAAAAGGUAUUCCACAACUUAGCUCCCAUGAUUAUCGCUGACAUAUAUCGAGCUUUGGGAAGGGUUCAAGUCGAGAAUCGUUUCUUUCAAGGAUGCAACCUUAUAUUACAAUAGUGGAUAAUGAUGCAUUUGGGAAAAAAAUCCUAGAACGGCAUAACCCGACCACAAAUCAAGGUGGAAUCUGCUAGAAUAGCAUGACAUGUGGUUGUUUUUACACAAAUUCAAAAGGGAAGCAUCUCAUGAUUUUUGGUUUAAGACUUUUGGAGCAUUAAGAGAUGACGAUGUCCAGUGGUCCAUUAACUAUCUUCUUUCGGGGAAAUACAUUAUUCGAGGAGGCAAGUGGUCUUUUCUAGUACUUUCGGGUCUUAAGGGAACCCAUCCCUACAAUCCUGGAACAGUUCUUAAGCAAUUCGAGAUCAAGCAGGAGAUACCUCAAAUAGAUUCUAUGCUCAGAUUCUUCACCGAAUAUGAUGAAAGUGAGCCCCCGCUCAAAGACUACAUGAUAAAUGGAUGGAGAAGGAGAAGGUGGAUGGAAGUCUCUUUUCGUAUAGGGUAUGAACCUUAAGUCAGUGAUACUUACAAGGAGUGGUUAAAAAUGAGCCUUGCCGGAGCAUUGAUUCCGAGGCUGAAGAUGCCCACUGGGGUCGUGGAUGUAGAAUUCAAGCAUCAGAUCCAAUUCCACAGUCUUCAGGAUAAAUUUUAGAAAAGUGAAAUCACGCACUGAUAGACAUAUACAGAAGAUUCUUUAAUAAUAUGUAUGUUGAGGGAAGAGUUGAAAAGAGCUAGGCAAGAGGAUGAUGAUGCUAGGCAGUGUUUAAUCAAUUUGGAUGAUAGCAUGGCCUCUCAACUCGAUAGUAUAGGAAAAUUGACUUACGCCUGCUAGGCACAGUUAUGCGAGAGUCAUCUGAUCAUCAAUAGGUAUCAAAUAGCACAGGAGGUUAACAAGGCAAAGAAGGCAAAGACAGACGAAGGAGCCUCCGGUAGCUAGUUUUUCUAUUUCCCCUGUGUGGGAACUUAUUUUUUUCACGUUAUUUCCCUUUUUUUACAUAAGAUUGUAUCCCUCUUUUGUUAUUUUUUGUAGGAAUUUAUGCCCUUUUUCAUGUCUAUAUAAGUUAGGGGAUAAUGGAUUGACUUUAAGGAAACAUAUAUUUUCUUCAAAAUCGUUAGGCCUGAACCCUUCGUCCAAAAAAGGUCACCCCUAUUAGGAUACACAUUAUUAUAAUUUUUUGUGUGAUAUAAUUGUCUUAUAUGAUUAUGUAUGUUUAUUUGGAUCAAAGGCAAGUUUAUCCGCCAUACUCCUAUGGAUGAAUUUAGCUAUGACUCAAACAACUCUAUGUGGUUAUUUCUUGUCAAAUAUUUUGCAUUACUUAUCACAUACGAAAACUAACACAUCUGCCUUUGAGUUGUUUUACUUAAAAAAUAGUAGAAACUACUCCGUGUUGAUAUAAGCUAGCAGAAAGUCCCUACAUCACCCGGUCAAAAGCGGACAAAAUCCCAUUCUCUGACCAUCAUUAAAUAAUGACCAGAAAUGAUGAAGAAAAUACAUUGACCAUCAGGGACAAUCAUAUAGCAGAACAGAGUGAGAUGAUUGCGAAAUUCGCAAGAAAGCUUGACAUGCUUCAGGAGGAAAUAAAUCAUGCUCGAGAUUUGGCUCACCUGGCCAUCACUGUUAAUGCUCCCGCUCUAGGAAGACACGAGACUCCACUCCAAAUCCCUUCCCUCAGUACGCCUAUUCUAGGGGAUCAGCCAAAAAACAUAUCGUCCAUCUCUGCCCCUCCACUUGUCCAAAAUACCUGUCAUGAAAAUAACCCAGAUGCCUACCAUCCACAAAAUCCACCACUAACACCACCAAACCCAUCUUCAAAUCCAUUCCCAAAUCCCCAGAACCAUUUGCAAAUCAACAAAAUUCGUGUCCAAAUCCACAAGAUUCACUCCCAAAUCCAAAAAAUCCAUCCUCGAAUCUUCCAUUGAAUCUAUCCCCGAAUCUACCAAAUUUGUUUCCAAAUUCACAAAAUCCUUCUCAGAUGCCACCAAGAUACUCGCAAAUUUCACAAAACCUUUCUAAAUUUCAAAACGUCCUCCCCACCUACCAACUAACUUUCUUUCAUCCGCAAAAUCAAGCCUUCCUUCCAAAUCCUCCUCUUGCCAUCAUAUCCCCUGACAUCUAUAAUCCCCUUCCUAAUCCGGAGAUGGACCAUUCCGAAGAAAAGGAGAAAGAAUGGAGGACCAAGCAUGAAAUGAAGUUGCUAGCUAUGUUUGAAAAAAUCAGGAGGAUCAAAGAAUCUCAUAGAGCGAGGGACCAUGAAGGUUUAGGGUACAAUGACUUAUGUGUUCACCCUAGAGUAGAUCUACAACAAGGGUAAAAGGUCCCUAAAUUUGAUGUGUUUGAUGGUGUCGGAAAUCCAAUGGCCCAUAUGAGGAGGUACUAUAAGCAACUCGUGGAGAUCGAGAAAAAUGAGGCGUUACUGAUGUUCCUAUUCAACCAAAGUUUAAGUAGUGAAGCCUUAGAGUGGUUCAUGUCUCAGCAGCCAAAAAAAUGGACUGGUUGAAAGUCUUGGUCAAGGGUUUCCUCGACAGGUUCGCAUUCAACAUUGAAAUAGUCCCGGACCAGUAUUCACUAGAUUGAAUCAAACAAAAGAGUGAUAAGUGUUUCCGAGACUAUGUUUUUCAUUGGAGGAAGGAAGCUGCCAAAGUACAACCCCCAUGUCCGAGGAUGAAAUAGUAUUUACGUUCUCUCGCGCAUAAGAAGAAGAAUAUUAUACCAGGAUGGUGUCCGCUGUUAGGGCGACUUUCGUGGAUUUGGUACAAAUAGGAGAAUAAUUGGAAGAGGUAUUCGGAUAGGAAAAAUUAUGAAAAAGCCGACAUCAUCCGGGACUACUAUGUUCUUGAAGAAGAAAAAGGAAGAUGUAAGCACAAUUUCUGCUGGUUCUGUUGCAAAAACAAAAAAGAGAUUCAACUCUAGGAAUGCUUUCUCUUCUCCGUCCUCACCAAACCUUCAGCAUGUGUUCUACGCCCACCGCCAAUACCAAGCUCCACUUUCAAAUGUCCAACCUCAUUACCAAACUCUACUCCCAAACAUCCCAUCUCAGUACCAAACUCCACUUCCAAAUAUCUAAUCCCAAUACCAAGCUCCACAACCAAAUAUCUUUCCCCAAUAUCAAGUUCUACCUCCAAAUUAUCAGUCUCAUGUCCAAUCCACUCUUUCAAAGAACCGAAUAAAUAUCCAAGAACCUCCAAAUUAUCAUCAAGUACCUCCUCCUGCAAAGCAAAGCCACUAUAACCUCCCACAUCUAAACUACGAAAAGAAACCUCCGCGAAACUUCACACCACAAGCUGAAAGUUGCACUCAAAUGUUUGAAAGACUAAGAACGCUGGUCAUUUGCAACCGAUAUAGUCAAAUCGUGUCAAUCCCAACUCCCAAUUUUAUCAUCCUGAUCAAAAUUGUACCUAUCAUUCAGGAGGAGCAGUAGGGCACAGUACCAAGGACUAUUUUAUCUUGAAACACAAGAUCCAAGAUCUGAUUGAUCAAAAGGUUAUCACGCUUCAGUCAACAAUCCAAAAUGUCAACAAAAACCCAUUGCCUAAUCAUGGGGGACCUACAAUUAACAUGAUUGAAAUGGAAGGAGAAUGGGCAUCUGGCAAGACUAUUACUAAGGUGAAUUCAGAAGAGUGCAAAAGGGAGGAAGAGGUAGAAAAGAUAGAGAGAGUUGUAGCUGCCUUAAGUGUCAAUGAGAAAGCCCCAUUUAUAGUGAUUAUGGCCUCGAUCCAAGUGUAAACUCCCCCGCCAAGGAAGGAAUUUAUUGUACAGACCGUUGCUGCCCAAGGGAUAACGCGGUUAGGACGAUGCUACAUCCUUCAAGAAUUUACCAACAAAAAAUAAUUCACAGAAAAGGCUAAUCACUAAAGGGGAGGCUAAGGAAUUUUAGAUGCAUAUGCAACCGAAAGAUUAUUUAAUUGUCAAACAUUUAGAGAAGACGCCAGCCCAAAUCUCCAUUUUGGCACUAUUAAUGAGUUUACAAUACCUCCGACAAGCUUUAUCGAAGGUCUUGGAUGAAGCGUAUGUUCCUGUAGGAACGAGUAUUGAGAACCUAGCUUCGAUGAUAGGAAGAAUUAUGGGGAAUUUUUGCAUAUUAUUCAGUGAUGAAGAGUUGCCAUUUGAAGGAGCGAUGCACAACAAACCCUUGCAUGUCAUUGUUAUUUACCGAGAUUAUGUGAUUAAUCAGGUAUUAAUAGAUGAUGGAUCUGGUAUAAUUUUUAACCCCUCUCCACGUUGGUUCAAAUGGGCCAUGAUUUGGGAAAAAUUUGUCAAAGCCACAUAAAUGUGAGAGCAUACGAUGGAGGGUAGAGAUAUAACAUAGGAUAAAUUUAUUUGUUUAUCCAAAUGGGACCUGUUGAGUUCACAACUAUGUUUCAUAUUAUGGAUAUUCAUCCUAGCUACAACCUACUCUUGGGAAGACCAUGGAUACAUAGUGCAAAGGACGUUUUAUCACCCCUUCAUCAACUAUUGAAGUUCAUUUGGGAGGACCAUGAAGUAGUCAUCCAAGGGGAAGGAAGCCGAGCAGAUCGUCCCAAUGGUUAUGUGCCAGUGAUUGAAGAUGUUCCAAAGGGUAGUAGUUUCAGUACGGUUAAAAUUAUAAAUAUUAUGGAGAAGGAUCUGACGCUCAAAGAGCCAAUGCCUUCUAUCUACAAAAUGAUUGUGGCGGUGAUACUAAGAAAUAGAUUCGAGCCUGGUCGGGUUUGGGUAAUAAUCUACAAAGAAUUAUUGAGCCUGUUAUAAUCCUAGAGAAAGCCUCUAAGUAUAGGUUAGGAUAUUAGCCUACCGAGAAGGAUAUAGUUGAGGAUAAGUUAGAGAAGAGUUUGUGUAGGCCCUUUCUGCUCCUGUACCAGUCAUUUCCUGUAUGGGAUGUGUUGAAUAAUGAUGGUAUUGAGGAUGGGAUAGGAGAUUUGUUCGAGGUAUGCAAUGCUAUACCAGAAGAUUUCCCAAAAUCUGGCAGGGUGAAGAAGAUUGCGCCAGUUGAGGCCUUGCAAAAAUGGACCUCCACUCCACUCAUAACCCAUCGCCCAUUGUGGUAGAUGAAAGGGCAAUUACUAAUAGUUUUAAAAUCAGUGAUGAUCUGAAAGAGGCCCCGCGAUCCACCUUUUAUAUGUCAAAACUUUCUUUUUGUAUUUUACUGCUUUUGAAAAGAUAUGGACUUGUAUUUUCGCUAGUCAUGAGCCAUGGUUUUGUAAUUAUCUCGAAAAUUUCAUUAAAAAGUCCUUCAUUCAUUUAAAAAAAAUUAUUAUUCUUAAAACAUUCCUAUUCAUAUAUUUUAUUAUUAUCUCACUAUCAUCUAACUUGGUUUGUUUGUCCAUUAAAGUAAUAGUAACCUAAAAUCUUCCAAUGUCAUGUUAUGUCAAAGCUUAGAUGAACAAAAUGGAGGGAAUGAUGAUGAUUGGAAGGACAGUGAUGAGGAACAAUUAGUUGAAGAUAUAGAGGAGUUUGAGAAUCGAGAAAAGCCUAACCUAGAGGAAACUAAAAUAGUCAACCUUUGAGAUCAUCAUGAAAUCGAAGAAACAAGUGUCAGCGUCCACCUGGCAAAAGCACAAAAGAGAGAGCUCAUUCACCUGUUGCGGAAAUAAAUUGACGUGUUUGAUUGGUCCUAUGAUGAUAUGCUGGGAUUGAGCACCAGUGUUGUGUCGCAUAAGUUGUCGAUAAAUCCAGAGUUUGAUCCAGUCAAGCAAAAAAUGCGGAAAUUCAAGCCAUAUUUAAGUUUAAAGAUCAAGGAAGAAGUGAAAAAACAAAUCUAGUCUAAGGUUGUGGAGGUCACAAAAUAUCCGACGUGGUUGGCCAACAUCGUCCCUGUGCCGAAGAAGGACGGCAAGAUUCGAAUUUGUGUUGACUAUAAAGACUUGAAUAGAGCCAGUACUAAGGAUAAUUUUUCAUUGCCUAACAUCCACAUCCUCAUCGAUAACUAUGAAAAGCAUUAAAUGAAGUCCUUAAUUGAUUAUUUCGCCAGGUAUCAUCAGAUAUUGAUGGAUGAGGAAGAUGCAGAAAAUAUGGCUUUUAUUUUUCCCUAGGGUGUUUAUCAUUAUAGGCUAAUGUCGUUUAGUCUCAAGAAUGCAGGUGCAACAUAUAUGAGGGCUAUGACGAUGAUUUUCCAUGAUAUGAUCCAUAAAGAGAUUGAGGUGUACGGGGAUGAUAUAAUUAUCAAAUCUGGCGAGAGUUUGAAUCAUCUGAAUUAUCUAGAGAAAUUCUUCAACAGAUUAAGAAAGUAUAGUUUGAAGUUAAAUCCUGCUAUGUUUGCUUUUGGUGUGCCAUCAGGGAAGUUGCUAGGGUUCUUAGUUAGCAGAAGAGGCAUCGAUUUAGACCCAUCCAAAAUCAAGACAAUCCAGGACCUCCCACCACCGAGGACCAAGAAGGAAGUUAUGAGUUUCAUGGGUCAUUUGAAUUACAUUAGCAGGUUCAUCUCUUAAUCGACAGUUAUAUGCGAGCCAAUUCUCCAGAUGUUGAAGAAAAAUGCAUUGAAUGAGUGACAGAAGAAUGUCAGAGAGCUUUUGACCACAUCAUGGAAUAUCUGUCUGCACCGCCGAUUUUGGUUCCACCAAGAGAAGGAAUUCCAUUAUUGCUUCUACCUGUCAUUCUCAGAAAAUGCUUUUGGAUGUGUCCUCAGGAAACAUGAUGUGACCGGUAAGAAAGAGAAAGACAUUUACUACUUGAGUAAAAAGUUUAUGCCAUAUGAAGCCCGUUAUACUCUUGUAAAAGGGACAUAUUGCGCUUUGACUUGGGCCGCACAAAAGUUAAGGCAUUAUCUGUCUUCGUAUAUGACAUACCUCACUUCGAGAAUGGAUUCAUUGAAGUAUAUAUUCCAGAAGUCCAUGCCUACAGGAAAGCUAGCAAAGUGGCAAAUAUUGCUGAGCGAGUUUGACAUCGUGUAUGCAACUCAAAAGGCAAUCAAGGGGCAAGAUUUGGCAGAUUAUUUGGCAGAGAAUCCAGUUAAUGAUGAGUAUGAACCACUUCGAACUUACUUACCAGUCGUGGGAGAAGACAUUACAAAAAUUUACCCUGGAUGGAGGUUAUUCUUUGAUAGAGUGGUGAACUUCAAAGGUUCAGGAAUCGAAGAAGUGUUGGUCUCAGAAAUGGGUCAACAAUAUCCAGUAACUGCUAAGUUGCAUUUCCCAUGAACCAACAACAUAGCCGAAUAUUAAGCUUGCAUCCUGGGUCUCAAAUUGGCACUUGAUAUAGGUGUUCGUGAAUUGCUAGUCAUCGGGGAUUUAGAUUUGCUGAUUCACCAGGUACGGGAGAAUGGGUGGUAAAAAAUUCCGAGAUUACUCCUUAUGUUGAGCUGGUACAGGAAUUAUGUGUAAAAUUUAAAGAAGUUGAUUUCAGACAUAUCCUAAGGAUACAAAAUGAGUUUGCUGAUGCUUUGGACACUAUAUCCUCCAUGAUUCGGCACCCAGAUCAGAGUUACAUUGAUCCUUUGGAAAUAAUCUUGAAACGCAUUGUGAACGUGUUGAAGAGAGCCCAAUGGAAAGCCAUGGUACUAUGACAUUAAAAGGUAUUUAGAAUCUGGAAUAUAUCCUUAAGAGGCCAACAAUAACGAAAAGAAAACAAUCUGGCAUUUGGCAAAAAACUACUUUCCAAGUGGGGAAUUUCUUUUUAGGAGGACGCCUAAUUUAGGAUUUUUGAGAUGCGUCGAUGCUGCAGAAACCAAUAAAUUGAUAAAAAAGUACAUGCAAGAGUUUGCGGACCCCAUAUGAAUGGGUUUGUCCUUGCCAGAAAGAUCCUGAGAACAAGCUACUUCUUGAUGACUAUGGAGAAUGAUUGUAGUAAGUAUGUGCAGAGAUGUCCAAAAUGUCAGUCACACAGAGAUUUGAUUCGAAUGCCUCUACAUGAGCUUCAUACAAUGAAUUCACCUUGGCCUUUCGUGUCUUGGGGCAUAGAUGUUAUUGGACCGAUAGAGCCAUCAACAUCGAAUGGGCAUAGAUUUAUUUUGGUUGCCAUUGACUACUUUACUAAGUGGGUCGAAGCUGCAUCAUACAGAGCCAUCACUAAGAAAGUAGUUGCAAUUUCAUCAGGAAUAACUUGAUUUUUUGAUUCGGAGUGCCGGAAUCAAUCACUAAUGAUAAUGGGGAAAACUUGAACAAUCAAUUGAUGAAAGAAAUUUGUGAUCAGUUCAAAAUUGUGCAUCACAACUCGGCCGCAUAUCAUCCACAGAUGAAUGGAGCCAUAGAAGCUGCCAAUAAGAACAUCAAGAAGAUAUUGAGAAAGAUGGUUGAAAACGAUAGAUCAUGGCAUGAGAUAUUACCUUAUAUUUUUCUAUGAUAUCGCACAAUAGUUCGAACCUUCAUUGGGGCAACUCCCUAUUUGCUGGUUUACGGGAAUUAAGCUGUGAUACCUGCUGAGGUUGAAAUACUUUCCCUGAGGAUUAUUCAAGAAGCCGGACUAAGUAACAAAGAGUGGGUUUGCGCUCGUUGAGAACAACUCAUGUUGAUUGAUGAAAAGAGAAUGGUUGCCAUGUGUCAUUGUCAGUUAUAUCAGCACAGGAUAAUUCGUGCUUUCAAUAAGAAAGUGAGAGCUCGAACAUUUAAAGUUGGGAAAUUAGUUCUCAAAUGCAUACUCCAUCACCAAGAAAAGUACAAGGGCAAGUUCACUACAAAUUGGCAAGGUGCAUACAUAGUUCGCAAGGGACUAUCUGGAGGGGCUCUGAUUUUGUCUGAGAUGGAUGGCCAUGAGUGGACCAAACCAAUCAAUUCUGAUGAGGUGAAAAGAUACUAUGUUUGAAGGGAGUUCUAGUUUUAUGGUUCUUAGUUUAUCUGUAAUCGCGGUGUAAUAAUGUGUUUUAUGAUGUGUAAUUGCCUAGAACACCUUUCCCUUUAUGUACGAACUACGUUUGACCUGAAUUCCGAAGAAAGGGAUACGUAGGCGGCCCAUGUCGGCUUCAGUCAACCCCUUAAAAAAUUUAUCCUUUCCCUUUAUGUAUGAACUACGUGAUGACCUGAAUUCCCAAGAAAGGGGUACGUAGACGGCCAAUGUUGGCUUCGGUCAACCUAUUAAUUUCUUUUGUAUAUCCUUAGCGUAGUCCUGAACUAUGUUUGACCUGAUUCCUGCUUCAACGGGAUACGUAGAUGCCCCAAUGGCUCAGUCAUAUAAAACCAGGAAAUGAAAACUAGGGCACAAUUUUUUAGAAGGAAUCUCUAAAAUUCACAAGAGAAGAUCAAUAUCCAACAAAGAGAAUGAAGAUCAGCAAAGACUUCAGAUCCACUCAAGAUGAUCUCAUCACAGCCUACUUUAAAUUGGGGCAGAAAUUUUUAGGGAGGCCAUAAAAUUUCAAUCAAAUACUGGAAUAUAUUUCAGAUUCCCCAGCACUAGAGGUCGAAGUUGAGAUUUGAGAAUAACUACCUGUGAUAAAGUCUAGGAAGACUGAAUCUCUAUCUUUGAUAAAACCUUUGGUAGAGAGCCUCGAUAAUGAUGAAUCCCUAGCUAUCCUCCGUCAUACGUCAGACAUUGUAAGAAUCAAGAGAAAGAAGGUCGUUGAGCUAGCACAUGACAUGAGUAGCAAGGAUUUUUCAAAGUUUUGCAGGAGUUCUCGAAACUAUUUUCUAAAAGUUGAGAGUACUUUCAAAAAAUAUAUAUAAAUCUUUUACUUAGUGAUUGCCUAGACAUCAAUUAGGACGGAGAGUGAUGGGUGGAAGUCCCAAUCAAAUACCUAAAAGAUGGCGAAGGGAAAAUCAAGGAUCGAAGGAGGUCAACACGGAGUAGUUUCACUCAAACUAAUCAUUUUUUGUGGGCACAGGGGCCAAUACAUAAAAAUGAGAGUCUCUUUCAAAAAUCCCCGAGCAAAUUGCGAGCCACACCAGAGCACUAAUUAUUAAGAACGGUAUUUUUGGGUAGCCCUAAAAAUGGGUUUAGUACCCAUAUAUUGAAGACCUUUUGAAGUGUCCAUAUUAUUUCUUGAGAUCAUGGAGGACAAGCAAAAGUGUCUUGUCUCCUUUACAAAUAUUGUAUUUAGAAUUUUUCUAAAAAACAGUCGCUAGCAAAAGUGACUUUGUGUCCACUAAUCGUCUACCUUGAGUACAGGUACAUGCUGAAAGCAAGACCCUGACAAAUGAUUUUAGGUGAAACUAUUUUUAAUUUACUGGAAGAACCAUUGCAUAUCAUUACCGAAAGGAUCAUUGCAUAAUAUCGCCAAGAAUCUUAUACCAUUUCCCAAGAAGGAUAUUCAAUAUCUGUUGAUACACUAGACACAACGCUGGCGUCAAGGAUAUCAUCAACAUUCAAUAUAUCUAUUGACACGCAAGACCCAAUGCUGGCGUCGAGGAUAUCAUCAUCAUUCAAUAUCUGUUGAUACACUAGACACAACGCUGGCAUUGAGGAUGUCAUCAUCAUUUUAUAUCUGUUGACACGCAAAACACAAUGCUGUCGUCGAGGAUAUCAUCAUCAUUCAAUAUCUAUUGACAUGCUAGACAGAAAUGCUGGAGUCGAGGAUAUCAUCAUCAUUCAAUAUCUAUUGAUGUGCUAGAUAGAAAUACUGGUGUCGAGGAUAUAAUCAUCAUUCAAUAUCUGCUGACAUGCUAGAAAGAAAUGCGGGCAUCGAGGAUAUCUCAUCAUUUUAUGAAUCAACAUCUGAAUGCAUCGAGAGUAUUUGAUUUGAAGGGACGCCUUUAAGUCUCUAUCUAAGGAUGAAUGAUAUAUAAGAUUUCCUAGAAAUUGACAAUUUGAGGGUUAUCUAUAAGUCAUAUUAUUCGAAAUAGGAUAGUUCAAAGGUUAUCCAUAAGUCGCAACUAAAUCCUUACCGGAGAAUAUGCAAGAUUACCAAAUUGAUAAGUCUAAGGGUUCUCUAUAAGCCGCGUCAUAUCCAAGACCAAUUAUGUGCAGGAUUACCUAAUGAGUAACAAUAUGAGAGAUUAUCUAUAAGUCAUAUUGUAACCAAGGUCGGAUGACGUGGAGGAACCCUGAAAGGUAGCGAUUAGAAAGAUAUCUUUAAGCCAUCUCUUAUCCAAAGUCAGAUAAUGUGCAGUAUUACCUAAAAGCUAGAAAUUCAAAGGAUAUUUGUAAGUCGCCUCAUAUCCAACAUCAAAUAAUGUGCAAGAUUAUCCAAAGAUUAAAAAUUUAAGAAAAAUUUAUACAUCAAUCAUCGGCUAUAACUGGAGAGGUUAUCAUUCCACAUACAACAAGUGAUAGAGGUAACCAAAAGGGUUUCCACACCAGCACAAGAUUACACGAUUGUAGGGACCGUUCUGUAUAAAGUAUCUACAAUCAACAAAUGUCAUAAUUAUACAACAACCAAGAGGGUUGUUGUGUUUGUUGUUGCCAGAUAUUUCAUUCCAAACAGGUACAUAAAGAGAUGAUUUCGCUUUUCAGGCCACAACUUAUGUGGAGAUAUGGUAAAAGACUACAUACCUUUUUCGUGAAUUAUGUUUAGCAAUAACACUUUUUCUUAAAGCAUUGUUGAGAGCAUCAGAGAGGAUGAAAAUCUCAAAUAAAAACCACAGGUGCGGAUCACUUCAGAUAGAACACAGCAUAAUGUGGAACUUUUUCUUAGCAGCAAAAUAGGACAUAGUCUAAAGAGAGAUGUCAAACUCUCUGGAUGCGAGCUAAAGGAUGAUCACCAUCACCAUCUAACCACGCCCCAAUUAGAAGGCAUGUGGGUAUUUCCGGGAUAUUCUGGUUUCCGCCUCAUCUUUGAGAUAUUUCUAAACUCAUAUCGAGGGUAACCUCCUCUUUCUUUCAAAGUCGGGUGACAACAACCUCAGAGUUUGGAAAUUAUGUCCGCGUAAUGUAUUUUCUAUGGUUGUGAAGGAUCCCACAUUCAUGUUUAAGAGGUUACAAUCCUCUUUUCCAAAACUCGAUCAACUUGUCACUCAUCCUGAGCCAAAGAUCGUCUGCAAUAAAAGACUAUCAUUUCUACCGAUCGAGUCAAACUACAAGUACUCUGAUUCCCUAAAAUCUUGGGGAUAUGUAGGCUGGGAUCUAUGUAGAAAACUCGACUACAUUCUAACCUCCCCCCUAAUCCCUUUAUUCCCCAGUUUCUUGGUUUUAUCAAAAACUCUAAAACCGAGAUAGUUGAUGAAUUUUCUUAAAAAUCGUGCUUAAAAUCAAGCUUUAUGAAAUGCAAGUGGCCGAAAUUCUCAUGAAAACUGAGAUAUGUAGGAAACCUGAUACCAAGGAUCGGCCAUAACUACAUGAAACUCGUGAGGAAAACCAACCUCUCUUAGAUACGAAUUUGUGGUCGGACAAAAAUUGUAAACGUCAACCUCCAUUUUCCCAGAAAUACUUACAUCCAUCCUGCCCAAAGGGAGGGGGUAGUUGUUCACACCUAAGUUUUUGCCCUCCACAACUAAAUUUAAUCCUAAGUUUCUUCACUUCUUAAUAAAAUCGGAAUAUUUAUUUCAUUCGAAUAAAAUUUUUUCAAAAAUAUAUUUGUACGUAAUUUUGUCAUCUUAAGUAGCAAUUAUAUAUUAUCAUGUUCAAAUAUACGAUAUUAUAUGAUUUGAUUACUUAGAUAUUUACUGUAUGAAAUAUCAGAUUUCAAUUAAGGAUCAUUUUGAAAAAUAAUAAUUAAAAUCUUGAUCUAAAUAUAAUUUAUUCUCGAAAAUAAUUUAUUUGAAUAAAUAUGCGUUUGAUUUUAUUAAAUCAAGAAGCUCAGGAUUAAACAAGGUGUUAAUUCGUAUCAAAUUUCGAUUUAAUUUAGUCAAUUUAUUAAAUUAGACCUUAAUUGAAAUUAAUUUGACCAUAAUUGCAAUGUAAUUGGUCAAUUUAAUUCGAAUUAGGCUAAAAUUUAAAAAUGAUUGUCUAAAUUUUCAUCCAUUGGCUAUUUGAUAAAUAGCCUAAAUCGCUACAUUACUAAAAUCCUAAUUCUACCCAACAAUAUUCAGAUCACUCCAGCCCAGUUCCUUUUCAUAUUAACAGGCCCAAAAUCCCUGACCCGACCCACCAUCAACAAAUCCCCCUUUCUCCCUUAAUCAGCAAAAACUAGUCCCCAACGCAAAAAACAAUCAAAAAUGGCGUACAUUCAAGGAACUCGAACAACAAUGACAAGCUCGAUUCAGUGAAUCCACCAUGGAACCAACCCGAUAUAGAUCCUAAACCGUUCUUUUUCCCUCUUUCACGCGUCUCACGCGGCAAUAGCAUAAGGAAAACCCUAGAAUCUUUUAGAAAAUGGGAUAGGUGUCUUAUCCAAGGGUUCAAUCCUACAAAUUUCGGGAUAACUCGUACGAUCUCGUACAAUAUUUGGCUUAUUUCCAUAGGUUUUGGGGAAGAAUUCAUUUUCCCCUAAAUCUCAUUGCUCCACCAAUUUCAAUAUUAGUACAAUCGAUUGAUGAAACCCUAAGCGGUGAGAGGAUUUUUGAAUUUUAAAAUUCAAAAACAUACUUCUUUUAAAUCACCAAAAGACCCCUAAUUUGGGGGAUAUAAAAAGACCCCUUAGGUCACUAUUCCGGGAGAUUUUUUUCUCUUCUUUGAGGUAUUUUUGGUUUCUUCUCUCCUCUGCUUUCCCUUAGGAGUUGGAAAUUUUAGAAGCCUCUGUUUUUUUUUGUUUAGAGAAAUUUUAGGUUCGAAAAAAGGGGGAAAUUCUUAGGUUGGAAAAUUUUAGGUCAUGGUUGAGGGUUACUUUCCCUUCGAAGGUGGAAAAAUUAAGUGAGAAAGCUAGGUUGGAACAUUUUUCUGAGAAAAAUUUCUGAUUCGGAAAAACUGAGAUAGAGGGAAGAAAGAAAAAGAAAAGAUUUCUGAAGAAAGAUUAAAUCUUUGAAGUUUUCCGGUGGUCGUGAUCCCCGUAUUAGUUCAUCGUCUUGUUUUGUUGCUCCCAAAAAGGUAACGUCCUGUUUUCGCUUAAUUUCAAUUAUAUUUCUACUCCCUCUCAUUAUUCUGUAGUAAUGACUGUUAUUUCAAAGAUUUUGUAAGUUGGGUUGUCUGCUGUAGAGGUCUUUAAGACCACAGGUUUCCAUUUUAGUGAAAGCCAAUGUUUCUUUGUAGUGCUACGUUGGGAUGAAAUCCUGUUGUGAUUGUAUGACAUGUGGUAUUCAUCAUCUUUAGAUCUCGAUUUCGUGAUUGGUCAUCUACUCUCAGCAUUACUGAUUAAUUUCCGUCCUAAUGUAUCAUAGUGUGGACUGUCUACGAUUUGAAGAAGUUAAAGAUCAUAUUUUGGUUCUUGCUUAACAAUUUUCAUCCUCUUGUUGCCUUGAUUCGUAGUUGUUGUUUUAUAAUCUUAAGUGCUGAGUGUAGCUCGUUCGGAGGCUAUGAAAGCCCCAAGUUUCAUAUGAUAAACUGUGAGCUUUCAAACUUUGUUGUUGUUUCGGCAUUUAGGACAUAUUGAUUUUUAGAGUUUCUGAUUUCAUUAUAAUUCAUCUGGGAGCAUUUGCUUUUGUUCAUACAAUGUUUUUGAUGAAAAUUUUCUUCGAAUUCGACUUUCGUGAAUGCCGUAUUGUUUAAAUGAUGACCUUCUAGCCUAAGGAUUGUUGCUAAUAUCCUGUUCUAAAAAAAAAGAAGGGUUACUGAGUCACUUUAUUCCCGUAAAUGAUUGAGUAAAAGUGCAGUGUUUCUUUUCUGUUAUAAAGGAUGAUAGGGUCAAAGGGUUUUGCAUUCUCUUUGGGAGUUGCUAUUAGGAGCCUCCUUUGUGACCUUUAUUUAUAAAGGUGAAAUAAAAAUAAGUCGAUACUAUUUAUAGUAUAUUCUCUCAUUUCACCUGCUUUGAUAUGAGUUUAACACAUACACUUAGAGUUAUUAGUUGAAAUUGUUUCAAAAAAAAAAAAAUUAGCUUUUCUUGCAUCGUUACUAACUCGUAUGAGCUGUUAUAUCUUCUUUAUGAAACUUUUAGGAUCCUGUUUGUUUGUCUAUUAAAUACAUCUCUUCCCACAUCAUCUUAUUGAUGUUGGGCAAAAAAAAUGUUUUUAGUUGCAUUGCUUCUCCCCUAUUUCCUAUUUACUUCAGUACCUAAGGUUAAGAGUUUUGGAUACGUUUGAAUAUCGAAUAGUUUCCACAUUUUAUUUAAAGCCAUCCUUUCUUUUUCGUAUUAUCGUUUGCUAAAAAAUUUUUGAUAGGAUAAAAGUUGUUUGCGUGCUGUAUGUAUGGUGACAUGCCUAAUAAUGUGCUUACUCUGUGGGAACAUGUUGUUAUUUCUUCUCUCAAAGAUAGGUCUAGUAAAUUUGGGAGAAAUUCUAUUUUAGUUGCUUCCUGAUUCUUCCCAACUCUUUGUUGUUAUCUUGAGUUUUAGUAAUAGCCAUCUAUACCUAAAAGGGCUAGAGAACAUUAAUCACCAAAUGAAAAUAUAUAUAUAUAUAUAAUAAUAAUAAUGAUUAACUCCUACGCACAUUAAAUUGGUCUGAUUGCUAUUUUCCAUCACAAUGCAUGUGUGAAGUUGAUUCAUUUCUCUUGAAAUUCUAUACUUUGAACCAUUGUGGGUUCCUUUUCAUCGAUUGAUCCAUCAUACUACUUAUUUGUGUGGCGUUUGGUAUUCUGGAUGCGUUUUGAUUUCCUUUAUCUUUUUCCUUGCAAGUUAAUUCGUUUUGGAGUACGAAUGGAUUCUUUCCCAUUGCAUCUCUUAAUGGGCCAUUGAGGCCCUCCAUGCCUAUCAAUUCAAGCACCGAAAGAAAUCCUAAAAUGAAUUGUAUGGCGUACGGAUACGAGAAGUCGAAAGAAGAGAGAAAAUGGGUUAAAUCCCCAUCUUUAAAGUGGCGAAGAGACUCAAAAUUCUCAUUUAUUUACUUAUCGAUUUUAUUCAUUUUAUUCAUUUAUUUAUUCAUUUGGGCCACGAAGCCAAAGUUUUACUUAAUGCAGGUGGAGCGAUACUCGAGCCAACGACUAGAAAACUAGACUAGGAUAGGUGAAAUAGGUCGAAAGCCCAAUUAGACUAGGACAAGUCUUAUUGAUUUGGGCCCAGUGGCCUAAAUCCCUUACUUUCUCCCCUUCCCCUUUUUCUUUACGUUUAUUUACCUUAUGUGUUUUGGUGAACCUAGUUAAAUCCUUAGUCAAGUCGCUAAAAAGCUGGUUCUGCAUAAACACCAAAAUCCUUUUCCAAAAUUGCCUUCUUUUCAAAACUAAACCUUUUUCCAAAGUUAGCCAAAGAUGAUUUCCAAACAGUCCGGAUAACUGCAAGUUAGCGGAUGUUUUAGGUGCCUAACACCUUCCUAAAACGUUAAUAAGAACUGCUUACUCAGAAUCUAUUAACUUAAACGAUUUUCCUCUUUUGGAUUGUUUGAAGUAACUUUAUAAAGUUUUCUUAAUUCCUUUUCAAAAUUAAGUGGCGACUCUCUUUCAAAAAUCAAAAUUUCUACAAAACAUGCUUCAGCAUAGUUCUCUGCCUCAAAUCAUCAACAUUCGGAAUACACAGUAUAGCAUGCAAUCUCAACACACCAUCUCCCCCUUGGUAGAAAACCUCUACCUUCUGGUCCUUAACUGACUCAUUCAGUCUGACCAAACUAGGAUCCCUGUCCUGCUUCUCCUUUACCUCCAAGACCAAAGAGGACUCAGAACUACUCUGAAUUAACAUACUCCCUUUAGCAGAAUCAAGUAAUCUAACACCCAACUUAGCCAAACGAUGCACAUCAUGAGCCAAUUCUUUCUUAUCAUUCUCUACAUGAGCUAUACUAUCCAUAACAACCUGCUAAGAGCAUCUGUCACAACAUUGGCCUUGCCCGAGUGAUCCAUCACACUCAUAUCGUAGUCUUUUAGAAACUCUAACCAUCUUCUUUGUCUAAGGUUCAACUCCCUCUGAGUAAACACAUACUGCAGGUUUUUAUAAUCAGUAAACACAUCAACAUGAACACCAUAAAAAUAAUGUCUCCAGAUUUUAAAAGUAAAAACUACAGUUACUAAUUCAAGAUCAUGGGUUGGGUAAUUCUUCUCAUGAGGCUUCAACUGUCUAGAGGAAUAAUCUAUAACUUUACCUCUCUACAUUAACACACAACCCAGACCAACUCUAGAAGCAUACAUAUACCACAAGACCAUCAGUACCAUCAGGUAAAGCUAACACUGGGGCUGAAGUGAGUCAAGUCUUCAACUCUUUACAACUCUUCUCACAGACAUCUGUCCACUGGAACUAACUUUAUUAUGGGUCAAUCGGGUCAUGGGGGACGUGAUAGAGGAGAAGCCCUCAAUAAAACGACGGUAGUAACCAGCUAGACCCAAUAAACUCCUAAUAUCAGACGGGGAGGUAAGUCUAGGCCAAUUCUUCACAUCUUCUGUCUUUUGAGGAUCAAAUCUAAUACCUUCGAAAGAAAUAAUGUGACUUAGAAAACAAACUGACCUUAACCAAAAUUCACACUUUAUAAAAGUUAGUGAAUAAUUUAUGAUCUCUAAGGGUUUCCAACACGAUUCAAAGAUGAUGCACAUUGUCAUCCCCACUUUGAGAAUAUACAAGAAUAUCAUCUAUGAACACAAUAACAAACAAAUACAGAUACCGCUUGAAGACUCGGUUCAUAAGAUCCAUGAAAGCCGCUGGAGCAUUGGUUAACCCAAAGGACAUGACAAGAAAAUCAAAAUGACCAUAGCGGGUUCGGAAAGUUGUGUUUGGAAUAUCACACUCUCUCACUUUAAGCUAAUGAUAGCCGGAUCUAAGGUCUAUUUUUGAGAAAUAACUUGAACCCUGUAGCUGAUCAAAUAAAUCAUCGAUUCUAGGAAGAGAGUAAUUGUUCUUAAUAGUCACCUUGUUGAGUUGACGAUAGUCAAUGCACAUACGAAAUGUACUAUUUUUAUUCCACACAAAUAGAACAGGUGCACCCCAUGGGAAAACACUGGGUCUGUUAAGCCUUUUUAUAAUAGAUCUUUGAGUUGCUCCUUCAACUCUUUAAGUUCUUUGGGAGCCAUACGGUAUGGAGGGAUGGAAAUAGGCUGAGUGCCAGGAAGGAGAUCAAUCCUGAAUUCUAUUUCUUUAUCAGGUGGGACCCCUGGAAGGUCUUCUAGGAAAACAUCAGGAAACUCUUUAACAAUGCUAACUGAUUGAAUAGUCGGAGUCUCAGACUUGAGGUCUUUAACUCGAACUAGAUGAUCGAUGCAACCCUUGAAAAUCAACUUCCUACUUUGAGGUAGGAUAUGAAAUGGCUCUUCGGAGUUACAGAACUCCCGAACUACUCAAACAUGGGUUCGUUAGGAAACUGAAACUUGACCACUCGGGUAUGACAAUCUAUAGAUGCAUAGCAUGAGUGAAACCAAUCUAUACCCAGAAUAAUGUCAACAUCAACCAUAUCUAGCUCAAUCAAAUCAGCACAUAUGACCCGAUGAAGGACAGUAACAGGACACUUCUUAUACACUCGCUUAGGAAUAACAAACUCUCCUAUCUGGGUAGAAACUAGAAUAGGAUCAGGAAUCCGUUCAGGGUCCAUCUCAAAAUUUAUAGCAACCAGAGGUGUCACAUAAGAGAAACUCGAACUGGGGUCCAUCAAUACAUACACAUCAAAAUAAAAGACAUGGAGCAUGCCCGUUACAACUUCUGGAGAAUCCUCUUACUCCUGGAAAGGUGGUAUAGCAUAGAAGCAAUUUUGGCGUGAACUACCAACAGUACUAGAAGAGGCACCCUGAAGAGAAACUGGGCGGACUACGAGAGCGGGGGCACUAGUAGCCUAACUCUGGGGACGAGCAUCUUGACUCCCCUGUCUAGCAUAUGGAUAAUCUCUAAGUUGGUGGCCCAACAUGCCACAACCAAAGCAACCUUUCUGAUCAACAAAAUACACACCAAAAUGAUCUCUACCACACUUGGCAUAUGAAGGAGGAUGAGGUCUGUGACUUACACUUUCCUGAUACCUGGAUGGGAUAGGCCUGUUCCCCUACUCCUACCUGCUUCUAGGUAUGAGAGCACUAACUGAGGAAGGAGCGGGCAUAAAUGGACAUCUCUGGAAUUAAGGGCGGCCCCCUCCAUAGAAUCUGGACUGACCGAAUCCCUGUUUCUCUGAUCUAGCUCUUUAAUUCCCUCUUACUCUCUCCCUCUCUUUCACCUUAUCAGCAUCAAUCUGUUGGGCAUGUAUCAUCAACCGAGAAAGGUCCAUCUUUUUAUUAAGCAUAGAAGAUUUACCCUCUUUCACAACGUAACUCGAAACACCGGUCACAAACUUACUCAUUAUGGUACUGGAGUCAGCCAUCAUACUAGGUGCAUAUUUGGACAAAUGAUUAAAUCUAAGGCAAUACUCUUUAACAAUCAUAGAGCAUUUUCUCAAAUUCAUGAAUUCCUCUAUCAUUGCUUCCCUCAUCUCAAGAGGAAAGAAUCUGUCGAAGAACGCAUCCUGGAAUAACUGCCAAGUCAUGGGAGCAACAUCCUCCCCUCUACUUUCCCUCUACACAUCCACCCAAUCUUAUGCAACAUCUUUCAUUCAAUAGGCAGCCAAUUCAACACUCUCCUCCUCAGUCACGUGCAUAAUAUGGGUGAUCUUUCUCACUUCAUCCAAGUACAUCUGUGGGUCUUCACCUACCUUCAACCCAUAGAUCUCAGGUGGAUUCAUCCACAUAAAGUAUCUAACCUGAGCUGUAGAAGAAUUAUUCUCUUGCGGAGGCGGAACAGUAGACUGGUUGUUAGCUUAAAUAUUGGCAGUAAUUGCCUAGGAUAGCACCUGAAAAGCUGCCUGGAAAUCUGUAUGUGACACAUGCUCGUUCAGGGGAUCAACAGGUUGAGGUUGCUCGUUUUUUCUACGAGCUCGAUGAGGAGGCAUUUUCUAUCAUAAGAAAGCAUGAAUUAAUAGCAGAGAGAAACAGUCGUAGGUAUGAUAGACUUUUGAAAUAAAAAAAUGACAUUUCCUAUAAUGUCCCGUAGCCUUUUGCUCAUAGAUGUGGCGCGCUACACACCGAUGUUCAAGACUCUACGUAACACGGCUUUCUAGACUCCCUAGGACUCUUCAAACUUUAAGCUCUGAUACCAAGCUUGUAACGCCCGAAGAUCCCAUCCCGAGAUGUCACACGGUGCUUAACGCCACAUGCGGCCUCAAGCUAACCCUCUAAACCUGUCAUAAAUUCUAGAACUCACUUUGACAAUAGUCAUGCUAAUAUAAGAGAGAAUGACAUAUCAUAAACAUACUGGAAUAAGGUACGAAACUAUCUUGUACAAUCCAAAAUACUAAAAUUCUGUACAUACCAAGCCUAACGAAGCCUCUAUACAUCAAAAUCAAGGAGAUAUUGGGACAAACCCCCAACUGACUCAAAUAGUACUGAAAGCCAUAACAACAAAAUGGUAUGACAAAAUUAUAAACACAGUCCUCGAACCAUGAGGACUUACCACUAAGCAGACGAAAAGAGACACCCGAAUAUCGCUAAUGCAGCUGAGUAGCUAAACCUACAUUACGAAAAAAUGUAGCCCAUAGGAAAAUAUAUGGGUCAGAACUUUGGAAUGUACUGAGUAUGUGGGGGUGCAUGGAACAAUGUAAAUAUCGUCAUCAAUUUCAUGAAAAUAUUCAUAUGUACAAUGAUGGCUCACUUGGCUUGAGUUAGAUUGAAACAUACUUUUCAUGAUCUCAUCAUAUAUAAAUCAUAUGAUAAAAACCUCACAAAUCAUCAUAAACAACUCAACUUUUCAACUCAAGACUCAGAGUGACCUGUAAUUCAAGAAACUCGACUCUUAUGAACAUAGGAGGUUCUUAUAACCGACAUAAACCAUGUGAGCUACAUGGAGUCCAACAUUUUUCCCUCCUAAGGAGAGAAACCCACAUAAGUGGGAGUGUCCUACUCUUGCCAGGGAGUACAACUUAAAUUUAGUGAUCAAAAUCUCAUAUUCGGCCACCGGCCCACAAUUAUCAAUAUCAAUCCUAUGGUGGCACGUAGUUUUGGAGAAAAUACCAUAUUUUCCGCUCAGUGCUAAAUAUUACUCCCAGAGACAAGCUCAGAACGCGUUAGAAAAUCUACCACAAACAUCUCAAGGGUCUAUCAUGAAGACCAAAUCAAAUCUCUUUAUCAUUUACCAAAUCAUAAUCAAUAUGUGGAUUCCUAACUCGACUCAAAUUAAAUCAAUCUUUCUCAAUAUCAAAAUGCAUCAAUUCAUUAAGUCAUGGCAACAUCAAUAACUUUGAGGAAAUAUCAAGAUUCAUUGUAACAACUCAAUUCUCAUGAAUCAAUAUACUCAAUAAUCCAAUUGGUCAAAAGGAAGCUUAAGGCUUGACACAUAUCUUGAAAGCACUUGAAAUACCUACUCAUAAUAGAAAAGUGAAAUUAGGUUUUGGAUGAGGAUUCUCAUAUAUAUAGAGGCCUCCAAAAAUGGGAAAUGACUAAAAUACCCUUCCAAAAAUCGUCCAUCAAUUGCUGAGAAAAAUAGAUGACGACAUCCCUGAUAAGUUGUUAGGCCGACACUAUUUGUCAUCACAAAAAGGGUAGAUUUUAUGACUUUCUGCAUUAAGGUGACGACAUUUUGUAACGGGCUAUCAGGUUUGUGACAAGUCGUCACUAAAGGUCGUCAUGGAUUUUCCAGGCUGACACGCUAGAGUAAAAUAAGCAUAACUCUUUGCUCUGAUAUCAGAUUUUGACGAAAUGCGUAUAGUUUGAAAGAAAAUUCAAUUAUUUAUCUUUUGGUAGGUCAUGAUAUAAAUAAUUCAUAGUACAACGGGAGAUAGCCUCAUUUAAAUUUGACUAUGCCAAAAUCCUUCUCAAGAAUUCUAUCGGUAAAGAAUGUUUUGAUUCGCCCAAGCGUUAGGACACCUUUAAAGGCUUAAUACACAUCACCCUUGACCAGAAAACAACCAAAAAACUAUAAUUUAUUUCUCAUAGGCUUGAUUCAUGUCGGCACUAUUGGUUAGAAUCUCGGGGUAUUACAUUAUUACUUUUAAUUAUCUUUGCUAUUUACCUUUCUGCAAAUAUAAUGAAAAUUUAUAUUAUAACGUUAUAAUUGAAUUAAAAAAAAUAUUUGAGAUCAAUCACAUAUUUUUGAUAUUAAAUGAUGUAUUAUUAUUAUUAUUAUUAUUAUUAGUAGUAGUAGUAGUAGUAAAUAUGUAUGUUCUACUUUUACUACUAAUAUUAUAAGUUAUCUUUUAAUUAUUAUUAUAAUUUAUUUAAUAUUUUAAUAUAUUUGAAAUAUAUAAAUUUAUGAUAUAAUUGGAGAUGUCUUAGGUCAUUACAACUAUGAUUUUUUUAAUUUUAAACUAAUGAAUUAUUUUUAAAAUUUUUUCAAAGCCUACUAUUUUCAAGUUCAUAUAUUUCUGUUAACAUAGUGAAUUACUUAUGUAGGACUUAAUUACCUGUAUAGCUCACUGCUAAACUAACUACUAAAAAAUACGCUACUACCUACAUAAAUAAGAUAUAGAUAAUCCCUAAAUUAAAAAAAACUGCAUAACUCUAUUUGAGGCCCUUUCAUUAUUUACUUUUGGCUUCUUAGAUUUAAGUGGGUAAACAUAUGAAAAGAAAAAAGAAAAGACUCUCACAACUAGUUCCCCCAGAAGCACCUCUUUAGAAGAAGGGUGAUGUUGAAGAAACUCAUUUUCAGAUUCAAGCAGUCUUUUGUUUUGUUUCUCCUCAGAAACAAAAGCAUGAGCUGGGGCAACCAUUUUCUUUUCUCACAGGAGAUGAAGAACAAGAAAAACACUGCAAUUUAAAACCAGGCUUUAAAUUUCAAAACAAAAUAAGAAAUUAUGAUAGCAAAAGGGGAAAACAAAGUGCAUAAAGACCUCACCAAUUGUAGGAUACAAAGGAUGAGAGAGAGAGAGGAAAGAGGGUUAUAUUAAAAAUGGAACGAAUACAGUGGAGGCAGAGCACAUCUAUCAAAUAUUCUUUAAAAACACACUAGCUACAUCACCGAUGUCUCAAAAUCAAGGCAACUUUUUAUCCUGUUCAAAAAAAAUUUUCAAAGUGUGUGAGUAGGACUGAGGUUGUCUUAACUGCAUAAUUGAUUUGCCCUCUUAAAAUCUUCAUUUUUAUAUUUCUUUUAAUUGAACACAAUUUUAAGAGGCCAAACUAAUUUACGCAGUUAAGACAACCUCAAUCCUACUCUCACAUUUUGAAUUUUUUUCUGAAUAGGAAAAAAAGUUGCCUUGAUUUUGAAACAUAGGUGAUGUAGCUGGUGUGUUUUUAAAGAAAUUUGAUAGAUGUGCUCUGCCUCUGCUGUAUUCGUUCCAUUUUUCAUAUAACCCUCCUUUCUUUCUCUCUCGUCCUUUGUAUCCUAGUACUGGUGAGGUCUAUUUGCACUUUGUUUAUUCCUUUUUGCUAUCAUGAUUUCUUAUUUUGUUUAUGAGAUUUAAAGCCUUAUUUUAAAAUUGCAGUGUUCUUCUUGUUCUUCAUCUGCUGUAAAAAAAAGAAAAUGGCUGCCCCGGCUCAUGCUUUCGUUUUUUAGGAGGAACAAAAUAAAAGAUUGUUCGAAUCUGAAAAUUAGUUGCUUCAAUAGCACCCUUCGUCUAAAAAGGGGCUUCUAGGGUAACUAGAUGUGAGAGCCUUUUCUUUUCUCUUUCCAUCUGUUUACCCACUUAAACCUAAGAAGCCAAAAGUAAAUAACAAAGGGGCCUCAUUUAGAGUUAUGCAAGUUUUUGUACUGUAGGAAUUAUCGAAGUGGAAAUCUAUAUAUUAUUUAUGCAUGUAUUAACGUAUUUCUUGGUAGUUGAUUUAGCAUUGAGUUAUGCAGGUAAUUAAGUCCUACAUAGUUAAUAUUGAAAUAUUAGUAGUUGGUUUAGCCUACGUUUACUCCUACUAACAUAGAAUAACCCUCGAGACCCCAAAGAAGGCCCAUAAAAAUCCAUCUACCAAAUAGAUGGCUCUGUAGCCUUUCUCAACUGGUUUGAUGGCCCACUUUUAGGGCCCAAAUAUGGAUGAACAUAGUUAUGCUACUCAAGAAAAUUAUAGUAUUAGUACUGGGACUUUGAAUUAAAAGGAACAAAUAAGUUGUCUAAUUAAGUGAGAAUACUUCAUGUUUUUAAAAUUACGUUGGAGAGACAAAAAAAUUUUGAUUUUUUUUUAAGUUUUUUCGUUCCAACAACUUCUCCCAGUUGUCGAACAACUUUGAUAGUUGUUCGAAAACUUCUAGUAGUUGUUCAACAACUAUCAAAGUUGUUCACAACUGCGCAAAGUUGUUCAAUAACUAGGCGAAGUUGUUCGGAAACUGGGAGAAGUUGUUCCACAACUGUGUGAAAUUGUUGAGACAACUAAUGUAGUUGUCGAACAACUGUCCCAUUUGUUCAAAUGACUUAAUUUUUUUGAAAGGGACAAGUUGCGGGACCCACUUGUCCCCUUUUCUUAAUUGGUAACUUGGGAGGUCUAUUAAUUCAUUUUUCUCACUUAAGUAUUUAAGUUGUAUAUAUCAUGAAGUAGUUAGCUUAUAUUUGUGUUGUAAAUUGUAAUAUUAAGUGUAGAGAUAGUCCUAUAUACGUUUAAUAUGUCAAAGAGAGCAACUCGCAAACAUUGUGCAAUUCAAUUUGUCGCAAGAAGCACUUAAUCAUCAUGCAAAUACUUAUUGGUUCCCAAUAUUUACCCCUAAUCAAUGAUUUUAAUACUAAUGAAUUAAUAAUAUAAGAUCAUUCAAUCAUGAUAACAAAAAUAAUUUAUAAAAGAUAUUAUCUUGUAAUAGUGGGUAUAAGGAGAGAUAGAUGUAGGCUGAGGAGGUCUUUGUAAAGGUGAUUAGAUUAGGUAUCUGUAGCUUUUCGAGGAUAUGAUCUAGAUAUAAAAAUACGGAGAUCAAGGAUGUGGUUAGUGGGUGGCUGAGCGUUGUCUAAUUUCCCUAUUAAGUAUUAUUUUUGUUACUAAAUUCAUACUAUCUUAUUCUUCUAUAUUAGAAUAAUUUGUUUGUUUUUAGUUCAGUUAUCAUAUUAAUUGUUUGUUGUUGCUACCAUUUUCAGAUUUACUAUUUUAUUUGUUUUACAUGCCUAACUUUUUUUUAUAUAUUUUACUUGAGUCGAGAGUCAAGAGUCAACCGAGAACAACCUCUCUAUCUUCACAAGGCAGAAGUACAUGUCUAUACUACCUCUCCAAAAUCCACGUGUAAUUUUAUGUAUGUCAUUAUUGUAUAUAUCUUGAAUUGAUUUAUCAAAUGUAAAUACCCGUUGUUGAGGUAUACUUAUACCCAUGGGUGGAGGGAUGAUCUUAGAAAAAGGGUGAUUUGAUGCACAUCUUUUAGCAAAAGAUUAUAUAGUGUAUAGAAGCUUAAUAUUAGCUAUUAUACGUCUAUAUUAAAUUUUGUACCUCCGUAACACACUAAAAAGAAAAUGUGCACACUCCUCGUCAAAUUUCUGACAACGACACUGCGACUGCCUCAACUGUGUACGUGUAAAGAUGACGCCAUAUAGCAUUUGUCAUCUGCAUGACGCCCAAACUCUUUUAUCAGUGGAGCUACCCAACCUGUCACCUCAUUUUCUGCUUUUAUAAUUGCAUAUCCUUCCAAAUUUCAUACACCAUCCAUUUCAUUUUAAUUAAAUUAAAAAUAACUAUUUUAAUUUAUUUGUGUAAUUUACGAUAUAUUAAAUAUAUUUUAUUAAAAGAAUUUAUAAUUAUUAAAGUUCUUAAUCACAUAAUUGGAUAAUUUUUUUUUUAAAAUUAUUUGUAUGGAAGAAAGUAUUACAUGAGAAUUAGAAUAUAACAAGAGACCACAAGUAAUUUAAUAUUUUAUAAAAUAACAUGAUAUAACAACAACAAUAACAACAUACGCAGUGGAUUCCCACAUAGAGGGGAUUGAGGAGGGUAGAGUGUACGCAGAUCAUACACUACCUAAGAUGAAGUAGAGAGUCUUUUUCCGACAGACCCUCGGCUUAGGAACGAUAGCUGUAUAACAAACACAAAACAUAAAUGCAUAAAAACAUGUACAAUCUGCAAAAUAAACUAACGUCACUAGCCAUAACAUAAUACUACAGUCACAAGAUAAUACUAAAACAACCUAUCCGAAAUCAUAGACAUCACUCAACAACACGAACAAGAAACUUCAAACACAAAUAAAGAAUGCUCCCGUAUUGUUACUGACCCACUCUCAACCCCUAAUCCUCUACCCUAAUCAGCAUUCUCCACACCUUCCUAAUCCCAUCCCUCCAAUAUUUGUUUGGUCUACCUCUACCCUGCCUAAAAUCAUCCAUAGCCAGUGUCUCACACCUCCGCACUAGAGCAUCAAAGCCCCUCUUCAUCACAUCCUCGUACCAGCAUAAUCUUACUCCUCGUAUCUUAUCCUCCACCGAGGCCACUCCUACCUCUCCCGAAUAAUCUCAUUUUUAACCUUAUCUUUCCUAGUAUGGACACACAUCCAUCACAAUAUUAUCAUAUCUGCCACCUUCAACUUUUGGAUGUGGGACUUCUUAACUAGCCAAUACUCUUUAUACAACAUAGUCGGCCGGACUGCCACUCUGUAGAACUUUCCUUUAAGCUUCGAGGGCAUCUUCUUAUCAAAUAAAACUCCUAAAGCGGGCCUUCAUUUAAACCACCUAUCCCCAAUAUGAUGUGUGACAUCCUCGUCAAUCUUACCAUUGCCUUAAUCAUAGACCCAGAUACUUGAAACUCUCCUUCUUUUGAAUGGCCUGAGAGUCUAGUUUCACAACCAUGUCAACCUCGUACGACACAUCACUAAACUUACACUUCAAGUACUCCAUCUUUUUCCUGCUUAACCGAAAUCCUUUAGACUCAAGGGUCUGUCUCAAAAUCUCUAACUUAUCAUUAACUCCUCCCUGAGUCUUGUUAAGCAGUACCACAUUAUCAGCAAAUAACAUAAACCAAGGCACCUCUUCUUGAAUAUGUCUUGUCAAAACAUUCAUCACCAAGGCAAAUAAAAAAGGGCUAAGAGUCAAACCCUGAUGCAACCCUACCAAAAUAAAAAAAUGCUCUGAAUCUCCACCUACCGUCCUCACCCAAUUCUUUGCCCCAUCAUACAUGUCCUAAAUCGACCUAGUGUAUGCCACAGGCACCCCUCUAGCCUCCAAACACCUCCAGAGAAUCUCCUUGGGAACUCUAUCAUAAGCCUUCUCAAGAUCAAUAAACACCAUGUGAAAGUCCUUCUUCAUCUCCCAAAAUUGUUCCACUAAUCUCCUCACAAGGUGAAUGGCCUCAGUAGUCGAGCGACCUAGCAUGAAAUUGAACUGAUUCUCAGCAAUAAUCACACUCCUUCUCAGCCUCAACUCUACCACCCUUUCCUAAAUUUUCAUAGUAUGACUUAACAACUUAAUACCUCUAUAGUUGUGGCAACUUUGGAUGUCUCCCUUGUUCUUGUAUAAUGGAAUCAUUGCACUCUACCUCCAUGCUUCAGACAUCCUUCCCGCCCUAAAAAUAAUGUUAAUAACCUUGUAAGACACUCCAAAGCUGGCCCGCCAGUGUGUUCUAAAAAUCUAUUGGAAUCUCGUCUGGCCUCAUUGCCCUACCACGGCGCAUCCUGCGAAUAGCCCUCUUGACAUCCUUAACCUCAAUAUCCCUAUAAUAACUAUAGUCGUGACACUCUUCAAAUUUAUCCAAGUCUCUAAACACAAAACCUUUGUCCCCCUUAUCGUUCAAAAGUUUAUGAAAAUAGGACUGCCACCUUUUUUUAACGAAGGCAUCCUCAACCAACAUAGUACCAUCCUCAACCUUGAUGAACAUAUCCCUACCUUUCUCCUUUAAUGCCACAUACAAGCUCUCAAAAGAUACCAUUUUAGCCACUGUAACCACUAACUUAGCCUCUCACCUAGCAAUAGCUUAUACUCUUCCUUAUUCGUCCGCCUCUCUUGAUCAUUCUUGCUCACAACCAAUUUAGCAUAAUCUAGGUUAUAAUGAUAAUGCAAUGCUGAUUAAAAAUAGAAAAAUAUUGAUUUUAAUGAAUUUAUGGGUACAAAAUUUCUCAGUUAUAAAUAAAAAUAAAUUUAUUUUAAUAUUUAUUAUUUUAUUUUCACCUAUAAUUUCAUGUGACAAGAAUUGCAAAAUUCAUUGUUUUCAUCUAAUGCAACAAAGUAUUUCAAUCACUUCAAGUAUAUAUAAAAAUAGUCACAACAUUAAUUUAGAACCUUUACAAAAACUAUCUUAAUUGUGAUCUAUAAGGAUAUUAAAUAAUAAUUAAAUUACAUUAACCGAUUAUUCCAUUCGGUCCAUUUUCUUAUCUUGUUAAUUUUUUAAACACCCUUUAAAAUUAUUCUAAUCAUUCUUCUCUAAUUAUUGAUUUAUCUUUUUUCAUGUUUGCUAAGAAAAGUAAUUAAGGCAUUGUACUAUUUAUUAUUGAUUAAGUUAUCCUAUUUAAUACUCCUUCCAUUUCACAAUAAGUGAAUUAUUGGAGUAAUUUUAGUGUUUCAAAAUAAGUGAAUGAUUCACAAUUCAAAGUAGAUGUUGGAAAUUUUUUACAAAUUUACCCUCCAUUAAAUGUGCACUGGGAGUGAUGUAUCAUGUAUAUUUGCUUUUUGAAGAGGGUAAAAAUGAAAAAACAUAAUAAAUUUAUGUCUUUGCUUUUUUCUUUCUUAACAUGUGUGCCGAAAUUCAACAAUUAACUUAUUGUGGAACGGAGGGAGUACUAUAUUUUUUUUAAGAAGUGAACAUCAGUGACUAUAAGGGUGUAGUUGAAAAUUAUUACUAGCUUUAAUUUUAUGUGAAAAGUUAUUUCUAAAUAAGUUUUUUGAGCAAAAAUGAUUAUUAAUUUAAAAUGAAGGAAAUUUUAAUUAAAAGACAACCUGUGCAAUAAAAAAUCAGUUACAAAUACACAAGUGGAAAUGGUCUUAACAAAAAGAAUAAAGACAAAAAUAAAAAAAUUUAGCAAAAGAACAUCAUCAAUCCUUGUGAGGACGACCGAAAAUUGAGAUCCUCCCUUUUAUAUAAUAGUAAAUUGUACAAAUUGCAGUCACAAUGCAAAUAAAAUAUGAAAAAAUAAGAAUUUUAUUGAUAAAUGAUAUGGAUAUAAUUCUGUUACUCCCUUGAUUCUUCUUUCUUUAUUUUUCUCCGUAAUUGAAGGACCAUUAGUAGCGUAUUUCUCGAAUAUAGAAAGAUUUAAAUUUGGUAUGAUGUUUUAGUGUAUUUCUCGAAUGUAAAAAGAUUUGAAUGUGAUAUGAUUUUUUUUUGUAAUUCAAGGGUCGUUAGUAGCGUAUUUCUUGAAUGUAAGAAGAUUUAGAUUUGAUAUGGAUUUUCUUCGUAAUUCGAAGGCCGUUAAUAACAUAUUUCUUGAACAUAGAAAUACUUGAAUUUGAUCUCCAUAAAAGAAGGGUUUAUGGAUCUUCUUGAUAUAUUUGAUUUUCAAAAAGAGAGUGAUAUUCGAUGAGUUUAUGAAAUUAUCAGGAGAUGAUUAAUCUCUUUAUUAAGGGUUUAGAGUAAAGUAGCCACCAAGUUAGGUUCGGCGUAAAGUAACCCCUAAUAACUCUAACAAAAAUUGAAUUCUUAUUAUAGAGUUCACAAAAUUUUGAUGUCUAUAAACGCUUUGAAUUGUCAGACGUUAUGACUACAAAAUCCUUUGCUGAAAUGUCAAAAUUCAAUUAUUUUUCUUCUUUGAGAUGAUGAAUGAAGUACGUGUUAAUUUAGUGGAGUCACUUAGCUCAAGUCAUUCGUGCGGCGUACCAUGAAAUCAGAAAACUACAUCAAGCUAGGAGAAGAGAAAAGCAAUAACAAAAAUACCAUAUUUAGCACAUUUUCAUAGCUCAAACUUGUGACCCCUUGAAAACACAUCAAAAGGAUAUACUUCCUCGGUUGUAUUUUAUACGACAUAUUUUGAUCGGGCACAAAGUUUAAGAAGGAAUGACAAUUGUCCUUUAUUAAAAAAUAUAUUACUACUAUCAUUAAUUAAAUGAGACUAAUAAGGAUAAAAGUAAAAUUGUAUCUUUAAUAGUUACCAAAUAAGGAAAUAUGACAUUCUUUUUGGGACGGACAAAAAGAAAAUGACGACAUAUAAAAUGGGGAAGAGGAAGUAUGUUAAUACUAAAAGGGCAGCUUGAUGUGGCGGUGGAAGUAUGUUAAUACUAAAAGGGCAACUCGGUGUACUAAAGCUUCUUGCUAGAAGGGACUGCGGAGAAGGGUUGGAUGCAAGAAUUUUAUUGUGCGCCACAUUAUCUUGCAUUUCUGACAGAGGCUGUUUCUAUGACUUGAACUCGUGACUUCCUAAUUACAUGACAAUAAUUUUAUUAGUUAUUCUAAACCUCCCCUUCAUAUUUUUUUUUCGAUUUGAUAAAAAUAUUAAAGAUACGCAAAAUAUAAAAGAUACGCAUAUAAUUCUUUUUACAAACCCACUUAUAUGGAGUAAUAAAAACUUAUAAGGUAUCAAAAAUGAUAUAUGCAUGGGAUUUACCUUUUGGUUAAAGUUUUAACAGGUUAAUUUCAUGUAUAAUUGUAGAAUUUUACUCAUUAAUGACAAAAUUAUUGAACUUUACCUCUUUAAUAAAGUAGUAGAUUUAAUGGCAUUAAAAAUCGUUAAUGAGUUUUUAUUAUGUGAUUAUAUAUAUUGAGUAAAAGAAGUGAUAGACUUAUCUCAAACUAAAUCAAUCAAUUAGAAAAAAAAAUUCUAUUCCAAUGGAGAAGUUCCUCCAUGUUCACCUUUUGAUUUCAAUUAUUUUCUCAAUUUUGCUUGUAAUUUUAUGCAAUGAACAUUCUUUUUCAUCCCUUAACACCACUUAUAUUAUGGAAUAUAUCUAUUGAUCAAACGAAGCUUCCCGAUCGUCCGAUGCCAUCCUAUACACUCACCAUUAAGGUGGCAACGCUCACAACAGAAUUUUUUCCAUACCCAGGGUCAAACCUUGGACCUCUGGUUAAGGGUGGAGCAGUCUCAUCCACUGCACCACAACCCAUAUUGGUGCAUAUUGAACUCACUGAAUAAGUUAAAAGUUACUUGCUAAUAGACAGAGGUAGUGAUUUAGUUUGGUGGCCCGUUUUGACCAACUAAAUGGCCCCUCCGACCCCAACAACCCACACUCCCAUUUGGCUCAGCCUGCCUGGGAGCACUUGGUCCAUUUUCUACUUAAAACGUACUCGGUCACUAGGCCUACCCCCAGAACCGUGAGCUAUAUCACACUGGUUUAGCCCAAGAAUAGCCCAUUUGCAUCGUUUCACUUAUUUGACCACCCAAAUAUCCCAGCCAACCCCAACGACCAACACUAUCCAACUUUUAAGCCUGCCUUGGUGCCUCUGGUCGAUUUUCAGACCAAAACACGCUCGAUACCCUAGCCAACCCCUAAAACCGUUAGUUAUAGCACGUCUAUUUGGCCCAAAAAAUAGCAUGUUUUUGAUGUUUUGCCUGUUCGACCACCCAAAUGGCCUCGCCGGCCCAAACGACCCACCUUUUUAUUUAUCAGUCUACUUGGAAACUUUGAUUGAUUUUUGACCUAAAAUAUGCUCGAACCCUGGGUCCACCCCAAACUGUGAGCAAUAACACACCGAUUAUGCUUGAAAAUGACCCAUUCGCGUUGAUAUUCCAAUUGGACCACCCAAACAGCCCCGUUGACCUCUAUGACCCAUACUUCCCCACUCGUCAGCCUACCUGAGAGCCCCCAGUUGAUUUUUUACCCAAAACAUGCCUAGGACCACCCUGAAAUCGUGAGCUAUAGCUCACCAAUUUGGCCCAAAAAUGGCCCAUUUGCGCCGUUUUGCUCGUUUGACCAACCAAACAGUCCCGCCGACCUCAAUCACCCAUAAUUGCCCGCUCCUCGGCCUGCUUGGGAGCCCUCAAUUGAUUUUUGACCCAAAAAACAUUUGGGCUCUAGGACAACCCCCGGAAUUGUGAGCUAUAACACACUGAUUUGGCCCGAAAAUGGCCCGUUCGCAUCAUUUUGCCUGUUUAAUAACCCAAACUACCCAACCGACCCCAACAACCCACACUCUCUGCUUUUCAGCUAACCUAGGAGCUGCGAUCAAUUUUCAGUCAAAAACACGCGUGGGCCUUAGGCACAUCCUCUGAACUGUGAGGUAUAGCACCCCAAUUUUGGCAAAAAAUAGCCCAUUCGCACUGUUUCAUCCGUUUGAUCGCACAAACGGCCCAUCGCCAUCCAACGGCGCACACUCUUUUGCUUAUAAGCCUGCCUAGGAUCCUUUGGUUUAUUUUCAGCCUAAAACACGCCUACGCCCUGUACCCACGCCCAGAAUCGUGAGCUAUAACACACCGAUUUGGCCUAAAAAUGGUCCAUUCAUGCCAUUUCGCCCGUUUGACCACCCAAAUUGCCCCACUGACCCCAACGACCUAUACUCUCUCUCUCCUCAGCUUACGUGGGAGCCUUCGAUCAAUUUUUAGACUAAAACAAACCUGAUCCCUAGGUCCACCCAUGAAACCAUGAGCUAUAGCACAAUGAUUUGGCCUGAAAAUAGCAUGUUUACACCGUAUCGCCCAUUUGACCACCCAACUGGCCUUGGGGAAUUUUUGGACAAAACAUGGUUAGGACUCGGGUGGGACCCUCAGAAUCAUGAGCUACAUCACAUCGAUUUGGCCCAAAAAUGGCCCGUUCAUAUCGUUUCGUCUGUUUGACCCCCUAAACAGCCCUACUGACCCCAACAGCGCACACUCCCUCACUUGUUAGCUUGCCUGGGAGCCCCUGAUCGAUUUUUAUCCCAAACAAGCUCGAUCCCUAAGCACACCCCAGAACCGUGAGCCAUAGCACACCGAUUAGGCCCAAAAAAUGGCCCAUUGGCGCAUUUUGCUUGUUUGAUCACCCAAAUGGCCCUGUCGACCCAAACAACUCUGACUCGCUCGCUCUUCAACUUGCCUGGGUUCCCCUGAUUGAUAUUUGGCCCAAAAUAUACCACCAAACACCGGCCCACUCCCAGAACCGUAAGGUAAAGCAUACCAAUUUACCCCAAAAAUGGCCCGUUUUGCCGAUUCACCCUUUUGACCCCCUAAAUGGCCCCAUCGAUCCCAACCACCCAUACUCCCCUUCUCCUCAGCCUGCCCGAGAGCCCCCGAUCAAUUUUUGACCCAAUCCACACCCGGUCCCUUCACUCACUUCAUAAUCGUAGGCUAUAUCACACUGAUUUUGCUCAGAAAUGGUCCGUUCGCGCCCUUUUUCCUAUUUGACCAACCAAAUAGCCCUACCGACCACCGCCAACCCCAACGACCCAUACACCCCUGUUCUACAGCAUGCCUAGGAGCCUCCAGUCAAUUUUCAGCCUAAAACAUGCCUGGGCGCCAGGCUCAUCUCUGAAAUAGUGUGCUAUAGCACACCAAUUUGACAAGAAAGUGGUUCGUUCGUGCCGUUUCACUUGUUUUACCACUCAAAUGGCCCCGCCGACCCCAACGACCCACACUUCUCCACUCCUCAGCCUGCCUAGGACCCCCGAUUAAUUUUUUACCUAAAACAUGCCCGAGUCCAAGGCCCACUCCUAAAACUAUGAUCUAUAAUACACCAAUUUGGCCUAAAAAUGCUUCAUUGGCGCCAUUCAGCCGGUUUGACCACUCAAAUAGCCCCGUUGAACCCAAUGACCCAUAUUCUCCUGCUCUUCUUCCUACCUGGGAGCCCCCGACCAAUGUUUGACCUAAAAUAGGCUCGAUCCCCAAGCCCAUCCUCAAAAUCGUGAUCUAUAGCUCACCGAUUUAGCUAGAAAAUUACCCGUUCGUGCCUUUUCACCUAUUUGAGCACCCAAACAGCCCUGUCGACCCCAACAGACCACACUCUCUCUUUCUUCCGCCUGUCUAGGAUCCCUCACUUAAUUUUUGAUCUAAAAAAAUUUUGGGCAUUGGUCCCACCCCAAGAAUAGUGAGCUAUAACACACUAAUUUGGCUUGAAAUGGUCUGUUCACAUCGUUUAGCCUGUUUGACAACACAAACAGCCUCGCCGACCCCAACGAACCACUCUCCCCACUUUUCAUCCUGCUUGGGAGCCCUCGAUUGAUUUUCAGUCCAAAACAUUUUUGAGUCCUAAGCCUACCCGCAAAAUCGUGAGCUAUAACACACCAAUUUCGCUCGAAAAUGGUCUAUUUGCAUUCUUUCAUCUCGUUUAACCACCCAAAUGGUCCCACCGACCCGAAAAUUCCACACUCCCUUGCUCUUCAGUCUUCCUGGGAGCCUUUAGUCUAUUUUUAGCCCAAAACACGCUCGACCCUAGGCCUACCACCAAAACCAUGGGUUAUAGGACACCGAUGCACUAGCAUUUCAUUAUGUGUUCGAUCCCGCUCAUAUUUCUUCAGUCUAUAUCUACCCUACCUAAGACCAUCCAUAACCAGUCUUUCACACCUCUGCACUGAAGAAUCAGAGCCCCUCUUCAUCACGUGGCCAUACCAACGUAACCUCAUAUUUCGCAUCUUGUCCUCCACCGAAGCAACGAAUAAUUUCAUUUCUCACCUUAUCUUUCCUAGUAUGUCCACACAUCCAUCGCAAUAUUCUGAUCUCUUCCACCUGCAAUUUUAGAUAUGAGAGUUCUUAACUGGCCAACACACCGUUACAUACAACAUAGCCGGCCGAACUACCACUCUGUAGAACUUACCUUUAAGUUUCGAGGGCACCUUCUAAUCAUAUAGAACUCCCGAAGCAAGCCUUUAUUUCAACCACCCUUCCCCAAUAUGAUGUGUUACAUCCUUGUUAAUCUCAUCAUUGUCCUGAAUCAUAGACUCUAGAUACUUGAAACUCUCCCUCUUAUGAAUGUCCUGAGAGUCCAUCUUCACAACCACUCCAGCCUCCUAGGAUAUAUCACAGAACUUAUACUCCAAGUACUCUGUCUUGGUUCUUAUUAAUCGAAAUUCUUUAGACUCAAGCGUCUAUCUCCAAAUCUCCAACUUAUCAUUAACUUCUCUCCAAGUCUCGUCAUCAUCUGCAAAUAACAUACACCAAGGCACUUUUUUCUUGAAUAUGUUACGUCAAAACAUCCAUCACUAAGGCAAAUAAAAAUGGGCUAAGAGUCUAUCCCUAGUGCAACCCUAUCAAAAUUCGGAAGUGUUCCGAAUCUCCACCUACCAUCCUUAUACGAGUCUAAUCCCCAUCAUCCACAUCCUGAAUCAACCUAGUGUACACCACGGGCCUCCCCCUAGCCUCUAAGAAUCUCCACAAAAUCUCCCUAUAAACUCUGUCAUAUACCUUCUCAAGAUCAAUAAACACCAUGUGCAAGUCAUUUUUCCUCUCCCAAAACUGCUCCACUAAUCUCCUCCCAAGGUGAAUAACCUCAGUGGUCGAGCGCCCUGGCAUGAAACCGAACUGAUUCUUAGAGAUCGUCACGAUCCUUAUCAUCCUCAACUUUACCACCCUUUUCCAAACCUUCAUAGCAUGAAUCAACAACUUAAUACCUCUAUAGUUAUUACAACUCUGGAUGUCUCUCUUGUUCUUAUACACUGGGAUCAUAGUACUCCAGCCCCACGCUUCAGGCAUCUUAGUCGCCGUAAAAAUACUAUUAAAUAACCUUGUCAACCACUCCAAACCUACCCUGCUAGUGCUCUUCCAAAAAUCCACUAGAAUCUCGUCUGUCCCCGUUGCCUUACCCCGCUGCAUCCUGUGAAUAGGUCCCUUGACAUCCCAAACCUUGAUAUGCCUACAAUAACUAUAAUCGCGACACUCCAAAGAUUUGUUCAAUUGUAUUUCAAACACUAAAAGAACUUACUUAUAUUAAUUACGGAAAUUCUAAUUUCAAAUCUUAAAUUUCAUUUAGUCUCAAUUCAAAAAUUAAGUGAAUAAAAUUUAGGGAAAAUUUCAGAAAUAGCAACUUUGUAGCCUUAAUUAUAACUUUUAUAGCAACAGUUUCAGAAUUACGAAACAUAGAAAAUUGUAUUUUUAUUUAAGUAAAAUGUUUCUAUAUAAAUACAUAUACAAAUAUAUAUGUAUUACUCAUAAAUACAUAUGCACAACUGAAAAAUACAUAUUCUUCUAUUACUAUGAAGUGGGUAAAAUAUUGUUACUUUUGCUAUAAGUUGUAAUUUUGAAAAAGUGUUGCUAUUUAUUGUAAUUAUAGUCUUAAGGAUGCUAGUUUCUGUAAUUUUAAUUUAUUUUAAAUUUUUAGAUAUUGUUCUAUUGCUCAUUAUUUUUACAAAGAUCAAUUUUAUGAUUAAUAUCUUUAAUUAUUUUAUUUAUACAUCUUAUUGUAUCUGCUAAGUUAAUUUAAUCAAGAUCUCUCAAAUAACUCUCAAAAUCACCACCCCACCAAAUACUACACCCACCUCCUAGCCUUACCCUACAGCCACCACCCCGCCUCUCUAGUUUUUAUUAUAUUUUACUUUAUCAGAUUUUUUGUAAAAUAUUUUUCUCACAUCACCCAUCUCUUAUCCCCAAGCCACCCUCCACCAACAAAAAAAUAUUUUAUUUUUCUUUAAAAUAAAAUUUUAUAUUGCACCCAACCCUACUCUCCAAUACCCAUUCGACACCCUACCUAAUACACACACAAAAAAAAUUAUUUUUGAUUUUUUUCUAAAAAAGAAUCUUUCCACCCUUCUGUCCUGACUCCCAAGAAAAAUAAUUUUUUUUUAUCUUUUAAGAAUCUCUUUUUCUACUCCACAACUCUAACCCCUACGUACACCACCACCCCGCCUACCCCACCUACCUACCUCACCCAUACCCCAUCUCAACCACCAUAAUAUCUUGUUCUUCCCCUCAUCCAUCACUUUGCCUCAAUGCAAUUUAUAAUUUUGUGUUAAGUAUACACAAAUGCCAUUAGAAAAUAUCUUUUAUUUACUGAUAAAAUAUCAAUUAUCAAUUUAUUUUAGCAUACAUGCAAUUACUAAUGUGAAAUAAUCACAUCAAAUAAAAUUAUCUAUUUUUUAAGCUCAAAAUAAACUAAUAGCUACUAAUUAGUAUUUUUAUUAUCCUAAAUUUUUUGUAAAAAUAUUUACCUGAUUAAGUUCAAGCAUUUUAUAUCCCUCAAAUAAAUUAUGCUUUCUGUUAUCUAUGGAAAAUAAUUUGAGACGUAGGGGAUUAAUUCAUCAUCGAAUGAAAUAAAAUAUAUAAGCAUACACCAUUAAAGAUGACCAUGAAAGCAUAUACGAAGAUUAAGAUUAAACAUUAAGCAAUAUAAGUUCAAAGAAAUCUUUCUGAGAAAAUUAACACCUGAAUUCAUAAAAAGAAAUCGUUAUAAUUAACUUUAACAAACAUGAAAGCAAUAGAAAAAAAUGAUGGCAGAGAUAUAUGAUUACGAUGAUAAAAAAGAGUAGUCAAAAACAUGAAAGCAACAGAAAGAGAUAAUGGACUCUAAUACCAUGAUAAUGAAAUGAACCUUGGACCUAACUCAACGUCAAAAGUUAGCUCAUGAGGUGAGGAGUGCCCAAGAUCAUAUAAGGAGACUAAGGACUCUUUAAUCCAUCGAUAUGGGACUCUCCCCUCCCUCUCCUUUCAUGCCAAGACUGGACAUCUGAAGCGUAGACAAUAUAAGAUGGGGGACUCAACAUUGAAAAUAAUGAAUUGGGUAGGCCUGACUCUGAUACCAUGCUGAAGUGUGUGACCAUCUCAUCGAAAAGUUUAACUACUAGAGAGAGUACACUUUUACUAUUUAAUUAUAUUCUCAACAGUUACUUAAUAUGCUAUUUUUGCAUUGAACAAAUGAACUUUACGUGGCAUUGCAAACUGAAGAAAGACACAAAUUUUUUGUUUAAAAUAGUUCAAGAAAGAAUCUUUUGUCCUUUUGAAACAAUGAAAUAGAGUCACAUUUGUUGGCUUGUUUUCUCCCUACAGUUGAACUAAGAACAUUUUGAGUGGAGGUUUUUUCUAUUAUUAAGGAUGUCCAAUUUUCAAAAAGUACUACUCGUUUCGUUUAAUAAAGAAUGGUAGACCAAACAACAUAUUAAUUUUAUACAUUAUAUUAACUCCUAAGUAGCUACCAAACCUGGAAUUACUUAUGUAGGCUUCCUACAUAACUCGUUGCUAAGCUAGCUACCAAAUGACCCCUUAAUACCUUCUUUCUUUGUUUAUUGAGAAGACAGAGACCAAUGCAAGAAUAAUUCAAUUUAUGUGUAUAAUAUAUUCAGAACCAAGGUGCAGAAUAAAUAACUUACAUAAAUACAAAUUUCCUAAAUGAGUUGACCCAAUGCAAUUAAUAUUUUAAAAUUUAAAUUAAGAUUAUAAAAAUAAUAUAUUUUAAAAAAUGGGCUGGCCCGUGAAGGCCCACAACCCAUAGUGUGACGGGUUGGGCUUGCUAUUUUCUAGUCUGUCAUGUUGAUGGGUCAGCCUGGCCGGGCCCGUCAAACUUUAAAGCCCAUGUGAUCUAGCCCGGAUGAGCUGGUCCGAUCCAUAUUAACAACUCUAUGAGCAGUUAUAUAACGAUAACAAUCCAAUUAGAACUGUUUAGUAUUAUAACUAUCUACUACUAAUAUGUAACUUUUUAUUUUUUUAAUAUUAUUUUAAAUUUAAAGUUAACAAUUUAUUUGUAACGCCCCAAGAUCCCAUCCCGAGAUGUCACACGGUGCUUAAGGCAACACGCGGCCUCAAGCUAACCCUCUAAACCUGUCAUCACUUCUAUAACUCACUUUGACAAUAGUCAUGCUAAUAUAAGAGAUAAUGACAUAUCAUAAACAUACGGGAAUAAAUUGUGAAACUAGCAUGUACAAUCCAAAAUACUGAAUUUUUGUACAUACCAACCCUUUAGCCUGACAAAGCCUCUAUACAUCAAAAUCAAGGAGACAUUGGGACAAAUCCCCAACUGACUCAAGUAGUACUGAAAUCCAUAAUAACAAAACGGUAUCACAAAUUUAUAAACAAGGUCCUCGAACCAUGAGGACUCACCACCGAGCAGAUGAAAAGAGGCACCCAAAUAUCGCUAACGCGACUGAGUACCUGGACAUACAUUAUGAGAAAAUGUAGCCCUUAGGAAAAUAAGUGGGUCAGCACUUUGGAAUGUACUAAGUAUGUGGGGGUGCAUGCAACAAUGUAAAUAUCGUCAUCAAUUUCAUGACAUUAUGCAUAUGUACAAUGAUGGUUCACUUGGCUUGAGUUAGAUUGAAACAUACUUUUCAUAAUCUCAUCGUAAAUAAAUCAUACGAUAAAAACCUCAUAAAUCAUCAUAAAAAACUCAACUCUUCAACUCAAGACUCGGAGUGACUCUGUAAUUUAAGAAACUCGACUCUUACGGACAUGGUAGGUUCUUAUAACCGACAUAAACUAUGUGAGCUACAUGGAGUCUAAUAUUUUCCCUCCUAAGGAGAGAACCUCACAUUGGCGGGAGCGUCAUACUCUUUCCAGGGAGUACAACCUAAAUGUUGUGAUCACAAUCUCAUACUCGGGCUCCGUCCUACAAUUAUCAAUAUCAAUCCUACGAUGGCAUGUAGUUUCGGGGGAAAUACCACAUUUCCUGCUCGGUGCUAAAUACUACUCCCAAACACAAGUUUAGAAUGCAUUAGGAAAUCCACCACAAACAUCACAAGGGUCUAUCAUGAUGACCAAAUCAAAUCUCUUUCUCAUUUAUCAAAUCAUAAUCAAUUUGUGAAUUCCUAACUAGACUCAAAUCAAAUCAAUAUUUCUCAAUAUCAAAAUGCAUCAAUUCAUUAAGUCAUAGAAACAUAAAUAACUUUGAGGAAAUAUCAAGACUCUUUGUAACAACUCAAUUCUCUUGAAUCAAUAUACUCAAUUAUCCAAUUUGUCAUAAGGAAGCUUAAAGCUUGACAUAUAUAUUGAAAGCAAUUGAAAUAAUAACUCAUGGUAGAAACUUGAAAUUCACAUUAUUAAAUAUCAAGUCAUAACUUGAAAAUUAUAAAAUAAUCAUGUAUAACAAAGCUUGAACGAUUUAUCUUCUCAUAAUCUCAUGAUGAAGUAAUUUGGGUACAAACCCACUUGCAAAAUCAUAUAAAUCCAUAAUAAAAAUCAAAGCUUUGAGCACAAGAACGAAAGAAUUGCUCUUGUUCGAAACCCCACAUACCUUAAUCUUUGAAAUUGGUUGAAAUAUAGUGCUUGAGACUUUACUCACACUUGUAAUAAAAAAAAUCUUGAAGCCCAAUCUAUGAGGAACUUGAUUCUUGAAGGAAUCUUGAAGAUUUAUGGAUGAUUUUUGGAAGAUUAAUUCCCUAAAAUAAAACCCUAGAUAUAUUUCUAAAGAGAAUUGGAAGAGAUAAAUGAAGAAAUUAGGUUUUGGAUGAGGAUUCUCAUAUAUAUAGAGGCCUCUAAAAAUAGGACAUGACUAAAAUACCCUUUUGAAAAUAGUCCAUCAAUUGCUGAAAAAAAUAGUUGACGACAUCCAUGACGACAUCCAUCAACUUAAAUUUUUCCCUAGCCUUGAACACAACAUCCGUCCCAAUCACAGAUGCUUAUCCUACUUCAAACCAAUCUAUGAGCGAUCUACAUCUUCUCCCAUACAAAGCUUUGAACAGGGCCAUCUGAAUACUAGCAUGGAAACUAUUAUUAUAUGCAAAUUCGAUCAAUGGCAAGUGAUCAUCCCAACUACCUUUGAAAUCAAGCGCGCAUGCCCUCAACAUGUCCUCCAAAGUUACUCAGCCUGACCAUCGGUGUGCGGAUGGAAAGCAGAACUUAGACGAACUAGGGUACCGAGACCUUUCUGAAAGGCCCUCCAAAUCUGGGAAGUAAACUGAGUACCCCUAUCAGAGAUGAUAGCCAAAGAAACUUCAUGCAAUUUGACUAACUCAUAGAUAUACAAUCUAUCAUAAUCCUCAGCUAUAUAAGACGAAUGCACUGGCAAGAAAUGAGCUAAUUUAGUCAACCGGUCUAUUACAACCAAAUCGAAUCAUAAUGAAGACGAGAAGGAGGCAAACUAAUUACGAAAUCCAUAUUCACUUCUUCCCACUUCCAAGUAGGAAUGCCAAUCUCUUGCAUUACACCACCGGCCCUCUGGUGCUAUACCGUAACUUGUUGACAAGUACAAUACUUUGCCAUAAAUCCUGCUAUGUCUUUCUUCAUACCGUUCCACCAAUAGAUUUCCCGUAAAUCGCGGUACAUCUUGGUAGCACCAGGAUGAAUAUAAUAUCUCUCACUAUGCACUUUAGCCAUAAUUCUCUACAUCAAAUCAUCAACAUUUGGAACACACAGUCUGCCUUGCAACCUCAACACACUAUCUCCCCCUUAGGAGAAAACCUCUACCUUCUUGUCCUUAAUUGACUCCUUCAGUCUAACCAAACUAGAAUCCCUGUCCUGCUUCUUAUUUACCUUUGAGACCAAAGAAGACUCGAAACUACUCUGAACUAACAUACUCCCUUCAGUUGAAUCAAGCAAUCUAACACCCAACCUAGCCAAACAAUGCACAUCACGAGCCAAUUCUUUCUUAUCAUUUUCUACAUGAGCUAUACUACCCAUAGACAACCUGCUAAGAGCAUCUGCCAUAACAUUGGCCUUACCCAGGUGAUAUAUCACACUCAUAUCGUAGUCUUUUAGAAAUUCUAACCAUAUUCUUUGUCUAAGUUUCAACUCCCUCUGAGUAAACACAUACUGCAGGCUUUUGUGAUCAGUAAACACAUCAACAUGAAAACCAUACAAAUAAUGUCUCCAGAUUUUCAAAGCAAAAACUAUAGCUACUAAUUCAAGAUCAUGGGUUGGGUAAUUCUUCUUAUAAGGCUUCAACUGUCUAGAGGCAUAAGCUAUAACUUUACCCCUCUGCAUCAACACACAUCCCAGACCAACUCUAGAAGCAUCGCAGUACACCAUAAGACCAUCAGUACCAUCGGGUAAAGCUAACACUGGGGCUGAAGUGAGUCGAGUCUUCAACUCUUGAAAACUCUUCUCAUAGGCAUCUGUCCACUGGAACUUAACUUUCUUUUGGGUCAACCGAAUCAUGGGGGAUGCGAUAGAAGAGAAUCCCUCAAUAAAAUGACAGUAGUAACAAGCUAGACUUAAGAAACUCCUAAUAUCAGAUGGGGAGGUAAGCCUAGGCCAAUUCUUCAUAGAUUCUGUCUUUUGAGGAUCAACUCUAAUACCUUCGAAAAAAACAAUAUGACUCAGAAAACCAACUGACCUUAACCAAAAUUCACACUUGCUAAAUUUAACGAAUAAUUAAUGAGCUCUAAGGGUUUACAACACAAUUCAAAGAUGAUCGGCAUGGUCAUCCUUACUUCGAGAAUAUACAAGAAUAUCAUCUAUGAACACAAUAACAAACAAAUCCAGAUACCGCUUAAAUACUUGGUUCAUAAGAUCCAUGAAAGCCGCUGGAGCAUCGGUUAACCCAAAGGACAUGACAAAAAAUGCAAAAUGACCAUAGCGGGUUCGGAAAGUUGUCUUUGGAAUAUCACACUCUCUCACUUUAAGCUGAUAAUAGACGGAUCUAAGGUUUAUCUUUGAGAAAUAACUUGCACCGUAUAGAUGAGCAAGUAAAUCAUCGAUUCUAGGAAGAGGGUACUUGUUCUUAAUAGUCACCUUUUUUAGUUGACGGUAGUUAAUGCACAUAUGCAAUGUACCAUCCUUCUUCCGCACAAAUAGAACAGGUUCUCCCCAUGGGGAAAUACUGGGUCCGAUAAAGCCUUUUUCUAAGAGAUCUUUGAGUUGCUCCUUCAACUCUUUAAGUUCUACGGGAGCCAUACGGUAUGAAGAGAUGGAAAUUGGCUGAGUGUCAGGGAAGAGAUCAAUCCCGAAUUCUAUUUCUCUAUCAGGUGGGACCCCUGGAAGGUCUUCCGAGAAAAUGUCAGGAAACUUUUCAACAAUGCUAACUGACAGAAUAGUCGGAGUCUCAAACUUAACGUCUUUAACUCGAACUAAAUGAUAGAUGCAUCCCUUGGAAAUCAAAUUCCUAGCUUUGAGGUAGGAUAUGAAAUGUCUGUUCUGAGUUACAGAAAUCCCGAACCACUUAAACAUUGUAUCAUUAGGAAAGUAAAACUUGACCACUCGGGUACGAUAAUCUAUAGAUACAUAGCACGAGUGAAACCAAUCUAUACCCAGAAUGAUGGCAAAAUCAACCAUAUCUAGCUCAAUAAAAUUAGCACAUAUGACCCCAUAAAGGACAGUAAUAGGAUACUUCUUAUACACUCGCUUAGCAAUAACAAACUCUCCUACCAGGGUAAAAACCAGAAUAGGCUCAGGAAUCCAUUCAGGGUCCAUCUUAAAAUUUAUAGCAACUAGAGGUGUCACAUAAGAGAAACUCGAAUCGGGGUCCAUCAAUACAUACACAUCAAAAUGAAAGACAUGAAGAAUACCUGUGUCAAUAUCUGGAGAAUCCUCCUGCUCCUUGCGAGGUGGUACAGUAUAGAAGCAAUUCUGGCGUGAACCACCAAUAGUACUAGAAGAGGUGCCCUGAGGAGGAACUGGGCAAACUACGGGAGCGAGGGAACUGGUAGCUUGACUCUAGGGACGAGUAUCUCGACUUCCCUUUCUAGCAUACAGAUAAUCUCUAAGUCGGAGGCCCAACUUUCCACAACCAAAGCUAUCCCUCUGAUCAACAAAACACUCACCAAAAUGAUCUCUACCAUACUUGGUAUAUGAAGGAGGGUGAGGUCUGUUACUUACACUUUCCUAACACCUGGAUGGGAAGGCACGGGCAUAAACAGACGUCUCUGGAAUUGAGGGCGGUCCCCUCCAUAGAAUUUGGACAGACAAAAUUUCCACUGCUCUGAUCUAGCUCUUUUAUUCCCUUUUACUCUCUCCUUAUCUUUUACCUUAUCAGCUUCAAUCUGUUAGACAUGUAUCAUCAACUGAGAAAGGUCCAUCUCCCUAUUAAACAUAGCAGAUCUACACUCUUUGACAACGCAACUCGACCCACCGAUCAUGAACUUACUCAUAAUGGUCCUGGAGUCAGCCAUCAUACUAGGUGCAUAUUUGGACAACUGAUUGAAUCUAAGGCAAUACUCCUUAACAGUCAUGGAGCCUUAUCUCAAAUUUAUUAAUUCCUAUAUCUUUGCUUCCCUCAUCUCAAGAGGAAAUAAUCUGUCCAAGAACGCAUCCAGGAAUAACUGCCAAGUCAUGGGAGCGGCAUCCUCCCCUCUACCUUCAAUCCACAUUUCCACCCAAUUAUAUGCAACAUCUUUUAUUUGAUAGGCAGCUAAUUCAACACUCUCCUCCUUAGUUAGGUACAUAAUCUGGGUGAUCUUUCUCACUUCAUCCAAGUACAUCUGUGGGUCUUCACCUAACUUUGACCUAUAGAACUCAGGUAGAUUCAUCCGCAUAAAGUCGUGAACUCGAGCAGUAGUAGAAUUAUUCUCUUACGGAGGUGGAACAGUAGCAUGGUUGUCAACUUGAGUAUUGGCGGUAACUGCCUGGGCUAGCACCUGAAAAGCUGCCUGAAAUUCUGCAUGUCACACAUACUCGUUCAGGGGAUCAAUGGGUUGAGGUUGCUCAUUGUUUUUAUGAGCUUGAUAAGGAGGGAUUUUCUGUCAUAAGAGAGCACGAAUUAAUAGCAGAGAGAAACAGUCGUUGGCACGAUAUACUUUUGAAAGAAAAAAAUGACUUUUCCUAAGACGUCUCGUCGCCUCUUGCUCAUAGAUAUGGUGCGCUACAAACCGGUGAUCAAUAUUCUACAUAAUGCGGCUUGGCAAACUCCCUAGGACUCUUUAAACCUUAGGCUCUGAUACCAACCUUGUAACGCCCCAAGAUCCCAUCCCGAGACGUCACACGGUGCUUAAGGCCAUACGUGGUAUCAAGCUAACCCUCUAAACCUGUCAUCACUUCUAGAACUGACUUAGACAAUAGUCAUGCACAUAUAAGAGAGAAUGACAUCAUAAACAUACUGGAAUAAGAUAUGAAACUAGCCUGUACAAUCCAAAAUAUUAAAAUUCUUACAUACCAACCUUUUAGACUGACAAAGCCUCUACACAUCAAAAUCAAGGAGACAUUGGGAAAAACCCCCAACUGACUCAAACAGUACUAAAAGCCAUAAUAACAAAACGGUAUCACAAAAUUAUAAACACGAUCCUCGAAACAUGAGGACUCACCACUGAGCAGAUGAAAAGAGGCACCCGAAUAUUGCUAACACAGCUGAGUACCUGAGCCUACAUUAGGAGAAAAUGUAGCCCAUAGAAAAAUAUGUGGGUCAGCACUUUAGAAAGUCCUGAGUAUAUAGGGGUGCAUGUAACAAUGUAAAUAUCUUCAUCAAUCUCAUUAAAAUAUGCAUAUGUAUGAUGAUGACUCACUUUUCUUAAGCUAGAUUGAAACAUACUUAUCAUUAUCUCAUCGUAAAUAAGUCAUAUCAUAAAAACCUCAUAUAUCAUCAUAAACAACUAAACUCUUCAACUCAAGACUCGGAUUGACCUGUAAUUCAAGAAACUCAACUCUUAUGGACAUGGAAGGUUCUUAGAAACGACAUAAAUCAUAUGAGCUACAUGGAGUCCAAUGUUUUGCCUUCCUACGGAGAGAACCCCCCAUUGGCAGGAGCAUCGUACUCUUGCCAGGGAGUACAAACUAAAUUUAGCAAUCACAAUCUCAUACUUGGCCUCCGGCCCACAAUUAUCAAUAUCAAUCCUGCGGUGUCACGUAGUUUCGGGGGAAAUACCACAUUUACUGCUCGGUGCUAAAUACAACUCCCAGACACAAGCUCAGAAUGCGAUAUGAAAUCCACCACAAAUAUCACAAGGGUCUAUCACAAAGACCGAAUCAAAUCUCUUUCUCAUUUAGCAAAUCAUAAUCAAUUUGUGGAUUUCUAACUUGACUCAAAUCAAAUCAAUCGUUCUCAAUAUCAAAAUGCAUCAGUUCAUUAAGAAAUGGAAAUAUCAUAACUUUGAGGAAAUAUCAAGACUCAUUGUAACAACUCAAUUCUCAUGAAUCAAUAUACUCAAUAAUCCAAUUUGUCAUAAGGAAGCUUAAAGCUUGACACAUAUCUUGAAAGCACUUGAAAUACCAACUCAUGGUAGAAACUUGAAAUUCACAAUAUUAAAUAUCAAGUCAUGACUUGGAAAUUGUAAAAUAAUCAUGUAUAACAAAGUUUGAACGAUUUAUAUUCUCAUAAUCUCAUGAUGAAGUAAUUUGGAUAUAAAUCCACUUGUAAAAUCAUAUAAUCCAUAGUAAAAAUCAAAGCUUUGAGCACAAGAACGAAAGAAUUGCUCUUGUUCAAAACCCCACAUACCUUAAUCUUUGAAAUUGGUUGAACUCUAGUGCUUGAGACUUUACUCACACUUGUAAUAAAAAAAUUCUUGAAGCCCACUCUAUGAGGAACUUGAUUCUUGAAGCAAUCUUGAAGAUUUAUAGAUUAUUUUUGGAAGAUUAAUUUCCUUAAAUAAAACCCUAGAUAUAUUUCUUAAGAGAAUUGGAAGAGAGAAAUAAAGAAAUUAGGUUUGGAUGAGGAUUAUCAUAUAUAUAGAGGCCUCCAAAAAUGGGAAAUAACUAAAAUACCCUUGCAAAAAUCGUCCAUCAAUUGCUGAAAAAAAUAGCUGACGACAUCCGUGAUAAGCUGCCAGGCACGUGAUAGGCCGUCACGAAUUGUCGUCACAAAAAGGGUGGAUUUUGUGACUUUCUUCCUUAAGGUGACAACAUUUUGUGACAAGCCGUCAGUCUUGUGACAAGUCAUCAGAAAAGGUCUUCACGGAUUUUCCAGGAUGACACGCUGGAGUAAAAUAAGCAUAACUCUUUGCUGCGAUAUUGUAUUUUGACGAAAUGGGUAUCGUUGGCAAGAUAAUUCAAUUAUCUAUCUUUUGGUAGGUCAUUACCACAAUAAUUCAUAGUACAACGGGAGAUAUCCUCAUUUGAAGUUGACUAUGCCAAAAUCCCUCUCAAGAAUUCAAUCAGUAAAGAAUGUUUUGAUUCGCCCAAGCGUUAGGACAUCUUUAAAGUCUUAAUACACAUCACCCUUGACCAGAAAACAACCAAAACACUAUAAUUUAUUUCUCAUGGGCUUGAGUCAUUUCGGCACUAUUGGUUAGAAUAUCGGGGUAUUACAUUAUUACUUUUAAUUAUCUUUGCUAUUUACCAGCAAAUAUAAUGCAAAUUUAUAUUAUAAUGUUAUAAUUGAAAUUAAAUAAAAUAUUUGAGAUCAACCACAUAUAUUUGAUAGUAAAUGAUGUUUUAUUAUUAUUAUUAUUAUUAUUAUUAUUAUCAUUAUUUUUAUUAUUAUUAUUAGUAGUAGUAGAUAUGUAUGUUCUACUACUACUACUAAUAUUAUAAGUUAUCUUUUAAUUAUUAUUAUAUUUUAUUUAAUAUUUAAAUAUAUUUGAAAUAUAUAAAUUUAUGAUAUAAUUAGAGAUGUUUUAGGUCUUUUCAACUAUGAUUUUUUAAUUUUAAAAUAAUGAAUUGUUUUUAAAAUUUUCUAAGCCUACUAUUUUCAAAUUCAUAUAUUUCUAUUAACAUAGUGAAUUACUUAUGUAGGACUUAAUUACGUGCAUAACUCACUGCUAAACUAACUACAAAAAAAAUGCUACUACCUGCAUAAAUAAUAUAUACAUAAUCCCUAAAUAAAAAAAUCUGCAUAACUCCAAUUGAGGCCCUUUCAUUAUUUACUUUUGGCUUCUUAGGUUUAAGUGGGUAAACGGAUGAAAAGAGAAAGAGAAGACUCUCACAUCUAGUUUCCCCAGAGGCACCUCUUUAGAAGAAGGGUGCUGUUGAAGCAACUCAUUUUCAGAUUUAAGCAGUCUUUUGUUUUGUUCCUCCUCGGAAACAAAAGCAUGAGCUGAGGCAACCAUUUUCUUUUCUCACAAGAAAUGAAGAACAAGAAGAACACUGCAAUUUAAAACCAGGCUUUAAAUUUCAAAAACAAAAUAAGAAAUCAUGAGCGCAAAAGGGGAAAAACAAAGUGCAAAAAGACCUCACCAGUAGUAGGAUACGAAGGAUGAGAGAGAGAGGGAGGAAGGAGGGUUAUAUUAAAAAUAGUAUUAAUACAGUGGAGGAAGAACACAUCUAUCAAUUAUUCUUUAAAAACACACUAGUUACAUCACUGACGUUUUCAAAAUCAAGGUAACUUUUUAUCCUGUUCAGAAAAAAAUUUCAAAGUGUGUGAGUAGGAUUGAGGUUGUCUUAACUGCGUAAAUUGAUUUUCCCUCUUAAAAUCUUCAUUAUUAUAUUUCUUUUAAUUGAACACAAUUUUAAGAGGUCAAACUAAUUUAUGCAGUUAAGACAACCUCAAUCCUACUCGCACACUUUGAAUUUUAUUUUUUGGAUAGGACAAAAAGUUGCAUUUAUUUUGAAACAUUGGUGAUGUAGCUGGUGUGUUUUUAAAGAAAUUUGAUAGAUGUGCUCUGCCUCUACUGUAUUCGUUCCAUUUUUCAUAUAACCCUCCUUCCCCUCUCUCUUCCUUUGUGUCCUAGUACUGGUGAGAUAUUUUUGCACUUUGUUUUUCCCUUUUUGCUCUCAUGCUUUCUUAUUUUGUUUAUGAGAUUUAAAGCCUAGUUUUAAAAUUACAGUGUUCUUCUUAUAUAAGAAAAGGAAAUGGCUGCCCCGCUCAUGCUUCUGUUUCUAAGGAGGAGAAAACUAAAAGAUUGUUCAAAUCAGAAAAUGAGUUACUUCAAUAGCGCCCUUCUUCUAAAAAUGUGCUUCUAGGGAAACUAGAUGUGAGAACCUUUUCUUUUCUCUUUCCAUUUGUUUACCCACUUAAACCUAAGAAGCCAAAAGUAAACAACAAAGGGGCCUCAAUUAGAAUAAUGCAAGUUUUUGUACUGUAGGGAUUACCGAUGUGGAAAUCUAUAUAUUAUUUAUGCAUGUAUUAACAUAUUACUUGGUAGUUGAUUUAGUAGUGAGUUAUGAAGGUAAUUAAGUCCUACAUAGUUAAUAUUCAAAUAUUAGUAGUUGGUUUAGCUUAUGUUUACAACUAUUAACAUAGAAUAAUCCUCGAGACCCCAAAGAAGGCCCAUAAAAAUCCAUCUACCAAAUAGAUGGCUCUGUAGCCUUUCUCAACUGGUUUGAUGGCCCACUUUUAGGGCCCAAAUAUGGAUGAGCAUAGUUAUGCUAUUCAAUAAAAUUAUAGUAGUACUACUGGGAAUUAGGAUUAAAAGGGAAGAAUAAGUUGUCUAAUUAAGUGAGAAUCCUUCAAGUUUUUAAAAUUAGGUGGGAGGGACAAAAUUUUAUUGAUUUCCUUUUUAAAGUUUUUUCGUUCCAACAACUUCUCCCAGUUGUCAAAAAACUUUGAUAGUUUUUCGACAACUUCUAGCAGUUGUUCAACAACUAUCAAAGUUGUUCGACAACUGCGCUAAGUUAUUCAACAACUAGGCGAAGUUGUGGGAGAAGUUGUUCAACAACUGUGUGAAGUUGUUGAGACAACUAAUGUAGUUGACGAACAACUGUCCCAGUUGUUCAAAUGACUUAAUUUUUUUAAAAGGGACAAAUUGCGGGAUCCACUUGUCCCCUUUUCUUAAUUGGAAACUUGGGAGGUCUAUUGAUUCAUUUUUCUCACAUAAGUAUUUAAGUUGUAUAUAUCAUGAAGUGGUUAGCUUAUAUUUGCAUUGUAAAUUAUAAUAUUAAGUGUAGAGAUAGUCCUAUAUACGUUUAGUACGUCAAAGAGAGUUGCUCGCAAACAUUGUGCAAUUCAAUUUGUCGCAAGAAGUACUUAAUCAUCACUCAAAUACUUAUUGGUUCCGAAUAUUUACCCCUAAUAAAUGAUUUUAAUUCUAAUGAAUUAAGAAUAUAAUAUCAUUCAAUCAUGUUAACAAAAAUAAUUUAUAAAAGAUAUUAUCUUGUAAUAGUGGGUAUAAAAGGAGAGGUAGAUGUAGGCUGAGGAGGUUUUGGUAAAGGUGAUUAGAUUAGGUAUCUGUAGCUUUUCGAGGAUAUGAUCUAGAUAUAAAAAUAUGGAGAUAUAGUGGGUGGAUGAGCGUUGUCUAAUUUCCCUAUUAAGUAGUAUUUUUGUUAUUACUUUCAUACUAUCUUAUUCUUCUAUAUUAGAAUAAUUUGUUUGUUUUUAGUUCAGUUAUCAUAUUAAUUGUUUGUCGUUGCUACCAUUUUCAGAUUUACUAUUUUAUUUGUUUUACAUGCCUAAUUUUUUUUUAUAUGUUUUACUUGAUUCGAGAGUAUAGAGUCAAUCAAGAACAACCUCCCAAUCUUCACAAGGCAGAAGUACAUGUCCAUACUACCUCUCCAAACUCCACGUGUAAUAUUAUGUAUGUUAUUACUGUAUAUAUCUUGAAUUGAUUGAUCAAAUAUAAAUACCCGAUGUUGUGGUGUACUUGUACCCAUUGGCGGAGGGAUGAUCUUAGGAAAAGAGUGAUUUGAUGCACAUCUUUUAUCAAAAGAUUAUAUAGUGUACAGACGCUUAAUAUUAGCUAUUAUAUGUCUAUAUUAAAUUUUGUACAUUCUUAACACAACUAAAAUGAAAAUAUGCACACUCCUCAUCAAAUUUCUUACAAUGACACUGCUACUGCCUCAACUGUGUACGUGCAAAGAAGACGCCAUAUAGCAUUUGUCAUCUGCAUGACGCCCAAACUCUUUUAUCAGUGUACCUACCCAACCUGUCACCUCAUUUUUUUUAUAAUUGCAUAUCCAUCCAAAUUUCAUACACCGUCCAUUUCAUUUUAAUUUUAUUAAAAAUAACUAUUUUAAUUUAUUUGUGUAAUUUAUAAAAUUAUAAAAGAAAGAUUAUUACGUGAAGCAUUAAAUGAAGUGAACGGUGUAUUCUACGAAUAUAUAAAUGCUAGGUUCAUUAAAUCCGUAUUCCGUACUAAACUCGGAUCCAAACAACUCUACAUAUAAAUAAUAAUAAUUAAAUUUUAAAAUAUAAUUUAUAUUAUAUUUUUUACUUUAUAAUUAAUAUAAUUUAAUGAUCGAAAUAUUAAAUAUAUUUUAUUAAAAAUUUUUAGAAUUAUUCAAUUUCUUAGUCGCAUAAUUGGAUAAUUUUUUUAAAAAAAAUAUUUGUACGGAAGAAAGUAUUACAGGAGAAUUAAAACAUAACAAGAGACCACAAGUAAUUUAAUAUUUUAUAAAAUAGCAUGAUACAACAACAACAAUAACAACAUACCCAGUGGGGUCUGGGCAGGGUAAAGUGUACACAGAUCAUACCACUACCUAAGAUGAAGUAGAGAGUCUGUUUCCGACAGACCCCCGGUUUAGGACCAAUAGCAGUAUAACAUACAGAAAACAUAAAUGCAUAAAAACUAAUACAAUCUGCAAAGUAAACUAACGUCACUAGCCAUAAGAUAAUACUAUAGUCACAAGAUAAUACUAAAACUAUCUAUCCGAAAUCAUAGACAUCACUCAACACCACGAACAAGAAACUUCAAACACAAAUAAAGAAUGCUCCUCUAUUGUUACCAACACACUCUCAACCCCUAACCCUCUACCCUAAUCGGCAUUCUUCACACCUUCCUAAUCACAUCCCUCCAAUAUUUGUUCGGUCUACCUCUACCCCGCCUAAAAUCAUCCAUAGCUAGUGUCUCACACCUCCGCACUAGAGCAUCAGAGCCCCUCUUCAUCAUAUGCUCACACUAACGUAACAUUACUUCUCGUAUCUUGUCCUCCACCGAGGCCACUCCCACCUCUCCCGAAUAAUCUCCUUUCUUACCUUAUCUUUCCUAGUAUGGCCACACAUCUAUUGCAAUAUUCUCAUCUCCGCCACCUCCAACUUUUGGAUACGGGAGUUCUUAACUGGCCAAUACUCUCCAUACAACAUAGUCGGCCAGACUUCCACUCUGUAGAACUUCCCUUUAAGCUUUGGGGGAAUCUUCUUAUCACAUAAAACACCCAAAGCAAGCAGUUAUUUAAACCACCUAGCCCUAAUAUGAUGUGUGGCAUCCUCAUCAAUCUCACAAUUGCCUUAAAUCAUAGACCCCAGAUAGUUGAAACUCUCCUUCUUCUGAAUGGCCUUAGAGUCUAGCUUCAUAACCAUGUCAGCCUCCUAUGACAUAUCACUAAACUUACACUUCAAGUACUCCAUCUUGGUCCUGCUCAACCAAAAUCCUUUAGAUUCAAGGGUCUAUCUCAAAAUCUCCUAUCAUUAACUCCUUCCCGAGUCUUGUUAAGCAGUACCACAUUAUCAGCAAAUAACAUACACCAAGGCACCUCCUCUUGAAUAUUUUUUGUCAAAACAUUCAUCACCAAGGCAAAUAAAAUGGGCUAAGAGUCAAACCCUGAUGCAACCUUACCAAAAUAGAAAAGUGCUAUGAAUCUCCACCUACCGUCCUCACCCAAGUCUUUGCGCCAUUAUACAUGUCCUAAAUCGACCUAGUGUACACCACAGACACCCCUUUAGAAUCCAAACACCUCCAGAGAAUCUCCUUAGGAACUCUGUCAUAAGCUUUCUCAAGGUCAAUAAACACCAUGUGAAAGUCCUUCUUCAUCACCCAAAACUGUUCCACUAAUCUCCUUACAAGUUGAAUAGCCUCAUUAGUCAAGCAACCUACCAUGAAAUCGAACUGAUUCUCAGCGAUAAUCACGCUCCUUCUCAGCCUCAACUCUACCACCCUUUCCUAAAUCCUCAUAGUAUGACUCAAGAACUUAAUACUUCUAUAGUUGUUGCAACUUUGGAUGUCUCCUUUGUUCUUAUACAAUGAAAUUAUUGUACUCCACCUCCAUGCUUCAGGCAUCCUUCCUGCCCUAAAAAUGAUGUUAAGAACCUCUUCAACCACUCCAAACCUGCCCCACUAGUGCGUUCCAAAAAUCUACUGGAAUCUCGUCUGGCCCUAUCGCCCUACCUCGAUGCAUCCUGCGAAUAGCCCUCAUGACCUCCUUAAACUCAAUAGGCCUAUAAUAACCAUAGUCGUGACACUCCUCAAAUUUCUCCAAGUCCCCAAACACAAAACCUUUAUCUCCCUUAUCGCUCAAAAGUUUAUGAAAUUAGGACUGGCACCUUUUUUUAAUGAGGGCAUCCUCAACCAAUAUAGUACCAUCCACAAACUUGAUGCACUUAUCCCUGCCUUUCUCCUUUAAAGCCACAUACAAGCUCUCAAAAUCUGUUAUUUUAUCCACUGUAACCGCUAUCUUAGCCUCUCACCUAGCUAUAGCUUAUACUCUUCCUUAUUCGUCGGCCUCUCUUGAUCAUUGUUUCUCUCAACCAAUUUAACAUAAGCCACCUUCUUAGACUCCACCUUCCUCUUAACCUCUUCAUUCCACCACUUGUCCCCUUUUCUUAAUUGGAAACUUGGGAGGUCUAUUAAUUCAUUUUUCUCACUUAAGUAUUUAAGUUGAAUAUAUCAUGAAGUAGUUAGCUCAUAUUUGUAUUGUAAAUUGUAAUAUUAAGUGUAGAGAUAGUACUAUAUACGUUUAGUACGUCAAAGAGAGAUACCCGCAAACAUUGUGCAAUUUAAUUUGUCGCAAGAAACACUUAAUCAUCACGGAAAUACGUAUUGGUUCCGAAUAUUUACCCCUAAUAAAUGAUUUUAAUUCUAGUGAAUUAAGAAUAUAAGAUCAUUCAAUCAUGAUAACAAAAAUAAUUUAUGAAAGAUAUUAUCUUGUAAUAGUGGGUAUAAGGAGAGGUAGAUGUAGGCUGAGGAGGUCUUGGUAAAGGUGAUUAGAUUAGGUAUCUGUAGCUUUUUGAGGAUAUGAUCUAGAUAUAAAAAUACGGAAUCAAGGAGGUGGUUAGUGGGUGGCUGAGCUUUGUCUAAUUUCCCUAUUAAGUAGUAUUUUUGUUAUUACUUUCAUACUAUGUUAUUCUUCUAUAUUAGAAUAAUUUGUUUGUUUUUACUUCAGUUAUCAUAUUAAUUGUUUGUCGUUGCUACUAUUUUCAGAUUUGCUUUUUUAUUUGUUUUACAUGCCUAAUUUUUUUUUACAAGGCAGAGUCGAGAGUCAAUCGAAAACAACUUCUCUAUCUUCACAAGGGCAGAAGUACAUGUCCAUACUAUCUCUCCAAACUCCACGUGUAAUAUUAUGUAUGCUAUUAUUGUAUGUAUCUUGAAUUGAUAGAUCAAAGGUAAAUACCCAUGGGCGGAGGGAUGAUCUUAGAAAAAGGGUGAUUUGAUGCACAUCUUUUAUCAAAAGAUUAUUUAGUGUACAGAAGCUUAAUAUUACCUAUUAUACAUCUAGAUUAAGUUUUGUACAUCCUUAAUACAACUAAAAAGAAAAUAUGUACACUCCUCGUCAAAUUUCUGACGACGACACUACUACUCCCUCAACUGUGUACGUGUAAAGAUGACGCCAUAUAGCAUUAGUCAUAUGCAUGACGCCCAAACUCUUUUAUCAGUGGACCUACCCAACCUGUCAUCUCAUUUUCUACUUUUAUAAUUCCAUAUCCUUCCAAAUUUCAUACACCAUCCAUUUCAUUCUAUUUAGAUUAAAAAUAACUAUUUUAAUUUAUUUGUGUAAUUUAUAAAAUUAUAAAAAAGAUUACUACGUGAAGUUUUAAAUGAAGUGAAAGGUGUAUUCUACGAAUAUAUAAAUUCUAGUUUCAUUAAAUCCGUAUUCCGUACUAAGCUCGGAUCCAAACAACUCUACAUAUAAAUAAUAAUAAUUAAAUUUUAAAACAUAAUUUAUAUUAUAUUUUUUACUUUAUAAUUAAUAUAAAUUAAUGACCGAUAUAUUAAAUAUAUUUUAUUAAAAAAAUUUAUAAUUAUUAAAGUUCUUAAUCACAUAAUUGGAUAAUCUUUUUAAAAAAUUAUUUGUAUGGAAGAAAGUAUUACAGGAGAAUUAGAAUACAACAAGAGACCACAAGUAAUUUAAUAUUAUAUAAAAUAACAUGAUACAACAACAACAAUAACAACAUACAUAGUGGAUUCCCACGUAGAGGGGUCUGGGGAAGGGUAGAGUGUACGCAUAUCAUACCACUACCUAAGAUAAAGUGGAGAGUCAGUUUCCGACAGACCCCUAGCUUAGGACCGAUAGCAGUAUAAUAAACACAACACAAAUCAUAAAUGCAUAAAAACUAGUACAGUCUGCAAAAUAAACUAACGUGACUAGCCAUAAGAUAAUACUACAGUUACAAGAUAAUACUAAAACUAUCUAUCCAAAAUCAUAGACAUCACUCGACACCACAAACAACAAACUUCAAACACAAAUAAAGAAUGCUCCCCUGUUGUUACCGACACACUCUCAACCCCUAACCCUCUACCGUAAUCGACAUUCUCCACACCUUCCUAAUCACGUCCCUCCAAUAUUUGUUCGGUCUACCUCUACCCUGCCUAAAAUCAUCCAUAGCCAGUGUCUCACACCUCCGCAUUGGAGCAUCAGAGCCCUUCUUCAUCACAUGCUCACACCAACGUAACCUUACUUCUCGUAUCUUGUCCUCCACCGAGGCCACUCCUACCUCUCCCGAAUAAUCUCAUUUCUUACCUUAUCUUUCCUAGCAUGGCCAUACAUCGAUUGCAAUAUUCUCAUCUCCGCCACCUUCAAAUUUUUGAUGUGGGAGUUCUUAACUGGACAAUACUCUACAUACAACAUAGUCGGCUAGACUGCCACUCUGUAGGACUUCCCUUUAAUCUUCGGGGGCAUCUUCUUAUAACAUAAAACUCCCACUGUGAGCCUUCAUUUAAAACAGCCUGCCUCAAUAUGAUGUGUGACAUCCUCGUCAAUCUCACCAUUACCUUAAAUCAUAGACCCCAGAUACUUGAAACUCUCCUUCUUCUGAAUGGCCUGAGAGUCUAGCAUCACAACCAUGUCAGCCUCCUACGACACAUCACAAAACUUACACUUCAAGUACUCUAUCUUGGUCUUUCUUAACCGAAAUCCUUUGGACUCAAGGGUCUUUCUCAAAAUCUCCAACAUAUCAUUAACUCCUCCCCGAGUCUUGUUAAGUAGUACCAUAUUAUCAGAAAAUAACAUACACUAAGGCACCUCCUCUUGAAUAUGUCUUGUCAAAACAUUCAUCACCAAGGAAAAUAAAAAAGGCUACGGGUCAAACCCUGAUGCAACCCUACCAAAAUCGAAAAAUGCUCUAAAUCUCUACCUACCAUCCUCACCCGAGUCUUUACGCCAUAAUACAUAUCCUAAAUCGACCUAAUGUACGCCACAGGCACCCCUCUAGCCUCCAAACACCUCCAGAUAAUCUCCUUGGGAACUCUAUCAUAAGCCUUCUUAAGAUCAAUAAACACCAUGUGAAAGUCCUUCAUAUCCCAAAACUGUUCCACUAAUCUCCUCACAAGGUGAAUAGCCUUAGUAAUCGAGCGACCUAGCAUAAAAUCGAACUGAUUGUCAGUGAUAAUCAUGCUCCUUCUUUGCCUCAACUCUACCACCCUUUCCCAAAUCAUCAUAGUUUGACUCAACAACUUAUUACCUCUAUAGUUCUUGCAACUUUGGAUGUCUCCCUUGUUCUUAUACAACAGAAUCAUUGGACUCCACCUCCACACUUCGGGCAUCCUUCCCACCCUAAAAAUGAUGUUAAGAAACUUGUUAACUACUACCAACCUGCCCCGCUAGUGCAUUCCAAAAAUCUACUGGAAUCUCGUCUGGACCCAUCCUAUAAAUAGCCCUCUUGACCUCCUUAACCUCGAUAUGCAUACAAUAACAAUUGUCGUAACACUCCUCAAAUUUCUCCAAUUCCCCAAACACAAAACCUUUUUCUCCCUUAUCAUUCAAAAGUGUAUGAAAAUAGGACUACCACCAUAUUUUAAUGAGGGCAUCCUCAACCAACAUAUUACCAUCCUCAACCUUGAUGUACUUAUCCCUUUCUUUCUCCUUUAAAGCCACAUACAAGCUCUCAAAUGUUUUCAUUUUAGCCACUUUAACCACUAACUUAGCCUCUCACCUAUCUAUAGCUUAUACUCUUCCUUAUACGUCUGCCUCUCAUGAUCAUAAUUGCUCUCAACCAAUUUAGUAUAAUCCACCUUAUUAGACUCCACCUUCCUCUUAACCUCUUCAUUACACCACUAGUUCCCUUGAUGUUUGCCAUUUCUACCUCUGAAGACACUAACACCUCUCUAGCGAUCUCCCUAAUGCAACUGGCAAUCAUCUCCCGCAUACUAUCCACAUCCCCUCUACUCUUCCAAGCCCCCUGCUUCUCAACUUCUCCCCCAUCUUCAAGGAAUUAGCCAAAGUCAAGCUACCCCACUUAAUCUUGGGCUGAACCUCCACACUCCUCUUCUUUCAUCCCUUAUUGAUUACCAAGUUCAUCACCAACAACCUAUGCUUAGUCAAAAGAUUAUCUCUAGGUAUGACUGUACAAUCUUUACAUAGUGUUCUAUAACUCUUCUUAAGGAGCUAAAAGUCUAUCUGAGUCUUGGCACUGAACUACAAAAUAUUUUAAAAAUCUCUAAUUCGUUAUCCAUAACCCAAAAGCCCUAGAAAAAUCCAAAAGAGAAGCACCUCCAUUAUUCCUCUACACAAAAUCAAAAUCUCCAUGCACAUCAUCAUAACCUCGACGAAGUCCCAAUAUUCCCAUUGAAGUCUCCUCUCAUGAAAAGUUUCUUAGUGCUCGGGAUGCCCCUCACUAUCUCAUUCAAAACCUCUAAAAGCCCUUCUUCUCUUCCUCGCCCAAACCUAAUUGCGGAGAAUAAACACUAAUAACAUUCACCGUAGUUCCUCCCAAGACCAACUUAAUAGAUAUCAGCCUAUCACUGACUUUUUUAACCUCUACCACCUACUCCCUAAGUUCUUCAUCUACUAAGAUACCUACCCCAUUUCUAUAUCUCAUGCUACCCGAGUACCAUAACUUAUAUCCAUCCACAUCUCUCACCUUAGUGCCUACCAUUUAUUUUCCUAGACACACUCUAUACUAACCCUUCAUUUUCCAAGAAUCUUCACCAGCUCUAUAGACUUACCUUGAAGCAUCUCUAUGUUCCAGGACGCAACUUUCAACCUAUAAGAAUCCUUAUCCAACUUUGCCCUAUGUGUGUGUUUCCUUGUGUCUAUGGUGAAUGAAGAAGUGAUUUGAAAGUGGAAUUGUGAAAGUUAUUAUUUCAAAAUAUUUAAAUGAAUUUUACAUUAUGAGAAUUGAUAUUCUUGAUGAACUGAAAAUGAUUGACAAAAUAUAUGAUGACUCACAUGUGUUAUUGUACUUAUUUCAUCCUCUCAUGAUUAUGAUGAUUUUCUUUGGGCUAAGUGAGUCUUUCAUACAUCCUGCAUAUUUCUUAUAAAUAUUUAUGAUGAUGAUGUUUAUACAACUGUAUACACCCCCAUAUACUCGGUUCCUUUCCAUGGUAUUGACCCACAUCUUCAAAUGUGGGCUGCAUUUUCUCGGAAUAUAGGUUUAGGUGCUUAGUUCCAGGUUCGACAGUGAUUCUUCAGGCACACUGUUCUACAUCCUCUGUUGUGGUGAGUCCUCAUGUUUCGAGGAUGUAAUGUCUGAUGUUGAUUUCACAAAAUUGUUUACAUUUGAUAACUGAGAAUGAGUCAGUUGGGGCAUGUCUUAAUGGCUCUCUAGUUUUAUUGAUUUUCCUAAAGGCUUGUUAGACUAGUAUAGAUGUUGGGAGUUGACUAAUAAGUCGUAUUUUGUUAUCUUUCUGAAAUUCUUAUAUUCUUGGAUGAUGAUUACUCUGUUGAUAUUUGAGGGUUAUUUGUGGAAACCCCGUUAUUUGUGUUGAGCUGAAUGAAAAUGGCUCAAAGGGUUAGCUUGGGGCUACUCGUAGCCUUAAGCACCGUCUGACGCUCUGGGACCCAGUUUUUGGGGCGUUACAAACUUGGUAUCAGAGCCUAAGGUUUUAAGGUGUCCUAGGGAGUCUGACAAGCCGCGUUAAGUAGAGUCUUGAUCAUCGGUGUGUAGCAUGCCACAUCUAUGAGCAAGAGGCUACAAGACGUUUUAGGAAAAAGUGUGAUUCUUUCUUUCAGAAGUCUAUCGUGCUUAAAUUGUCUCUCUCUGCUUUUGAUUUGUGCUCUCCUCUUUCAGAAAUAUGUCUCCACAUCGAGCGAGAAGAAAUAAUGAUGGUCAGCAACCUCAACCCGCUAACCCACUGAAUUAAAAUGUGUCUCAUGCUGAAUUUCGGGCAGCCUUUCAGGCGCUGGCCCAAGCUGUUACUGCAAAUAUUGAGGACAACCCGGCCCUAACUCCACAUCAGUAGGGAGGUGAUUCAGCUGCUGCUAGGAUCCAUGACUUCAUGCGGAUGAAUCCGUCGGAAUUCUAUGGGUCCAAGUGUGAUGAGGAUCCAUGGUUGUUUUUAGAGGAGGUUCAGAAGAUUACUCAGGUGAUGUAUGUAUCUGAGGAACAUACUGUGGAGUUGGCUGCGUAUAGGUUGAAAGACCUUACUUAUGACUAGGUUCUUGCUUGUAGGAAAGGUAGAGGUGAGGGAGCUGUCCUUACAACUUGGCAGAAGUUUCAGGAUGCAUUCCUGGAUAAGUUUUUCCCUUUGGAGAUGAGGGAGACGAAGGUGGAAGAGUUUAUGAACCUGCGAUAGGGCUCUAUGACUGUUAGGGAGUACUACCUAAAGUUCAAUCAGUUGGCCAAGUAUGCUCCUGACUUAGUGGCUGAUAAUCGGGCUAGUAUGAGUAAGUUUAUGACUGGAGUAUCUAGUUAUGUGGUUAAGGAGUGUAGGUAUGCUAUGCUAAAUAGUGAGAUGAAUCUUUCAUGGCUGAUGACUCAUUCCUAAUAGAUUAAGGCAGACAACAUUAAGGAGAGAGAUAGAAUGAGAGGGAAUAAGAGAGCUAGGUCCGAGUAGCACGGACAGGGUCAGACUAGAUUGUAGGGAGGGAGUUGCCCUCAGUAUCAGGAUCAUUCGUCUAUACCAGCACCGUCAUCUGCUGGUGGUCCCAUGCCUAGAGGUAGGCAGGAGAAAGGUAGCAGUUCAUAUGCAUCCAAGUCCCAGUAUAGUGCUGGCAGUAAGCCAAAUAGUCCCAUGUGUCCUAAGUGUGGUAGGGCUCAUUCGGGUGAGUGUUAGGGGUAAGAAGAGGGGUUGUUUUUGGUGUGGUGACAUGGGUCAUAGAGUUAGAGAAUUUCCACAGGAUGGACAACGGCGUCGUAACUAUUGCCCUUAGACCUAGACUCAGAUUGUGAGUGCUUCAAUUCCAGUGACUCGCCCAGCCCCAGCUCACGGGGUCUCUUCUAGCAAUGCUGGCGGGCAAAGCUAGAAUAGAUUCUAUGCUUUACCAUCCCACCAAGAAUAGGAGGACUCUCCCGGUGUUGUUACUGGUAUGCUUCGUAUAUUUCAGUUUGAUGUGUAUACUUUGUUGGAUCCUGGAUCUAGUUUCUCAUAUGUUACACCUUCGAUUGCUGUGAAUUUUGAAAUGAGUCCUGAGAUUAUUCAUGUGGCUAUCCUAGAUUCUACCCUAGUAGGUGAUUUGAUUAUUGCCCAAAAAGUGUAUAAAAAGUAUCCUAUUACCAUUCUUCAUAGAGUCUUGUUGUCUGAUCUAAUUGAGUUAGACAUGGUAAAUUUUGAUGUGAUUCUGGGUAUGGAUUGGCUGUAUUCUUCUCAUGCCUCUAUUGAUUGUAGGACCCGAGUGGUCAAGUUUUAGUUUUCGGGUGCAUCUGUGUUUGAGUGGUCUGGGAAUUCUGUGUCACCCAAGAGUCAUUUUAUCUCUUACCUCAAAGCUAGAAAACUUAUUUCCAAGGAGNNNNNNNNNNNNNNNNNNNNNNNNNNNNNNNNNNNNNNNNNNNNNNNNNNNNNNNNNNNNNNNNNNNNNNNNNNNNNNNNNNNNNNNNNNNNNNNNNNNNNNNNNNNNNNNNNNNNNNNNNNNNNNNNNNNNNNNNNNNNNNNNNNNNNNNNNNNNNNNNNNNNNNNNNNNNNNNNNNNNNNNNNNNNNNNNNNNNNNNNNNNNNNNNNNNNNNNNNNNNNNNNNNNNNNNNNNNNNNNNNNNNNNNNNNNNNNNNNNNNNNNNNNNNNNNNNNNNNNNNNNNNNNNNNNNNNNNNNNNNNNNNNNNNNNNNNNNNNNNNNNNNNNNNNNNNNNNNNNNNNNNNNNNNNNNNNNNNNNNNNNNNNNNNNNNNNNNNNNNNNNNNNNNNNNNNNNNNNNNNNNNNNNNNNNNNNNNNNNNNNNNNNNNNNNNNNNNNNNNNNNNNNNNNNNNNNNNNNNNNNNNNNNNNNNNNNNNNNNNNNNNNNNNNNNNNNNNNNNNNNNNNNNNNNNNNNNNNNNNNNNNNNNNNNNNNNNNNNNNNNNNNNNNNNNNNNNNNNNNNNNNNNNNNNNNNNNNNNNNNNNNNNNNNNNNNNNNNNNNNNNNNNNNNNNNNNNNNNNNNNNNNNNNNNNNNNNNNNNNNNNNNNNNNNNNNNNNNNNNNNNNNNNNNNNNNNNNNNNNNNNNNNNNNNNNNNNNNNNNNNNNNNNNNNNNNNNNNNNNNNNNNNNNNNNNNNNNNNNNNNNNNNNNNNNNNNNNNNNNNNNNNNNNNNNNNNNNNNNNNNNNNNNNNNNNNNNNNNNNNNNNNNNNNNNNNNNNNNNNNNNNNNNNNNNNNNNNNNNNNNNNNNNNNNNNNNNNNNNNNNNNNNNNNNNNNNNNNNNNNNNNNNNNNNNNNNNNNNNNNNNNNNNNNNNNNNNNNNNNNNNNNNNNNNNNNNNNNNNNNNNNNNNNNNNNNNNNNNNNNNNNNNNNNNNNNNNNNNNNNNNNNNNNNNNNNNNNNNNNNNNNNNNNNNNNNNNNNNNNNNNNNNNNNNNNNNNNNNNNNNNNNNNNNNNNNNNNNNNNNNNNNNNNNNNNNNNNNNNNNNNNNNNNNNNNNNNNNNNNNNNNNNNNNNNNNNNNNNNNNNNNNNNNNNNNNNNNNNNNNNNNNNNNNNNNNNNNNNNNNNNNNNNNNNNNNNNNNNNNNNNNNNNNNNNNNNNNNNNNNNNNNNNNNNNNNNNNNNNNNNNNNNNNNNNNNNNNNNNNNNNNNNNNNNNNNNNNNNNNNNNNNNNNNNNNNNNNNNNNNNNNNNNNNNNNNNNNNNNNNNNNNNNNNNNNNNNNNNNNNNNNNNNNNNNNNNNNNNNNNNNNNNNNNNNNNNNNNNNNNNNNNNNNNNNNNNNNNNNNNNNNNNNNNNNNNNNNNNNNNNNNNNNNNNNNNNNNNNNNNNNNNNNNNNNNNNNNNNNNNNNNNNNNNNNNNNNNNNNNNNNNNNNNNNNNNNNNNNNNNNNNNNNNNNNNNNNNNNNNNNNNNNNNNNNNNNNNNNNNNNNNNNNNNNNNNNNNNNNNNNNNNNNNNNNNNNNNNNNNNNNNNNNNNNNNNNNNNNNNNNNNNNNNNNNNNNNNNNNNNNNNNNNNNNNNNNNNNNNNNNNNNNNNNNNNNNNNNNNNNNNNNNNNNNNNNNNNNNNNNNNNNNNNNNNNNNNNNNNNNNNNNNNNNNNNNNNNNNNNNNNNNNNNNNNNNNNNNNNNNNNNNNNNNNNNNNNNNNNNNNNNNNNNNNNNNNNNNNNNNNNNNNNNNNNNNNNNNNNNNNNNNNNNNNNNNNNNNNNNNNNNNNNNNNNNNNNNNNNNNNNNNNNNNNNNNNNNNNNNNNNNNNNNNNNNNNNNNNNNNNNNNNNNNNNNNNNNNNNNNNNNNNNNNNNNNNNNNNNNNNNNNNNNNNNNNNNNNNNNNNNNNNNNNNNNNNNNNNNNNNNNNNNNNNNNNNNNNNNNNNNNNNNNNNNNNNNNNNNNNNGUGGUAUGAUGCAAGAGUUUAGUAUUCCUACCUGGAAGUGGGAAGAGAUAAAUAUGGACUUCGUAAUUGGUUUACCUCCUUCCCGACGCCAUCAUGAUUCUAUUUGGGUUGUGGUUGAUAGGUUGACUAAGUCUGCUCAUUUCUUGCCUAUUCAUACUUUGUAUAAUGCUGAGGAUUAUGCUAGAUUGUAUGUCUGAGAGAUAGUCUGACUACAUGGAGUUCCCUUGUCUAUCAUUUCGGAUAGGGGUACUCAGUUCACUUCACAAUUUUGGAAAGCUUUUCAGAAGGGUCUCGGUACCCAAGUGCUUUUAAGUUCUGCUUUUCAUCCGCAGACCGAUGGUCAGGCUGAGCUGGCCAUCCAAUCCUUAGAGGAUAUGUUGAGAGAUUGUGCACUUGACUUUAAGGGAAGUUGGGAUGAUCACUUACCGUUGAUAGAGUUUACUUACAAUAACUGUUUCCACUCUAGUAUUGGCAUGGCUCCCUUUGAAUCCUUAUAUGGGCGGAAGUGUAGAUCACCCAUAGGUUGGUUCGAGGUGGGUGAAGCGGCUGUGAGUGGUCCUGAUUCGGUAUUUGAGGCUAUGGGAAAGGUUGAAAACUGUACAGAGUCAUCAGAAGUCAUAUGCGGAUGUUAGAAGGAGAGACCUUGAGUUUGAAGUUGGUGACCUAUUGUAUUUGAAAAUUUCACCCAUGAGGGGGUGAAGAGAUUCGGAAAGUAGGGGAAGCUUAGUCCCCGUUAUGUUGGUUCUUACAAAAUUCUUAACUGUGCUGGUAAGGUAGCUUAUGAGGUCGAGUUGCCUUCCGAGUUGUCCUCUGUUCAUCCAAUAUUCCAUGUCUCCAUGCUUAGAAAGCAUAUUAGUGAUGUUGUGGUAGUGGAUUCCUCUGUGAGUGCUAACAUUCAAGAAAAUCUUUCUUUUGUUGAGAUUCUUGUUGAGAUUCUUGAUUUCAGUGUCCGAAGACUAAGGAACAAAGAAGUUCCCUUGGUCAAGGUGUUGUGGCGAAACCCAUCUGUUGAGAGUGCAACUUGGGAAGUAGAGGCGGAUAUGCGAUCCAAGUACCCGCACCUAUUUUCUGAAAACUUCAAUCAAGCCGAAGGUACCGUUCUUUCCGAAAUCAUGCACUUUUGAUAAAAGUUGCAGCAGUUCAGCUGUCAUUUAUUAUGUGUUCAGCUGUAGUUUCUUGAAUUUAUGCAUUCUAUGUUGCAUUCAAAGUGCGAAACGAUGUGUUGAUGAGUCAAACAAAUGUUUUCAGCUGUAUGCUAUAUUCACUAUCUAAUCUUGGCAUGUCUAGCAUCAUUCGAGGACGAAUGUUUCCAACGGGGGGAUGAUAUGAUACCCCGGAAAAUUUUUCAUUGAAAUUUUGUGCGUAAACGUGUUGGGUUCUAUCUUCUAGAAUGAAUUAUAAAUUUUUCGUGCGAAUGUCUUAGAUUAUGACCCACCAUUUCGUAUAGUAUCGAAUAAGUUUUCCAAAGAUAUAUGGAUCAUCAAAAAUGGACACCCAAGCGAUGAGUUAUGAACAUUCUGAUCGAACCGUGAAUAGUAGUGAACAGUAAAAUGUGCCGGAAAAAGUACUGAGGCCUGGCGUAUUUUUGCUCAAACUUUAAACGAUCAUAACUCUUUGUGCAUAAUGAUCUGGGUGAUCUACUAUAUAUCAACGGAAAGCUCUACGAGUCCUCUUUCCAAUGAAAUUGGUUUCAUUGAAUUUUUCUAAUGGAGCAAAACGUUAUGGUUGAUCUACUUCAGACUAUCAAAACAGUCCACCAAAGGACAGAUUCGAGAAUUAUUUGAUUUUUAGGGGAGUUUUGGUCACUCCCCUUCACCCAAAAUCCGUCCAAACCCUAUAUUAAAGUCUAUUAGAAGCAUUAUAUGGUAUAUUUCAUCAAAUUCCUGCAAAAAGAAAACCCUAAGCUCCUACAUCCAACUUCAAGAACCUACAAAGUUCACCAUUAAUUCUGCAAAUUUAUUAGAGAUUCCAAGUUCCUAGUUUGAAGAACUCUAAGAACCAUCAUUCAAAGGCAAUAUUAACAUCUCAAAAAUGAGUAUUGAUCUAAAGUUCAUCAUUCAAGGUAUGUGGGGUUUUUCAACAAGAACUCUCUUUCGUUCUUGUGCCCAAAAGUAAUUUUCUUUACAAAGGCAUGAUUUUUAUUUGAUUUUUACGAAUUUAAAGCAUGAACCCAUAUCUUAUGAUGAUUAUUAUGAAAUCUUGAUGUUUAUGAUUUUGAAAGAUGAAUUUACAUGUGUGGAGAUAUAAAGCAUGUUUAAUGAUUUGACCUUAUGGUCUUAAUGGAGUUAUUUUGAAUUCGAGUGUGAAAGAAAUCCACAACGUGGUUGAUUUUGAUAGAUGGGAAGCAUGAUGGCUCCCGAUGUAUAUUUAUAUAUUACUAAAAUUGUUUUGUUCUAGAUUGUCUUUGAAAUGAUCUUAGCUAAGUCCGUGAGAAAUCUUUAGCACCGAGUGGGAGGUAUAAAGCGAUCUUACUUCCCUUGAACUACGAGCCCCCGUAGGAGUGAGUGUGAGGCUGAUUUAUAUAGUGAUCAGUAGUUUGUGUGGAUUUGAUAUCGAUAGUCCUACUCCGAUGGAAAGGAUAGGACGACUCUCCCCAACGUGGGUUGUACGUUGGACUCCAUGUAGCUCAUAUGGUUUAUGUAGGUUAUAGGAUCUCCCUCUGUGUGUAUGUUUCCUUGUGUCUAAGGUGAAUGGUGAAGUGAUUGGAAAGUGGAAUAGUGAAAGUUAUUCUUUCGAAAGAUUUAAAUGAUAUUUACAUUAUGAGAAUUGAUACUCUUGAUGAACUGAAAGUGAUUGACAAAUUAUAUGAUGACUCACACGUGUUAGUGUACUUAUUUCGUCCACUCAUUAUUAUGUUUAUUUUCUUCGGGCUAUGUGAGUCUUGCAUACAUCCUACAUAUUUCUUAUAAAUAUUUAUGAUGAUGAUGUUUAUACAACUUCAUACACCUCCAUAUACUCGGUUCCUUUCCAGAAUCACCAAUACACUUCUUAAGCAUAGAAACAUGAAAUACCGGAUGAAUGCUAGACAACUCCGUGAGUAAAUCCACCUUAUAAGCUACUUUCCCAACACGGCUCAGAACCCUGUAUGGACCAACAUAACGGGGAUCCAGCUUUCCCUUCUUCCCAAAUCUCUUCACCCCUUUCAUGGGUGAAACCUUCAAGUACACCAAAUCAUUAACAUUAAACUCAAGAUAUUUUCUUCUCACAUCCGCAUAUGACUUCUGAUUACUUGGAGUAGUUUUUAAUCUUUCUCAAAUCAACUUAACGUUUUCCAUCGCCUCAAACACAGUAUCCAACCCAAUCACAGCUGCUUCUCCUACUUCAAACCAACCUAUGGGUGAUCUACAUCUUCUCCCAUACAAAGCUUCGAACGAGGUCAUAUAAAAGUAUCAUGGAAACUAUUAUUACACGCAAAUUCGAUCAAUGGAAAGUGGUCAUCCCAGCUACCUUUGAAAUCAAGCGCACAUGCCCUUAACCUGUCCUCCAAAGUCUGAAUAGUUCUCUCAGCCUGACCAUCGAUCUGCGUAUGAAAAGUAUAACUUAGAUGAACUAGGGUACCGAGACCCUUCUGAAAAUCCCUCUAAAACUAGGAACUAAACUGAGUACCCCUAUCAGAGAUUAUAGGCAAAGGAACUCCAUGCAAUCUGACUAACUCAUGGAUAUACAAUCUAGCAUAAUAUUGAGUUGUAUAAGGCGAAUGCACUGGCAAGAAAUGAGCUAAUUAAGUCAACCGGUCUAUGACAAUCCAAAUCAAAUCAUGAUGACGACGAGAAGGAGGCAAACUAAUUACAAAAUCCAUAUUCACUUCUUCCCACUUCCAAGUAGGAAUGCCAAACUCUUGCAUUACACCACUGGGCCUCUAGUGCUCUACCUUAACUUAUUGGCAAGUAAAACACUUUUCCACAAAUCCUGCUAUGUCUUUCUCAUACUGUUCCACCAAUAGAUUUCCCGCAAAUCGUGGUACAUCUUGGUAGCACUGAGAUGAAUAGAAUAUCUCGCCCCAUAUGCUACAGCCAUAAUUCCCUGCCUCAAAUCAUCAACAUUCGAAACACAUAGUCUACUUUGUAAUCUCAAUACACCAUCUCCCCCUUGGGAGAAAAUGUCUACCUUCUGGUCCUUAACUGACUCCUUCAGUCUGAUCAAACUAGGAUCCCUGUCCUGCUUCUCCUUUACCUCUGAGACCAAAGAGGACUCAGAACUACUCUGAGCUAACUUACUCCCUUCAGUGGAAUCAAGCAAUCUAACACCCAACCUAGCCAAAUGACAUGCAUCAUGAGCCAAUUCUUUCUUAUCAUUAUCUGCAUGAGGUAUACUACCCAUAGACAACCUGCAAAGAGAAUCUGCCACAACAAUGACCUUGCCCAGGUGAUACAUCAUACUCAUAUUAUAGUUUUUUAGAAACUCUAACCUUCUUCUUUGUCUAAGGUUCAAAUCCCUCUGAGUAAACACAUACUGUAGGUUUUUGUGAUCACUAAACACAUCAACAUGAACACCAUACAAAUAUUAUCUCUAGAUUUUUAAAGGAAAAACUACAGCUGCUAAUUCAAGAUCAUGGGUUGUGUAAUUAUUCUCAUGGGGCUUCAAUUGUCUAGAGGCAUAAGCUAUAACUUUACCCCUCCGUAUCAACACAAACCAACCCUAGAAGCAUCGCAGUACACCACAAGAUCAUCAAUACCAUUGGGUAAAGCUAACACUGAGGCUGAAGUAAGUCUAGUUUUCAACUCUUGAAAACUCUUCUCACAGGCAUCUAUCCACUGGAACUUAACUUUCUUUUGGGUCAACUGGUUUAUGGGGGAUGUGAUAGAAGAUAAUGCCUUAACAAAAUGAUGGUAGUAACCAGCUAGACCCAAGAAACUCCUAAUAUCAGAUGAGGAGGUAAGUCUAGGCCAAUUCUUCACAGCUUUUGUCUUUUAAGGAUUUACUCUAAUAACUUUGGAAGAAAUAAUAUGACUCAGAAAAGCAACUAACCUUAACCAAAAUUCACACUUGCUAAAUUUAGUGAAUAAUUGAUGAGCUCUAAGGGUUUCCAACAUGAUUCGAAGAUGAUCCACAUGGUCAUCCUCACUUCGAAAAUAUACAAGAAUAUCAUCUAUGAAUACAAUAACAAACAAAUCCAGAUACCGCUUGAAUACUCGGUUCAUAAGAUCCAUGAAAGCCGCUACAGCAUUGGUUAACCCAAAGGACAUGACAAGAAACUUAAAAUGACCAUAGCAGGUUCAGAAAGCUGUCUUUGGAAUAACACACUCUCUCAUUUUAAGCUGAUGAUAGCCGGAUCUAAGGUCUAUCUUUGAGAAAUAACUUGCACCCUGUAGCUGAUCAAAUAAAUUAUUGAUUCUACGAAGAGGGUACUUGUUCGUAAUAGUCACCUUUUUGAGUUGAUGGUAGUCAACGUACAUACGCAAUGUACCAUAUUUCUUCUGCAUAAAUAGAACAGGUGCACCCCAAGGGGAAAAACUGGGUCUGAUAAAGCUUUUUUUAAGAGAUCUUUGAUUUGAUCCUUCAACUCUUUAAGUUUUGUAGGAGCCAUAAAGUAUGGAGGGAUGGAAAUAGGCUAAGUGCCAGGAAGGAGAUCAAUCUCGAAUUCUAUUUCUCUAUCAGGUGGGACCCCUGGAAGGUUUUCCAGGAAAACAUCAAGAAACUCUUUAACAGUGCUAACAGACUAAUAGUCGGAGUCUCGGACUUGAGGUCUUUAACUCAAACUUGAUGAUAGAUGGAACCCUUGGAAAUCAGCUUCCUAGCUUUCAGGUAGGAUAUAAAAUGUCUCUUCAGAGUUACAAAACUCUCAAACCACUCAACUACGGGUUCGUUAGGAAACUAAAACUUGACCACUCGGGUACGACAAUCUAUAGAUGCAUAGUACGAGUGAAGCCAAUCUAUACCAAAAAUAAAGUCAAAAUCAAGCAUAUCUCACUCAAUCAAAUCAACACAUAUGACCCAAUGAAGGACAAUAACAGGACACUUCUUAUACACUCGCUUAGCAAUAACAGACUCUCCUAUUGAGGUAGAAACCAGAAUAGGCUCAGGAAUCCAUUUAGGGUUUAUCUCAAAAUUUAUAGCAACAAGAGGUGUCACAUAAGAUAAACUUGAAUCGGGGACCAUCAAUACAUACACAUCAAAAUGAAAGACACGGAGCAUACCAGUGACAAUAUCUAGAGAAUUCUCCUGCUACUGGUGAGGUGGUAUAGCAUAGAAGCAAUUCUGGCAUGAACCGCCAACAGUACUAGAAGAGGCGCCCUGAGAAGGAAUAGGAUGGACUAUGAAAGAGGGGGUACUGGUAGCCUGACUCUGGGGACAAGCAUCUUGACUCCCCUAUCUAGUAUACGAAUAACCUCUAAGUUGGUGGCCCAACUUGACACAACCAAAGCAACUACCUUGAUCAACAAAACACUCACUAAAAUAAUCUCUACCAUACUUGGCAUAUGAAUGAGGACGAGGUCUGUUACUUACACUUUCCUGAGACCUAAUGAGAUAAGCCUGUUCCCCUACUCCUGCUUGCUUCUAGGUGUGGGUGCACUAAUUGAGGAAGGCACAGGUAUAAACGGAUGUCUCUGGAAUUGAGGGUGUUCCCCUCCAUAGAAUCUGGACUGAUAGAAUCCCUGUUGCUCUUAUCUAUCUCUUUUAUUCCCUCUUACUCCCUCCUUCUCUUUCACCUUAUCAGCUUUAAUCUGUUGGACAUGUAUCAUCAACCGAGAAAAGUACAUCUCCCUAUUAAGCAUUGCAGAUCUACACUCNNNNNNNNNNNNNNNNNNNNNNNNNNNNNNNNNNNNNGGUUAUAGAGUCAGCCAUCAUACUAGGUGCUUAUUCGGACAACUGAUUGAAUCUAAGGAGAUACCCCUUAAAAGUCAUGGAGCCUUGUCUCUUUCCUUCCCUAAUCUCAAGAGGAAAGAAUUUGUCCAAGAACAUAUCCUGGAAUAACUACCAAGUCAUGGGAGAGGCAUCCUCCCCUCUACUUUCCCUCCACAACUCCACCCAAUCAUAUGCAAUAUCUUUCAUUCGAUAGGCAGCCAAUUCAACACUCUCCUCUUCUAUUAGGUGCAUAAUCUGGGUGAUCUUUCUCACUUUAUCCAAGUAUAUUUGUGGGUCUUCACCUACCUUUGACCCAUAGAACUCAAGAGGAUUCAUCCAUAUAAAGUCACAAACCCGAGCUACAGAAAAAUUAUUCUCUUGCAGAGGUGGAAUAGUAGCCUGGUUGUUAGAUUAAGUAUUGGCGGUAACUGCCCGGGCUAGCGCCUGAAAAGCUACCCGAAAUUCUGCAUGUGCCAUAUGCUUGUAUAGGGGAUCAAUAGGUUAAGGUUACUUAUUGUUUUUAUGAGGUCGAUGAGGAGGUAUUUUCUGUCAUAAGGGAGCACGAAUUCUGCUCUCAUAGCCUCUUGCUCAUAGAUGUGGCUCGCUACACACUGAUGAUCAAGACUCUACGUAAUGCGGCUUGCUAGAGUUACUAGGACACUUUAAACCUUAGGAUCUGAUACUAAGCUUGUAACGCCCCAAGAUCCCAUCCCGAGAUAUCACGUGGUGCUUAAGGCCACACGCCGCCUUAAGCUAACCCUCUAAACUUGUCAUCACUUCUAGAACUCACUUUGACAGUGGUCAUGCUGAUAUAAGAGAGAAUGACAUAUCAUAAAAAUACUGGAAUAACAUACGAAACUACCCUAUACAAUCCAAAAUACUAAAAUUCUAUUCAUAUCAACCCAUUAGCCUGACAAAGCCUCUAUACAACAAAAUCAAUGAGACAUUGGGACAAACCCCCAACUGACUCAAACAAUACUGAAAGCCAUAACAACCAAACGGUAUCACAAACUUAUAAACACGAUCCUCGAACCAUUAGGAAUCACCACUGAGAAGACAAAAAGAGGCACCUGAAUAUCGCUAAUGCGGCUGAGUACCUGAACCUGUAUUAUGAGAAAAUAUAGCCCAUAGGAAAAUAUGUGGAUUAGCACUUUGGAAUGUACUGAGUAUGUGGAGGUACAUGCAACAAUGUAAAUAUCGUCAUCAAUUUCAUGAAAAUAUACAUAUGUACAAUGACAACUCACUUGGCUUGAGUUAGAUUGAAACAUACUUUUCAUGAUCUGUAACACCCCGUAUUUCGGGCUACAAUAUAGACCAUGAUUCUGAUGUGUUGAUAAAUCCCGAAGCCAUAAAAUCCUAUGCCAAUACGGUAUAUUAAUUAUUUGUGUAUCAUGUGAAUAAAUUCAAGCUUUAUUUUAGACCAUAGAGGUCCUUCAACUCAAAGACGAAUUGAAACUAUUUCGAUCGACUAAGUUUUAGUAGACGUUGUAAAGUGUGUCAGCUUCCAUCGACCAUAACUCUCUGUAUAUGUCGAAUUAGGGAGCCUACUAUGUGUCAAAUGAUAGGACAUCAAGUUAUCAUUCCAACAAUACUAAUUUUGCUAGAAUCCAACACCCGAGCAAGAAGUUAUGGACUUUUAAAAUGAUAUGCGUCGCCUAACCAAUCGUCCAUAGCCACUGGAAAGCAUAGGCGAUAGCCUAGGUGGCGCCUAUGUAAACAUAGGCGAUGGGAUGGGCGGCGCCUAUGUAAAGAAUUCAAGUGACUUAAACACUCCGUUUUGGGGACAAAAUGGUCCUUUUCCACCCUUACUUAGCCCUAAAAUACGAAAUUCAGUUCCAAGGACCCCAAAAUACACCUUCAUUCAUCAAAAGUGCUCAAAUAUUCUCCUUUGUGUUUCAAAAUAAAAACCCAAGCAACUCGAGAUUCAACUGGGGGCUUUAGGAACAAAUUUCAUAUUUGGAAUCCUCUCAACGUAGGCUUCAAGAAACAUCUAAUAUUUGUAGUAAUCGAGGUACGUGGGGUUAUCCUAAAAUAUCAUGGGUGUAUUUUUUAUGAACAUGCAUGCUUUUAAAUAGGGGUUUUCAAUCAAAUGCUAAUAACUUGCUUUCAAUAUGAUUUCUAAGUCAUUUUUCUUUUUCAAAUUCCCAUGAUAAUGUCUUAAUACACCAUAUCGUAUUGUGACCAACAAAAGAGAGCAUGAAUUUGAAAUAAUUAUUGUUCGCCACUUGUAAAUGAUGAAGCACCUUAGUUUUUACAUGAUUAUGCAUAUGUGGAAGUGAUAUUGAGAACUUGCAAGUCGGGUAUGACAUACCCUACAGAAUAUGAUAUGUGAUCAAAUUGAUUUUACAUGAGAUAGGUGGAUGCUCGAAGAAGGCGUUUGAGUGUAAGGGCUCAUCGCUGGAAAUCGUGUUUGCCGACAUGGAAAUUUGGUAACAGUCUAAGUGAUCUUGUGUACUUGACUUUAUGUCAUUCCCAAAUUGGGACUAUAGGUAGGAGCCCGGGCUAAGUGAUAUUGGGCACUACCAUUGGGUCAAGACACCAUGCUUCAUGGUCUUGUGUGUCUCUCCCUUACUUAUAAUCUAAUCUCAAUGGAAACCGAGGUUUUAUAGUUGGUGUAAAUUAUAUAGGGUGUUCCACCUAGCUCAGUUGCAUUUCAUUGUUGUUGAGAAACUAUUGCAUUACGCCCAUGUGUUUACAAAUGAUUUGAUACUAAAUUGCUUUACAAUGGCUCUCAACUAUAUUUUGUAAAAUCAAAAUAUUAUUUUUUUUUUAUAUCCCUGUGUGCCAGUACUUUUGUGCUAACCCCCUCCCCUCUCCAACCUCUCAAGUUUAGAGGCUCAGUCUAGGGGUCAAGAGAAUCAGUAGAUCUUUCAGACAGAGUUGCAGAGAUAAGUGGUGAGCCUUCUUUGUUUCGGAAGGUCUUAUGUCCUGCAGUCCUUUUAUCUUAUAUUUAGUUUUGGGGUCUACUGGGGGCCUUGUCCAAGUUUAUAUACAGUUACUUGACUCAAUCAUUUGUUAGAGAUUUUCGUAGACAGUUGUUUAGAGGUUGAUUGAUAUCGGGGGAACCUUAUUUCCCCCUUAUUGUUUCUUUUAAUAUUUAUGACCAUGUUUCUGAAUUAUUGUGUUUCUUCCACAUUAAUUUGAUCAUAUGAAUUAGUUGUAUGAUUACCAGAUAGAUAGGGGUGUUUUGGGCGUUCAUGGUUCGAAAUGCUCGUCAUGGCUAGGCCCUGGUUCGGGUCGUGACAAACUUGGUAUCAGUGCACAGUUUAUGAUCCCAAGGUAUCUGCAAAAUCACGUUGGGUAGAGUCCUGUUUAUGGGUGUGUAGCGCGCCACACUUAUAAGCAGGAGACUGGUAGGCAUUUAGGAAAUGUUUCCCUUCUUUGUGAUUAAGUUUGUGCUUUAGAGUCUGAAUUGUCCCCUAAUCAAUGAUCACUUGUAUUUCAGAAACACAGUUAUGUCUCCACGUCGUAUUAUCGAUCAGAAUGCUCAGGAAGAUGAGGUCCGUCCGACCCAUAGGUUGCAGAAUCAUAAUAGGGCUCACAAUCCAGAAUUUUCCCUACUCCGGGAGUCCCUUCAGUCCCAACCAGACUAUCUCGAGCUCCGUAGACUAAUGUCAACCAUCCCCCAACUGCUCAGGGAGAUAUUUCAAACGCAGAAUUCAGAUUGUUUAUUCAUAUGCUAACACAGUUAGUAGCUAACCAGGCUCAAUGAUCGGAAGGUUUUGGUUCUGCAUCUGUUACGUCUGAGGCUACUAGAGUUGGAUAUAUCAUGAAGAUGAACCCACCUACGUUCACUGGAACCAAAAAGAUCCACUAGAGCUCGUGGAUGAGGUUAAAGGGGUAAAACUAGCAACCUAUCAGCUCAAGGACGUUGUGAAUUAGUGGUAUACUGAUUGGGAAGAUGCAAAAGGCAAGAGUGUUGAGCCCACAGUUUGGGGCGAAUUUGUGGAAGCUUUCCUUGAUCGAUUUAUUCCUUUGGAGUUGAAGGAUACCAAAGCGGAAUAGUUUAUAAAUCUAAAGCAGGGCAGUAUGAGUGUCCAGGAGUACACUUUGAAGUUUAAUAAACUAGCCCGCAAUGCACCAGAGUUGACUAGUAAUAUGAGAGCUUGAAUGAGGAAAUUUUCAUUUGGCCUUGCUCAUAACCUGGUAGUUGAGUGCCAGGAGGCUAUUUUGAAUAAGGAGUUAGACUUUUCUCGACUGACCGUUCAUAUGCAGCACGUGAAAAAGAUUGUUGAAUCUAGAGAGAAAGAUAGACAGGCUAAGAGAGCUAGAUCUGUGGACCAGUACCAGAGUCAGCUACAGAGUGGUAACUGGGUAAUAAGUAGUCAAAGAAGAAGUUUUGGAAUAAUUAACAGUCAGCUGCCAGCGUCCAGCACCUAGACAAUGGACAGACAGACAAACUCAGAGUUUUCAGACUCCUCAUGGAUACAAAGCUCUAGGUACACAGUCUCAGGGCAGUGUGGCCCAGCAGUUUUGUACUUAUCCAAAGUGCGAGGUUUAUGGAAGGAAUCAUCUAGAGAAGUGCUGGUUUGAGGGGAGAAACUGCUAUACUUAAGGCAAAGUGGGUCACCUUCAGAGAGACUGUCCUUUUGCUGGAGAAAAUAAGGAGGGGGGGGGGGGAUAAGUCUCAAGACGCUUCCACAGAUACUCUUCCUAAGGGUGCCUCUUCAGCUGUCGGGAGCGGUCGCAACCAGUUAUAUGCUUUGACCAACCGCCAGGAGGUAUAAGUUUCCCCAGAUGUUGUUACCGGUACGUUACAAAUUUUUUCCCGUGAUGUUUAUGUGUUACUUGAUCCCGAGUCUACUUUAUCUUAUGUGACCCCCUAUGUGACUGUUGGUUUUGGGUUUGAGCCCGAAGUCAUUAAAGAACCCUUCACUGUUUCCAUGCCUAUAGGUGAUUCUGUUAUUCCUAGAAGGGUGUAUAGAAAUUGUGUCGUGUCUAUUCAUAGUAGGAAAACUGUGGCAGACCUUAUAGAACUUGAUAUGAUAGAUUUUGAUGCCAUCCUUGGGAUGGACUAGCUCCAUUCAUGCUAUGCCACACUCGAUUGCAGGACCUGAAAAGUCACUUUUUCUUUCCCGAAUGAGACACCAAUUGUAUGGGUAGGGAGUUCUGUUGAUCCUAGAGGUCACUUUUUCUCUUAUCUUAGAUCCCUAAAGCUUAUCUCCAAAGGUUGUAUGUAUCAUGUAAUUCGAGUAAAAGAUUCAAAAGCUGAAAAUCUUCCUCUGCAGUCAGUCCCUGUAGUGAAUGAAUUCCCAGAAGUCUUUCCCGAGGAUCUCCCAGGGAUACCCCCUGAUAGAGAGAUAGAUUUUGGCAUUGAUGUGUUGCCAGACACUCAUCCUAUUUCUAUUUGGCCAUAUAGAAUGGCUCCCGCGGAACUAAAGGAGUUAAAGAAACAGCUUGCAGACCUCCUAGACAAAGGUUUUAUUCAUCCUAGGGUUUCCCCAUGGGGUGCACCCAUGCUCUUUGUGCAAAACAAGGAUGGGUCCCUUUUAUGUGCAUAGACUACCGCCAGUUGAAUAAGGUCACGAUUGAAAAUAAAUAUCCUCUUCCGAGGAUUAUCAACCUUUUUGAUCAGCUUCAGGGUGCCAAGUUUUUUCAAAAAUAGAUCUUCGUUCGGGUUAUCAUCAGUUGAAAGUUAGGGAGUCAGACGUUCCCAAGAUAGCCUUCCAAACCCGAUAUGGUCAUUUCGAAUUUCUAGUCAUGUUAUUCGAGUUGACUAACGCCCUUGCAACCUUCAUGGAUCUUAUGAAUAGAGUGUUCCGUCAGUUUCUUGACUUGUUCGUCAUUGUAUUUAUUGAUGAUAUUCUGAUCUAUUCUAAGAGUAAAGAGGAUCACACCAAUCACCUCCAAAUUAUUCUUCAGACCCUUAAGGAUCAUCAGUUGUAUGCCAAGUUUUUUAAGUGUGAAUUCUGGUUAGAUGCUAUUGCCUUCCUGGGGCAUAUUAUGUCCAGUGACGGGAUAAGAGUGGAUCCCCAGAAAGUUGAAUUAGUGAGAAAAUGUCCCAGACCCAUGACUCUAACCGAUAUUCAAAGUUUUUUUGGUUUGGCGGGGUAUUACAGAAGGUUCGUAGAGAUUUUUUCUUCCAUAGCUUCUCCGCUUACUAAACUAACUCAAAAAAAUAUGAAGUUUGUGUGGUCCGACUUGUGUGAAAACAGUUUUGAGAAGUUGAAGGACAAGCUGAUUACUGCUCCUGUUUUGACCCUUCCCGAGGGUGUAGAUGAUUUUGUGGUUUAUUGUGAUGCAUCCCGUGUGGAACUUGGUUGUGUAUUAAUGCAACGUGGUAAGGUGAUAGCUUAUGCAUCUAGGCAGUUAAAGGUGAAUGAGUGUAAUUACCCCACUCAUGACUUGGAGUUAGCAGCUGUGGUGUUUGCACUUAGAAUCUGGAGGCACUAUCUCUAUGGAGUGCCUGUGGAUAUUCAUAUUGACCAUAAGAGUUUGCAGUAUGUUUUCUCAUAGAAAGAAUUGAACCUCAGGCAGAGGCGUUGGAUGGAGCUUUUGAAAGACUAUGAUAGGUGUCUGCAUUACCAUCCAAUCAAGGUAAAUGUUAUAGCUUACUCCCUCAGCAGGUUGUCUAUGGGCAACCUUUCUCAUGUAGAAGAUGGAAAGAAAGAGAUGGUGAAGGAUAUUCACCACCUUGCAAAUCUGGGAGUGCUACUCUUAGAUUCCAAAGAUGGACGGGUGAUUGUUCAUGAGUUAGCUAAGUCAUCCCUUUGUGCUGAAGUUAAGGAGAAGUAGGUUAAAGAUCCCAUCUUGAUGCAAAUCAAGAAAGAUGUGAGUAAACAAAAGGAUAUGCCAUUUGAAAUUAAUGGUGAUGGUAUUCUAAGAUUCCAGGGUAGGUUGUGCGUUCCGAAUGUUGAUGGGCUGUGGGAAAGAAUCCUUAAUGAGGCGCACACUUUGAGGUAUGUCGUUCACCCAGGCUCUACUAAGAUGUACCAUGAUCUGAAAACCUUGUAUUGGUGGAUUAACAUGAAACGUGAUGUAGCAGAUUUUGUGUCGAAGUGUUUGAACUGUCAAUAAGUGAAGGUAGAACACAUGAGGCCAGGUGGUACUUCCCAAUAGAUAGCGCCUUUAUUGAAGUGGGAGAUGAUAAACAUGGACUUCAUUACAGGACUUCUAAGAUCCUGAAACCAGUAUGAUUCUAUAUCGGUGAUUGUAGAUCGGUUGACAAAGUUAGCCCACUUUUUGCCUGUGAGGAGUAAUUAUUUGGGAGAGUGUUAUGCUAAGAUUUACAUUGACGAGAUAGUUCGGUUGCAUGGGGCACCGGUGUCCAUUAUAUCUGAUAGAGUAUGUAGUUUUCAUCUCUAUUCUAGAGAUCUUUUCAAAAGGGUUUAGGUAUACAAGUGAAUUUGAGCCAGCUUUCCACCCUCAGAUGGAUGGGCAAGCUGAGCGUACCAUUUAGACCCUCGAGGAUAGAUGAGCGUGUUAUUAAUUUCAAAGGUAGUUAGGUAGAUCAGCUGCCACUGGUUGAAUUCACUUACAAUAAUAAUUACCAUGCCAGCAUCAAGAUGGCUCCUUUUGAGGCUCUGUAUGAAAGGAGAUAUAGGUCUCCGAUAGGAUGGUAUGAAGUGGGUGAGACCCAGUUGUAUGGGCCUAAUCUUGUUCAUCAGGCGAUGGAGAAAGUGAAGAUCAUUAGAGAAUAACUCAAGACUGCUCAGAGUCGUCAGAAGUCCUAUGCCGAUGUUCGGAGAAGAAAACUAGAGUUUAAAGUAGGUGAUUGGGUGUUUCUCAAGGUUUCUCCUGUGAAAGGAGUUAUGCGGUUUGGAAAAAAAGUUAAAUUGAUCCCUCGCUACAUAGGGCCAUAUCAAAUUCUGAAAAAGAUUGGUACAGUUGCUUGCAAGUUUGGGUUUCGUUCAUUCGGUAUUCCAUGUAUCCAUGUUGAUAAAAUGCAUUGGAGAUCAUUCCCUGGUAUUGCCAGUAGAGGGUAUCAAAGUAACAAACUACUUGUCUUACGAAGAAGAGCCCAUUGAAAUUUUAGAUCGCCAAGUUCAAAAGCCGAGGAGCAAAGAGAUAGCCUCAGUAAUGUUACUAUGGAGGAAUCAAAAAGUCGAAGAAACAACUUGGGAGUCAGAAUAUGACAUGAGAAUUAGAUAUCCCAAUUUUUUUUCUUCGAUGAAGGAUGAGACAGAAGGUACUAUUCCUAUCUUAUCUUUCCUAGUCCUUUAUUAUGCUUGAAAUUGUGUCUGUCUAUGACCUGCAUCAUCAUUCGGGGAUGAAUGAUCCUAAGGGGGGAUAAUGUAAUGCCCCACAUUUUGGGCUACAAUAUAGACCAUGAUUCCGAUGUGUUGAUAAAUCUCGAAGACAUAAAAUCCUAUGCCAAUACGGCAUGUUAAUUAUUUUUGUAGCAUGUGAAUCCAUUCAAGCUUGAAUUUAGACCAUAGAGGUCCUUCAACUCAAGGACGAGUUCAAACUAUUUCAAUAGACUAUGUUUUAGUGGAUAUUGUAAAGUGUGUCAGCUUCCAUCUACCAUAACUCUCUGUAUAUGUCGAAUUAGGGAGCCUACUAUGUGUCAAAUGAUAGGUCUUCGAGUUAUCUUUCCAACGAUACCAAUUUUCCUAAAAUCCGACACCUAAGCAAGAAGUUAUGGCCUUUCAAAAUGAUAUGCGUUGCCUAACCAAUCUCCCAUAACCACUGGAAAGCAUAGGCGAUAGCCUAGGGGGCACCUAUAUAAACAUAGGCGAUAGCCUAGGUGGCGCCUAUGUAAACAUAGGCAAUAGGAUGGGCGACGCCUAUGUAAAGAAUUCAAGAGACUUAAACACUCCGUUUUGGGGAUAAAAUGGUCCUUUUCCACCCUUACUUAGCCCCAAAACACGAAAUUCAGCUCCAAGAACCCAAAAUACACCUUCAUUCAUCAAAAGUGCUCAAAUAUUCUCCUUAGGGUUUCAAAAUAAAAACCCAAGCAACUCAAGAUUCAACCGGGGGUUUUAGGAACAAAUUGCAUAUUUGGAAUCCUCUAAACGUAGGCUUCGAGAAGCAUCUAAUAUUCAUAGUAAUCGAGGUACGUGGGGUUAUCCUAAAAUCUCAUGGGUGUAGUUUUUAUGAACAUGCAUUCUUUUAAAUGGGGGUUUUCAAUCAAAUGCUAAUAACUUGCUUUCAAUAUGAUUUCUAAGUCAUUUUUCUUAAUGUUAUGGGAAUCCUUUGCCUAUAUACUUCAAUGGUUAAAACGAUGCAUAUGUAAUUUGAGAUUUUCCAUGGAAUUUUGAUAAAUAUGAAUGAUUAAUUGCUUUCAAAUUCCCACGAUAAUGUCUUGAUACCCCAUAUCAUAUUCUGAUGAAUUUGAAAUAAUUAUUGUUCACCACUUGUAAAUGAGGAAGCACCUUAGGUUUUACAUGAUUAUGCAUAUGUGGAAGUGAUAUUGAGGACUUGCAAGUCAAGUAUGAUGAUACCCUACAAAAUAUGAUAUGUGAUUGAAUCAGAUAGGGUAUUCCACCUAGCUCAAUUGCAUUUCAUUGUUGUUGAGAAACUAUUGCAUUACUCCCAUGUAUUUUCAAAUGAUUUGAUACAAAAUUGCUUUACAAUGGCUCUCAACUAUAUUUUGUAAAAAAAAAAUAAUAUUAUGUUUUGUUUUGAUAUCUCUGCGUGCCAGUACUUUUGUGGUGACCCCCUCUCCUCUCCAACCUCUCAGGUUCAGAUGCCCAGUUUAGGGGUCAAGAGUAUCAGCAGAUCAUUCAGAUAGAGUUGCAGAGACAAGUGCUGAGCCUUCUAUGUUUCGGAAGGUCUUAUGUCCUGCAGUCCUUUUAUCUUAUAUUUAGUUUUGGGGUCUACUGGGGGCCUUGUCCCAGUUUAUAUACAGUUACUUGACUUAGUCAUCUGUUAGAGAUUUUCACAGACAGUUGUUUAGAGGUUGAUUGAUGUCGGGGGAACCUUAUUUCUCCGUUAUUGUUUCUUUUCAUAUUCAUGACCAUGUUUCCUAAUUAUUGUGUUUCUUACGCAUUACUUUGAUCUUAUGAACUAGGUGCAUAAUUACCAGAUAGAUAGGGGUGUUUCAGGCCUUCACGGUUCGAAAUGCUCGCCACGGCCAGGCCCUGGUUUGGGUCGUGAGAUGAUCUCAUCGUAAUAAAUCAUAUGAUAAAAACCUCAUAAAUCAUCAUAAACAACUUAAUUCUUCAACUCAAGAAUCGAAGGGACCUGUAAUUCAAGAAACUCAACUCGUAUAGACAUGGGAGUUUCUUAUAAUCAACAUAAACUAUGUGAGCUACAUGGAGUCCAACGUUUUACCGUCCUAAGGAGAGUACCCCACAUUGGCGGGAGAGUCAUACUCUUGCCAGGGAGUACAACCUAAAUUUAGUGAUCACAAUCUCAUACUCAGCCUCCGGCCCACAAUUACCAAUAUCAAUCCUAUGGUGGCACGUAGUUUUGGGGAAAAUAUCAUAUUUCCCUCUCGGUGCUAAAUACUACUCCCAUACACAAGCUCAGAAUGCAUUAGGAAAUCCGCCACAAACAUCACAUGGGUCUAUCAUAAAGACCAAAUCAAAUCAAACUUUCUCAAUCUCAAAAUGCAUCUAUUUAUUAAGUCAUUUCAACAUUAAUAACUUUGAGGAAAUAUCAAGACUCAUUAUAACAACUCAAUUCUCAUGAAUCAAUAUACUCAAUAAUCCAAUUUGUCAUAAAGAAGCUUAAAGCUUGACACAUAUCUUGAAAGCACUUGAACUACCAACUCAUGGUAGAAACUUGAAAUUCACAAUAUUAAAUAUCAAGUCAUAACUUGGAAAUUGUAAAAUAAUCAUGUAUAACAAAGCUUGAAUGAUUUAUAUUCUCAUAAUCUCAUGAUGAAGUAAUUUGGGUAUAAACCCACUUGCAAAAUCAAGUAAAUCCAUAAUAAAAAUCAAAGCUUUGAGCGCAAGAAUGAAAGAAUUCCUCUAGUUCAAAAGCCCACAUACCUUAAUCUUUCAAAUUGGUUGAACUCUAGUGCUUGAGACUUUACUCAAACUUGUAAUAAAAAAAUUCUUGAAGCCCACUCUAUGAGGAACUUGAUUCUUGAAGGAUUCUUGAUGAUUUAUGGAUGAUUUUUGGAAGAUUAAUUUCCUUAAAUAAAACCCUAGAUAUAUUUCUUAAGAGAAUUGGAAGAGAGAAAUGAAGAAAUUAGGUUUUUGAUGAGGAUUCUCAUAUAUAUAGAUGCCUUCAAAAAUGGGAAAUGACUAAAAUACCCUUGCAAAAAUCAUCCAUCAAUUGCUGAAAAAAAUAGCUGACGACAUCCUUGACAAGCUGUCAGGCCCGUGAUAGGCCGUCACGAAUUAUCAUCACCAAAAGGGUGGAUUUUGUGGCUUUCUGCCAUAAGGUGACGACAUUUUGUGAUGGGCCGUCAAGCUUGUGACAAAUCGUCACAAAAGGUCGUCACUGAUUUUCCAGACUGACACGCUGGAGUAAAAUAAGCAUAACCCGUUGCUACGAUAUCAGAUUUUGAUGAAAUGGGUAUCGUUGGAAAUAUAAUUCAAUUAUAUAUCUUUUUGUAGGUCAUGAACUAAAUAAUUCGUAGUACAACGGCAUAUAUGCCCAUUUGAAGUUGACUAUGUCAUAAUCAUUCUCAAGAAUUCUAUCGGUAAAGAAUGUUAUUCGCCCAAGCGUUAGGAUAUCUUUAACGCCUUAAUACACCACCCUUAACCAUAAAACAACCAAAACACUAUAAUUUAUUGCUCAUGGGCUUGAGUCAUGGCGGCACUAUUGGUUAGUAGUAGUAGUAGUGGUGGUGGUAGUGGUGGUAGUGGUGGUAGUGAGUGGUGGUAGUGGUGGUAGUAGUAGUAGUGGUGGUAGUAGUAGUGGUAGUAGUAGUGGUAGUGGUAGUGGUAGUGGUAGUGGUAGUGGUAGUAGUAGUGGUAGUAGUAGUUAGUGGUCGUGGUAGUGGUCGUGGUAGUGGUCGUGGUCGUGGUGGUGGUCGUGGUGGUGGUGGUGGUAGUGGUGGUGGUAGUGAUGGUGAUAGUGGUGGUAGUGGUGGUGGUAGUAGUAUUUAAUAUUUAAAUAUAGUUGAAAUAUAUAAAUUUAUGAUAUAAUUAGAGAUGUUUUAGGUCUUUUCAACUAUGAUUUUUAAUUUUAAUCUAAUGAAUUAUUUUUAAAAUUUUCAAAGCUUACUAUUUUCAAAUUCAUAUAUUUUUAUUAACAUAGUAAAUUGAUUAUGUAGGACUUAAUUACCUGCAUAACUCACUGCUAAACUAACUACCAAAUAAUACGCUACAACCUGUAUAAAUAAUAUAUACAUAAUUCCUAAAUUAAAAAAAUCUGCAUAACUCUAAUUGAGGCCCUUUCAUUAUUUACUUUUGGCUUCUUACGUUUAAGUGGAUAAACAGAUUAAAAGAUAAAAGAAAACACUCUCACAUCUAGUUUCCCCAGAAGUACCAAUUUAGAAGAAGGGUGCUGUUGAAGUAACUCAAUUUCUAAUUCAAGCAAUCUUUUAUUUUGUUCCUCGUCAGAAUCAAAAACAUGAGCCGGGGCAACCAUUUUCUUUUCUCACAGAAAUGAAGAACAAGAAGGACACUGCAAUUUAAAACCAGGCUUUAAAUUUCAAAAACAAAAUAAGAAAUCAUGAGAGCAAAAGGGGAAAAACAAAGUGCAAAAAGACCUCGCCAGUAGUAGGAUACAAAGGAUGAGAAAGAGAUAGGAAGGAGGGUCAUAUUAAAAAUGGAACGAAUACAGUGGAGGCAGAGCACGUCUAUCAAAUAUUCUUUAAAAACACACUAGCUACAUCACCGAUGUUUCAAAAUGAAAAAAAAAAUUCAAAGUGUGUGAGUAGGACUGAGGUUGUCUUAAUUGUGUAAAUUGGUUUGCCAUCUUAAAAUCUUCAUUUUUAUAUUUCUUUUAAUUGAACACAAUUUUAAGAGGGAAAACUAAUUUACGCAGUUAAGACAGCCUCAAUCCUACUCUUACACUUUGAUUUUGUUUUUGAAUAGGACAAAAAGCUGCCUUGAUUUUGAAACAUCGAUGAUGUACCUGUUGUGUUUUUAAAGAAAUUUGAUAGAUGUGCUCUACCUCUGUUGUAUUCGUUCUAUUUUUCAUAUAACCCUCCUUCCCCUCUCUCUUGUACAUUGUAUCCUAGUACUGGUAAGGUCUUUUUGCACUUUGUUUUUCCCUUUUUACUCUCUUGAUUUCUCAUUUUAUUUAUAAGAUUUAAACCCUGGUUUUAAAAUUGCAGUGUUCAUCUUGCUCUUCAUCUGCUGUAAGAAAAGGAAAUGUCUGCCAUGGCUCAUGCUUUUGUUUUUUAGGAGGAACAAAAUAAAAGAUUGUUCGAAUAUGAAAAUGAGUUGCUUCAAUAGUACCCUUCUUCUAAAAAGGUGCUUAUAGGGAAACUAGAUGUGAGGGCCUUUUCUUUUCUCUUUCCAUCUAUUUACCCACUUAUACCUAAGAAGCAAAAAGUAAAUAACUAAGGGGCUCAAUUAGAGUUAUGCAAGUUUUUGUACUGUAGGGAUUAUCGAUGUGUAAAUCUAUAUAUUUUUUAUGCAUGUAUUAACGUAUUGCUUGGUAGUUGAUUUAGAAGUGAGUUAUGCAGGUAAUUAAGUCCUACAUAGUUAAUAUUCAAAUAUUAGUAGUUGGUUUAGCCUACGUUUGCUCGUAUUAACAUAGAAUAACCAUCAAGACCCCAAAGAAGGCCCAUAAAAACCCACUACCAAAUAGAUGGCUCUGUAGCCUUUCUCAACUGGUUUGAUGGCCCUCUUUUAGGGCCCAAAUAUGGAUGAACAUAGUUAUGCUAUUCAAUAAAAUUAUAGUAGUACUACUGGAACUUUGGAUUAAAAGGGACAAAUAAGUUGUCUAAUUAAGUGAGAAUCCUUCAAUUUUGUAAAAUUAGGUGGGAGGGACAAAAAUUUUUUGAUUUUUUUUUAAAUUUCUUCGUUCCAACAACUCCUCCCAGUUGUCGAACAACUUUGCUAGUUGUUCGACAACUUCUAUCAGUUGUUCAACAAUUAUCAAAGUUGUUCAACAACUGUGUGAAGUUGUUGAGAGAACUAACGUAGUUGUCGAACAACUGUCCUAGUUGUUCAAAUGACUUAAUUUUUUUAAAAGGGACAAGUUGCGGGACCCACUUGUCCCCUUUUCUUAAUUGGAAACUUGGGAGGUCUAUAGAUUCAUUUUUCUCACUUAAGUAUUUAAGUUGUAUAUAUCAUGAAGUAGUUAGCCUAUAUUUGCGUUGUAAAUUGUAAUAUUAAGUGUAGAGAUAGUCCUAUAUACGUUUUGUACGUCAAAGAGUGCUACUCACAAACAUUGUGCAAUUCAAUUUGUCGCAAGAAGCACUUAAUCAUCACGCAAAUACUUAUUGGUUCCGAAUAUUUACCCCUAAUCAAUGAUUUUAAUUCUAAUGAAUUAAGAAUAUAAGAUCAUUCAAUCAUGAUAACAAAAAUAAUUUAUAAAAGAUAUUAUCUUGUAAUAGUGGGUAUAAGGAGAGGUAGAUGUAGGCUGAGGAGGUCUUCGUAAAGGUGAUUAGAUUUGGUAUCUGUAUCUUUUCGAGGAUAUGAUCUAGAUAUAAAAAUAUGGAGAUCAAGGAUAUCGUUAGUGGGUGGCUGAGCGUUGUCUAAUUUCCCUAUUAAGUAGUAUUUUGUUUAUUACUUUCAUACUAUCUUAUUCUUCUAUAUUAGAAUAAUUUUUUUGUUUUUAGUUCAGUUAUCAUAUUAAUUGUUUGUUGUUGCUACCAUUUUCAGAUUUACUAUUUUAUUUGUUUUACAUGCCUAACUUUUUUUUAUAUGUUUUACUUGAGUUGAUAGUCGAGAGUCAAUCAAGAACAACCUCUCUAUCUUCACAAGGCAGAAGUACAUGUCCAUACUACCUCUCCAAACUCCACGUGUAAUAUUAUGUAUGUUAUUAUUGUAUAUAUCUUGAAUUGAUUGAUCAAAUGUAAAUACCCGAUGUUGAGGUAUACUUAUACCCAUUGGCGGAGGGAUGAUCUUAGAAAAUGAUUAUAUAGUGUACAGAAACUUAAUAUUAGCUAUUAUACGUCUAUAUUAAAUUUUGUACAUCCUUAACACAACUAAAAAGAAAAUAUGCACAUUCCUCGUCAAAUUUCUGACAACGACACUGCUACUGCCUCAACUAUGUACGUGAAAAGAUGACGCCAUAUAGCAUUUGUCAUCUGCAUGACGCCCAAACUCUUUUAUCAGUGGACCUACCCAACCUGUCACCUCAUUUUCUGCUUUUAUAAUUGUAUAUCCUUCCAAAUUUCAUACACCAUCCAUUUCAUUAUAAUUAGAUUAAAAAUAACUAUUUUAAUUUAUUUGUGUAAUUUAAAAAAUUAUAAAAAAGAUUAUUACGUGAAGUAUUAAAUGAAGUGAAAGGUGUAUACUACGAAUAUAUAAAUGCUAGUUUCAUUAAAUCCGUAUUCCAUACUAAGCUCGGAUCCAGACAACUCUACAUAUAAAUAAUAAUAAUUAAAUUUUAAAUUAUAAUUUAUAUUAUAUUUUUUACUUUACAAUUAAUAUAAUUUAAUGACCGAUAUAUUAAAUAUAUUUUAUUAAAAAAUUUUAUAAUUAUUAAAGUUCUUAAUCACUUAAUUGGAUAAUUAUUUUAAAAAAUUAUUUGUAUGGAAGAAAGUGUUAUAGGAGAACUAGAAUAUAACAAGAGACCCCAAGUAAUUUAAUAUUUUAUAAAAUAACAUGAUACAACAACAACAAUAACAACAUACCCAGUGGAUUCCCACGUAGAGGGGUCUGGGGAGGGUAGAGUGUACGUAGAUCAUACCACUACCUAAGAUGAAGUAGAGAAUCUGUUUCCAAUAGACUCCCGGCUUAGGACCAAUAGCAGUAUAACAAACACAAAACAUAAAUGCAUAAAAACUAGUACAGUCUGCAAAAUAAACUAACGUCCCUAGCCAUAAGAUAAUACUACAGUCACAAGAUAAUACUAAAACUAUCUAUCCAAGAUCAUAAACAUCACUCAACACCACAAACAACAAACUUCAAACACAAAUAAAGAAUACUCCCCUAUUGUUACCGACACACUCUCAACCCCUAACCCUCUACCCUAAUCAGCAUUCUCCACACCUUCCUAAUCACAUCCCUCCAAUAUUUGUUCGGUCUACCUCUACCCCGCCUAAAAUCAUCCAUACCAGUGUCUCACACCUCCGCACUCGAGCAUCAGAGCCCCUCUUCAUCACAUGCCGUCACCAACAUAACCUUACUUCUCGUAUCUUGUCCUCCACCGAGGCCACUCCUAUCUCUCCCGAAUAAUCUCAUUUAUUACCUUAUAUUUCCUAGUAUAGCCAUACAUCUAUUCCAAUAUUCUCAUAUCCACCACCUUCAACAUUUGGAAGUGGGAGUUCUUAAUAGGCCAAUACUCUCCACACAACAUAGUCGGCCGGACUGCCACUCUGUAGAACUUCCCUUUAGCCUUUGGGGGCAUCUUUUUAUCACAUAAAACUCCCUAAGCGAGCAUUCAUUUAAACCACCCAGCCCCAAUAUGAUGUGUGACAUCCUCAUCAAUAUCACCAUUGCCUUAAAUUAUAGACCCCAUAUACUUAAAACUCUCCUUCUGAAUGGCCUAAGAGUCUAGCUUCACAACCAUGUCAGCCUUCUACGACACAUCACUAAACUUACACUUCAAGUACUACGUCUUGGUCCUGCUUAACCGAAAUCCUUUAGACUCAAUGGUCUAUCUCAAAAUCUCCAACUUAUCAUUAACUCCUCCCCGAGUCUUGUUAAGCAGUACCACAUUAUCAGUAAAUAACAUACACCAAGGCACCACCUCUUGAAUAUGUCUUGUCAAAACAUUAAUCACCAAGGCAAAUAAAAAAGGACUAAGAGUCAAACAUUGAUGCAACCCUACCAAAAUCGAAAAAUGCUCUAAAUCUCUACCUACCGUCCUCACCCGAGUCUUUACGCCAUCAUACAUGUCCUAAAUUGACCUAGUGUACACCACAUGCACCCCUCUAGCCUUCAAACACCUCCACAGAAUCUCCUUGGGAACUCUGUCAUAAGCCUUCUCAAGAUCAAUAAAUACCAUGUGAAACUCCUUCUUUAUCUCCAAAAACUAUUUCACUAAUCUCCUCGUAAGGUAAAUUGCCUCAGUAUUCGAGCAACCAAGCAUGAAAUCGAACUGAUUCUCAGCGAUAAUCACGCUCCUUCUCAGCCUCAAUUCUUCCACCUUUUCCCAAAUCUUUGUAGUACGACUCAAUAACUUAAUACCUCUAUAGUUGUUGGAACUUUGGAUGUCGCCCUUGUUCUUAUACAAUGGAAUCAUUGUACUCCACCUCCAUGCUUCAGGCAUCCUUCCCUCCUUAAAAAUGAUGUUAAGAAAUUUGUCAACCACUCCAAACCUACACCGACAGUGCCUUCCAAAAAUCCACUGGAAUCUCGUCUGGCCCUAUCGCCCUACCUUGACGCAUCUUGCGAAUAGCCCUCUUGACCUCCUUAACCUCAAUAUGCCUACAAAAACCAUAGUCAUGAAACUCCUCAAAUUUUUUCAAGUCCCCAAACACGAAACCUUUGUCACCUUUAUCGUACAAAAAUUUAUGAAAAUAGGACUGCCACCUUUUUUUAAUGAGGGCAUCCUCAACCAACAUAGUACCAUCCUCAACCUUGAUGCACUUAUCCCUGCCUUUCUCCUUUAAAGUAGCAUACAAGCUCUCAAAAGCUAUCAUUUUAGCCACUAUAACCGCUAACUUGGCCUCUCACCUAGCUAUAGCUUAUACUCUUCCUUAUUUGUCCACCUCUCUUGAUUAUUCUUUCUCUCAACCAAUUUAGCAUAAGCCACCUUCUUACACUCCACCUUCCUCUUAACCUCUUUAUUCCACCACUAGUCCCCUCGAUGUUUGCCAAAUCGACCUCUUAAGACACUAACACCUCUCUAGCAAUCUUCCUAAUGCAACUGGCAAUCGUCUCCCACAUAUUAUCCAUGCACUUCCUUUAUUCCUCUACCUAAAAUUAAAAUCUCCAUGCACAUCAUCAUAACCUCUCGAUUAAGGCCCAAUGUGUCCAUUGAAAUCUUCUCUCACGAAAAGUUUCUCAGUGUUCAGGACACCUCUCACCAUCUCAUUUAAAACCUCCAAAAACCCUUCUUCUCUUCCUCAUCUAAACCUAAUUGCGGAGCAUAAACAGUAAUAACGUUCACCGUAGUUCCUCCCAUGACCAACUUAAUAGACAUCAACCUAUCACUAACUCUUUUAACCUCUACCACCUGCUUCUUAAGUUCUUCAUCUACUAAGAUAACUACCCCAUUUGUAUGUCUCAGGCUACCCAAGUACCAUAACUUAUAUCCAUCCACAUCUCUCACUUUAGUGCCUACCAUUUAGUUUCCUCAACACACACUAUACUAACCCUUCAUUUUCUAAGAAUCUUCACCAGCUACAUAGACAUACCUUGCUAUAAAGUGGAUACGACUGGUCUGGAUCCACAUUUCCUCGUUGUGACCAACCAAAUGGCCCCUCCGACCCGAACAACCCACACUUCUCUUUUCCUCAGCCUGCGUGGGAGCACUUGGAGCAUUUUUUGCCCAAAAUAUACUUGGUCACUGGGGCCACCCCCAGAACCGUGAGCUGUAGCACACUGAUUUAGCCCUAAAAUGGCCCAUUUGCAUAAUUUCACUUAUUGACCACCCAAAUAGCCCAGCCGAUCCCAACGACUAACACUAUCCCAUUUUUAAGCCUUCCUUGGUGCCUCUGGUUGAUUUUCAGACCAAAACACGCUUGAGCCCCAAGCCAACCCCUAAAACUGUGAGUUAUAGCACAUCUAUUUCGCCUCCAAAAUAGCAUAUUUUUGACGUUUUGCCUAUUUGACCACUCAAAUGGCCCCACCGACCCAAAUGACCCACUUUUCCGUUCAUCAGUCUACUUGGAAGCCUUUUUUGAUUUUCGACCCUAAAUAUGCCCGAACCCCACGCCCACCCAGAACUGUGAGCUAUAGCACACCGAUUAUGCCUGAAAAUAAUCCUUUUGCGUUGAUAUUCCUAUUUGACUACCCAAACAACCCCAUUGACCCCUACGACCCAUACUUCCUAAAUCUUCAACCUACUUGAGAUACCCCAGUUGAUUUUUGACACAAAACAUGCCUAGGACCACCCCAAAAUCAUGAGCUAUAGCUCACCAAUUUGGCCCAAAAAUGGCCCAUUUAUGCCAUUUUGCACGUUUGACCAACCAAACGGUGCCGCCAACCUUAAAGACCCAUAAUUCCCUACUCCUCGACCUUCUUGGGAGCCCUCAAUCGAUUUUUGACCAAAAAAACAUUUGGGCUCUGGGCCAAACCCCAAAAUUGUGAGCUAUAACACACCGAUUUGGCCCGAAAAUGGCCCAUUCAUAUCAUUUUGCCUGUUUAAUAACCCAAACGGCCCCGCAGAUCCCAACGGCCCACACACCCCAGUUUUCAGCCAACCUGGGAGAUGAAAUCAAUUUUCAGUGAAAAAAACGCAUGGGCCUUUGGCACACCCUUUGAACCGUGAGGUAUAGCACCUCGAUUUUUCCGAAAAAUAGCCUAUUCGCACCAUUUCAUCCGUUUGAUCACACAAACGGCCCAUCGCCACCCAACAGCCCACACUCUUCCUCUUAUUAGCCUACCUAGGAUCCUCUGGUCUAUUUUCAGCCUAAAACAUGUCUACGCCCUGGGCCCAUGCUCGGAAUCAUGAGCUAUAACACAUCGAUUUGGCCUAAAAAGGGUCCGUUCAUGCCAUUUUGCCCUUUUGAUCACCCAAACGGCUCCACUAACCCCAACAACCUAUACUCCCCUGCUCCUCGGCCUGCUUGGGAGCCUCCGGUCAAUUUUUAGACUAAAACACAACUGAGCCCCAGGCCCAACCCCAGAACCAAAAGUUAUAGCACAAUAAUUUGGCCUGAAAAUACCACGUUCACGUUGUAUCGCCUGUUUGACCACCCUAAUGGCCUUGGGGAAUUUUUGGACAAAACAUGGUUGGGACUCGGGUGUGACCCUCGGAACCGCGAGCUAUAUCACAUCGAUUUAGCCCAAAAAUGGCCUGUUCAUGUCAUUUCGCUUGUUUGACCACCUAAAUAGCCCCACCGACCCCAACAGCCCAUACUCCCUCACUUGUUAGCCUGCCUAGGAGCCCUCAAUCAGUUUUUGGCCUAAAAUUUCCCGUUCCUCGAGAAAACCCCAAAACCAUGAGCUAUAGCACACCAAUUAGGUUCGAAAAAUGGCCCGUUGGCGUAGUUUUGCUUGUUUGAUCCCCCAAACAGCCCUGUUGACCAAAACAACCCUGACUCCCUCGCUCCUCAACCCGCCUAGGUGCCCCUGAUUGAUAUAUCGUCCAAAAAAUAUGAUCAAACCCCGGCCCACUCUCGGAACCGUGAGAUAUAGCAUACCCAUUUAGCCCAAAAAUGGCCCGUUUAUGUCGAUUCACCCUUUUGACCCCUCAAACGGCCUCGCAGGCCCCAACCACCCAUACUUCCCUGCUUCUCAGUCUGGUUCAGAGCCCGAGAUCCAUUUUUGACCUAAACCACUCCCGGUCCCAUCACUUACCUUCAAAAUCGUGGGCUAUAUCAUACCAAUUUUCCUCAGAAAUGGUCCGUUCACGCCCUUUUACCUGUUUGACCAACCAAAUAGCCCUACCGACCACCGUCGACCCUAACGACCCACAUUUCCCUUCUCCUCAGCCUGCUUAGGACUCCUGAUCAAUUUUUUGCCCAAAACACGCCCGAGCCCUAGGCCUACUCCCAAAACUAUGAGCUAUAACACACCGAUUUAGCCUAAAAAUGCUUCAUUCAUGCCAUUUAGCCCGUUUGACCACUCAAAUAGCCCUGUCCAUCCCAAUAAACCACAUUGUCCCACUUCUCUUCCUUUAUGGAAGCCCUGACCAAUUUUUGACCCAAAACAGGCUCGAGCCCCAAGCCCACCCUCAAAAUCGUGAGCUAUAGCUCACCGAUUUAUCAAGAAAAUUAUCCGUUCAUGCCGUUUCACCUGUUUGACCACAAAAACAGCCCUGUCGACUCCAACAGACUAUACUUUCUCACUUCUCAAACUGUCUAGGAUCCCUCGCUUGAUUUUUGAUCCAAAAAAUGUUUAGGACUGGGCCCACCCCAAGAAUCGUGAGCUAUAACACACCAAUAUUACUUGAAAAUGGUCUGUUCACAUCGCUUAGCCCGUUUGACAACCCAAAUGGCCCCGUCGAACCCAACGAUCGACUCUCCCCCGCUUCUCAACCUGCCUGGGAGCCGUCAAUUUAUUUUCAAUCCAAAAUAUUUUUGGGUCCCGAGCCCACCCUCAAAAUUGUGAGCUAUAACACCGAGUAGGCCCAAAAAUGGUCUAUUUGCGUCGCUUCAUCUUGUUUGACCACCCAAACGGUCCCGCCGACCCGAAAGGUCUAUAAUUUCUCACUCUUCAUCCUACCUAGGAGCCACGAGUCUAUUUUUAGCCCAAAACACGCUCGGACCCAAGGCCUACGUCCAAAACCAUGAGUUAUAGCACACUGAUUCAUAGGAUUUCGUUAUGUGUUCGGUAUCGCUCAUAUUUCUUCAGUAUAGCUAUACCCCACCUAAAACCAUCCAUAACCAGUAUUUCACACCUCUGCAUUAAAGAAUCAAAGACCCUCUUAAUCACUUGGCAAAACCAACAUAACCUCACAUUUCGCAUCUAGUCCUCCACCGAAGCAACUCUAACCUUCUCUUGAAUAAUUUCAUUCUCACCUUAUCUUUCCUGGUAUGUCCACACAUCCAUCUCAAUAUUCUUAUCUCCGCCACAUUUAAUUUUUAGAUGUGGGAGUUCUUAACUGGCCAAUACACCGCAACAUAUAACAUAGCCAGUCGGACUACCACUCUGUAGAACUUACCUUUAUGUUUCGAGGGCACCUUCUAAUAACAUAGAACUCCAAAAGUGAGCCUUCAUUUCAACCACCCUUCCCCAAUAUGAUGUGUUACAUCCUCGUUAAUCUCAUCAUUGCCCUUAAUUAUAGACUCUAGAUACUUUAAACUCCCCCUCUUCUGAAUGGCCUGAGAGUCCAUCUUCACAACCACUCCAUCCUCCGACGACAUAUCACUAAACUUAUACACCAAGUACUCUGUCUUGGUUCUACUUAAUCGAAAUCCUUUAGACUCAAGAGUCUAUCUCCAAAUCUCCAACUUAUCAUUAACUUCUCUUUGAGUCUCGUCAAUCAGUACCACAUCAUCUGCAAAUAACUUACACCAAGGUACCUUUUUCUUGAAUAUGUCACAUGAAAACAUUCAUCACCAAGGCAAAUAAAAAUGGGCUAAAAGUCUAUCCCUGGUGCGACCCUAUCAAAACUGGGAGGUGCUCUGAAUCUCCACCUACCGUCCUCACAAGAGUCUAAUCCCCAUUAUCCAUAUCCUGAAUCGACCUAGUGUACGCCACGGGCCUCCCCCUUGCCUCUAAGCACCUCCAUAGAAUCUUUCUGGAAACUCUGUCAUAUGCCUUCCCAAGAUCAAUAAACACCGCAUGCAAGUCCUUCUUCCUCUCCUAAAAUUGCUCCACUAACCAUAAUCGCCACACUCCUAAGAUUUCUUCAAUUGCAUUUCAAACACUAAAAGUACUUACUUGUAUCAAUUACGGAACUUUGAAUUUCAAAUCUUAAAUUUCAUUUAGUCUCAAUUCAAAAAUUAAGUCCAUAAAAUUUAUUAGUUUAUUUUAAAUUUUCAGAUAUUGUUCUAUUGCUCAUUAUUUUUACAAAGAUCAAUUUUAUGAAUAAUAUCUUUAAUUAUUUUAUUUAUACAUCUUAUUGUAUCUGCUAAGUAAAUUUAAUUAAGAUCUCUCAAAUCACUCUCAAAAUCACCACCCCACCAAAAUACUACACCCAUCUCCUAGCCUUACCCUACAGCCACCACCUCGCCUCCCUAGUUUUUAUUAUAUUUUACUUUAUCAGAUUUUUUGUAAAAUAUUUUUCUCACAUCACCCAUCUCUUAUAUUGCAAACAAACAAAGCCCAUUCAACACCCUACCUAAUACACACACAAAAAAAAAUUAUUUUUGAUUUUUUUCUAAAAAAAAUCUUUCUACCCUUCUGUCCUGAAUCCCAAGAAAAAUUAUUUUUUUUAUUUUUUAAGAAUAUUUUUUGCUACUCCACAACUUUAACCCCUACCUACCCCACAACCCCGCCUACCCCACCUACCUAGCUCACCCCUACACCAUCUCAACCACCAUAAUCUCUUGUUCUUUCUCUCAUCCAUCACUUUGCCUCAAUGCAAUUUAUAAUUUUGUGUUAAGUAUACACAAAUGUUAUUAGAAAAUAUCUUUUAUUUACUGAUAAAAUAUCAAUUACCAAUUUAUUUUAGCAUACAUGCUAUUACUAAUGUCAAAUAAUCACAUCAGAUAAAAUUAUCUAUUUUUUAAGCUCAAAAUGAACUAAUAGCUACUAAUUAGUAUUUUUAUUAUCCUAAAUAUUUUGUAAAAAUAUUUACCUGAUUAAGUUCAAGCAUUUUAUAUCCUUCCAAUAAAUUAUGCUUUUUGUUAUCUAUUGAAAAUAAUAUGAGACGUAGUGGAUUAAUUCAUCAUUGAAAUGAAAUAAAAUAUAUAAGCAUACACCAUUAAAGAUGACGAUGAAAGCAUAUACAAAGAUUAAGAUUAAACAUUCAACAAUAUAUUUUCAAAGAAAUCUUUCUGAGAAAAUUAACACUUGAAUUCAUAAAAAGAAAUCAUUAUAAUUAACUUUAACAAACAUGAAAGAAACUGAAAAAGAUGAGGGCAGAGAUAUAUGAUUAUGAUGAUAAAAAGGAGUAGUCAAAAACAUGAAAGCAAUAGAAAGAGAUGAUGGACUCUGAUACCAUGAUAAUGAAAUUAACUUUGGACCUAACUCAACGUCAAAAGCUAGCUCAUGAGGUGAGGAUUACCCAAGAUCAUAUAAGGAGACUAAGGAUUCUUUAAUCCACCGAUGUGAGACUCUCCCCUGCCUCUCCUUGUAUGCCAAGACUGGAUAUCUGAAGCGUAGACAAUAUAAAAUAGGGAAGUCAACAUUGAAAACAAUGAAUUAGGUGAACCUGACUCUGAUACCAUGUUGAAGUGUGUGACCAUCUCAUCUAAAAGUUUAAUUAUUAGAGAGAGUACACUUUUACUAUUUAAUUAUAUUCUCAAUAGUUACUUCAUAUUCUAUUUUGGCAUUGAACAAAUGAACUUUAUGUGGCAUUACAAACUGAAGAAAGACACAAAAGUUUUCUUUCAAAUAGUUCAAGAAAGAAUCUUUUGUGCUUUUGAAACAAAGAAAUAGAGUCACAUUUUUUGGCUUGUUUUUUCCCUACAGUUUAUUAAGAGCAGAGCACUUUGAGUGGAGGUUUUUUCUAUUAUUAAGGAUGUCCAAUUUUGGAAAAGUACUACUCCUUUCGUUUAAAAAAGAAUGGUAGACGAAACAACAUAUUAAUUUUAUACAUUAUAUUAACUCCUAAGUAGCUACAAAACUUGGAAUUACUUAUGUAGGAUUCCUACAUAAAUCGUUGCUAAGCCAGCUACCAAAUGACCCCUUAAUACCUUCUUUAUUUGUUCAUUGAGAAGACAGAGACCAAUGCAAACAUAAUUCAAUUUAUGUGUAUAAUAUGUUCAGAACCAAGGUGCAGAAUAAAUACUUUACAUAAAUAUAAAACUUACUAAAUGAGUUGACCCAAUAGAUAUAAACGGCUUGAUUUACUCAGCUCCUGAUUCAUCAAUUGAUGACUAUCGUAUUUUUCCAUGAGUUCUGGCAGGUAGUUUUUUUUUAUAAUCAAAUUUUUUUUAUAAAAAAAAAAAUGUACCACUAAUGCCUCUGUAGCAACAAAAUCUUCUGAAGCAUCCAAUGAAAGUUGAGAGACUCUCUUCUCGGCUAUAGGUUUUGGUGAAUCUCUUGCUGAAAUUCAUGAAGAUUAUUCACCAUCAUUUCGACCUAUUUUGUCAUUUUUCUCAUUUUUAGUUCUCUUUAUAAAAGUCAUUAUUGGAUCUUUCCCUUGCAAUUUCAGGGGGCUAUUUAAGUGGUUGAUCUAAGAAUGGAGCAACUUUUUCAGGUGCAGCUUGUGGUGGAAGCUCACCAGUGUCGGUAUUUGCAGGCAACUUAGAAGAUCCAGUUAAGGAUGGACCAAAUUCCUUCAAAAUAUACAAGAUUCAAGAUGGAUCAUUUUGACUGAUCCAUUUUCCUUGCUAUGUGCAACGAACAUGUUGAUAAUAGUAGGUAUCAUAAUCUAGGUCCAACUGCUAGGUUAGAUAGUAACUCAAGAAUCUUUUAUCAAUUCCCCUUUCUUAAGAACCCCAAAAAUUAAAUAACACUCGAGCCAAAAAAAGUAAACUCAGACACAACAAAUGCUGAUUAUAUGAGAGGUUAUACAAAGUGGGAUUUAUAUAUAUACUCAAAUUUAGGACCAAAAUUGGGAGCAAAAUUGAUUGACAUGAAUAAAUACUUCAAAUUGUAAUCUCCACUUGGAUUCACUCACAUUUAUUGCGUUUUUCUGAAAUUUUGGGUUUAAAAUCUUUAAGUUUUUUCAGGGUGUUUGUGCUUUUCUUAGGUAUUGUUACUUGAACAAUUGUGUUAUUUUGGUCUUGAACUAAUGAACACUACGUGGCAUAAUAAACUAAAGAAUGACACAAAAUUUUUGUUUCAAACAGUUCAAGAAAGAAUCUUUUGUCUUUUUGAAACAAAGAAAUAGAGCCACAUUUCUUGGACUGAUUUGAGCACUCAUGAUGCUCUUAGUUCAACUCUAGGGACAAAGCAGUUCAACAAAUGUGGUUCUAUUUCUUUGUUUCAAAGAGUCAAAAGAUUCUUUCUUGAACUAUUUGAAACAAAACUUUUGUGUCUUUCUUUAGUUUGUUAUGUCACGUAGAGUUCAUUAGUUCAAUGCCAAAAAAACGUAACUUUUCAAGUAACAUUACUAGAGAAAAGCACAAACAUCCUGAAAAACAUAAGGAUUUUAAACCCAGCAUUUAAGAAAAAUGCAAUAAAUGUGAUUGAAUCCAAGUGGAGAUUACAAGUUGGAGUGUUUAUUCAUGUCAGUCAAUUUUUUCCCAAUUUUGGUCCUAAAUUUGAGUAUAUGUACAAACCCCACUUUGUAUAGCCUCUCAUACAAUCAAAAUUUAUUAUGUCUGAGUUUACCUUUAUCUGCUUGAGUGUUAUUUAUUUUUGGGGGUUCUUAAGAAAGGGGAAUUGAUAAGAGAUUCUUGAGUUACUAUCUAAACUAGCAGCUGGACCUAGAUUGUGAUAUCUAUUAUUAUCAACAUGCUCCUUGCAUAUAGCUAGGAAAGAAUGAUCUUUCAAAAUGAUCCAUCUUGAAUCUUGUUUAUUUGGAAGGAAGUUGGUGCAUCCUUACCUGGAUCUUCCAACUUGCCUGCAAAUACCGACUCUGGUGAGCUUCCACUCCAUGUUGCACCUGAAAAAAUUGCUCUAUUAUUAGAUCAAACACUUGAAUUGUUAGGGGAGGAUCCAAUAAUGAAUUCUACAAAGAGAUAUGAAUAGGAGAAAGAUGACAAAAUAGGUCAAAAUGAUAGUGUAGAAUUUUCAUCAAUUUCAGCAAGAGAUUCACUAAGAGUUAUAGCCAAGAAGAGAGUCUCUCAAAUUUCAUUGGAUACUUCAGAAGACUUUGCUGCUAUGGAGGCAUUAGUGGUACAUUUUAUUAUGUUUUAGUUAUCAAAAAAACCCUAAUUUCCAGAUCCCGUGAUAAAAGAUGAGAUAUAUGAUAUUGGACGCCUAUCUCAAUCAGUAGGAAAAGGCCCAAAAUCUCUUACCUUUUCUUUGUUGAUGAUCUAAAUCUGUUGGCUGUUGCUAAUGAAAGAAACUGUGAAACCAUCCAUGCCACUCUUAGUAGCUUCACCUUCCACUAUGGCCAAAAAUUAACACUCUCAAAUCUAAAGUAAUCUUCUCUAGAAACUGUGGUCAGGAGACCAAAGAUAGUUUGUCUCACAUCUUAGGCAUCCAAUCCAAAGACAAGUUUGGCAAAUAUCUUGAUUUUCUCGUCUUCCACAAAAAACUUUGCAAUAGAGAUUUCCAACUUAUCCUAGACAAUAUCAACACUAAGUUGACUAGAUAGAAAACCAAAUUCCUCAAUAUGGCUGGCAGAAUCACCCUUGCCAAGUCCUCCCUUGCUAGUAUUCCCGCUUAUGUUAUGUAAUUCAUCUUGAUCCCCUCUAAAAUCCACUAAUUGAUUGACAGAACCCAAAAGAACUUUCUCUGGGGAACCACCCCUGUUAAUGAGAAAAUGCAUCUAAUCAAUUGGGAAACCUUGACUAAUUUUAAAGCUAAUGAGGGCCUGGGCCUCCAGAAAGCUUCCAUUAGGAACACAACUAUGUUAUCCAGUCAAGCCUGGAGACUUUACAAGUAUCACCACAGUCUCUAGGCAAAAAUUCUUUAAAAUAAAUUAGCCCCCAUAAAUUAGAACUUAGAAAAGUGUCCUUGUGGGUUGGGAAAUUUGUAAAACUGCCUCUUUUUGAAACAUCCAUAAGGAUAAGAAUAUCAAUUUUUGGAAGGACAGAUGGAUGCCUCACGGUGAACUCCUUCUUUCCAUCAUCCAAGCCCUUCUUCCUUAUCAUUCCCCAGACAUUAAACUCUCUGGGAUCUGGAGGAAUGGCUCCUGGAACCUCAAGUAUCUUCCGAUUGAAAUCCCUGAGGAUCUCAUCCUAACUUUCACCAACUCUGUUUUCCCCAAUCCCAGAGCCCAUACUGAUGAGCUCAUUUGGAAUCUCACUGGUAACUGUCUGUUCUCCAGUAGAAGUGCUUAUAAUCAUAUUACCAAAACCUCUGAGAUCAAUUAUUCCUCUAAUUUCAACUGGAUAUGGAAGGCUAAAACCCCUAAAAAGUCAAAACCUUUCUUUGGCUAAGCCAGCAUAAUAGGUUCCCCAAUAACCUUAAAAUCUCCAUGAGAAGAGUGAGACAAAUUAAUAGUUGUGCUAUCUGCAAUCAUUACCAAGAAGACAAAUCCCACAUUAUCUUUAAGUGACCCAUCCUCAAAGAUUUUGGAGUGCAAACUAUCCACAAGAUGGCCUAGUCCAAACAACCUUCUAUUACCAGUCUCCUACCCUCUUAUCUGGAGAUCUCUACAACACUCCCAAUUCAACAGACUAAUCCACUGGCAAAACAUCAUUCCAUUUAGCCUCUAGAGAAUCUGGAACACCAGGAACACUAAUACCUUCAAUAACAAAAGGAACCAUCCCAAUUUUAACCAUGCUUACUCCCAAACUGUUGAGUAUAAAGAUCUUACUCAAAAGAAUACCCCAAUCAAGCAAAACGAAAUCAUCAACCUUAAGUGGAAUGCUCCCACCAACCACACCUUCAAUGUCAAUACUGAUAAUUCUUGCCUUACAAACCUUGGGAAGGGUGGAAUUAGAGGGGUAGUCAGAUCCAGAAAUGAAGGCUGAGUGUUAGGUUUUAACAAAAACUUUCACCAGACUACAAACAACAUGAUGGAACUUAUGGCUCUCAUUGAAGAAUUAAAACGGGUAGAGAAAAAUAAUCUUCUCCCUAUUGAAAUUAACAUUGAUUCCUCGGAAGUUAUAUCUAUGUUAACUAACUAGAACAUCCACUAUGAUACUUUGAUUUUAGAAUGCAGGACAAAAUUAAAAAGGCUAAGGAAUCUGGAAGUCAAGCACUGUUAUGGAGAUCAAAAUAGAGUGGCGGAUGCUCUAGCAAAAGAUGGAGCGAGGGUAAGUGGGUUUCUGGAGACUACCGUUUUUGAAGUUCCACCGAUAUGGGCAAAAUAUGCAGUCUGAGCAGACAUCUUGGAAACUUUUUGAGAGAACAAUUAGAUCUUGUACUGAUGAUUUUAACUGGCCAGGCCAAAACUAUUCCUUUUUGAACCCUGACUAAUCGUCAAAAAUUGAAACUUAAUCUGCGUUCUAUUUUAUAUUAAUGCAUGUCCUUUCCACCAAAAAACUAAUAUUAUUUCACAUGUUGAAUCAUCGAAAAGAAGAGAUAUUUAUAUCAAUUUAAAUUGAUGGACCUUGAACAUUCACAAAGAAAGAUAAGUUGAAAAUGUUAUAUCAUUCCUGCAUAUUGAAAGAAUGUUAUAAAAUCAAGAAUAAUUUUUUUAAAUGAAAAAUUAAAAAAUGCAGUAAAAAUAAAUUCACGAAUAAAGCUAAAGAUAGAGAAGUAUAUGUAAGAAAGGCUAAGUGAUAGAAUUUCAUUUAUAUUCAGAUUUCAUUUAAAUACAAAUUUAAAUAUCACAUAUGUUUAUUAAAAUAAGAUUAAUUUAUUAUUCUUCCUUAUCCUUAUCUUUACAUUUUUCAAAUUCAAUAUAUAUUUAAAAUUAAAAUAGAUUUGAGUUGAGAUAAAUAUUGAAAUCAAUGAGACAAAACUAAUACUAAUACUAAUACUAAUACUAAUAACAAUAAUAAUAUUUUAACUAUUUUUACUUUACCACUAUUAUAUUGCAUUCUUAUUACUAUUACUAUUACUAUUAUUAUUUGUUCAUUGUUAUUUGAGAUAAAUAUUAAGAUAAAUCGUGUAGCAAAAAAAGAAUUGAGUGCCAUGAUUACUAAUUAAGUACAUCUAAAUUAUAAGUUUAUCUUUGAAAGUAUGUUUUAUCUCCAAUUUAAAUUCAAAAAAAAUUGAUAGAAUAACUAAUAUCUUAGAUGAGCGGUUAAAACCGUAAAUAUAGGUUAGGCUCGUUGGGAUGGCCCGGCCCAGCCUGUAAUUUGAUAGGGACGGGCUACAAUUUUAUAGCCCAUUUAAGAAUAGGGAUUUUUAGCCCUUCAUUAAUAAGUCUAUUGACCCGUCGGCUUGAGCAAAAUGGGUUAGGGUGACCCGUGGGUCAAAUAAAAAUAAUUAUAAAAUAAAAUAUAGUACUAUGAAUUAAAAAAGAAGUCCAAAAUCAAAAUCUAUAAAAUUAUAAUUUUUUAAAGAAAUUAAAUAUGUUUGGUGUCAAAAGUUAUUCAAUUUCACAGAUUAUUAGGAUCUUUUUGUAAAUCUGAGACUUCAUUAAUGAGUAGUAACUUCAAGAAAUAUUAUAUUGUAAAUAUUUAUGCAAUUAGUUUUUUAUAAUUUAAAUUAAGAUUAUAAAAAUAAUAUAUUUUAAAAAUGGGCUGUCCCGUGGAGGCCCGCAACCCAUUGUGUGACUGGUUGGGCUUGUUAUUUUCUAGUCUAUCAUGUUGAUGGUUCAGCCUGGCCGCGCCCGUCAAACUCUAAAGCCCGUGUGAGCUAGCCCGAAUGAGUUGGUCCAAUCCAUAUUAACAACUCUAGGAGCAGUUAUAUAAUGAUAAGAAUCCAAUUAGAACUGUUUAGUAUUAUAACUAUCUACUUCUAAUAUGUAAUUAUAUAUGUUUUUAAUAUUAUUUUAAAUUUAAAGUGAACAAUUUAAUUAUAACGCCCCAAGAUCCCAUCCCGAGAUGUCACAUGGUGCUUAAAGCCACACGCGGCCUCAAGCUAUGCUAAUAUAAGAGAGAAUGACAUAUCAUAAACAUACUGGAAUAAGAUACGAAACUAGCAUGUACAAUCCAAAAUACUGAAAUUCUGUACAUACCAACCCUUUAGACUGACAAAGCCUCUAUACAUCAAAAUCAAGGAGACAUUGGGACAAACCCCCAACUUACUCAAACAGUACUGAAAACCAUAACAACAAAACGGUAUCACAAAAUUAUAAACAUGGUCCUCGAACCAUGAGGACUCACCACUGAACAGACGAAAAGAGGCACCUAAAUAUCGCUAACACGACUGAGUACCUAAACCUACAUUACGAGAAAAUGUAGCCCUUAGAAAAAUAUAUGUGUCAGUACUUUGGAAUGUACUGAGUAUAUGGGGUGCAUGCAACAAUGUAAAUAUAGUCAUCAAUUUCAUGAAAAUUUGCAUAUGUACAAUGAUGGCUCACUUGGCUUGAGUUAGAUUGAAACAUACUUUUCAUGAUAUCAUCGUAAAUAAGUUAUAUGAUAAAAAACUCAUACAUAAUUAUAAACAACUCAACUCUUAAACUCAAGACUCAGAGUGACUCUAUAAUUCAAGAAAUUCGACUCCUAUGGACAUGGGAGGUUCUUAUAACCGACAUAAACCUUGUGAGCUACAUGGAGUCCAACAUUUUUCCCUCCUAAGGAGAGAAGCCCACAUUGGCGGGAGCAUCGUACUCUUUCCAGGGAGUACAACCUAAAUUUAGUGAUCACAAUCUCAUAUUCGGACUCCACCCACAAUUAUCAAUAUCAAUCCUACGGUGGCACGUAGUUUCGGGAGAAAUACCACAUUUCCCACUCGGUGCUAAAUACUACUCCCAGACACAAGCUCAGAACGCGUUAGGAAAUCCACCACAAAUCAAAAUCAAGACUGAUUGUAACAACUCAAUUCUCAUGAAUCAAUAUACUUAAUAAUCCAAUUUGUCAUAAUGAAGUUUAAAGCUUGACACAUAGCUUGAAAGCACUUGAAAUACCAACUCAUGGUAGAAACUUGAAAUUCACAAUAUUAAAUAUCAAGUCAUAACUUAGAAAUUGUAAAAUAAUCAUGUAUAACAAAGCUUGAACGAUUUAUAUUCUCAUAAUCUCAUGAUGAAGUAAUUUUGGUAUAAACCCACUUGCAAAAUCAUAUAAAUCCGUAAUAAAAAUCAAAGCUUUGAGCACAAGAACGAAAGAAUUGCACUUGUUCAAAACCUCACAUACCUUAAUAUUUGAAAUUGGUUGAAUGCUAGUACUUGAGACAUUACUCACACUUGUAAUAAAAAAAUUCUUGAAGCUCACUCUAUGAGGAACUUGAUUCUUGAAGGAAUCUUGAAUAUUUAUUGAUGAUUUUUGGAAGAUUAAUUUCCUUAAAUAGAACACCAGAUAUAUUUCUUAAGUGAAUUGCAAGAGAGAAAUGAAGAAAUUAGGUUUUCGAUGAGGAUUCUCAUAUAUAUAGAGGCCUCCAAAAAUAGGAAAUGACUAAAAUACCCUUGCAAAAAUCGUCCAUCAAUUGCUGAAAAAAAUAGCUGACGACAUCUGUGACAAGCUAUCAGGCCCGUGAUAGGCCGGCACGAAUUGUCGUCACAAAAAGGGUGGAUUUUGUGACUUUCUGCCUUAAGGUGACGACAUUUUGUGACGGGCCGUCAGGCUUGUGACAAGUCGUCACAAAAGGUCGUCAUGGAUUUUCUGGGCUGACAUGCUGGAGUAAAAUAAGCAAAACUCUUUACUCCAAUAUCGAAUUUUGACGAAAUGGGUAUCAUUGGAAAGCUAAUUCAAUUAUCUAUCUUUUGGAAGGUCAUGAUCUCAAUAAUUAGUAGUAAAACAGGAUUUAUAUGCAUUUGAAAUUGACUAUUCCAAAAUCUUUCCCAAGAAUAUAAUCGGUAAAGAAUGUUUUGAUUCGGCCAAGUGUUAGGACAUCGUUAAAGCCUUAAUACACAUCACCCUUGACCAGAAAACAACCAAAACACUAUCAUUUAUUUCUCAUGGGGUUGAGUCAUGACAACACUAUUGGUUAGAAUCUCGGGGUAUUACAUUAUUAAUUUUACUUAUCUGUGCUAUUUACCUUUCUGCAAAUAUAAUGCAAAUUUAUCUUAUAAUGUCAGAAUUGAAUUAAAAUAAAUAUUUGAGAUCAACCACAUAUUUUUGAUAGUAAAUGAUUUAUUAUUAUUAUAAUUAUUAUCAUUAUUUUUAUUAUUAUUAUUAUUAGUAGUAGUAGAUAUGUAUGUUCUACUACUACUAAUAUUAUAAGUUAUCUUUUAAUUAUUAUUAUAUUUUAUUUAAUAUUUAAAUAUAUUUAAAAUAUAUAAAUUUAUGAUAUAAUUAGAGAUGUUUUAGGCCUUUUCAACUAUGAUUUUUCAUUUUUAAACUAAUGAAUUAUUUUUUAAAAUUUUCAAAGCCUACUAUUUUCAAAUUCUUAUAUUUCUAUUAACAUAGUGAAUUACUUAUGUAGGACUUAAUUACCUGCAUAACUCACUGCUAAACUAACUAUCAAAAAAUACACUACUACCUACAUAAAUAAUAUACAGAUAAUCCCUAAAUUAAAAAAAUCUGCAUAACUCUAAUUGAGGCCCUUUCAUUAUUUACUUUUGGCUUCUUAGGUUUAAGUGGGUAAACAGAUGAAAAGGGAAAAGAAAAGACUCUCACAUCAAGUUUCCCCCGAAGCACCUCUUUAGAAGAAGGGUGUUGUUGAAGCAACUCAUUUUAAGAUUCAAGCAGUCUUUUGUUUUGUUCCUCCUUAGAAACAAAAGUAUGAGCUGGGGCAACCAUUUUCUUUUCUCACAUGAAAUGAAGAACAAGAAGAACACUACAAUUUAAAACCAGGCUUUAAAUUUCAAAAACAAAAUAAGAAAUCAUGAGAGCAAAAGGGGAAAAACAAAGUACAAAAAGACCUCACCAGUAGUAGCAUACAAAGGAUGAGAGAGAGAUGAUGGAGGGUUAUAUUAAAAAUGGAACGAAUACAGUUGAGGCAGAAAACAUCUGUCAAAUAUUAUUUAAAAACACACUAGCUACAUCAUAGACGUUUCAAAAUCAAGGAAACUUUUUAUCCUGUUCAGAAAAAAAUUUCAAAGUGUGUGAGUAGGGCUGAGGUUGUCUUAACUGCGUAAAUUGGUUUUCCCUCUUAAAAUAUUCAUUUUAUAUUUCUUUUAAUUGAACGCAAUUUUAAGAGGGCAAACUAAUUUACGCAGUUAAGACAACCUCAAUCCUACUCUCACAUUUUAAUUUUUUUUUGGAAUAGGACAAAAAGUUGCCUUGAUUUUGAAACAUCGGUGAUGUAGCUGGUGUGUUUUUAUAGAAAUUUGAUAGAUGUGCUCUGCAUCUACUGUAUUCGUUCCAUUUUUCAUAUAACCCUCCUUCCCCUCUCUCUCAUCCUUUGUAUCCUAGUACUAGUGAGGUCUCUUUACACUUUGUUUUUCCCUUUUUGCUCUCAUGAUUUCUUAUUUUUUUUAUGAGAUUUAAAACCUGGUUUUAAAAUUGCAGUGUUCUUCUUGUUCUUCAUCUGCUAUAAGAAAAGUAAAUAGAUGUGCCGGCUUAUGCUUUUGUUUCUGAGGAGGAACAAAAUAAAAGAUUGUUCGAAUCUGAAAAUGAGUUGCUUCAAUAGCACCCUUCUUCUAAAAAGGUGCUUCUAGGAAAACUAGAUGUGAGAGCCUUUUCUUUUCUCUUUCCAUCUAUUUACCCACUUAAACCUAAGAAGCCAAAAGUAAAUAACAAAGGGGACUCAAUUAGAGUUAUGCAUGUUUUUGUACUGUAGGGAUUAUAGAUGUUGAAAUCUAUAUAUUAUUUAUGUAUGUAUUAAUGUAUUGCUUGGUAAUUGAUUUAGCAGUGAGUUAUGCAGGUAAUUAAGUCCUAGAUAGUUAAUAUUCAAAUAUUAGUAGUCGGUUUAUCCUACGUUUACUCCUAUUAACAUAGAAUAACCCUCGAGACCCCAAAGAAGGCCCAUAAAAAUCCAUCUACCAAAUAGAUGGCUCUGUAGACUUUCUCAACUGGUUUGAUGGCCCUCUUUUAGGGCCCAAAUAUGGAUGAUCAUAGUUAUGCUAUUCAAAAAAAUUAUAGUAGUACUACUGGGAAUUUGGAUUAAAUGGGACAAAUAAGUUGUCUAGGUCCUCGAACCAUGAGGACUCACCAUCUGCAGAAGUGUAGAGGAAGGUACUCAAAGAUCACUGUCGUUGCUGAGACUGAGCACCUGAACCUAUAUCAUGAGGAAAUAUAGAAUAUAAAAGAGUAUGGGGGUCAGAGUAACUCGGUAACUCAAGAGACUUAUAUCAUUAUGGACAUGGGAGUUUCUUAUAACCAAUAUGACUACACCAUGUGAGCCGCAUGGAGUUCAACGUUUUGCCCUCCUAAGGAGAGAACCCCACAUUGGCAGGGGUGUUGUACUCUUUCCAGGGAGUACAACCUCAAUCUCAAUAUCACAAUCUCAUACUCAACCUUUGGCCCACAAUCAUUAACAUCAAUCCUACGGUGGCACGUAGUUUUGGGGAAGUACCAUAUUUCCCGCUCGGAGCUAAACACUCCUCCCAGACUAAGCUCAGAAUGCGUCAAGAAAUCCACCUCAAUCAAUAUCAACUCAUGGGUUUAUCAUAGAGAUCAAAACAUAAAUAUAUCUCAUUUGUAAAUCAUAAACAUCUUGUGGAUUCCAAACUCGACUCAACUCAACUCAACACAAUCUUUCUCGGCAUCAAAUACAUUUGUUUAUCAAGUCAUUUCUAAUAACAAAAGAUUCAGGGAAACAUCACAAGACUCAUUCUUGAUUCUCAAGUUCAAAUAUCAAUAUACAUUUGAUAGUUAAAUUUCUCAUGGAAACGCAUAACUCAUAACACUUUUCUCAAAUCGUUCAAAAAUCAUAAAUUCAUAUUAAGAAUAUUCAACUCAUGCACUUGAGUUAAAUUGCUCAGAAAUCAUCAAUACAUAAUGAUAAUAUACAGCUCAUGGAAUAAACCCUAAAUUUAGGAAACAUGAUGGUGAAAUAAGCAUAAAUAUCAAACUUAUUCAACUCAAAUCUCAUAAAUCAUAAUUAAAGAAAUUUGGGUGUAAACCCACUUGAAAACUCAUGUAAAUCAGUAGUAGAAAUUAAACCUUUAGGCACAAGAACGAAAAGAGUGUUCUUGUUUAAACCACACAUACCAUAGAUUUUGAUUUUGAAGAUAUAGAAACUUUCUUGAAACUUCUUUCUCACACUUUUAGACCAAGACCUUGCUGCCUUUGACUUGAGGAGCUUAGUUCUUGAACAACUUGAAGAAAUUUAUGGGAGAUUUCUUGAAUUUCUUGGAGAUUAUUUGAUUUUUUGGUUUGGAAGAAACCUUAGGUUUCUAGAGAAUUUUUGAAAGAAUUUUUGAGAGAAAUGGAGAGAAAAUGAUCUAUUCUUCUCUACAUAGAUAUAUAUAUAAGGCCACAAGGAGUGGAAAUGACCUAGAUGCCUUUUUGAAACAUGCUGAAAUUUGCUGAUCGAGGCUUGUGACGGUCGAACUAACGGUCCGUCAGAGGGACUGACCGUCCACCAAGUCGUCCAUCACUUAAGGUCCAGAAAUGAGACAUUCUCUCUUGGUCUGACGGACACCUUGGCAGUCCGUCAAUUUUGUGACGGUCCACUACUUUGACCAUCACACGACAUCCCAAAAAUGAAGAUACUGCCUUGGCUUCACGGGACACUUGAUGGUUCACUAAGGACCUAAUGGUCCACCAGGUCCACCGUCAAACUAGGGCUAUCCGAUAGCAUUCAUUAAAACAACCAUAACUCACUCAUCCGAUAACUUUAGAAGUCAUACAUAUCCAUUCGAAAAGGCAGAUUUAGGCUUAAGGAAUGAUCAGGGUAUUAUAAUAUCUCCCCCUUGGAAACAUUCGUCCUUGAAUGUUGCUAGAUAGGCCAAGAACAAGAGAAAAUAAGGACGCAUAGCUGGAACUACUCACAUAUAAGGGCUCACUUUACUCUAAUACUCUUGAGUACUUCACCACAUGCACGAAUCGUAUAGGGAAUAACCAUAUAGCGGAAUAUAUUAGACUAGAAGGAAACUGAAUUAAGGGAAUAGUACCUUCUGCUUGAUUCGAACUCAUGGAGAAAAUAUAAGGUAACUAGCUCUCAUAUGCGCUUCUACUUCCCAAGUGGCACCCCCUACUGAUUGAUUUCUCCAUAGAACUUUAACCAGGGGAACUUCCUUGUUCCUCAAUCUACGGGCUUGAUAAUCUAGGAUUUCAACCGGGAUUUAAUCAUACGAAAGGCUAUCCUCAACAUCACAACCUUCCAACGGAUCAACAACAACAGAGUCUCCAAUGUGCUUCCUGAGCAUAGAAACAUGUAACAUAGGAUGGACAGCUGACAAUUCUGCAGGCAACUCAACCUCAUAAGCUGUUUUCCCAUUAUGAUCCAAAACUCUAUAAGGGCCAACAUAUCUGGGACUCAGCUUCCCUUUUUUCCAAAUCUUUUCACCCCUUUCAUGGGUGAGAUUUUCAAAUACACCAAAUCAUCGACUUCAAACUCAAGAGCUCUUCUUCUCACAUCUGCAUACGACUUCUAACAACUCUGGGAUGCCUUUAACCUCUCCCAAAUUAACUUAACUUUCUCUGUAGCCUCAAAUACAGCAUCGGGCGCAAUCACAGCAGCUUCAUCACUUCGAACCAACCUAUAGGUGAUCUACUUAUUCUCCCAUAAAAAGCUUUAAACGGAGCCAUUCCAAUACUCGCAUGAAAACUAUUAUUGUAACCAAAUUCAAUCAACGGCAAAUGUUCAUCCCAAAUUCCUUUGAAAUCAAGAACACAAUCCCUUAACAUAUCCUCCAAAGUCUGAAUAGUUCUCUCAGCCUGAACGUCUAUUUGCGAAUGAAAAGUGGAGCUAAGAUGAACUUGGGUGCCAAGACCCUUCUGGAAGGCCCUCCAAAAAUGAGAAGUGAACUGAGUACCUCUAUCGGAGAUGAUAGACAACGAAACUCCAUGCAACCUAACUAACUCUCGAAUAUACAGCUUAGCAUAGUCCUCCAUAGUGAAAGAUGUAUGCACUGGCAGGAAAUGUGCGGACUUAGUCAACCUGUCUACAACAAUCCAAAUCAAAUCAUGAUGACGGAGAAAAGGAGGUGAACCAGUCACAAAAUCCGUAUUCACCUUCUCCCACUUCCAAGUAGGGAUACUAAAUUCUUGCAUCAUUCCAUUGGGUCUCUGGUGUUCUAUCUUUACCUGUUGGCAAGUUGCACACUCCUCUACGAACUUUGCCACAUCCUUUUUCAAACCCUUCCACCAAUAAAGUUCCCGCAAACUGCGGUACAUCUUGGUAGAACCAGGAUGAAUAGAAUACCGCGCGCCAUAUGCUUCAGCCAUAAUUCUCUAGCUUAGAUCAUCAACAUCAGGUACACAAAAUCUAUUCUAAAAUCUUAAAACACCAUCUCCCCCUUGGGAGAAAAUCUCCAUAUUUUGGUCUUUAACUGAUUUUUUUAGUUCGACCAAACAAGAAUCUGUACCCUGCUUCUCCUUCACUUCAGAGACUAGGGAAGAUUCGAAACAACUUUAGACCCAAGUAUUACCCUCACCUGAAUCGAGCAAUCUAACACCCAACCUAGCCAAACAAUAUGCUUCACGAGAUAACUCCUUCUUAUCUUCCUCUACAUGUGCUACACUACCCAUGGAUGAUCUGCUAAGGGAAUCUGCCAUUACAUUGGCCUUGCCCGGGUGAUACAACACACUCAAAUCAUAGUCCUUCAUUAAUUCUAACCAUCAACUCUACAAAAAAUUAAACUCUCUCUGAGUGAACACAUAUACUGUAAACUCUUGUGAUCCGUAAAGACAUCUACAUGAACGUCGUAUAGGUAGUGUCUCCAAAUUUUAAAAGAAAAACCACUACAGCUAACUCGAAUUCAUGGGGCAUAAUCCUUCUCAUAAGGUUUCAACUGUCGGGAGGCAUAAGCUAUUAGCUUACCCUUCUGCAUCAACACAUAACCCAGACCAACUCUGGAAGUAUUACAAUAUACCAUAAAAUCAUCGACACCAUUAGGUGGGGUUAUCACAGGGACUGAAGUGACUCGAGUCUUCAAUUCCUGAACUCUUCUCACAAGAAUCUGACCAUGGGAAUUUAACCUUCUUUUGGGUUAACCGGGUCAAAGAAGCAGCCAUAUAGAGAAACCGUCAAUGAAAUGAUGGUAGUAGCCAGCUAGACCCAGGAAACUCCUAAUAUCAGAUGGGGAAAUAGGUCUAGGCCAACUUUUCACAGCUUCUAUCUUUUGAGGAUCAACUUGAAUACCUUCAGAAGAAAUAAUAUUACCAUAAAAGCAAUUGACCUUAGCCAGAAUUCAUACUUGCUAAAUUUGGCAAACAACUAUUGAUCCCUAAGGUCUGCAAGACAAUUCAAAGAUGAUCUGCAUGGUCGUUCUCACUUCGGGAGUACACAAGAAUAUCAUUUAUGAACACAAUAACAAACAUAUCCAGGUAUGGUCUGAACACCCAAUUCAUGAGGUCCAUAAAAGCAGCUGGGGCAUUAGUUAAUCCAAAGGACAUGACCAAUAAUUCAAAAUAACCAUAACGAGUGUGGAAAUCUGUCUUUGAAAUGUCACACUAUCUGACUUUAAGUUGGUGAUAAUCGGAUCUCAAAUCUAUUUUCAAGAAAUAGCUGGCACCUUGCAGCUGAUUAAACAAGUCAUCAAUUCUAAGAAGAGGGUACUUGUUCUUAACUGUGACAUUGUUAAGCUAAUGAUAGUCUAUGCACAUGCGUAAUGAACUAACUCUCUUUCGCAUGAAUAGAACGGGUGCACCCCAGGGAGACAUACUGGGCCUUAAAAAAUCCUUAUCAAGAAGAUCAUUGAGUUGCUCUUUCAACUCCCUAAGUUUUGCAGGGGCCAUAUAAUACAUUUUUUUCUUAUACCAUUCUGGACGUAGGAGUUUCUUAUAACCGACAUGACUACUCCAUAUGGGCGGCAUAAAGUCCAAUGUAUUGCCCUCCUAAGGAGGGAAACCCACAUUGGCAGGGGUGUUGUACUCUUGCCAUGGAGUACAGCAUCAAUCUCAAUAUCACAAUCUCAUACUCCGCCUUUGGCCCACAAUCAUCAACAUCAAUCAUACGGUGGCACGUAGUUUUGAGGAAGUACCAUAUUUCCCGCUUAGUGCUAAAUACUCCUCCCAGACUCAGCUCAGAACGCGUUAGGAAAUCCACCUCAAUCAGUAUCAACUCAUGGGUCUAUCAUAAAGACCAAAAAAAAAUAUAUCUCAUUUGUAAAUCAUAAACAUCUUGUGGAUUCCAAACUCGACUCAACUCAAAUCAACACAAUCUUUCUCGACAUCAAAUACAUUGGUUUAUCAAGUCAUUUCAAAUAUCAAAAGCUUCAUGGAAACAUCAUAAGACUCAUUCUUGAUUCUCAAGUUCACAUAUCAAUAUACAUUCGAUAGUUAAAUUUCUCAUGAAAAGGCAUAACUCAUAACACUUGUCUCAAAUCGUUCAAAAAUCAUAAAUUCAUAUUAAGAAUAUUAAACUCAUUGUACUUAAGUUAAAUUGCUCAGAAAUCAUCAAUACAUAAUGAUAAUAUAUAGCUCAUGGAAUAAACCCUCAAUUUAGGAAACAUGAUGGUGAAAUAAUCAUAAAUAUCAAACUUAUUCAACUCAAAUCUCAUAAAUCAUAAUUAAAGAUGUUUGGGUGUAAACACUUGCAAAAUCAUGUAAAUCAGUAGUAGAAAUUAAACCUUUAGGCACAAGAACGAAAAGAGUGUUCUUGUUCAAACCCCACAUACCUUAGAUUUUGAUUUUGAAGAUAUAGAAACUUUCUUGAAACUUCUUUCUCACACUUUUAGACCAAGACCUGCAGCCUUUGACUUGAGGAGCUUAGUUCUUGAACAACAUGAAGAAAUUUAUGGGAGAUUUCUUGAAUUUCUUGGAGAUUAUUUGAUUUUUUGGUUUGGAAGAAACCUUAGGUUUCUACAGAAUUCUUGAAAGAAUUUUGGAAAGAAAUGGAGAGAAAAUGAUCUUUUCUUCUCUACAUAGAUAUAUAUAUAUAAGGCCACAAGGAGCGGAAAUGACCUAGAUGCCCUUUUUAAAUAUGCUGAAAUUUGUUGAUCGAGGCCUGUGACGGUCGAACUGACGGCCCAUCAGAGGGACUGACGGUCCACCAAGUCAUCCAUCACUUGAGGGCCAGAAAUGAGACAUCCUCUCUUGGUCUGACGGACACCUUGAUAGUCCGUCAAUUUGGUGACAGUCCACCACUUUGACCAUCACACGACAUCCCAAAAUUGGAGCUACUACCUUGGCUUCACGGGACACUUGAUGGUUCACCAAGGACCUGACGGUCCACCAGGUCAACCGUCAAACUAGGACUAUGCGAUAGCAUUCAUUAAAACGACCAUAACUCACUCAUCCGAUGUCAGAUUUUGAUGAAAAUUGUAUCGAUGGAACGCUUAUUCAAUGCUCUACAAGACAAAAAGUGGAAAUUAGAGAAAUAUAACAUGGUUUAAACAUCAAUAACUUUGGAAGUCAUACAUAUCUAUCUGAAAAGACAGAUUUAGUCCUAAGAAAUGAUCAGGGUAUUACAUAAACACACCGAUUUGGCCUAAAAAUGCUUAAUUCGCGCCAUUCAGCCCAUUUGACCACUCAAACAGCCCCGUCGAACCCAAUGACCCAUAUUCUACCACUCCUCUUCCUAUCUGGGAGCCCCGCCAAUAUUUGACCCAAAACAGGCUCGAACCCCAAGUCCACCCUCAAAACCAUGAGCUAUUGCACACCGAUUUAACUAGAAAAUUAUCUGUUCAUGCUGUCUCACCUGUUUGACUAUGCAAAUAGCCCUGUCAACCCCAACAGACCAUACUUUCUCUCUCCUCAGCCUAUGUGGAAGCCCUCUCUUGAUUUUUGAUCAAAAACACAUUUGGGCCUAAGGCCGACCCCAAGAAUCUUGAGCUAUAACACACUGAUUUAGCUUGAAAAUAGUUUGUUCGCAUUGUUUAGCUCGUUUGGCCACCCAAAUGUCCCCGACGCCCCUAAUGACCCACUAUCCCUAUCUUCUCAGCCUGUUUGGGAGCCCUCGAUUGAUUUUCAGUCUAAAAUAUUUUCGGGUCCUAAGCCCACCCCCAAAAUCGUGAGCUAUAACACACUGAUUUUCACCCAAAAAUGGUCUAAUUACAUCGUUUCAUCUCAUUUGACCACCCAAAUGAUCCCGCCGACCCAAAAGGUCCACAAUCCCUUGCUCUUCAUCCUACUUGGGAGCCUCCAAUCCAUUUUCAGCCUAAAACACACUCGGACCGUGGGCCUACCUCCAAAACCAUGAGUUAUAGCAUACCGAUGCACUAGGAUUUCAUUAUGUGUUCGAUCUCGCUCAUAUUUCUUUGGUCUACCUCUACCCAACCUAAAACCAUUCAUAACCAGUAUUUCACACGUCUGCACUGAAGAAUGAGAGCCCCUCUUCAUCACAUGGCCGAACCAACGUAACCUCAUAUUUCGCAUCUUGUCCUCAACCGAAGCAACUCCCAUUAAUUGAUUGACAGAACCCAAAAGAACUUUCUCUGGGGCACCACCCCUGAUAACAAGAAAAUGUAUCUAAUCAAUCGAGAAACCUUGACUAAUGCUAAAGCUUCCAUUAGGAAUGCCACGAUUCUAUCCAGUCUAGCCUAGACACUUUACAAGCAUCCCAACAGUCUUUGGGCAAGAAAUUCUUUAAAAUAAAUUAGCCCUCAUGGCAUAUACCUUAAAGCCAACAACUUUAGAACUUGGAAAAGUGUCCUUGUGGGUUGGGAAAUUUGUAAAACUCCCUCCUUUUGAAACAUCCAUAAGGAUGAGAAGAUCAAUUUCUAGAAGGACAGAUGGAUGCCUUACUGUGAACUCCUUCUUUCCAUUAUCCAAGCCCUUCUUCCUUAUUAUUCCCAAGACAUUAAACUCUCUGGGAUCUAGAGGAAUGGCUCCUGGAACCUCAAGUAUCUUCCGGUUGAAAUCCCUGAGGAUCUCAUCCUAACUUUCACCAACUCUGUUUUCCCCAAUCCCAGAGCCCAUACUGAUGAGCUCAUUUGGAAUCUCACUGGUAAUUGUCUGUUCUCCAGCAGAAGUGCUUAUAAUCAUAUUGCCAAAACCUCUGAGAUCAGUUACUCCUCUAAUUUCAACUAGAUAUGGAAAGCUAAAUCCCCUAAAAAGUCAAAACAUUUCUUUGGCUAAGCCAGCAUAAUAGGUUCCCCAAUAACCUUAACCUCUCCAAGAGAGGAGUAAGACAAAAUACUUGGUAUGCUAUCUGCAAUCAUCACCAGGAAGACAAAUACCAUAUUUUCUUUAAGUGUCCCAUCCUCAAAGAUUUUGUAGUGCAAACUAUCAACAGGAUGACCCAGUCCAAACAACCUCCUAUUACCAGUCUCCUACCUUCUUACUGGCACACUAUCUGGAGAUCUCUUCAACACUCCCAAUUAACAGACUAAUCCACUGGCACGAUAUCAUUCUUUUCAGCCUCUAGACAAUCUGGAACACCAGGAACUCUAAUACCUUUGAUAACAAAAGGAACCAUCCCAAUUUUAACCAUGCUUACUCCCAAACUGUUGAGUAUAAACAUCUUACUCAAAAGAAUACCCCAAUCAAGCAAAACCAAAUCAUCAAGGAUAAGUGGAAUCCUCCCACCAGCCAUACCUUAAAGCUUAAUACUGAUAAUUUUUGCCUUAGAAACCUCGGGAAGGUGGAAUAGGAGGGAUAGUCAGAUCCAGUAAUGGAGGCUGAGUGUUAGGUUUUAACAAAAACUUUCACCGGACUACCAACAACAUGAUGGAACUUAUGUCUCUCAUUGAAGGAUUAAAACUGGUAGAGCAAAAAUACUCUUCUCCCCAUUGAAAUUAACAUUGAUUCCUUGGAAGUUAUAUCUAGGUUAACUAAUGGGAACCUCCACUAUCAUACUUUGAUUUCGGAAUGCAAGUCAAAAUUAAAAAUUCUAAGGAAUCCGAAAGUCAAGCACUAUUAUAGAGAUCAAAAUAGAGUGGAGGAUGCUCUAGCAAUAGAUGGAGCAAGGGCAAGCGGGUUUCAAGAGACUACCCUUUUUGAAGUUCCACUUAUAUGUGCAAAAGAUGCAGUUUGAGCAGACAUCUCGGAAACUUUUUGAGGGAACAAUUAGCUCUUGUACUGAUGAAUUUAACUGGCCAGGCUAGAACUAUUCCUUUUUGAACCCUGACUAAUCGUCAAAAAUUUAAACUUAAAUUGCGUUCUCUUUUAUAUUAAUGCAUGUCCUUUCUACCAAAAAAAAAAUAUUAUUUCACAUAUUGAAUCAUCAAAAUGAAGAGAUACUUAUAUCAAUUUAAAUUGAUGGACCUUGAACAUUCACAAAGAAAGAUAAGUUGAAAAUGUUAUAUCAUUCUUGCAUAUCGAAAGAAUGUUAUCAAAUUAAGAGUAAUUUUUUUAAAAGAAGAAUUAAAAAAUGUAGUAAACAAAUUCACGAAUAAAGCUAAUGAUAGAGAAGUAUAUGUAAGAAAGGCUAUGUGAUAGAAUUUCAUUUAUAUUCAGAUAUCAUUUAAAUACAAAUUCAAAUAUCACAUAUGUUUAUUAAAAUAAGAUUAAUUUAUUAUUCUUCCUUGUCCUUAUCCUUACAUUUUUCAAAUACAAUAUAUAUUUAAAAUUAAUAUAGAUUUGAGUUGAGAUAAAUAUUGAAAUCAACGAGACUUAAAUUGCGUUCUCUUUUAUAUUAAUGCAUGUCCUUUCUACCAAAAAAAAAAUAUUAUUUCACAUAUUGAAUCAUCAAAAUGAAGAGAUACUUAUAUCAAUUUAAAUUGAUGGACCUUGAACAUUCACAAAGAAAGAUAAGUUGAAAAUGUUAUAUCAUUCUUGCAUAUCGAAAGAAUGUUAUCAAAUUAAGAGUAAUUUUUUUAAAAGAAGAAUUAAAAAAUGUAGUAAACAAAUUCACGAAUAAAGCUAAUGAUAGAGAAGUAUAUGUAAGAAAGGCUAUGUGAUAGAAUUUCAUUUAUAUUCAGAUAUCAUUUAAAUACAAAUUCAAAUAUCACAUAUGUUUAUUAAAAUAAGAUUAAUUUAUUAUUCUUCCUUGUCCUUAUCCUUACAUUUUUCAAAUACAAUAUAUAUUUAAAAUUAAUAUAGAUUUGAGUUGAGAUAAAUAUUGAAAUCAACGAGACAAUACUAAUACUAAUACUAAUACUAAUACUAAUACUAAUACUAAUACUAAUACUAAUGCAUACUAAUACUAAUACUAAUACUGAUACUAAUAACAAUAAUAACAUUUUAACUAUUUUUACUUUACCACUAUUAGAUUGCACUACUAUUACUAUUACUAUUAUUAUUUGUUCAUUGUUAUUUGAGAUAAAUAUUAAGAUAAAUCGUGUAGCAAAAACAAAAAUUGUGUGCCAUGAUUACUAAUUAAGUACAUCAAAAUUAUAAGUUUAUCUUUGAAAGUAUGUUUUAUGUCCAAUUUAAAUUCAAAAAAAAUUGAUAGAAUAACCAAUAUCUUAGAUGAGCGGUUAAAACCGUUAAUAUAGGUUAGGCUCGUUGGGAUGGCCCGGCCCAGCCUGUAAUUUGAUAGGCUGGGCUACAAUUUUUACAGCCCAUUUAAGAAUAGGGCUUUUUAUCCCUUCAUGAAUGAGUCUACUCACCCAUCGGCUUGAACAAUAUGGGUUUGGGUGACCCGUGGGUCAAAUAAAAAUAAUUAAAAAAUAAAAUAUAAUACGAAGAAUAAAAAAAGAAGUCCAAACUCAAAGUCUAUAUGAACCAUCAUAUAUAUAUAUAUAUAUUUAAAUAUUAAUUAUAUUUAUAAAAUAUAUAAAUAAUUAACAUAUAAAAUAUAAUUUUUUUAAGAAAUCAAAUAUGUUUGAUGAAUAUGACGUGGAGAUGUUGAAUACUCCAUAAAUGCCAUGAGAGUUUUCUUUAAAGGGUUUAUUUUACUUUUAAUGGACUAAACAUUGACAUUUCUUUAUGUUUUAUUGUGAUCAAUUAAAACAAAAUUAGGCUAAUAUUGUUUUUAGCGAGUAAUAUUAUUACUCAUUAAUUAUUUUAUUUAUUUUUCAAUAUUUCUAUUUGAUUUUAAUUUUGUGUCAAAAGUUAUUCAAUUUCAAAGAUUAUUAGGAUCUUUUUUUAAAUUUGAGACUUGAUUAACGAGUAGUAAUUUCAAACAAUAUUAUAUUGUAAAUAUUAAUGCAAUUAAUAUUUUAAAAUUUAAAUUAAGAUUAUAAAAAUAAUAUAUUUUAAAAAAUGGGUUUGUCCGUGGAGGCACACAACCCAUAGUGUGAUGGGUUGGGCAUGCUAUUUCUAGUGUGUCAUGUUGAUGGGUCAGCCUGGCCGGGCCCGUCAAACUCUAAAGCCCGUGUGAGCUAGCCCGGAUGAGCUGGUCAUAUCCAUAUUAACAACUCUAGGAGCAGUUAUAUAAUGAUAAAAAUCUAAUUAGAACUGUUUAGUAUUAUAACUAUCUACUCCAAAUAUGUAAUUUUAUAUUUUUUUAAUAUUAUUUUAAAUUUAAAGUCAACAAUUUAUUUGUAACGCCCCAAAUAAUAUACGACACGUCACUAAACUUACACUUCAAGUACUCCUUCUUGGUCCUGCUUAACCGAAAUCCUUUAGACUCAAGGGUCUGUCUCAAAAUCUCCAACUUAUCAUUAACUCCUCUCCGAGUCUUUUUAAGCAGUACCACAUUAUCAACAAAUAACAUACACCAAGGCAACUCCUCUUGAAUAUGUCUUAUCAAAACAUUCAUCACCAAGGCAAAUAAAAAAUGGCUAAGAGUCAACCCCUGAUGCAACCCUACCAAAAUAAAAAAAUGCUCUGAAUCUCCACCUACCGUCCUCACCCGAGUGUUGCAUCAUCAUACAUGUCCUAAAUCGACCUAGUGUACUCCACAUGCACCCCUCUAGCCUCCGAACACCCCCAGAUAAUCUCCUUGAGAACUCUGUCAUAAGCCUUCUUAAGAUUAAUAAACACCAUGUGAAAGUCCUUCUUCAUCUCCCAAAACUGUUCCACUAAUCUCCUUACAAGGUGAAUGGCCUCAGUAGUCGAGCGAACUAGCAUGAAAUCGAAUUGAUUCUCAGCGAUAAUCACACUCCUUCUUAGCCUCAACUCUACCACCAUUUCCCAAAUCAUCAUAGUAUGACUCAACAACUUAAUACCUCUAUAGUUAGUUGCAUGUCUCCCUUGUUCUUAUACAAUGGAAUCAUUGUACUCCACCUCCAUGCUUCAGGCAUCCUUCCCGCCCUAAAAAUGAUGUUAAGAACUUUGUCAACCACUCCAAACCUGCCCCGCCAGUGUGUUCCAAAAAUCCAUUGAUAUUUCGUCUAGCCCAAUCGCCCUACCUUGACGCAUCCUGCGAAUAGCCCUGUUGACCUCCUUAACCUCGAUACUCCUACAAUAAAAAUAGUCGUGACACUCCUCAAAUUUAUCCAAGUCCCCAAUCACGAAACCUUUGUCCCCCUUAUCAUUUAAAAGUUUAUGAAAAUAGGACUACCACCUUUUUUUUAUAAGGGAAACCUCAACCAACAUAGUACCAUCCUCAACCUUGAUGCAUUUAUCCCUUCCUGUCUCCUUUAAAGCCGCAUACAAGCUCUCAAAAUCUUUCAUUUUAGCCACUGUAACCACUAACUUAGCCUCUCACCUAGCUAUAGCUUAUACUCUUCCUUAUUCGUCCGACUCUCUUGAUCAUUCUUGCUCACAACCAAUUUAGCAUAAGCUGGUUAUAAUUAUAAUUCAAUGCUGAUUAAAAAAAGAAAAAUAUUGAUUUUAAUGAAUUUAUGGGUACAAAAUUUCUCAAAUAUAAAUAGAAAUAAAUUUAUUUUAAUAUUUAUUAUUUUAUUUUCACCAAUAAUUUCAUGUGACAAGAGUUGCAAAAUUCAUUGUUUUGAUCUAAUACAACAAUGUAUUUCAAUCACUUCAAGUAUAUAUAAAAAUAGUUACAACAUUAAUUUAUAACCUUUACACAAACUAACUUAAUUGUGAUCUAUAAGGAUAUUAAAUAAUAAUUAAAUUACAUUAAUCGAUUAUUCCAUUCGGUCCAUUUACUUAUCAUGUUAAUUUUUUAAACACCCUUUAAAAAUAUUCUAUUCAUUCUACUCUAAUUAUUGAUUUAUCCUUUUUCAUGUUUGCUAAGAAAAAUAAUUAAGGCGUUGUACUAUUUAUUAUUGAUUAAGUUUCCUAUUUAAUACUUCCUCCAUUUCACAAUAAGUGAAUUAUUAGAGUAAUUUUAGUGUUUCAAAAUAAGUGAAUGAUUCACAAUUCAAGGUAGAUGUUGGAAAUUUUUUUCCAAUUUAUCCUCCAUUAAAUGUGCACUGGGAGUGAUGUAUCAUGUGUCUUUACUUUUUGAAGAGGGUAAAAAUGAAAAAACAUGAUAAAUUUAUGUCUUUGCUUUUUUUUUUUCUUAACAUGUGAGCCGAAAUUCAAUAAUUAACUUAAUGUGGAACUGACGGAGUACUAUAUCUUUUUUAAGAAGUGAACAUCAGUGACUAUACGGGUGUAGUUGAAAAUUAUUACUAACUUUAAUUUUAUGUUAAAAGUUAUUUCUAAAUAAGUUUUUUGAGAAAAAACAAUUAUUAAUUUAAAAUGAAGGAAAUUUUAAUUAAAAGAGAACCUGUGGCAAGAAAAAAUCAGUUACAAAUACACAAGUGGAAAUGGUCUUAGUAAAAAGAAUAAGGACAAGAAUAAAAAAUUAAUCAAAUGAACAUCAUCAAUCCUUGUGAGGACUACCAAAUAUUGAGAUCCUCCCUUAUAUAUAAUAGUAAAUUAUGUUUUUUGUUUCAUAUUGUUAACACUGUUUGUAAUAAAGAUUAAAGUGACACAAACAAAUUGCAGUCACAAAGCAAAUAAAAUAUGAAAAAAUAAGAAUUUUAUUGAUAAAGGAUAUGGAUAUAAUUCUGUUACUCCCUUGAUUCUUCUUUCUUUAUUUUUCUCCAUAAUUCUAGGACCAUUAGUAGCGUAUUUAUCGAAAGUAGAAAGAUUUAAAUUUGAUAUGAUUUUUUAGAGUAUUUCUCGAAUGUAAAAAGAUUUGAAUUUAAUAUGAUUUUUUUUUGUAAUUCAAGGGUCGUUAGUAGCAUAUUUCUUGAAUGUAAGAAAAUUUAGAUUUGAUAUGGAUUUUCUUCGUUAUUCGAAGGCCGUUAAUAACAUAUUUCUUGAACGUAGAAAUAUUUGAAUUUGAUCUCCAUAAAACAAGGGUUUAUGGAUCUUCUUGAUAUAUUUGAUUAUCAAAAAGAGAGUGAUAUUUCAACGAGUUUAUGAAAUUAUCGGGAGAUGAUUAAUCUUUUUAUUAAGGGUUUAGAGUAGAACAGCCACCAAGUUAGGUUUGGCAUAAAGUAACCCCUAAUAACUCUAACAAAAAUUGAAUUCUUAUUAUAGAGUUCACAAAAUUAUGAUGUCUAUAAACUCUUUGUAUUGUCAAAUGUUAUGACUACAAAAUUCUUUGCUGAAAUGUCAAAAUUCAAUUUUUUUUCUUCUUAAGAUGAUGAAUGAAGUACGUGUUAAUUUAGUGGAGUCACUUAGCUCAAGUCAUUCGUGUGGCGUACCAUGAAAUCAGAAAACUACAUCAAGCUAGGAGAAGAGAAAAGCAAUAACAAAAAUACCAUAUUUAGCACAUUUUCGUAGCUCGAACUCGUGACCCCCUGAUCACAUGGAGGGAACUAUCCACAAUAAUUCAGACAAAUACUUCUCAUAGAUAAUCACAAAUUUCCAAGCAAGACUAAAUCGUAUAAGAAUUUUACUACACACAAAGACUAAAACAAAGGGCAGUCCGGUGCACUAAGCUCCCGUUAAGUGCUGGGUCCCAGGAAAAAACUGGACCACAAAGGUCUAUCAUACACAGUCUUACCACAGUGGACACUCGACAACAACUUUACCAGUUACGACAAGGCUCCUUGUCUUACACACACAAAUAACAUUUGUAAAGAUGAAAUCUUUAGCAAUUUUUUAAAAUUCUUUCUACCCAAAUUUCCAAGAUAAGCUAAAAUAUAACACUGAUAACAUAUGGUUAAAUAAACAAUAAGCAAAAAAUGCAAAUUACCCAAAAAAAUUCAGGCAAAUAAAACUUGUAAUACAUCAAGAUUAAUUUUGAACAAUAACUUAAAAAAAAAUCUCACUUUCUCACAGAUGAAUAAUGAAAUUUCAAUUCUACCCUUAACAUUAUGUCUCCAUUGAUGAUGGAUACUGUAGCAUUAAGAGCCAAUUUCUUUCCUUUUCUAUUAGUUGGUCAGUAUUUGAGUAGUAUCAUCUUCUACAAAAAUUAACAGGAUAAUAUCACUUUAGCCCCCAAAAGAUCUAGCUAUUACAUAUAGACCCCUUUACCUUAUAAUUUUAGAAUGAUAUUGCUCUUCUAGAACAAUUUAAAUGCCCCAAAAGUUUCUCUAAUAAACAAAAAGAGAAUUCCUUCGUUCGAUAUACUUGUCACAUUUUAACUUGACAUAUUUAAUAAAAAAAUAACUAAUAAAAUAAAAUUAUUUUACCAUAAUACCCCUAUUAAAUGAUAGUUAAAUUGUAUCUUAAAAUUAAUUUGGAGAAAAGACAAUUAAUGCUAAGGGUAAAAUAGAAAAAAUAAAGUUGUCUUUUCUUGAUAUGUCAAAAAUCAUAAGUAAAAAUAGAAAUACAAUUACGAAAUUAGUGACAAGUAAAAGCGAACGGUGGGAGUAACACUGAAAACACAUCAAAAAGAUAUACUUCCUCGGUUGUAUUUUAUGCGGCAUAUUUUGAUCGGGCACAAAGUUUAAGAAAGAAUGACAAUUGUCCUUUAUUAAAAAAUAUAUUACUACUAUCUUUAAUUAAAUGAGACUAAUAAGGAUAAAAGUAAAAUUGUAUCUUUAAAUAGUUACCAAAUAAGGAAAUAUGACAUUCUUUUUGGGACGGACAAAAAGAAAAUGAGGACAUAUAAAAUGGGGCAGAGGAAGUAUGUUAAUACUAAAAGUGCAGCUUGAUGUGGCGGUGGAAGUAUGUUAAUACUAAAAGGGCAGCUCGGUGUACUAAAGCUUCUUGCUAUAAGGGACUGCGAAGAAGGGCUGAACUGUUAGAAUUUUACUAUGCGCAGCAUUAUCUUGCAUUUCUGACUGAGGGUGUUUCUAUGACUUGAACUCGUGACUUCCUAAUCAUAUGACAAUAAUUUUAUCAGUUACUCUAAAAAUCCCCUUCAUAUUUUUUUUUCGAUUUGAUAAAAAUAUUAAAGAUACGCAAAAUAUAAAAGAUACGCAUAUAAUUCUUUUGCAAACCCACUUAUAUGGAGUAAUAAAAACUUAUAAGGUAUGAAAAAUUAUAUAUGCAUGGGAUUUCCCUUUUGGUUAAAGUUUUAACAGGUUAAUUUCAUGUAUAAUUGUAGACUUUUACUCAUUAAUGACAAAAUUAUUGAACUUUAACUAUUUAAUAAAGUAGUAGAUUUAAUGACAUUAAAAAUCAUUAGAGUUUUUACUAUGUGUUUAGAUAUAUUGAGUACAAGAAGUGAUAGACAUAUCUCAAACUAAAUCAAUCAAUUAGAAAAACAAUUUCUAUUCCAAUGGAGAAGUUCCUCCAUGUUCACCUUUUGAUUUCAAUUAUCUUCUCAAUUUUGCUUGUAAUUUUAUGCAAUGAACAUUCUUUUCCACCCCUUAACACCACUUAUAUUAUGGAAUAUGUCUAUUGAUCCAACGAAGCUUCCCGAUCCUCCGAUGCCAUCCUAUACACUCACCAUUUACAAUCUCUAUUUAUUUGAAAAGUCAAAAUUCAAGGACUAUGACUCGUUACUCGGAAACAGGUUCGCUGGUUGUCAAGCUAAAGCAAAUCAUUUGGCACUGGUUCUUGAAAAUGGUGACACGAUUAGUGCGAAUGGAACUUUGGUAAGGCCACACGACGAGCAUGAGAGCAAAGGGGCCAACGAAAAGGUUCUGGUAACAACAAGUACACAUUUCAUAUGUCAGUAUGUUGCAUCUUUUACUCUUUUUUUUUGGUUUCCCAUCCGGCAUCCGGUGCCUGCAUUGGAGCCCCGACUAGUCCGGAUCACACGUUGCAGGGCCCAUUAAUGUAGCAGCUCUCCAAACAGAAUUUUUUCCAUACCCAGGGUCGAACCCUGGACCUCUUGUUAAGGGUGGAGCAGGCUCAUCCACUACACCACAACUCAUAUUGAUGCAUCUUUUACUCACUGAACAAGUUAAAAGUUACUUGCUAAUAGACACUGGUAGUGAUUUAUUUUGGUGGCAAUGUAGACCAUGUAAUGCAAAUGGAUGUUACAAAAAGAUAAAUAAUCCUUUAUAUGUUUCAACUCAUUCAAAACCAUAUCGAAAUCUCGAUUGCCUUGUAGAAAGUAGAACUGUGAAAGCACGAAUAAGGAAUAUUAUUAUAUUUCGUAUGGUAAUACGUGUGUAUAUGAUUGCAAAUACGUAGAUGGAUCAAGAACAAGAGGUUGGAUCGCACACGAUGUGAUUACCUUUGUUUUAGGCCGAAAGAAGGUAAGCAUUGUUUUUGGAUGUGGCAAAGAUCAAACUCAUGGAAAGCCUUUUAAUGGCCAAUUUUCUGGAAUUGCUGGCCCCGGACGUAAUGGGUGGAGGCAAUUUUUAAGCAUCACAAUUUGAAGAAGAAAAAAUGUCCAUGUGCAUACCGGGAGCUCUCUCCACAAAAGGAUCAACACUUAGAUUCCAGACAACGCCAUUUAAGAAAGCAACAUCAGCAACACUAUUACAAGAUUUUAGAUUCCCUUCCAUUUACUUCGUCAACCUUUAUAAAGUUUUUAUUAAUGAUAGGGAAGUCCCGAUGUUCCCAUCAUUGUCUAGGAAUUUCAGAAAUUAUGCCACGAGCAGUAGCUGCAUCGUGGACACAAGAAAAUUUAUUACCCAUUUUCCUCAUGAUUUUUAUAUUGUAUUUCGUUACACAUUCAGAUAACAAGUAUGUGGUAUUCCUAUUGUUAAUGUUCUACCUGAAUCAGUUUAUGACACUUGCUAUAAAGUGGAUACAACAGGUCUGGAUCUACAUUUCCCCAUUGUGACCACCUAAAUGGCCGGUCCAACCUCAACAACCCACACUUCCCUUUGCCUCAGCCUACCUGGGAGCAGUUAGUCCAUUUUCUCCCCAAAACAUACUUGGUCACUGGGCCCACCCCCAAAACCGUGAGCUAUAGCCCACUGAUUUAGCCUAAGAAUGGCCCAUUUGCCCAUUCACUUGUUUAACCACCCAAAUAGCCCAGCCAACCCCAACGACCAACACUAUCCCACUUUUAAGCCUGCAUUGGUGCCUCUGGUCGAUUUUCAAACCAAAACACGCUCGAGCUCCGAGCCAUACCCUAAAACCGUGAGUUAUAGCACGUCUAUUUGGCCCUAAAACUAGCAUGUUUUUGACAUUUUGGCUAUUUGACCACCUAAAUGGCCCCGCUGACCCAAACGACUCACUUUUUCGUUCAUCAGUCUACUUGGAAGCCUUGAUCGAUUUUCGACCCAAAACAUGCCUGAACCCUGGGCCCACCCAAAAUUGUGAUCUAUAGCACGUCGAUUAUGCUAGAAAAUGACCUAUUCGCGUUGAUAUUCUAGUUUGACCACCCAAAUAACCUCGUUGACCCCUACAACCCAUACUUCCACGCUCUUCAGCCUACCUGAGAGCCCCCAGUUGAUUUUUGACCCAAAAUAUGCCCAGGACCACCCCGAAAUCGUGAGUUAUAGCUCACCAAUUUGGCCCAAAAAUGGCCCAUUUGCACCAUUUUUCUCAUUUGGCCAGCCAAAUGGUCCCGCCGACCUCAACAACCCAUAAUUCUGCGCUUCUCGGCCUGCUUGGGAGCCCUCAAUUGUGAGCUAUAACACAUCGAUUUGGCUCAAAAUGGCCCGUUCGCAUCAUUUUGCCUAUUUAAUAACCCAAACAGUCUAGUCGACCCCAAUUGGCCCACAAUCCCUGCUUUUCAGCCAACUUAGAAGCCGCGACCAAUUUUCAGUCAAAAACACGUGUGGGCCUUGGGCAUACCCUCUGAACCGUGAGGUAUACCACCCUAAUUUUGGCAAAAAAUAGCCCAUUCGCACCGUUUCAUCCGUUCGAUCAUACAAACGGCCCAUCCCCACCCAACGGCCUACACUCUUCCGCUUAUUAUCCUGCCUAGGAUCCUCUGGUUUAUUUUCAGCCUAAACCACGCCUAUGCCCUAAGCCCACACCCUAAAUCGUGUGCUAUAACACACUAAUUUUGCCUAAAAAUGGUCCAUUCAUGCUAUUUUGCCCGUUUGACCACCCAAACGGCCCCACAGACCCCAACAACCUAUACUUUCUCUCUUCUCGACCUACUUGGGAGCCUCUGGUAAAUUUUUAGACUAUAACACACCUGAGCCCCAGCUCCACCCCCAGAAUCAUCAGUUAUAGCAUAAUGAUUUGGCCUCAAAAUAGCACGUUCACGCUGUAUCGCCCAUUUGACCACCCAAAUGGCCUCAAGGAAUUUUUGGACAAAACAUGGUUGGGACUCGGGUGGGACACUCGGAACCGUGAGCUAUAUCAUAUCGAUUUGGCUCAAAAAUGGACCGUUCAUGUAAUUUCUCCUGUUUGACCACAUAAAUAGCCCCACCGACCCUAACAGGCCACACUCCCUCACUUGUCAGCCUACCUGGGAGCCCCGAUUGAUUUUUAGCCCAAACACGCCCGGUCCCCGAGCACACCCUAGAACCGUGAGCUAUAGCACACAGAAUUUUUUCCAUACCCAGGGUCGAACCCUGGACCUCUUGUUAAGGGUGGAGCAGGCUCAUCCACUACACCACAACUCAUAUUGAUGCAUCUUUUACUCACUGAACAAGUUAAAAGUUACUUGCUAAUAGACACUGGUAGUGAUUUAUUUUGGUGGCAAUGUAGACCAUGUAAUGCAAAUGGAUGUUACAAAAAGAUAAAUAAUCCUUUAUAUGUUUCAACUCAUUCAAAACCAUAUCGAAAUCUCGAUUGCCUUGUAGAAAGUAGAAACUGUGAAAUCACGAAUAAGGAAUAUGAUUAUAGUUCGUAUGGUAAUACGUGUGUAUAUGAUUGCAAAUACGUAGAUGGAUCAAGAACAAGAGGUUGGAUCGCACACGAUGUGAUUACCUUUGUUUUAGGCCGAAAGAAGGUAAGCAUUGUUUUUGGAUGUGGCAAAGAUCAAACUCAUGGAAAGCCUUUUAAUGGCCAAUUUUCUGGAAUUGCUGGCCCCGGACGUAAUGGGUGGAGGCAAUUUUUAAGCAUCACAAUUUGAAGAAGAAAAAAUGUCCAUGUGCAUACCGGGAGCUCUCUCCACAAAAGGAUCAACACUUAGAUUCCAGACAACGCCAUUUAAGAAAGCAACAUCAGCAACACUAUUACAAGAUUUUAGAUUCCCUUCCAUUUACUUCGUCAACCUUUAUAAAGUUUUUAUUAAUGAUAGGGAAGUCCCGAUGUUCCCAUCAUUGUCUAGGAAUUUCAGAAAUUAUGCCACGAGCAGUAGCUGCAUCGUGGACACAAGAAAAUUUAUUACCCAUUUUCCUCAUGAUUUUUAUAUUGUAUUUCGUUACACAUUCAGAUAACAAGUAUGUGGUAUUCCUAUUGUUAAUGUUCUACCUGAAUCAGUUUAUGACACUUGCUAUAAAGUGGAUACAACAGGUCUGGAUCUACAUUUCCCCAUUGUGACCACCUAAAUGGCCGGUCCAACCUCAACAACCCACACUUCCCUUUGCCUCAGCCUACCUGGGAGCAGUUAGUCCAUUUUCUCCCCAAAACAUACUUGGUCACUGGGCCCACCCCCAAAACCGUGAGCUAUAGCCCACUGAUUUAGCCUAAGAAUGGCCCAUUUGCCCAUUCACUUGUUUAACCACCCAAAUAGCCCAGCCAACCCCAACGACCAACACUAUCCCACUUUUAAGCCUGCAUUGGUGCCUCUGGUCGAUUUUCAAACCAAAACACGCUCGAGCUCCGAGCCAUACCCUAAAACCGUGAGUUAUAGCACGUCUAUUUGGCCCUAAAACUAGCAUGUUUUUGACAUUUUGGCUAUUUGACCACCUAAAUGGCCCCGCUGACCCAAACGACUCACUUUUUCGUUCAUCAGUCUACUUGGAAGCCUUGAUCGAUUUUCGACCCAAAACAUGCCUGAACCCUGGGCCCACCCAAAAUUGUGAUCUAUAGCACGUCGAUUAUGCUAGAAAAUGACCUAUUCGCGUUGAUAUUCUAGUUUGACCACCCAAAUAACCUCGUUGACCCCUACAACCCAUACUUCCACGCUCUUCAGCCUACCUGAGAGCCCCCAGUUGAUUUUUGACCCAAAAUAUGCCCAGGACCACCCCGAAAUCGUGAGUUAUAGCUCACCAAUUUGGCCCAAAAAUGGCCCAUUUGCACCAUUUUUCUCAUUUGGCCAGCCAAAUGGUCCCGCCGACCUCAACAACCCAUAAUUCUGCGCUUCUCGGCCUGCUUGGGAGCCCUCAAUUGUGAGCUAUAACACAUCGAUUUGGCUCAAAAUGGCCCGUUCGCAUCAUUUUGCCUAUUUAAUAACCCAAACAGUCUAGUCGACCCCAAUUGGCCCACAAUCCCUGCUUUUCAGCCAACUUAGAAGCCGCGACCAAUUUUCAGUCAAAAACACGUGUGGGCCUUGGGCAUACCCUCUGAACCGUGAGGUAUACCACCCUAAUUUUGGCAAAAAAUAGCCCAUUCGCACCGUUUCAUCCGUUCGAUCAUACAAACGGCCCAUCCCCACCCAACGGCCUACACUCUUCCGCUUAUUAUCCUGCCUAGGAUCCUCUGGUUUAUUUUCAGCCUAAACCACGCCUAUGCCCUAAGCCCACACCCUAAAUCGUGUGCUAUAACACACUAAUUUUGCCUAAAAAUGGUCCAUUCAUGCUAUUUUGCCCGUUUGACCACCCAAACGGCCCCACAGACCCCAACAACCUAUACUUUCUCUCUUCUCGACCUACUUGGGAGCCUCUGGUAAAUUUUUAGACUAUAACACACCUGAGCCCCAGCUCCACCCCCAGAAUCAUCAGUUAUAGCAUAAUGAUUUGGCCUCAAAAUAGCACGUUCACGCUGUAUCGCCCAUUUGACCACCCAAAUGGCCUCAAGGAAUUUUUGGACAAAACAUGGUUGGGACUCGGGUGGGACACUCGGAACCGUGAGCUAUAUCAUAUCGAUUUGGCUCAAAAAUGGACCGUUCAUGUAAUUUCUCCUGUUUGACCACAUAAAUAGCCCCACCGACCCUAACAGGCCACACUCCCUCACUUGUCAGCCUACCUGGGAGCCCCGAUUGAUUUUUAGCCCAAACACGCCCGGUCCCCGAGCACACCCUAGAACCGUGAGCUAUAGCACACCAAUUAGGCCCAAAAAAUAUCCCAUUGGCGUAGUUUCGCUUGUUUGAUCACCCAAACGGCCUCGUCGACCCAAAGAACCCUGACUCUCUCGCUCCUCAACCCGCCUGGGUACCCCUGAUUGAUAUUUGGCCCAAAAAAUAUGACCAAACACCGGCCCACUCUAGAAAUCGUGAGGUAUAACAUAUCAAUUUAGCCCAAAAAUGGCCUGUUUAUGCCGAUUCACCCUUUUGACGCCCUAAACGGCCCUGUCGACCCCCACCACCCACACUCCCCUGCUCCUCAGCCUGCUCGAGAGCCCUCGAUUGAUUUUUGACCCAAACCACACCCGGUCCCUUCGCUCACCUUUGAAAUCGUAGAUUAUAUCACAUUGAUUUUGCUCAAAAAUGGUCGGUUCGUGCCCUUUUGGCUAUUUGACCAACCAAAUAGCCCUACUAACCACCGCCGAUACACUUCCGUUCCACAGUAUUCCAGGGAUCCUAUGGUCAAUUUUCAUCCUAAAACAUGCCUGGGUCCCAGGCUUACCUCCAAAACCGUGAACUAUAGCACACCAAUUUGACCAAAAAAUGGUUCGUCCAUGCCGUUUCAUUUUUGUUAGUACUCAAAUGGCCCUGCCGACCCCAAUAACCCAUACUUCCUUGCUCCUCAGCCUACCUAGCACCCCUAGUCAAUUUUUUGCCCAAAACAUGCCUGAUCCCAAGGACCACUCCCAAAAUUAUGAUCUAUAACAUACCGAUUUGGCCUAAAAAUGCUUCAUUCCCAUCAUUCAGCUCGUUUGACCACUCAAACAGCCCCGUCGAACCCAAUAACCCACAUUUUCCCGCUCUUCUUCCUUUCUGGGAGCCCCCAAACAAUUUUUGACCUAAAACAAGCUUGAUCCCAAAGCCCACCCUCAAAACCUUGAGCUAUAGCUCACCGAUUUAGCCAGAAAAUUACCCCUUCGUGCCAUUUCGCCUUUUUGACUGCCUAAACAUCCCUGUCGACCCCAACAGACCAUUCUCUCUCUCUCCUUAGCCUGUUUAGGAGCCCUCUCUUUAUUUUUGAUCCAAAACACACAGGGCCUUGGGCCCACCCCAAGAAUCGUGAGCUAUAACACACUAAUUUGGCUUGAAAAUAGUCUUUUCAUAUCGUUUAGCCCGUUUGACCACCCAAACGUCCCCGCCGAUCCCAAUAACCCACUCUUCCCCACUUAUCAGCCUGCCUGAGAUCCCUCAAUUAAUUUUUAGUCCAAAAUAUUUUUGGGUCCAAAAAUCGUGAGCUAUAACACACCGAUUUGGCCUGAAAAUGGUCUAUUUGGAUCGUUUUAUCUCGUUUGACCACCCAAAUGGUCCCGCCGACCCGAAAGGUCCACACUCUCUCGCUCUUCAUCCUUCCUGGGAGCCCCUAGUCCAUUUUUAGCAUAAAAAUUACUCGAACACUGGGACUACCUCCAACACCAUGAGUUAUAGCACACCGAUGCACUAGGAUUUCGUUAUGUGUUCGGUCCCGCUUAUAUUUUUUUGGUCUACCUCUACCACCCCUAAAACCAUCCAUAACCAGUAUUUCACACCUCCGCACUGAAGAAUCAGAGACCCUCUUCAUCACGUUGAUGAACCAACGUAACCUCACAUUUCGCAUCUUGUCCUCCACCAAAGCAACUCUCACCUUCUCUCAAAUAAUUUCAUUCCUCACCUUAUCUUUCCUGGUAUGUCCACAUAUUCAUCACAAUAUUCCUAUCUCUUCCACCUUCAAUUUUUUCAUAUGGGAGUUCUUAACUGGCUAACACACCGCUAUAUACAACAUAGCCGGCCGGACUACCACUCGGUAGAACUUACCUUUAUGUUUCGAGGGCACCUUCUAAUCACAUAGAACUCCCUAAGCAAGCCUUCAUUUCAACCACCCUGCCCUAAUAUGAUGCGUUACAUCCUCAUUAAUCUCAUCAUUACCCUAAAUCAUAGACUAUAGAUACUUGAAACUCUCACUCUUAUGAAUGGCCUGAGAGUCCAUCUUCACAACCACUUCAGCCUCCUGCGACACAUCACUGAACUUAUACUCCAAGUUCUCUAUCUUGGUUCUACUUAAUCAAAAUCCUUUAGACUUAAGCGUCUGUCUCCAAAUCUCCAACAUAUCAUUAACUUCUCUUCGAGUUUCGUAAUCAUCUGCAAAUAACAUACACCAAGGCACUUUUUUCUUGAAGAUGUCACAUUAAAACAUCUAUCACCAAGGCAAAUAAAAAUGGGCUAAGAGUCUAUCCCUGGUGUAACCCUAUCAAAAUUCAGAAGUGCUCCGAAUCUUCACUUACCGUCCUCACACGAGUCUAAUCCAUAUCAUCCAUAUCCUGAAUCGACCUAGUGUAUGCCACGGGCCUCCCCCUAGCCUCUAAACACCUCCACAGAAUCUCCUUGAAAACUCUAUCAUAUGCCUUUACAUGAUCUAUAAACACCAUGUGCAAGUAUUUCUUCCCCUCCCAAAACUGCUCCACUAAUCUCCUCACAAGGUGAAUGACCUCAGUUGACGAGUGCCUUGGCAUGUAACCGAACUGAUUCUUAGAGAUUGUCAUGAUCUUUUUCAUCCUCAACUUUACCACCCUUUCCCAAACCUUCAUAGUAUGACUCAACAACUUAAUACCUCUAUUGUUUUUGCAACUAUGGAUGUCUCUCUUGUUCUUAUACAAUGGAAUCAUAGUACUCCACCUCCACGCUUCAGGCAUCUUCGUCGCCCUAAAAAUACUAUUAAAUAACCUUUUCAACCACUCCAAACCUACCCCGCUAGUGCUCUUCCAAAAAUCCACUAGAACCUCGUCUGUCUCUGUUGGCUUACCCUGCUGCAACCUGCGAAUAGCUUCCUUGACCUCCCCAACCUUGAUAUGCCUACAAUAACCAUAAUUGCGACACUCCUAAGAUUUGUUCAAUUGCAUUUCAAACACUAAAAGUACUUACUUGUAUCAAUUACGAAAAUUCUAAUUUCAAAUCUUAAAUUUCAUUUAGUCUAAAUUCAAAAAUUAAGUGCAUAAAAUUUAUUAGUUUAUUUUAAAUUUUCAGAUAUUGUUCUAUUGCUCAUUAUUUUUACAAUGAUCAAUUUUAUGAUUAAUAUCUUUAAUUAUUUAUUUAUACAUCUUAUUGUAUAUGCUAAGUUAAUUUAAUUAAGAUCUCUCAAAUCACUCUCAAAAUCACCACCUCACCAAAUACUACACCCAUCUCCUAGCCUUACCUACAGCCACCACCCCGCCUCCCUAGUUUUUAUUAUAUUUUACAUUAUCAGAUCUUUUGUAAAAUAUUUUUCUCACAUUACCCAUCUCUUAUCCCCAAGCCACCCUCCACCAAAAAAAAAAUAUUUUAGUUUUCUUUAAAAUAAUAUUUUAUAUUGCACCCACCCCUACUCCCCAAUACCCAUUCGACACCCUACCUAAUACACAUACAAAAAAAUUAUUUUUGAUUUUUUUCUACGAAAUAUAUUUCCACCCUUCUUUCCUAACUCCCAAGAAAAAUAAUUUUUUUUAUCUUUUAAGAAUCUUUUUUCUACUCCACAACUCUAACCUCUACCUACACCACCACCCCUCCUACCCCACCUACCUAGCUCAGCCCUACCCCAUCUCAACCACCAUAAUCUCUUAUUCUUCCCCUCAUCCAUCACUUUGCCUCAACGCAAUUUAUAAUUUUGUGUUAAGUAUACACAAAUGCUAUUAGAAAAUAUCAUUUAUUUACUGAUAAAAUAUCAAUUAUCAAUUUAUUUUAGCAUACAUGCUAUUACUAAUGUCAAAUAAUCACAUCAAAUGAAAUUAUCUAUUUUUUAAGCUCAAAAUGAAUUAAUAGCUACUAAUUAGUAUUUUUAUUAUCCUAAAUUUUUUGUAAAAAUAUUUUUCUGAUUAAGUUCAAGCAUUUUAUAUCCCUCCAAUAGAUUAUGCAUUUUUUUAUCUAUUGAAAAUAAUUUGAGACGUAGUGGAUUAAUUCAUCAUCGAAAUGAAAUACAAUACAUAAUAAUACACCAUUAAAGAUGACGAUGAAAGCAUACACAAAGAUUAAGAUUGAACAUUCAGCAAUAUAUUUUCAAACAAAUCAUUCUGAGAAAAUUAACACUUGAAUUCAUAAAAAGAAAUCAUUAUAAUUAACUUUAACAAACAUGAAAGAAAUAGAAAAAGAUGAUGGCAGAGAUAUAUGAUUAUGAUGAUGAAAAAGAGUUGCCAAAAACAUGAAAGCAAUAGAAAGAGAUGAUGGAAUCUGAUACCAUGAUAAUGAAAUAAACCUUGGACCUAACUCAACGUCAAAAGCUAUCUCAUGAGGUGAGGAUUACCCAAGAUCAUAUUAAGAGACUACUGACUCUUUAAUCCACUGAUGUAGGACUCUCCUCUCCCUCUCCUUACACACCAAGACUGGACAUCUGAAGCGUAGGCAAUAUAAGAUGGGGGACUCAACAUUGAAAAUAAUGAAUUGGAUAGGCCUGACUCUGAUACCAUGCUAAAGUGUGUGACCAUCUCAUCUAAAAGUUUAACUAUUAGAGAGAGUACACUUUUACUAUUUAAUUAUAUUCUCAACAGUUACUUAAUAUGCUAUUUUGGCGUUAAACAAAUGAACUUUACGUGGCAUUGCAAACUGAAGAGAGACACAAAAUUUUGGUUUGAAACAGUUCAAGAAAGAAUCUUUUGUCCUUUUGAAACAAAGAAAUAGAGUCACAUUUGUUGCCUUGUUUUCUCCAUAUAGCUGAACUAAGAGCACUUUGAGUGGAGUUUUUUUCUAUUAUUAAGGAUGUCCAAUUUUUGAAAAGUACUACUCCUUUCAUUUAAAAAGAAUGGUAGACAACACAACAUAUUAAUUUUAUACAUUAUAUUAACUCCUAAGUAGCUACCAAACCUGGAAUUACUUAUGUAGGAUUCCUACAUAACUCGUUGCUAAGCCAGCUACCAAAUGACCCCUUAAUACCUUCUUUCUUUGUUCAUUGAGAAGAUAGAGACCAAUGCAAGCAUAAUUCAAUUUAUGUGUAUAAUAUGUUCAAAACCAAGGUACAGAAUAAAUACUUUACAUAAAUACAAAACUUCCUGAAUGAGUUUACCCAAUUGAUAUAAAUGGUUUGAUUUACUCUGCUCCUGAUUCAUCAAUUGAUCACUACCGUAUUUUUUCAUGAGAUCUGGCAGGUAGUUUUUUUUUAUUACCAGAUUUUUUCUAUAACAAAAAAAAAUGUACCAUUAAUGCCUCUACAACAACAAAAUCUUUUGAAGCAUCCAAUGAAAGUUGAGAGACUCUCUCCUCGACUAUAGCUUUUGGUGAAUCUCUUGCUGAAAUUGAUGAAAAUUAUUCACCAUCAUUUCGACCUAUUUUGUCAUUUUUCUCAUUUUUAGUUCUCUUUAUAAAAGUCAUUAUUCGAUCUUUCCCUUGCAAUUUCAGGGGUUGAUCUAAGAAUGGAGCAGCUUUUUUAGGUGCAACUUGCGGUGGAAGCUCACCAGUGUUGGCAUUUGCAGGCAAAUUGGAAAAUCCAAUUAAGGAUGGACCAACUUCCUUCAAAAUAAACAAGAUUCAAGAUGGAUCAUUUUGACUGAUCCUUUUUCCCUAUCUAUGUGCGACGAACAUGUUGAUAAUAGUAGGUAUCAUAAUCUAGGUCCAACUGCUAGGUUAGAUAGAACCUCAAGAAUCUUUUAUCAAUUAUCCUUUCUUAAGAACCCGAAAAAAUAAAUAACACUCAAGCAGAAAAAAGUAAACUCAGACACAACAAAUGCUGAUUGUAUGAGAAGUUAUACAAAGUGGGGUUUGUAUAUAUACUCAAAUUUAGGACCAAAAUUGGGAAAAAAAUUGAUUGACAUGAAUAAAUACUUCAAAUUGUAAUCUCCACUUGGAUUCACUCAUAUUUAUUGCGUUUUUCUCAAAUUUUGGGUUUAAAAUCCUUAAGUUUUUUCAAGGUGUUUGUGCUUUUCUCAGGUAUUGUUACUUGAACAAUUAUGUUAUUUUGGACUUGAACUAAUGAACUCUAUGUGGCAUAAUAAACUAAAGAAUGACACAAAAGUUUUGUUUCAAAUAGUUCAAGAAAGAAUCUUUUGUCUUUUUGAAACAAAGAUAUAGAGCCACAUUUCUUGGACUGAUUUCUCCACUCAUUGUGCUUUUAGUUCAGGUGUAGGGACAAAAUAGUUCAACAAAUGUGACUCUAUUUCUUUGUUUGAAAAAGUCAAAAGAUUCUUUCUUGGACUGUUUGAAACAAAACUUUUGUGUCUUUCUAUAGUUUGUUAUGCCACGUAGGGUUCAUUAGUUCAAUGCCAAAACAACAUAACUGUUCAAGUAACAUUACCUGAGAAAAGCACAAACAACCUAAAAAACUAAAGGAUUUUAAACCCAACAUUUAAGAAAAAUGCAAUAAAUGUGAGUGAAUCCAAGUGGAGAUUACAAUUUGGAGUGUUUAUUCAUGUCAGUCAAUUUUUUCCCAAUUUUAGUCAUAAAUUUGAGUAUAUACACAAACCCCACUUUGUAUAACCUCUCAUACAAUCUAUAUUUAUUGUGUUUGAGUUUACCUUUUUCUACUCGAGUGUUAUUUAUUUUUGGGGGUUCUUGAGAAAAAGGAAUUGAUAAGAGAUUCUUGAGUUACUCUCUAACCUAGUUGCUGGACUUAGAUUAUGAUAUCUAUUAUUAUCAACAUGUUCCUUGCAUAUAGCUAGGGAAGAAUGAUCUUUCAAAAUGAUCCAUCUUGAAUCUUGUUUAUUUUGAAGGAAGUUCGUCCAUCCUUACAUGGAUCUUCUAACUUUCCUGCAAAUGCCGACUCUGGUAAGCUUUCAUUGCAUGUUGCACCUGAAAAAAUUGCUUUAUUCUUAGAUCAAUAACUUAAAUUGAUAGGGGAGGGUCUAAUAAUGACUUCUAUAAAGAGAUGUAAAAAGGAGAAAGAUGACAAAAUAGGUCAAAAGGAUGGUGUAGAAUUUUCAUCAAUUUCAGCAAGAGAUUCACCAAGUGCUAUAGCCGAGAAGAGUCUCUCAACUUUCAUUGGAUGCUUCAGAAGACUUUGCUGCUAUGGAGGCAUUGGUGGUGUAUUUUAUUAUUUUUUAGUUAUUGAAAAAACCUUACCUUCCAGAUCCCGUGAUAAAAGAUGAGAUAUAUGAUAUUGGACUCCCAUCUCAAUCAGUAGGAAAGGGCCCAAAAUCUCUCACCUUUUCAUUGAUGAUGAUCUAACUCUGUGUGCUAUUACUAAUGAAAGAAACUAUGAAACCAUCCGAGCCACUCUUAGCAGCUUUACCUUCCACCCUGGACAAAAACUUAACACUCUCAAAUGUAAAGUAAUCUUCUCUAGAAACUGUGCUAAGGAGACCAAAGAUAGUUUGUCUCAUAUCUUAGGCAUCCAAUCCAAAGACAUGUUUGGCAAAUAUCUUGGUUUUCCCAUCUUCCACAAAAAACCUUGCAAUAGAGAUUUCCAAUUCAUCCUAGACAAUCUCAUCAGUAAGUUGGCUAGAUGGAAAACUAAAUUCCUCAAUAUGGCUGGCAGAAUCACCCUUACCAAGUCCUCCCUCGCUAGUAUUCCCGCUUAUGUCAUGUAAUUCAUCUUGAUCCCCUCUAAAAUCAACUAAUUACCUGACAGAAACGAAAAGAACUCUCUCUGGGGCACCACCCCUGAUAAUAAUAAAAUGCAUCUAAUCAAUUGGGAAACAUUGACUAAUGCUAAAGAUAAUAGGGGCCUGGGCCUCCAGAAAGCUUCCAUUAGGAACACCACUAUGUUAUCCAGUCUAGCCUGGAGACUUUACAAGCAUCCCAAUAGUCUCUGGGCAAAACUUCUUUAAAAUAAAUUAGCCCCCAUGGAAUAUCCCUCAAAGCCAACAACUUUAGAACUUGGAAAAGUGUCUCUGUGGGUUGGGAAAUUUGUAAAACUGCCUCCUCUCGGAACAUAAAGGAUUUUCUGGUUGAAAUCCCUGAUGAUCUCAUCCAAAAUUUCACCACCUCUAUUUUCCCCAAUCCCAGAUCCUAUACUAAUGAGGUCAUUUGGAAUCUCACUGGUAAUUGUCUGUUCUUCAGCAGAAGUGCUUAUAAUCAUAUAGCAAAAACCUCUGAGAUCAAUUACUCCUCUAAUUUCAACUGGAUAUGGAAGGCUAAAUCCUCUAAAAUGUCAAAACCUUUCUUUGGAUAAGCCAGCAUGAUAGGUUCCCCAAUAACCUUAACCUUUCCAAGAGAGGAGUGAGACAAAAUAUUAGUUGUGCUAUCUGCAAUCAUCAUCAGGAAGACAAAUCCCAUAUUUUCUUUAAGUGUCCGAUCCUCACAAAUUUUGGAGUGCAAACUAUCCACAAGAUGACCCAGUCCAAACAACCUCCUAUUAUUAGUCUCCUACCCUCUUACUGGCACACUAUCUGGAGAUCUCUUCAACACUCCUAAUUCAACAAACUAAUCCACUGUCAUGACAUCAUUCCUUUCAGCUUCUAGACAAUCUGGAACACCAGGAACUCUAAUACCUUCAAUAACAAAAGGGACCAUCCUAAUUUUAACCAUACUUACUCCCAAACUAUUGAGUAUAAACAUCUUACACAAAAGAAUACCCCAAUCAAGCAAAACCAAAUCAUCAACGUUAAGUUAAAUCCUCCCACCAGCCAUACCUUCAAGCUCAAUACUGAUAAUUCUUGCCUUAGAAACCUUGGCAAGGGUGGAAUAGAAGGGGUAGUCAGAUCCAUUAAUAGAGGCUGAGUAUUAGGUUUUAAAAAAAAACUUUCACCGGACUACCAACAACAUGAUGGAACUUAUGGCUCUCAUUGAAAGAUUAAAACUGGUAGAGCAAAAUAAUCUUCUCCCCAUUGAAAUUAACAUUGAUUCCUUGGAAGUUAUAUCUAUGUUAACUAAUGGGCACCUCUACUAUGAUACUUUGAUUUCAGAAUGUAGGUCAAAAUUAAAAAGGGUAAGGAAUCCGGAAGUCAAGCACUAUUAUAAAGAACAAAAUGGAGUGGUGGAUGCUCUAGCAAAGACGGAGCAAGGGCAAACGGGUUUCAGGAGACUACUCUUUUUGAAGUUCCAUCGAUAUGUGCAAAAGAUGCAGUUUGAACAGACAUGUCAGAAACUUUUUGAGAGAAUAAUUAGCUCUUGUACUGAUUAUUUUAACUGGACAGGCUAGAACUAUUCCUUUUUGAACCCUGACUAAUCGUCAAAAAUUGAAACAUAAACUGCGUUCUCUUUUAUAUUAAUGCAUGUCCUUUCUACCAAAAAAAAAUAAUAUUAUUUCGCAUAUUGAAUCAUUGAAAAAGAAGAGAUAUUUAUAUCAAUUUAAAUUGAUGGACCUUGAACAUUCACAAACAAAGAUAAGUUGAAAAUGUUAUAUCAUUUCUGCAUAUCGAAAGAAUGUUAUCAAAUCAAGAAUAAUUUUUUUAAAUGAAAAAUUAAAAAAUGCAGUAAAUAAAUUCACGAAUAAAGCUAAUGAUAGAGAAGUAUAUGUAAGAAAGGCUAAGUGAUAGAAUUUCAUUUAUAUUCAAAUUUCAUUUAAGUACAAAUUCAACUAUCACAUAUGUUUAUUUAAAUAAGAUUAAUUUAUUAUUCUUCCUUGUCCUUAUUCUUACAUUUUUCAAAUACAAUAUAUAUUUAAUAUUAAUAUAGAUUUGAGUUGAGAUAAAUAUUGAAAUCAAUGAGACAAUACUAAUACUAAUACUAAUACUAAUACUAAUACUAAUAUUAAUACUAAUACUAAUACUAAUACUAAUAACAAUACUAAUACUAAUACUAAUACUAAUACUAAUACUAAUACUAAUACUAAUACUAAUAUUAAUACUAAUACUAAUACUAAUACUAAUAACAAUAAUAACAUUUUAACUAUUUUUACUUUACCAUUAUUAGAUUGCACUACUAUUACUAUUACUAUUAUUAUUUGUUCAUUGUUAUUUGAGAUAAAUAUGAAGAUAAAUCGAGUAGAAAAAAAAAAUUGUGUGCCAUGAUUACUAAUUAAGUACAUCUAAAUUAUAAGUUUAUCUUUGAAAGUAUGUUUUAUCUCCAAUUUAAAUUUAAAAAAAUAUGAUAGAAUAACCAAUAUCUUAGAUGAGCGGUUAAAACUGUCAAUAUAGGUAAGGCUCGUUGGGAUGGCCCAGCCCAGCCUGUAAUUUGAUAGGGCAGGGCUACAAUUUUUAUAGCCCAUUUAAGAAUAGGGCUUUUUAGCCCUUCAUGAAUAAAUCUAUUUACCUGUCGGCUUGAGCAAUAUGGGUUUGCGUAAGCCAUGGUUCAAAUAACAAUAAUUAAAAAGUAAAAUAUAGUACUAAGAAUAAAAAAAGGAGUCCAAACUCAAAGUCUAUUUGGAUCAUUAUAGAUAUUUAAAUAUUUGUUAUGUUUAUAAAAUAUAUAAAUAAUUAAAAUACAAAAUCUUUGGCAAUGUUGAAUACUCCAUAAAUGCCAUGAGAGUUUUCUUCAAAGCGUUUAUUUUACUUUUAAUGGACAAAACAUUGACAUUUCUUUUUGUUUUAUUGUGAUCAAUUAAAACAAAAUUAGGUUAAUAUUGUUAUUUAGUGAGUUGUAUUAUUACUCAUUAAUUAUUUUAGUUAUUUUUCAAUAUCUCUAUUUGAUUUUAAUUUGGUGUCAAAAGUUAUUCAAUUUCACAGAUUAGUAGGAUCUUUUUGUAAAUUUGAGACUUGAUUAAUGAGUAGUAACUUCAAGCACUAUUAAUGGCUCACUUGGCUUGAGUUAGAUUAAAACAUACUUUUCAUGAUCUAAUCGUAAAUAAAUCAUCAGAUAAAACCUCAUAAAUCAUCAUAAACAACUCAACUCUACAACUCAAGACUCGGAGUGACUCUGUAAUUCAAGAAACUCGACUCUUAUGCACAUGGGAGGUUCUUAUAACCGAUAAACUAUGUGAGCUACAUGGAGUCCAACGUUUUUCCCUCCUAAGGAGAGAACCCCACAUUGGUGGGAGCUUCGUACUCUUGCCAGGGAGUACAACCUAAACUUAGUGAUCACAAUAUCAUACUCGGCCUCCGGCCCACAAUUAUAAAUAUCAAUCCUAUGGUGGCACGUAUUUUCGGGGGAACUACCACAUUUCUUGCUUGGUACUAAAUACUACUCCCAGAAACAUCACAAGGGUCUAUCAUGAAGACUAAAUCAAAUCUCUUUCUCAUUUAUCAAAUCAUAAUAAAUUUGUGGAUUCCUAACUCAACUCAAAUAAAAUCAAUCGUUCUCAAUAUUAAAAUGCUUCGAUUCACUAAGUCAUGGCAACAUCAAUAACUUUGAGGAAAUAUCAAGACUCAUUGUACCAACUCAAUUCUCUUGAAUCAAUAGACUCAAUAAUCCAAUUUGUCAUAAGGAAGCUUAAAGCUUGACACAUAUCUUGAAAGCACUUAAACUACCAACUCAUGGUAGAAACUUGAAAUUCACAAUAUUAAAUAUCAAGUCAUAACUUGGAAAUUGUAAAAUAAUCAUGUAUAACAAUGCUUGAACGAUUUAUAUUCUCAUAAUCUCAUUAUGAAGUAAUUUGGGUAUAAACCCACUUGGAAAUUCAUAAAAAUCCAUAAUAAAAAUCAAACCUUUGAGCACAAGAACGAAAGAAUUGCUCUUGUUCAAAACCCCACAUACCUUAAUCAUUGAAAUUGGUUGAAGUCUAGUGCUUGAGACCUUACUCACAUUUGUAAUAAAAAAAUUCUUGAAGCCUACCCUCUGACGAAAUUGAUUCUUGAAGGAAUCUUGAAGAUUUAUGGAUGAUUUUUGGAAGAUUAAUUUCCAUAAAUAAAACCCUAGAUAUAUUUCUUAAGAGAACUGGAAGAGAUAAAUGAAGAAAUUAGGUUUUGGAUGAGGAUUCUCAUAUAUAUAGAGGCCUCCAAAAAAGGGAAAUGACUAAAAUACCCUUGUAAAAAUCGUCCAUCAAUUGCUGAAAAAAUUAGCUGACGACAUCCAUCAACUUAACUUUUUCCAUAUCCUUGAAAACAACAUCCGGCCCAAUCACAGAUGCUUCUCCUACUUCAAACCAACCUAUGGGCGAUCUACAUCCUCUCCCAUACAAAACUUCGGAUGGGGCAAUCUGAAUACUAGCAUGGAAACUAUUAUUAUACGCAAAUUCGAUCAAUGGCAAGUGCUCAUCCCAACUACCUUUAAAAUCGAACGUACAUGCCCUCAACAUGUCCUCCAAAGUUUGAAUAUUCCUCUCAAUCGGUCUGUGGAUGAAAAGAGGAACUUAGAUGAACUAGGGUACCGAGACCCUUCUGAAAAGCCCUCCAAAACUGGGAAGUAAAUUGAGUAUCCCUAUUAGAGAUGAUAGCCAAAGAAACUCCGUGCAAUAUAACUAACUCAUGGAUAUACAAUCUAGCAUAAACCUCAGCUGUAUAAAAUGAAUGCACUGGCAAGAAAUGAGCUGAUUUAGUCAACCGGUCUACGACAAUCCAAAUCGAAUCAUGAUGACGACGAGAAGGAGGCAAACCAAUUAUGAAAUCCAUAUUCACUUCUUCCCACUUCUAAGUAGGAAUACCAAACUCUUGCAUUACACCACCAACCCUCUGCUUCUCUACCUUAACUUGUUGACAAGUAGAACGCUUUGCCGCAAAUCCUGCUAUGUCUUUCUUCAUACCGUUCCACAAAUAGAUUUCCCGCAAAUUGCGGUACAUCUUGGUAGCACCGGGAUGAAUAGAAUAUCAUGCACCAUGUGCUUCAGCCAUAAUUAUCUGCCUCAAAUCAUCAACAUUCGGAAAACACAGUCUACCUUGCAAUCUCAACACACUAUCUCCCCCUUGGGAGAAAACCUCUACCUUCUUGUCCUUAACUGACUCCUUCAGUCUGACCAAACUAGGAUCCCUGUCCUGCUUCUCCUUUACCUCUGAGACCAAAGAGGAAUCGAAACUACUCUGAACUAAUAUAAUCCCCUCAGCAUAAUCAAGCAAUCUAACACCCAACCUAGCCAAAUGAUGCACAUCACGAGCCAAUUCUUUCUUAUCAUUCUCUACAUGAGCUACACUACCCAUAGAAAACCUGCUAAUAGCAUCUGCCACAAAAUUGGCCUUGCCUGGGUGAUACAUCACACUCAUAUCAUAGUCUUUUAGAAACUUUAACCAUUUUCUUUGUCUAAGGUUCAACUCCCUCUGAGUAAACACAUACUGCAAGCUUUUUUGAUCAGUAAAUACAUCAACAUAAACACCAUACAAAUAAUGUCUCCAGAUUUUCAAAGCAAAAACUACAACUGCUAAUUCAAGAUCAUAGGUUGGGUAAUUCUUCUUAUGAGGCAUCAACUGUCUAGAGGCAUAAACUAUAACUUUACACCUCUGCAUUAACAUAUAACCCAGACCAACUCUAGAAGCAUCGCAGUACACCACAAACCUAUCAGUACCAUCGGGUAAAGCUAACACUGGGGCUUAAGUGAGUCGAGUCUUCAACUCUUGAAAACUCUUCUCACGGGCAUCUGUCCAUUGGAACUUAACUUUUCUUUGGGUCAACCAGGUCAUGGGGGAUGCGAUAGAAGAUAAUCCCUCAACAAAACGAUGGUAGUAACCAGCUAGACCUAAGAAACUCCUAAUAUUAGAUAGGGAGGUAAGUCGAGGCCAUUUUUUCAUAUUUUAUGUCUUUUGAGGAUAAACUCUAAUUACUUUGAAAGAAAUAAUAUGACACAGAAAACCAACUGACCUUAACCAAAAUUCACACUUGAUAAAUUUAUUGAAUUAUCAAUGAGCUCUAAGGGUUUCCAACACGAUUCAAAGAUGAUCCGCAUGGUAAUCCUCACUUCGAUAAUAGACAAGAAUAUCAUCUAUGAACACUAUAACAAACAAAUCCAGAUACCGCUUAAAUACUCGGUUCAUAAGAUCCAUGAAAGCUGCUGGAGCGUUGGUUAACCCAAAGGACAUAACAGGAAACUCAAAAUGACUAUAGUGGGUUCGGAAAGCUAUCUUUGGAAUAUCACACUCUCUGACUUUAAGUUGAUGAUAGCCGGAUCUAAGGUCUAUCUUUGAGAAAUAACUUGCACCCUGCAGCUGAUCAAAUAAAUCAUCGAUUCUAGGAAGAGAGUACUUGUUCUUAAUAGUCACCUUGUUGAGUUCAUGGUUGUCAAUGCACAUACGCAAUGUACCAUCUUUCUUCCACAGAAAUAGAACAGGUGCUCCCUACGUGGAAACACUAGCUCUAAUAAAGCCUUUUUCUAAGAGAUCUUUGAAUUGCUCCAUCAACUCUUUAAGUUCUACGGGAGCCAUACGGUAUGAAGGGAUGGAAAUAGCUGAGUGGCAGGAAGGAGAUCAAUCCCAAAUUCUAUUUCUCUAUCAGGUGGAACCCUUGGAAAGUCUUUCGAGAAAACAUUGGGAAACUCUUUAACAAUGCUAACUGAUUGAAUAGUCGGAGUCUUGGACUUGAGGUCUUUAACUCAAACUAGAUGAUAGAUGCAACCCUUGGAAAUCAACUUCCUAGCUUUGAGGUAGGAUAUGAAAUGGCUCUUUGGAGUUACAGAACUCCUGAACCACUCAAACACGAGUUCAUUAGGAAAUAGAAACUUGACCACUUGGGUACGACAAUCUAUAUACGCAUAGCACGAGUGAAGCCAAUCUAUACCAAGAAUGACGUUAAAUUAACCAUAUCUAGCUCAAUCAAAUCAGCACAUAUAACCCAAUAAAGGAAAGUAACAGGACAUUUCUUAUACACUUGCUUAGCUAUAACAAACCCUCCUACUGGGGUAGAAACCAGAAUAGGCUCAAGAAUUCAUUCAGGGUCUAUCGCAAAAUUUAUAGCAACUAGAGGUGUCACAUAAGAGAAACUCGAACCAGGGUCCAUUAAUACAUACACAUCAAAAUGAAUGACACAGAGCAUGCCAGUGACAACAUCAGGAGAAUCCUCCUACUCCUGGCGAGGCAGAAUAGAAUAGAAGCAAUUCUGGCGUAAACCGCCAACAAUACUAGAAGAGGCACCCUGAUGAGGAACUGGGUGGACUACGGGAGUGGGUGCAUUACUAGCUUGACUCUGGGGAUGAGCAUCUCGACUCCCCUAUCUAGCAUACGGAUAAUAUCUAAGUCGGUGGCCCAACUUGCCACAACCAAAGCAAUCUCUUUGGUCAACAAAACACUCACCAAAAUGAUCUCUACCAUACUUGGCAUAUGAAGGAGGACGAGGUCUGUUACUUACACUUUCCUAAGACCUGGAUGGGAUAUGCUUGUUCCCCUGCUCCUUCCUGCUUCUAGGUAUGGAAGCACUAACUGAGGAAGGAGCGGGCAUAAACAGAUGUCUCUGGAAUUGAGGGUGGUCCCCGCCAUAGAAUCUGGACUGAACGAAUCCCCUCUGCUCUAAUAUAGCUCUUUUAUUGCCUCUUACUCUCUCAUUCUCUUUCACCUAAUCAACUUUAAUCUAUUGGACAUGUAUCAUCAACCGAGAAAGGUCCAUCUCCUUAUUAAACAUAGUAGAUCUACACUCUUUCCCCUCGACACACAGAUCACGAACUUACUCAUGAUGGUCCUGGAGUCAGCCAUCAUACUAGGUGCAUAUUUGGACAACUGAUUGAAUCUAAGGCAAUAAUCCUUAACAGUCAUGGAGUCUUGUCUCAAAUUCAUGAAUAAUUCUGUCUUUGCUUCCCUCAUCUCAAGAGAAAAGAAUCUAUCCAAGAAUGCAUCUGGAAUAACUGCCAAGUCAUAGGAGAAACAUCCUCCCCUAUACUUUCACACCACACUUUGAUAAUAGUCAAGCUAAUAUAAGAGAGAAUGACAUAUCAUAAAUAUACUGGAAUAAGAUACGAAACUAGCCUGAACAAUCCAAAAUAAUAAAAUUCUGUACAUACCAACCUUUUAACCUGACAAAGCCUCUAUUCAUCAAAAUCAAGGAGAUAUUGGGACAAACCCCCAACUGACUCAAACAGUACUGAAAUCCAUAAAAACAAAAUGGUAUCACAAAAUUAUAAACACGAGCCUCGAAACAUGAGGACUCACCACUGAGCAGACAAAAAGAGGCACCCAAAUAUUGCUAACGCGACUGAUUACCUGAACCUACAUUAAGAGAAAAUGUAGCCCAUAGAAAAAUAUGUGGGUCAACACUUUGGAAAGUACUGAGUAUAUACAGGUGCAUGCAACAAUGUAAAUAUCUUCAUCAAUCUCAUGAAAAUAUGCAUAUGUACAAUGAUGGACCACUUGGCUUAAGUAAGAUUGAAACAUACUUUUCAUGAUCUCAUCGUAAAUAAAUCAUACGAUAAAAACCUCAUAUAUCAUCAUAAAUAACUCCACUCUUCAACUCAAGACUCAGAUUGACCUGUAAUUCAAGAAACUAGACACUUAUGGACAUAGGAGGUUCUUAUGACCAACAUAAACUAUGUGAGCUACAUGGAGUCCAACGUUUUGCCCUCCUAAGGAGAGAACCCCAUAUUGGCGGGAGCAUCGUACUAUUGCCUGGGAGUACAACCUAAAUUUAGUGGUCACAAUCUCAUACUCGGCCUCCGGCCCACAAUUAUCAAUAUCAAUCAUACGGUGUCACAUAGUUUCAGGUGAAAUACCAUAUUUCCCACUCGGUGCUAAAUACUACUUCCAGACACAAGCUCAGAAUGCAUUAGAAAAUCCACCACAAAUAUCACAAGAGUUUGUCAUGAAGAUCAAAUAAAAUCUCAUUCUGAUUUGUCAAAUCAUAAUCAAUUUGUGGAUUCCUAACUCGACCCAAAUCAAAUAAAUCUUUCUCAAUAUCAAAAUGCAUCAAUUCAUUAAGUGAUGAAAACAUCAAUAACUUUGAGGAAAUAUCAAGACUCAUUGUAACAACUCAUUCUCAUGAAUCACUAUACUCAAUAAUCCAAUUUGUCAUAAGGAAGCUAAACGCUUGACAAAUAUCUUGGAAGCACUUGAAAUAGCAACUCAUGGUAGAAACUUGAAAUUCACAAUAUUAAAUAUCAAUUCAUAACUUGGAAAUAGUAAAAUAAUCAUGUAUAACAAAGCUUGAACGAUUUAUAUUCUCAUAAUCUCAUGAUGAAGUAAUUUGGGUAUAAACCCACUUGCAAAAUCAUAUAAAUCCAUUAUAAAAAUCAAACCUUUGAGCACAAGAACGAAAGAAUUGCUCUUGUUCAAAACCCCACAUACCUUAAUCUUUGAAAUUGGUUGAACUCUAGUGCUUGAAACUUUACUCACACUUGUAAUAAAAAAAUUCUUCAAGCCCACUCUAUGACGAACUUGAUUCUUGAAGGAAUCUUAAAGAUUUAUGGGGGAUUUUUGGAAGAUUAAUUUCCUUAAAUAAUUCCCGAGAUAUAUUUCUUAAGAGAAUUGGAAGAGAGAAAUGAAGAAAUUAGAUUUUGAAUAAGGAUUCUCAUAUAUAUAGAGGCCUCCAAAAAUGGGAAAUGACUAAAAUUUCCUUGCAAAAAUCAUCCAUCAAUUGCUGAAAAAAAUAUCUGACGACAUCCAUGAUAAGCUGUCAGGCCCGUGAUACGCCGUCACGAAUUGUCGUCACAAAAAGGGUGGAUUUUGUGACUUUCUGCCUUAAGGUGACGACAUUUUGUGACGGGCAGUCAGUCUUGUGACAAGUCGUCUCAAAAGAUCGUCACGGAUUUUCCAGGCUGACAUGUUGGAGUAAAAUAAGUAUAAGUCUUUGCUCCAAUAUCGGAUUUUGAUGAAUUGGGUAUCGUUGGAAAUCUAAUUCAAUUAUAUAUCUUUUUGUAGGUCAUGAGCUCAAUAAUUCCUAUUACAACUCGAGCUAUGCUCAUUUGAAGUUGACUAUGCCAAAAUCCUUCUCAAGAGUUCAAUCGGUAAAGAGUUUUUGUUUUGCCCAAGCUUUAGGACAUCUUUAAAACCUUAAUACACAUCACCCUUGACUAGAAAACAACCAAAACACUAUAAUUUAUUUCUCAUGGGCUUGAUUCAUGGCGGCACUAUUAGUUAGAAUCUCGGGGUAUUACAUUAUUACUUUUAAUUAUCUUUGCUAUAUACCUUUCUGUAAAUAUAAUGCAAAUUUAUCUUAUAAUGUUAUAAUUGAAUUAAAAAAAAUAUUUGAGAUCAACCACAUAUUUUCGAAAGAAAAUUAUGUAUUAUUAUUGUUAUUAUUAUUAUAAUUAUUAUUAUUAUUAUCAUUAUUUUUAUUAUUAUUAUUAGUAGUAGUAGAUAUGUAUGUUUUACUACUACUACUACUAAUAUUAUAAGUUAUAUUUUAAUUAUUAUUAUUAUAUUUUAUUUAAUAUUUAAAUUUAUUCAAAAUAUAUAAAUUUAUGAUAUAAUUAGAGAUGUUUUAGGUCUUUUCAAGUAUGAUUUUUUAAUUUUAAACUAAUGAAUUAUUUUUAAAAUUUUCAAAGUAUUUUCAAAUUCAUAUAUUUCUAUUAACAUAGUGAAUUACUUAUGUAAGACUUAAUUACCUGCAUAACUCACUGCUAAACUAACUACAAAAAAAAUACGCUACUACCUGCAUAAAUAAUAUAUAGAUAAUCCCUAAAUUAAAAAAAUCUGCAUAACUCUAAUUGAGGUCCUUUCAUUAUUUACUUUGUGCUUCUUAGGUUUAAGUGGGUAAAUAGAUGAAAAGAGAAAAUAAAAGACACAUAUCUAGUUUCCCCAGAAGCACCUCUUUAGAAGAAGGGUGCUGUUAAAGCAACUCAUUUUCAGAUUCAAGCAGUCUUUUGUUUUGUUCCUCUUCAGAAACAAAAGCAUGAGCCGGGGCAACCAUUUUUUUUUCUCACAGGAAAUGAAGAACAAGAAGAAAACUGCAAUUUAAAACCAGGCUUUAAAUUUUAAAAACAAUAUAAAAAAUCAUGAGAGCAAAAGGGGAAAGCCAAAGUGCAAAAAGAACUCACCAGUAGUAGGAUACAAAGGAUGAGAGUGAGAGAGGAAGGAGGGUUAUAUUAAAAAUAGAAUGAAUACAGUGGUGGCAGAACACAUCUAUCAAAUAUUCUUUAACAACACACUAGCUACAUCACCGACGUUUCAAAAUCGAGGCAACUUUUUAUCCUAUUUAGAAAAAUAUUUCAAAGAGUGUGAGUAGGACUGAGGUUAUCUUAACUGUGUCAAUUGGUUUGCCCUCUUAAAAUCUUCAUUUUCUAUUUCUUUUAAUUGAACACAAUUUUAAGAUGGCAAACUAAUUUACGCAGUUAAGACAACCUCAAUCCUACUCUCACACUUUGAAUUUUUUUUCUGGAUAGGACAAAAAGUUGCCUUGAUUUUAAAACAUCGGUGAUGUAGCUGGUGUAUUUUUAAAGAAAUUUGAUAGAUGUGCUCUGCCUCUGCUGUAUUCGUUCCACUUUUCAUAUAACCCUCCUUCCCUUCUCUCUCGUCCUUUGUAUCCUAGUAUUGGUGAGGUCUUUUUGCACUUUGUUUUUCCCUUUUUGCUCUUAUGAUUUCUUAUUUUGUUUAUGAGAUCUAAAGCCUGGUUUUAAAGUUUCAGUGUUCUUCUUGUUCUUCAUCUGCUGUAAGAAAAGGAAAUGGCUACCCCGGCUCAUGCUUUUGUUUAUGAGGAGGAACAAAAUAAAAGAUUGUUGUAAUCUGAAAAUGAGUUGCUUCAAUAGCACCCUUCUUCUAAAAAUAUGCUUCUAGGGAAACUAGAUGUGAGAGCCUUUCUUUUCUCUUUCCAUCUGUUUACCCACUUAAACCUAGGAAGCCAAAAGUAAAUAACAAAGGGGCCUCAAUUAGAGUUAUGCAAGUUUUUGUACUGUAGGGAUUAUCGAUGUGGAAAUCUAUAUAUUAUUUAUGCAUGUAUUAACGUAUUUCUUGGUAGUUGAUUUUGCUGUGGGUUAUGCAGGUAAUUAAGUCCUACAUAGUUAAUAUUAAAAUAUUAUUAGUUGGUUUAUCUUACGUUUACUCCUAGUAACAUAGAAUAACCCUCGAAACCCCAAAGAAAGCCCAUAAAAACCCAUCUACCAAAUAGAUGGCUCGGUAGCCUUUCUCAACUGGUUUGAUGGCACGCUUUUAGGGCGCAAAUAUGGAUGAACAUAGUUAUGCUAUUCAAGAAAAUUAUAGUAGUACUACUGGGAGUUUGGAUUAAAAGAGACAAAUAAGUUGUCUAAUUAAGUGAGAAUCCUUCAAGUUUUUAAAAUUAGGUGGGAGGGACAAAAUUUUUUUGAUUUUUUUUUAAAGUUUUUUCGUUCCAACAACUUCUCCCAAUUGUCGAACAACUUUGAUAGCUGUUCGACAACUUCUAGCAGUUGUUCAACAACUAUCAAAGUUGUUCGACAGCUACGCUAAGUUGUUCAACAACUAGGCAAAGUUGUUCGGCAACUGGGAGAUGUUGUUCAACAACUGCGUGAAGUUGUUCAGACAACUAAUAUAGUUGACGAACAGCUGUCCCAGUUGUUCAAAUGACUUAAUUUAUUUAAAAGGGACAAGGUGCGGGACCCAUUUGUCCCCUUUUCUUACUUGGAAACUUAGGAGGUCUAUUGAUUCAUUUUUCUCACUUAAGUAUUAAAGUUGUAUAUAUCAUGUAGUAGUUAGCUUAUAUUUGCAUUGUAAAUUGUAAUAUUAAGUGUAGAGAUAGUCCUAUAUACGUUUAGUUCGUCAAAGAGAGGUACUCGCAAACAUUGUGCAAUUCAAUUUGUCACAAGAAGCACUUAAUCAUCACGCAAACACUUAUUGGUUCCGAAUAUUUACCCCUAAUCAAUGAUUUUAAUUCUAAUGAAUAAGAUCAUUCAAUCAUGAUAACAAAAAUAAUUUAUAAAAGAUAUUAUCUUGUAAUAAUGGGUAUAAAGAGAUGUAGAUGUAGGCUGAGGAGGUCUACGUAAAGGUGAUUAGAUUAGGUAUUUGUAGCUUUUCGAGGCUAUGAUCUAGUUAUAAAAAUACGGAGAUCAAGGAUGUGGUUAGUGGAUGGCUAAGCGUUGUCUAAUUUCCCUAUUAAGUAGUAUUUUUGUUUUUACUUUCAUACUAUCUUAUUCUUCUAUAUUAGAAUAAUUUGUUUGUUUUUAGUUCAGUUAUCAUAUUAAUUGUUUGUUGUUGCUACCAUUUUCAAAUUUACUAUUUUAUUUGUUUUACAUGCCUAAUUUUUUUUAUAUGUUUUACUUGAGUCGAGAGUCAAGAGUCAAUCAAGAACAACCUCUCCACCUUCACAAGGCAGAAGUACAUGUCCAUACUACCUCUCCAAACUCCACGUGUAAUAUUAUGUAUGUUAUUAUUGUAUAUAUCUUGAAUUGAUUGAUAAAAUGUAAAUACCCGAUGUUGAGGUAUACUUGUACGCAUUGGCAGAGGGAUAGGGAUAAUCUUAGGAAAAGGGUGAUUUGAUGCACAACUUUUAUAAAAAAGAUUAUAUAGUGUGCAGAAGCUUAAUAUUAGCUAUUAUACGUCUCUAUUAAAUUUUGUACAUCCUUAACACAACUAAAAAGUAAAUAUGCACACUCCUCGACAAAUUUCUGACGACACUGCUACUGCCUUGCCUCAACUGUGUACGUGUAAAGAUGACGCCAUAUAGCAUUUGUCAUCUACAUGACACCCAAACUCUUUUAUCAGUGUACCUACCCAACCUGUCACCUCAUUUUCUGCUUUUAUAAUUGCAUAUCCUUCCAAAUUUCAUACACCGUCCAUUUCAUUUUUAUUAGAUUAAAAAUAACUAUUUUAAUUUAUAUGUGUAAUUUAUAAAAUUAUAUAAAAAGAUUAUUACGUGAAGUAUUAAAUGAAGUGAAAGGUGUAUUCUACAAAUAAAUAAAUGCUAGUUUCAUUUAAUCCAUAUUCCGUACUAAGCUCGGAUCCAAACAACUCUACAUAUAAAUAAUAAUAAUUAAAUUUUAAAAUAUAAUUUAUAUUAUAUUUUUUAAUUUACAAUUAAUAUAAUUUAAUGACCGAUGUAUUAAAUAUAUUUUAUUAAAAAUUUUUAUAAUUAUUAAAGUUCUUAAUCACAUAAUUGGAUAAUUUUUUUAAAAAAUUAUUUGUACGGAAAAAGUAUUAGAGGAGAAUUAGAAUAUAACAAGAGACCACAAGUAAUUUAAUAUUUGAUAAAAUGAUAUGAUACAACAACAACAAUAACAACAUACCCAGUGGAUUCCCGCAUAGAGGGGUCUGGGCAGGGUAGAGUGUACGCAGAUCAUACCACUACCUAAGAUGAAGUAGAGAGUCUGUUUCCGACAGACCCCCGGCAUAGGACCGAUAGCAGUAUAACAAACACAAAACAAAAAUGCAUAAAAACUAGUACAGUCUGCAAAAUAAACUAACGUCACUAGCCAUAAGAUAAUACUAAAGUCACAAAAUAAUACUAAAACUAUCUAUCCGAAAUCAUAGACAUCACUUAAUACCACGAACAAGAAACUUCAAACACAAAUAAAGAAUGCUCCCUUAUUGUUACCGACACACUCUCAACCCCUAACUCUCUACCCUAAUCGACAGUCUCCACAGCUUCUUAAUCACAUCCCUCCAAUAUUUAUUCGGUCUACCUCUACCUCGCCUAAAAUCAGCCAUAGCCAAUAUCUCACACCUUCGCGCUGGAGCAUCAGAGCCUUUCUUCAUCACAUGCUCACACAAACGUAACCUUACUUCUCGUAUCUUGUCCUUCACCGAGGCCAAUCCCACCUCUCCCAAAUAAUCCCAUUUCUUACCUUAUCUUUUCUAAUAUGUAGACAUAUCCAUCGCAAUAUUCUCAUCUCCGCCAAUUCAACUUUGGAUGUGGGAGUUCUUAACUGGCCAAUACUCUCCAUACAACAUAGUCGGCCAGACUGCCUCUCUAUAGAACUGCCCUUUAAGCUUCGGGGGCAUCUUUCAUAUCACAUAAAACACCCAAAGUGAGCCUUUAUUUAAACCACCCAGCACCAAUAUGUUGUGUGACAUCCUCGUCAAUCUCACCAUUGCCUCAAAUCAUAGACCCCAGAUACUUGAAACUCUCCAUCUUCUGAAUGGCCUGAGAGUCUAACUUCACAACCACAUCAGCCUCCUACGACAUAUCACUAAACUUACACUUCAAGUACUCCAUCUUGGUCCUGCUUAAUCGAAAUCCUUUAGACUCAAGGUUCUGUCUCAAAAUCUCCAACUUAUCAUUAACUCCUCCCUGAGUCUUGUGAAGCAGUACCACAUUAUUAGCAAAUAACAUACACCAAGGAAGCUCCUCUUCAAUAUGUCUUGUCAAAACAUUCAUUACUUAGACAAAUAAAAAAGGGAUAAGAGUCAAACCCUGAUGCAACCCUACCAAAAUUGAAAAAUGCUCUGAAUCUCCACCUACUGUCCUCACUUGAGUCUUUGUGCCAUUAUACACGUCCUAAAUCAACCUAGUUUACACCACAGGCACCCCUCUAGCCUCCAAAAACCUCUAGAGAAUCUCCUUGGGAACUUUGUCAUAAGCCUUCUCAAGAUCAAUAAACACCAUGUGCAAGUUCUUCUUUAUGUCCCAAAAUUGUUCCACUAAUUUUCUCACAAGUUGAAUGGCCUUAUUAGUCGAGCAACCUAUCAUGAAAUCAAACUGAUUCACAGCGAUAAUCACGCUCCUUCCCAGCUUCAACUCUACCACCCUUUCCUAAAUCUUCAUAGUCUGACUUAACAACUUAAUACCGCUAUAGUUGUUGCAAGUUUGGAUAUCUCCCUUGUUUUUAUACAAUGGAAUCAUUGUACUCCGACUUCAAGAUUCAGGCAUCCUUCCCGCCCUAAAAAUAAUGUUAAUAACCUUGUCAACCACUUCAAACCUGCCCCGCCAGUGCGUUCCAAAAAUCCACUAGAAUCUCGUCUGGCCCCAUCAACCUACGUCGACGCAUCCUGCGAAUAGACCUCUUGACCUCCUUAACCUCGAUAUGCCUACAAUAACCAUAGUUGUGACACUCCUCAAAUUUCUCCGAGUCCCCAAACACGAAACCUUUAUCCCCCUUAUCGUUCAAAAAUUUAUAAAAAUAAGACUGGUACUUUUUUAUAAUGAGGGCAUCCUCAACCAACAUAGUACCAUCCUCAACCUUGAUGUACUUGUCCCUGCUAUUCUCCUUUAAAGAUGCAUACAAGCUCUCAAAAUUUGUCAUUUUAUCCACUGUAACCACUAACUUAGCAUCUCACCUAGCUAUAGCUUAUACUCUUCCUUAUUUGUCCGCCUCUCUUGAUCAUUCUUGCUCUUGACCAAUUUAGCAUAAGCCACCUUCUUAGACUCCACCUUCCUCUUAACCUCCUCAUUCUACCACUAGGACCCUCGAUGUUUACCAAAUUGACCUCUCAAGACACUAAUACCUCUCUAGCGAUCUCCCUAAUGCAACUAGAAAUCGUCUCCCACAUACUAUCCACAUUCCCUCUACUUUUUCAAGCCCCCUGCUUCUCAACUUCUCCCCCAUCUUCAAAGAAUUACCUAAAGUCAAACUACCCCACUUAAUCUUAGUUUGAACCUCCAUACUCCUCUUCUUUCAGCCCUUAUUGAUUACCAAGUUCAUCACCAACAACCUAUGUUUAGUCAAAAGAUUAUCUCUAUGUAUGACUUUACAAUCUUUACAUAGUGUUCUAUCACUUUUCUUAAGGAGCUAAAAUUCUAUCUGAGUCUUGGCCACUGAAAUACAAAACAUUUCAAAAAUCUCAAAUUCGGUAUCCACAACCCAAAAGACCUAGAAAAAUCCAAAAGAGAAGCACUUUCUUUAUUUCUCUACCCUAAAUCAAAAUCUCCAUGCACGUCAUCAUAACCUCUCGACGAAGACCCAAUAUGCCCAUUAAAGUCUCCUCUCACGAAAAGUUUCUCAGUGCUUGGGACGCCCCUCACUAUCUCAUUCAAAACCUCCAAAAGCCCUUCUUUUCUUCCUCGUCCAAACCUAAUUGCAGAGCAUAAACACUAAUAACAUUCACCGUAGUUCCUCCUAUGACCAACUUAAUAGACAUCAGCCUAUCACUGACUCUUUUAACCUUUACCACCUGCUCCUUAAGUUCUUCAUCUACUAAGAUACCUACCCAAUUUCUAUAUCUCAUGCUACUCGAGUACCAUAACUUAUAUCCAUCCACAUCUCUCACCUUAGUGCCUACCAUUUAGUUUCCUGGACACACGCUAUCGAACCCUCCAUUUUCCAAGAAUCUUCAUCAGCUCUAUAGACUUAUCUUGAAGUAUCUCUAUAUUCCAGGACCCAACUUUCAACCUAUAAGCACCCUUGUCCAACUUAGACCUACUAUCCCUCGCCCUCAACCCAAGACUAGAAUGUAGACUCGACCCCAACCGCAACCUCGACCUAUGACAUGACCCUAGUCCAUCAUCUAUCUCCCCAACCACCACUUAAAAGGAUACGAUAGAAGAAAAUGAACAAAAAAAAGCUGAAAACCACGAUGAGCAUAAGGGUAUGACUAAAAACAGCUAAAUCAACAAACAAAAACUAGUAAGCAAGAUUGACACUCACAAGCAACAACAAUUACUAUACUACUCACAAGCUACUAACACCUACUAAGUUACGGAGAAACCAUAACCAAUAAUCCCAUAGGAAUAAUUAAAAACUCAAGCAAGAAAUUAGGAUAGAAAAAGAGACAAGAAGCAUAUACCAAAUAAACUAGAGAAGACUGAAAUGAGUGCACCUGAUACUGGGAGAAGACAUAGUGAAAGAUGUUUUCCUGAUUGUUUUGUCGAAUUUCAGCAGAUUGGUGCAGAAAUUGGUCAUCAAAAUUUGUUGUCACCACCUUUACCCUACUUCUGGUACCGUAUCCCUGUACUUAGUCACCGGAGAAUGUGCUGGACGUCGAAAAAAUAAGCUAGACACCGAAAUCUUGAUGUUGCCUCCUGAAGUACGGAUUUGAACUUGGAGUACCUGAAAAGAUUUAUAAAGAAAAUAAAAGAGAAGAAAAGAAAAGCGACGAUCAAAUUGUAAAAAAUUGAUGUCACUCACCAAAAACUGAUGUGGUUGUUGGGCCUCAGAGAUAGGCCGUCGAAAAAGCCGCUAUCAUUUUAGUGGUCGACAGAAGAAGUGAGAGAGAAAAACACGAUGAUUGCGCCAAAAUCUGAUGGGAUUGCUGAAACUGAUAGGGUUGUCGGGACGUGUUUAUGGUAGCCGACACAAGUAAUUUAAUUUUGUCGGCGCCGUCGAUUGAAUAAAUGGAAGAUUCCAAACCCUCAGCAUAUAUGACAACUAUUAAUGUCAUCAAUUAAACUUGAGAUGCCUAUUCAAUAAAAUAACAUGACAACAUUUUAAUAAUUACAGUUCAAUGCUGAAUAAAAAUAGAAAAAUGUUGAUUUUAAUGAAUUUAUGGGUACAAAAUUUCUCAGUUUAUUAUUUUAUUUUCACCUAUAAUUUCAUGUGACAAGAGUUGCAAAAUUCAUUUUUUCAUCUAAUACAACAAAGUAUUUCAAUCACUUCAAGUAUAUAUAAAAAUAGUUACAACAUUAAUUUAGACCCUUUACACAAACUAACUUAAUCAUGAUCUAUAAGGAUAUUGAAUAAUAAUUAAAUUACAUUAACGAUUAUUCCAUUCGAUCCAUUUACUUAUCGUGUUAAUUUUUUAAACAACCUUUAAAAAUAUUCUAUUCAUUCUUCUCUAAUUAUUGAUUUAUCCUUUUUCAUGUUAGCUAAGAAAAAUAUUUCAGGCAUUGUACUAUUUAUUAUUGAUUAAGUUAUCCUAUUUAAUACUCCCUCUGUUUCACAAAAAGUGAAUUAUUGGAGUAAUUUUAGUGUUUCAAAAUAAGUGAAUGAUUCACAAUUCAAGGUAGAUAUUGAAUUUUUUUUUCAAAUUUACACUCAAUUAAAUGUGCACUGGGAGUGAUGUAUCAUGUGUCUUUACUUUUUGAAGAGGGUAAAAAUGAAAAAACAUGAUAAAUUUAUGUCUUUGCUUUUUUUUUUCUUAACAUGUGUGCCGAAAUUCAACAAUUAAUUUAUUGUGGAACGGAGGGAGUACUAUAUCUUUUUUAAGAAGUGAACAUCAGUGACUAUAAGGGUGUAGUUGAAAAUUAUUACUCACUUUAAUUUUAUGUGAAAAGUUAUUUCUAAAUUUUCUUUUUGAGCAAAAAUAAUUAUUAAUUUAAAAUGAAGGAAAUUUUAAUUAAAAGACAACCAAUGCCAAGAAAAAAUCAGUAACAAAUACAUAAUAGGAAAUGGUCUUAACAAAAAGAAUAAAGACAAAAAUAAAAAUAUUUAGCAAAAGAACAUCAUCAAUCCUUGUGAGGACUACCGAAAAUUGAUAUCCUCCCUUAUAUAUAAUAGUAAAUUGUAUUCUUUUUUCAUAUUGUUAACAUUGUUUGCAAUAAAGAUUACAGUGACAGAAACAAAUUCAGUCACAAUGCAAAUAAAAUAUGAAAAAAUUUUAUUGAAAAAUGAUAUGGAUAAAAUUCUGUUACUCCCUUGAUUCUUAUUUUGUUUAUUUUACUCCGUAACUUGAGGACCAUUAGUAGCGUAUUUCUCGAAUGUAAAAAGAUUUAAAUUUGAUAUGAAUUUUUAGCAUAUUUCUCGAAUGUAAAAAUAUUUGAAUUUGAUAUGUUUUUUUUUUUGUAAUUCAAGGGUCGUUAGUAGCGUAUUUCUUGAAUAUAAGAAGAUUUAGAUUUGAUAUGGAUUUUCUUCGUAAUUCGAAGGCCGUUAAUAACAUAUUUCUUGAACGUAGAAAUAUUUGAAUUUGAUCUCCAUAAAAAAAGGGUUUAUGGAUCUUCUUGAUAUAUUUGAUUAUCAAAAAGAGAGUGAUAUUCAAUGAGUUUAUGAAAUUAUCGGGAGAUGAUUAAUCUCUUUAUUAAGGGCUUAGAGUAGAGUAGCCACCAAGUUAGGUUUAGCGUAAAGUAACCGCUAAUAACUUUAACAAAAAUUGAAUUUUUAUUAUAGAGUUCACAAAAUUAUGAUGUCUAUAAACGCUUCGUAUUGUCAGACAUUAUGACUACUAAAUCCUUUGCUGAAAUGUCAAAAUACAAUUAUUUUUCUUCUUUGAGAUGAUGAAUGAAGUACGUGUUAAUUUAGUGGAGUCACUUAGCUCAAGUCAUUCAUGCGGCAUACCAUGAAAUCAAAAAACUACAUCAAGCUAGGAGAAGAGAGCAAUCACAAAAAUACCAUAUUUAGCAUAUUUUCAUAGCUCAAACUCGUGACCCCCUGAUCACAUGGAGGGAACUAUCCACAAUAAUUCAGACAAAUACUUCUCAUAGAUAAUCAGAAAUGUCCAAGCAAGACUAAAUCUUUUAAGAAUUUUACUACACACAAAGACAAAAACAAAGGGCAGUCCGGUGCACUAAGAUCCCGUUAUGUGUUGGGUCCUAGGAAAAAAUUAGACCACAAAGGUCUAUUAUACACAGUCUUACCACUGUGGACCCCUCUUUCCACAGCUCGGACCUAUGACCUUCUGGUCAUACGACAACAACUUUACCAGUUACGACAAGGCUCCUUGUCUUACACAAAACAAAUAACAUUUGUAAAAAUGAAAUCUCUAGCAAUUUUUUAAAAUUCUUUCUACCCAAAUUUCAAAAAGAAGCUAAAAUAUAACACUGAUAACAUAUGGUUAAAUAAAAAAUAAGCAAAAAAUGCAAACUACCCGAAAAAAUUCAGGCAAAUAAAACUUGUAAUAUAUCAAGAUUAAUUUUGAACAAUAGCUUAAAAAUAAUCUCACUUUCUCACAACUGAAUAAUGAAAUUCCAAUUUUUCCCUUAGCAUUAUGUCUCCAUUGAUGAUGGAUACUGUAGCAUUAAGAGACAAUUUCUUUCCUUUUCUGGUAGUUGGUCAGUAUUUGAGCAGUAUCAUCUUCUACAAAAAUGAACAGGAUAAUCACUUUAGCCCCCAAAAGAUCUAGCUAUUACAUAUAGAACCCUUUACCUUAUAAUUUUAGAAUGAUAUUACUCUUCUUGACCUAUUUAAAUGCCCCAAAAGUUGCUCUAAUAAAGAAAAAGAUAAUUCCUUCUUUCGGUUUUACUUGUCACAUUUUAACUUGACAUAUUUACUAAAAAAAUAAUUAAUAACAUAUAGUUAUUUUACCAUAAUACCUCUAUUAAAUGAUGUUUAUAUUGUAUCUUAAAAUUAAUUUGGAGAAAAGACAAUUAAUGCUAAGGGUAAAAUAGGAAAAAAGUUGUCUUUUCUUGAUAUGUGAAAAAUGAUAAGUAAAAAUAGAAAUACAAUUAGGAAAUUAGGGACAAGUAAAAGAGAACGGUGGGAGUAACACUGAAAACACAUCAAAAAGAUAUACUUCCUCGGUUGUAUUUUAUGCGGCAUAUUUUGAUCGGGCACAAAGUUUAAGAAGGAAUGACAAUUGUCCUUUAUUAAAAAAUAUAUUACUACUAUCUUUAAUUAAAUGCGACUAAUAAGGAUAAAUGUAAAAUUGUAUCUUUAAAUAGUUACCAAAUAAAGGAAUAUGACAUUCUUUUUGGGAUGGACAAAAAGAAAAUGACAACAUAUAAAAUGGAGCAGAUGAAGUAUGUUAAUACUAAAAGGGCAGCUUGAUGUGGCGGUGGAAGUAUGUUAAUACUAAAAGGGCAGCUCGAUGUACUAAAGCUUCAUGCUAUAAGGGACUACGGAGAAGGGCUGGACUGCAAGAAUUUUACUGUGCGCAACAUUAUCUUGCAUUUCUGACAGAGGUUGUUUCUAUGACUUGAACUCGUGACUUCCUAAUCACAUGACAAUAAUUUUAUCAGUUACUCUAAAAAUCCCCUUCAUAUUUUUAUACGAUUUCAUAAAAAUAUUAAAGAUACGCAAAAUAUAAAAGAUACGCAUAUAAUUCUUUUUGCAAACCCACUUAUAUGGAGUAAUAAAAACUUAUAAGGUAUCAAAAAUGAUAUAUGCAUGGGAUUUCCCUUUUGAUUAAAGUUUUAAUAGGUUAAUUUCAUGUAUAAUUGUAGACUUUUACUCAUUAAUGACAAAAUUAUUAAACUUUACCUCUUUAAUAAAGUAGUAGAUUUAAUGGCAUUAAAAAUCAUUAAUGAGUUUUUGUUAUGUGUUUAUAUAUAUUGAGUACAAGAAGUGAUAGACAUAUCUCAAACUAAAUCAAUCAAUUAGAAAAACAAUUUCUAUUCCAAUGGGGAAGUUCCUCCAUGUUCACCUUUUGAUUUCAAUUAUUUUCUCAAUUUUUCUUGUAACUUUAUGCAAUGAACAUUAUUUUCCAUCCCUUAACACCACUUAUAUUAUGGAAUAUGUCUAUUGAUCCAACGAAGGUUCCCGAUCCUCUGAUUCCAUACUAUACACUCACCAUUUACAAUCUCUAUUUAUUUGAAAAGUCAAAAUUCAAGGACUAUGACUCGUUACUCGGAAAUAGGUUCGCCGGUCGUCAAGCUAGAGCAAAUAAUUUGGCAUCAGUUCUUGAAAAUGGUUAUGCAAUUAGUGCGAAUGGAACUCUGGUAAGGAUACACGACGAGCAUGAGAGUAAAGUGGCCAACGAAAAGGUUCCGGUAACAACAAGUACACAUUUCAUAUGUCAGUAUGUUGCAUCUUUUACUCUUUUUUUUGGUUUCCCAUCUGGUUGCAUUAGAGCCCCGACUAAUCCAGAUCACAUGUUGCAGGGCCUACUAAGGUGGUAGCACUCCCAACAGAAUUUUCUCCAUACCUAGGGCCGAACCCUGGACCUCUGAUUAAGGGUGGAACUGCCUCAUCCACUGCACUACAACCUAUAUUGGUGAAUCUUUUACUCACUGAACAAUUUAAAAGUUACUUGAUAAUAGACACUGGUAGUGAUUUAGUUUGGUGGCAAUGUGGACCAUGUAACACUACAACAUUUUAGGCUUUUGGACACACUAAUUCUAGACCACACUUGUAAAGUGUGACCGAUAUCAUUAAAGACCACGCUUUGAAAGCGUAUCCUUUGUUUUUAGCUUUUGACCACAUUAAUUUUGACAAUACUUUAAAAGCAUGGUCCUUAAUAGUAUAGGCCACAGUUUACAAGCGUUGACACCAUGAUUUAAUUGGCAAUACGUAUUCACAAAUAUGACUACACUUUUAAAUGUGGUAUUAUUAUAAUUUAAGAGACAAUACUUUUAAAAUAUGGCCUAAGAUUUUUAUUGAAAUAUUUCACUAUUCCACCAAAUUAUUUCACUCUUCUACCCAAAUAUUUCACUCUCCCUCCAAAUAGUUCUAGGGUUACAAGAACAUACAGAUUAAGGGCAAAAUUAUUUUUGGGCAAAAAUAUGGGUUGCAAGAAAACACAAAUUACGGAUAAAAUUAUUGGUUCCUCAACUCAAAGUCUCAAUUGUUGCAUCUAAGAUAGAGGAAGAAGACUAAAUACUGCCGUCGGUGAGGAAGAGACAUCCUUACUGCCGUAAGGAGAAGGGGUCGGUGCUUAUCGUCCACCAGAAGGGUAUGUUAAUUUCUUUAUUCAUUUCCCAAUUUAUCUCAUAAUCUUACUGUAUUUUGCUAUUUUUGUAACCAUUUCUUUUGUGGGGUUAUUGAUUUAGUUCAUUGUCUUACUCUGUUUUUGCUUCUUGUUUGCUAUUCUUAUAGCCAUUUCUGUUAUAGGGUUCUUUAUUUAGCUCAUAUAUUACAAUAGUUUUUCUUCUUGUUUGUUGUUCUUGUAGUGAUUUCUGUUGUGGGGUUCUUGAUUUAGUUCAUAUCUUACACAAUCGAAAGAGGCUUUAUAACUAUUGGUACUGGAGGUGAUGAUUUUUUGAUAAAUAAUAUUUUUAAAAAUUUUAUGCUAAAUUUUUUCAUCUUGGAUAUGUUUUUUUUUGUCAAUUUCAUUCUAAGUUUAAUGAUCGAAUCUUUAUUGCAUUUGCCGUUGUUUUAGUGCUGAUUUUCCUAUUUGGGGUUGUUUUAUUUUCAGUUAAAUUUCAAUUCUUGAUAUCCUAGCUGGUAGUUUGAGCAUAUUAGAUAUGUGUUUUAUUUUCCAAAUGGUAAAAUUCUAUAUGAUGAACAAACUGAAGAGGUUAUGGGGUUGUUCUUUAUAUCGAGUUGUUCUAUGUUGCUCAGUUUUACAAUUUCUAGCCUAUCUAGUAGCCUGUUUUGUCAUAUCCCUGGGCUAGGUCGUCAUCUAAUUUGGAGCCUUCAACGAUAGCUUGUGUCAUCUACAGGUCUUCACUCUAGUUUAUAUUCUCAGGUCCAUCUCUUAUAUCUCCAUUAUCUAUUACUUGGUUCCUCAUAUUAAGAUUGUAGUUGAAAAGAAUAUUUCAUAACCAAAUGAAUACCUCUUCAUUUUUUGCAAGAGAUGAUCUAAACACACUAAAAUUAACAAACAAUAAAACUUAGUUUCACAAUCUUGUUUCUCUCAGUAAGUAAUAUGCUCAGAACUUGCGAGGAAGAUUCAUACUUGGGAUGAUCAAAUAGCGAAAGACAAGGCUUCCCUUGAUGUCUACUCUCUCACACUCCAUCGCAACUUGAAAGAAGGAAACACGUCCAAGUUAGUGUAUCUAGUUAUCUUUUUGCUGAAGCGCCUAUUUAAUUCUUGAAAAACAACUUAUACUUCAAGCCUUUACCGUUAAAGAACAAACACUGGUUAUUUCUCCUGGAAAAAAUAUUUGAACGUCAAUGCAAGAAGACUACCUGCAUCUAGAAAUUUACAAUAUCUAUUGAUGUACGUAUUGACUUGGAUUAUAAGUUGGCAUCAAAUCCUAUUUUUUAUGUGCAGUGUCGUAGAAGCAAAAAAUAUGAAAUCUCAUGCCUUUUCCUCUUACUCCAUCUCAGUAUCAGGAUUGCGAUUCCCUUCGUAUAUCAACUGUGAUGAAAAAAAUAUAGGUAAAACAUAAAGGAGUUUUAAAUUUAGUAGUCGAGUCUGUUUCAAAAUAAUUGCUAAUAUAACAAUUAUUGUUGCCUUCUUAUGUUCCAAUUUCAUCCUCCGAUAUUUUUCUUGUGUUUGCUUUGAUCGAAACAUGGAUUGAACUCACACAACAAAUCUUUCGAUACACUCUUCAGCUUUUUUCCUACUUUCUUGGAAGAAAUCCUCCUCCAUAUCAUUGGGUUUGUGAUUAACUACUUGACUAGACAGGAGUUGAAGCUCAUGAAGCUUUUUUUCUUCAAACACCAAUGAAAUAUUGCCUUUUCAAGCACCCUGACCAAAUUAUCUCCAGGUAAUGCCUUCGGACAUGGAAACCACUGAACACAGCCCGCAUGACCAGAGGCAGGUUCCAUUAAUAAUGGAUCAUGUUAUUCUGUCAGUUUUAUGGAAAAGUCAAAGAGUAAUUAGGAAAACUUGCUAAGUUAUCAUUCUUGUAAGAACUUCUCAAUCAUAUUAACUCAUGUUUGUUGUAGAUGUAUAUCAUUAAUUCUUUUAGUUCCAUGUCAAUUCAUUUACACAGCAGUUAACUCAAAUAAUUUCACCGGUGAGAUCCCACCAAUUCAUGAUAAUCUGUCAAAACUCUACUGGCUUGAUCUAGCAGAUAAUCAAUUAAUCAGAUCGAUUCCCGUUUCAACCUCCUCAAGUUUGGGAUUGUACCUUCUGAAGAAAGAAGAACACCUGCGAGUAAACUUUAUCUAUUCGUAUUACAUGCUAUCCUUUUCAACUGAUAGGAAGUCAAAUGAAUGUUGUUAUCCAAUUAUGAUGUAGCUGCUUGAUGGAAAUUGUACAUUAGUUGGUGUUAUGCAGAUAACUUUUGUUCAUAUUGCUCCAAUGUGGUUAACUGGUAUCGUCACUGUUGCAGAUAUAUUAAAAUUGUAUUUUUCAUCUGUGUUCUUGUUGCUUUGAGCUUUAAAAAUAUUCUGUAGUACUUUUCUUUUGGUGCACCUAUGUAGUUUCUGUUUGUAUAGACUAUGGAGGAUUGGGUGUCCUUUUGUAUGAAGCUCAGAAACACCCUCUAUAGCUCCAUGGAUCGAUGCUCUUCGGUCCCAAGUUGUAGCUGCUAACGUUAAAUUGCUUGCAUUGUAUGGUGUAAUCCCCCUACUUCUCAAUUGACAUUAACAUAUAAAAUCUCCUCAUUUUUAAGCUCGUAAAGUAACAAGAGUAAGUUAAAUAAUUCAUGCAAGAAUAUCAACACACAUUCACACUUUGUUCACAUUCUAUAUACACUUUUUUAAACAUCAAAUUAAGCUGCUUUGGUUUCUUUUUUCCCCCAAGCCUGUGCAGCAAAUAUUAUAGCUUUUCUUUAAAGAAAAUAUCAAAGAAAUGGCAGCUAGCAUUUUAUAAUUAACAUUAGUAUAUUAGCGUUUCAGAAUAGUGAAAUAACACGUAGUAAUAGACUUUGUACCAAUUUGACAGAUGAGCACUUUGGUACGUUAUUCAAUUUCCAAAGUCAAAUAUUUGUUAAUGAACUUAAUAUUUAGCAUCUCACAAUGUGCUGUACUUUAUCAAAAAUAUUAUUACAAUUGUGAAUUAAGUUCCAAAUUGGUAGUAAAUGAAAUCCCUUCAUGAUUUUUGACAUGUUUAAAAAAUCCAAUUAGUAAUAGAAUUCCUAGAAACAUUUCGUCAGCAUAAGUUAGGUUUCUCUUCACAGCUUACUGUCUUGCAGGUUCGAGUGCAACAUGUUCGUGGACUUCCUCUUUUUUGCAAAGACAAACCCGAGCAUCUUUCAAAAAUUGUUUAAAUACUUGUAUAACUCUUGACUUCUGGUAUAGAAAUCUCUUAGUCUUUCCAUCAAGAAAUGUUGAUUAUGAGAAAGGAUAUGUGAUCUUGACUUCUUUUUCUGCUUUUACAGUGGAAAAUAUGGCACGUGAUACAGUAAACAAAGCCCUUUUGUCCUUGUUAAGGCAAGACAAAAAAGGUUUGUUGAUUCUUUCCUAAUGACAUUGAGACCAUACACAUAGGAAAUAUUUAUAAAUAUAUUCAUCUUAAAUUGAGUUAAGAAAUUAAAUUACUGAACUGAUCAAACUGCUCUUUCUUUCCUCUUCUGGAAGCUAUUUAAUGUUUCCUAGUAUCACUCUCUAAGAAAAAAGGUAGAACGAUAGAUACAUUAAAACCUAGUUAAGACAAGAAGCUCAUCCCUCGUGGGUCACCUAACAUGUUUCAUUACCUACAUUGGAUAAAUCAGCAAAUUUAUUAAUGCAGUGCACAUUUUAUCUUGCAUUUGAUGCACCGUUAUGCAUUAGCAAGCAUGCUCUUUUGUUCAAUGCCUGGCAGCUGUAUACCAGGGUUUUGCAGUAAUUGAUGUGACAUAUUAAAAUACCUCUUCUUAUUUCAAUUAUCUGAAGUAGGAAUUAUACUAAUCAAAUCCUUUUAGGACAAUAUUCUAUUGUCCCAAUUUAUAAUCAACUUUAAUAAGAGCUCAAGUGUAGCUAUGUGGAUAUAUCAACUACAGAAAAAUAUUUAUACUUUAGUAUGACACUGCUGAAGGACGUGGUGCACAUUUGUGCUUUCAAAAGAAGGAAGAGAAGAUGUCCCAUAAAAUGUAGGCAUGUAGUUAUAUGGGUACUUUCGAUAGAAAUAAAUAAGAGAAAAUUUGAAGGACUAAAGAAUGAUUUUUUAAUUUUAUAUUCUACAAAGAAAAGGGGCUACCCUGAGAAACAGAAAAUCAGUUGGAACAAAAACUAAGCAGAAAAGAAAAUUAGAGACACAAUAACUCACCAGAUUACGGAGCGAAAAGAGGAAGAACAGGUAAGAUAAAUGAAAAGUGCUUGCGAAAAACAUAAAAGUGAAGCACCUUAUAUAUGGCAUUCAGCUGUGCAUGCAUCUUUUCUUGGAUUGGAACUAGUGGUGAUAUUGAUCCAUUACUAUGAUAUGUUCAUUCUUUUUCUGUUGUUUCACUUGUGUCUCUAUGUUACCUGUGGGAUUCAUUACUGUGAUCUUGAUCCAUUACUGUGAUAUGUUCAUUCUUUUCCUAUUGUUUUACCUGUGUCUCCAUGUUACCUGCCAUAUUCUCUUUGUCAACUACUUGAGAGAAAUAUCUUAAUUCGGUGUGCACAGAGAUAGAAGAAUGUCCAGCCUCUAAAUAUAUAGUUUAAGCAAGUAGUGAUCAAUAUACAGCUUAAAAUUUUGAUGUGUGUUGAAACCAUUCUUCAGAUUUGAGCAAUUGUGGAUGAUAAACUGAGAGGAUGACUUGUUUUAUUGCACUAGUAGAAUACUACUUAGUCUAAGUGGAAAAAUCAAACUUCUUUCGUUGCAUCAGUAGAAAACUACUAAGUAAAGUUGACUAGUCCUUUCAACCGAGCUGAAUAUGCAUAUAGAUAGAAGAAAAGGUAUUGACCAUUGGCUACAACACCACUUGACUGGAGUUGUUUCACUGGAUUUGUUGAUGCAGUUGUAUUGACGCAUAGUGAAUUCCUGAAUAUAUCAUGUUAAGAGUGAUUUAUGUAUUGGCAAUGUGAUAUUUAAAGCUUUGUUCAAUGGUAUUUAUGGUCUUUUUUGGGGACGUAUGCUCCUAUUUGGUAGAAAAGGACAUUCUAGGGAUGCAAAUAUUUUUUAGGGUUGUUCCAUAUGUAUUAUUAGUAAGAGAGAACCUUAACAGAGCAAUAGGAUAACACUAUUGCCCUCUCUAUUUUAGAAUGGAUUCCCGAGUCUUGAGGAACUGAAAUAAUCUGCUUUGACUUUAGGAGACUGAUUCAUUCCUAGGAGUAUUAUUGGUAAGAAAGUUCAUUAUUUUUGCCCUGGGACUGAGGGUCUUUCUUUUGAAAUAUAUCUUAUAUAUACUGCAUUAUUUCUUCUCUAGAUAGAUAUUGUUUUAAUUUUUUUACAGUCUAAACUAGAGAAUCAUCACAAUGCUGGGAAAACACCAGAUGAUGCAUUCACGGCAGUGUUUGGAAAGGAUAAACCUGGUCGAGUUAGAGGUUAUGGAAGAUCAGUGACAACAACUUCUCUAAAAGAAGAUGAGGAAAUGAAAAAGCUUAAACAAAAGCAUGCUAAUGAAGUCACUUCUAUGAAGAAGAAAUUAUAAGUGAAAUGAGAGAAAUGCGACAAGUUUUUUAGUCAAUUGGUGCAAAACAAUCCUGGAUUGAAUUUUCAAGAUAUACUAGGGAGUGUAAAAUUUCUUCACCUGAUGCGAGUAAUGCACAAGCUAUAAGAGAAAAAAUUCUUUCAAAUUAUUUUGGCUUAGCUCAUGCUUCGGUUCAUGAAAAGGUACUUUAUCUUAGAAAUUCACAAGAAAUUUAAAUCCUAAACUUUUAACUUUAUUGAAUGAAUUAAAGAAACUUUGGAUUCACAUAUUUCCUCAUAUCAAGAUUGAAAAAAUAUUUGUAUAUUUGUGAGCAUAAUUUUACUUCGUUUGUUUCAGUUUGAAUGUAGGAUCAAUGCGGGGGAUCAAAUUUGAAUGGGGGGCGCCACAACUCAAUUUGAUCGAGAUUGAAGUGAAUGAUGAAGAAUUUUGAAAUAUUUUGAUAUACGUUUAUAUACAUUUGGUUUUGUGUGAAAGUUGAUAUAAUUUUUAUUAUGUUGUUUUCAUUAGUAUGUAAAACACAUGUUUUUUUAAAUCAAAUCUAUGCACUUCAAUUAUUCAUUAGGUUAUUACUGCAUGCGUGAGAUUGUAUAUAAAUAUGUAUUUUUAUGUAAUGUGCUUAGUGAUACAUACAUUUCGAUCAAAAUAAUUGUUUUUUAAUUAGAGAUUACGUACGAACAUUUUAUAUGCCUAAUGCCAUUUCAGUAAAAUGUGGUUUGAAAUGUCAAAUUUUAGGCAAUAUUGCUACACUUCAAAAGUGUUGCUAAAACAUGCUUACACUUUAUAAGUGUUGUCAUAGAGGAUAUAUAAAAGGCUAUUUUUUUGAAGUGUGGCUAGUAAUAAAGAAAAGGCCACGUUUUUUAAGUGUUGUUAUAGAGGUGCUACAAAAGCCUACGCUUGUGAAGCGUGCCCAAUAGUAAAACAAAGACAACGUUUUGUAAGUGUUAUUAUAGAGGUGCUACAAAAGGCUAAGCUUGUGAAGAAAGCCCAAUAGCAAAACAAAGGCAACACUUGUAAGUAGCUUUAUCAAAUAAAAGUGUUGCCAAUGACAAGCUACAAAGCAUGGCCUUUGUACCUUAAUGGCCACGCUUUUUAAAUGUAGAUGAUAUGGCAACACUUGAAAAGUGUGGCCGUUGAUCAAAGGUUACGCGUCUUUAAGCCACCCCCUAAAAAGUGUUGCCUAAAGUCCGAAAGUGUAGCCUUUGAUCAAAGGCCACAUUUCCUACUAUUUUAGGCCACGUUUUACAAGUGUGGCCUUAGGCCAAAAACGUUGUAGUAUAAUGCAAAUGUAUGUUACAAACAGGUAAAUAAUCCUUUAUAUGUUUCAACUAAUUCAAAAACAUAUCAAAAGCUCGAUUGCCUUGUAGAAAGUAGAAACUGUGAAAUCACGAAUAAGGAAUAUGACUGUAGUCGUAUGGUAAUACGUGUACGUAUGAUUACAAAUACGUCAAUGGAUCAAGAACAAGAGGCUGGAUUGCACACGACGUGAUUACUUUUGUUUUAGACCGAAAGCAGGUAAGCAUUGUUUUUGGAUGUGGCAAAGAUCAAACUCAUGGAAAGCCUUUUAGUGGUCAAUUUUCUGGAAUUGCGGGCCCCGGAUGUAAUCGGUGGUGGCAAUUAUUUCGCAUCACAAUUUGAAGUAGACAUAAUGUCCAUGUGCCUAUCGAGAGCUCUCUCAACAAAAGGAUCAACACUUAGCUUCCACACAAUACCAUUUAAGAAAACAACAUCAGCAACACUAUUACAAGAUUUCAGAUUCCCUUCCGUUUACUUUGUCAACCUUUAUAAAGUUUUUAUUAACGAUAGGGAAGUCCCGUUGUUCCCAUCAUUGUCUAGGAAUUUCAGAACUUAUGCCACGAACGGUAGCUGCAUCGUGGACAAAGGAACAUUUAUUACCCGUUUUCCUCAUGUUUUUUAUAUUGUAUUUUGUUACACAUUCAGAUAACAAGUAUGUGGUAUUCCUAUGGUUAAUGUUCCACCUGGAUCAGUUUAUGACACUUGCUAUAAAGUGGAUACGACUAGUCUGGAUCCACAUUUCCCCGUUGUGACCAACCAAAUGGCCCCUCCAACCACAACAACCCACACUCCCUUUUGCCUCAGCCUGCCUGGGAGCACUUGGUCAGUUUUCUGCCCAAAACAUACUCGUUCACUGGGCCCACCCCUAGAACUGUGAGCUAUAGCACACUGAUUUAGCCCAAGAAUGGCCCAUUUGGGUUGUUUCACUUGUUUAACCACCCAAAUAACCUAGCUAACCCCAAUGACCCACACUAUCCCACUUUUGAGCCUACCUUGGUGCCUCUGAUCGAUUUUAAGACCAAAACACGCUCGAGCCCCGAGCCAACCCCUAAAACCGUGAGUUAUAGAAUGUCUAUUUGGCCCUAAAAAUAGCAUGUUUUGACAUUUUGUCUGUUUGAUCACCCAAAUGGCCCCGCCGACCCAAAUGACCCACUAUCCCGUUUAUCAAUCUACUUGGAAAACUUGAUCGAUUUUCAACCAAAAACACUCCCGAACCCCGGGCCCACCUAGAACUGUGAGCUAUAGCUCACUGAUUAUGCCUUAAAAUGACCCAUUCGCGUUGAUAUUCCUGUUUGACCACCCAAACAACCUGUUGACCCGUGCGACCCAUACUUCCCCACUCUUUACCCUACCUGAGAUCCCCCAAUUAAUUUUUUACCCAAAACAUGCCCUAGACCAGGCCAAAAUCAUGAGCUAUAGCUCACUAAUUUGGCCCAAAAAUGGCUCGGUUGCGCCGUUUUGCUCGUUUGACCAACCAAAUAGUCCCGCCGACCUCAAUGACCCAUAAUUCCCCGCUCCUCAUCCUUAUUAGGAGCCCUCAAUAGAUUUUUGAUCCAAAACAUGCUUGGGCCCUAGGACAACCCCUAGAAUUGUGAGCUAUAACACAUCGAUUUGGCCCAAAAAUAGCCCGUUCGCAUCAUUUUGCCUAUUUAAUAACCCAAAUGGCCCCGCUGACCCCAACGGCCCACACUCCCUAAUUUUCAGCCUACUUGGGAGCCGCGAUCAAUUUUCAGUCAAAAAAAUUCAUGGGCCUUGGGAACACCCUCUUAACCGUGAGGUAUAACACCCCAGUUUUGCAAAAACAUAGCCUAUUCGCACUGUUUUAUCCGUUUGAUCACACAAAUGGCCCAUUGCUACCCAACGGCCCAUACUCUUCUACUUAUUAGCCUGCUUAGGAUCCUCUGGUCUAUUUUCAGCCUAAAACAAGCCUACGAUCUGGGCCCACGCCCGGAAUCGUGAGCUAUAACUCAUCGAUUUGGCCUAAAAGUGGUUCGUUCAUACCAUUUCGCCCGUUUGACCUCCCAAACGGCCCCAAUGACCCCAACAACCUAUACUACCACGCUUCUCGGCCUUCUUGGGAGCCUCCGGUCAAUUUUUAGACUAAAACACACCUGAUCCCCGGGCCCACGCCCAGAACCAUGAGUUAUAGCACAACGAUUUGGCCUAAAAAUAGCAUGUUCAGGCUGUAUCGCCUAUUUGACCACCCAAAUGGCCUCGGGGAAUUUUUGGACAAAACAUGGUUGGGACUAGGGUGUGACCCUCAGAAAUAUGAGCUAUAUCACAUUGAUUUAGCCUAAAAAUGGCUCGUUCAUGUCGUUUUGCCUGUUUGACCACCUAAACAGCCCCACCGACCCCAACAGCUCACAUUCUCUCACUUGUCAGCCUGCCUGGGAGUCCCCAAUCUAUUUUUGGCCCAAACACGCCCGGUCCCCGAGCACACCCUAGAAACAUGAGCCAUAUCACACCGAUUAGGCCUAAAAAAUGCCUCGUUGGUACAGUUUUGCUUGUUUGAUCACCCAAACGGCCCUGUUAACCCAAACAACCCUGACUGCCUCGCUUCUAAACCCGCCUGGGUGCCCCUGAUUGAUAUUUGUCCCCAAAAAUAUGACCAAACCCUAGCCCACUCUCGGAACCGUGAGGUAUAGCAUACUAAUUUAGCCCAAAAAUGGCCCGUUUAUGCUGAUUCACCCUUUUGACCCCCAAAAAGCCCCGUCGACCCCAACCACCCACACUCCCCCGCUUUUCAGCCUACCUGAGAGCCCCAAAUAAAUUUUUGACCUAAACCACACCCGUUCCGUUCACUCAACUUCAAAAUCGUGGCUAUAUCACAUCGAUUUUGCUCAGAAAUGGUCCGUUCACGCCCUUUUACCUAUUUGACCAACCAAAUAGCCCUACCGACCACCGCUGACCCCAACGACCCAUACACCCCUAAUCCACAGUAUGCCUGGGAGCCUUUGGUCAAUUUUCAGCCUAAAACAUGUCUGGGCGCCAGGAUCACCUCUGAAACCGUGAGCUAUAGCACACCAAUUUGGCCAAAAAAUGGUUCGUUUCUGUUGUUUCACUCGGUUUACCACUCAAAUGUCCCCGCCGACCCCAACAAGCCACACUUCCCUGCUUCUCAGCCUACCUAGGAUCCUCGAUUAAUUUUUUCCCCAAAACAUGCCCGAUCCCUAAGCCUACUCUCAAAACUAUGAGCUAUAACACAUCGAUUUGGCCUAAAAAUGCUUUAUUUGCACCAUUCAGCUCGUUUGACCACUCACACAGCCUCGUUGAACCCAAUGACCCAUAUUUUCCCACUCCUCUUCCUGUCUGGGAGCCUCCGAUCAAAUUUUGAUCUAAAACAGGCUCGAGCCCCAAGCCCACCUUUAAAACCGUGAGCUAUAGCUUACUGAUUUAGCCAGAAAAUUACUCGUUAGUGCCGUUUCGCCUGUUUGACCACCCAAACAGCCCUGUUGACCCCAACAGACCACACUCACUCGCUUCUCAUCCUGUCUGGGAUCCCUCUCUUGAUUUUUGAUCCAAAACACGUCUGGGCCUUGGGCCCACCCCUAGAAUCGUCAGCUAUGACACACUGAUUUGGCUUGAAAAUGGUCUGUUCGCAUUGUUUAGCCCGUUUGACCACCCAAACAGCCCCGCCGACUCCAACGACCCACUCUCCCCCACUUCUCAGCCUACCUGAGAUCCCUCAAUUUAUUUUCAAUCAAAAAAAUUUUUGGGUCCCAAGCCCACCCCCAAAAUCGUGAGAUAUAACACAAUGAUUUGGCCCAAAAAUGGUCUAUUUCCAUCAUUUCAUCUCGUUUGACCACCCAAACGGUCCCGCCAACCCAUAAGGUCUAUACUCCAUAACUCUUCAGCCUUCCUGGGAGCCUGCAGUCCAUUUUCAGCCCAAAACACGCUUAGACCCUGGGCCUAACUCCAAAACCAUGAGUUAUAGCAUGCCGAUGCACAAGGAUUUCGUUAUGUGUUCAGUCCCACUUAUAUUUCUUUGGCCUACCUCUACCCCACCUAAAACCAUCCAUAACCAGUAUUUCACACCUCCACACUGAAUAAUCAGAGCCUCUUUUCAUCACAUGGCCAAACAAAUGUAACCUCACAUCUCAUAUGUUGUCCUGCACCGAAGCAACUCUCACCUUCUCUCGAAUAAUUUCAUUCCUUACCUUAUCUUUCUUGGUAUGUCCACACAUCCAUCACAAUAUUCAUAUCUCUGCCACCUUCAAUUUUUAGAUAUGGGAGUUCUUAACUGGCCAACACACCGCUACAUACAACAUAGCCGGCCGGACUACCACUCUGUUGAACUUACCUUUAAGUUUCGAGGGCACCUUCUAAACACAUAGAACUCCUGAAGCGAGCCUUCUUUUCAGCCACCUUGCCCCAAUAUGAUACGUUACAUCUUCGUUAAUCUCAUCAUUGCCCUGAAUCAUAGACUUUAGAUACUUGAAACUCUCCCUCUUAUGAAUGUCCUGAGAGUCCAUCUUCACAACCACUCCAGCCUCCUUCGACACAUCAAUGAACUUAUACUCCAAGUUCUCUGUCUUGGUUCUACUUAAUCAAAAUCCUUUAGACUCAAGCGUCUGUCUCCAAAUGUCCAACUUAUCAUUAACUUCUCUCCGAGUCUCAUCAAUCAGUACCACAUCAUCUGCAAAUAACAUACACCAAGGCACCUUUUUCUUGAAUAUGUCACGUCAAAACAUCCAUCACCAAGACAAAUAAAAAUGGGCUAAAAGUCUAUCUCUUGUGCAACCCUAUCAAAACUGGGAAGUUCUCCGAAUCUCCAUCUACCAUCCUCACACGAGUCUAAUUCCUAUCAUCCAUAUCCUGAAUCAACCUAGUGUACGCCACAGGCCUCCCCCUAGCCUCUAAGCACCUCCAUAGAAUCUCCGUGGAAACUCUGUUAUAUGUCUUCUCAAGAUCAAUAAACACCAUGUGCAAGUCCUUCUUCCUCUCCAAACACUACUCCACUAAUCUCCUCACAAGGUGAAUGGUCUUAGUGGUCGAGCGCCCCGGCAUGAAACCCAACUGAUUCUCAGAGAUCGUCACGAUCCUUAUCAUCCUUAACUUUACCACCCUUUCCCAAACCUUCAUAGUAUGAGUCAAUAACUUAAUACCUCUAUAGUUGUUGCAACUCUGGAUGUCUCUUUUGUUCUUAUACACUAGAACCAUAGCACUCUACCUCCAUGCUUCAGGCAUCUUCGUCGCCCAAAAAAUACUAUUAAAUAACCUUGUCAACCACUCCAAACCUACACCGCUAGUGCUCUUCCAAAAAUCCACUAGAAUCUCGUCUGUCCCCAUUCCCCUACCCCGCUGCAUCCUACGAAUAGCUCCCUUGACCUUCCCAACCUUGAUAUGCCUACAAUAACCAUAAUCGCGACACUCCUAAGAUUUCUUCAAUUGCAUUUCAAACACUAAAAGUACUUACUUGUAUCAAUUACAGAACUAAUUUCAAAUCUUAAAUUUCAUUUAGUCUCAAUUCAAAGUUAAGUGCAUAAAAUUUAUUAGUUUAUUUUAAAUUUUCAAAUAUUAUUCUAUUGCUCAUUAUUUUUACAAUCAUCAAUUUUAUGAUUAAUAUCUUUAAUUAUUUUAUUUAUACCUCUUAUUGUAUCUGCUAAGUUAAUUUAAUUAAGAUCUCUCAAAUCACUCUCAAAAUCACCAUCCCACCAAAUACUACACCCACCUCCUAGCCUUACCCUACAGCCACCACCCCGCCUCCCUAGUUUUUAUUAUAUUUUACUUUAUCAGAUUUUUUGUAAAAUAUUUUUCUCACAUCACCCACCUCUUAUCCCCAAGCCACCCUCCACCAACAAAACAAUAUUUUAUUUUUGUUUAAAAUAAAAUUUUAUAUUGCACCCACCCCUACUCCCCAAUACCUAUUUGACACCCUACCUAAUACACAUACAAAAAAAAUUAUUUUUCACUUUUUUAUAAAAAACAAUCUUUCCACCCUUCUGUCCUGACUCCCAAGAAAAAUAAUUUUUUUUGUCUUUUAAGAAUCUUUUUUUCUACUCCACAACUCUAACCCCUACCUACACCACCACCCUACCUACCCCACCUACCUAGCUCACCCCUACCCCAUCUCAACCACCAUAAUCUCUUGUUCUCCACCCCUACUCCCCAAUACCCAUUUGACACCCUACCUAAUACACAUACAAAAAAAAUUAUUUUUCACUUUUUUCUAAAAAACAAUCUUUCCACCCUUCUGUCCUGACUCCCAAGAAUUUUUUUUUUUUUUGUCUUUUAAGAAUCUUUUUUUCUACUCCACAACUCUAACCCCUACCUACACCACCACCCCGCCUACCCCACCUACCUAGCUCAUCCCUACCCCUUCUCAACCACCAUAAUCUCUUGUUAUUCCCCUCAUCCAUCACUUUUCCUCAAUGCAAUUUAUAAUUUUAUGUUAAGUACACACAAAUGCUAUUAGAAAAUAUCUUCUAUUUAUUAAUAAAAAAUCAAUUAUCAAUUUAUUUUAGCAUACAUGCUAUUACUAAUAUCAAAUAAUCACAUCAAAUAAAAUUAUCUAUUUUUUAAGCUCAAAAUGAACUAAUAACUACUAAUUAGUAUUUUUAUUAUCAUAAAUAUUUUAUAAAAAUAUUUACCUGAUUAAGUUCAAGAAUUUUAUAUCACUACAAUAAAUUAUGCUUUUUGUUAUCUGUUGAAAAUAAUUUGAAAUGUAGGGGAUUAAUUCAUCAUCGAAAUAAAAUAAAAUAUAUAAGCAUACACCAUUAAAGAUGACGAUGAAAGCAUAUACAAAGAUUAAGAUUAAACAUUCAGUAAUAUAUUUUCAAAGAAAUCUUUCUGAGAAAAUUAACACUUGAAUUCAUAAAAAGAAAUCGUUAUAAUUAACUUUAACAAACAUGAAAGCAAUAGAAAAAGGUGAUGGCAGAGAUAUAUGAUUACGAUGAUGAAAAAGAGUAGCCAAGAACAUGAAAGCAAUAGAAAGAGAUGAUGGACUCUGAUACCAUGAUAAUGAAAUGAACCUUGGACCUAACUCAAAGUCAAAAGCUAGCUCAUGAGGUGAGGAUUUCCUAAGAUCAUAUAAGGAGACUAAGGACUCUUUAAUCCAACGAUGUGGGACUCUCCCCUCCCUCUCCUUGCACACCAAGAUUGGACAUUUGAAGCAUAGGCAAUAUAAGAUGGGGGACUCAACAUUGAAAAUAAUAAAUUGGGUAGGCCUGACUCUGAUACCAUGUUGAAGUGCGUGCCCAUCUCAUCUUAAAGUUUAAAUAUUCGAGAGAGUACACUUUUACUAGUUAAUUAUAUUCUAAAAAGUUACUUAAUAUGCUAUUUUGGAAUUGAACAAAUGAACUUUACGUGGCAUUGCAAACUGAAGAAAGACACAAAAUUUUUGUUUUAAACAGUUCAAGAGAGAAUCUUUUGUCCUUUUGAACUAAAGAAAUAGAUUCACAUUUGUUUGCUUGUUUUCUCCGUACAGUUGAACUAAGAGCAAUUUGAGUGGAUGUGUUUUCUAUUAUUAAGGAUGUCCAAUUUUGGAAAAGUUCUAUUCCUUUCAUUGAAAAAAGAAUUGUAGACCAAACAACAUAUUAAUUUUAUACAUUAUAUUAACUCCUAAGUAGCUACCAAACCUGGAAUUACUUAUGUAGGAUUCCUGCAUAACUCAUUGCUAAGCCAGCUACCAAAUGACCCCUUAAUACCUCCUUUCUUUGUUCAUUGAGAAGACAGAUACCAACGCAUGCAUAAUUCAAUAUAUGUGUAUAAUAUGUUCAGAACCAAGGUACAGAAUAAAUACUUUACAUAAAUACAAAACUUCCUAAGUGAGUUAAUCUAAUUGAUAUAAACGGUUUGAUUUACACAGCUCCUGAUUCAUCAAUUGAUGACUACCGUAUUUUUAAUGAGAUUUGGCAGGUAUUUUUUUUUAUAACUAGAUUUUUUUAUAACAAAAAAAAGAAUGUACCACUAAUGCCUCUGCAACAACAAAAUAUUCUGAAGCAUCCAAUGAAAGUUGAGAGACUCUCUUCUUGGUUAUAGCUUUUGGUGAAUCUCUUGUUGAAAUUGAUGAAAAUUAUUCACCAUCAUUUCGGCCUAUUUUGCCAUUUUUAUCAUUUUCAGUUCUCUUUAUAAAAGUCAUUAUUAGAUCUUUCCNNNNNNNNNNNNNNNNNNNNNNNNNNNNNNNNNNNNNNUUCAGGCUCAGCUUGCGGUGGAAGCUCACCAGUGUCGGCAUUUGAAGGCAAUUUGGAAGAUCCAGUUAAGGAUGGACCAACUUCCUUCAAAAUAAACAAGAUUCAAGAUGAAUCAUUUUGACUGAUCCUUUUUCCCUAUCUAUGUGCAACGAACAUGUUGAUAAUAGUAGGUAUCAUAAUCUAGGUCCAAAUGCUAGGUUAGAUAGUAACUCAAAAUCUUUUAUCAAUUCCCCUUCCUUAAGAACCCCAAAAAAUAAAUAACACUCGAGCAGAAAAAACUAAACUUAGACACAACAAAUGCUGAUUCUAUGAGAGGUUAUACAAAGUGGGGUUUGUAUAUAUACUUAAAUUUAAGACCGAAAUUGGGAAAAAAAAUUGAUUGACAUGAAUAAAUACUUCAAAUUGUAAUCUCCACUUGGAUUCACUCACAUUUAUUGCAUUUUUCUCAAAUUUUGGGUUUAAAAUCCUUAAGUUUUUUCAAGGUGUUUGUGCUUUCCUCAGGUAUUGUUACUUGAACAAUUAUGUUAUUUUUGCCUUGAACUAAUGAAUUCUACGUGGCAUAAUAAACUGAAGAAUGACACAAAAGUUUUGUUUCAAACAGUUCAAGAAAGAAUAUUUUGUCUUUUUGAAACAAAGAAAUAGAGCCACAUUUCCUGGACUGAUUUGUCCACUCGUGGUGCUCUUAGUUCAACUGUAGGGACAAAACAGUUUAACAAAUGUGGCUCUAUUUCUUUGUUUCAAAAAGUCAAAAGAUUCUUUCUUGAUCUGUUUGAAACAAAACUUUUGUGUCUUUCUUUAGUUUGUUAUGCCACGUAGAGUUCAUUAGUUAAUGCCCAAACAACGUAACAGUUAAAGUAAUAUUACCUGAGAAAAGCACAAACACCCUAAAAAACUUAGGGAUUUUAAACCCAACAUUUAAGAAAAAUGCAAUAAAUGUGAGUGAAUCCAAGUGGAGAUUACAAUUUGGAGUGUUUAUUCAUGUCAGUCACUUUUUUCCCAAUUUUGGUCCUAAAUUUGAGUAUAUGUACAAACCCCACUUUGUAUAACCUCUCAUACAAUCAACAUUUAUUGUGUCUGAGUUUACCUUUUUCUGCUCGAGUGUUAUUUCUUUUUUGGGGGUUCUUGAGAAAGGGGCAUUGAUAAGAGAUUCUUGAGUUACUGUCUAACCUAGCAGCUGGACCUAGAUUGUGAUAUCUAUUAUUAUAAACAUAUUCCUUGCAUAUAGCUAGGGAAGAAUGAUCUUUCAAAAUGAUCCAUCUUGAAUCUUGUUUAUUUUGAAGGAAGUUAGUCCAUCCUUACCUGGAUCUUCCAACUUACCUGUAAAUGCCGACUCUGGUGAGCUUCCACUACAUGUUGCACCUGAAAAAAUUGAUCUAUUCUUAUAUCAAUCACUUAAAUUGUUAGGGGAGGAUCCAAUAAUGACCUCUAUAAAGAUAUGUGAAAAGGAGAAAGAUGACAAAAUAGGUCAAAAUGAUGGUGUAGAAUUUUCAUCAAUUUCAGUAAGAGAUUAACCAAGAGCUAUAGCCGAGAAGAGAGUCUCUCAACUUUCUUUGGAUGCUUCAGAAGACUUUGCUGCUAUGGAGGCAUUAGUGGUACAUUUUAUUAUUUUUUAGUUAUCAAAAAAACCCUACAUUCUAGAUCCUAUGAUAAAAUAUGAGGUAUAUGAUAUUGGACUCCCAUCUCAAUCAGUAGGAAAGGGACCAAAAUCUCUCACCUUUUCUUUGAUGAUGAUCUACCUCUGUGUGCUGUUGCUAAUGAAAGAAACUGUGAAACCAUCCGAGCCACACUUAUCAGCUUCACCUUCCACUCUGUCCAAAAAAUUAACACACUCAAAGCUAAAGUAAUCUUCUCUAGAAACUGUGCUUAGGAGACCAAAGAUAGUUUAUCACACAUCUUAGGCAUCAAAUCCAAAGACAAGUUUAGCAAAUAUCAUGGUUUUCCCAUCUUCCCCAAAAAACCUUGCAAUAGAGAUUUCUAAUUUAUCCUAGACAAUCUCAACACUAAGUUUACUGGAUGGAAAACCAAAUUCCUCAAUAUGGCUGGUAGAAUCACCCAUACCAAGUCCUCCCUUUCUAGUAUUCCGGCUCAUGUCAUGUAAUUCAUCUUGAUCCCCUAUAAAAUCCACUAAUUGAUUGAAAGAAGCCAAAAGAACUUUUUCUGGGGCACCACCCCUGAUAAUAAGAAAAUGCAUCUAAUCAAUUGGGAAACCUUGACUAAUUCUAAAGUUAAUGGGGGCCUGGGCCUCCAGAAAGCUUCUAUUAGGAACAACACUAUGUUAUCCAGUCUAGCCUGGACACUUUACAAGCAUCCCAAUAGUCUCUGGGAAAAAACUUUAAAAUAAAUUAGCCCCUAUGGUAUAUCCCUUAAAGCCGACAACUUUAGAACUUGGAAAAGUGUCCUUGUGAGUUGGGAAAUUUGUAAAACUGCCUCCUCUUGGAACAUCCAUAAGGAUGACAAGAUCAAUUUCUGGAAGGACAGAUGGAUGCCUCACUGUGAACUCCUUCUGUCAAUCAUCCAAGCCCUUCUUCCUUAUGAUUCCCAAGACAUUAACUCUCUAAGGUGUAGAAGAAUUGCUCCUGGAGCCUCAAGGAUCUUCCGAUUGAAAUCCCUGAGGAUCUCAUUAAAACUUAUACCAACUUUGUUUUACCCAAUCCCAGAGCCUAUACUGAUGAGCUCAUUUGGAAUCUCAUUUGUAAUUGUCUGUUCUCCAGUAGAAGUGCUUAUAAUCAUAUAGCCAAAAACUCUAAGAUCAAUUACUCCUCUAAUUUCAACUAGAUAUGGAAGGCUAAAUCCCCUAAAAAGUCAAAACCUUUCUUUGGCUAAGCCAGUAUGAUAGGUUCCCCAAUAACCUCAACCUGUCCAUGAGAGGAGUGAGACAAAAUACUAGUUGUGCUAUCUGCAAUCAUCACCAGGAAGACAAAUCCUACAUUUUCUUUAAGUGUCCCAUCCUCAAAGAUUUUGGAGUGAAAAUUAUCCACAAGAUGACCCAGUCCAAACAACCUCCUAUUACCAGUCUCCUACUCUCUUACUGGCACACUAUCUGGAGAUAUCUUCAAAACUCCUAAUUCAAAAAACAAAUCCACUGGCAUGGCAUCAUUCUUUUCAGCCUCUAGACAAUCUGGAACACCAGGAACUCUAAUACCUUCAAUAACAAAAGGGACCAUCCCAAUUUUAACCAUGCUUACUCCCAAACUGUUGAGUAUAAACAUCUUACUCAAAAGAAUACCCCAAUCAAGCAAAACCAAAUCAUCAACGUUAAGUGGAAUCCUCCCACCAGCCACACCUUCAAGCUCAAUACUGAUAAUUCUUGCCUUAGAAACCUCAGGAAAGGUGGAAUAGGAGGGGUAGUUAGAUCCAGUAAUGGAGGCUGAGUGUUAGGUUUUAACAAAAACUUUCACCGGACUACCAACAACAUGAUGGAACUUAUGGAUCUCAUUGAAGGACUAAAACUGGUAGAGCAAGCUAAUCUUCUGCAUAUUGAAAUUAACAUUGAUUCCUUGGAAGUUAUAUCAAUGUUAACUAACGGGAACCUUCACUAUGAUACUUUGAUUUUGGAAUGCAGGUCAAAAUUAAAAAGGCUAAGGAAUCCGGAAGUUAAGCACUGUUAUAGAGAACAAAAUGGAGUGGUGGACGCUCUAGCAAAAGAUGGAGCAAGGGCAAGUGGGUUUCAGGAGACUACCCUUUUUGAAGUUCCACCGAUAUGUGCAAAAGAUGCAGUUUGAACAGACAUCUAAAAAACUUUUUGAGAGAAUAAUUAGCUCUUGCACUGAUGAUUUUAACUGGCCAGGCCAGAACUAUUCCUUUUUGAACCUUGACUAAUCGUCAAAAUUGAAACUUAAACUGCGUUCUCUUUUAUAUUAAUGCAUGUCCUUUCUACCAAAAAAAAUAAUAUUAUUUUGCAUAUUGAAUCAUCGAAAAGAAGAGAUAUUUAUAUCAAUUUAAAUUGAUGGACCUUGAACAUUCACAAAGAAAGAUAAAUUGAAAAAGUUAUAUCAUCCCAGAAUAUCGAGAGAAUGUUAUCAAAUCAAGAAUUAUUUUUUUAAAUGAAAAAUUAAAAAAUGCAGUAAAUAAAUUCACGAAUAAAGGUAAUGAUAGAGAGGUAUAUGUAAGAAAAGCUAAUUGAUAGAAUUUCAUUGACAUACAAAUUCAUAUAUCACAUAUGUUUAUUAAAAUAAGAUUAAUUUAUUAUUCUUCCUUAUCCUUAUCCUAGCAUUUUUCAAAUACAAUAUAUAUUUAAAAUUAAUAUAGAUUUGAGUUGAGAUAACUAUUGAAAUCAAUGAGACAAUACUAAUACUAAUACUAAUACUAAUACUAAUACUAAUACUAAUACUAAUAACAAUAACAACAUUUUAACUAUUUUUACUUUACCACUAUUAGAUUGCACUACUAUUACUAUUACUAUUAUUAUUUGUUCAUUGUUAUUUGAGAUAAAUAUUAAGAUACAUCGUGUAGCUAAAAAAAAACAUUGUGUUCCAUGAUUACUAAUUAAGUACAUCUAAAUUAUAAGUUUAUCUUUGAAAGUAUGUUUUAUUUCCAAUUUAAAUUAAAAAAAAAAUUAUAGAAUAACCAAUAUCUUAGAUGAGCGGUUAAAACCGUCAAUAUAGGUUAGGAUCGUUGGGAUGGCCCGGCCCAGCCUGUAAUUUGAUAGGGCUGGGCAACAAUUUUUAUAGCCCAUUUAAGAAUAGGGCUUUUUAGCCCUUCAUGAAUAAAUCUAUUUACCAGUCGACUUGAGCAAUAUGGGUUUGGGUGACCCGUGGGUCAAAUAAAAAUAAUUAAAAAUAAAAUAUAGUACUAAAAAUAAAAAAAGGAAUCCAAACUCAAAGUCUAUAUGAACCAUCAUAUAUAUAUAUUUAAAUAUUAAUUAUAUUUAUAAAAUAUAUAAACAAUUAACAUAUAAAAUAUAAUUUUUUUAAGAAAUCAAAUAUGUUUGAUGAAGAUGAUGUGGCGAUAUUGAAUACACCAUAAAUGCCAUGAGAGUUUUCUUUAAAACGUUUAUUUUACUUUUAAUGGACUAAAUAUUGACAUUUAUUUGUGUUUCGUUGUGAUUAAUUAAAACAAAAUUAGGUUAAUUAUUUAGUGAGUUAUAUUAUUACUCAUUAAUUAUUUUAUUUAUUUUUCAAUAUCUCUAUUUGGUUUUAAUUUGGUGUCAAAAGUUAUUCAAUUUCACAGAUUAUUAGAAUCUUUUUGUAAAUUUGAGACUUGAUUAAUGAGUAGUAACUUCAAGAAAUUGUAAAUAUUUAUGCAAUUAAUAUUUUAAAAUUUAAAUUAAUAUUAUAAAAAUAAUGUAUUUUAAAAAAUGGGCUGGCCGGUGGAGGCCUACAACCGAUAGUGUGACGGGUUGGGCUUGCUAUUUACUAGUCUGUCAUGUUGAUGGGUUAGCCUGGUCGGGCCCGUCAAACUUUAAAGCCCGUGUGAGCUAGCCUGGAUGAGCUGGUCCGAUCUAUAUUAACAACUCUAGGAACAAUUAUAUAACGAUAAGAAGCUAAUUAGAACUGUUUAGUAUUAUAAUUGUCUACUUCUAAUAUGUAAUUUUAUAUUUUUUUAACAUUAUUUUAAAUUUAAAGUCAACAAUUUAUUCAUAACGCCCCAAGAUCCCAUCCCGAGACGCCACACGGUGCUUAAGGCCAUAUGCGACCUCAAGCUAACCCUCUAAACCUGUCAUCACUUCUAGAGCUCUCUUUGACAAUAUUCAUGCUAAUAUAAGAGAGAAUGACAUAUCAUAAACAUACUGGAAUAAGAUACGAAACUAGCAUGUACAAUCCAAAAUACUGAAAUUCUGUACAUACCAACCCUUUAGCCUGACAAAGCCUCUAUACAUCAAAAUCAAGGAGACAAUGGGACAAAACCCGAAAUGACUCAAACAUUACUGAAAGCCAUAAUAAGAAAACGACAUUAAAAAAUUAUAAACAAAGUCCUCGAACCAUUAGGACUCACCACUGAGCAGAGAAAAAGUGGCACCCGAAUAUCGCUAACACGACUGAGUACCUGAACCUACAUUAUGAGAAAAUGUAGCUCUUAGGAAAAUAUGUGGGUCAGCACUUUGGAAUGUACUGAGUAUGUGUGGGUGCAUGCAACAAUGAAAAUAUCGUCACCAACUUUAUGAAAAUAUGCAUAUGUACAAUGAUGGCUCACUUGGCUUGAGUUAGAUUGAAACAUACUAUUCAUGAUCUCAUCGUAAAUAAAUCAUAUGAUAAAAACCUCAUAAAUCAUUAUAAACAACCAACUCUUCAACUAAAGACUCGGAGUGACUCUGUAAUUCAAGAAACUCUACUCUUAUGGAUAUGGGAGGUUCUUAUAACCGACAUAAACCAUGUGAGCUACAUGGGGUCCAACGUUUUUCCCACCUAAGGACAGAACCCCAUAUUGGCGGAAGCGUCAUACUCUUUCUAGGGAGUACAACCUAAAUUUAGUAAUCACAAUCUUAUACUCGGCCUCUGGCCCACAAUUAUCAAUAUCAAUCCUAUGGUGGCACGUAAUUUCAAGGGAAAUAUCACAUUUUCCACUCGGUGCUAAAUACUAAUCCCAGACACAAGCUCAAAACGUGUUAGGAAAUCCACCACAAACAUCACAAGGGUCUAUCGUGAAGACCAAAUCAAAUCUCGUUCUCAUUUAUCAAAUAAUAAUCAAUUUGUGGAUUCCUAACCCGACUCAAAUCAAAUCAAUCUUUCUCAAUAUCAAAAUGCAUCAAUUCAUUAAUUCAUGGCAACAUCAAUAACUUUGAGGAAAUAUCAGGAAUCAUUGUAACAACUCAAUACUCAUGAAUCAAUAUACUCAAUAAUCCAAUUUAUCAUAAGGAAGCUUAAAGCUUGACACAUAUCUUGAAAGCACUUGAAAUACCAACUCAUGGUAGAAACUUGAAAUUCACAAUCUUAAAUAUCAAGUCAUAACUUGGAAAUUGUAAAAUAAUCAUGUGUAACAAAGCUUGAACGAUUUAUAUUCUCAUAAUCUCAUGAUGAAGUAAUUUGGGUUGAAACCCACUUGCAAAAUCAUAUAAAUCCAUAAUAAAAAUCAAAGGUUUGUGCACAAGAACGAAAGAAUUGCUCUUGUUCAAAACCCCACAUACCUUAAUCUUUGAAAUUGGUUUAACUCUUGUAGUUGAGACUUUACUCACACUUGUAAUAAAAAAAUUAUUGAAGCCCACUCUAUGAGGAACUUGAUUCUUGAAGGAAUCUUGAAGAUUUAUGGAUGAUUUUUGGAAGAUUAAUUUCCUUAAAUAAAACCCUAGAUAUAUUUCUUAAGAGAAUUGGAAGAGAGAAAUGAAGAAAUUAGGUUAUGGAUGAGGAUUCUCCUAUAUAUAGAGGCCUCCGAAAAUGGGAAAUGACUAAAAUACCGUUGCAAAAAUCGUCUAGCAAUUGCUGAAAAAAAUAGCUGACGACAUCCGUGAUAACCUGUCAGGCCCGUGAUAGGCCAUCACAAAUUGUUGUCAUAAAAAGGGUGGAUUUUGUAACUUUCUUCCUUAACGUGACGACAUUUUGCUAUGGGCCAUCAGGCUUGUCACAAGUCGUCACAAAAGAGCGUCACGGAUUUUCCAGGCUGACACGCUGGAGUAAAAUAAGCAUUACUCUUUGCUCCCAUAUUGUAUUUUGACGAAAUAGGUAUCAUUGGAAAGCUAAUUCAAUUAUAUAUCUUUUGGUAGAUCAUGAUAUCAAUAAUUCGUAGUAAAAUGGGAGAUAUGCUCAUUUAAAGUUGACUAUGCCAAAAUCCUUCUCAAAAUUCAAUCGGUAAAGAAUGUUUUGAUUCGCCCAAGUGUUAGGACAUCUUUAAAGCCCUAAUACACAUCACCCAUGAAUAGAAAACAACCAAAACACUAUAAUUUAUUUCUCAUGGGUUUGAUUCAUGGUGGCACUAUUGGUUAGAAUCCCAGGGUAUUACAAUACCUCCCCCUUGGAAACAUUCGUCCUCGAUUGUUGCCAGAUAGGCCAAGAACAAGAGAAAAAUAAGGACGUAUAGCUUGAACGACUCACUCAAAAGACUUACUUCACUCUAUACCUUCGAAUACUAUAGAAAAUGCAUAAAGUCGUGAUGAAAGUAGACACACUGCUGAAUCUUUAAUAAGAAGGGUACCUUCUGCUCGCUCCGAACUUACAGAAAAGAGGUGAGGGUACUUGGCUCACAUAUCAGCUUCGUCUUCCCAAGUAUCACUCUCAACAGAUUGAUUUCGCCAAAGCACUUUAACCAAAGGAAUUUCUUUGUUCCUUAGCCUACGGAUCUGAAAAUCCAAAAUCUCAACCGGAAUCUCCUCGAAUUAAAGGCUAUCCUGGAUAUCUAAGCUUUCGAAAGGAUCAACCAUGACAGAAUCACCAAUACACUUCUUAAGCAUAGAAACAUGAAAUACUGGAUGAACGCUAGACAACUCCGCGGGAAAAUCAACCUCAUAAGCUACUUUCCCAACACGGCUCAGAACCCUGUAUGGACCAAUAUAACGGGGACUAAGCUUUCCCUUCGUCCCAAAUAUCUUCACCCCUUUCAUGGGUGAAACCUUCAAGUACACCAAAUCAUUAACAUUAAACUCAAGAUCUUUUCUUCUCACAUCCGCAUACGACUUCUGACGACUUUGAGUGAUUUUUAAUAUUUCUCUAAUCAACUUAACUUUUUCCAUAGCCUCGAACAUAGUAUCCGGCCCAAUCACAGUUGUUUCUCAUACUUCAAACCAACCUUUGGGCGAUCUACAUCUUCUCCCAUACAAAGCUUCGAACAGGGCCAUCUGAAUACUAGCAUGGAAACUAUUAUUAUCUGCAAAUUCGAUCAAUGGCAAGUGCUCAUCCCAACUACCUUUGAAAUCAAGUGCACAUGCCCUCAACAUGUCCUCCAAAGUCUGAAUAGCCCUCUGAGCCUGACCAUCGGUCUGCGGAUGGAAAGUAAAACUUAAACGAACUUGGGAACCAAGACUGUUCUAAAAAGCCCUACAAAAUAGAGAAGUAAACUGAGUACCCCAAUCAGAGAUGAUAGACAAAGGAACUCCAUGCAAUCUGACUAACUCACGAAUAUACAAUCUAGCAUAAUCAUUAGUUGUAUAAGACGAAUGCACUAGCAAGAAAUGAGCUGAUUUAGUCCACCGGUCUAUGACAAUCCAAAUCGAAUCAUAAUGAAAACGAGAAGGAGGCAAACCAAUUACAAAAUCCAUAUUCACUUCUUCCCACUUCCAAGUAGGAAUGCCAAACUCUUGCAUUACACCACCGGGCCUCUGGUGCUCUACCUUAACUUGUUGACAAGUAGAACACUUUGCCAAAAAUCCUGCUUUGUCUUUCUUCAUACCAUUCAACCAAUAGAUUUCUCGCAAAUUCAGGUAUAUCUUGGUAGCACCAGGAUGAAUAGAAUAUCGUGCACCAGGCACUUCAGCCAUAAUUCUCUGCCUCAAAUCAUCAACAUUCAAAAUACACAGUCUACCUUGCAAUCUCUCCACACCAUCUCCCACUUGGGAGAAAACCUCUACCUUCUGGUCCUUCACUGACUCCUUUAGCAUGACAAAACUAAGAUCCCUAUCCUGCUUCUUCUUUACCUUCGAGACCAAAGAAGACUCGAAACUACUCUGAAUUAACAUACUCCCAUAAGCGGAAUCAAGAAAUCUAACACCCAACCUAGCCAAACGAUGCACAUCACGAGCCAAUUCUUUCUUAUCAUUCUCUACAUGAGCUAUACUACCUAUAGACAACCUGUUAAGAGCAUCUGCCAUAAUAUUAGGCUUGCCCGGGUGAUACAUCAGACUCAUAUCAUAGUCUUUUAGAAACUUUAACCAUCUUCUUUGUCUAAGGUUUAACUCCCUCUGAGUAAACACAUACUGCAGACUUUAGUGAUCAGUAAACACAUCAAUAUGAGCACCAUACAAAUAAUGUCUCCAGAUUUUCAAAGCAAAAACUACAGCUGCUAAAUCAAGAUCAUAGGUUGGGUAAUUCUUCUCAUGAGGCUUCAACCGUCUAGAGGCAUAAGCUAUCAAUUUACCCCUCUGCAUCAAUACACCACCCAGACCAACUCUUGAAGUAUUGCAGUACAAUACAAGACUAUCAGUACCAUCGAGUAAAGCUAACACUGAGGCUGAAGUGAGUCGGGUCUUCAACUCUUGAAAACUCUUCUCACAAGCAUCUGUCCACUGGAACAUAACUUUUUUUUGGGUCAAUCGGGUCAUGGGGGAUGCGAUAGAAGAUAAGCCCUUAACAAAAUAACGGUAGAAACCAGCUAGACCCAAGAAACACAUAACAUCAUAUGGGGAGUGAAGUCUAGGCCAAUUCUUCACAGCUUCUGUAUUUUGAGGAUCAAAUCUAAUACCUUUGGAAGAAACAAUGUGACUCAGAAAAGCAACUGACCUUAACCAAAAUUCACACUUGCUAAAUUUAGCGAAUAAUUAAUGAUCUGUAAGGGUUUCCAACACGAUUCAAAAAUGAUUCGUAUGGUCAUCCUCACAUCGAGAAUAUACAAGAAUAUCAUCUUUGAACACAAUAACAACAAAUAUAGAUACCGCUUGAAGACUCGGUUCAUAAGAUCCAUGAAAGCCGCUGGAGCAUUGGUUAACUCAAAGGACAUGACAAGAAACUCAAAAUGACCAUAGCGGCUUCGAAAAGCUGUCUUUGGAAUAUCACACUCUCUCACUUUAAGUUGAUGAUAGCCAGAUCUAACCUGUAGCUGGUCAAUAAAAUCAUCAAUUCUAGGAAGAGGGUACUAGUUCUUAAUAGUCACCUUGUUGAGUUGACGGUAGUCAAUACACAUACGCAAUGUACCAUCUUUCUUCCACACAAAUAGAACAGGUACACCCUACGGGGAAACUCUGGGUCUGAUAAAACCUUUUUCAAAGAGGUCUUUGAGUUUCUCCUUCAACUCUUUAUGUUUUAUCGGAGCCAUACGGUAUGUAGGGAGAAAAAUAGGGUGAGUGCCUGGAAGGAGAUCAAUCUCGAAUUCUAUUUCUCUAUCAGGUGGGACCCUUGGAAGGUCUUUCGAGAAAACAUUGGGAAACUCUUUAACAAUGCUAACUAACUGAAUAGUCGGAGUCUCGAACAUGAGUUCUUUAACUCAAACUAGAUGAUAGAUGGGACCCGUGGAAAUCAACUUCCUAGCUUUGAGGUAGGAUAUGAAAUGGCUCUUCGGAGUUACAGAACUCCCGAACCACUCAAACACAGGUUCGUUAGGAAACUAAAACUUGACCACUCGGGUAUGACAAUCUAUAGACGCAUAGCACGAGUAAAGACAAUCUAUAUCGAGAAUGAUGUCAAAAUCAACCAUAUCUAGCUCAAUCAAAUCAGCACAUAUGACCCGAUGAAGGACAGUAAUAGAACACUUCUUAUACACUCUCUUAGCAAUAAUAGACUCUUCUACAAAGGUAGAAAAUAGAAUAGGCUCAGGAAUCUUUUCAGGGUCCAUCUCAAAAUUUAUAGCAACCAGAGGUGUCACUUAAGAGAAACUCGAACCGGGGUCCAUCAAUACAUACACAUAAAAAUAAAAGACACAGAGCAUACCAGUGAUAACAUAUAGAUAAUACUCCUGCUCCUGGCGAGGUGGUGUAGCAUAGAAGCAAUUCUGGCGUGAACCGCCAACAGUACUAGAAGAGGCACCCUGAGGAGGAACUGGGCGGACUACGGGAGCGGGGGCACUGGUAGCCUGACUCUGGGGACGAGCAUCUUGACUCCCCUGUCUAGUAUACGGAUAAUCUCUAAGUUAGUGGCCCAACCUUCUACAACCAAAGAAACCUCUCUAAUCAACAAAACACUCGCCAAAAAUAAUCUAUACCAUACUUGGCAUAUGAAGGAGGACGAGGUUUGUUAGUUACACUUUCCUGAGACCUAGACGGGAUAGGCCUGUUCCCAUGCUCCUACCUGCUUCUAGGUGUGGGAGCACUAACUGAGGAAGGCACGGGCAUAAACGGACAUCUCUGGAAUUGAGGGCAGUCCCCUCCAUAGAAUCUAGACUGACCGAAUCCCUGCUGCUCUGAUCUAGCUCUUUUAUUCCCACUUACUCUCUCCCUCUCUUUAACCUUAUCAACCUUAAUCUGUUGGGCAUGUAUCAUCAACUGAGAAAGGUCCAUCUCCCUAUUAAGAAUAGCAGAUCUACUCUCUUUCACAAUGUAACUCGACCCACCGAUCAUGAACUUACUCAUGAUGGUCCAGGAGUCAACCACCAUGCUAGGUGCAUAUUUGGACAACUGAUUGAAUCUAAGGCAAUACUCCUUAACAUUCAUGGAGCCUUGUCUCAAAUUCAUGAAUUCCUCUAUCUUUGCUUUCCUCAUCUCAAGUAGAAAGAAUCUGUCCAAUAACGUAUCCUGGAAUAACUGCCAAGUCAUGGGAGCGGCAUCGUCCCCUUUACUUUCCCUCCACAUUUCCACCCAAUCAUAUACAACAUCUUUCAUUCGAUAGGCAGUCAAUUCAACACUCUCCUCCUGAAUCACAUGCAUAAUCUGGGUGAUCUUUCUCACUUCAUCCAAGUAUAUUUAUGGGUCUUCACCGACCUUCGACCCAUAGAACUCAGGUGGAUUCAUCCGUAUAAAGUCAUGAACCCAAGCUGUAGCAAAAUUAUUCUCUUAUGGAGGCAGAACAGUAGCCUAGUUGUUAGCUUGAGUAUUGGCGGUAACUGCCUAGGCUAGCACCUGAAAAGCUGCUCAAAAUUCUCCAUAUGACACAUGCUUGUUCAGGGGAUCAAUGGGUUGAGGUUUCUCCUUGUUUCUGUGAGCUCAACGAGGAGGUAUUUUCUGUCCUAAGAGAGCACAAAUUAAUAGCAGAGAGAAAUAGUCAUAGGCAUGAUAGACUUUUGAAAUAAAAAAAUGACUUUUCCUAAAACGUCUCAUAGCCUCUUGCUCAUAGAUGUGGUGCGCUACACACCGAUGAUCAAGACUCUACGUAAUGUAGCUCGCCAGACUCCCUAGAACUCUUUAAAACUUAGGCUCGGAUACCAAGCUUGUAACGCCCCAAGAUUCCAUCCCGAGACUUCAUACGAUGCUUAAGGCCACAUGCGGCCUUAAGCUAACCCUCUAAACCUGUCAUCAAUUCUAGAACUCACUUUGAUAAUAUUCAUGCUAAUAUAAGAGAGAAUGGCAUAUGAUAAACAUACUGGAAUACGAUACGAAACUAGCCUGUACAAUCCAAAAUACUGAAAUUUUGUACAUACCAAACCUUUAGCCUGACAAAGCCUCUAUACAUCAAAAUUAAGGAGAUAUUGGGACAAACCCCCAACUGACUCAAACAGUACUGAAAGCAAUAAAAACAAAAUGUUAUCACAAAAUUAUAAACACGAUCCUCGAACCAUGAAGAUUCACCACUGAGCAGACGAAAAGAGGCACCCGAAUAUCACUAACGCGGCUAAGUACCUGAACCUACAUUAUGAGAAAAUAUAGCCCAUAGGAAAAUAUGUGGGUCAGCACUUUUGAAUAUACUGAGUAUGUAGGGGUGCAUGCAACAAUGGAAAUAGCGUAAUCAAUUUCAUGAAAAUAUGCAUAGGUACAAUGAUGGCUCACUUGGCUUGAGUUAGAUUGAAACAUACUUUUCAUAAUCUCAUAGUAAAUAAAUCAUAUAAUAAAAACCUCAUAAAUCGUGAUAAAUAACUCAACUCUUCAACUCAAGACUCGGAGUGACCUGUAAUUCAAGAAACUUGACUCUUAUGGAGAUGGGAGCUUCUUAUAACCGACAUAAACCAUGUGAGCUACAUGGAGUCCAAUGUUUUGUCCUCCCAAGGAUAGAACCCCACAUUGGCGGGAGCAUCGUACUCUUGCCAGGAAGUACAACCUAAAUUUAGUGAUUAUAGUCUCAUACUCUGCCUACGGCCCACAAUUAUCAAUAUCAAUCCUAUGGUGGAACAUAUUUUUGGUGGAAAUACCACAUUUCCCACUCGGUGCUAAUUACUACUCCUAGACACAAGCUCAGAAUGCGUUAGGAAAUCCAUCACACACAUCACAAUGGUCUAUCAUGAAGACCAAAUCAAAUCUCUUUCUCAUUUAUAAAAUCAUAAUCAAUUUGUGGAUUCCUAACUCAACUUAAAUCAAAUAAAUCUCUCUCAAUAUCAAAGUGCAUCAAUUCAUUAAGUCAUAGUAACAUCAAUAACUUUGAGGAAAUAUCAAGACUCAUUGUAACAACUCAAUUCUCAUGAAUCAAUUUACUCAAUAAUCCAAUUUGUCAUAAGGAAGCUUAAAGCUUGACACAUAUCUUGAAAACACUUGACAUACAAACUCAUAGUAGAAACUUGAAAUUCACAUUAUUAAAAAUCAUGUCGUAACUUUGAAAAUGUAAAAUAAUCAUGUAUAACAAAGCUUGAACAGUUUACAUUCUCAUAAUCUCAUGAUGAAGUAAUUUGGGUAUAAACCCACUUGCAAAAUCAUACAAAUCCAUAAUAAAAAUCAAAGCUUUGAGCACAAGAACGAAGGAAUUUCUCUUGUUCAAAACCCCACACACUUAAUCUUUGAAAUCGGUUGAACUCUAGUGCUUGAGACUUUACUCACACUUUUAAUAAAUAAAUUCUUGAAGCCCACUCUAUGAGGAACUUGAUUCUUGAAGGAAUCUUGAAGAUUUAUGGAUGAUUUUUGGAAUAUUAAUUUCCUUAAUAAAACUCUAGAUAUAUUUCUGAAGAGAAUUGGAACAGAGAAAUGAAGAAAUUAGGUUUUGGAUGAGGAUUGUCAUAUAUAAAGAGGCCUUAAAAAAUGGGAAAUGACUAAAAUACCAUUAAAAAAAUCGUCCAUCUAUUGCUGAAAAAAAUAGCUGACGACAUCCAUGACAAGUUAUCAGGCCCGUGAUAGGCCGUCAUGAAUUGUCGUCAUAAAAAGGGUUUUGUGACUUUCUUCCUUAAGGUGACGACAUUUUAUGACGGGACAUCAGGCUUGUGACAAGUCAUCACAAAAGGUCGUCACGGAUUUUCCAGGUUGAUAUGCUAGAGUAAAAUAAGCAUCUCUUUGCUCCGAAUUUGGAUUUUGACGAAAUGGGUAUCGUUGGAAAGCUAAUUCAAUUAUAUAUCUUUUGGUAGAUCUUGAGAUCAAUAAUUAGUAGUACAAUGGGAGAUAUGCUCAGUUGAAUUUGACUAUGCCAAAAUCCUUUUCAAGAAUUCAAUUGAUAAAGAAUGUUUUGGUUCGCCCAAGCGUUAGGACAUCUUUAAAGCCUUAAUACACAUCACCCUUGACCAGAAAACAACCAAAAAACUAUAAUUUAUUUCUAUGGGCUUGAGUCAUGGAGGCACUAUUGGUUCGAAUCUCGGGAUAUUACAUUAUUACUUUUAAUUAUCUUUGCUAUUUACCUUUCUGCAAAUAUAAUGCAAAUUUAUCUUAUAAUGUUAUAAUUGAACUAAAAAAAAUAUUUGAGAUCAACCACAUAUUUUGGAUAGUAAAUGAUGUAUUAUUAUCAUUAUUAUUAUUAUUAAUAUUAUUAUUAUUAUUAUUAUCAUUAUUUUUAUUAUUAUUAUUAGUAGUAGUAGAUAUGUAUGUUCUACUACUACUAAUAUUAUAAGCUAUCUUUUAAUUAUCAUUAUAUUUUAUAUAAUAUUUAAAUAUAUUUGAAAUAUAUAAAUUUAUGAUAUAAUUAGAGAUGUUUUAGGUCUUUUCAACUAUGAUUUUUUAAUUUUAAACUAAUGAAUUGUUUUUUUAAAUUUUCAAAGCCUACUAUUUUCAAAUUCAUAUAUUUCUAUUAACAUAGUGAAUUACUUAUGUAGGACUUAAUUACCUGCAUAACUCUCUGCUAAACUAACUACCAAAAAAUACACUACUACCUACAUAAAUAAAAAAAUCUUCAUAACUCUAAUUUAGGCCCCUUCAUUAUUUACUUUUGGCUUCUUAGGUUUAAGUGGGUAAACAGAUGAAAAGAUAAAAGGAAAGACUCUCAUAUCUAGUUUCCCCAGAACCACCUCUUUAGAAGAAGGGGGUUGUUGAAGCAACUCAUUUUUAGAUUCAAAUAGUCUUUUGUUUUGUUCCUCAAAAACAAAAGCAUGAGUCGGGGCAACCAUUUUCUUUUCACACAGGAAAUGAAGAACAAGAAGAACACUGCAAUUUUUAACCAGGCUUUAAAUUUCAAAAACAGAAUAAGAAAUCAUAAGAGCAAAAGGGGAAAAAUAAAGUGCAAAAAGACCUCACCAGUAGUAGGAUACAAAGGAUGAGAGAGAGAGGAAGGAGGGCUAUAUUAAAAAGGAACGAAUACAGUGGAGGCAGAGCACAUCUAUCAAAUAUUCUUUAAAAACACACUAUCUACAUCACCGACGUUUCAAAAUCAAGUCAACUUUUUAUCCAGUUCAGAAAAAAAUUUCAAAGUGUGUGAGUAGGACAGAGGUUGUCUUAACUAUGCAUAUUGGUUUGCCCUCUUAAAGUCUUCAUUUUUAUAUUUCUUUUAAUUGAACACAAUUUUAAGAGGGCAAACUAUUUUAUGCAGUUAAGACAACCUCAAUCCUACUCUCACAUUUUGAAUUUUUUUCUAAAUAGGAAAAUAAGUUUCCUUGAUUUUGAAACAUCGGUGAUGUAGCUGGUGUGUUUUCAAAGAAAUUUGGUAGAUGUGCUCUGCCUCUGCUGUAUUCGUUCUAUUUUUCAUAUAACCCUCCUUACCCUCUCCCUCAUCCUUUGUAUCCUAGUACUGGUGAGGCCUUUUUGCACUUUAUUUUUCCCUUUUUGCUCUCAUGAUCUCUUAUUUUGUUUAUGAGAUUUAAAGCCUGGUUAUAAAAUUGCAGUGUUCUUCUUGUUCUUCAUCUGCUCUUCAUCUGUUGUAAGAAAAGGAAAUGGCUGCCCCGUCUCAUACUUUUGUUUCUGAGGAGGAACAAAAUAAAAGACUGUUCGAAUCUGAAAAUAAGUUACUUCAAUAGCACCCUUCUUCUAAAAAGUUGCUUCUAGGGAAACUAGAUGUGAGAGCCUUUUCUUUUCUCUUUCUAUCUGUUUACCCACUUAAACCUAAGAAGCCAAAAGUAAAUAACAAAGGGGCCUCAAUUAGAGUUAUGCAAGUUUUUGUACUGUAGGGAUUAUCGAUGUGGAAAUCUAUAUAUUAUUUAUGCAUGUAUUAACGUAUUGCUUGGUAGUUGAUUUAGAAGUGAGUUAUGAAGGUAAUUAAGUCCUACAUAGUCAAUAUUCAAAUAUUAGUAGUUGGUUUAACCUAUGUUUACUCGUAUUAACGUAGAAUAACCCUCGAGACCCCAAAGAAGGCCCAUAAAAACCCAUCUACCAAAUAGAUGGCUCUGCAGCCUUUCUCAACUGGUUUCAUGGCCCGCUUUUAGGGCCCAAAUAUGGAUGAACAUAGUUAUGCUAUUCAAGAAAAUUAUAGUAGUACUACUGGGACUUUGGAUUAAAAGGGACGAAUAAGUUGUUUAAUUAAGUGAGAAUCCUUCAAGUUUUUAAAAUUAGGUGGGAGGGACAAAAAUUUUUGAUUUUUUUAAAGAUUUUUUGUUUCAACAACUUCUAGCAGUUGUUCAACAACUAUCAAAGUUGUUCUACAACUACGCUAAGUUGUUCAACAACUAGGCGAAGUUGUUCGGCAACUGAGAGAAGUUGUUCAACAACUAUGUGAAGUUGUUGAGACAACUAAUGUAGUUGUCGAACAACCGUCCCAAUUGUUCAAAUGAAUUAAUAUUUUUUAAAGGGACAAGUUGCGGGACCCACUUGUCCCCUUUUCUCAAUUGGAAACUUGGGAGGUCUAUUGAUUCAUUUUUCUCACUUAAGUAUUUAUGUUGUAUAUAUCAUGAAGUAUUUAGCUUAGUUUUGUGUUGUAAAUUGUAAUAUUAAGUGUAGAGAUAGUCCUAUAUACGUUUAGUACGUCAAAGAGAGCUACUCGCAAACAUUGUGCAAUUCAAUUUGUCGGAAGAUGCACUUAAUCAUCACGCAAAUACUUAUUGGUUCCGAAUAUUUACCCCCAAUAAAUGAUUUUAGUUCUAAUGAAUUAAGAAUAUAAGAUAAUUUAAUCAUGAUAAAAAAAUAAUUUAUAAAAGAUAUUAUCUUGUAAUAGUGGGUAUAAAGGGAGGUAGAUGUAGGCUGAGGAGGUCUACGUAAAGGUGAUUAUAUUAGGUAUCUGUAGCUUUUCGAGGAUAUGAUCUAGAUAUAAAAAUACGGAGAUCAAUGAUGUGGUUAGUGGGUGGCUGAGCGUUGUCUAAUUUCCCUAUUAAGUAGUAUUUUUGUUAUUACUUUCAUACUAUGUUAUUCUUCUAUAUUAGAAUAAUUUGUUUGUUUUAGUUCAGUCAUCAUAUUAAUUGUUCGUCGUUGCUACCAUUUUCAGAUUUACUAUUUUUUUUAUUGUACAUGCCUAAUAUUUUUUAUUUGUUUUACUUGAGUUGAGAGUCGAGAGUUAAUCGAGAACAACCUCUCCAUCUUCACAAGGCAGAAGUACAUGUCCAUACUACCUCUCCAAACUCCUCGUGUAAUAUUAUGUAUGUUAUUAUUGUAUAUAUCUUGAAUUGAUAGAUCAAAUGUAAAUACCCGAUGUUGAGGUAUACUUAUACCCAUUGGCGGAGGGAUGAUCUUAGAAAAAGGGUGAUUUGAUGCACAUCUUUUGUCAAAAGAUUAUAUAGUGUAAAGAAGCUUAAUAUUAGCUAUUAUACGUCUAUAUUAAAUUUUGUACAUCCUCAACACAACUAAAAAGAAAAUAUGCACACUCCUCGUCAAAUUUCUGACAACGACACUGCUACUACCUCAACUGUGUACGUGUAAAGAUGCCGCCAUAUAGCAUUUGUCAUCUGCAUGACGCCCAAACUCUUUUAUCAGUGGACCUACCUAACCUGUCACCUCAUUUUUUGCUUAUAUAAUUGCAUAUCCUUCCAAAUUUCAUACACAAUCUAUUUCAUUUUAAUUAGAUUAAAAAUAACUAUUUUAAUUUAUUUGUGUAAUUUAUAAAAUUAUAAAAAAGAUUACUACGUGAAGUUUUAAAUGAAGUGAAAGGUGUAUUCUACGAAUAUAUAAAUGCUACUUUCAUUAAAUUCGUAUAACUCUAGAUAUAAAUAAUAAUAAUUAAAUUUUAAAAUAUAAUUUAUAUAAUAUUUUUUACUUUAUAAUUAAUAUAAUUUAAUGACCGAUAUAUUAAAUAUAUUUUAUUAAAAAUUUUUAUAAUUAUUAAAGUUCUUGAUCAUUUAAUUGGAUAAUUUUUUUAAAAAAUUAUUUAUAUGGAAGAAAGUAUUAAAAGAGAAUUAGAAUAUUAAAAGAGACCUCAAGUAAUUUAAUAUUUUAUAAAAUAACAUGAUACAACAACAACAAUAUCAACAUACCCAAUGGAUUCCUACAUAGAGGGGUCUGGGGGAGGAUAGAGUGUACGCAGAUCAUACCACCACCUAAGAUGAAGUAGAGAGUCUAUUUCUAACAGACCCCCGGCUUAGGACUGAUAGCAGUAUAACAAAUACAGAACAUAAACGCAUAAAAACUAGUACAGUCUGCAAAAUAAACUAACGUCACUAGCCAUAAGAUAAUACUACAGUCACAAGAUAAUACUAAAACUAUCUAUCUGAAAUCAUAGACAUCACUCAACAAUGCGAACAAGAAUCUUCUAGCACAAAUAAAGUAUGCUCCCCUAUUGUUACCGACACUCUCUCAACCCUAAUCAGCAUUCUCCACACCCUCCUAAUAACAUCCCUCUAAUAUUUGUUCGGUCUACCUCUACCCCGCCUAAAAUCAUUCAUAGCCAGUGUCUCACACCUCCACAAUGGAGCAUCAAAGCCCCUCUUCAUCACAUGCUCACACCAACGUAACCUUACUUCUAGUAUCUUGUCUUCCACCGAGGCCACUCCUACCUCUCUUGAAUAAUUUCAUUUCUUACCUUAUCUUUCCUAGUAUGGCCACACAUCCAUCGCAAUAUUCUCAUCUCCGCCACCUUCAACUUUUGGAUGUGGGAGUUCUUAACUGGCCAAUGCUCUCCAUACAACAUAGUCGGUCGGACUGCCACUCUAUAGAACUUCCCUUUAAGCUUUGGGGGCAUCUUCUUAUCACAUAAAACUCCCAAAGCGAGCCUUCUUUAUUUAAACCACCCAGCCCCAAUAUGAUGUGUGACAUCCUCGUCAAUCUCACCAUUACCUUAAUUCAUAGACCCCAGAUACUUGAAACUCUCCUUCUUCCGAAUGGCCUGAGAGUCUAUCUUCACAACCAUGUCAGCCUCCUACGACACAUCACUAAACUUACACUUCAAGUACUCCAUCUUGGUCCUACUUAACCGAAAUCCUUUAGACUCAAGGGUCUGUCUCAAAAUCUCCAACUUAUCAUUAACUCCUCCCCAAGUCUUUUUAAGAAGUACCACAUUAUCAACAAAUAACAUACACCAAGGCACCCCCUCUUGAAUAUGUCUUGUCAAAAUAUUCAUCACUAAGGCAAAUAAAAAAGGGCUAAGAGUCAAACCCUGAUGCAACCCUACCAAAAUCAAAAAUGCUCUAAAUCUCCAUCUACCGUCCUCACCCGAGUCUUUGCGCUAUCAUACAUGUCCUAAAUAAACCUAGUGUAUGCCACAGGCACCCCUCUAGCCUCCAAACACCCCCACAGAAUCUCCUUGGGAACUCUGUCAUAAGCCUUUUAAAGAUCAAUAAACACCAUGUGAAUGGCCUCAGUAGUCGAGAGACCUAGCAUGAAAUCGAACUGAUUAUCAGCGAUAAUCAUGCUCCUUUUCAUCCUCAACUCUACCACCCUUUCCCAAAUUUUCAUAGUAUGACUCAACAACUUAAUACUUCUAUAGUUGUUGCAACUUUAGAUGUCUCCCUUGUUCUUAUACAAUGGAAUCAUUGUACUCCACCUCCAUGCUUCAGGAAUCCUUCCCACCCUAACAAUGAUGUUAAGAACCUUGUCAACCACUAUAAACCUGCCUCGCCAGUGCAUUCCAAAAAUCCACUGGAAUUUCGCCUGGCCCCAUCGCCCUACUUCGAUGCAUCUGCGAAUAGCCCUCUUAACCUCCUUAACCUCGAUAUGCCUACAAUAACCUUAGUCGUGACACUCCUCAAAUUUCUCCAAGUCCCCAAACAUGAAACCUUUAUCCCCCUUAUCGUUUAAAAGUGUAUGAAAAUAGGACUGCCACCUUUUUUUAAUGAGGGCUUCCUCAACCAACAUAGUACCAUUCUCAACCUUGAUGCACUUAUCCCUGCCUUUCUCCUUUAAAGCCGCAUAUAAGCUCUCAAAAGCUGUCAUUUUAGCCACUAUAACUGCUAACUUAGCCUCUCAGCUAGCUAUAACUUAUACUCUUCCUUAUUCGUCUGCCUCUCUUGAUUAUUCUUGCUCUCAACCAAUUUAGCAUAAGCCACUUUCUUAGACUCCACCUUUCUCUUAACCUCUUCAUUCCACCACUAGUCCCCUCGAUGUUUGCCAAAUCGACCGCUCAAGACACUAACACCUCUUUAGCGAUCUCCCUAAUGCAACUGGCAAUCGUCUUCCACAUGCUAUCCAUAUCCCCUCUACUCUUCCAAGCCCCCUUCUUCUCAACUCCUCUCCCAUCUUUAAAACAUUAGCCAAAGUCAAUCUACCUCACUUAAUAUUGGGUCAAACCUCCACACUCCUUUUCUUUUAGCCCUUAUUGAUUACCAAGUUCAUCACUAACAACCUAUGUUUAGUAAAAUGAUUAUGUCUAGGUAUGACUUUACAAUAUUUACAUAGUGUUCUAUCACUCUUCUUAAGGAGAUAAAAGUCUAUCUGACUCUUGGCCACUGAACUACGAAACAUUUCAAAAAUCUCGAAUUCAUUAUCCACAACCAAAAAGCCUUAGGAAAAUCCAAAAGAGAAGCACUUCCUUUAUUAUUCUAUCCAAAAUCAAAAUCUUCAUGCACAUCAUCACAAACUCGACGAAGACCCAAUAUGCCCAUUGAAGUCCGCUCUCAUGAAAAGUUUCUUAGUGCUCGGGACGCCCCUCACAAUCUCAUUCAAAACCUCCAAAAGCCCUUCUUCUCUUCCUCGUCCAAACCUAAUUAUGGAGCAUAAAUACUAAUAACGUUCACUGUUGUUCCUCCCAUGACCAACUUAAUAGAUAUCAACCUAUCACUGGUUCUUUUAACCUCUGUCACCUGUUCCUUAAGUUCUUCAUCUACAAAGAUACCUACCCCAUUUCUAUGUCUCAUUCUACCUGAGUACCAUAACUUAUAUCCAUCCACAUCUCUCACCUUAGUGCCUACCAUUUAGUUUCCUGGACAUACGCUAUACUAACCCUCUAUUUACCAAGAAUCUUCACCAGAUCUAUAGACUUACCUUGAAGCAUCUCUAUGUUCUAGGACCCAACUUUCAACCUAUAAGCACCCUUAUCCAACUUAGCCCUACUAUCCCUUGCCCUCUACCCAAGACUAAAACCUAGACUCAAAACCAACCCCAACCUCGACCUAUGACAUGACCCUAGUCCAUCAUCUAUCACCCCAACUACAACUCAAAAGGAUACAAUAGAAGAAAAUAAAGAAAAAAAGCUGAAAAACCCGAUUAGCAAAAUAGUAUGACUAAAAACAGCUAAAUCAACAAACAAAAACCAGUAAGCAGGAUUGAUACUUACAAGCACCAGCAAUUACUAUACUACUCACAAGCAACGAAAACCUAUUAAGUUACAGAGAAACCGUAACCAAUAAUCCCACAGGAAUAAUUAAAAAAUCAGACAAUAAAUCAGGAUAGAAAAAGAGACGAGAAGCAUAUACCAAAUAAACUAGAGAAGACUGAAAUGAGUGCACCUGAUACUGGGAGAAGACAUAGUGAAAGACGUUUUCCUAAUCGUUUUGUCAAAUUCCGGCAAAUUGGUGUAGAAAUUGGUCGUCAGAAUUUCUUGCCACCACCUUUACCCUACUGCUGGUACCACAUCCCUAUACUUGGUCGCCGAAGAAUAUGCUGGUCUUCGAAAAAAUGAGCAAGACACCAGAAUUUUGAUGUCGCCGCCUGAAGUGCUGAUCUGAACUUGAAUUACCUGAAAAGAGUUAUAAAGAAAAUAAAAGAAAAGAAAAGAAAAACGACGAUCAAAUUGCCAAAAAUUGACGUCACUCACAAAAAACUGAUGUGGUUGUUGGGCCACAGAGAUAGGCCGCCAAAAAAGCCGCUAUCAUUUUAGUGGUCAGCACAAGAAGAGAGAGAGAAAAAAUACGACGAUUGCGCCAGAAUCUGAUGGGGUCACCAAAACUAAUAGGGUCGUCGGGACGUGUUUAUGGUGGCCGACACAAGUAAUUUACCGGCGGCGGAUAGGUAGUUCUCUUCUAUCGCCAGAAUCUUCAAGACACGAAGAGAUAGGUUAAUUUCGUCGGCAUCGUCGAUUGAAAAAUUGCAAGAUGCUAAACCCUCAGCAUAUAUGACAACUAUUAAUGUCAUCAAUUUAACUUGAGACACUCGUUCAAUAAAAUAACAUGAAAAUAUUUUAAUAAUUACAAUUCAAUGCUGGUUAAAAAUAGAAAAAUAUUGAUUUUAAUGAAUUUAUGGGUACAAAAUUUCUCAGUUAUAACUAGAUAUAAAUUUAUUUUAAUAUUUAUUAUUUUGUUUUCACCUAUAAUUUCAUGUGACAAGAGUUGUAAAAUUCAUUGUUUUCAUCUAAUACAACGAAGUAUUUCAAUCACUUCAAUCAUUUCAGACACCCUUUAAAAAUAGUCUAUUCAUUCUACUCUAAUUAUUGAUUUAUCCUUUUUCAUGUUUGCUAAGAAAAAUAAUAAAGGCAUUGUACUAUUUAUUAUUGAUUAAGUUAUCAAAUUUAAUACUCCCUCCGUUUCACAAUAAGUGAAUUAUUGGAGUAAUUUUAGUGUUUCAAAAUAAGUGAAUGAUUCACAAUUCAAGGUAGAUGUUAAAAUUUUUUUCCAAAUUUACUCUCCAUUAAAUGUGCACUGGGAGGGAUGUAUCAUGUGUCUUUGCUUUUUGAAGAGGGUAAAAAUGAAAAAACAUGAUAAAUUUAUGUCUUUGCUUAUUUUUUCUUAACAUGUGCCGAAAUUCAACAAUUAACUUAUUAUGGAACGGAGGGAGUACUAUAUCUUUUUUAAGAAGUGAACAUCAGUGACUAUAAGGGUGUAGUUGAAAAUUAUUACUAACUUUAAUUUUAUGUGAAAAUUUAUUUCUAAAUAAGUUUUUUGAGCAAAAAUAAUUAUUAAUUUAAAAUGAAGAAAAUUUUAAUUAAAGGACAACCUGUGGUAUGAAAAAAUCAGUUACAAAUACACAAGUGGAAAUGGUCUUACAAAAAGAAUAAGGACAAAAAUAAAAAUAUUUAUCAAAAGAACAUCAUCAAUCCUUGUGAGGACUACCGAAAAUUGAGAUCCUCUCUUAUAUAUAAUGGUAAAUUGUAUUCUUUUUUCAUAUUGUUAACACUGUUUGCAAUAAAGAUUACAGUGACAGAAACAAAUUGCAGUCACAAUGCAAAUAAAAUAUGAAAAAAUAAGAAUUUUAUUGAUAAAUGAUAUGGAUAUAAUUAUGUUACUCCCUUCAUUCUUCUUUCUUUAUUUUUCUCCGUAAUUCGAGGACCAUUAGUAGUGUAUUUCUCGAAUGUAGAAAGAUUUAAAUUUGAUAUAAAUUUUUAGCAUAUUUCUUGAAUGUAAAAAUAUUUGAAUUUGAUAUUAUUUUUUUUUGUAAUUCCAGGGUCGUUAGUAGCGUAUUUCUUGAAUGUAAGAAGAUUUAGAUUUGAUAUGGAUUUUCUUCGUAAUUCGAAGGUCGUUAAUAACAUAUUUCUUGAACGUAGAAAUAUUUGAUGGAUACUGUAGCAUUAAGAGCCAAUUUCUUUCCUUUUCUGGUAGUUGGUCAGUAUUUGAGUAGUAUCAUCUUCUACAAAAAUGAAUUGGAUAAAAUUACUUUAGCCCCCAAAAGAUCUAGCUAUUACAUAUAGACCCCUUUACCUUAUAAUUUUAGAAUGAUAUUUCUCUUCUUGAACAAUUUAAAUGCUCCAAAAGUUGCUCUAAUAAACAAAAAGAUAAUUCUUUCGUUUGGUUUUACUUGUCACAGUUUAACUUGACAUAUUUACUAAAAAAAUAAUUAAUAACAUAUAGUUAUUUUACCACAAUACCCUUAUUAAAUGAUGCUUAUAUUGCAUCUUAAAAUUAAUUUGGGGAAAAGACAAUUAAUGCUAAGGGUAAAAUAGGAAAAAAGUUGUCUUUUCUUGAUAUGUCAAAAAUGAUAAGUAAAAAUAGAAAUACAAUUAGGAAAUUAGUGACAUGUAAAAGCAAACGGUGGGAGUAACACUGAAUACACAUCAAAAAGAUAUACUACCUCGGUUGUAUUUUAUGUGGCAUAUUUUGAUCGGGCACAAAGUUUAAGAAGGAAUGACAAUUGUCCUUUAUUAAAAAAUAUAUUACUACUAUCUUUAAUUAAAUGAGACUAAUAAGAAUAAAAGUAAAAUUGUAUCUUUAAAUAGUUACCAAAUAAGGAAAUAUGACAUUCUUUUUGGGACGGACAAAAAGAAAAUGACGACAUAUAAAAUGGGGCAGAGGAAGUAUGUUAAUACUAAAAGGGCAGCUUGAUGUGGCGAUGGAAGUAUGUUAAUACUAAAAGGGCAGCUCGGUGUACUAAAGCUUCUUGCUAUAAGGGACUGCGGAGAAGGGCUGGACUGCAAGAAUUUUAUUGUGCUCAACAUUAUGUUGCAUUUCUGACAGAGGCUGUUUCCAUGAUUUGAACUCGUGACUUCCUAAUCACAUGACAAUAAUUUUAUCAGUUACUCUAAAACUCCCCUUUAUAUUUUUUUUUUCAAUUUGAUAAAAAUAUUAAAGAUACGUAAAAUAUAAAAGAUACACGUAUAAUUCUUUUUGCAAACCCACUUAUAUGGAGUAAUAAAAACUUAUAAGGUAUCAAAAAUGAUAUAUGCAUGGGAUUUCCCUUUUGGUUAAAGUUUUAACAGGUUAAUUUCAUGUAUAAUUGUAGACUUUUUCUCAUUAAUGACAAAAUUAUUGAACUUUACCUUUUUAAUAAAGUAGUAAUUUAAUGGCAUUAAAAAUCAUUAAUGAUUUUUUAUUAUGUGUUUAUAUAUAUUGAGUACAAUAAGUGAUACACAUAUCUUAAACUAAAUGAAUCAAUUAGAAAAAUAAUUUCUAUUCCAAUGGAGAAGUUCCUCCAUGUUUACCUUUUGAUUUCAAUUAUUUUCUCAAUUUUGCUUGUAAUUUUAUGCAAUGAACAUUCUUUUUCAUCCCUUAACACCACUUAUAUUAUGGAAUAUAUCUAUUGAUCCAAUGAAGCUUCCCGAUCCUCCGAUGCCAUCCUAUACACUCACCAUUUACAAUCUCUAUUUAUUUGAAAAGUCAAAAUUCAAGGACUAUGACUCUUUACUUGGAAAUGGGUUCGCCGGUUGUCAAGUAGAGAAAAUCAUUUGGCAUCGGUUCAUGAAAAUGGUGACGCGAUUAGUGCGAAUGGAAAUCUGGUAAGGCCACACGACGAGCAUGAGAGUAAAGUGGCCAACAAAAAGGUUCCGGUAACAACAAGUACACAUUUCAUAUGUCAGUAUGUUGCAUCUUUUACUUUUGUUUUUUGGUUUCCCAUACAGCAUUUGGUGCCCGCAUUGAAGCCCCGACUAAUCCAGAUCACACAUUGUAGGACCCAUUAAGGUGGCAGCACUCCCAAUAGAAUUUUCUCCAUAACCACAGUCAAACCCUAGACCUCUGCUUAAGGGUGGAGCAAACUCAUCCACUGCACCACAACCUAUAUUGGUGCAUCUUUUACUCAUUGGACAAGUUAAAAGUUACUUGCUAAUAGACAAUGGUAGUGAUUUAGUUUAGUGGAAAUGAGGACCAUGUAAUGCAAAUGGAUAUUACAAAUAGAUAAAUAAUCCUUUAUAUGUUUCAACUAAUUCAAAACAUAUCGAAAGCUAGAUUGCCUUGUAGAAAGUAGAAACUGUGAAAUCACAAAUAAGGAAUAUGAUUGUAGUCCGUAUGGCAAUACGUGUAUGUAUGAUUACAAAUACGUCGAUGGAUCAAGAACAAGAGGCUGGAUUGCACACGACAUGAUUACUUUUGUUUUAGACCAAAAGCAGGUAAGCAUUGUUUUUAGAUGUGGCAAAGAUCAAACUCAUGGAAAGACUUUUAGUGGUCAAUUUUCUGGAAUUGCUGGCCCCGGACGUAAUGGGUGGUGGAAAUUCUUUAGCAUCGCAUUUUGAAGCAGAAAUAAUGUCCAUGUGCCUACUGGGAGCUCACCCCACAAAAGGAUCAACACUUACCUUCCACACAAUGCCAUUUAAGAAAACCACAUCAACAAUGCUAGUGCAAGAUUUCAAAUCCCCUUCCGUUUACUUCCUCAACCUUUAUAAAGUUUUUAUUAACGAUAGGGAAGUCCCGAUGUUCCCAUCAUUGUCUAGGAAUUUCAGAAAUUAUGCCAUGAGCGGUAGAUGCAUCGUGGACACAGGAACAUUUAUUGCCCGUUUUCCUCAUGAUUUUUAUAUUGUAUUUCGUUACACAUUUAGAUAACAAGUACGUAGUAUUCCUAUGGUUAAUGUUCCACCUGGAUCAGUUUAUGACACUUGCAAUAAGGUGGAUACGACUGGUCCGGAUCCACAUUUCCCCGUUGUGACCAACCAAAUGGCCCCUCCGACCCCAACAACCUACACUCCCCUAUGCCUCAGCCUACCUGGGAGCACUUUGUGCAUUUUUUUCCCAAAACAUACUCGAUCACUAGGCCCACCCCAGAACCGUGAGCUAUACCACACUGAUUUAGCCCAAGAAUGGCCUAUUUGCAUCGUUUCACCUGUUUGACCACCCAAAUAGCCGAGCCGAUCCCAACGACCCACACUAUCCCACUUUUAAGCCUGCCUUAGUGCCUCUGGUCGAUUUUCAAACCAAAGCACGCUUGAGCCCCGAGCCAACCACUAAAACCGUGAGUUAUAGCACAUUUUUUUGUCCCCAAAAAUAGCAUGUUUUUGAUGUUUUGCCUGUUUGACCACCCAAAUGGCUCCGCCGACCCAAAUAACCCACUUUCCCAUUCAUCAGUCUACUUGGAAGCCUUGAUCGAUUUUCGACCCAAAAUACGCCUGAACCUUGGGCCCACCUAGAACUGUGAGCUAUAGCACAUCGAUUAUGCCUGAAAAUGACCCAUUCGCGUUGAUAUUCCUGUUUGACCACCCAAACAGCCCCGUUAACCCCUAUGACCCAUACAUCCCCGCUCUUCAGCCUACCUGAGAGCCCCCAGUUGAUUUUUGACCCAAAAUAUGCGCAGGACCACCUCAAAAUCGUGAGCUAUAGCUCACUAAUUUGGCCCCAAAAUGGCUUGUUUGAGCUGUUUUGCUCUAUUGACCAACCAAACAAUCCCGCCAACCUCAACGACCCAUAAUUCCCCUCUCCUCGGCCUUCUUGGGAGCCCUCAAUCGAUUUUUGACCCAAAAGACAUUUGGGCUCAAGGACAACCCCCGGAAUUGUGAGCUAUAACACACCGAUUUAGCCCGAAAAUGGCCCGUUCGCAUCAUUUUGCCUGUUUAAUAACCCAAAAGCUCCGCCGACCCCAACGGCCCACACUCCCCACUUUUCAGCCAACCUGGGAGCCGCGAUUAAUUUUCAGUCAAAAACACGCAUGGGCCUUGGGCACACCCUCUGAAUCUUGAGGUAUAGCACCCUAAUUUUGCCAAAAAAUAGCCUAUUCACACUAUUUAAUCCGUUGAUCGCACAAAUGGCCCAUCGCCACCCAACGGCCCACAAUCUUCAACUUAUUAGCCUGCCUAGGAUCCUCUGGUUUAUUUUCAUCCUACAACACGCCUACGUCCUGGACCCACACUCGGAAUCGAGAGCUAUAACACACCGAUUUAGCCUAAAAAUGGUCCGUUCAUACCAUUUCUCCUGUUUGACCACCCAAACAGCCCCACUGACCCAACGACCUAUACUCUCCCUCUCUUCGGCCUGCUUGGGAGCCUCCGGUCGAAAUACACCUGAGCCUCGGGCCAACCCUCGGAACCAUGAGUUAUAGAACAAUGAUUUGGCCUGAAAAUAGCACAUUCACGCCUUAUCACCCGUUUGACCACCCAAUUGGCCUCGGGAAAUUUUUGGACAAAACAUGGUUGGGACUUGGGUGGAAACCUCGGAACCGUGAGAUAUAUCAGAUCGAUUUGGCCAAAAAAUGGCCCGUUCAUGUCGUUAUACCUGUUUGACCACCUAAAUAGCCCCACCGACCCCAACAGCCCAUAUUUUUUCACUUGUCAGCCAGCCUAGGAGCCUCUAAUUGAUUUUUAGCCCAAACAAUGGCCCUUUGGCGCAGUUUAGCAUGUUUGAUCACCCAAACGACACCGUCAACCCAAACAACCCUUACUCCCUCAUUCUUCAAUCCUUUUUGGGUGUCCCUGAUUGAUAUUUAGCCCAAAAAAUACAAGCAAACCCCGGACCAAUCUCGAAACCGCGAGGUAUAGCAUACUAAUUUAGCCCAAAAAUAGCCCGUUUAUGCCGAUUCACCCUUUUGACCCCCCAAACGGCCCCGUCAACCCCAACUACCCUCACUUCCCUGCUCCUCAGCCUUCCCGAGAGCCCCCGAUCAAUUUUCGAUCCAAACCACGCCCGGUCCCUUCACUCACCUACGAAAUCGUGGGCUAUAUUACACCGAUUUUUCUUAAAAAUUGUCCGUUCGCGCCCUUUUUCCUGUUUGACCAACCAAAUAGCCCUACCGACCACCACCGACCCCAACGACCUACACACCUCUAUUCCACAGCAUGCCUAGGAGCCUCUGGUAAAUUUUCAUCCUAAAACAUGCCUGGGCGCUGGGGUCACCUCCGAAACUGUGAGCUAUAGCACACCAAUUUGGACAGAAAAUGGUUCAUUCAUGUCGUAUCACUCGUUUUACCACUCAAAUGGCCUCAUCGACCCUAACGACCCAUACUAUCCCACUCUUCAGACUGCCUAGGACCCCUGAUUAAUUUUUUACCAAAAACAUGCCCGAUCCCUAGGCCCACUCUCAAAACUAUGAUCUAUAACAUAUCGAUUUGGCCUAAAAAUGCAUCAUUCGCGCCAUUCAGCCCGUUUGACAACUCAAACAGCCUCGUUGAACCCAAUGACCCAUAUUCUCCCACUUCUCUUCCUGCCUGGGAGCCGCCGAACAAUUUUUGAUCUAAAACAAGCUUGAACCCCAAGUCCACCUUCAAAAUCGUGAGCUAUAGCUUACCGAUUUAGCCAUAAAAUUACCUAUUCAUGCUAUUUCGCCUCUUUGACCACCAAACAACCCAAUUGACCCCAAAAGACCACACUCUCUCUCUUCUCAGCCUGUCAGGGAACCCUCGCUUGAUUUUUGAUCCAAAACACGUCUAGGCCUUAGGCCCACCCAAGAAUCAUGAGCUAUAACACAUUGAUUUGGCUUGAAAAUGGUCUGUUCGCUUCAUUUAGCCCGUUUGACCACCCAAAUGGCCCCGCCGACCCCAAUGACCCACUCUCCCUCGCUUAUCAACCUGCUUGGGAUCCCUUGAUUUAUUUUUAGUCCAAAACAUUUUCGAGUCCUGAGCCCACCCCCAAAAUCGUGAGCUAUAACACACCGAUUUGGCCCAAAAAUGGUCUAUUUGUGUUGUUUCAUCUCGUUUGACCACACAAACAGCCCAGCCGACCCAAAAGUUCCACACUCCAUCGCUCUUCAGCUUGCCUGGGAGCCCCUAGUCCAUUUUUGGCCCCAAAUAUGCUCGGACCCUAGGCCUACCUCCAAAACCGUGAGUUAUAGCACAACGAUGAACUAGGAUUUCGUUAUGUGUUCGGUCCUGCUCAUAUUUCUUCGGUCUACCUUUACCCCGCCUAAAACUAUCCAUAACCAGUAUUUCACACCUCCGCACUGAAGAAUCAUAGCCACUCUUCAUCACGUGGCCAAACCAACGUAACCUCAUAUUUCGCAUCUUGUCCUCCACCGAAGUAACUGUCACCUUCUCUCGAAUAAUUUCAUUCCUCACCUUAUCUUUCCUGGUAUGUCCACACAUCCAUCGCAAUAUUCUUAUCUCCUCCACCUUCAAUUUUUAGAUGUGGGAGUUCUUAACUGGCCAACACACCGCUACGUACAUCAUAGCCGGCCGGACUACCACUUUGUAGAACUUACCUUUUAAGUUUUGAGGGCACCUUCUAAUCACAUAGAUCUCCCGAAGACAGCCUUCAUUUCAACCACCCUGCCCCAAUAUAAUGCGUUACAUCCUCGUUAGUCUCAUCAUUACCCUAAAUCAUACACUUUAGAUACUUGAAACUCUCCCUCUUAUGAAUGGCCUAAGAGUCCAUCUUCACAACCACUCCAGCCUCCUGCGACACAUCACUGAACUUAUACUUCAAGUACUCUGUCUUGGUUCUACUUAAUCGAAAUCUUUUCGACUCAAGCGUCUGUCUACAAAUAUCCAACUUAUCAUUAACUUCACUCCGAGUCUCGUCAUCAUCUACAAAUAACAUACACCAAGGAACCUUUUUCUUGAAUAUGUCACAUCAAAACAUCCAUAACCAAGGCAAACAAAAAUGGGCUAAGAGUCUAUCCCGGGUGCAACCCUAUCAAAACAGGAAAGUUCCUUGAGUCUCCACCUACCGUCCUCACACGAGUCUAAUCCCCAUCAUCCAUAUCCUGAAUUGACCUAGUGUACGCCACGGGCCUCCCCCUAGCCUCUAAGAACCUCUACAGAAUCUCCCUGAAAACUCUGUCGUAUUCAUUCUCAAGAUCAAUAAACACCAUGUGCAAGUCUUUCUUCCUCUCCCAAAACUGCUCCACUAAUCUCCUCACAAGGUGAAUGGCCUCAGUGGUCAAGCGCCUUGGCAUGUAACCGAACUGAUUCUCAGAGAUCGUCACGAUCCUUAUCAUCCUCAACUUUACCACCCUUUCCCAAACCUUCAUAGUAUGACUCAACAACUUAAUACCUCUAUAGUUGUUGCAACUCUGGAGGUCUCUCUUGUUCUUAUACACUGAAAUCAUAGUACUCCACCUCCACACUUCAGGCAUCUUCAUCGCCCUAAAAAUACUAUUAAACAACCUUGUCAGCCACACUAAACCUACCCCGCUAAUGAUCUUCCAAAAAUCCACUAGAAUCACAUUUGUCCCCGUUGCCUUACCCCGCUGCAUCCUGCGAAUAGCUCCCUUGACCUCCCCAACCUUGGUAUACCUACAAUAACCAUAAUUGCGACACUUCUAAGAUUUCUUCAAUUGCAUUUCAAACACUAAAAGUACUUACUUGUAUCAAUUAUGGAACUUCUAGUUUCAAAUCUUAAUUUUCAUUUAGUCUCAAUUCAAAAAUUAAGUGCAUAAAAUUUAUUAGUUUAUUUUAAAUUUUCAGAUAUUGUUCUAUUGCUCAUUAAUAUUACAAUGAUCAAUUUUAUGAUUAAUAUCUUUAAUUAUUUUAUUUAUACAACUUGUUGUAUCUACAAGUUAAUUUAAUUAAGAUCUCUCAAAUCACUCUCAAAAUCACCACCCCACCAAAUACUACACCCACCUCCUAGCCUUAUCGUUCAGCCACAACCCCGCCUCCCUAAUUUUUAUUAUAUUUUAAUUUAUCAGAUUUUUUGUAAAAUAUUUUUCUCACAUCAGUAAUCUCUUAUCCCCAAUCCACCCUCCACCAACAAAAAAUAUUUUAUUUUUCUUUAAGAUAAAAUUUUAUAUUGCACCCCCCCUACUCCUUCAUACCCAUUCGACACCCUACUUAAUACACACACAAAAAUAAUUAUUUUUGAUUUUUUUCUAAAAGAAAAAAAUUCCACCCUUCUGUCCUGACUCCCAAUAAAUAUAACUUUUUUUAUCUUUUAAGAAUCAUUUUUUCUACUCCACAACUCUAACCCCUACCUACACCACCACCCUACCUACCCCACCUACCUAGCUCACCCCUACCCCAUCUCAACCACCAUAAUCUCUUGUUCUUCCCCUCAUCCAUCACUUUGCCUCAAUGCAAUUUAUAAUUUUGUGUUAAAUAUACACAAGUGCUAUUAGAAAAUAUCUUUUAUUUACUGAUAAAAAAUCAAUCAAUUUAUUUUAGCAUACAUGCUAUUACUAAUGUCAAAUAAUCACAUCAAAUAAAAUUAUCUAUUUUUUAAGCUCAAAAUGAACUAAUAGCUACUAAUUAAUAUUUUUAUUAUCCUAAAUUUUUUGUAAAAAUAUUUACCAAAUUAAGUUCAAGCAUUUUAUAUCCCUCCAACAAAUUAUGCUUUUUGUUAUCUAUUGAAAAUAAUUUGAGACGUAGUGGAUUAAUUCAUCAUCAAAAUGAAAUAAAAUAUAUAAGCAUACACCAUUAUAUAUGACGAUGAAAGCAUAUACAAAGAUUAUGAUUAAACAUUCAGCAUUAUAUUUUCAAAGAAAUCUUUCUGAGAAAAUUAACUUUAACAAAUAGGAAAGCAAUAGAAAAAGAUGAUGACAGAGAUAUAUGAUUAUGAUGAUAAAAAAGAGUAGUAAAAAAUAUGAAAGCAAUAGAAAGAGAUGAUGGACUCUGAUACCAUGAUAAUUAAAUGAACCUUGAACCUAACUCAACGUCAAAAGCUAGCACAUGAGGUGAGGAUUGUCCAAGAUCAUAUAAGGAGACUAAGGACUCAUUAAUCCACCGAUGUGGGACUUUCCCCUCCCUCUCCUUGCACGCCAAGACUGGACAUCUGAACCAUAGGGAAUAUAAGAUGGGGAACUCAAUAUUGAAAAUAAUGAAUUGGGUAGGCCUGACUCUAAUACCAUGUUGAAGUGUGUGACCAUCUCAUCUAAAAGUUUAACUAUUAGAAAGAGUACACUUUUACUAUUUAAUUAUAUAUUCUCAACAGUUACUUAAUAUGCUAUUUUGGCAUUGAAAAAAUGAACUUUACAUGGCAUUACAAACUGAAGAAAGAUACAAAAUUUUUGUUUCAAAUAGUUCAAGAAAGAAUCUUUUUUCCUUUUGAAACAAAGAAAUAGAGUCACAUUUGUUGGCUUGUUUUGUCCCCACAGUUGAACUAAGAGCACUUUGAGUGGAUGUAUUUUCUAUUAUUAAGGAUGUUCAAUUUUGAAAAAGUACUACUCCUUUCGUUUAAAAACGAAUGGUAGACCAAACAACAUAAUAAUUUUAUACAUUAUAUUAACUCCUAAGUAGCUACCAAACCUGAAAUUACUUAUGUCGGAUUCCUACAUAACUCGUUGCUAAGUCAUCUACCAAAUGACCCCUUAAUACCUUCUUUCUUUGUUCAUUGAGAAGACAAAGACCAAUGCAAGCAUAAUUCAAUUUAUCUGUAUAAUAUGUUCAAAACCAAGGUGCAGAAUAAAUACUUUACAUAAAUACAAAACUUCCUAAAUGAGUUUACCCAAUUGAUAUAAACGAUUUGAUUUACUCAGCUCCUGAUUCAUCAAUUGAUGACUACCGUAUUUUUUCAUGAGAUCUGCCAGGUAGUUUUUUUUUAUAACAAGAUUUUUAAUAACCAAAAAAAAAUGUACCACUACUACCUCUGCAGCAACAAAAUCUUCUGAAGCAUCUAAUGAAAGUUGAGAGACUCGCUUCUCGUCUAUAGCUUUUGGUUAAUCAAUUGCUGAAAUUGAUGAAAAUUAUUCACCAUCAUUUCAACAUAUUUUGUCAUUUUUCUCAUUUUCAGUUCUCUUUAUAAAAGUCAUUAUUGGAUCUUUCCCUAGUAAGUGGUUGAUCUAAUAAUGGAGCAACUUUUUCAGGUGCAGCUUGCGGUGGAAGCUCACCAGUGUCGGCAUUUGCAGGCAACUUAGAAGAUCUAGUUAAGGAUGGACCAACUUCCUUCAAAAUAAACAAGCUUCAAAAUGGAUCAUUUUGACUGAUCCUUUUUCCCUAUCUAUGUGCAAUGAAUAUGUUGAUAAUAGUAGGCAUCAUAAUCCACGUCCAACUGUUAGGUUAGAUAGUAACUCAAGAAUCGUUUAUCAAUUCCCCUUUCUUAAGAACCCCAAAAAAUAUAUAACACUAGAACAGAAAAAAGUAAACUUAGACACAACAAAUGCUGAUUGUAUGAGAGGUUAUACAAAGUGAGGUUUGUAUAUAUAGUCAAAUAUAGGACCAAAAUUGGGAAAAAAAUUGACUGACAUUAAUAAAUACUUCAAAUUGUAAUCUCCACUUGGAUUCACUCACAUUUAUUGUGUUUUUCUCAAAUUUUGGGUUUAAAAUCCUUCAGUUUUUUCAAUGUGUUUGUGCUUUUCUCAGGUAUUGUUACUUGAACAAUUAUGUUAUUUUGGCCUUGAACUAAUGAACUCUAUGUGGAAUAAUAAACUGAAGAAUGACACAAAACUUUUGUUUCAAAAAGUUCAAGAAAGAAUAUUUUGUAUUUUUGAAACAAAGAAAUAGAGCCACAUUUCUUGGACUGAUUUGUCCACUCAUGGUGCUCUUAGUUCAACUGCAGGGACAAAACAGUUCAACAAAUAUAGCUCUAUUUCUUUGUUUCAAAAAGUCAAAAGAUUCUUCCUUGAACUAUUUGAAACAAAACAUUUGUGUCUUUCUUUAGUUUGUUAUGCCACGUAGAGUUCAUUAGUUCAAUGCAUAAACAGCAUAACUGUUCAAGUAACAUUACUUGAGAAAAGGACAAACACCCUAAAAAACAUAAAAAUUUUAAACCGAACAUUUAAGAAAAACGUAAUAAAUGUGAGUGAAUACAAGUGGAGAUUACAAUUUGGAGUGUUUAUUCAUGUCAGUCAAUUUUGGUCAUAAAUUUGAGUAUAUGAACAAACCCCACUUUGUAUAACCUCUCAUACAAUCAACAUUUAUUGUGUUUGAGUUUACCUUUUUCUACUCGAGUGUUAUUUAUUUAUGGGGGUUCUUGAGAAAGGGGAAUUGAUAAGAGAUUCUUGAGUUACUACCUAACCUAGCUGGUGGACCUAGAUUGUUAUAUCUAUUAUUAUCAAUAUGUUACAUGCAUAUAGCUAGGGAAGAAUGAUCUUUCAAAAUGAUCCAUCUUGAAUCUUGUUUAUUUCGAAGGAAAUUGGUCCACCCUUACCUGGAUCUUCCAACCUGCCUGCAAAUGCCGACUCUGGUGAGCUUCCACUGCAUGUUGCACCUGAAAAAAUUGCUCUAUUCUUAGAUCAAAUUAUUAGGGGAGGAUCCAAUAAUGACUUCUAUAAAGAGAUGUGAAAAUGAGAAAGAUGACAAAAUAGGUCAAAAUGAUGGUGUAGAAUUUUCAUCAAUUUCAGCAAGAGAUUCACCAAGAGCUAUAGCCGAGAAGAGAGUCUCUCAACUUUCAUUGGUUGCUUCAGAAGACUUUGCUGUUAUGGAGGCAUUAGUGGAACAUCUUAUUAUUUUUUAGUUAUCAAAAAAACCCUACCUUCCAGAUCCCAUUAUAAAAGACGAGAUAUAUGAUAUUGGACUCCCAUCUCAAUCAGUAGGAAAGGGCCCAAAAUCUCUCACCUUUUCUUUGCUGAUGAUCUAACUCUUUAUGCUGUUGCUAAUGAAAGAAACUGUGAAACCAUCCGAGCCACUCUUAGCAUAUUUACCUUCCACUCUAGCCAAAAAAUUAACAUUCUCAAAUCAAAAGUAAUCUUCUCCAGAAACUGUGCUCAGGAGACCAAAGAUAGUUUGUCUCACAUCUUAGGCAUCCAAUCCAAAGAAAAGUUCGGCAAAUAUCUUGGUUUUCCCGUCUUCAACAAAAAACCUUGCAAUAGAGAUUUGUAAUUCAUCCUAGACAAUCUCAACACUAAGUUGGCUGGAUGGAAAACCAAAUUCCCCAAUAUGGCUGGUAGAAUCACCCUUACCAAAACCUCUCUGGCUUGUAUUCCCGCUCAUGUGAUGUAAUUCAUCAUGAUCCCCUUUAAAAUCAACUAAUUUAUUGAUAGAACCCAACAGACCUUUCUCUGGGGCACCACCCCUGUUAAUUAGAAAAUACAUCUAAUUAAUUGGGAAACCUUGACUAAUGCUAAAGCUAAUGGGGGCCUGGGCCUCUAGAAAGCUUCCAUUAAGAACACCACUAUGUUAUCCAGUCUAGCCUGGAGAUUUUACAAGCAUCCCAACAGUCUCUGGGAAAAAAUUCUUUAAAAUAAAUUAGUCCCCAUGCCAUAUCCCUCAAAGCCAACAACUUUAGAACUUGGAAAAGUGUCCUUAUGGGUUGGGAAAUUUGUUAAACUGCCUCCUCUUGGAAUAUUCAUAAAGAUGACAAGAUCAACAUCUGGAAGGAUAGAUGGAUGCCUCACUGUGAACUCCUUCUUUCCAUCAUCCAAGACCUUCUUCCAUAUCAUUCCCAAGAAAUUAAACUCACUGGGGUCUAAAGGAAUGACACCUGGAACUUCAAGGAUCUUACUGUUGAAAUACAUGAGGAUCUCAUCCAAACUUUUACCAACAUUGUUUUCCCCAAUCCCAGAGGCCAUACUAAUGAGAUCAUUUGGAAUCUCACUGGUAAUUGUCUGUUCUCCAGCAGAAGUUCUUAUAAUCAUAUAGCCAAAACCUCUGAGAUCAAUUACUCCUCUAAUUUUAACUAGAUAUGGAAGGCUAAAUCCCUUAAAAAGGAAAACCUUUCUUUUGCUAAGCCAGUAUGAUAGGUACCCCAAUAACCUUAACCACUCUAAGAGAAGAGUGAGACAAAAUAGUAGUUGUGCUAUCUGCAAUCAUCACCAGGAAGACAAAUCCCACAUUUUCUUCAAGUGUCGCAUCCUCAAAGAUUUUGGAGUGCAAACUAUCCACAAGAUGACCCAGUCCAAACAACCUCCUAUUACCAGUCUCCUACCCUCUUACUGGCAUACUAUCUGGAGAUCUCUUCAACACUCCCAAUUCAAUAGACUAAUCCACUAGCACGACAUUAUUCCUUUCAGCCUCUAGACAAUCUGGAACACCAGGAACUCUAAUGCCUUUAAUAACAAAAGGGACCAUCCCAAUUUUAACUAUGCUUACUCCCAAACUAUUGAGUAUAAACAUCUUACUCAAAAUAAUACCCCAAUCAAGCAAGACCAAAUCAUCAACGUUAAGUGGAAUCCUCCCACCAGCCACACCUUCAAGCUCGAUACUGGUAAUUCUUGCCUUAGAAACCUCGGGAAGGGUGGAAUAGGAGCGGCAGUCAGAUCCAGUAACGGAGGCUAAGUGUUAGGUUUUAACAAAAAAUUUCACCGGACUACCAACAACAUGAAGGAACAUAUGGCUCUCAUUAAAGGAUUAAAACUGGUAGAGCAAAAUAAUCUUCUCCCCAUUGAAAUUAACAUUGAUUCCUUCGAAGUUAUAUCUAUGUUAACUAACGGGAACCUCCACUAUGAUACUUUUACUUUGGAAUGCAUGUCAAAAUUAAAAAGGCUAAGGUGUCCGGAAGUCAAGCACUAUUAUAGAGAACAAAAUGGAGUGGCGGAUGCUCUAGCAAAAGACAGAGCAAGGGCAAGCGGGUUUCAGGAGACUACCCUUUUUGAAGUUCCACAUAUGUGCAAAAGAUACAGUACAUCUCGGAAACUUUUUGAGAGAACAAUUAGCUCUUGUACUAAUGAUUUUAACUGGCAAGGCCAGAACUAUUCCUUUUUGAACCCUGACUAAUCGUCCAAAAUUGAAACUUAAACUGCGUUCUCUUCUAUAUUAAUGCAUGUCCUUUCUACCAAAAAAAAUAUAUUAUUUCGCAUAUUGAAUCAUCGAAAAGAAGAGAUAUUUAUAUCAAUUUAGAUUGAUGGACCUUGAACAUUCGCAAAGAAAGAUAAGUUGAAAAUGUUAUAUCAUUCCUGCAUAUCAAAAGAAUAUUAUCAAAUCAAUAAUAAUUUUUUAAAUAAAAAAUUAAAAAAUACAGUAAAUAAAUUCAAGAAUAAAGCUAAUGAUAGAGAAGUAUAUACAAGAAAGGCUAAGUGAUAGAAUUUCAUUUAUAUUCAGAUUUCAUUUAUAUGCAAAUUUAAAUAUCACAUAUGUUUAUUAAAAUACGAUUAACUUAUUAUUCUUCCUUAGCCUUAUCCUUACAUUUUUCAAAUACAAUAUAUAUUUAAAAUUAAUAUAGAUUUGAGUUGAGAUAAAUAUUGAAAUCAAUGAGACAAUACUAAUACUAAUACUAAUACUAAUACUAAUACCAAUAACAAUAAUAACAUUUUAACCAUUUUUACUUUACCACUAUUAGAUUGCACUACUAUUACUAUUAUUAUUUGUUCAUUGUUAUUUGAGAUAAAUAUUAAGAUAAAUCGUGUAGCAAAAAAAAAAUUGUGUGCCAUGAUUACUAAUUAAGUACAUCUAAAUUAUAAGUUUAUCUUUGAAAGUAUGUUUUAUCUCCAAUUUAACUUCAAAAAAAUUUGAUAGAAUAAUCAAUAUCUUAGAUGAGCGGUUAAAAUCGUUAAUAUAGGUCAGACUCGUUGGGAUGGCCCGGCCCAGCCUGUAAUUUGAUAGGGAUGGGCUACAAUUUUUAUAGCCCAUUUAAGAAUAGGGCUUGUUAUCCCUUCAUGAAUAAGUCUAUUGACCCGUCGGCUUGAGCAAUAUGGGUUUGGGUGACUCGUGGGUCAAAUAAAAAUAAUUAAAAAAUAAAAUAUAGUACUAAAAUUUAAAAAAGGAGUCCAAUAUCAAAGUCUAUAUGAACCAUCAUAUAUAUAUAUUUAACUAUUAAUUAGAUUUAUAAAAUAUAUAAAUAAUUAGCAUAUAAAAUAUAAUUUUUUAAGAAAUCAAAUAUGUUUGAUGAAGAUGAUGUGGCGAUGUUGAAUACAACAUAAAUGCCAUGAGAGUUUUCUUUAAAGCGUUUAAUUUACUUUUAAUGGACUAAACAUUGACAUUUCAUUGUGUCUUAUUGUGAUCAAUUAAAACAAAAUUAGGUUAAUAUUGUUAUUUAGCAAGUUGAAUUAUUACUCAUUAAUUAUUUUAUUUAUUUUUCAAUAUCUCUAUUUGAUUUUAAUUUGGUAUCAAAAGUUAUUCAAUUUCACAGAUUAUUAGAAUCUUUUUGUAAAUUUGAGACUUGAUUAAUGAGUAGUAACUUCAAGAAAUAUUAUAUUGUAAAUAUUUAUGCAAUUAAUAUUUUAAAAUUUAAAUUAAGAUUAUAAAAAUAAUAUAUUUUAAAAAAUGGGCUGGCCCGUGGAAGCCCACAACCCAUAGUGUGAUGGGUUGGGCUUGCUAUUUUCUAGUCUUUCAUGUUGAUGGGUCGGCCUGGCCGGGCCAGUCAAACUCUAAAGCCCGUAUGAGCUAGCCUGCAUGAGCUGGUCCGAUCCAUAUUAACAACUCUAGGAGCAGUUAUAUAAUGAUAAGAAUCUAAUUAGAACUGUUUAGUAUUAUAACUAUCUACUUCUAAUAUGGAAUUUUAUAUUUUUUUAAUAUUAUUUUAAAUUUAAAGUCAACAAUUUAUUGUAACGCCCCAAGAUCCCAUCCCGAGACGUCACACGGUGCUUAAGGCCACACGCGGCCUCAAGCUAACCCUCUAAACCUGUCAUCACUUCUAGAACUCACUUUGACAAUAGUCAUGCUAAUAUAAGAGAGAAUGACAUAUCAUAAACAUACUGGAAUAAGAUACAAAACUAGCAUGUACAAUCUAAAAUACUGAAAUGUUGUACAUACCUACCCUUUAGCCUAACAAAGCCUCUAUACAUCAACAUUAAGGACACAUUGGGACAAACCCCUAAUUGACUCAAAUAGUACCGAAACCUAUAACAACAAAACGAUAUCAAAAAAUUAUAAACACGAUCCUCAAACCAUGAGGACUCACCACUGAGCAGAUGAAAAGAGGCACCCGAAUAUCGCUAAUGCGGCAGAGUACCUGAACCUACAUUACGAGAAAAUGUAGCCCUUAGAAAAAUAUAUGGUACAACCCUUUGGAAUAUACUGAGUAUGUGGGGGUGCAUGAAACAAUGUAAAUAUCGUUAUCAAUUUCAUGAAAAUAUGCAUAUGUACAAUGAUGGCUCACUUGGCUUGAGUUAUAUUGAAACAUACUUUCCAUGAUCUCAUCGUAAAUAAAUCAUAUGAUAAAAACCUCAUAAAUCAUUAUAAACAACUCAACUCUUCAACUCAAGACUCGGAGUGACUCUGUAAUUCAAGAAACUCGACUCUUAUGGACAUGGGAGGUUCUUAUAACUCACAUAAACCGUGUGAGCUACAUAAAGAUCAACGUUUUGCUCUACUAAGGAGAAAACCCUACAUUGGCGGGAGCGUCGUACUCUUGCCAGGGAGUACAACCUAAAUUUAGUGAUUGCAAUCUCAUACUCGGCCUUCGGCCCACAAUUAUAAAUAUCAAUCCUACGGUGGCACAUAGUUUCGGGGGAAAUACCAUAUUUUCCGCUCACUGCUAAAUACUACUCUCAGUCAUAAGCUCAGAACGCGUUAGGAAAUCCACCACAAAUAUCACAAGGGUCUAUAUGAAGACCAAAUCAAAUCUCUUUCUUAUUUAUCAAAUCAUAAUCAAUUUGUAGAUUCCUAACUCGACUCAAAUCAAAUCAAUCUUUCUCAAUAUUAAAAUGCAUCAAUUCAUUAAAUCAUAAAAACAUCAAUAACUUUGAGGAAAUAUCAAGACUCAUUGUAACAACUCAAUUCUCAUGAAUCAAUAUACUCAAUAAUCCAAUUUUUCAUAAGAAAGCUUAAAGCUUGACAAAUAUCUUGAAAGAACUUGAAAUACCAACUCAUGGUAGAAACUUGAAAUUCACAAUAUUAAAUAUAAAGUCACAACUUGGAAAUUAUAAAAUAAUCAUGUAUAACAAAGCUUGAACGAUUUUUAUUCUCAUAAUCUCUUGAUGAAGUAUUUUGGGUAUAAACCCACUUGCAAAAUCAUAUAAAUCCAUAGUAAAAAUCAAAGGUUUGAGCACAAGAACGAACGAAUUGAUCUUGUUCAAAACCCCACAUACCUUAAUCUUUUACAUUGGUUGAACUCUAGUGCUUGAGACUUUACUCACACUUGUAAUAAAAAAAUUCUUGAUGCCCACUCUAUGAGGAACUUGAUUCUUAAAGGAAUCUUGAAGAUUUAUGGAUGAUUUAUGGAAGAUUAAUUUCCUUAAAUAAAACCCUAGAUAUAUUUAUUAAGAGAAUUGGAAGAGAAAAUGAAGAAACUAGGUUUUGGAUGAGGAUUCUCAUAUAUAUAUAGAGGCCUCAAAAAAUGGGAAAUGACUAAAAUACCCUUGCAAAAAUCGUCCAUCAAUUGCUGUAAAAAAUAGGUGAUAACAUCCGUGACAACCUGUCAGGCCCGUGAUAGGCCGUCAUGAAUUGUCGUCACCAAAAGGGUGGAUUUUGUGGCUUUCGUCCUUAAGGUGACGACAUUUGGUGAUGGGCCAUCAGGUUUGUGACAAGUCAUCAAAAAAGGUCGUCACGGAUUUUCUAGGCUGACACGCUUGGGUAAAAUAAGAAUAACUCUUUAUUCCGAUAUCGGAUUUUGACGAAAUGGGUAUCGCUGGAAAGCUAAUUCAAUUAUAUAUCUUUUGGUAGGUCAUGAACUCAAUAAUUCAUAGUUAAACGGGAGAUAUGUUCAUUUAAAGUUGACUAUGCCAAAAUCCUUCUCAAGAAUUCAAUUGGUAAAGAAUGUUUUGAUUCGCCCAAUCGUUAGGACAUCUGUAAAGCCUUAAUACACAUCACCCUUGACCAGUAAACAACCAACACACUAUAAUUUAUUUCUCAUGGGCUUGAGUCAUGGUGGCACUAUUGGUUAGAAUCUCGGGGUAUUACAAUACCUCCCUUGGAAACAUUCGUCAUCGAAUGUUGCCAGAUAGGCCUAGAAGAAGAGCAAAAUGAGGACGUAUAGCUGGAACGACUCACUCAAAAGACUUACUUCACUCUAUACCUUUGAAUACUAUAGAAAAUGCAUGAAUUCUUGAUGAAAGUAGACACACUGCUGAAUCUUUAAUAACAAGGGGCGGAAUUAUGAAAAAAUGAUACCUUCUGCUCGCUCUGAACUCACAGAAAAGAGGUGAGGGUACUUGGCUCGCAUAUCAGCUUUGUCUACCCAAGUAUCACUCUCAAAAGAUUGAUUUCACCAAAGCACUUUAAUCAAAAGAACUUCUUUGUUCCUUAGCCUACGGAUCUGAACAUCCAAAAUCUCAACCGAAAUCUCCUCGAAUGAAAGGCUAUCGUGAAUAUCUAAGAUUUUGGAAGAAUCAACAAUGACAGAAUCACCAAUACACUUCUUAAGGAUAGAAACAUGAAAUAGUGGAUGAACUCUAGACAACUCUGCGGGUAAAUCCACCUCAUAAGCUACUUUCCCAACAUGGCUCAGAACCCUGUAUGGACCAACAUAACGGGGACUAAGAUUUCCCUUCUUCCCAAAUCUCUUUACCUUUUUCAUGGGUCAAACCUUCAAGUAUACCAAAUCAUUAACAUUAAACUUAAGAUCUUUUCUUCUCACAUCCGCAUAUGAUUUCUGACGACUUUGAGCAGUUUUCAAUCUUUCUCGAAUCAACUUAACUUUUUCCAUAGCUUCGAACAUAGCAUCUCGCCCAAUCACAGCUGCUUCUCCUACUUCAAACGAAUCUAUGGGCGAUCUACAUCUUAUCCCAUACAAAGCUUCGAACGGGGCCAUCUGAAUACUAGCAUGGAAACUAUUAUUAUAUACAAAUUCGAUGAAUGGCAAGUGUUCAUCCUAACUAAGUUUGAAAUGAAGCACACAUGCCCUCAACAUGUCCUCCAAAGUCUGAAUAGUCCUCUCAGCCUGACCAUCGGUCUGCGGAUGGAAAGCAGAACUUAGAUGAAUUAGGGUACCGAGACCCUUCUGAAAAGCCCUCCAAAACUAGAAAGUAAAAUGAGUACCCCUAUUAAAGAUGAUAGCCAAAGUAACUCCAUACAAUCUGACUAACUCACGAAUAUACAAUCUAGCAUAAUCCUCAGCUGUAUAAGAUGAAUGCACUGGCAAGAAAUGAGAUGAUUUAGCCAACCGAUCUACGACAAUCCAAAUCGAAUCAUGAUAACGACGAGAAGGAGGCAAACCAAUUAUGAAAUCCAAAUUCACUUUUUCCCACUUCCAAGUAGGAAUGCCAAACUUUUGCAUUACACCACCAGGCCACCGGUGCUCUACCUUAACUUGUUGACAAGUAGAACACUUUCGCACAAAUCCUGCUAUGUCUUUUUUCAUACCGUUCCACCAAUAGAUUUCACACAAAUUGCGGUAUAUCUUGGUAGCACUGGGAUGAAUAGAAUAUUGGGCAACAUGCGCUUCAACCAUAGUUCUCUACCUCAAAUCAUCAAUAUUCAGAACACACAGUCUACCUUGCAAUCUCAACACACUAUCUCCCACUUCGAAGAAAACCUCUACCUUUUUAUCCUUAACUGACUCCUUCAGUCUGACCAAACUAGGAUCCCUGUCCUGCUUCUCCUUUACCUCCAAGACCAAAGAGGACACAAAACUACUCUAAACGAACAUACUCCCUUCAGCGGAAUUAAGCAAUCUAACACCCAACCUAGCCAAACGAUGUAUAUCAUGAGCCAAUUCUUUCUUAUCAUUCUCUACAUGAGCUAUACUACCCAUAGACACCCUGCUAAGAGCAUCUGCCAUAACAUUGGCCUUUCCUGGGUGAUACAUUACACUCAUAUCAUAGUCUUUUAGAAACUCUAACCAUCUUCUUUGUCUAACGUUCAACUCCCUCUGAGUAAACACAUACUGCAGGCUUUUGUGAUCAGUAAACACAUCAACAUGAACACUAUACAAAUAAUGUCUCCAUAUUUUCAAAGCAAAAACUACAGCAGCUAAUUCAAGAUCAUGGGUUGGGUAAUUCUUCUCAUGAGGCUUCAACUGUCUAGAGGCAUAAGCUAUAACUUUACAUCUCUGCAUCAGCACAUAACCCAGACCAACUCUAGAAGCAUCGCAGUACACCAUAAGACCAUCAAUACCAUCAGGUAAAGCUAACACUGGGGCUGAAGUGCGUCGAGUCUUCAACUCUUGAAAACUCUUCUCACAGGCCUCUGUCCACUGGACCUUAACUUUUUUUGGGGUCAACCGGGUCAUGGGGGACGCGAUAGAAGAUAAGCCCUCAAAAAAACAUUCGUAUUAACCAGAUAAACCCAAGAAACUCCUAAUAUCAGAUAGAGAGGUAAGUCUAGGUCAAUUCUUCACAGCUUCAAUCUUUUGAAGAUCAACUCUAAUACCUUCGAAAGAAACAAUGUGACUCAGAAAAGCAACUGAUCUUAAACAAAAUUCACUCUUUCUAAAUUUAGCGAAUAAUUGAUGAGCUCUAAGGGUUUCUAACAGGAUUCAAAGAUGAUCCUCAUGGUCAUCCUCACUUCGAGAAUAUACAAGAAUAUCAUCUAUGAACACAAUAACAAAUAAAUAUAGAUACCGCUUGAAGACUCGGUUUGUAAGAUCCAUGAAACCCACUGGAGCAUUGGUUAACCCAAAAGACAUGACAAGAAACUCAAUAUGACCAUAGCGGGCUCGAAAAGAUGGCUUUGGAAUAUCACACUCUCUCACUUUAAGCUAAUGAUAGCCAAAUCUAAGGUCUAUCUUUGAGAAAUAACUUGCACCCUGUAGGUGAUCAAAUAAAUCAUUGAUUCUAGGAAGAGGGUACUUAUUCUUAAUAGUCACCUAGUUGAGUUGGUGGUAGUUAAUGCACAUACACAAUGUACCAUCUUUCUUCCACACAAAUAGAACAGGUGCAACCUACGGGGAAACACUAGGUCUGAUAAAGACUUUUUCUAAGAGGUCUUUGAGUUUCUCCGACAACUCUUUAAGUUCUGUGGGAGCUAUACGGUAUGGAGGGAUGGAAAUAGGCUGAGUUCCAGGAAGAAGAUCAAUCCUGAAUUCUAUUUCUCUAUCAGGUGGGACCCCUGGAAGGUCUUUCGGGAAAAAAUUGGGAAACUCUUUAGCAAUGCUAACUAAACAAAUAGUUGGAGUCGCAGACUUAAGGUCUUUAACUCGAACUAGAUGAUAUAUACAACCCUUGGAAAUCAACUUCCUAGCUUUGAGGUAGGAUAUGAAAUGGAUCUUCGGAGUUAUAGAACUCCCAAACCACUCAAACCCAGGUUCGUUUCGAAACUAAAACUUGACCACUCAGGUAUGACAAUCUAUAGACGCAUAGCAUGAGUGAAACCAAUCUAUGCCCAGAAUGACAUCAAAAUCAAAUAUAUCUAUCUCAAUCAGAUCAACACAUAUGACCUGAUGAAGGACAGUAAAAGGACACUUCUUAUACACUCACAUAGCAAUAACAGAAUCUCCUACCGGGGUAGAAACCAGAAUAGGUUCAGGAAUCCAUUCAGGGUCUAUCUCAAAAUUUAUAGAAACUAGAGGUGUCACAUAAGAGAAACUCAAAUUGGGGUCCAUCAAUACAUACACAUCAAAAUGAAAGAUACGGAGCAUAUCAGUGACAACAUUUGGGGAAUCCUCUUACUCCUGGAGAAGUGGUAUAGCAUAGAAUCAAGUCUAGCGUGAACCACCAACAAUACUAGAAGAGGCACACUGAGGAGGAACUGGGUGGACUACGGGAGCGGAGGCACUGGUAGCCUGACUCUGGGAACGAGCAUCUUGACCCCCUGUCUAGCAUACAGAUAAUCUCUAAGUCAGUGGCCCAACUUGCCACAACCAAAGCAAUAUCUCUGAUCAAUAAAACACUCGCCAAAAUUAUCGCUACCAUACUUGGCAUAUGAAGGAGGACGAGGUAUGUUACUUACACUUUCUUGAGACGUGGACGGGAUAGGCCUGUUCCCCUGCUCCUGCCUGCUUCUAGGUGCAGGAGCACUAACUGAGGAAGGCGCGGGCAUAAAUAAAAAUCUCUGGAACUGAAGGCGGUCUCCUUCAUAGAAUCUGGACUAACGGAAUACCUGCUACUCUGAUCUAGCUAUUUUAUUUUCUCUUACUCUCUCCCUCUCUUCCACCUUAUCAGCUUCAAUCUAUUGGGCAUAUAUCAUCAACCGAUAAAGGUCCAUCUCCCUAUUAAGCAUAACAGAUUUACACUCUUUUACGACAUAACUCGACACGCCGGUCAUAAACUUACUCAUAAUAGUCCUGGAGUCAACCAUUAUACUAGGAGAAUAUUUGGAUAACUAAUUGAAUCUAAGACAAUACUACUUAACAGUCAUGGAGCCUUGUCUCAAAUUUAUGAAUUCCUCUAUCUUUUCUUCCCUUAUCUCAAGAGGAAAGAAUUUGUCCAAGAACGCAUCUUGGAAUAACUACCAAGUCAUAGGGCAGAAUCCUUCCCUCUACUUUCCCUCCAUAGUUACACCCAAUCCUAUGCAACAUCUUUCAUUCGAUAGGCAGCCAAUUCAACACUCUCCUCCUCAUCCAUAUGCAUAAUCUAGGUGAUCUUUCUCACUUCAUCCAAGUACAUCUGUGGGUCUUCACCUAUCUUCGACCCAUAGAACUCAGGAGGAUUCAUCUGCAUAAAGUCACGAAUCAAGCUGCAGCAGAAAUAUUCUUUUAUGGAGGUGGAAUAGUAUCCUAGUUGUUAGCUUGAGUAUUGGCAGUAACUGCCGAGGCUAGCACCUGAAAAUCUGCCCGGAAUUGUACAUGUGACACAUGCUCGUUCAGGGGUUCAACGGGUUGAGUUUGCUCAUUUUUUCUAUAAGAUCGAUAAGGAGGCAUUUUCUAUCAUAAGAGAGCAUAAAUUAAUAGCAGAGAGAAAUAGUCGUAGGACCGAUAGACUUUUGAAAGAAAAAAAUGACUUUUCCUAAAACGUCCCAUAGCCUCUUGCUCAUAGAUAUGGCACGCUACACAUCGAUGAUCAAGACUCUACGUAACACGGCUUGCCAGACUCCCUAGGACUCCUUAAACCUUAGGCCCUGAUACCAAGCUUGUAACACCCCAAGAUCCCAUCCCGAGACAUCACACGGUGCUAAAGGCCAUACGCGGCCUCAAGCUAACCCUCUAAACCUAUCAUUACUUCGAGAACUCAUUUUUAAAAUAGUCAUGCUAAUAUAAUAGAGAAUGACAUAUCAUAAACAUACUGGAAUAAGUUAAGAAACUAGCAUGUACAAUCUAAAAUACUGAAAUUCUGUACAUACUAACUCUUUAGCCUGACAAAGCCUCUAGACAUCAAAAUCAAGGAGACAUUGGGACAAACCCCUAACUGACUCACACAGUACUGAAAACCAUAAAAACAAAACGGUAUCACAAAGUUAUAAACACAUUCCUCACACUAUGAGGACUCACUACUGAGUAGACGAAAAGUGGCUCCUGAAUAUCGUUAACGCGGCUGUGUAUCUGAACCUACAUUAUGAGAAAAUUUAGACCAUAGGAAAAUAUGUUGCUCAGCACUUUGAAAUGUACUGAGUAUGUCGGGGUGCAUGCAUAAUGUAAAUAUCGUCAUCAACUUCAUGAAAAUAUGCAUAUGUACAAUGGUGGCUUACUUGGCUUGAGUUAGAUUGAAACAUAAUUUUCAUGAUCUCACUGUAAAUAAAUCAUAUGAUAAAAACCUCAUAAAUCAUCAUAAAAAACUCAACUAUUCAACUCAAGACUCGGAGUGACCUGUAAUUCAAAAAACUCGACUCUAAUGGACAUGGGAGGUUCUUAUAACUGACAUAAGCCAAGUGAGCUACAUGGAGUCCAACGUUUUGCCCUCCUAAGGAGAGAACCCCACAUUGGCGGGAGCGUCGUACUCUUGACAGGAAGUACAACCUAAAUUAAGUGAUCACAAUCUCACACUCGGCCAUUGACCCUCAAUUAUCAAUAUCAAUCCUACGGUGGAACAUAGUUUUGGGGGAAAUACAAUAUUUCCUACUUGGUGCUAAAUACUACUCCCAGACAUAAGCUCGGAACGCAUUAGGAAAUCCACAACAAACAUCACAAGGGUCUAUCAUGAAGACCAAAUCAAAUCUCUUUCUCAUUUAUCAAAUCAUAAUCAAUAUGUGGAUUCCUAACUCGACUCAAAUCAAAUCAAUCUUUCUCAAUAUCAAAAUGCAUCAAUUCAUUAAGUCAUGGCAACAUCAAUAACUUUGAGAAAAUAUCAAGACUCAUAGUAACAACUCAAUUCUAUGAUGAACUUGAUUCUUGGAGGAAUCUUGAAGAUUUAUGGAUGAUUUUGUGAAGAUUAAUUUCCUUAAAUAAAACCCUAGAUAUAUUUCUUAAGAGAAUUGGAAGAUAGAAAUGAAGAAAUAAGGUUUCGGAUGACGAUUCUCAUAUAUAUAUAGGCCUUCGAAAAUGGGAAAUGACUAAAAUACCCUUGCAAAUAUCGUCCAUCAAUUGUUGAAAAAAAUAGCUGACGAUAUCCGUGACAAGCUGUCAGGCCCGUGAUAGGUCGCCACCAAUUGUCAUCACAAAAAGGGUGGAUUUUGUGACUCUCUGCCUUAUGGUGAUGACAUUUUGUGACGGGCCGUCAGGCUUUUGACAAGUCGUCACAAAAGGUCAUCACGGAUUCUCCAGGCUGACAUGCUGGAGUAAAAUAAGCAUAACUCCUUGCUGCGAUAUUGUAUUUUGACGAAAUGGGUAUCGUUGGCAAGAUAAUUCAAUUAUCUAUCUUUUGGUAGGUCAUUACCUCAAUAAUUCAUAGUACAACGGGAGAUAUGCUCAUUUGAAGUUGACUAUGCCAAAAUCCCUCUCAAGAAUUCAAUCAGUAAAGAAUGUUUUGAUUCGCCCAAGCGUUUGGACAUCUUUAAAGUCUUAAUACACAUCACCCUUGACCAGAAAACAACCAAAACACUAUAAUUUAUUUCUCAUGGGCUUGAGUCAUUUCGGCACUAUUGGUUAGAAUCUCGGGGUAUUACAUUAUUGCUUUUAAUUAUCUUUGCUAUUUACCAGCAAAUAUAAUGCAAAUUUAUCUUAUAAUGUUAUAAUUGAAUUUGAAUAAAAUAUUUGAGAUCAACCACAUAUAUUUGAUAGUAAAUGAUGUUUUAUUAUUAUUAUUAUUAUUAUUAUUAUUAUCAUUAUUUUUAUUACUAGUAGUAGUAGUAGUAGAUAUUUAUGUUCUACUACUACUACUAAUAUUAUAAGUUAUCUUUUAAUUAUUAUUAUAUUUUAUUUAAUAUUUAAAUAUAUUUGAAAUAUAUAAAUUUAUGAUAUAAUUAGAGAUUUUUAGGUCUUUUCAACUAUGAUUUUAUAAUUUUAAACUAAUAAAUUAUUUUUUAAAAUUUUCAAAGGCUACUAUUUUCAAAUGCAUAUAUUUCUAUUAACAUAGUGAAUUACUUAUGUAGGACUUAAUUACCUGCAUAACUCACUGCUAAACUAACUACCAAAAAAUACGCUACUACCUGCAUAAAUAAUAUAUAGAUAAUCCCUAAAUUAAAAAAAUCUGCAUCACUCUAAUUGAGGCCCUUUCAUUAUUUACUUACGGCUUCUUAGGUUUAAGUGGGUAAACAGAUGAAAAAAGAAAAGAAAAGACUCUCACAUCUAGUUUCUCCAGAAGCACCUCUUUAGAAGAAGGGUGUUGUUGAAGCAACUCAUUUUCAGAUUCAAGCAGUCUUUUGUUUUGUUCCUCCUCAGAAACAAAAGUAUGAGCCGGGGAAACCAUUUUUUUUUCUCACAGGAAAUGAAGAACAAGAAAAACACUGCAAUUUAAAACUAGGCUUUAAAUUUCAUAAACAAACUAUGAAAUCAUACGAGCAAAAAGGGAAAAACAAAGUGCAAAAAGACCUCACCAGUAGUAGGAUACAAAGGAUGAGAGAGAGAGAGGAAGUAGGGUUAUAUUAAAAAUGGGACGAAUACAGUGGAGGUAGAGCACAUUUAUCAAAUAUUCUUUAAAAACACACUAGCUACAUCACCGACGUUUCAAAAUCAAGCCAAAGUUUUAUCCUGUUUAGAAAAAAAUUUCAAAGUGUGUGAGUAGGACUGAGGUUGUCUUAACUGCGUAAACUGGUUUGCCCUCUUCAAAUCCUUAUUUUUAUAUUUCUUUUAAUUGAACACAAUUUUAAGAGGGCAAACUAAUUUACGCAGUUAAGAAAACCUCAAUCCUACCCUCAUAUUAUGAAUUUUUUUCUAAAUAGCACAAAAAGUUGCCUUGAUUUUGAAACAUCGGUGAUGUAGCUGGUGUAUUUUUAAAUAAAUUUGAUAGAUGUGCUCUACCUCUACUGUAUUCGUUCCAUUUUUCAUAUAACCCUCCUUCCCCUCUCUCUCAUGCUAUGUAUCCUAGUACUGGUGAGGUCUUUUUGCACUUUGUUUUUCCCUUUUUUCUCUCAUGACUUCUUAUUUUGUUUAUGAGAUUUAAAGCCUGGUUUUAAAUGUCCAGUGUUCUUCUAGUUCUUCAUCUUCUGUAAGAAAAGGAAAUGGCUACCCCGGCUCAUGAUUUUGUUCUUGAGGAGGAACUAGAUAAAAAGAUUGUUCGAAUCUGAAAAUGAGUUGCUUCAAUAUCACCCUUCUUCUAAAAAGGUGCUUCUAGGGAUACUAGAUGUGAGAGCCUUUUCUUUUCUCUUUCCAUCUGUUUACCCACUUAAAACUAAGAAGCCUAAAGUAAAUAACAAAGGGCCUCAAUUAGAGUUAUGCAAGUUUUUGUACUGUAGGGAUUAUCGAUGUGGAAAUCUAUAUAUUAUUUAUGCAUGUAUUAACGUAUUUCUUGGUAGUCGAUUUAGCAUUGAGUUAUGCAGGUAAUUAAGUCCUACAUAGUUAAUAUUCAAAUAUUAGUAGUUGGUUUAGCCUAUGUUUACUACUAUUAACAUAGAAUAACCCUCGAGACCGCAAAGAAGGCCCAUAAAAACCCAUCUACCAAAUAGAUGGCUCUGUAGCCUUUCUCAACUAGUUUGAUGGCCCACUUUUAGAGCCCAAUUAUAGAUGAACAUGGUUAUGCUAUUCAAGAAAAUUGUAGUAGUACUAUUGGGACUUUGGAUUAAAAGGGACAAAUAAGUUGUCUAGUUAAGUGACAAUCCUUCAAGUUUUUAAAAUUAGGUGGGAGGGACAAAAAUUUUUUGAUUUUUUUUUUUUUAGGUUUUUUCAUUCCAACAACUUCUCCCAAUUGUCAAACAACUUUGAUAGUUGUUCGACAACUUCUAGCAGUUGUUCAACAACUAUCAAAGUUGUUCGACAAUUGUGCUAAGUUGUUCAAUAACUAGGCAAAGUUGUUCGGCAACUGGGAGAAGUUGUUCAACAACUGUGUGAAGUUGUUGAGACAACUCAUGUAGUUGUCGAACAACUAUCCAAGUUGUUCAAAUGACUUAAUUUUUUUCAAAGGGAUAAGUUGCGGGACCCACUUGUCCCCUUUUCUUAAUUGGAAACUUGGGAGGUCUAUUGAUUCAUUUUCCUCACUUAACUAUUUAAUUUGUAUAUAUCAUGAAGUAGUUAGCUUAUAUUUGCAUUGUAAAUUGUAAUAUUAAGUGUAGAGAUAUCCUAAAUACGUUUAGUACAUCAAAGAGAGCUACUCGCAAACAUUGUGCAAUUCAAUUUGUCGCAAGAAGAACUUAAUCAUCACACAAAUACUUAUUGGUUCCGAAUAUUUACCCCUAACCAAUGAUUUUAAUUCUAAUGAGUUAAGAAUAUAAGAUCAUUCAAUCAUGAUAAAAAAAGAAAUUUAUAAAAGAUAUUAUCUUGUAAUAGUGGGUAUAAGGAGAGGUGGAUGUAGGCUGAGGAGGUCUUUGUAAAGGUGAUUAGAUUAGGUAUUUAUAGCUUCUCGAGGAUAUGAUCUAGUUAUAAAAAUACGGAGAUCAAGGAUGUGGUUAGUGGGUGGCUGAGCGUUGUCUAAUUUCCCUAUUAUGUAGUAUUUUUGUUAUUACUUUCAUACUAUCUUAUUCUUCUAUAUUAGAAUAAUUUGUUUAUUUUUAAGUUCAGUUAUCAUAUUAAUUGUUUGUCGUUGCUACCAUUUUCAGAUUUACAAUUUUAUUUCUUUUACAUGGCUAAUUUUUUUUAUAUGUUUUACUUGAGUCGAGAGUUGAGAGUCAAUUGAGAACAACCUCUCUAUCUUCACAAGGCAGAAGUACAUGUCCAUGCUACCUCUCCAAACUCCACAUGUAAUAUUAUGUAUGUUAUUAUUGUAUAUAUCUUGAAUUGAUAGAUCAAAUGUAAAUACCCAAUGUUGAGGUAUACUUAUACCCAUUGGCGGAGGGAUGAUCUUAGAAAAAGGGUGAUUUGAUACACAUCUUUUAUCAAAAGAUUAUAUAGUGUACAGAAGGUUGAUAUUAGCUAUUAUACGUCUAUAUUAAAUUUUGUACAUCCUUAACACAACUAAAAAGAAAAUAUGCACACUCCUCGUCAAAUUUCUGACAACGACACUACUACUGCCUCAACUAUGUACGUGUAAAGAUGAUGCUAUAUAGCAUUUGUCAUUUGCAUGACGCCCAAACCCUUUUAUCAGUGGACCUACCCAACCUGUCACCUCAUUUUCUGCUUUUAUAAUUGCAUACCCUUCCAAAUUUCAUACACCAUCCAUUUCAUUUUAAUUAGAUUAAACAUAACUAUUUUAAUUUAUUUGUGUAAUUUAUAAAAUUAUAAAAAAGAUUAUUACGUGAAGUAAAAAAAUUAUUUGUAUGGAAGAAAGUACUACAGGAGAAUUAGAAUAUAAUAAGAGACCACAAGUAAUUUAAUAUAUACAACAACAACAAUAACAACAUACCUAGUGGAUUCCCACAUAGAAGGGUCUGGGGAAGGGUAGAGUGUACGCAGAUCAUACCACUACCAAAGAUGAAGUAGAGAGUCUGUUUCCGACAGACCCUGGCUUAGGACUAUAGCAGUAUAACAAACACAAAACAUAAACGCAUAAAAACUAGUAUAGUCUGCAAAAUAAACUAAUGUCACUAGCCAUAAGAUAAUACUACAGUCAUAAGAUAAUACUAAAACUAUCUAUCUGAAAUCAUAGACGUCACUCAACCCUUAUUGAUUACCAAGUUCAUCACCAACAACCUAUGUUUAGUCAAAAGAUAAUCUCUAGGUAUGACUUUACAAUCUUUACAUAAUGUUCUAUCACUCUUCUUAAGGAGCUAAAAGUCUAUAUAAGUCUUGGCCAUUGAACUACAAAACAUUUCUAAAAUCUCAAAUUCGUUAUCCACAACACAAAAGCCCUAGAAAAAUCCAAAAGAGAAGCUCUUCCUUUAUUCCUCCACCCAAAAUCGAAAUCUCCAUGCAAUCUCAUUCAAAACCUCCAAAAGCCCUUCUUCUCCUCCUCGUCCAAACCUAAUUGCAGAGCAUAAACACUAAUAACGUUCACCGUAGUUCCUCCCGUGACUAACUUAAUAUACAUCAACCUAUCACUUACUCUUUUAACCUCUACCACCUGCUCCCUAAGUUCUUUAUCUACUAAGAUACCUACCCCAUUUCAAUGUCUCAUGCUACUCGAGUACCAUAACUUAUAUCCAUCCACAUCUCUCACCUUAGUGCCUACCAUUUAGUUUUUUUGACACACGCUAUACUAACCCUUCGUUUUCCAAGAAUCUUCACCAGUUCUAUCGAGUUACCUUAAAGCAUCUCUAUGUUCCAGGUCCCAACUUUCAACCUAUAAGCACCUUUAUCCAACUUCGCCCUACUAUCUCUCGCCCUCAACCCAUGACUAGAACCUAGACUCAACCCCAACCCCGACCUCGACCUAUGAAAUGACCCUAGCCCAUCAUCUAUCACCCCAACCACCACUUAAAAGGAUAUGAUAGAAGAAAAUGAAGAAAAAAAGUUGAAAAACACGAUGAGCAAAAGAGUAUGACUAAAAAUAGCUAAAUCAGCAAACAAAAACCAGUAAGAAGGAUUGAUACUCACAAGCAACAACAAGUACUAUACUACUCACAAGCAAUGAACACCUACUAAGUUAUGGAGAAAUCUUAACCAGUAAUCCCACAGGAAUAAUUUAAGAAAUUACAUAAGAAAUCAGGAUAGAAAAAGAGACAAGAAGUAUAUACCAAAUAAACUAGAGAAGACUGAAAUGAGUGCACCAGAUACUGGGAGAAGACAUAGUGAAAGACGUUUUCCUGAUCGUUUUGUCGAAUUUUGGCUAAUUAGUGCAGAAAUUAGUAGUCAGAAUUUGUUACCACCAUCUUUACCCUACUGCUGGUACCAAAUCCCUGUACUUAGUCGCCGGAGAAUGUGCAGGUUGCCAAAACAAUGAGCAAGACUGUAACGCCCCGAAAAAUGGGUCCUGGAGCAACACACGGUGCUUGAGGCUACGAGUAGCCCCAAGCUAACCCUUUGAGCCAUUUUCAUUCAGUUUAUCACAAAUCAACGGGGUUUCCAUAAAUAACCCUCAAAUAUCAAUAGAGUAAUCAUCGUCCAAGAAUAAAAGAAUUUCAGAAAGAUAACAAAAUACUACUUAUUAGUCAACUCCCUACAUCUAUACUAGUCUGACAAGNNNNNNNNNNNNNNNNNNNNNNNNNNNNNNNNNNNNNNNNNNNNNNNNNNNNNNNNNNNNNNNNNNNNNNNNNNNNNNNNNNNNNNNNNNNNNNNNNNNNNNNNNNNNNNNNNNNNNNNNNNNNNNNNNNNNNNNNNNNNNNNNNNNNNNNNNNNNNNNNNNNNNNNNNNNNNNNNNNNNNNNNNNNNNNNNNNNNNNNNNNNNNNNNNNNNNNNNNNNNNNNNNNNNNNNNNNNNNNNCCAUGGAAAGGAACCGAGUAUAUUGGGGUGUAUGCAGUUGUAUAAACAUCAUCAUCAUAAAUAUUUAUAAGAAAUAUGCAGGAUGUAUGAAAGACUCACAUAGCCCGAAGAAAAUCAUAAUAAUCAUGAGAGGAUGAAAUAAGUACAAUACACAUGUGAUUCAUCAUAUAAUUUGUCAAUAACUUUCAGUUCAUCAAGAAUAUCAAUUCUCAUAAUGUAAAUAUCAUUUAAAUCUUUUGAAAUUCAAAUCACUUUACCAUUCACCAUAGACACAAGGACACACACACACACCGGGGGAUCCUAUAACCGACAUAAACCAUGUGAGCUACAUGGAGUCCAACGUACAACCCACUUUGGGGAGAGCCAUCCUAUCCUUGCCAUCGCAGUAGGACUAUCGAUAUCAAAUCAACACAAACUANNNNNNNNNNNNNNNNNNNNNNNNNNNNNNNNNNNNNNNNNNNNNNNNNNNNNNNNNNNNNNNNNNNNNNNNNNNNNNNNNNNNNNNNNNNNNNNNNNNNNNNNNNNNNNNNNNNNNNNNNNNNNNNNNNNNNNNNNNNNNNNNNNNNNNNNNNNNNNNNNNNNNNNNNNNNNNNNNNNNNNNNNNNNNNNNNNNNNNNNNNNNNNNNNNNNNNNNNNNNNNNNNNNNNNNNNNNNNNNNNNNNNNNNNNNNNNNNNNNNNNNNNNNNNNNNNNNNNNNNNNNNNNNNNNNNNNNNNNNNNNNNNNNNNNNNNNNNNNNNNNNNNNNNNNNNNNNNNNNNNNNNNNNNNNNNNNNNNNNNNNNNNNNNNNNNNNNNNNNNNNNNNNNNNNNNNNNNNNNNNNNNNNNNNNNNNNNNNNNNNNNNNNNNNNNNNNNNNNNNNNNNNNNNNNNNNNNNNNNNNNNNNNNNNNNNNNNNNNNNNNNNNNNNNNNNNNNNNNNNNNNNNNNNNNNNNNNNNNNNNNNNNNNNNNNNNNNNNNNNNNNNNNNNNNNNNNNNNNNNNNNNNNNNNNNNNNNNNNNNNNNNNNNNNNNNNNNNNNNNNNNNNNNNNNNNNNNNNNNNNNNNNNNNNNNNNNNNNNNNNNNNNNNNNNNNNNNNNNNNNNNNNNNNNNNNNNNNNNNNNNNNNNNNNNNNNNNNNNNNNNNNNNNNNNNNNNNNNNNNNNNNNNNNNNNNNNNNNNNNNNNNNNNNNNNNNNNNNNNNNNNNNNNNNNNNNNNNNNNNNNNNNNNNNNNNNNNNNNNNNNNNNNNNNNNNNNNNNNNNNNNNNNNNNNNNNNNNNNNNNNNNNNNNNNNNNNNNNNNNNNNNNNNNNNNNNNNNNNNNNNNNNNNNNNNNNNNNNNNNNNNNNNNNNNNNNUAGGAGCUUAGGGUUUUCUUUUUGAGGGAAUUUGAUAAAAUAGAACAUAUAAUGCUUCUAAUAGGAUUUAAUAUAGGGUUUGGACGGAUUUUGGGUGAAGGGGAAUGACCAAAACGCCCCUAAAAAUAAAAAAAAUUCUCGAAUCUGUCCUCUGGUGGACUAUUUUGAUAGUAUGAAGUAGAUCAACCAUAACGUUUUACUCCGCUAUCCAAAUUGGAUGAAACCAAUUUCAUUAGAAAGAUGACUCUCAUAUCAUUCCGUUGAUACAUAGUAUCUCACCCAUAUCAUUGUGUACGAGGAGUUAUGAUCGUUUGAAGUUGACCCAAAAAUUCUCUUUUGAUAGGCUGAAGUAGAUCGACCAUAACUUUUUGCUCCGAUAGAAAAAUUGGAUGAAACCAAUUUUAUUGGAAAGAGGACUCGUAGAGAUUUCCGUUGAUAUAGAUCGUUAUGUACAAGGAGUUAUGAUAAUUUAAAGUUGAAGGAAAAAUACGCCAGGCCUCAGUACUUUUUCCUGCACGUUUUACUGUUCACUACUAUUCAUGGUUCGAUCGGAAUGUUCAUAACUCGUCGCUCGGGUGUCCGUUUUGGAUGAUCCACAUAUCGUUGGAAAGAUUAUUCAAUACUCUACGCAAUGGUGGGUAAUAAUCUAAGAUAUUACAGACGAAAAAUUUAUAAUUCAUUCUAGAAAAUAGAACCCAAUACGUUUACACACAAAAUUUCAACAAAAAUUUUCUGGGGUAUUACAAAGACACCGGAAUCUUGAUGUCGCCGCUUGAAGUGCAGAUCUGAACUUGAAGUACCUGAAAAGGGUUAUAAAGAAAAUAAAAGAGAAGAAAAGAAAAGCAACGAUCAAAUUGCCAAAAAUUGAUGUCACUCACCAAAAACUGAUAUGGUUGUUGAGCCACAGAGAUAGGCUUCCGAAAAAGCCGCUAUCGUUUUAGUGGUCGGAGGAAGAAGCGAGAGAGCAAAAGAUGACGAUUGUGCCAAAAUCUGAUGGGGUCGACGAAACUGAUAGGGUCAUCGGGACGUGUUUAUGGUGGCCGACACAAGUAAUUUACCGGUGGUGGAUUGGUAGUUCUCUGCUAUCGCCAGAAUCUUCAAGACACAAAGAGAUAGGAUAAUUUCGUUGGCGCCGUCGAUUGAAAAAUUGCAAGAUGCUAUACCCUCAACAUAUAUGACAACUAUUAAUGUCAUCAAUUUAACUUGAGAUGCCCGUUAAAUAAAAUAACAUGACAAUAUUUUAAUAAUUACAAUUCAAUGCUAAUUAAAAAUAGAAAAAUAUUGAUUUUAAUGAAUUUCUGGGUACAAAAUUUCUCAGUUAUAAAUAGAAAUAAAUUUAUUUUAAUAUUUAUUAUUUUAUUUUCACCUAUAAUUUCAUGUGACAAGAGUUGUAAAAUUCAUUGUUUUCAUCUAAUACAACAAAGUACUUCAAUCACUUCAAUCAUUUCAGACAACCUUUAAAAAUAUUCUAUUCAUUCUACUCUAAUUAUUGAUUUAUGCUUUUUCAUGUUUGAUAAGAAAAAUAAUACAGGCAUUGUACUAUUUAUUAUUGAUUAAGUUACCAAAUUUAAUACUCCCUCCGUUUCACAAUAAGUGAAUUAUUGGAUUAAUUUUAGUGUUUCAAAAUAAGUGAAUGAUUCACAAUUCAAGGUAUGUUGGAAAUUUUUCCCAAAUUUACUCUCCAUUAAAUGUGCACUGUGAGUGAUGUAUCAUGUGUCUUUGCUUUUUGAAGAGGGUAAAAAUGAAAAAACAUGAUAAAUUUAUGUCUUUGCUUUUCUUUUCCUUAACAUGUGUGCCGAUAUGGAUUUUCUUCGUAAUUCGAAGGCCGUUAAUAACAUAUUUCUUGAACAUAGAAAUAUUUGAAUCUGAUCUCUAUAAAAGAAGGGUUUAUGGAUCUUCUUGAUAUAUUUGAUUAUCAGAAAGAGAGUGAUAUUCAAUGAGUUUAUGAAAUUAUUAGGAGAUGAUUAAUCUCUUUAUUAAGGGUUUAAAGUAGAGUAGCCACCAAGUUAGGUUUAGCGUAAAGUAACCCCUAAUAACUCUAACAAAAAUUGAAUUCUUAUUAUAGACUUCACAAAAUUAUGAUGUCUAUAAAUGCUUUGUAUUGUCAGACGUUAUGACUACAAAAUCCUUUGCUGAAAUGUCAAAAUAUAAUUAUUUUUCUUCUUUGAGAUGAUGAAGGAAGUACGUGUUAAUUUAGUGGAGUCACUUAUCUCAAGUCUUUCGUGCGGCGUACCAUGAAAUCAUAAAACUACAUCAAGCUAGGAGAAGAGAAAAGCAAUAACAAAAAUACCAUAUUUAGCACAUUUUCAUAGCUCAAACUCGUGACCCCCUGAUCACAUGGAAGGAACUAUCCACAAUAAUUCAGACAAAUACUUCUCAUAGAAAAUGUCACGACCUGAACCAGGGCCUGGCCGUGAUGAGGAUUUCGAACUAUUGAGGCCCGAAACACCCCUAUCUGUCUGGUAAUCAUGCACCUAAUUCAUAUGAUCAGAGAAAUGCGGAAAAACAAAUAAUUUAGAAACAUGGUCAUAAAUAUGAAAAGAGACAAUAACGGUGAGAUAAGGUUCCCUCAGUAUCAAUUAUCCUCUAAACAAUUGUCUACAAAAAUCUCUAAUAAAUGACUGAAACAAUGUCUAUCUGAAAACUGGGACAAGGCCCACAGUAGACCCUAAAACUGAAUAUAAUAUAAAAGGACUGCAGGACAUAAGAACUUUCGAAACAUAGAAGGCUCACCACUUGUCUUUACAGCUCUGUCUGAAAGUUCUAUUGAUUCUCUUAACCCCUAGACUGGGCCUCUGAACCUGAGAGGUUGGAAAGGGAAGGGGGGUCAGCACAAAAGUACUGGCAUGCAGAGAUAUCAAAGAAAAACAUAACAUUUUUACAAUAUAUAGUUGAGAGACAUUAUAAAGCAAUUUCAUAUCAAAUCAUUUGAAAACACAUGGAUGUAAUGCAACAGUUUUUCUCAACAAUAAUGAAAUGCAACUGAGCUAGGUGGAAUACCCUACAUAAUUUACACCAACUGUCAAACCUCAGUUGCCAAUGAGAUUAGAGUAUAAGUGAGGGAGAGACACUCAAGACCACACAGUAUAGUGUCUCAACCCAAUGGUAGCGCCCAAGAUCUGUUGGCUUGGGCUCCUACCUAUAGUACCAAUUUGGAAAUGACAUCAAGUCAAGUACACAAGAUCAGUUAGCCUGGUACCAAUAUUCCAUAUCGGCAAACACGUUUUUCCAGUGAUGACCCUUUGUGUCACAAAGGCCUUCUUCAGGCAUCCACCUAUCUCAUGUAAAAUCAAUGCAUUCAAACUUCAUUUAAUUCAAUCAUGUAUCGUGUUCUGUAGGGUAUCGUCACACCUGACUUGCAAGUCAUCAAUAUCACAUCUACAUAUGCAUAAUCAUGUAAAAACCAAGGUGCUUCAUCAUUUAAAAGUUGUGAACAAUAUUUAUUUCAAAUUCAUGCUCUCUUUUGUUGAUCAUAAUAUAAUAUGGAGUAUCGAAACAUUAUCAUGGGAAUUUGAAAACAAUUUAUCAUUCAUAUUUAUCAAACUUCCAUGGAAAAUCUCAAAUCACACAUGCAUGGUUUCAACCAUUGAAGUAAAGAAAGAUGACUUAUAAAUCAUAUUGAAAGCAACUUAUUAGCAUUUGAUUGAAAACCCCCAUUUAAAAGCAUGCAUGUUCAUAAAAACUGCACCCAUGAGAUUUAAGGAUAACCCCACGUACCUCUAUUUCCAAGGAUAAUAGAUGUUUCUUGAAGCUGGCGGAUUGGUGAUUCCAAAUAUGUAAUUAUUUUUGAAAACCUACGGUCAAAUCUUGAACUAGUUAGGUUUUUAUUUUGAAACCCAAAGGAGAAUCUUGAGCACUUUUGAAGAAAGAAUAUGUAUUUUGGGGUCCUUGGAACUAAAUCUCGUGUUUUAGGGCCUAGUAAGGGUGGAAAAGGACCACUUUGUCCUCAACACAGAGUGUUUAAAUCACCAGAAUUCCUAACAUACGUGCCGCCCAUCCCGUUGCCUAUGUUCACAUAGGAGCCGCCUAGGAUAUCGCCUAUGUUUGCAUAGGCGUCACCUAGGCUAUCGCCUAUGUUUACAUAGGCGCCGCCUAGGCUAUUGCCUAUGCUUUCCAGUGGGCAUGGGCUAUUGGUUAGGCGACGCUUAUCACUUUGAAGGGCCAUAACUUCUUGCUCGGGUGUCGGAUUUUAGCCAAAUUAGUAUCAUUGGAAAGCUAACUGGAAUACCUAUCAUUUGACACAUAGUAGGCUUCCAAAUUCGAAAUAUACAAAGAUUUAUGGUCGAUGGAAGCUGACACACUUUACAAUGUCAACUAAAACUUAGUCGAUCGAAAUAGUUUCAACUCUUCCUUGAUCUGAAGGAACUCUAUGGUCUAAAUUCAAGCUUUAGCGGAUUCACAUGCUACACUAUAAUUAACAUGCUGUAUUGGCAUAGGAUUUUAUGGUUUGGGGAUUAGCAACGCAUCGAAAUCAUGGUCUAUAUUGUUGCCCGAAUUGCGGGGCGUUACAGAUAAUCACAAAUUUAUAAACAAGACUAAUCUUUUAAGAAUUUUACUACACACAAAGACAAAAACAAAGGGCAGUUAGGUGCACUAAGCUCUCGUUAUGUGUUGGGUCCCCGGAAAAAAUUGGACCACAAAGGUCUAUUAUACACAGUCUUACCACUUUGGACCCCUCUUUCCACAACUUGGACCUAUGACCUUCUGGUCACACGACAAUAACUUUACCAGUUACGACAAGACUCCUUGUCUUACAUACACAAAUAACAUUUGUUAAAAUGAAAUCUUUAGCAAUUUUUUAAAAUUCUUUCUACCCAAAUUUCCAAGAUAAGCUAAAAUAUAACACUGAUAACAUAUCGUUAAAUAAACAAUAAGCAAAAAAUGUAAACUACCCAAAAAAAUUCAAGCAAAUAAAACUUGUAAUACAUCAAGAUUAAUUUUGAACAAUAGCUUUAAAAAAAUCUCACUUUCUCAUAGCUGAAUAAUGAAAUUCCAAUUUUUCCCUUAACAUUAUGUCUCCAUUGAUGAUGGAUACUAUAGCAUUAAGAGCCAAUUUCUUUCCUUUUCUGGUAGUUCGUCAGUAUUUGAACAGUAUCAUCUUCUACAAAAAUGAACAGGAUAAUGUCAAUUUAGCCCCCAAAAGAUCUAGCUAUUACAUAUAGACCCCUUUACCUUAUAAUUUUAGAAUGAUAUUACUCUUCUUGAACAAUUUAAAUGGCCAAAAAGUUGCUCGAAUAAACAAAAAGAUAAUUCCUUCGUUCGGUUUUACUUGUCCCAUUUUAACUUGACAUAUUUAUUAAAAAAAUAAUUAAUAACACACAGUUAUUUUACCAUAAUACCCCUAUUAAAUGAUGUUUAUAUUGUAUCUUAAAAUUAAUUUGAAGAAAAGACAAUUAAUGCUAAGGCUAAAAUAGGAAAAAAGAAGUUGUCUUUUCUUGAUAUGUCAAAAAUGAUAAGUAAAAAUAGAAAUACAAUUACGAAAUUAGUGAUAAGUAAAAGCGGACGGUGGGAGUAACACUGAAAACACAUCCAAAAGAUAUACUUCCUCGGUUGUAUUUUAUGUGGCAUAUUUUGAUCUGGCAUAAAGUUUAAGAAGAAAUGAGAAUUGUCCUUUAUUAAACAAAUAUAUUACUACUAUCUUUAAUUAAAUGAGACUUAAAAGGAUAAAAGUAAAAUUGUAUCUUUAAAUAAUUACCAAAUAAGGAAAGAUGACAUUUUUUUGGGACAGACAAAAAGAAAAUGACGACACAUAAAAUAGGGCAGAGGAAGUAUGUUAAUACUAAAAGGGCAGCUUGAUGUGGCGGUGGAAGUAUGUUAAUACUAAAAGGGCAGCUCAGUGUACUAAAGCUUCUUGCUAUAAGGGUCUGCGUAGAAGGGAUGGACUGGAAGAAUUUUACUGUGCGCAGCAUUAUCUUGCAUUUCUGAUGGAGGUUGUUUCUAUGACUUGAACUCGUGACUUCCUAAUCACAUGACAAUAAUUUUAUAGUACUCUAAAACUUCCCUUCAUAUAUUUUUUUUCGAUUUGAUAAAAAUAUUAAAGAUACGCAAAAUAUAAAAGAUACGCAUAUAAUUCUUUUUGCAAACCCACUUAUAUGGAGUAAUAAAAACUUAUAAGGUAUCAAAAAUUAUAUAUGCAUGGGAUUUCCCUUCUGGUUAAAGUUUUGACAGGUUAAUUUCAUGUAUAAUUGUAAACUUUUACUCAUUAAUGACAAAAUUAUUGAACUUUACCUCUUUAAUAAUGUAGUUGAUUUAAUGGCAUUAAAAAUCAUUAAUGAGUUUUUAUUAUGUGUUUAUAUAUAUUGAGUAUAAGAAGUGAUAGACAUAUCUCAAACUAAAUCAAUCAAUUAGAAAAACAAUUUCUAUUCCAAUGGAGAAGUUCCUCCAUCUUCACCUUUUGAUUUUAAUUAUUUUCUCAAUUUUGCUUGUAAUUUUAUGCAAUGAACAUUUUUUUUCAUCCCUUAACACUACUUAUAUUAUGGAAUAUGUCUAUUGAUCCAACGAAGUUUCCCGAUCCUCCGAUGCCAUCAUAUACACUCACCAUUUACAAUCUCUAUUUAUUUGAAAAGUUAAAAUUCAAGGACUAUGACUCGUUACUCGAAAAUAGGUUCGCCGGUUGUCAAGCUAGAGCAAAUCAUUUGGCAUCGGUUCUUGAAAAUGGUGACGCGAUUAGUGCGAAUGGAAAUCUGGUAAGGCCACACGACGAGCAUGAGAGUAAAGUGGACAAUGAAAAGGUUCUGGUAACAACAAGUACACAUUUCAUAUGUCAGUAUGUUGCAUCUUUUACUCAUUUUUUUUUGUUUCCCAUCCGGCAUCCGAUGCCCGCAUUGGAGCCCCGACUAAUCCGGAUCACACGUUGCAGGGAUCAUUAAGGUGGCAACGCUCCCAACAGAAUUUUCUCCAUACCCAAGGUCGAACCCUGGACCUCUAGUUAAGGGUGGAGCAUUUUCUUCCACUACACUACAACCCAUAUUGGUGCAUCUUUGACUCAUUGAACAAGUUAAAAGUUACUUGCUAAUAGACACUGGUAGUGAUUUAGCUUGGUGGCAAUGUAGACCACGUAAUGCAAAUAGAUGUAACAAACAGAAAAAUAAUCCUUUAUAUGUUUUAACUAAUUCAAAAAUAUAUCAAAAGCUCGAUUGCCUUGUAGAAAGUAGAAACUGUGAAAUCACAAAUAAGGAAUAUGAUUGUAGUCCGUAUGGUAAUACGUGUAUUUAUGAUUACAAAUACGUCGAUGGAUUACAUACACCAAGGAACCUUUUUCUUGAAUAUGUCACGUCAAAACAUCCAUCACCAAAGCAAAUAAAAAUGGGCUAAGAGUCUAUCCCUGGUGCAACCCUAUCAAAACUGGAAAGUGCUCUGAAUCUCCACCUACCAUCCUCACACGAGUCUAAUACCCAUCAUCCAUAUCCUGAAUCAACCUAGUGUACGCCACAGGGCCUCCCCUAGCCUCUAAGAACCUCCACAGAAUCUCCCUGGAAACUCUGUCAUAUGCUUUCUCAAGAACAAUAAACACCAAGUGUAAGUCCUUCUUCCUCUCCCAAAACUGUUCCACUAAUAUCCUCAAAAGGUGAAAGGCCUCAGUAGUCGAGCACCUUGGCAUGAAACCGAACUGAUUUUCAGAGAUCGUCACGAUCCUUAUCAUCCUCAACUUUACCACCCUUUCCCAAACAUUCAUAGUAUGACUCAAUAACUUAAUAUCUCUAUAGUUGUUGCAACUCUGGAUAUCUCUUUUGUUCUUAUACACUGGAAUCAUAGUACUCCACCUCCACGCUUCAGGAAUCUUCGUCACCCUAAAAAUACUAUUAAAUAACCUUGUCAACCACUCCAAACCUACCCCUCUAGUUCUCUUCCAAAAAUCCACUAGAAUCUCGUCUGUCCCCGUUGCCCUACCCCGCUGCAUCCUGCGAAUAGCUACUUUGACCUCCCCAACCUUGAUAUGCCUACAAUAACCAUAAUCGCGACACUCCUAAGAUUUCUUCAACUGCAUUUCAAACACUAAAAGUACUUACUUGUAUCAAUUACGGAAUUUCUAAUUUCAAAUCUUAAAUUUCAUUCAGUCUCAAUUCAAAAAUUAAGUACAUAAAAUUUAUUAGUUUAUUUUAAAUUUUCAGAUAUUGUUCUAUUGCUCAUUACUUUUACAAUGAUCAAUUUUAUGAUUAAUAUCUUUAAUUAUUUUAUUUAUACAUCUUAUUGUAUCUGCUAAGUUAAUUUAACUAAGCUCUCUCAAAUCACUCUCAAAAUCACUACCCCACCAAAUAUACACCCUCCUCCUAGCCUUACCCUACAGCCACUACCCCGCCUCCCUAGUUUUUAUUAUAUUUUACUUUAUCAGAUUUUUUGUAAAAUAUUUUUCUCACAUCACCCAUCUCUUAUACCCAAUCCACCUUCCACCAACAAAAAAUAUUUUAUUUUUCUUUAAAAUAAAAUUUUAUAUUGCUCCCACCCCUACUCCCCAAUACCCAUUCGACACCCUACCUAAUACACAUACAAAAAAAAUUAUUUUUGAUUUUUUUCUAAAAAAAAAUCUUUCCACCCUUCUGUCCUGAAUCCCAAGAAAAAUAAUUUUUUUUAAUCUUUUUUCUACCUAUCUCGCCCCUACCCCAUCUCAACGACCAUAAUAUCUUGUUCUUCCUCUCAUCCAUCACUUUGCCUCAAUGCAAUUUAUAAUUUUGUGUUAAGUAUACACAAAUGCUAUUAGAAAAUAUCUUUUAUUUACUAAUAAAAUAUCAAUUAUCAAUUUAUUUUAGCAUCCAUGCUAUUACUAAUGUCAAAUAAUCACAUCAAAUAAAAUUAUCUAUUUUUUAAGCUCAAAAUGAACUAAUAGCUACUAAUUAGUAUUUUUAUUAUCCUAAAUUUUUUGUAAAAAUAUUUACCUGAUUAAGUUCAAUCAUUUUAUAUCCCUCCAAUAAAUUAUGCUUUUUGUUAUCUAUUUAAAAUAAUUUGAGACGCAGCGGAUUAAUUCAUCAUCGAAAUGAAAUAAAAUAUAUAAGCAUACACCAUUAAAGAUUACGAUGAAAGCAUAUACAAAGAUUAAGAUUAAACAUUCAGCAAUAUAUUUUCAAAGAAAUCUUUCUAAGAAAAUUAACACUUGAAUUCAUAAAAAGAAAUCUUUAUAAUUAACUUUAACAAACAUGAAAGCAAUAGAAAAAGAUUAUGGUAGAGAUAUUUGAUUAUGAUGAUAAUAAAGAGUAGUCAAAAACAUGAAAGUAAUAGAAAGAGAUGAUGGACUCUGAUACCAUGAUAAUGAAAUGAACCUUGGACCUAACUCAACGUCAAAAGCUAGCUAAUGAGGUGAGGAUUGCUCAAGAUCAUAUAAGGAGACUAAGGACUCUUUAAUUCAUCGAUGUGGGACUCUCCCCUCCCUCUCCUUGCAUACCAAGACUGGACAUCUGAAGCAUAUGCAAUAUAGGAUGGGGGAAUCAACAUUGAAAACAAUGAAUUGGGUAGGCUUGACUCUGAUACCAUGUUGAAGGGUGUGACCAUUUCAUCUAAAUGUUUAACUAUUAGAGAGAGUACACUUUUACUAUUUAAUUAUAUUCUCAACAGUUACUUAAUAUGCUAUUUUGGCACUGAACAAAUGAACUUUACGUGGCAUUGCAAACUGAAGAAAGACACAAAAGUUUUCCUUCAAACAGUUCAAGAAAGAAUCUUUUGUCCUUUUGAAACAAAGAAAUAGAGUCACAUUUUAUGGCUUGUUUUGUCCCUACAGUUUAACUAAGAGCACUUUGAGUGGAGGUUUUUCUAUUAUUAAGGAUGUCCAAUUUUGGAAAAGUACUACUCCUUUAAUUUAAAAAAGAAUGGCAGACGAAACAACAUAUUAAUUUUAUACAUUAUAUUAACUCCUAAGUAGCAACAAAACUUGGAAUUACUUAGGUAGGAUUCCUACAUAAAUCGUUGCUAAGCCAGCUAACAAAUGACCCCUUAAUACCUUCUUUAUUUGUUCAUUGAGAAGACAGAGACCAAUGCAAGCAUAAUUCAAUUUAUGUGUAUAAUAUGUUCAGAACCAAGGUGAAGAAUAAAUACUUUACAUAAAUACAAAACUUACAAAAUGAGUUGACCCAAUUGAUAUAAACGGCUUGAUUUACUCAGCUCCUGAUUCAUCAAUUGAUGACUAUCGUAUUUUUUCAUGAGAUCUGGCAGGUAGGUUUUUUUUAUAACCAGAUUUUUUUUAUAAAAAAAAUAUGUACCACUAAUGCCUCUGCAGCAACAAAAUCUUCUGAAGCAUCCAAUGAAAGUUAAGAGACUCUCUUCUCUGCUAUAGCUUUUGGUGAAUCUCUUGCUGAAAUUGAUGAAAAUUAUUCACCAUCAUUUCGACCUAUCUUGUCAUUUUUCUCAUUUUUAGUUCGCUUUAUUAAAGUCAUUAAAAAAUUUCCCUAGCAAUUUAAGUUGUUGAUCUAAGAAUAGAGCAACUUUUUCAGGUGCAGCUUGCGGUGGAAGCUCACAAGUGGCGGCAUUUGCAGGAAACUUCGAAGAUCCAAUUAAGGAUGGACCAACUUCCUUCAAAAUAAACAAGAUUCAAGAUGGAUCAUUUUGACUGAACCUUUUUCCCUAUCUAUGUGCAACGAAUAUGUUGAUAAUAGUAGGUAUCAUAAUCUAGGUCGAACUGUUAGGUUAGAUAGUAACUCAAGAAUCUUUUAUCGAUUCCCCUUUCUUAAGAACCCCAAAACAAAAAUAACACUCGAACAAAAAAAAUUAAACUCAGACACAACAAAUUCUGGUUGUAUGAGAGGUUAUACAAAUUGGGGCUUGUAUAUAUACUCAAAUUUAGGACCAAAAUUGGGAAAAAAAUUGAAUGACAUGAAUAAAUACUUCAAAUUGUAAUCUCCACUUGGAUUCAAUCACAUUUAUUGCGUUUUUCUCAAAUUUUGGGUUUAAAAUCCUUAUGUUUUUUCAAGGUGUUUGUACUUUUGUCAAGUAUUGUUACUUGAACAAUUAUGUUAUUUUGGCGUUGAGCUAAUGAACUCUACGUGGCAUAAUAAACUGAAGAAUUGUGUCAAAAAGCUCAAGAAAGAAUGUUUUGUCUUUUUGAAACAAAGAAAUAGAGCCACAUUUCUUGGACUGAUUUGUCCACUCAUGGUGCUCUUUGUUCUUUUGUAGGGACAAAACAGUUCAACAAAUGUGGCUAUAUUUCUUUGUUUCAAAAAGUCAAAAGAUUCUUUCUUGAACUGUUCGAAACAUAACUUUUGUGUCUUUCUUUAGUUUGUUAUGCGACAUAGAGUUCAUUAGUUCAAUGCCAAAACAACAUAACAGUUCAAGUAACAUUACCUGAGAAAAGCACAAAUACCCUAAAAAACUUGAGGAUUUUAAACCCAACAUUUAAUAAAAAUGCAAUAAAUGUGAGUGAAUCCAAGUGGAAAUUUCAAUUUGGAGUGUUUAUUCAUGUCAGUCAAUUUUUUCCCAAUUUUGGUCCUAAAUUUGAGUAUAUGUACAAACCCCACUUUGUAUAACCUCUCAUACAAUCAACAUUUAUUGUGUCUUGUGUUUACCUUUUUCUUCUCGAGUGUUAUUUAUUUUUGGGGGUUCUUGAGAAAGGGGAAUUGAUAAGAGAUUCUUGAGUUACUACCUAACCUAGCAGCUGGACCUAGAUUGUGACAUCUAUUAUUAUCAAAAUUUUCCUUGCAUAUAGCUAGGGAAGAAUGAUCUUUUAAAAUGAUCCAUCUUGAAUCUUGUUUAUUUUGAAGGAAGUUGGUCCAUCAUUACCUGGAUCUUCAGCUUUCCUGCAAAUGCCGAUUUUGGUGAGCUUCCACUGCAUGUUGCACCUAAAAAAAUUGCUCCAUUCUUAGAUCAAUCACUUAAAUUGUUAUGGGAGGAUCCAAUAAUGACUUCUAUAAAGAGAUGUGAAAAGAAGAAAGAUGAAAAAAUAGGUCAAAAUGAUCGAGUAGAAUUUUCAUCAAUUUCAGCAAGAGAUUCACCAAGAGCUAUAGCCGAGAAGAGAGUCUCUCAACUUUCAUUGGAUGCUUCAGAAGACUUUGCUGCUAUGGAGGCAUUAGUGGUACAUUUUAUUAUGUUUUAGUUAUCAAAAAAACCCUACCUUCCAGAUCCCAUGAUAAAAGACGAGAUAUAUGAUAUUGGACUAUCAUCUCAAUCAGUAGGAAAGGGCCUAAAAUCUCUCACCUUUUCAUUGCUGAUGAUCUAACUCUUUGUGCUGCUGCUAAUGAAAGAGACUGUGAAACCAUCCGAGCCAGUCUUAGCAGCUUCACCUUCCAGUCUGGCCAAAAAAUUAACACUCUCAAAUCCAAAGUAGUCUUCUCUAGAAACUGUGCUCAGGAGACCAAAUAUAGUUUGUCUCACAUCUUAGGCAUCCAAUCCAAAGACAAGUUUGGCAAAUAUCUUGGUUUUCCCGUCUUCCACAAAAGUCCUUGCAAUAGAGAUUUCCAAUUCAUCCUAUACAGUCUAAACACUAAAUUGGCUGGAUGCAAAACCAAAUUCCUCAAUAUGGCUGGCAGAAUUACCCUUACCAAAUCGUCCCUUGCUAGUAUUCCCGCUCAUGUCAUGUAAUUCAUCUUGAUCCCCUCUAAAAUCCACUAAUUGAUUGACAAAACCCUAAAUAACUUUCUUUGAGGCACCACCCCUGAUAAUAAGAAAAUCCAUCUAAUCAAUUGGGAAACAUUGACUAAUGCUAAUGCUAAUGGGGGCUGGGCCUCCAAAAAUCUUCCAUAAGGAACACCACUAUGCUAUCCAGUCUAGCUUGGAGACUUUGCAAGCGCCCCAACAGUCUCUGGGCAAAAAUUGUUUAAAAUAAAUUAUCCCCCAUGGCAUAUCCCUCAAAGACAACUAAUGACUCUGCAGCAACAAAUCUUCUGAAGCAUCCAGUAAAAGUUGAGAAACUCUGUUGUCGGCUAAAGCUUUUGGUGAAUCUCUUGUUGAAAUUGAUGAAAAUUAUUCACCAUCAUUUUGACCUAUUUUGUCAUUUUUCUCAUUUUCAGUUCUCUUUAUAAAAUUCAUUAUUGGAUCUUUUCCCCUAGUAAUUUAAGUGGUUGAUCUAAGAAUGGAGCAACGUUUUCAGGUGCAGCUUAUGGUGGAAGCUCACCAGUGUUGGCAUUUGCAGGCAACUUGGAAGAUCCAGCUAAGAAUGGACCAACUUCCUUCAAAAUAAACAAGAUUCAAGAUGGGUCACUUGGACUGAUCCUUUUUCCCUAUCUAUGUGCAACGAACAUGUUGAUAAUAGUAGGUAUUAUAAUAUAGGUCCAACUUCUAGGUUAGAUAGUAACUCAAGAAUCUUUUAUCAAUUCCCCUUUCUUAAGAACCCCAAAAAAUAAAUAACACUCGAGCAGAAAAAGUAAGCUCAGACAUAACAAAUCCUGAUUGUGUGAGAGUUUAUACAAAGUGGGGUUUGUAUAUAUACUCAAAUUUAGGACCAAAAUUUGGAAAAAAAAUUGAUUGACAUGAAUAAAUACUUCAACUUGUAAUCUCCACUUGGAUUCACUCACAUUUAUUGCGUUUUUCUCAAAUUUUGGGUUUAAAAUCCUUAUGUUUUUUCAAGGUGUUUGUGCUUUUCUCAGGUAUUGUUACUUGAACAAUUAUGUUAUUUUGUCCUUGAACUAAUAAACUCUAUGUGGCAUAAUAAACUGAAGAAUGACACAAAAGUUUUGUUUCAAACAGUUCAAAAAAAAAUGUUGUCUUUUUGAAACAAAGAAAUAGAGCCACAUUUCUUGGACUGAUUUGUCCACUCAUAGUGCUCUUGCUUUUCCCGUCUUCCACAAAAAACCUUGUAAUAGAGAUUUCCAAUUCAUCCUAGACAAUUUCAACACUAAGUUGGCUGGAUGGAAAACCAAAUUCCUCAAUAUGGCUGGCAGAAUCACCCUUACCAAGUCUUCCCUUGCUAGUAUUCCCGCUCAUGUCAUGUAAUUCAUCUUGAUCCACUCUAAAACCCACUAAUUGAUUGACAGAACCCAAAAGAACUUUUUCUGGGGCACCACCCUUGAUAAUAAGAAAAUGUAUCUAAUCAAUUGGGAAACAUUGACUAAUAAUAAAGCUAAUGGUGGCCUGGCCUCCAGAAAGCUUCCAUUAGGAAAACCAUUAUGUUAUCCAGUCUAGCCUGUGACUUUACAAGCAUUCCAACAGUCUCUGGCCAAAAAUUCUUUAAAAUAAAUUAGCCCCCAUGGCAUAUCUGUCAAAGCCAACAACUUUAGAACAUGGAAAAGUGUCAUUAUAGGUUGGAAAAUUUGUAAAACUGCCUUCUCUUGGAACAUCCAUAUGGAUGCCUCACUGUGAACUCCUUUUUUCCAUCAUCCAAGCCCUUCUUCCUUAUCAUUCCCAAGACAUUAAAAUCUCUAGGGUCUAGAGGAAUGGCUCCUGAAACCUCAAGGAUCUUCCGGUUGAAAUCCCCAAGGAUCUUAUUCAAACUUUCACCAACUCUGUUUUCCCCAAUCGCGAAGCCCAUAUUGAUAAGCUCAUUUGGAAUCUCACUAGUAAUUGUCUGUUCUCCAGCAGCAGAAGUGCUAAUAAUCAUAUAGCCAAAACCUCUGAGAUCAAAUCAAAGGUUAAAUCCCCUAAAAAGUCAAAACCUUUCUUUGGCUAAGACAGCAUGAUAGGUUCCCCAAUAACCUUAACCUCUCCAAGAGAGGAGUGAGACAAAAUACUAGUUGUGUUAUCUGCAAUCAUCACCAGGAAGACAAAUCUCACAUUUUCUUUAAGUGUCCCAUCCUCAAAGAUUUUGGAGUGCAAUCUAUCCAGAAGAUAACCCAGUCCAAACAACCUCCUAUUACUAGUGUCCUACCCUCUUACUGGCAUACUAUCUGAAGAUCUCUUCAACACUCCUAAUUCAACAGACUAAUCCACUGGCACAACCUUAUUUCUUUCAGCCUCUAGACAAUAUGGAACACCAGGAACUCUAAUACCUUCAAUAACAGAAAGGACCAUCCCAAUUUUAACCAUGCUUACCCCCAAACUAUUAAGUAUAAACAUCUUACUCAAAAUAAUACCCCAAUCAAGAAAAACCAAAUCAUCAACGUUAAGAGGAAUCCUCCCACCAACCACACCUUCAAGAUCAAUACUGAUAAUUCUUGCCUUAGAAACCUCAGGAAGGGUGGAGUAGGAAAGGUAGUCAGAACCAAUAAUGGAGGCUGAGUGUUAGGUUUUACAAAAACUUUCACCAGACUACCAACAACAUGAUGGAACUUAUGGCUCUCAUUGAAGGAUUAAAACUGGUAGAGCAAAAUAAUCUUCUCCCCACUGAAAUUAACAUUGAUUCCUUGGAAGUUAUAUCUAUGUUAACUAACGGAAACCUCCACUAUGAUACUUUGAUUUUGGAAAGCAGGUCAAAAUUAAAAAAGGCUAAGGAAUCCGGAAGUCAAGCACUGUUAUAGAGAACAAAAUAAAGUGGCGGAUGCUCUAGCAAAAGACGGAGCAAGGGCAAGCGGGUUUCAGGAGACUACACUUUUGGAAGUUCCAUCGAUAUAUGCAAAAGAUGUAGUUUGAGUAGAUAUCUCGGAAUCUUUUUGAGAGAACAAUUAGCUCUUGUACUGAUGAUUAUAACGGGCCAGUCCAGAAAUAUUCCUUUUUGAACCCUGACUAAUUGUCAAAAAUUGAAACUUAAACUGUGUUCUCUUUUAUAUUAAUGAAUGUCCUUUCUACCAAAAAAAAUAAUAUUAUUUCGCUUAUUGAAUCAUCGAAAAGAAGAGAUAUUUAUAUCAAUUUAAAUUUAUGGACCUAGAACAUUCAAAAAGAAAGAUAAGUUGAAAAUGUUAUAUCAUUCCUCCAUAUCGAAAGAAUGUUAUCAAAUCAAGAAUAAUUUUUUUAAAUGAAAAAUUAAAAAAUGCUGUAAAUAAAUUUACGAAUAAAGCAAAUGAUAGAGAAGUAUAUAUAAGAAAGGCUAAGUGAUAGAAUUUCAUUUAUAUUCAGAUUUCAUUUAAAUACAAAUUCAAAUAUCCCAUAUGUUUAUUAAAAUAAGAUUAAUUUAUUAUUCUUCCUUAUCCUUAUCCUUACAUUUUUCAAAUACAAUAUAUAUUUAAAAUUAAGAUAGAUUUGAGUUGAGAUAAAUAUUGAAAUCAAUGAGACAAUACUAAUACUAAUACUAAUACUAAUACUAAUACUAAUACUAAUACUAAUAUUACUACUAAUACUAAAACAAAUGCUAAUACUAAUACUAAUACAAAUACGAAUAACAAUAAUAACAUUUUAACUAUUUUUACUUUACCACUAUUAGAUUGCACUACUAUUACUAUUACUAUUAUUAUUUGAGAUAAAUAUUAAGAUAAAUCGUAUAGCAAAAAAAAAAAUUGUGUCCCAUGAUUACUAAUUAAGUACCUCUAAAUUAUAAGUUUAUCUUUGAAAGUAUGUUUUAUCUCCAAUUUAAAUUCAAAAAAAUUUGAUAGAAUAACGAAUAUCUUAGAUGAGUGGUUAAAACCGUCAAUAUAGGUCAAGCACGUUGAGAUGGCCCAGCCAAGCCUGUAAUUGGGUAGGCUGGGCUACAAUUUCUAUAGCCUAUUUAAGAAUAGGGCUUUUUAGCCCUUCGUGAAUAAGUUUAUUGACCCGUCGGCUUAAGCAAUAUGGGUUUGGGUAACCCGUGGGUCAAAUAAAAAUAAUUAAAAAAUAAAAUAUAGUACUAAGAAAAAAAAAGGAGUCCAAACUCAAAGUCUAUAUGAACCAUCAUAUAUAUAUUUAAAUAUUAAUUAUAUUUAUAAAAUAUAUAAAUAAUUAACAUAUAAAAUAUAAUUUUUUUUAAGAAAUCAAAUAUGUUUGAUGAAGAUGACGUGGUGAUGUUGAAUACACCAUAAAUGACAUUUCGUUGUGUUUUAUUGUGAUCAAUUAAAACAAAAUUAGGUAAAUAUUGUUAUUUAGCGAGUUAUGUUAUUACUCAUUAAUUAUUUUAUUUAUUUUUCAAUAUCUCUCUUUGAUUUUAAUUUGGUGCCAAAAGUUAUUCAAUUUCACAGAUUAUUAGGAUCUUUUACUAAAUUUUAGACUUGAUUAAUGAGUAGUAACUUCAAGAAAUAUUAUAUUGUAAAUAUUUAUGCAAUUAAUAUUUUAAAAUUUAAAUUAAGAUUAUAAAAAUAAUAUAUUUUAAGAAAUGGGCUGGCCCGUGGAGGCCCACAACCCAGAGUGUGACGGGUUGGGCUUGCUAUUUUCUAGUCUCUCAUGUUGAUGGGUCAGCCUGGCCGGGCCCUUUAAACUCUAAAGUCUGUGUCAGCUAGACCGGAUGAGCUGGUCCGAUCCAUAUUAAUAACUCUAGGAGCAGUUAUAUAACGAUAAGAAUCCAAUUAGAACUGUUUAGUAUUAUAACUAUCUACUUCUAAUAUAUAAUUUUAUAUUUUUUUAAUAUUAUUUUAAAUUUAAAGUCAACAAUUUAUUUGUAACGCCCCAAGAUCCCAUCCUGAGACGUCACAUGGUGCUUAAGGCCACACGCGGCCUUAAGCUUAUCCUCUAAACCUAUCAUCUCUUCGUGAACUCAUUUUGACAAUAGUCAUGCUAAUUUAAGAGAGAAUGACAUAUCAUAAACAUACUGGAAAAAGAUACGAAACUAGCAUGUACAAUCCAAAAUACUGAAAUUCUGUACGUACUAACCUUUUAGCUUGACAAAGCCUCUAUACAUCAAAAUCAAGGAGACAUUGGGAAAAACCCCCAACUAACUCAAACAGUACUGAAAUCCAUAACAACAAAACGGUAUCACAAAAUUAUAAACACGGUCCUCGAACCAUAAGGACUCACCACUGAGCAGACGAAAAGAGGCACCCAUAUAUCGCUAAUGCGACUGAGUACCUGAACCUACAUUAAGAGAAUAUGUAGCCCUUAGGAAAAUAUGUGGGUCAGCACUUUGGAAUGUACUGAGUAUGUGGGGGUGCAUGCAACAAUGUAAAUAUCGUCAUCAAUUUCAUAAAAAUAUGCAUAUGUACAAUGAUGGCUCACUUGGCCUGAGUUAGAUUGAAACAUACUUUUCAUGAUCUCAUAGUAAAUAAAUCAUAUGAUAAAAAACUCAUAAAUACACAAAAACAACUCAACUCUUCAACUCAAGACUCGGAGUUACUCUAUAAUUCAAGAAACAUGACUCUUAUGGACAUGGGAGGUUCUUAUAACCGAUAUAAACCAUAUGAGCUACAUGGAGUCCAAUGUUUUACCCUCCUAAGGAGAGAACCCCACAUUGGCGGGAGUGUCGUACUCUUGUCAGGGAGUACAACCUAAAUUUAGUGAUCACAAUCUCAUACUCGGCCUCUGGCCCACAAUUAUCAAUAUCAAUCCUACGAUGGCACGUAGUUUCAGGAGAAAUACCACAUUUCUCGCUCAGUGCUAAAUACUACUCCCAGACACAAGCUCAGAACACGUUAGCAAAUCUACCACAAACAUCACAAGAGUCUAUCAUGAAGACAAAAUCAAAUCUCUUUCUCAUUUAUCAAAUCAUAAUCAAUUUGUGGAUUCCUAACUCGACUCAAAUCAAAUCAGUCUUUCUCAAUAUCAAAAUGCAUCAAUUCAUUAAGUCAUGGCAACAUCAAUAACUUUGAGUAAAUAUAAAGUCUCAUUGUAACAAUUCAAUUCUCAUGAAUCAAUAUACUCUAUAGUUCAAUUUGUCAUAAGGAAGCUUAAAGCUUGACACAUAUCUUAAAAGCACUUGAAAUACCACCUCAUGGUAGAAACUUGAAAUUCACAAUAUUAAAUAUCAAGUCAUACUUAGAAAUUGUAAAAUAAUCAUGUAUAACAAAGCUUGAACGAUUUAUAUUCUCAUAAUCUCAUGAUGAAGUAAUUUGGGUAUAAACCCACUUGCAAAAACAUAUAAAUCCAUAAUAAAAAUCAAAGCUUUAAGCACAAGAAUGAAAGAAUUUCUCUUGUGUAAAACCCCACAUACCUUAAUCUUUGAAAUUGGUUGAACUCUAGUGCUGGAGACUUUACUAACACUUGUAAUAAAAAAAUUCUUGAAGCCCACUCUAUGAGAAACUUGAUUCUUAAAGGAAUCUUGAAGAUUUAUGGAUGAUUUUGGGAAGAUUAAUUUCCUUAAAUAAAACCGUAGAUAUAUUUCAUAAGAGAAUUGAAAGAGAGAAAUGAAGAAAUUAUGUUUUGGAUGAGGAUUCUCAUAUAUAUAGAGGCCUCUACAAAUGGGAAAUGACUAAAAUACCCCUUAAAAAAUUGUCCAUCAAUUGCUGAAAAAAUAGCUAACGACAUUCGUGACAAGUUGUCAGGCCCGUGAUAGGCCGUCACGAAUUGUCGUCACAAAAAGGGUGGAUUUUGUGCCUUUCUACCUUAAGGUGACGACAUUUUGUGGCGGGCCAUCAGGCUUGUGACAAGUCGUCACAAAAGGUCGUCACGGAUUUUCCAGGUUGAUACGCUAGAGUAAAAUAAGCAUCUCUUUGCUCCGAAUUUGGAUUUUGAUGAAAUGGGUAUCGUUGGAAAGCUAAUUCAAUUAUAUAUCUUUUGGUAGAUCAUGAGCUCAAUAAUUAGUAGUACAGUGGGAGAUAUGCUCAUUUGAAUUUGACUAUGCCAAAAUCAUUCUCAAGAAUUCAAUCGGUAAAGAAUGUUUUGAUUAGCCCAAGCGUUAGGACAUCUUUAAAGCCUUAAUACACACCACCCUUGACCAGAAAACAACCAAAACACUAUAAUUUAAUUCUCAUGAGCUUGAGUCAUGGCGGCACUAUUGGUUAGAAUCUCGGGGUAUUACAAUACCUCCUCCUUGGAAACAUUUGUCCUUGAAUGUUGCUAGAUAGGCCAAAAACAACAGAAAAAUGAGGACGUAUUGAUGGAACGACUCACUCAAUAGACUUUCUUCACUCUAUACCUUCGAAUACUUUAGAAAAUACACGAAUUUAUGAUGAAAGUAGACACACUGCUGAAUCUUUAAUAAAAAGGGGGCGGAAUAGAGAAAGAAUGAUACCUUCUGCUCGCUCCGAACUCAAAGAAAAGAGGUGAGUGUACUUGGCUUGCAUAUCAGCUUCGUCUUCCCGAGUAUCACUCUCAACAGAUUGAUUUCCCCAAAGCACUUUAACCAAAAAAACUUCUUUGUUCCUUAGCCUACGGAUCUGAAAAUCCAAAAUCUCAACCAGAAUCUCCUCGAAUGAAAGGCUAUCCUGAAUAUCUAAGCUUUUGGAAGAAUCAACCAUGACAGAAUCACCAAUACACUUCUUAAGCAUAGAAACAUGAAAUACCAGAUCAAUGCUAGACAACUCCGCAGGUAAAUCCACCUCAUAAGCUACUUUCCCAACACGGCUCAGAACCCUGUGUAGACCAACAUAACGGGGACUAAGCUUUCCCUUCUUUCCAAAUCUCUUCACCCCUUUCAUGGGUGAAACCUUCAAGUACACCAAAUCACUAACAUUAAACUCAAGAUCUUUUCUUCUCACAUCCGCAUACGACUUCUGACAACUUUGAGCGGUUUUCAAUCUUUCUCGAAUCAACUUAUCUUUUUCCAUAGCCUCAAACACAGCAUCCGGCCCAAUUACAGCUGCUUCUCCUACUUCAAACCAACCUAUGGGCAAUAUACAUCUUCUCCCAUACAAAGCUUUAAACGGGGACAUCUGAAUACUAGCAUGGAAACUAUUAUUAUACACAAAUUCGAUCAAUGGCAAGUGCUCAUCCCAACUACCUUUGAAAUCAAGCGUACAUGCCCUCAACAUGUCCUCCAAAGUCUUAAUAGCCCUCUCAUCCUGACCAUCGGUCUGCGAAAGGAAAGUAGAACUUAAACGAACUAGGGUACUAAGACCCUUCUGAAAAGCCCUCCAAAACUGGGAAGUAAAUUGAGUACCCCUAUCAGAGAUGAUAGCCAAAGGAACUCCAUGCAAUCUGACUAACUCACGGAUACACAAUCUAGCAUAAUCCUCAGCUGUAUAAGAUGAAUGCACUGGCAAGAAAUGAGCUGAUUUAGUCAACCGGUCUACGACAAUCCAAAUCGAAUCAAGAUGAUGACGAGAAGGGGGAAAACCAAUUACAAAAUCCAUAUUCACUUCUUCCCACUUCCAAUUAGGAAUGCUAAUAAGAAAAUAUGCACACUCCUCGUCCAAUUGCUAACAACGACACUGCUACUGCCUCAACUGUGUACGUGUAAAGAUGACGCCAUAUAGCAUUUGUCAUCUUCAUGAUGCCCAAACUCUUUUAUCAGCGGACCUACCCAACCUGUCACCUCAUUUUUUGCUUUUAUAAUGGCAUAUCCUUCCAAGUUUCAUACACCAUCCAUUUUAUUUUAAUUAGAUAAAUAAUAUCUAUUUUAAUUUAUUUGUGUAAUUUAUAAAAUUAUAAAAAAAAUUAUUACGUGAAGUAUUAAAUGAAGUGAAAGGUGUAUUCUACUAAUAUGUAAAUGCUAGUUCCAUUAAUCCGUAUUCCGUACUAAGCUCAGAUCCAAACAACUCUACAUAUAAAUAAUAAUAAUUAAAUUUUAAAAAAUAAUUUAUAUUAUAUUUUUUACUUUGGAUAAUUUUUUAAAAAAAUUAUUUGUAUGGAAGAAAGUAUUACAGGAGAAUUAGAAUAUAACAAGAGACCACAAGUAAUUUAAUAUUUUAUAAAAUAACAUGAUACAACAACAACAAUAACAACAUACUCAGUGGAUUUCCACAUAGAGGGGUCUGAGGGAGGGUAGAGUGUACGCAGAUCAUACCACUACGUAAGAUGAAUUAGAGAGUCUGUUUUCGACAGACCACCGGCUUAGGACCGAUAGCAGUAUAACAAACACAAAACAUCAAUGCAUAAAAACUAGUACAGUCUGCAAAAUAAACUAACGUCACUAGCCAUAAGAUAAUACUAUAGUCACAAGAUAAUACUAAAACUAUCUAUCCGAAAUCAUAGACAUCACUCAAUACCAUGAACAACAAACUUCAAACACAAAUAAAGAAUGCUCCCCUAUUGUUACCGACACACUCUCAACCCCAAACCCUCUACCCUAAUUGGCAUUCUCCACACCUUCCUAAUAUUAUCCCUCCAAUAUUUGUUUGGUCUACCUCUACCCCACCUAAAAUCAUCCAUAGCCAGUGUCUCACACCUCCACACUGGAGCAUCAGAGCCCCUCUUCAUCCCAAGCUCGCACCAACGUAACCAUGCUUCUCGUAUCUUGUCCUCCACCAAGGCCACUCCUACCUCUCCCGAAUAAUCUCAUUUCUUACCUUAUCUUUCCUAGUAUGGCCUCACAUCUAUCGCAAUAUUCUCAUCUUCGCCACCUUCAACUUUUGAAAGUGGGAGUUCUUAACUGGCCAAUACUCUCCAUACAACAUAGUCGGCUGGACUGCCACUCUGUAGGACUUCCCUUUAACCUUCGGGGGCAUCUUCUUAUCAUAUAAAACUCCCAAAGAGAGCCUUCAUUUAAACCACCCAUCCCUAAUAUGAUGUGUGACAUCUUCGUUAAUCUCACGAUUGUCUUAAAUCAUAGACCCCAGAUACUUGAAACUCUGUUUUUUCUGAAUGGUCUGAGAGUCUAGCUUCACAACCAUGUCAGCCUCCUACGACACAUCUCUAAACUUACACUUCAAGUACUCUCUAUUGGUCCUGCUUAACCAAAAUCCUUCAGACUCAAUGGUCUGUCUCAAAAUCUCCAACUUAUCAUUAACUCCUCCCCGAGUCUUGUUAAGCAGUACCACAUUAUCAGCAAAUAAUAUACACCAAGGCACCUUCUCUUGAAUAUGUCUUGUCAAAACAUUCAUCACCAAGGCAAAUAAAAAAGGGCUAAGAGUCAAACCCUGAUGCAACCCUACCAAAAUCAUAAAAUGCUCUGAAUCUCCACCUACCGUCCUCACCCGAGUGUUUGUGCCAUCAUACAUGUCCUAAAUCAACCUAGUGUUCGCCACAUGCACCUCUCUAGCCUCCAAACACCUCCAAAGAAUCUCUUUGGGAACUCUGUCAUAAGCCUUCUCAAGAUCAAUAAACACCAUGUGAAAGUCCUUCUUCAUCUGCCAAAACUGUUCCACUAAAUUCCUCACAAGGUGAAUGUCCUCACUUGUCGAGCGACCUAGCAUGAAAUCGAACUAAUUCUCAGCGAUAAUCACGCUCCUUCUCAGCCUCAACUCUACCACCCAUUCCCAAAUCUUCAUAGUAUGACUCAACAACUUAAUACCUCUAUAGUUGUUACAACUUUGGAUGUCUCCCUUGUUCUUACACAAUGGAAUCAUUGUACUCUACCUCCAUGCUUUAGGCAUCCUUCCCUCUCUAAAAAUGAUGCUAAGAACCUUGUCAACCAUUCCUAACCUGCCCUACCAGUGCAUUCUAAAAAUCCACUAGAAUCUUAUCUGGCCCCAUCGCCCUACCUCAACGCAUCCUGCGAAUAGCCCUCUUGACCUCCUUAACCUCGAUAUAUCUACAAAAACCAUAGUCGUGACACUCCUCAAAUUUCUCCAAGUCCCCAAACACGAAACCUUUGUCCCUUUUAUCUUUCAAAAGUUUUGAAAAUAGGACUGCCACCUUUUUUUAAUGACAGCAUCCUCCACCAACAUAAUACCAUCCUCAACCUUGAUGCACUUAUCCCUGCCUUUCUCCUUUAAAGCUGCAUACAAGCUCUCAAAAGCUAUCAUUUUAGCCACUGUAACCGCUAACUUAGCCUCUCACCUAGCUAUAGCUUAUACUCUUCCUUAUUUGUCCGCCUCUCUUGAUCAUUCUUGCUCUCAACCAAUUUAGCAUAAGCCACCUUCUUAGACUCAACCUUCCUCAUAACCUCUUCAUUCCACCACUAGUACCCUCGAUGUUUGCCAAAUUGACCUCUCAAGACACUAACACCUCUCUAGCGAUCUCCCUAAUGCAACUGGCAAUCAUCUCCCACAAACUAUCCACAUCCCCUCUACUCUGCCAAGCCCCCUUCUUCUCAACUUCUCCCCUAUCUUCAAAGAAUUACCCAAAGUCAAGCUACCCCACUUAACCUUAGGCCGAACCUCCACACUCCUCUUCUUUCAGCCCUUAUUGAUUACCACGUUCAUCACCAACAACCUAUGUUUAGUCAAAAUAUUAUCUCUAGGUAUAACUUUACAAUCUUUACAUAGUGUUCUAUCACUCUUCUUAAGGAGCUAAAAGUCUAUCUGAGUCUUGGCCACUAAACUACGAAACAUUUCGAAAAUCUCAAAUUCGUUAUCCAUAACCCAAAAGCCCUAGAAAAAUCCUAAAUUGAAAUCUCCAUACACAUCAUCAUAACCUUUCGAUGAAGGCCCAAUAUGCCCAUUGAGGUCUCCUCUCACAAAAAGUUUCUCAGUGCUCGGGACGCCCCUCACCAUCUCAUUCAAAACCUCCAAAACCAUUCUUCUCUUCCUCAUCCAAACCUAAUUGCGGAGUAUAAACACUAAUAACAUUCACCAUUAUUCCUCCCAUGACCAACUUAAUAGGCAUCAACCUAUCACUAAUCUUUUAACCUCUACCACCUGCUCCCUAAGUUCUUCAUCUACUAAGAUACCUAUCCCAUUUCUAUGUCUCAUGCUACCCGAGUACCAUAACUUAUAUCCAUUCACAUCUCUCACCUUAGUAACUACCAUUUAGUUUCCUGGGCACACACUAUACUAACCCUCCGUUUUCCAAGAAUAUUCACCAGCUCUAUAGACUUACCUUGAAGCGUUUCUAUGUUCCAGGACCUAACUUUCAACCUAUAAGCACCCUUAUCCAACUUAGCCCUACUAUCCCUCGCCCUCAACCCAAGACUAAAACCUCGACUCGACCCCAACCCCAACCUCGACUUAUGUCAUGACCCUAGUUCAUCAUCUAUCAACCCAACCACCACUCAAAAGGAUAUGAUAGAAGAAAAUAAAGGAAAAAAAUCCAAAAAACAUGAUAUGAAAAAGAGUAUGACUAAAAAUAGCUAAAUCAACAAACAAAAACCAGUAAGCAGGAUUGAUACUCACAAGCAACAACAAGUACUAUACUAAUCACAAUCAAUGAACACUUACUAAGUUACAGAGAAACCGUAACCAAUAAUCCCACAGCAAUAAUAAAAAAAAUCAAACAACAAAUCAGGAUUGAAAAAAGACAAGAAGCAUAUACCAAAUAAACUAGAGAACAAUGAAAUGAGUGCACCUGAUACUGGGAGAAGACAUAGUGAAAGACGUUUUGCCGAUUGUUUUGUCGAAUUCCGACAAAUUGGCGCAGAAAUUGGUUGUCAGAAUUUGUUACCACCACUUUUACCCUACUGCUGGACCACAUCCCCGUACUUGGUUGCUAAAGAAUGUGUUGGACACCAAAAAAAUGAGCUAGAAAUCGAAAUCUUGAUGUCGCCGCCUGAAGUGCGUAUCUGAACUUGAAAAGGGUUAUAAAGAAAAUAAAAGAGAAGAAAAUAAAAGCGAUGAUAAAAUUGCCAAAAAUUGAAAUCACUCACCAAAAACUGAUGUGGUUGUUGGGCCACAUAGAUAGGAAGCCGAAAAAGCCUCUAUCAUUUUAGUGGUCGGCGCAAGAAGCAGUAGAGAAAAAGACGACGAUUGCGCCAGAAUUUGAUAGGGUCGCCGAAACUGAUAGGUUUAUCGAGAUGUGUUUAUGGUGGCUGACGUAAGUAAUUUAUCAGCGGCAGAUUGGUGGUUCUCUACUAUUGCCAAAAUCUUCAAAACACGAAGAGAUAGGUUAAUUUCGUCGGCGCCGUUGAUUGAAAAUUUGAAAAAUGCUAAACCCUCAGCAUAUAUGACAACUAUUAAUGUCAUCAAUUUAACUUGAGACGCCCAUUCAAUAAAAUAACAUGAUAAUAUUUUAAUAAUUACAAGUCAAUGCUGAUUAAAAAUAGAAAAAUAUUGAUUUUAAUGAAUUUAUGGGUACAAAAUUUCUCAGUUAUAAAUAGAAAUAAAUUUAGUUUAAUAUUUAAUAUUUUAUUUUCAAUUUCAUGUGACAAGAGUUGCAAAAUUCAUUGUUUUCAUCUAAUACAACAAAGUAUUUCAACCACUUCAAGUAUAUAUAAAAUAGUUACAACAUUAAUUUAGAACCUUUACACAAACUAACUUAAUCGUGAUCUAUAAGGAUAUUAAAUAAUAAUUAAAUUACAUUAACCGAUUAUUCCAUUCCGUCCAUUUACUUAUCAUGUUAAUUUUUUAAACACCCUUUAAAAAUAUUCUAUUCAUUCUACUCUAAUUAUUGAUUUAUCCUUUUUCAUGUUUGCUAAGAAAAAUAAUAAAGGCAUUGUACUAUUUAUUAUUGUUUAAGUUAUCCUAUUUAAUACUCCCUCCAUUUCACAAUAAGUGAAUUAUUGGAGUAUUUUUAGUGUUACAAAAUAAGUGAAUUAUUCACAAUUUAAGGUAGAUGUUGAAAUUUUUUUCCAAAUUUAUCCUCCAUUAAAUGUGCACUGGGAGUGAUGUAUCAUGUGUCUUUGCUUUUUGAAGAGGGUAAAAAUAAAAAAGCAUGAUAAAUUUAUGUCUUUGCUUUUUUUUUUUCUUAACAUGUGUGCCGAAAUUCUACAAUAAACUUAUUGUGGAACGAAGAGAGUACUAUAUCUUUUUUAAGAAGUGAACAUCAGUGAUUAUAAGGGUGUAGUUGAAAAUUAUUACUAACUUUAAUUUUAUGCGAAAAUUUAUUUCUAAAUAAAUUUUUGGAGCAAAAAUAAUUAUUAAUUUAAAAUGAAGGAAAUUUUAAUUAAAAGACAACCUAUGGCAAGAAAAAAUCAUUUGCAAAUACACAAGUGAAAAUGGUCUUAACAAAAAGAAUAAGGAGAAAAAUAAAAAUAUUUAGCAAAAGAACAUCAUCAAUCCUUGUGAGGACUACCGAAAUUGAGAUCUUGUCUUAUAUAUAAUAGUUAAUUGUAUUCUUUUUUUCAUAUUGUUAACACUGUUUACAAUAAAGAUUACAGUGACAGGAACAAAUUCCAGUCACAAUGCAAAUAAAUUAUUAAAAAAUAAGAAUUUUAUUGAUAAAUGAUAUGGAUAUAAUUCUGUUACUCCUUUGAUUCUUCUUUCUUUAUUUUUCUCCAUAAUUCGAGGACAAUUAGUAGCGUAUUUCAAGAAUGUAGAAAGAUUUAAAUUUGAUAUGAAUUUUUAGCGUAUUUCUCGAAUGUAAAAAGAUCUGAAUUAGAUAUGAUUUUUUUUGUAAUGCAAAGGUCGUUAGUAGCGAGUUUCUUGAAGGUAAGAAGAUUUAGAUUUGAUAUAGAUUUUCUUCGUAAUUCGAACGCCGUUAAUAAUAUAUUUCUUGAACGUAGAAAUAUUUGAAUUUGAUCUCCAUAAAAGAAGGGUUUAUGGAUCUUCUUGAUAUAUUUGAUUUUCAAAAGGAGAGUGAUAUUCAAUGAGUUUAUGAAAUUAUCGGGAGAUGAUUAAUCUCUUUAUUAAGGGUUUAGAGUAGACUAGCCACCAAGUUAGGUUUAGUGUAAAGUAACCCCUAAUAACUCUAAUAAGAAUUGACUUCUUAUUAUAGAGUUCAAAAAACUAUGAUGUCUAUAAACGUUUUGUAUUUUCAGACAUUAUGACUACAAAAUCCUUUGCUGAAAUCUCAAAAUACAAUUAUUUUACUUCUUUGAGAUGAUGAAUGAAGUACGUGUUAAUUUAGUGGAGUCACUUAGCUCAAGUCAUUCAUGCGGAGUACCAUGAAAUCAGAAAACUACAUCAUGCUAGGAGAAGAGAAAAGUAAUAACAAAAAUACCAUAUUUAGCACAUUUUCAUAGCUCGAACUCGUGAUCCCCUGAUCACAUGGAGGGAACUAUCCAUAAUAAUUCAGACAAAUACUUCUGAUAGAUAAUCACAAAUUUCCAAGCAAGACUAAAUCUUUUAAGUAUUUUACUACACACAAAGACAAAAACAAAGGGCAGUCUGGUGCACUAAGUUCCCAUUAUGUGCUAGGUCCCAGGAAAAAACUGGACCACAAAGGUCUAUUAUACACAGUCUUACCACUAUGGACCCCUCUUUCCACAGCUCGAACCUAUGACUUUCUGGUCAUACGAAAACAACUUUACCAGCUACGACAAGGCUCCUUGUCUUACACAAAAAAAUAACAUUUGUAAAAAUGAAAUCUUUAGAAAUUUUUUAAAAUUCUUUCUACCCAAAUUUCCAAGAUAAGCUAAAAUAUAACACUGAUAACAUAUGGUUAAAUAAACAAUAAUCAAAACAUGCAAACUACUAAAAAAAAUUCAGGCAAAUAAUACUUGUUAUACAUCAAGAUUAAUUUUGAACAAUAGCUUAAAAAAAAUAUCACUUUCUCACAGCUGAAUAAUGAAAUUCCAAUUUCGCCCUUAACAUUAUGUCUCCAUUGAUGAUGGAUACUGUAGCAUUAAGAGCCAAUUUCUUUCCUUUUCUGGUAGUUGGUCAGUACUUGAGCAGUAUCAUCUUCUAUAAAAAUGAACAGGAUAAUAUGACUUUAGCCCCCAAAAGAUCUAGAUAUUACCUAUAGACCCCUUUACCUUAUAAUUUUAGAAUGAUAUUACUCUUCUUGAACAAUUUAAAUGGUCCAAAAAUUGCUCUAAUAAACAAAAAGAUAAUUCCUUUGUUUGGUUUUACUUGUAACAUUUUAACUUGACAUAUUUACUAAAAAAAUAAUUAAUAACAUACAAUUAUUGCUGGCCUCGGACGUAAUAGGUGGUGGGAAUUCUUUAGCAUCGCAAUUUGAAGCAGUCAUAAUGUCCAUGUGCCUACCGGGAGCUCUCUUCACAAAAGGAUCAACACUUAGCUUCCACACAACACCAAUUAAGAAACCAACAUCAACAACGUUAUUACAAGACUUCAGAUUCCCUUUCGUUUACUUCGUCAACCUUUAUAAAGUUUUUAUUAACGUUAGGGAAGUCUCGAUGUCCCCAUCAUUGUCUAGGAUUUUCAGAAAUUAUGCCACGAACGAUAGCUGCAUCGUGGACACAGGAACAUUUAUUACCCGUCUUCCUCAUGAUUUUUAUAUUGUAUUUCGUUACACAUUUAGAUAACAAGUACAUGGUAUUCCUAUGGUUAAUGUUCCACCUGAAUCAGUUAAUGACACUUGCUAUAAAGUGGAUACAACUGGUCUGGAUCCACAAUUCCCCAUUGUGACCAACCAAAUGGCCCCUCCGACCCCAACAACCCACACUCCCCUUUGCCUAAGCCUGCCCGGGAGCACUUGGUCCAUUUUCUUCCCAAAACAUACUCGGUCACUGGGCCCACCCCUAGAACCGGAUCUAUAGCACACUGAUUUAGCCUCAGAAUGGCCCAUUUGCGUCGUUUCACUUGUUUGACCACCCAAAUAGCCUAGCCGAUCCCAAUGACUCACACUAUCCCACUUUUCUCUGGUUAAUUUUCAGACCAAAACACACUCGAUCCCCGAGCCAACCCCUAAAACCAUUAGUUAUAGACAUUUAUUUGGCCUAAAAAAUAACAUAUUUUUUAUGUUUUACCUGUUUGACCACCCAAAUGGCCCCGCCAACCCAAACGACCCACUUUCUCGUUCAUCAGUCUACUUGGAAGUCUUGAUCUAUUUUUGACAUAAAACACGCCCGAAACCCGGGGCCACCAAGAACUGUGAGCUAUAGCACACCGAUUAUGCCUGAAAAUGACCCAUUCGCGUUGAUAUUCCUGUUUGACCACCCAAACAACCCCAUUGACCCCUACGACCAAUACUUCCCCAUUCUUCAGCCUACCUGAGCUCCCCCAUUUGAUUUUUGACCCAAAACAUGCCUAGGACCACCCCAAAAUCAUGAGCUAUAACUCACCAAUUUACCCCAAAAAUGGCCCAUUUGCACCGUUUUGCACAUUUGAGCAACCAAAUGGUCUCGCCGACCUCAAUAACCCAUAAUUCCCCAUUUCUCAGCCUGCUUGGGAUCCCUCAAUUGUUUUUUGUCCUAAAACACAUUUGGGCUCAAGGCCAAACCCCAAAAUUGUGCGCUAUAACACACCGAUUUGGCCCGAAAAUGGCCCGUUCGCAUCAUUUUGCCUGUUUAAUAAACCAAAUGGCCCCACCGACCCCAACGGCCCACAGUCCCCGCUUUUCAGAAAACCUAGGAGCCACGAUCAAUUUUUAGUCAAAAAUACAUGUGGGCCUUGGACACACCCUCUGAACCGUGAGGUAUAGAACCCCAAUUUUGCCAAAAACUAGGCCAUUCGCACCGUUUCAUCCAUUUGAUCACACAAACGGCCCAUCGCCACCCAACGGACCAUACUCUUCUGCUUAAUAGCUUGCCUACGAUCUUCUGGUCUAUUUUAAUCCUAAAAAACAUCUACUCCCUGGGCCCACGCCCGGAAUCAUGAUCUAUAACAUACUGAUUUGGCCUAAAAAUGGUCCGUUUAUGCCAUUUUGCCCGUUUGACCACCCAAACGGCCUCACUGACCCCAACGACCUAUACUCCCUCGCUCCUCAACCUGCUUGGGAGCCUCCGGUCAAUUUUUAGACUAAAACACACUUGAUCCCCGGGCCCACCCCCAUAACCAUGAGUUGUAGCACAAUGAUUUGGCCUGAAAAUAGCAUGUUCACAUCGUAUCGUUCGUUUGACUACCCAAAUGGCCUCGAGAAAUUUUUGAACAAAACAUGGUUGGGACUCGGGUGUGACCCUUGAAAUCGUGAGCCAUAUCACAUAGAUUUGGCCCAAAAAUGGCCCGUUCAUGUCAUUUCGCCUGUUUAACAACCUAAACAGCCCCACUGACCCUAACAGCCCAAACUUCCUUACUUGUCAGCCUGCCUGGGAGCCCCCGAUCAAUUUUUGGCCCAAACACGCCCGGUCCCCGAGAACACCCAAGAACCAUGAGCUAUAGCAUACCGAUUAGGCCUGAAAAAUGGCCCAUUGGCGUAGUUCUGCUUGUUUGAUCACCCAAACGGCCCUGUAGACCCAAACAACCCUGACUAUGUCGCUUUUCCACUCGUGUGGGUACCCCUGAUUGAUAUUUGGCCCAAAAAUACAACCAUACCCUUGCCCACUCUCAGAACCGUGAGGUAUAUCAUACCCAUUUAGCCCAAAAAUGGCCCGUUUAUGUCGAUUCACCCUUUUGACCCCCCAAACGGCCCUGUCGACCCCAACCACCCAUAUUUCCUUACUUCUCAGCCUGCCUAAGAGCCCCCGAUCGAUUUUUGACCCAAACCACGCCCGGUUCCUUCACUUACCUUCAUAAUCGUGGGCUUAUAUCACAUUGAUUUUGCUUAAAAAUGGUCUAUUCGUGCCCUUUACUUAUUUGACCAACCAAAUAGCCCUACCGACCACCGCUGAUCCCAAUGACCCAUACUUCCCCGCUCCUCAUCCUGCCUAGGACCCCCGAUUAAUUUUUUGCCCAAAACACACCUGAGCUCUAGUCCCACUCCCAAAAGUAUGAGCUAUAAUAAACUAAUUUGGCCUAAAAAUGCUUCAUUCGUGCCACUCAGCCAGUUUAACUACUCAAAUAACCCCGUCGAACCCAAUGACCCACAUUCUCGCGCUCCUCUUCCUGUCUGGAAGUCCUGACCAAUUUUUAAUCCAAAAAAGGCUUGAGCCCCAAGCCCACCCUGAAAACCGUGAGCUAUAGCUCACCGAUUUAGCCAUAAAAUUACCCGUUCAUGCCGUUUCUCUUGUUUGACCACCCAAAAAGCCCUGUCGACCCCAAUAGACCUCAGCCUGUCUGGGAUACCUCGCUUGAUUUUUGAUCCAAAACACGUCUGGGCCUUGUGCCCACCCUAAGAAUCGUGAGCAAUAACACAUUGAUUUUGCUUGAAAAUGGUCUGUUCGUAUCGUUUAGCUCGUUUGACCACACAAACAGCUCCGCCGACCCCAACGACCCACUCUUCCCUACUUCUUAACCUUCCUGAGAGCCCUCAAUUGAUUUUCAGUCCAAAACAUUUUUGGGUCCCGAGCCCACCCCCAAAAUCAUGAGCUAUAACAUACCGAUUUGGCCCAAAAAUGGUCUAUUUGUAUCGUUUCAUCUCGUUUGACCACCCAAACGGUCUCCUCGACCCGAAUGGUCCAUACACCCUCGCUCUUCAGCCUUCCUGGGAGACCCUAAUCUAUGUUUGGCCUAAAACAUGCUCGGACCCUGGGCCUACCCACAAAACCAUGAGUUAUAGCACACCGAUGCACUAGGAUUUCCUUAUGUGUUCGGUCUUGCUUAUAUUUCUUCAGUCUACCUUUGCCCCACCUAAAAUAUCCAUAACUAGUAUUUCACACCUCCGCACUGAAGAAUCAGAGCCCCUCUUCAUCACGUGGCCGAACCAACGUAACCUCAUAUUUUUCAUCUUGUCCUCCACCGAAGCAACUCUCACCUUCUCUCGAAUAAUAUCAUUCCUCACCAUAUCUUUCCUGGUAUGUCCACACUUGCAUCACAAUAUUCUUAUAUCUGCCACCUUCAAUUUUUAGAUUGGGAGUUCUUAACUGGUCAACACACCACUGCAUAUAACAUAGCCGGCCGAACUACCACUCUGUAGAACUUACCUUUAAGUUUUGAGGGCAACUUCUAAUCAUAUAGAACUCCUUAAGCGAGCCUUCAUUUUAACCACCCUGCCCCAAUAUGAUCGUUACAUCCUCGUUAAUCUCAUCAUUGCCCUGAAUCAUGGACUCUAGAUACUUUAAACUCUCUCUCUUAUGAAUGGCCUGAGAGUCUAUCUUCACAACUACUCCAGUCUCAUGCGACACAUUACUAAACUUAUACACCAAGUACUCUAGUCUAUAAACAUUUUGUAUUGUUAGACGUUAUGACUACAAAAUCCUUUGCUGAAAUCUCAAAAUACAAUUAUUUUUCUUCUUUUAGAUGAUGAUUGAAGUACGUGUUAAUUUAGAGAAGUCACUUAGCUCAUGUCAUUCAUGCGGCGUACCAUGAAAUCAGAAAACUACAUCAAGAUAGGAGAAGAGAAAUGCAGUAACAAAAUACCAUAUUUAGCACAUUUUCAUAGAUCGAACUCAUGACCCCCUGAUCACAUGGAGGGAACUAUCCACAAUAAUUCAGAAAAAUACUUCUCAUAGAUAAUCACAAAUUUCCAAGCAAGACUAAAUCUUUUAAGAAUUUUACUACACACAAAGACAAAAACAAAGGGCAUUCCGGUGCACUAAGUUCCCAUUAUGUGCUGGGUCCCAGGGAAAAACUGGACCACAAAGGUCUAUUAUAUACUGUCUUACCACUGUGGACCUCUCUUUCCACAGCUCGGACCUAUGACCUUCUGGCCAUACGACAACAACUUUACCAGUUACGACAAGGCUCCUUGUCUUACACACACAAAUAACAUUUGUAAAAAUGAAAUCUUUAGCAAAUUUUUAAAAUUCUUUCUACCCAAAUUUCCAAGAUAAGCUAAAAUAUAACACUGAUAACAUAUGGUUAAAUAAACAAUAAGCAAAAAAUGCAAACUACCUGAAAAAAUUCAGGCAAAUAAAACUUGUAAUACAUCAAGAUUAAUUUUGAACAAUAGCUUAAAAGAAAAUCUCACUUUCUCAUAGCUGAAUAAUGAAAGUUCAAUUUUUCCCUUAACAUUAUGUCUCCAUUGAUGAUGGAUACUGUAGCAUUAAGAGUCAAUUUCUUUCCUUUACUGGUAGUUGGUCUGUAUUUGAGCAGUAUCAUCUUCUACAAAAAUGAACAGGAUAAUAUCACUUUAGCCCCCAAAAGAUCUAGCUGUUACAUAUAGACCGCUUUACCUUAUAAUUUUAGAAUGAUAUUACUCUUAUUGAACAAUUUAAAUGCCCCAAAAGUUGCUCUAAUAAACAAAAAGAUAAUUCCUUCGUACGGUUUUACUUGUCACAGUUUAACUUGACAUGUUUACUAAAAAAAUAAUUGAUAACACACAAUUAUUUUACCACAAUACCCCUAUUAAAUGAUGUUUAUAUUGUAUCUUAAAAUUAAUUUGGAGAAAAGACAACUAAUGCUAAGGGUAAAAUAGGAAAAAAGUUGUCUUUUAUUGAUAUAUCAAAAAUGAUAAGUAAAAAUAGAAAUACAAUUAGGAAAUUAGUAACAAGUAAAAGCGAAAGGUGGGAGUAACACUGAAAACACAUCAAAAAGAUAUAUUUCCUCGGUUGUAUUUUAUGCGGCAUAUUUUGAUCGGGCACAAAGUUUAAGAAGGAAUGAAAAUUGUCCUUUAUUAAAAAUUAUAUUACUAUUAUCUUUAAUUAAAUGAGACUAACAAGGAUAAAAGUAAAAUAGCAUCUUUAAAUAGUUACCAAAUAAGGAAAUAUGACAUUCUUUUUGGGACGGACAAAAAGAAAAUGACAUGGGGCAGUGGAAGUAUGUUAAUACUAAAAGGGCAGCUUGUUGUGGUGGUGGAAAUAUGUUAAUACUAAUAGGGCAGCUCGGUGUACUAAAACUUCUUGCUAUAAGGGACUGCGGAGAAGGGCUGGACUGCAAGAAUUUUACUGUACGCAGCAUUAUCUUGCAUUUCUGAUAGAGGCUGUUUCUAUGAAUUGAACUCGUGACUUCCGAAUCACAUGAAAAUAAUUUUAUCAGUUACUCUAAAGCUCCCCUUCAUAUUUUUUUUUCGAUUUGAUAAAAAUAUUUAAGAUAUGCAAAAUAUAAAAGAUACGCAUAUAAUUCUUUUUGCAAACCCACUUAUAUGGAGUAAUAAAAACGUAUAAGGUAUCAAAAAUGAUAUAUGCAAGGGAUUUCCCUUUUGGUUAAAGUUUUAACAGGUUAAUUCCAUGUAUAGUUGUAGACUUUUACUCAUUAAUGAAAAAAUUAUUGAACUUUAACUCUUUAAUAAAGUAGUAGAUUUAAUGGCAUUAAAAAUCAUUAAUGAGUUUUUAUUACUCCCUCCUUCCCAUUUUACCCGUCCUAAAUUGGCUAAGUUGAUGUUUCAUUUUACUUGUCCCAUUUUACUUAUCAAGAUAAGACAAACUUUUCUUUCCAUGUUUUACCCUUUGCAUUAAUUAACUUUUCUUUAAAUUAAAAUGUAAACACCAUUUAAUAGGGGUACUUUGGUAAACUAGCCAUGUUAUUUAUAAUUUUUUUAAUUGUUGUGCCAUCCCAAUUUGGGACAAGUAAAAUGGGAUGGAGGGAGUAUGUGUUUAUAUAUAUUGAGUACAAGAAGUGAUAGACAUAUGUCAAACUAAAUCAAUAAAUUAGAAAAAACAAUUUCUAUUCCAAUGGAGAAGUUCCUCCAUGUUCACCUUUUGAUUUCAAUUAUUUUCUCAAUUUUGCUUGUAAUUUUAUGCAAUGGACAUUCUUUUUCAUCCCUUAACACCACUUAAAUUAUGUAAUAUGUCUAUUGAUCCAACGAAGCUUCCCGAUCCUCCGAUGCCAUUCUAUACACUCACCAUUUACAAUCUCUUUUUAUUUGACAAAGUCAAAAUUCAAGGACUAUGACUCGUUACUCGGAAAUAGGUUCGCCGGUUGUCAAGCUAGAGCAAAUCAUUUGGCAUCGGUUCUUGAAAAUGGUGACGCGAUUAGUACGAAUGGAACUCUAGUAAGGCCACCCGACGAGCAUGAGAGUAAAAUGGCCAACGAAAAGGUUCCGUUAACAAGAAGUACACAUUUCAUAUGUCAGUAUGUUGCAUCUUUAACUCUUUUUUUUUGUUUCCUAUCCGGCAUCCGGUGCCCGCAUUGGAGCCCCGACUAAUCUGGAUCACACGUUGCAGGGCCCAUCAAGGUAGCAGUGCUCCUAACAGAAUUUUAUCUAUACCCAGGGUCAAACCCUAGACCUUUGGUUAAGGGUGGAGCAGCCUCAUCCACUGUACCACAACCUAUAUUGGUGCAUCUUUUACUCACUAAACAGUUAAAAGUUACUAGCUAAUAGAAACUGGUAGUGAUUUAGUUUGGUGGUAAUGUGGACCAUGUAAUGCAAAUGGAUGUUACAAAAAAGAUAAAUAAUGCUUUAUAUGUUUUGACUAAUUCAAAAACAUAUCGAAAGCUCGAUUGCCUUAUAGAAAGUAGAAACAGUGAAAUCACGAAUAAGGAAUAUGAUUGUAGUCCGAAUGGUAAUACGUGUAUGUAUGAUUACAAAUAUGUAAAUGGAUCAAGAACAAGAGGCUGGAUUAGACACAUCAUGAUUGCUUUUGUUUUAGACCGAAAGCAUGUAAGCAUUGUUUUUGGAUAUGGCAAAGAUCAAACUCAUGGAAAGCCUUUUAGUGGUCAGUUUUCUGGAAUUGCUAGCCCCGGACGUAAUGGGUGGUGGAAAUUCUUUAGCAUCACAAUUUGAAGCAGACAUAAUGUCCAUGUGCCUACCGGGAGCUCUCUCCACAAAAGGAUUAACACUUUAGCUUCCACACAACGCCAUUUAAGAAAACAACAUCAGCAACGCUAUUACAAGAUUUCAGAUUCCCUUUCAUUUACUUCGUCAACCUUUAUAAAGUUUUUAUUAACGAUAGGGAAUUCCUGAUGUUCCCAUCAUUGUCUAGGAAUUUUAGAAAUUAUGCCACAAGAGGUACCGACAUCGUGGACACAGGAACAUUUAUUACCCAUUUUCCUCAUGAUUUUUAUAUUGUAUUUUGUUACACAUUCAGAUAACAAGUACGUGGUAUUCCUAUGGUUAAUGUUCCACCUGGAUCAGUUUAUGACACGUGCUAUCAAGUGGAUACGACUGGUCUGGAUCCACAUUUCCCCAUUGUGACCAACCAAAUGGCCCCUCCGACCCCAACAACCCAUACUCUCUUUUGCCUAAGCCUACCUGGGAGCACUUGAUCCAUUUUCUGCCCAAAACAUACUCGGUCACUGGGCCCACCCCCAGAAACACGAGCUAUAGAACACUGAUUUAUCCCAAGAAUGGACCAUUUGCGUUGUUUCACUUGUUUGACCACCCAAAUAGCCUAGCCGACCAAAAACAACCCAUACUAUCCCACUUUUAAGCCUGCCUUGGUGCCUCUAGUUGAUUUUCGAACAAAAUCACGCUCGAGCCAACCCCAAAAACCGUGUGUUAUAGCACGUCUAUUUGGCCCCAAAAAUAGCAUGUUUUUAACGUUUCAACUGUUUGACCCCCUAAAUGCCCCCGCCGACCCAAACGACCCACUUUCCCAUUCAUCAGUCUACUUGAAAGACUUGAUCGAUUUUUGACACAAAACACGCUCGAACCCGGGCCCAACCAGAACUACAAGCUAUAGUACGUCGAUUAUGCUUGAAAAUUACCCAUUCGCGUUGAUAUUCCUGUUUGACCACCCAAAUAACCUCGUUGACCCCUACGACCCAUGCUUCUCCGCUCUUUAGCCUACCUGAGAGCCCCCAGUUGAUUUUUGACCCAAAAUAUGCCCAGGACCACCCCAAAAUUGUGAGCUAUAUCUCACCAAUUUGGCCCAAAAAUGGCCCGUUUGCACCAUUUUGCUCGUUUGACCAACCAAAUGGUCCCACCAACCUCAACGACCCAUAAUUCCCUGCUCCUCGGCCUGCUUGGGAGAUCUCAAUCGAUUUUUGACCCAAAACAUGUUUGGGAUCUGGGACAACCCCCGGAAUUGUGAGCUAUAACACACCGAUUUGUCCCAAAAAUGACCCAUUCGCAUCAUAUUGCCUGUUUAAUAGUACAAAUGGCCCCGCCGACCCCAACGACCCACACUUCGACUUAUUAUACUGCCUAGGAUCUUCUGGUCUAAUUUCAUCCUAAACCACGCCUACACCCUGGGCCCAUGCUCGAAAUCGUGAGCUAUAACACAUCGAUUUGGCCUAAAAAUGGUCAAACGACCUAUACUCCCUCACUUCUCAGCCUGCUUGGGAGCCUCCGGUCAAUUUUUAGACUAAAACACACCAGAGCCUCGGGCCCACCCCCGGAACCAUGAGUUAUAGCACAAGGAUUGGGCCUGAAAAUAGCACGUUCAUGCCGUAUAGCCCGUUUGACCACCCAAAUGGCCUCGGAGAAUUUUUGGACAAAACAUGGUUGGGACUCGGGUAGGACCCUCGGAAUCGUAAGCUAUAUCACAUCGAUUUGGCCCAAAAAUGGUCCGUUCACGUCAUUCUGCCUGUUUGACCACCUAAAUAGCCCCACAGACCCUAACAGCCCACACACCCUCACUUGUCAGCCUACGUGGGAGCCCCCGAUCGAUUUUUGGCCCAAACACGCCAUGUCCCCGAGCACACCCCAGAACCGUGAGCUAUAGCACAUCGAUUAGGCUAAAAAAAUGGCCCGUUGGCGUAGUUUUGCUUCAUUGAUUACCCAAACGGCCCUGUCGACCCAAACAACCCGGACUCCCUCACUCCUCAACUCACUUGGGUGCCCCUGAUUGAUAUUUUGCCCAAAAAUAUAACCAAACCUCGACCUACUCUCAGAACCGUGAGGUAUAGCAUACCAAUUUAGCCCAAAAAUAGCCUGUUUAUGCCGAUUCACCCUUUUGACACCCUAAAUGGCCCUAUCGACCCCAACCACCCAUACUCUCCUGCUCCUCAGCCUGCCUGAGAGCCCCCGAUCGAUUUUUGACCCAAACCAUUUCCUUUUCCUUCACUCACCUUCGAAAUCAUGGGCUAUAUCACACCGAUUUUUCUUAAAAAUAGUCCGUUCAUGCCCUUUUGCCUAUUUGACCAACCAAAUAGCCCAACCGACCACCACUGACCCCCAACGACCCAUACACCCCUAUUCCACAGUAUGCCUGGGAGCCUCCAGUUAAUUUUCAGCCUAAAACAUGCCUGGGCAUCAGGCUCACCUCCAAAAUCGUGAGCUAUAGCACACUAAUUUGACCAGAAAAUGGUUCGUUCAUGUCGUUCCACUCGUUUUACCACUCAAAUAGCCCCGCCGACCACAACGACCCACAUUUCCUUGCUCCUCAGCCUUCUUAGGACCCCCGAUUAAUUUUUUACCCAAAACACGCUCGAUCCCUAGGCCCACUCCCAAAACUAUUAUCUAUGAAACACCAAUUUGGCCUAAAAUGCUUCAUUUACGCUAUUCAGCCCAUUUGACCACUCAAAUAGCCCCAUCGAACCCAAUGACCCAUAUUUUCCGGCUUCUCUUCCUGACUAGGAGCCCCCGACCAAUUUUUAACUCAAAAUAGGCUCGAGCCCCAAGCCCACACUUAAAACCGUGAGCUAUAGCUUACUGUUUUAGCCAGAAAAUUACCCGUUUGUGCCAUUUUUCCUGUUUGACCACCCAAAUAGCCCCGUCGACCCCAAAAAACCAUACUCUCUCACUCCUCAACCUGUCUGGGAGCCCUCCUUGAUUUUUGAUCCAAAACACGUCUGGGCCUUGGUCCCACCCCAAGAAUCGUGAGCUAUAACACACUAAUUUGGCUUGAAAAUGGUCUGUACGCAUUGUUUAAGCUGUUUGACAACUAAAGUAGCCCCACCGACCCCAACGACCCACUCUACCCCACUUCUCAGCCUGCCUGGGAUCCCUCAAUUAAUUUUCAGUCCAAAACAUUUUUGGGCCCUGAGCCCACCCCUAAAAUCAUGAGCUAUAACACAUCGAUUUGGCCUAAAAAUAUUCUAUUUGCAUCUUUUCAUCUUGUUUGACCACCCAAACGGUCCCUCUGACCGAAAAGGUCCACACUCCCUUGCUCUUCAGCCUGCCUGGCCCACAGUCAAUUUUUGGCCCAAAAUAUGCUCGGACCCUGGGCCUACCUCCAAAACAAUGAGUUAUAGCAUACCGAUGCACUAGGAUUUUGUUAUGUGUUCUGUCCUACUCAUAUUUCUUUAGUCUACCUCUACCCUGCCUAAAACUAUCCAUAACCUGUAUUUCACACCUCUGCACUGAAGAAUCAAAGCCCCUCUUCAUCAUGUGCAUAAACCAACGUAACCUAACAUUUCACAUCUUAUCCUCUACCGAAGCAGCUCUCAACUUCUCUCGAAUAAUUUCAUUCCUCACCUUAUCUUUCCUAGUAUGUCCACACAUCCAUCGUAAUAUUCUUAUCUCCGCCACCUUCAAUUUUUAGAUGUGGGAGUUCUUAACUGGCCAACACACCACUACAUACAACAUAGCUGGCCGGACUACCAUUCUGUAGAACUUAGCUUUACGUUUUGAGAGCACCUCCUAAUCACAUAGAACUCCCAAAGCAAGACUUUAUUUCAAUGACCCUUCCCCAAUAUGAUUUGUAACAUCCUCAUUAAUCUCAUCAUUGCCCUGAAUCAAAGACUCUAGAUUUUUGAAACUCUCUCUCUUAUGAAUGGCCUGAGAUUCUAUCUUCACAACUACUCCACCCUUCUGCGACACAUCACUGAACUUAUACUCCAGGUACUCUGUCUUGGUUCUGCUCAAUCGAAAUUCUUUAGACUCAAGCGUCUGUCUCUAAAUCUCCAACUUAUCAUUAACUUCUCUCCAAGUCUAGUCAAUCAGUACUAUAUCAUCUGCAAAUAACAUACACUAAGGCACCUUUUUCUUGAAUAUGUCACGUCAAAACAUUAAUCUCCAAGGCAAAUAAAAAUGGGCUAAGAGUCUAUCCUUAGUGAAACCCUAUCAAAACUAGGAAGUGCUCCGAAUCUCCAUCUAUCGUCAUCACACGAGUCUAAUCCCCAUCAUCCAUAUCCUGAAUCGACCUAGUGUACGCCAUAGGCCUCCUUCUAGCCUCUAAGCACCUCCACAGAAUCUUCCUGGAAACUCUAUCAUAUGCCUUCUUAAGAUCAAUAAACACCAUGUGCAAGUCCUUCUUCCUCUCCCAAAACUGCUCUCCUAAUCUUCUCACAAGUUGAAUGGCCUCAGUGGUCGAGCGCCCUGUCGUGAAACCAAACUAAUUCUCAGAGAUCGUUACGAUCCUUAUCAUCCUCAACUUUACCACCCUUUCCGAAACCUUCAUAGUAUGACUCAACAACUUAAUACCUCAAUAGUUGUUGCAACUCUAGCUGUCUCUCUUGUUCUUAUACACUGAAAUCAUAGUACUCUACCUCCACGCUUCAGGCUUCUUUGUCGCCCUAAAAAUACUAUUAAAUAACCAUGUCAACCACUCCAAACCUACCCCAUUAGUGCUCUUCCAAAUAUCCACUAGAAUCUCGUCUGUCCCCGUUGUCUAACCCCGCUGCAUCCUGGGAAUAGCUCCCUUGACCUCCCCAACCUUGAUAUGCCUACAAUAACCAUAAUCGCGACACACUCCUAAGAUUUCUUCAAUUGCAUUUCAAACACUAAAAGUACUUACUUGUAUCAAUUACGGAACUUCUAAUUUCAAAUCUUAAAUUUCAUUUAGUCUCAAUCCAAAAAUUAAGUGCAUAAAAUUUAUUAGUUUAUUUUAAAUUUUCAGAUAUUGUUCUAUUGCUUAUUAUUUUUACAAUGACCAAUUUUAUGAUUAAUAUCUUUAAUUAUUUUAUUUAUACAUCUUAUUGUAUCUACUAAGUUAAUUUAAUUAAGAUCUCUCAAAUCACUGUCAAAAUCACCACCCCACCAAAUACUACACCCACUUCCUAGCCUUCCCCUACAGUCACCACCCCGCCUCCCUAGUUUUUAUUAUAUUUUACUUUAUCAGAUUUUUUGUAAAAUAUUUUUCUCACAUCACCCAUCUCAUAUCCCCAAGCCACCCUCCACCAACAAAAAAAUAUUUUAUUUUUCUUUAAAAUAAAAUUUUAUAUUGCACCCACCCCUACUCCCCAAUACCUAUUCGACACCCCUAAUACACACUCAAAAAAAAUUAUUUUUGAUUUUUUUCUAAAAAAAGUCCUUCCACCCUUCUCUCCUGAGUCCCAAGAAAAAUAAUUUUUUUAAUCUUUUAAGAAUCUUUUUUCUGCUCCACAACACUAACCCCUACCUACACCACCACCCCGCCUACCCCACCUACCUAGAUCACCCCUACCCCAUAUCAACCACCAUAAUCUCUUGUUCUUCCCCUCAUCUAUCACUUUGCCUCUAUGGAAUUUAUAAUUUUGUGUUAAGUAUACGCAAAUGCUAUUAGAAUAUAUCUUUUAUUUACUGAUAAAAUAUCAAUUAUCAAUCUAUUUUAGCAUCCAUGCUAUUACUAAUGUCAAAUAAUCACAUCAAAUAAAAUUAUCUAUUUUUUAAGCUCAAAAUGAACUAAUAGCUACUACUUAGUAUUUUUAUUAUCCUAAAUUUUUUGUAAAAAUAUUUACCUGAUUAAGUUCAAGCAUUUUAUAUCCCUCCAAUAAAUUAUUCUUUUUGUUAUCUAUUGAAAAUAAUUUGAGACGUAGGGGAUUAAUUCAUCAUUGAAAUGAAAUAAAAUAUAUAAGCAUACACCAUUAAAGAUGACGAUGAAAUCAUAUACAAAGAUUAAGAUUAAACAUUCAGCAAUAUGAUUUCAAAGAAAUCUUUCAGAGAAAAUUAACUCUGGAAUUCAUAAAAAGAAAUCGUUAUAAUUAACUUUAACAAACAUGAAAGCAAUAGAAAAAGAUGUUGGCAGAGAUAUAUGAUUAUGAUGAUAAAAAAGAGUAGUCAAAAAUAUGAAAGUAAUAGAAAGAGAUGAUGGACUACGAUACCAUGAUAAUGAAAUGAAUUUGAACCUAACUUAACGUCAAAAGCUAUCUCUUGAGGUGAGCAUUGCCCAAGACCAUAUAAGGAGACUAAGGACUCUUUAAUCCACUGAUGUGGGAUUCUCCCCUCCUUCUCCUUGCACGCCAAGACUGGACAUCUGAAGCGUAGGCAAUAUAAUAUGGGUGACUCUACAUUGAAAACAAUGAAUUGGGUAGGACUGACUCUGAUACCAUGUUGAAGUAUGUGACCAUCUCAUCUAAAAGUUUAACUAUUAGAGAGAGUACAAUUUUACUAUUUAAUUAUAUUCUCAGCAGUUACUUAAUAUGCUAUUUUGGAAUUGAACAAAUGAACUUUACGUGGCAUUGCAAACUGAUGAAAGACAAAAAAUUUUUGUUUCAAACAGUUCAAGAAAGAAUCUUUUGUCCUUUUGAAACAAAGAAAUAGAGUCACAUUUGUUGGCUUGUUUUGUCCCUACAGUUGAACUAAGAGCACUUUGAGUGGAGGUUUUUUCUAUUAUUAAGGAUGUUCAAUUUUGGAAAAGUACUACUCCUUUAGUUUAAAAAAGGAUGGUAGACCAAACAAUAUAUUAAUUUUAUACAUUAUAUUAACUCCUAAGUAGCUACCAAACCUGGAAUUACUUAUGUAGGGUUCCUACAUAAUUCGUUGCUAAGCCAGCUACCAAAUGACCCCUUAAUACCUUCUUUCUUAGUUCAUUGAGAAGACAGAGACCAAUGCAAGCAUAAUUCUUUUUAUGUGUAUAAUAUGUUCAAAACCAAGGUGCAGAAUAAAUACUUUACAUAAAUACAGAACUUCCUAAAUGAGUUGACCCAAUUGAUAUAAACGGUUUGAUUUACUCAACUUCUUAUUCAUCAAUUGAUGACUACCGUAUUUUUUCAUGAGAUCUGGCAGGUAGUUUUUUUUUAUAACCAGAUUUUUUUAUAACAAAAAACAAUGUACCACUAAUGCCUCUGCAGCAACAAAAUCAUCUGAAGCAUCCAAUGAAAGUUGAGAGACUCUCUUCUUGGCUAUAGCUUUUGGUGAAUCUCUUGCUGAAAUUGAUGAAAAUUAUUCACCAUUAUUUCGACCUAUUUUAUCAUUUUUCUCAAUUUUAGUUCUCUAUAUAAAAUUCAUUAUUGGUUCUCCUGCCCUAACAAUUUAAGUGGUUGAUCUAAGAAUAGAGCAACUUUUUCAGGUGCAGCUUGCGGUGGAAGCUCACCAGUGUCGGUAUUUGCAGGCAACUGGGAAGAUCCAGUUAAGGAUGGACCAACUUCCUUCAAAAUAAACAAGUUUCAAGAUGGAUCAUUUUGACUGAUCGUUUUUCCCUAUCAAUGUGCAACUAAUAUGUUGAUAAUAGUAGGUAUCAUAAUCUAGGUCCAACUGCUAGGUUAGAUAGUAACUCAAGAAUCUUUUAUGAAUUCCCCUUUCUUAGGAACCCCAGAAAUAAAUAACACUCGAACAGAAAAAAGUAAACUCAGACACAACAAAUGCUGAUUGUAUGAGAGGUUAUACAAAGUGGGGUUUGGAGACAUACUCAAAUUUAGAUCCAAAACAGGGAAAAAAAUUGAUUGACAUGAAUAAAUACUUCAAAUUGUAAUCUCCACUUGGAUUCACUCACAUUUAUUGCGUUUUUCCCAAAAUUUGGGUUUAAAAUCCUUAAGUUUUUUCAAGGUGUUUGUGCUUUUCUCAGGUAUUGUUACUUGAACAAUUAUGUUAUUUUGGCCUUGAACUAAUAAACUCUAUGUGGCAUAAUAAACUGAGGAAUGACACAAAAGUUUUGUUUCAAACAGUUCAAGAAAGAAUCUUUUGUCUCUUUUGAAACAAAGAAAUAGAGCCACAUUUCUUGGACUGAUUUGUCCACUCAUGGUGCUCUUAGUUCAACUGUUGGGACAAAAUACUUCAACAAAUGUGGCUCUAUUUCUUUGUUUCAAAAAGUCAAAAGAUGCUUUAUUGAACUGUUUGAAACAAAACUUUUGUGUCUUUCUUUAGUUUGUUAUGCCACGUAGAGUUCAUUAGUUCAAUGCCAAAACAACGUAACUGUUCAAGUAACAUUACCUGAGAAAAGCACAAACACACUAAAAAAACUUAAGGAUUUUAAACCCAAAAUUUAAGAAAAAUGCAAUAAAUGUGAGUGAAUCCAAGUGGAGAUUACAAUUUUGAUUGUUUAUUCAUGUCAGUCAAUUUUUUCCCAUUUUUGGUCCUAAAUUUAAGUAUAUGUACAAGCCCCACUUUGUAUAACCUCUCAUACAAUCAACAUUUAUUGUGUCUGAGUUUACCUUUUUUUGGUCGAGUGUUAUUUAUUUUUGGGGGUUCUUGAGAAAGGAAAAUUGAUAAGAGAUUCUUGAGUUACUAUCUAACCUAGCAGCUGGACCUAGAUUGUGAUAUCUAUUAUUAUCAACAUGUUCCUUGCAUAUAGCUAGGGAAGAAUGAUCUCUCAAAAUGAUCCAUCUUGAAUCUUCUUUAUUUUGAAGGAAGUUGGUCCAUCUUUACCUGGAUCUUCCAUCUUGCCUGCAAUUGCCGACUCUGGUGAGCUUCCACUGCAUGUUGCACCUGAAAAAUUGCUCUAUUAUUAGAUCAAUCACUUAAAUUGUUAGGGGAGGAUCCAAUAAUGACUUCUAUAAAGAGAUAUGAAAAUGAGAAAGAUGACAAAAUAGAUCAAAAUGAUGGUGUAGAAUUUUUAUCAUUUCAGCAAGAGAUUUACCAAGAGCUAUAGCCGAGAAGAGAAUCUCUCAACUUUCAUUGGAUGCUUCAGAAGACUUUGCUGCUAUGGAGGCAUUAGUGGUACAUUUUAUUAUUUUUUUAGUUAUCAAAAAAACCCUACCUUCCAGAUCCCGUGAUAAAAGAAGAAAGAUAGGAUAUUGGACUCCCAUCUCAUUUAGUAGGAAAGGGCCCAAAAUCUCUCACCUUUUCUUUGCUGAUGAUCUAACUCUGUGUGUUGUUACUAAUAAAAGAAACUGUGAAACCAUCCGAGCCACUCUUAGAAGCUUCACCUUCCACUCUAUCCAAAAAAUUAACACUCUCAAAUCUAAAGUAAUCUUCUCUAGAAACUAUGGUCAGGAGACCAAAGAUAGUUUGUCUCACAUCUUAGGCAUCCAAUCCAAAGACAAGUUUGGCAAAUAUCUUGGUUUUCCGGUGUUCCACAAAAAACCUUGCAAUAGAGAUUUCCAAUUCAUCCUAGACAAUCUCAACACUAAGUUGGCUGGAUGGAAAACCAAAUUCCUCAAUAUGGCUAGCAGAAUCACCCUUACUAAAUCCUCCCUUGCUAGUAUUCCCGCUCAGGUCACGUAACUCAUUUUGAUCCCCUCUAAAAUCCACUAAUUGAUUGACAGAACCCAAAAGAACUUUCUCUGUGGCACCACCCCUGAUAAUAAGAAAAUGCAUCUAAUCAAUUGGGAAACCUUGACAAAUGCUAAAGCUAAUGGGGGACUGGGCCUCCAGAGAGCUUCCAUUAGGAACACCACUAUGCUAUCCAGUCUAGCCUGGAGAAUUCACAUGCGUCCCAACAGUAUCUGGGCAAAAAUUCUUUAAAAUAAAUUAGCCCCCAUGGCAUAUCCCUCAAAGCUAACAACUUUAGAACUUUGAAAAGUGUCUUUGUGGGUUGGGAAAUUUGUAGAACUGCCUCCUCUUGGAAUAUCCAUAAGGAUGACAAGAUCAACUUCUGGAAGGACAGAUGGAUGCCUCACUGUGAACUCCUUCUUUCCAUCAUCCAAUCCCUUCUUCCUUAUUAUUCCCAAGACAUUAAACUCUCUGGGGUCUAGAGAAAUGGCUCCUGGAACCUUAAGGAUCUUCCGGUUGAAAUCCCUGAGGAUCUCAUCCAAACUUUCACCAACUCCGUUUUCCCCAAUCCUAGAGCCAAUACUGAUGAGCUUGUUUGGCAUGUCAUCGAUAAUUGUCUGUUCUCCAGCAGAAAUGCUUAUAAUCAUAUAGCCAAAACCUUUGACAUCAAUUACUCCUCUAAUUUCAACUGGAUAUGGAAGGCUAAAUCCCCUAAAAAUUCAAAACCUUUCUUUGGCUAGGCCAGCAUGAUAGGUUCCCCAAUAACCUCAACCUCUCCAAGUGAGGAGUGAGACAAAAUAUUAGUUGUGCUAUCUGCAAUCAUCACCAGGAAGACAAAUCCCACAUUUUCUUUAAUUGUCCCAUCCUCAAAGAUUUUGGAGUGCAAACUAUCCAUAAGAUGACCCAGUCCAAAUAACUUUCUAUUACCAGUUUCCUACCCUCUUACUGGCACACUAUCUGGAGAUAUCUUCAACACUCCCAAUUCAAUAAACUAAUCCAUUGGCACGAUAUCAUUCUUUUCAGCCUCUAGACAAUCUGGAACACCAGGAAUUCUAAUACCUUCAAUAAUAAAAGGGAUCAUCCCAAUUUAAACCAUGCUUACUCCCAAGUUGUUGAGUAUAAACAUUUUACUCAAAAGAAUACCCCAAUCAAGCAAAACCAAAUCAUCAACAUUAAGUGGAAUCCUCCCACCAGCCACACCUUUAAGCUCAAUACUGAUAAUUCUUGCCUUAGAAACCUCGGGAUGGGUGGAAUAGGAUAGGUAGUCAGAUCUAGUAAUGGAUGUUGUGUUAGGUUUUAACAAAAACUUUCACCGAACUCCCAACAACAUGAUAGAACUUAUGGCUCUCAUUGAAGGAUUAAACUGGUAGAGAAAAAUAAUCUUCUCCCCAUUGAAAUUAACAUUAAUUCCUUGGAAGUUAUAUCUAUGUUAACUAACUGGAACCUCCACUAUGAUACUUUGAUUUUGGAAUGCAGGUCAAAAUUAAGAAGGCUACGAAAUCCGGAAGCCAAGCACUGUUAUAGAGCAUAAAAUGAAGUGGCAGAUACUCCAGCAAAAGACGAAGCAUGGGCAAGUGGGUUUCAGGAGACUACCCUUUUUGAAGUUCCACCGAUAUGUGUAAAAGAUACAGUUUGAGCAGACAUCUCGAAAUUUUUUUGAGAGAACAAUUAGCUCUUGUAAUGAUGAUUUUAACUAGCCAGGCCAGAACUAUUCCUUUUUGAACCCUGACUAAUCGUCAAAAAUUGAAACUUAAAUUGCGUUCUCUUUUAUAUUAAUGCAUGUCCUUUCUACCAAAAAAAUAAUAUUAUUUUGCAUAUUGAAUCAUUGAAAAAAAAGAUAUUUAUAUCAUUUAAAUUGAUGGACCUUGAACAUUCAUAAAGAAAGAUAAGUUGAAAAUGUUAUAUCAUUCCUGCAAAUCGAAAGAAAGUUACCAAAUCAAGAAUAAUUUUUUAAAAUCAAAAAAUUAAAAAAUACAGUAAAUAAAUUCACCAAUAAAGCUAAUGAUAGGGAAGUAUAUGUAAGAAAGGCUAAGUGAAAGAAUUUCAUUUAUAUUCAGAUAUCAUUUAAAUACAAAUUCAAAUAUCACAUAUGUUUAUUAAAAUAAGAUUAAUUUAUUAUUCUUCCUUUUCCUUAUCCUUACAUUUUUCAAAUACAAUAUAUAUUUAAAAUUAAUAUAGAUUUGAGUUGAGAUAAAUAUUGAAAUCAAUGAGACAAUACUAAUACUAAUUCUAAUACUAACACUAACACUAAUACUAAUACUAAUACUAAUACUAAUACUAAUACUAAUACUAAUACUAAUACUAAUACUAAUACUAAUACUAAUACUAAUACUAAUACUAAUACUAAUACUAAUACUAAUACUAAUACUAAUACUAAUACUAAUACUAAUACUAAUACUAAUACUAAUACUAAUACUAAUACUAAUACUAAUACUAAUACUAAUACUAAUACUAAUAACAAUAAUAACAUUUUAACUAUUUUUACUUUACCGCUAUUAGAUUGCACUACUAUUAUUAUUUGUUCAUUGUUAUUUGAGAUAAAUAUUAAGAUAAAUCGUGUAGCAAAAGAAAAAAAAUUGUGUGCCAUGAUUACUAAUUAAGUACAUCUAAAUUAUAAGUUUAUCUUUGAAAGUAUGUUUUAUCUCCAAUUUAAAUUCAAAAAAAAUUGAUAGAAUAACCAAUAUCUUAGAUGAGAGGUUAAAACCGUCAAUAAAGGUCAGGCUCAUUGGGAUGACCCGGCCCAGCUUGUAAUUUGAUAGGGCUAGGCUAUAAUUUUUAUAGCCCAUUUAAGAAUAGGGCCUUUUAGCCCUUCAUGAAUAAGUCUAUUGACCCGUCGGCUUAAUAAUUAACAUAUAAAAUAUAAUUUUUGUAAGAAAUCAAAUAUGUUUAAUGAAGAUGACGUGGCGAUGUUGAAUACACAAUAAAUGCCAUGAGAGUUUUCUUUAAAGCAUUUAUUUUACUUUUAAUGGACUAAAUAUUGACAUUUCAUUGUGUUUUAUUCUGAUCAAUUAAAACAAAAUUAGGUUAAUAUUGUUAUUUAGCGAGUUAUAUUAUAAAUCAUUAAUUAUUUUAUUUAUUUUUCAAUAUCUCUAUUUGAUUUUAAUUUGGUGUCAAAAGUUAUUCAAUUUCCCAGAUUAUUAGGAUCUUUUUGUAAAUUUGAGACUUACUUAAUGAGUAGUAACUUCAAGCAAUAUUAUAUUGUAAAUAUUUAUGCAAUUAAUAUUUUAAAAUUAAAUUAAGAUUAUAAAAAUAAUAUAUUUCAAAAAAUGGGCUGGCCCGUGGAGGCCCACAACCCAUAGUGUGACGGGUUGGGCAUGCUAUUUUCUAGUCUGUCAUGUUGAUGGGUUAACCUAGCCGGGCCCGUCAAACUCUAAAGCCCAUGUGAGCUAGCCCGGAUAAGCUGGUUCGAUCCAUAUUAACAACUCUAGGAGCAGUUAUAUAACGAUAAGAAUCCAAUUAGAACUGUUUAGUAUUAUAACUAUCUACUUCUAGUAUGUAAUUUUAUAUUUUUUUAAUAUUAUAUUAAAUUCAAAGUCAAUAAUUUAUUUGUAACGCCCCAAGAUCCCAUCCCGAGACGUCACAUGGUGCUUAAGGCCACACGUGGCCUCAAGCUAACCCUCUAAACCUGUCAUCACUUCUAGAAAUCACUUUGACAAUAGUCAUGCUAAUAUAAGAGAGAAUGACAUAUCAUAUACAUACUGGAAUAAGAUACGAAACAACAUAACAUCAAAAUCAAGGAGGCAUUGGGACAAACCCCCAACAGAAUUAAACAGUACUGAAAGCCAUAACAAUAAUAUGAUAUCACAAAAUUAUAAACACGGUCCUCGAACCAUGAGGACUCACCACUGAGUAGUUGAAAAGAGGCACCCGAAUAUCGCUAAUGCGGCUGAGUACCUGAACCUACAUUAAGAGAAAAUAUAGCCCUUAGGAAAAUAUGUAGGUUAGCACUUUGGAAUGUACUGAGUAUGUGGGGGUGCAUGCAACAAUGUAAAUAUCUUCAUCAAUUUCAUAAAAAUAUGGAUAUGUACAGUGGCUCACUUGGCUUGAGAUAGAUUGAAACAUACUUUUCAUGAUCUCAUCGUAAAUCAUAUGAUAAAAACCUCAUAAAUCAUCAUAAACAACUCAACUAUUCAACUCAAGAUUCGGAGUGACUCUGUAAUUCAAGAAACUCGACUCUUAUGGACAUGGAAGGUUCUUAUAACCGACAUAAACCAUGUGAGCUACAUAGAGUCCAAUGUUUUGCCCUCUUAAGGAGAGAAUCGCAAAUUGGCGGGAGCGUCGUACUCUUGCCAGGGAGUACAACAUAAAUUUUGUGAUCACAAUCUCAUACUCGACCUCCGGCCCACAAUUAUAAAUAUCAAUCCUAUGGUGGAAAGUAGUUUCGGGGAAAAUACCACAUUUUCUGCUUGGUGCUAAAUACUACUCCCAAAAACAAGCUCAAAACACGUUAGUAAAUCCACCACAAACAUCACAAGGGUAUAUCAUGAAGACGAAAUCAAAUAUCUUUCUAAUUUAUCAAAUCAUAAUCAAUUUGUGGAUUCCUAACUCAACUCAACUCAAAUCAAUCUUUCUCAAUAUCAAAAUGCAUCAAUUCAUCAAGUCAUGGCAACAUCAAUAACUUUGAGGAAAUAUCAAGACUCAUUGUAACAACUCAAUUCUCAUGAAUCAAUAUACUCAAUAAUCCAAUUUGUCAUAAGGAAGCUUAAAGCCUGACACAUAUCUUCAAAGCACUUGAAAUAAAAACUCAUGGUAGAAACUUGAAAUUCACAAUAUUAAAUAUCAAGUCAUAACUUGGACAUUGUAAAAUAAUCAUGUAUAACAAAGCUUGAAUGAUUUAUAUUCUCAUAAUCUCAUGAUGAAGUAAUUUGGGUAUAAUCAAACUUGCAAAAUCAUAUAAAUCUAUAAUAAAAAUCAAAGCUAUGUGCACAAGAACGAAAGAAUUACUCUUGUUCAAAACCCCACAUAGUUUAAUCUUUGAAAUUGGUUGAAAUCUAGUGCUUUAGACUUUACUCACACUUGUAAUAAAAAAAUUCUUGAAGCCCACUCUAUGAGGAACUUAUUCUUGAAGGAAUCUUGAAGAUUUAUGGAUGAUUUUUGGAAGAUUAAUUUCCUUAAAUAAAACCCUAGAUAUAUUUCUUAAGAGAAUUGGAAGAGAGAUAUGAAGAAAUUAGGUUUUGGAUGAGGAUUCUCAUAUAUAUAGAGGCCUCCAAAAAUGGGAAAUGACUAAAAUACGCUUGCAAAAAUCGUCCAUCAAUUGCUGAAGAAAAUAGUUGACGACAUUCGUAACAAGCUGUCCGGCCCAUGAUAGGCCGUCAUGAAUUGUCAUCACAAAAAGGGUGGAUUUGGUGACUUUCUGCCUUAAGGUGAUGACAUUUUGUGAUGGGCCGUCAGGCUUGUGACAAGUCAUCACAAAAGUUCAUCACGGAUUUUCCAGGCUGACAUGCAGGAGUAAAAUAAGCAUAACUCUUUGCUCCGAUAUCAGUUUUGACGAAAUGGGUAUCGUUGGGAAGCUAAUUCAAUUAUCUAUAUUUUGGUAGGUCAUGAAAUCAGUAAUUCGUAGUAGAACGGGAGAUAUUCUCAUUUGAAGUUGACUAUGCCAAAAUCCUUCUCAAGAAUUCAAUCGGUAAAGAAUGUUUUGAUUCGCCCAAGCAUUAAGACAUAUUUAAAUCCUUAAUACACAUCACCCUUGACCAGAAAACAACCAAAACACUAUAAUUUAUUUCUCAUGGGAUUGAGUCAUGGAGGCACUAUUGAUUAGAAUCUCAGGGUAUUAACAACCCUCCCCUUGGAAACAUUCGUCCUAGAAUAUUGCCAGAUAGUCCAAGAAUAAGAGAAAAAUGAGGACGUAUAGCUGGAAAGACUCACUCAAAAGACUUACUUCACUCUAUACCUUAGAAUACUAUAGAAAAUGCACUAAUUCGUGAUGAAAGUAGACACACUGCUAGAUCUUUAAUAACAAGGGGACGGAAUUAGGAAAGAAUGAUACUUGUUGCUCGCUCCAAACACACAGAAAAGAGGUGAGGAUACUUGGCUCGUAUAUCAGCUUCGUCUUCCCAAGUGUCACUCUCAACAUAUUGAUUUCGCCAAAGCACUUACAUCAAAGGAACUUCUUUGUUCCUUAGCUUACGGAUCCAAAAAUCCAAAAUCUCGACCGGAAUCUCCUCGAAUGAAAGGCUAUCCUGAAUAUCUAAUCUUUUGGAAAAAUCAACCACGACAAAAUCACCAAUACACUUCUUAAGCAUAGAAAUAUGAAAUACCAGAUGAACGCUAGACAACUCCGUGGGUAGAUCUACCUCAUAAGCUACUUUCCCAACACGGAUCAGAACCCUAUAUGGACCAAUAUAACGGGGACUAAGCUUUCCCUUCUUCCCAAAUCUCUUCACCUCUUUCAUGGGUGAAACCUUUAAGUACACCAAACCAAUAACAUUAAACUCAAGAUCUUUUCAUCUCACAUUCGCAUACGACUUCUGACGACUUUGAGCAGUUUUCAAUCUUUCUUGAAUCAACUUAAAUUUUUCCAUAGCCUUGAACACAGCAUCCGGCCCAAUCACAAUUGCUUCUCCUACUUCAAACCAACCUAUGGGCUAUCUACAUCUUCUCUCAUACAAAGCUUCGAACGGGGCCAUCUGAAUACUAGCAUGGAAACUAUUAAUAUAUGCAAAAUCAAUCAAUGCCAAGUGUUUAUCCCAACUACUUUUGAAAUCAAGAGCGCAUGACCUCAACAUGUCCUCUAAAGUUUGAAUAGUCCUUUCAGCCUGACCAUCAGUCUGCGGAUGGAAAGCAGAACUUAGAUGAACUAGGGUACCGAUACCCUUCUGAAAAGCCCUCCAAAACUGGGAAGUAAACUGAGUACCCCUAUCAGACAUGAUAGCCAAAGGAACUCCAUGCAAUCAGACUAACUCACGGAUAUACAAUCUAGCAUAAUCCUCAGUAGUAUAAGAUGAAUGCACUGGCAAGAAAUGAGCUGAUUUAGCCAAUUGUUCUAUGACAAUCCAAAUCAAAUCAUGAUGAUGAUGAGAAGGAGGUAAACCAAUUACGAAGUCCAUAUUUUCUUCUUCCCACUUCCAAGUAGGAAUGCUAAACUCUUGCAUUACACCACCGGUCCUCUGGUGCUCUACCUUAACUUGUUGACAAGUAGAACACUUUGCCACAAAUCCUGCUAUGUCUUUCUUCAUACCAUUCCACCAAUAGAGUUCCCACAAAUUGCGGUACAUCUUGGUAGCACCAGGAUGAAUAAAAUAUCGCGCACCAUGUGCUUCAGCCAUAAUUCUCUUCCUCAAAUCAUCAACAUUCGGAACACAUAGUCUACCUUGCAAUCUCAACAUACCAUUUCCCCCUUGCGAGAAAACCUACACCUUCUGGAUCUUAACUGACUCCUUCAAUCUGACCAAACUAGGAUACAUGUCUUGCUUCUCCUUUACCUCCGAGACCAAAUAGGACUCGAAACUACUCUGAGCUAACAUACUCCCUUCAGCAGAAUCAAGAAAUCUAACACCCAACCUUGCCAAACGAUGCUCAUCACAAGCCAAUUCUUUCUUAUCAUUCUGUACAUGUCCUAUACUACCCUUAGACAACCUAAUAAGAGCAUCAACUACAAUAUUGGCCAUGCCUGGGUGAUACAUUACACUCAUGUCGUAGUCUCUUAGAAACUCUCACCAUCUUCUUGUCUAAGGUUCAACUUCCUGUGAGUAAACACAUAUUACAGGCUUUUGUGAUCAGUAAACACAUCAACAUGAACACCAUACAAAUAUUGUCUCCAGAUUUUCAAAGAAAAAUCUACAACUGAUAAUUUAAGAUCAUGGGUUGGGUAACUCUUCUCAUGAGGCUUCAACUGUCUAGAGGCAUAAGCUAUAACUUUACCCCUCUGUAUCAACACAAAACCUAGACCAACUUUAGAAGUACCGUAGUACACCACAAGACCAUCAGAACCAUUGGGUAAAGCUAACACUAGGUCUAACGUGAGUCGAGUCUUCAACUCUAGAAAACUCUUCUCACAGGAAUCUAUCAACUGGAACUUAACUUUCUUUUGGGUCAACCGGGUCAUGGGAGACGCGAUAGAAGAGAAGCCCUCAACAAAAUGAUGGUAGUAACCAGCUAGACCCAAGAAACUCCUAAUAUUAUACAGGAAGGUAAGUCUAGGAAAAUUCUUCACAGCUUCUAUCUUUUGAGUAUCAACUCUAAUACCUUCAGAAGAAACAAUAUGACUCAGAAAAGCAACUGACCUUAACAAAAAUUCACACUUCCAAAAAUUUGGCAAAUAAUUGAUGAGCUCUAAGGGUUUCCAACACAAUUCGAAGAUGAUCCGCAUGGUCAUCCUUACUUCAAAAAUAUACAAGAAUAUCAUCUAUGAACACAAAAACAAACAAAUCCAAAUACCGCUUAGCAUUGGUUAACCCAAAAGACAUAACAAGAAACUCAAAAUGACCAUAGUGGGUUUGGAAAGCUGUCUUUGGAAUAUCAUACUCUCUCACUCUAAGCUGAUGAUAGCCGAAUCUAAUUUCUAUCUUUGAGAAAUAACUUACACCCUGUAGCUGAUCAAAUAAAUCAUCAAUUCUAGGAAGAGGGUACUUGUUAUUAAUAGUUACCUUGUUGAGUUGACGGUAGUCAAUGCACAUAUGCAAUGUACCAUCUUUCUUCCACACAAAUAGAACAGGUGCACCCCAUGGGGACACACUGGGUCUAAUAAAGCCUUUUUCUAAGAGGUCUUUGAGUUGCUUCUUCAAAUCUUUAAGUUCUGUGGGAGCCAUACGGUAUGGAGGGAUAGAAAUAGGCUGAGUCCUAGGAAGGAGAUCAAUCCCAAAUUCUAUUUCUCUAUCAGGUAGGACCCCUGGAAGGUCUUCCAGGAAAACAUCAGGAAACUCUUUAACAAUGCUAACUGACUGAAUAGUCGGAGUCUCGAACUUGAGGUCUUUAACUCAAACUAAAUGAUAGAUGCAACCCUUGGAAAUCAACUUCCUAGAUUUGAGGUAGGAUACGAAAUGGCUCUUUGAAGUUACAGAACUCCCGAACCACUCAAACAUGACUUUAUUAGGAAACUGAAACUGAACCACUCGGGUUUGACAAUCUUUAGACGCAUAGCACGAGUGAAGCCAAUAUAUACACAGAAUGACGUCAAAAUCAACUAUAUCUAGCUCAAUCAAAUCAGCACAUAUGACCCAAUGAAGGACAGUAGCAGGACACUUCUUAUACACUCGCUUAGCAAUAAUAGACUCUCUUACCGGGGUAGAAACCAAAAUAGGCUCAGGAAUCCGUUCAGGGUCCAUAUCAAAAUUUAUAGCAAUCAAAGGUGUCACAUAAAAGAAACUUGAACCGAGGUCCAUCAAUACAUACACAUCAAAAUAAAAGAUGUGGAGCAUACCAGUGACGACAUCUUGAGAAUCCUCCUGCUCCUGGCGAGGUGGUAUAGCAUAGAUGCAAUUCUAGCGUGAACCGCCAACAGUACUACCAGAGAUGCCCUGAGGAGGAACUGGGCUCACUACGGGAGUGGGGUAACUGGUAGCCUGGCUCUAGGGAUGAGCAUCUCGACUCCCCUAUCUAGCAUACGGAUAAUCUCUAAGUUGGUGGGAAAACUUGCCACAACCAAAGCAACCUCUCUGAUCAACAAAACACUCACCAGAAAAAUCUCUGCCACAUUUGGCAUAUAAAAGAGGACGAGGUCUGUUAUUUAGACUUUCCUAAGACCUGGAUGGGAUAGGCCUAUUCCCCUACUCCUGCCUACCUCUAAGUAUGGGAGAACUAAAUGAGGAAGGAACGGGCAUAAACGCACAUCUCUGGAAUUGAGUGUGGUCCCCUUCAUAGAAUCUAGACUGACCGAAUCCUUGCUACUCUGAUCUAGCUCUUUUAUUCCCUCUUACUCUCUCUCUUUCACCAUAAUAACUUCAAUCUAUUAGACAUGUAUCAUCAACUGAGAAAGGUCCAUCUCCAUAUUAAGCAUAACGGAUCUACACUCUUUCACAACGUACCUCAACACACCGGUCACGAACUUACUCAUGAUGGUCCAGGAGUCAGCCAUCUUACUAGGUGCAUAUUUGGGCAACUGAUUGAAUCUAAGGCAAUACUCUUUAACAGUCAUGGAGCCUUGUCUCAAAUUCAUGAAUUUCUCUAUCUUCACUUCCCUCAUAUCAAGAGGAAAGAAUCUGUCCAAGAACGCAUCCAGAAAUAACAACCAAGUCAUGGGAGCGGCAUCCUUCUCUCUACUUUUCCUCCACACUUCCACCCAAUCAUAUGCAACGUCUUACAUUCGAUAGGCAGCUAAUUUAACACUCUCCUCCUCAACCACGUGCAUAAUCUAGGUGAUCUUUCUCACUUCAUACAAGUACAUUUGUGGGCCAGCACCUACCUUCGACCCAUAGAACUCAGGCGGAUUCAUCCGCAUAAAGACACAAUCCUGAGCUACAGUAGGAUUAUUCUCUUGUGGAGGCAGAAUAGUAGCCUGGUUGUUAGCUUGAGUAUUGGCAAUAACUGCCUGGGCUAGCGCCUGAAAAGCUGCUCGGAAUUCUACAUGUAACAUAUGCUCGUUCAGGGGAUCAACGGGUUGAGGUUCCUCAUUGUUUCUACGAGCUCGACGAGGAGGUAUUUUCUGUCAUAAUAGAGCACGAAUUAGUAGAAGAAAGAAACAGUCGUAGGCACAAGAGACUUUUGAAAGAAAAAAAUGACUUUUCCUAAAACAUCCCGUAGCUUCUUGCUCAUAGAUGUGGCGCGCUACAUACCGAUGAUCAAGACUAAACGUAACACGGCUUGCCAGACUCCCUAGGACUCUUUAAACUGUAGGCUCUGAUACCAAGCUUGUAACGCCCCAAGAUCCCAUCCCGAUACGUCAAACGGUGUUUAAGGCCACAUGCGGCCUCAAUCUAACCCUCUAAACCUGUCAUCACUUCUAUAACUCACUUUGACUAUAGUCAUGCUAAUAUAAGAGAGAAUGACAUAUAAUAAACAUACUGGAAUAAGAUACUAAACUAUGCUGUAUAAUCCAAAAUACUGAAAUUCUGUACAUACCAACACUUUAGUCUGACAAAGCCUCUAUAAAUCAAAAUCAAGGAGAUAGUAGGACAAACCCCCAACAAAAUCAAACAGUACUGAAAACCAUUAUAACAAAACGGUAUCACAAAAUUAUAAACAUGGUCCUUGAACCAUGAAGACUCACCAAUGAGCAGACGAAAAGAGGCACCCGAAUAUCGCUAAUGCGGCUGAGUACCUGAACCUACAUUACGAGAAAAUGUAACCCAUAGAAAAAUAUGUGGGUCAUCUCUUUGGAAUGUACUGAGUAUAUGGGGGUGCAUGCAACAAUGUAAAUAUCAUCGCAUAUGUAUAAUGAUGGCUCACUUGGCUUGAAUUGAUUGAAACAUAAUUUUAAUGAUCUCAUCGUGAAUAAAUCAUAUGAUAAAAACCUCAUAAAUCAUCAUAAACAACACAACUCAAGAUUCAAGACUUGGAGUGACCUGCAAUUUAUGAAACUAGACUCUUAUGGACAUGGGAGGUUCUUAUAACCGACAUAAACCAUGUGAGCUACAUGGAGUCCAAUAUUUUGCCCUCCUAAGGAGAGAACUCCACAUUGGCGGGAGCAUCGUACUCUUGCUAGGGAGUACUACCUAAAUUUAGUGAUCACAAUCUCAUACUCAGCCUCUGGCCCACAAUUAUCAAUAUCAAUCCUACGGUGGCACAUAGUUUUGGGGGAAAUACCACAUUUCCCGCUCGGUGCUCAAUACAACUCCCAGACACGACUUCAGAACGCGUUAGGAAAUCCACCACAAACAUCACAAGGUUUUAUCAUGAAGAACAGAUCAAAUCUCUUUCUAAUUUAUCAAAUCCUAACCAAUUUGUGGAUUCCUAACUCGACUAAAAUCAAAUCAAUCUUUCUCAAUAUCAAAAUGCAUCAAUUCAUUAAGUCAUGGCAACAUCAAUAACUUUGAGGAAAUAUCAAGACUCAUUAUAACAACUCAAUUCUCAUGAAUCAAUAUACUCAAUAAUCCAAUUUUUCAUAAGGAAGCUUAAAGCUUGACACAUAUCUUCAAAGCACUUGAAAUACCAACUCAUGGUAGAAACUUGAAAUUCACUAUAUUAAAUAUCAAGUCAUAACUUGGAAAUUGUAAAAUAAUCAUGUAUAAAAAAGCUUGAACGCUUUAUAUUCUCAUAAUCUCAUGAUGAAGUAAUUUGGGUAUAAACCAACUUGCAAAAUCAAAUAAAUCCAUAAUAAAAAUCAAAGCUUUGAGCACAAGAACGAAAGAAUUGCUCUUGUUUAAAACCCCACAUACCUUAAUCUUUGAAAUUGAUUGAACUCUAGUGCUUGAGACUUUACUCACAAUUGUAAUAAAAAAAUUCUUGAAGCCCACUCUAUGAGGAACUUGAUUCUUGAAGGAAUCUUGAAGAUUUAUGGAUGAUUUUUGGAAUAUUAAUUUCCUUAAAUAAAACCCUAGAUAUAUUUCUUAAGAGAAUUGGAAGAGAAAAAUGAAGAAAUUAGGUUUUGGAUGAGGAUUCUCAUAUAUAUAGAGGCCUCCAAAAAUGAGAAAUGACUAAAAUACCCUUGCAAACAUCGUCCAUCAAUUGCUAAAACAAAAUAGAUGACGACAUCCGUCAUAAGCUGUCAAGAACGUGAUAGGCCGUCACGAAUUAUCGUCCUAAAAAUGGUGGAUUUUGUGACUUUCUACCUUAAGGUGAACGACAUUUUGUGAUGGGCCGUCAGGUUUGUAAUAAGUCAUCACAAAAGGUCGUCACGAAUUUUCAAACUCUGGAGUAAAAUAAACAUAACUCUUUGCUCUGAUAUUGGAUUUUGAUGAUCUUUUGGUAGGUUAUGAUCUAAAUAAUUCAUAGUACAACGGGAUAUAUGCUCAUUUAAAGUUGACAAUGUCAAAAUCCUUCACAAGAAUUCAAUCGGUAAAGAAUGUUUUGAUUCGCCCAAGUGUUAGGACAUAUUUAAAGCCUUAAUACACAUCACCCUUGACCAGAAAACAACCAAACAACUAUAAUUUAUUUCUCAUGGUCUUGAUUCAUUGCGGCACUAUUGGUUAGAAUCUCGGGGUAUUCUAUUUCUCUAUCUGGUGGGACCCUUGGAAGGUCUUUCGAGAAAACAUCGGUAAACUCUUUCACAAUGCUAACUGACUAAACAGUCGGAGUCUCGAACUUGAGGUCUUUAACUCAAACUAGAUGAUAGAUGCAACCCUUGGAAAUCAACUUCCUAGAUUUGAGGUAGGAUAUGAAACGGCUCUUCGGAGUUACAGAACUCCCGAACCACUCAAACACGGGUUCGUUAGGAAACUAAAACUUGACCACUUGGGUAUGACAAUGUAUAUAUGCAUAGCAUAAGUGAAGCCUAUCUAUACCGAGAAUGACAUCAAAAUUAACCAUAUCUGCUUAAUUAAAUCAACACAUAUGACCUGAUGAAGGAUAGUAAUAGGACACUUCUUAUACACUCGCUUAGCAAUAACAGACUCUCCUCGUGGGAUAGAAACCAGAAUAGGCUCAAGAAUAUGUUCAGGGCCCAUCUCAAAAUUUAUAGCAACCAGAGAUGUCAUAUAAGAAAAAAUCAAACCGGGGUCCAUCAAUACAUAUACAUCAAAAUAAAAGACACGGAGAAUACCAGUGACAACAUCUGGAGAAUUCUCCAGCUCCUGGCGAGGUGGUAUAUCAUAGAAGCAAUGAUGGCGUGAACCUCCAAUAGAAUAUGGGAGUGGGGGCACUGGUUGCUUGACUCUAGGGAUGAGCGUCUUGAAUCCCCUAUCUAGAAUACGAAUAAUCUCUAAGUCGGUGGCCCAACUUGCCAUAACUAAAGCAAUACCUCUGAUCAACAAAACACUCGCCAAAAUGAUCUCUACCACACUUGGCAUAUGAAAGGGGACGAGGUCUGUUACUCACAUUCUCCUAAGUCCUGGAUAGGAUAGUCCUUUUCCCCUGCUCCUUCCUGCUUCUAGGUGCGGGAGAACUAACUGAGGAAGGCACGGUUAUAAAUGGACAUCUCAGGAAUUAAGGGCGGUCCCCUCCAUAGAAUCUGGACUGACCGAAUCCCUACUUCCCUGAUCUACCUCUUUUAUUCCCUCUUACUAUCUCCCUCUCUUUCACCUUAUCAGCUUUAAUCUAUUGGGCAUGUAUCAUCAACCGAGAAAGGUCCAUCUCCCUAUUAAGCAUAGCAGAUCUACACUCUUUCACAAUGUAACUUGACACACCGGUCACAAACUUACUCAUGAUAGUCCUGGAGUCAGCCAUCAUACUAGGGGCAUAUUUGGACAACUGAUUGAAUCUAAGGCAAUACUCCUUAACAGUCAUGGAUCCUUGUCUCAAAUUCAUGAAUUCCUUUAUCCUUGCUUCUCUCAUCUCAAGAGGAAAGAAUUUGUCCAAGAAUGUAUCCUGGAAUAGCUUCCAAGUCAUGGGAGCGCCAUUCCCCCCUCUACUUUUCCUCCAUACUUCUCCCAAUCAUAUGCAACAUCUUUCAUUCGAUAGGCAGCCAAUUCAACACUCUCCUCCUUAGUCAUGUGCAUAAUCUGGGUGAUCUUUCUCACUUCAUCCAAGUACAUCUGUGGGUCUUCACCUACCUUCGACCCAUAGAACUCAAGCGAAUUAAUCAGCAUAAAGUCACAAACCCGAGCUGCAGUUAUUCUCUUGUGGAGGCGGAACAGUAGUAUGGUUGUUAUAUUGAGUAUUGGUGGUAACUUCCUGGGCUAGCACCUAAAAAGCUACCCGGAAUUCUGCAUGUGACACAUGCUCGUUCAGGGGAUCAACGGGUUAAGGUUGCUCAUUUUUUCUACGAGCUCGAUGAGGAGGCAUUUUCUGUCAUAAAAGAGCAUGAAUUAAUAGCAGAGAGAAAUAGUCGUAGGUACAAUAGAAUUUUAAAUGAAAACAAUGACUUUUCCUAAAACAUCCCGUAGCCUCUUGCUCAUAGAUAUGGAAUGCUACACACAGAUGAUCAAGACUCUACGUAACGCGGCAUGCUAGACACCCUAGGACUCUUUAAACCUUUGGAUCUGAAACCAAUCUUGUAACGCCCCAAGAUCCCAUCCCGAAACAUCACAUGGUGCUUAAGGCCACACGCGUCCCCAAGCUAACCCUCUAAAACUAUCAUCACUUCUAGAACUCACUUUGACAAUAGUCAUGCUAAUAUAAGAGAGAAUGACAUAUCAUAAACAUACUGGAAUAAGAUAUGAAACUAGCCAGUACAAUCCAAAAUACUAAAAUUCUGUACAUACCAACUCUUUAGCCUGACAAAGCCUCUAUACAUUAAAAUCUAGAAGACAUUGGGACAAACCCCCAACUGACUAAAACAGUACUGAAAACCAUAACAACAAAAAGGUAUCACAAAAUUACAAACAUGGUCCUCGAACCAUGAGGACUCACCACUGAGCAGAAGAAAAGAGGCACCCGAUAUCGCUAACGCAUCUGAGUACCUCAACAUACAUUACAAGAAAAUUUAGCUCAUAGAAAAAUAAAUGGGUCAGCACUUUGGAAUGUACUGAGUAUGUGGGGGUGCAUGCAACAAUGUAAAUAUCUUCAUCAAUUUCAUGAAAAUAUGCAUAUGUACAAUGAUGGCUCACUUGGCUUGAGUUAGAUUGAAACAUACUUUUCAUGAUCUCAUCGUAAAUAAGUCAUAUGAAAAAAACCUCAUAAAUCAUCAUAAACAACUCAACUCAAGAUUCAAGACUCGGAGUGACCUGUAAUUUAUGAAACUCGACUUUUAUGGACAUGGGAGGUUCUUAUAACCGACAUAAACCAUGUAAGCUACAUGGAGUCAAACGUUUUUCCCUCUUAAGGAAAGAACCACACAUUAGCGGGAGCGUCGUACUCUUGCCAGGAAAUACAACCUAAAUUUAGUGAUCACAAUCUCAUACUCGGCCUCCGGCCCAUAAUUAUCAAUAUCAAUCCUAUAGUGGCACGUAGUUUCAGGGGAAAUACUACAUUUCCCGCUCGGUGAUAAAUACUACUCCCAGACACAACCUCAAAAUGCGUUAGAAAAUCCCCCACAAAUAUCACAAAGGUCUAUCAUGAAGACCAAAUCAAAUCUCUUUCUCAUUUAUCAAAUCAUAAUCAAUUUGUGGAUUCCUAACUCGACUCAAAUCAAAUCAAUCUUUCUCAAUAUCAAAAUGCAUCAAUUCAUUAAGUCAUGGCAACAUCAAUAACUUUGAGGAAAUAUCAAGACUCAUUGUAGCAACUCAAUUCUAAUUAAUCAGUAUACUCAAUAAUCCAAUUUUUUCAUAAGGAAGCUUAAAGCUUGACACAUAUCUUAAAAGUACUUGAAAUACCAAAUCAUGGUAGAAACUUGAAAUUCACAAUAUUAAAUAUCAAGUCAUAACUUGGAAAUUGUAAAAUAAUCAUGUAUAACAAUGCUUGAACCAUUUAUCUUCUCAUAAUCUCAUGUUGAAGUAAUUUGGGUAUAAACCCACUAGCAAAAUCAUAUAAAUCCAUAAUAAAAAUCAAAGCAUUGAGCACAAGAACGAAAGAAUUGCUCUUGUCCAAAACCCCACAUACUUUAAUCUUUGAAAUUGGUUGAACUCUAGUUCUUUAGACUCUACUCACACUUGUAAUAAAAAAAUUCUUGAAGCCCACUCUACGAGGAACUUGAUUCUUGAAGGAAUCUUAAAGAUUUAAGGAUGAUUUUUGGAAGCUUAAUUUCCUUAAAUAAAACCCUAGAUAUAAUUCUUAAGAGAAUUGGAAAAGAGAAAUGAAGAAAUUAGGUUUUGGAUGAGGAUUCUCAUAUAUAUAGAGGCCUCCAAAAAUGGAAAAUGACUAAAAUACCCUUGCAAAAAUCGUCCAUCAAUUGCUGAAAAAAAUAGUUGACGAUAUCCGUGACAAGCUGUCAGGCCCAUGAUAGGCAGUCACGAAUUGUCGUCACAAAAAGGGUGGAUUUUGUGACUUUCUACCUUAAGGUGACAACAGUUUGUGACGGGCCAUCAGGCUUGUGACAUGUCGUCACAAAAGGUCAUCACGGAUUUUCCAGGCUGACACGCUGGAGUAAAAUAAGCAUAACUCUUUGCUCCGAUAUCGAAUUUCAACAAAAUGGGUAUCCAUGGAAAGCUAAUUCAAUUAUGUAUAUUUUGGUAUGUCAUAACUCAAUAAUUAGUAAUAAAACGGGAGAUAUGCUCAUUUGAAGUUGACUAUGCCAAAAUCCUUCUCAAGAAUUCAAUCGGUAAAGAAUAUUUUGAUUCGCCCAAGCGUUAGGACAUCUUUAAAGCCUUAAUACACAUCACCCUUGAAUAGAAAACAACCAAAACAAUAUAAUUUAUUUCUCAUGGGCUUGAGUCAGGGCGGUACGAUUGAUUAGAAUCUCGGGGUAUUACAUUAUUCCUUUUAAUUAUCUUUGCUAUUAACCUUUCUGCAAAUAUGAUGCAAAUUUAUCUUAUAAUGUUAUAAUUGAAUUAAAAAAAAUAUUUGAGAUCAACCACAUAUUUUUGAUAGUAAAUGAUGUAUUAUUAUUAUUAUUAUCAUUAUUUUUAUUAGUAGUAGUAGUAGUUGAUAUGCAUGUUCUACUACCACUAAUAUUAUAAGUUUUAAUUUAAUUAUUAUUAUAUUUUAUUUAAUAUUAAAAUAUAUUUGAAAUAUAUAAAUUUAUGAUAUAAUUAGAGAUGUUUUAGGUCUUUUCAACUAUGAUAUUUUAAUUUUUAAACUAAUGAAUUAUUUUUUAAAAUUUUCAAAGCCUACUAUUUUAAAAUUCAUAUAUUUCUAUUAACAUAGCAAAUUACUUAUGUAGGACUUAAUUACCUGCAUAACUCACUGCUAAACUAACUACGAAAAAAUACGCUACUACCUGCAUAAAUAAUACAUAGAUAAUCCCUAAAUUAAAAAAAUCUGCAUAACUCUAAUUGAGGCCCUUUCAUUAUUUACUUUUGACUUUUUAGGUUUAACUGGGUAAAUAGAUGAAAAGAGAAAAGAAAAGACUCUCACAUCUAGUUUCCCUAGAAGCACCUCUUUAGAAGAAGGGUGUUGUUGAAGCAACUCAUUUUCAGAUUCAAGCAGUCUUUUGUUUUGUUCCUCCUCAGAAACAAAAGCAUGAGCCGGGGCAACAAUUUUCUUUUCUCACAGGAAAUGAAGAACAAGAAGAACACUACAAUUUUGUACCAGGUUUUAAAAUUCAAAAACAAAAUAAGAAAUUAUGAGAGCAAAAGGGGAAAAACAAAGUGCAAAAAGACCUCACCAGUAGUAGGAUACAAAGGAUGAGAGAGAGAGAGGAAGGAGGGUUAUAUAAAAAUGGAACAAAUACAGUGGAGGCAGAGCAUAUCUAUCAAAUAUUUUUUAAAAACACACUAGCUACAUCACCGACGUUUCAAAAUCAAAGGCAACUUUUUAUCCUGUUUAGAAAAAAAUUUUAAAGUCUGUGAGUAGACUGAGGUUGUCUUAACUGCGUAAAUUGGUUUGUCCUCUUAAAAUUUUCAUUUUUAUAUUAAUUUUAAUUGAACACAAUUUUAAGAGGGCAAACUAAUUUACGCAGUUAAGACAACCUCAAUCCUACUCUCACAUUUUGAAUUUUUUUUCUGAAUAGGACAAAAAGUUGCCUUGAUUUUGAAACAUCGGUGAUGUAGCUGGUGUGUUUUUAAAGAACUUUGAUAGAUGUGCUCUGCCUCUUCUGCUGUAUUCGUUCCAUUUUUCAUAUAACCCUCCUUCCCCUCUCUCUCAUCCUUUGUAUCCUAGUACUGGUGAGGUCUUUUUGCACUUUGUUUUUCCCUUUUUUCUCUCCUGAUUUCUUAUUUUGUUUCUGAGAUUUAAAGCCUAGUUUUAAAAUUGUGGUGUUCUUUUUGUUCUUCAUUUGCUGUAAGAAAAGGAAAUCGCUGCCCCGGCUCAUGACUUUGUUUCUGAGGAGGAACAUAAUAAAAGAUUGUUCGAAUCUGUAAAUGAGUUGUUUUAUUAGCACCCUUCUUCUAAAAAGGUGCUUCUAGGGAAACUAGAUGUGAGAGCCUUUUCUUUUCUCUUUCCAUCUAUUUACCCACUUAAACCUAAGAAUCCAAAAGUAAAUAACAAAGGGUCCUCAAUUAGAGUCAUGCAAGUUUUUGUACUGUAGGGAUUAUCGAUGUGGAAAUCUAUAUAUUAUUUAUGCAUGUAUUAACGUAUUGCUUGGUAGUUGAUUUACCAGUGAGUUAUGCAGGUAAUUAAGUCCUACAUAUUUAAUAUUCAAAUAUUAGUAGUUGGCUUAGCCUACGUUUACUCUUAUUAACAUAGAAUAACCGUCGAGACCCCAAAGAAGGCCCAUAAAAACCCAUCUACCAAAUAUAUGGCUUUGUAGCCUUUCUCAACUAGUUUGAUAGCCCGCUUUUAGGUCCAAAAUAUGGAUGAACAUAGUUAUGCUAUUCAAGAAAAUUAUAGUAGUACUACUGGGACUUUGGAUUGAAAGGGAAAAAUAAGUUGUCUAAUUAAGUGAGAAUCCUUCAAGUUUUUAAAAUUAGGUGGGAGGGACAAAAAGUUUUGGAUUUUUUUAAAAGUUUUUUCGUUCUAAUAACUUCUCCCAGUUGUCGAAAAACUUUGAUAGUUGUUCGACAACUUCUAGCAGUUGUUCAACAACUAUCAAAGUUGUUCGACAACUGCACUAAGCUGUUCGACAACUAGGCGAAGUUGUUCAGCAGUUGUUCAACAACUGUGUGAAGUUGUUGAGACAACUAAUGUAGUUGUCGAACAGCUGUCCCAGUUGUUCAAAUGACUUAAUUUUUUUAAAAGGGACAAGUUGCGGGACCCUCUUGUCCCCUUUUCUUAAUUGGAAACUUGGGAGGUUUAUUGAUUCAUUUUUCUCACUUAAGUAUUUAAGUUGUAUAUAUCAUGAAGUAGUUAGCUUAUAUUUGCAUUGUAAAUUGUAAUAUUAAGUGUAGAGAUAGUCCUAUAUACGUUUAGUACGUCGAAGAGAGCUACUCGCAAACAUUGUGCAAUUCAAUUUGUAGCAAGAAGUACUUAAUCAUCACACAAAUACUUAUCGGUUCUGAAUAUUUACCCCUAAUCAAUGAUUUUAAUUUUAAUGAAUUAAGAAUAUAAGAUCAUUCAAUCAUGAUAACAAAAAUAAUUUAUAAAAGAUAUUAUCUUGUAAUAGUGGGUAUAAGAAGAGGUAGAUGUAGGCUGAGGAGGUCUUGGUAAAGGUGAUUAGAUUAGGUAUCUGUAGCUUUUCGAGGAUAUGAUCUAGAUAUAAAAAUAUGGACAUCAAGGAUUUGGUUAGUGAGUGGCUGAGCGUUGUCUAAUUUCCCUAUUAAGUAGUAUUUUUGUUAUUACUUUCUUACUAUCUUAUUCUUCUAUAUUAGAAUAAUUUGUUUGUUUUAAGUUCAGUUAUCAUAUUAAUUGUUUGUCAUUGCUACCAUUUUCAGAUUUACUAUUUUAUUUGUUUUACAUGCCUAAUUUUUUUUUAUAUGUUUUACUUGAGUCGACAGUCGAGAGUCAAUCGAGAACAACCUCUCUAUCUUCACAAGGCAGAAGUACAUGUCCAUACUACCUCUCCAAACUCCAUGUGUAAUAUUAUGUAUGUUAUUAAUGUAUAUAUCUUGAAUUGAUUGAUCAAAUGUAAAUACCCGAUGUUGAGGUAUACUUAUACCCAUUGGCGGAGGGAUAAUCUUAGAAAAAGGGUGAUUUAAUGCACAUCUUUUAUCAAAAGAAUAUAUAGUGUAUAGAAGCUUAAUAUUAGCUAUUAUAAGUCUAUAUUUAAUUUUGUACAUCCUUAACACAACUAAAAAGAAAAUAGGCACACUCCUCGUCAAAUUUUUGACAACGACACUACUACUGCCUCAACUAUGUACAUCUAAAGAUGACGCCAUAUAGCAUUUGUCAUCUGCAUGACGCCCAAACUCUUUUACCAGCGGACCUACCCAACCUGUCACCUCAUUUUCUUCUUUUAUAAUUGCAUAUCCUUCUAAAUUUCAUACACCAUCCAUUUCAUUUUAAUUAGAUUAAAAAUAACUAUUUUAAUUUAUUUGUGUAGUUUAUAAAAUUAUAAUAAAGAUUAUUACGUGAAGUAUUAAAUGAAGUGAAAGGUGUAUUCUACGAAUAUAUAAAUGCUAGUUUCAUUAAAUCCGUAUUCCGUACUAAGCUCAGAUCCAAACAACUCUACUUAUAAAUAAUAAUAAUUAAAUUUUAAAAUAUAAUUUAUAUUAUAUUUUUUACUUUAUAAUUAAUAUAAUUUAAUGAUCGAAAUAUUAAAUAUUUAUUAAAAUAUUUUAUAAUUAUUAAUGUUCUUAAUCACAUAGUUGGAUAAUUUUUUUAAAAAAUUAUUUGUAUGGAAGAAAGUAUUACAGGAUAAUUAGAAUAUAACAAGAGACCACAAGUAAUUUAAUAUUUUAUAAAAUAACAUGAUACAACAACAACAAUAACAACAUACCCAGUGGAUUCCCACAUAGAGGGGUCUGGGCAGGUAGUGUGUACGCAGAUCAUACCACUACCUAAGAUGAAGUAGAGAGUCUGUUUCUGACAGACCCCCGGCUUAGGACCGAUAGCAAUAUAACAAAUACAAAAUAUAAAUACAUAAAAACUAGUACAAUCUGCACAAUAAACUAAAGUCACAAGCCAUAAGAUAAUACUACAGUCACAACAUAAUACUAAAAUUAUCUAUCCGAAAUCAUAGACAUCACUCAACACCACGAACAAGAAACUUCACGCACAAAUAAAGAAUGCUCCCCUACUGUUACCGACACACUCUCAACCCCUAACCCUCUACCCUAAUCGGCAUUCUCCACACCUUCCUAAUCACAUCCCUCCAAUAUUUGUUUGGUCUACCUCUACCCCACCUAAAAUCAUCCAUAACCAGUGUCUCACACCUCCGCACUGGAGCAUCAGAGCCCCUUUUCAUCGCAUGCUUGCUCCAACGUAACCUUACUUCUCAUAUCUUAUCCUCCAACGAGGCUACUCCCACCUCUCCAAAAUAAUCUCAUUUCUUACCUUAUCUUUCUUAGUAUGGCCACACAUCCAUCGCAAAAUAUUCUAAUCUCUGCCACCUUCAACUUUUGGAUGUGGGAGUUCUGGAUAAUACUCUCCAUACAACUUAGUCGGCCGGACUGCCACUCUAUAGAAAUUCACUUUAAGCUUCGGGGGCAUCUUCUUAUCACAUAAAAUUCCCAAAGUGAGCCUUCAUUUAAACCACCCAGCCCCAAUAUGAUAUGUGACAUCCUUGUCAAUCUCACCAUUGCCUUAAAUCAAAGACCCCAGAUACUUAAAACUCUCCUUCUUCUGAAUGGCCUGAGAGUCUAGCUUCAAAACCAUGUCAGCCUCCUAUGACACAUCACUAAACUUAUACUUCAAGUACUCCGUCUUGGUCCUGCUUAACCGAAAUCCUUUAGACUCAAAGGUCUGUCUCAAAAUCUCCAACUUAUCAUUAACUCUUCCCCGAGUCUUGUUAAGUAGUACCACAUUAUCAGCAAAUAACAUACACCAAGGCACCUCCUCUUGAAUAUGUCUUGUCAAAACAUUUAUCACCAAGGCAAAUAAAAAAGGGCUAAGAGUCAAACCCUGAUGCAACACUACCAAAUUGAAAAAUGCUCGGAAUCUCCAGCUACAGUCCUCACCCGAGUCUUUGCACCAUCAUACAUGUGCUAAAUCAACCUAGUGUAUACCACAGGCACCCCUCUAGCCUUCAAACACCUCUAGAGAAUCUCCUUGGGAACUCUGUCAUAAGCCUUCUCAAGAUCAAUAAAUACCAUGUGAAAGUCCUUCUUCAUCUCCCAAAACUGUUCCACUAAUCUCCUCACAAGGUAAUUGGCCUCAGUAGUUGAGAGACCUAGCAUGAAAUCAAAUUAAUUCUCAGUGAUAAUCACGCUCCUUCUCAGCCUCAACUCUACCACCCUUUCCCAAAUCUUCAUAGUAUGACUCAACUGCUUAAUACCCCUAUGGUUGUAGCAACUUUGGAUGUCUCCCGUAUUCUUAUACAAUGGAAUUAUUGUACUCUACCUCCAUGCUUCAGGCAUCCUUCCUGCCCUAAAAAUGAUGUUAAGAACAUUGUUAACCACUCUAAACCUGCCUCGCCAGUGCAUUCCAAAAAUCCACUGGAAUCUCGUCUGGCCCGAUUGCCCUACCUCGACGCAUCCUGCGAAUAGCCCUCUUGACCUCCUUAACCUCGAUAUGCCUACAAUAACCAUAGUUGUGACACUCCUAAACUUUCUCCAAGUCCCCAAACACAAAACCUUUGUCCCCCUUAUUGUUCAAAAGUUUAUGAAAAUAGGACUUCCACCUUUUUUUAUUGAGGGCAUCCUCAACCCACAUAGUACCAUCCUUAACCUUGAUGCACUAAUCCUUGUCUUUCUCCUUUAAAGUCGUAUAUAAGCUCUCAAAAGCUGUCAUUUUAGCCACUAUAACCGCUAACAUAGCCUCUCACCUAGCUAUAGCUUAUACUCUUCCUUAUUCGUCCGCCUCUCUUGAUCAUUUUUGCUCUCAACCAAUUUAGCAUAAGCCACCUUCUUAGAAUCUACCUUCUUCUUAACCUCUUAAUUCCACCACUAGUCCCCUCGAUGUUUGCCAAUUCAACCUCUCAAGACACUAAUACUUUUCUAAUGAUCUCCCUAAUGCAACUGGCAAUCUUCUUCCACAUACUAUCCACAUCCCCUCUACUCUUCCCAGCCCCCUGCUUCUCAACAUCUCCCCUAUGUUCAAAGCAUUAGCUAAAGUCAAGCUACCCCACUUAAUCUUAGGCCAAACCUCUACACUCCUCUUUUUUCACCCCUUAUUGAUUACCAAGGUCAUCACCAACAACCUAUGUUUAGUCAAAAGAUUAUCUUUAGGUAUGACUUUACAAUCUUUACACAGUGUUCUAUCACUCUUCUUAAGGAGCUAAAAGUAUAUCUAAGUAUUGUCCACUAAACUAUGAAACAUUUCAAAAAUCUCGAAUUUGUUAUCCACAACCCAAAAGCCCUAGAAAAAUCCAAAAGAGAAGCAUUUUCUUUAUUCUUCUACCCAAAAUUGAAAUCUCUAUGCAAAUCAUCAUUACCUCUCAACGAAGACCCAAUAUGCCCAUUGAAGUCUCCUCUCAAGAAAAGUUUCUCAGUUAUCGGGACGCCCCUAACCAUCUUAUUCAAAACCUCCAAAAUCCCUUUUUCUCUCCUCGUCCAAACUUAAUUGCAGAUCACAAACACUAAUAACAUUCACCGUAGUUCCUCCUAUGACCAACUUAAUAGAUAUCAACCUAUCACUGACUCUUUUAAUCUCUACCACCUUCUCCCUAUGUUUUUCAUCUACUAAGAUACCUACCCCAUUUUUAUGUCUCAUGCUACCCGAGUACCAUAACUUAUAUCCAGCUACAUCUCUUACCUUAUUGCCUACCAUUUAGUUUCCUGGACAUAUGUUAUACUAACCCUUCAUUUUCCAAGAAUCUUCACCAGCUUUAUAGACUUACCAUGAAGUGUCUCUAUGUUCCAGGACCCAACUUUAAACCUAUAAGCACCCUUAUCCAACUUAGCCUUACUAUCCCUCGCCCUCAACCAAAGACUAGAACCUAGACUCGACCCCAACCCAUCCUCGACCUAUGACAUGACCCUAGUCCAUCAUCUAUCACCCCAACGACCACUCAAAAGGAUACGAUAUAAGAAAAUAAAGAAAAAAAAUCCAAAAAACACGAUGAGCAAAAGAGUAUAACUAAAAACAGCUAAAUCAGCAAACAAAAACCAGUAAGUAGGAUUGAUACUCACAACCAACAACAAGUACUAUACUACUCACAAGUAACGAAUACCUACUAAGUUACAGAGAAACCGUAACCAAUAAUCCCAUAGGAAUAAUUAAAAAUAUCAGACAAGAAAUUAGGAUAGGAAAAGAGACAAGAAGCAUAUACCAAAUAAACUAGAGAAGACCGAAAUGAGUGCACCUGAUACUGAGAGAAGACAAGUGAAAGACGUUUUCCUAAUCGUUUUGUUGAAUUCCAACAAAUUGGUUCAAAAAUUGGUCGUCAGAAUUUGUUGCCACCACCUUUACCUUACAGCUGGUACCGCAUCCCUGUACUUGGUCACUGGAGAAUGUGCUAGUCACCGAAAAAUGAGCUAGACACCGGAAUCUUGAUGUUGCCGCCUGAAUUGUGGAUCUGAACUUGAAGUAACUGAAAAGGGUUAUAAAGAAAAUAAAAGAGAAGAAAAGAAAAGCGACGAUCAAAUUGCCAGAAGUUUACGUCACUCACCAAAAACUGAUGUGGUUGUUGGGCCACAGAGAUGGGCCGCCGAAAAAGUUGCUAUUGUUUUAGUGGUCGGCGCAAGAAGCGAGAGAGAAAAACAUGACAAUUGUGCCAGAAUCUGAUGGCGUCGCCAAAACUGAUAGGGUCAUCGGGACGUGUUUAUGGUGGCCGACACAAGUAAUUUAUCGGCGGCGGAUUGGUAGUUCUUUGCUAUCGCCAGAAUCUUCAAAACACGAAGAGAUAGGUUAAUUUUGUCGGCGCCGUCAAUUAAAAAAUUGCAAGAUACUAAACCCUCAGCAUAUAUGACAACUAUUAAUGUCAUCAAUUUAACUUGAGACACCCAUUCAAUAAAAUAAGAUGACAAUAUUUUAAUAAUUAUAAUUCAAUGCUGAUUAAAAAUAGUAAAAUAUUGAUUUUAAUGAAUUUAUGGGUACAAAAUUUAUAAGUUAUAAAUAGAAAUAAAUUUAUUUUAAUAUUUAUUAUUUUAUUUCACCUAUAAUUUUAUGUGACAAGUUGCAAAAUUCAUUGCUUUCAUCUAAUACAACAAAGUAUUUCAAUCACUUCAAGUAUAUAUAAAAAUAGUUACAACAUUAAUUUAGAACCUUUACAAAAACGAACUUAAUCGUGAUCUAUAUGGAUAUUAAAUAAUAAUUAAAUUACAUUAACCGAUUAUUCCAUUCGGUCCAUUUACUUAUCGUGUUAAUUUUUUAAACACCCUAUAAAAAUAUUCUAUUCAUUCUACUCUAAUUAUUGAUUUAUCCUUUUUCAUGUUUGNNNNNNNNNNNNNNNNNNNNNNNNNNNNNNNNNNNNNNNNNNNNNNNNNNNNNNNNNNNNNNNNNNNNNNNNNNNNNNNNNNNNNNNNNNNNNNNNNNNNNNNNNNNNNNNNNNNNNNNNNNNNNNNNNNNNNNNNNNNNNNNNNNNNNNNNNNNNNNNNNNNNNNNNNNNNNNNNNNNNNNNNNNNNNNNNNNNNNNNNNNNNNNNNNNNNNNNNNNNNNNNNNNNNNNNNNNNNNNNNNNNNNNNNNNNNNNNNNNNNNNNNNNNNNNNNNNNNNNNNNNNNNAAAAAUAAUUAUUAAUUUAAAAUGAAGGAAAUUUUAAUUAAAAGACAACCUAUGGCAAGAAAAAAUCAGUUACAAAUACACAAGUGGAAAUGGUCUUAACAAAAAGAAUAAGGACAAAAAUAAAAAUAUUUAGCAAAAGAACAUCAUCAAUCCUUGUGAGGACUACCGUAAAUUGAGAUCCUCCCUUAUAUAUAAUAGUAAAUUGUAUUCUUUUUUCAUAAUGUUAACACUGUUUGCAAUAAAGAUUACAAUGACAAAAACAAAUUGCAGUCACAAUGCAAAUAAAAUAUGGAAAAAUAAGAAUUUUAUUGAUAAAUGAUAUGGAUAUAAUUCUGUUACUCCCUUGAUUCUUCUUUCUUUAUUUUUUCUCCGUAAUCCGAGGAAUAUUAGUAGUGUAUUUCUCGAAUGUAGAAAGAUUUAAAUUUGAUAUGAAUUUUUAACGUAUUUCUCGAAUGUAAAAAGAUUUGAAUUUGAUAUGAUUUUUUUUUUUGUAUUUCAAGGAUCGUUAGUAGCGUAUUUCUUGAAUGUAAGAAGAUUUAGAUUUGAUAUAAAUUUUCUUUGUAAUUCGAAGGCCGUUAAUAACAUAUUUCUUGAACGUAGAAAUAUUUGAAUUUGAUCUCCAUAAAAGAAGGGUUUAUGGAUCUUCUUGAUAUAUUUAAUUAUCAAAAAGAGAGUGAUACUCAAUGAGUUUAUGAAAUUAUCGGGAGAUGAUUAAUCUCUUUAUUAAGGGUUUAGAGUAGAGUGGCCACCAAGUUAGGUUUAGCGUAAAGUAACCCCUAAUUACUCUAACAAAAAUUGAAUUCUUAUUAUAGAGUUCACAAAAUUAUGAUGUCUAUAAACGCUUUGUAUUGUCAGACGUUAUGACUACAAAAUCCUUUGCUGAAAUGUCAAAAUACAAUUAUUUUUCUUCUUUGAGAUGAUGAAUGAAGUAUGUGUUAAUUUACUGGAGUCACUUAGCUCAAGAAAUUCGUGCGGUGUACCAUGAAAUCAGAAAACUACAUCAAGCUAGGAGAAGAGAAAAGCACCAACAAAAAUACCAUAUUUAGUACAUUUACAUAGCUCAAAUUCGUGACCCCCUGAUCACAAGGAGGGAACUAUCCACAAUAAUUCAGACAAAUACUUCUCAAUGAUAAUCACAAAUUUCCAAGCAAGACUAAAUAUUUUAAGAAUUUUACUACACACAAAGACAAAAAAAAAGGGCAGUCCGGUGUACUAAGCUACCGUUAUGUGCUGGGUCCCAGGAAAAAAUUGGACCACAAAGGUAUAUUAUACAUAGUCUUACCACUGUGGACCCCUCUUUACACAGCUCGGACCUAUGACCUUAUGGUCACACGAUAACAACUUUAUCAGUUACGAUAAUGCUCCUUGUCUUACACACACAAAUAACAUUUGUAAAAAUGAAAUCUUUAGCAAUUUUUAAAAUUCUUGGUUAAAUAAACAAUAAGAAAAAAUGCAAACUACCCAAAAAAAUUCAGGCAAAUAAACUUGUAAUACAUCAAGAUUAAUUUUGAACAAUAGCUUAAAAGAAAAAUCUUACUUUCUCACAGCUGAAUAAUGAAAUUCCAAUUUUUCCCUUAACAUUAUGUCUGCAUUGAUGAUGGAUACUGUAGCAUUAAGAGCCAAUUUCUUUCCUUUUCUGGUAGUUGGUCAGUAUUUGAGCCGUAUCAUCUUCUACAAAAAUGAACAGGAUAAUAUCACUUUAUCCCACAAAAGAUCUAGCUAUUACAUAUACACCCCUUUACCUUAUAAUUUUAUAAUAAUAUUACUCUUCUUGAACAAUUUAAAUGCCCCAAAAGUUGCUCUAAUAAAAAAAAAAAGAUAAUUCCUUCGUUCGGUUUUACUUGUCACAUUUUAACUUGACAUAUUUACUAAAAAAAUAAUUAAUAACGUACAGUUAUUUUACCAUAAUACCACUAUUAAAUAAUGUUUAUAUUGUAUCUUAAAAUUAAUUUAGAGAAAAGACAAUUAAUGCUAAGGGUAAAAUAGGAAAAAAGAAGUUGUCUUUUCUUGAUAUGUUAAAAAUGAUAAGUAAAAAUAAAAAUACAAUUAGGAAAUUAGUGACAAGUAAUAGCGAACGGUGGUAUUAACACUGAAAACACAUCAAAAAUAUAUACUUCCUCGGUUGUAUAUUAUGCGGCAUAUUUUGAUCGGGCACAAAGUUUAAGAAGGAAUUACAAUUGUCAUUUAUUGAAAAAUAUAUUACUACUAUUUUUAAUUAAAUGAGACUAAUAAGGAUAAAAGUAAAAUUGUAUCUUUAAAUAGUUACCAAAUAAGGAAAUAUGAAAUUCUUUUUAGGACGGACAAAAAGAAAAUCACGACAUAUAAAAUAGGGUAGAGGAAGUAUGUUUAUACUAAAAGGGCAGCUUGAUGUGGCGGUGGAAGAAUGUUAAUACUAAAAGGGCAGCUCGGUGUACUAAAGAUUCUUUCAAUAAGGGACUGCGGAGGAGGGCUGGACUGCAAGAAUUUUACUGUGCACAGCAUUAUCCUACAUUUCUGACAGAGGCUGUUUCUAUGACUUGAACUCGUGACUUCCUAAUCACAUGACAAUAAUUUUAUCAGUUACUCUAAAACUCCCCUUCAUAUUUUAUUUUUCCGAUUUGAUAAAAAUAUUAAAGAUACGCAAAAUAUAAAAGAUACGCAUAUAAUUCUUUAUGCAAACCCACUUAUAUGGAGUAAUAAAAACUUAUAAGGUAUCAAAAAUGAUAUAUGCAUGGGAUUUCCCUUUUGGGUAAAGUUUUAACAGGUUAAUUUCAUGUAUAAUUGUAGACUUUUACUCAUUAAUGACAAAAUUAAUGAACUUUACCUCUUUAAUAAAGUAGUAGAUUUAAUGUCAUUAAAAAUCAUUAAUAAGUUUUUAGUAUGUGUUUAUAUUUAUUUAGUACAAGAAGUGAUAGACAUAUCUCAAACUAAAUCAAUCAAUUAGAAAAACAAUUUCUAUUCCAAUGGAGAAGUUCCUCCAUGUUCACCUUUUGAUUUCAAUUAUUUUCUCAAUUUUUCUUGUAAUUUUAUGCAAUGAACAUUCUUUUUCAUCCCUUAACACUAGUUACAUUAUGGAAUAUGUCUAUUGAACCAACAAAGCUUCCCGAUCCUUCGAUGCCAUCCUAUACACUCACCAUUUACAAUCUCUAUUUAUUUGAAAAGUCAAAAUUCAAGGACUAUGACUCAUUACUCGGAAAUAGGUUCGCCGGUUGUCAAGCUAGAGCAAAUCAUUUGGCAUCGGUUCUUGAAAAUGGUGACACGAUUAGUGCGAAUGGAACUCUAGUAAGGCCACACGAUGAGCAUGAGAGUAAAGUGGCCAACAAAAAUGUUCCGGUAACAACAAGUACACAUUUCAUAUGUCAGUAUGUUGCAUCUUUUACUCUUUUUUUGGGUUUCCCAUCCGGCAUCCGGUGCUCGCAUUGGAGCCCCGACUAAUCCAGAUCACACGUUGCAGGGCCCAUUAAGAUGGCAGUGCUCCCAACAGAAUUUUCUCCAUGCCCAGGGUCGAACCCUGGACCUCUGGUUAAGGGUGGAGCAGCCUCAUCCACAGCACCACAACCCAUAUUAGUGCAUUUUUUACUCACUGAACAAGUUAAAAGUCACUUGCUAAUAGACACUGGUAGUGAUUUAGUUUGGUGGAAAUGUGGACCAUGUAAUGCAAAUGGAUGUUACAAACAGAUAAAUAUUCCUUUAUAUGUUUCAACUAAUUAAAAAACAUAUCGUAAGCUCGAUUGCCUUGUAGAAAGUAGAAACUAUGAAAUCACGAAUAAGGAAUAUGAUUGUAGUCCGUAUGGUGAUACGUGUAUGUAUGAUUACAGAUACAUCGAUGGAUCAAGAACAAGAGGCUAGAUUGCACAUGAUGUGAUUACUUUUGUUUUAGACCAAAAGCAGGUAAGCAUUGUUUUUGGAUGUGGCAAAGAUCAAACUCAUGGAAAGCCUUUUAGUGGUCAAUUUUCAGGAAUUGCUGGCCCCGAACAUAAUGGGUGGUGGAAAUUCUUUAGCAUCGCAAUUUGAAGAAGACAUAAUGUCCAUGUGCCUACUAGGAGCUCUCUCCACAAAAGGAUUAACACUUAGCUUCCACACAACGCCAUUUAAGAAAAUAACAUUAGCAACACUAUUAUAAGAUUUCAGAUUCCUUUCUGUUUACUUCAUCAACCUUUAUAAAGUUUUUAUUAAUGAUAGGGAAGUCCCGAUGUUCCCAUCAUUGUCUAGGAAUUUUAGACUUUAUGCCAUGAGCGGUAGUUGCAUCGUGGACACAGGAACAUUUAUUACCCAUUUUCCUCAUGAGUUUUAUAUUGUAUUUUGUUACACAUUCAGAUAACAAGUACGUGGUAUUCCUAUGGUUAAUGUUCCACCUGGAUCAGUUUAUGACACUUGCUAAAAGGUGCAUACGACUGGUCUGGAUCCACAUUUCCCCGUUGUAACCAACCAAAUGGCUCCUCCGACCAAACAACCUAUACUCCCCUUUGCAUCAGCCUACCUGGGAGCACUUGGUCCAUUUUCUGCCUAAAACAUACUCAUUCACUGGGCCCCACCCCCAGAACCGUGAGCUAUAGCACACUAAUUUAGCCCAAGAAUGGCCCAUUUGCGUCGUUUUACUUGUUUGACCACCUAAAUAGCCCAACCGACCUCAACGACCCACAUUAUCCCACUUUUAAGCCUACCUUGGUGCCUCUGGUCGAUUUUCAAACAAAAACAUGCUUGAACCCCGAGCCAACCCCUAAAACCGUGAGUUAUAGCAUGUCUGUUUGGCCCCAAAAAUAGCAUGGUCUUGACGUUUUACCUGUUUGACCACCCAAAUGGCCCCGUUGACCCAAAUGACCCACUUUCCCAUUCAUCAGUCUACUUGGAAGCCUUGAUCAAUUUUUAACCCAAAAACACCCGAAACCCAGGCCCACCCAGAACUGUGAGCUAUAACACAUUGAUUAUGACUGCAAAUGUAUUUCUUUUUGACCACCUUAAUAGCCCCGUUGACCCCUACGACCCAUACUUCCCCACGCUUCAGCCUACCUAAGAGCCCUAGUUGAUUUUUCACCCAAAAUAUGGCCAUUACCACCCCAAAAUCAUGAGUUAUAGCUCACUAAUUUGGCCAAAAAAUGGCCCAUUUGUGCCUUUUUGCUCGUUUUACCAAUCAAACGGUACCCCGACCUCAACGACCCACAAUUCCCUACUCCUCGGCCUACUUGGGAUCCCUCAAUCAAUUUUUGACCCAAAACAUGUUUGGGCUCUAGGCUAACCCCCAGAAUUUGAUACAAGAAUAAUCUCAGACAUGGAUUUAUGAGAGUGCGGUUGGAUCCGAGUCUUAGUGUGUUCAAUUGAAGAUCCAAAGAGGACCUAAUUAUGAACCCAAAAUAUUCCAAACACUACACUUGGGCUACACUUGAUGGGAGCCCAUCACUUAAGGGCUUUUUGGUCAUUUCUAGCUUUUAUUUUGUAAUAACUAUAUAAGUACCACGCUAGGGCUUCCAUUAGGAUUUUUUGGGAUAUUAUUGUAGUUCUUUUAAUACUUGGAACACCAUAGUUAGGGGUUGGAAAAUCCACUAACCAAAACUAGGGCAAGAUCUAGUGUAGAAUCACUAGUGAUUGUGUUUGCUUGGAAACAUUGAUGCUUGGGAGGUGGAAUCCAAACUUGUAUCUUUAUAAGAGAUAUGUUUAUUGUUGUGUGUAGUGUUAAGGGUCCAAGCUUGUCCAUUCUUUGGUUCUUAAGAUUAUACCUUCACGUGGUCUAUCUAUCUAUCCUUUUACCUUUAUGUAAUCUUGUAUAUUGUUGUGUUGUAAUCUUGUGUUCUUGUUGUUAUUGUUAAAUUCGAAUCUUGUGUCUUAUUAUUCAUCAUAUAUUGUGGUUAAUCUUAGUUGUACUGCUGAUUUGGUUUCAAAUACACCACUAUAUCUUGUAAUCUUAUUGUUGGUAGUGAAUCCCAGAGUGGUCUCCAUCUUGGUCCUUGAAUCCUUAAGAUUUCUGGACUGAUUUGGAGUGUUUUCCGUUCCUUCCUUGUUAGUCUAGUAUCAUUUUGUAUCAAAUACAUCUUUAGUUUUAUUCUUACAAUACCAAUCUUGGGCUUUCUUUCUAAGAAAAUAAAAAAAAAGGAAAAGAAAGACAUGUUCUUGAGCUUGAGAUCUUGGCCGAAUUUUGUGUGUCUAGGUCUAGGAUUUAUUUUUCUUGUUUUUUUGUUUCAAUUGUUAGUAUUAUUUUCCAUUAACACUUUGAGUCGAUCUAGAUGUGAGCUUUAAAAUAAUUGAUGUUGUUGUUGUGAACAAGACCAUGGCCGUGUGUUGAAGUUGUUGUUCUUGGCCGUGUGAACUUGUUGUUAUAGUAUUGGAUGGAAAUUGUUGGUGUUAUUUUUGCUCUUGAUAAAGUUUUUUUAGAGUUCUUGACAUUCAUCACAACCUUCACCCUUGCUAAAAUAGAAAUACAACACCAUAAAAACCUUGACCGUGCGCUGACACUAAAAUUGGCCGUGAUGUGUGUUGAUGUAUGCCGUGGGGUGGACAUUGUUGUUCUGUUGUUGUUGAUGUGUUAUUGAAGGUUGUUGUGGUUUUCAUCUUUUUCUUCAUCUCAUGUUACAACUUAAGACAACCAAAAGUGUAACAUAGAUUCAAAAAGGUGAACCUACUAGUUGUAAAGUUUUUUGUGAGAAGACUUUAGUCAUCACUUUCUUGACAUCUACUUUUCAACCACUUUCCUUGUUUAGGAACCUUGUUUUGUAGGAAUUGUACAAAGUCAAGUCUUGCCUAUUGAAGAUUAAACUUAAAGGAUAUUUAAGACAUAUACAUUCCAUCCAAAACCAAUUGUUUCCGUUAGAUAGUAACUAAAGUUUGUAAACUUCAACUAGUGACUAAUUGUGGGGCCGUGACCAAUGGUAUGCUGCCAUGUCACCCAAGUUACUGUUCACACAAAAAUUUUAAGCUCAAAAUUUGAUCUUCUAGUUUCAUUGUGUUGUUUCUUUUUUUUUCCUUUCUUGAUUUCAUUACUAACUUACAAGCUAGUUUUAGAUUGUAAGUUAGUUUUGAAACCGUCCUUCGUGUAUACGUUCCUUUGUGUGUCUUAUUCUUUUGAGUCGUUGUAAUACUUAGUCCACCUCUCAAUGCCUCAUGGAGUACAAGCAAGGUUAUGACACUUGUGAGAUCAAAGUGAGGAAAAAAAAAUACGAGAGACAAAAUAAUAGAGAUGGAGUGUGAGGACCAUUCUUGUACAACUAACUUAUUUGUUGUUUUGUGGGUAACUUCUUGGCCAUAAUGGAAACUAUUUUGGCCCUCCUUGAUGCUUUUUCCCGAGACCUUUCUAGGGCAAAUGCGGGUCUUGAAAAAAUUAACUCAAAUAUGGUAACUAUGAGUGAGAGGUUGGAUCUAAUGGAUAGUCGAAGGAACUCUCAUGUUUUUACUCCCAAAACUUUACUUCCAAUGACCAAUACUCCAAGACCACCACAUAAUGCCACAAGCCAAGCUCCAAAUACCCCUCAAAAUUGAGAACAAGAUAGACCACUUCCCCCGUAAGUUUAUCAAGUACAAUAAGGUGGACUUAGAAGCCAAUUUCCUCCCAUCCAAGCUCCACAACCAAAGCUCCACAUUACCAAAUCGAGCCUCUCAACCGAAAUUUCCUUUUUCAAAAAUCGACACAUCCAAGAAGAGGAACAUUGUAGAAAGGAACGUGAGGUACAUAGAGUCUACAAUGAUGCCUCUAUGAUGGAAGCAAAAUUGAGUCGGGUGAGAUUUAAGGCAAUUCCUAAGAUGCAGAGAAAGCCCAGGUGCAAAAUAAAGUUGUUGACCGAGACUUGUUGUAUUGAGCUCUCGGAUUCCUCCUAUUUUGUGGACAGUUUUUUGCCGUUUCAUAUUUUUGCAGGCUGUUUUGGGCCAUGAAUUUGUAGGUAAAUUCCUCUCAAGAUGGAGAGGAUGAUACAAGAUUAAUCCCAGACAUGGAUUUAUGAGAGUGUGUGUUGUAUCCGAGACUUGGUGUGUUCAAUUGAAGAGCCAAAGAGGACCUAAUUAUGCACCCAAAAUAGUCCAAACACUACACUUUUGCUAUACUUGAUGGGAGCCCAUCACUUAAGGGCCUUUUGGUCAUUUUCAGCUUUCAUUUUUUAAUAAAUAUAUAAGUAACAUGCUAGGGCUUCCAUUAGGAGUUUUUGGGAUAUUAUUGUAAGUCUUGUAAGACUCGGAACACCAUAUUUAGGGCUUGGAAAAGCCACCAACCGAAACUAGGGCAAGAUCUAGUGUGGAAUCACUAGUGAUUGUGUUUGCUUAGAAACAUUGAUGCUUGGGAGGCGGAAUCCGAACUUAUAUCUUUGUAAGAGAUAGGUUUAUUGUUGUGUGUAGUGUUAAGGGUCAAAGAUUGUCCAUUCUUAGGUUCUUAAGAUUAUACCUUCAUGUGGUCUAUCUAUCUAUCCUUUUACCUUCAUGUAAUCUUGUAUAUUGUUGGGUUGUAAUCUUGUGUUCUUGUUGUUAUUGUUAAAUUCAAAUCUUUUGUCUUCUUGUUCAUCAUAUAUUAUGGUUAAUCUUAGUUUGGACUGCUGAUUUGGUGUCAAAUACACCACUAUAUCAUGUAAUUUUAUUGUUGGUAAUGAAGCCGAGAGUGGUCUCCCUCUUGGUCCUCGAAUCCUUAAGCUUUAUGGACAGAUUUGGAGUGUUUUUCGUGCCUUCCUUGUUAGUCUUGUAUCAGAACUGUGAGGUAUAACACACCGAAUUGCCCUAAAAUGGUCCGUUCAUGCCAUUUCGCCCGUUUGACCACCCAAACGGCCCUACUUACCCCAACAACCUAUACUCCCUCACUCCUCGGCCUGCUUGGGAGCCUCCAGUCAAUUUUUAGACUAAAACACACCUGAUCCCCAAGCCCACCCCCGGAAUCAUUAGUUGUAGCACAACGAUUUAGCCUGAAAAUAGCACGUUCACGUCGUAUCGCCUAUUUGACCACCCAAAUGGGCUCGAGCAAUUUUUGGACAAAACAUACUUGGGACUCGGGUGGGACCCUCGAAACCGUGAGCUAUAUCACAUCGAUUUGGUCCGAAAAUGGUCUGUUCAUGUCGUUUCGCCUGUUUGACCACCUAAAUAACCCCACCGACCCUAACAGCACAUACUCCCUCUUUUGUCAGCCUGCAUGGGAGCCCCCAAUCAAUUUUUCUCCCAAAUAGGCUCGGUACCCGAGCACACCCCAGAACCGUGAGCUAUAGCACACCGAUUAGGCCCAAAAAAUGGGUCGUUGGUGCUGUUUUGCUUGUUUGAUCACCCAAACGGCCCCGUCAACCCAAAAAACCCUGACUCCCUCGCUUCUCAACCCUCCUGGGUUCCCCUGAUUGAUAUUUGGCCCAAAAAAUAUGACCAAACCCCAUCCAACUCUCAGAACCAUGAGGUAUAGCAUACCAAUUUAGCCUAAAAAUGGCCUGUUUAUGCCGAUUCACCCUUUUGACCCCCCAAGUGGCCCCGUCAACCCCAACCACCCAUACUCCCCUGCUCUUCAGCUUGCCUGAGAGUCCCCGAUCAAUUUUUGACCCAAACCACACUCGAUCCCUUCACUUACCUUCGAAAUUGUAGGCUAUAUCACACCUAUUUUUCUCAGAAAUCAUCCGUUCGCGCCCUUUUGCCUGUUUGACCAACCAAAUAGCCCUACCGACCACCAUCGACCCCAACGACCUAUACACCCCUAUUCCACAAUAUGCCUGGGAUCCUCCGGUCAAUUUUUUGCCUAAAACAUGCUUCGGCGUCGGGCUCACCUCCAAAACCGUGAGAUAUAGUACACCAAUUUGAUUAGAAAAUGGUCCGUUCGUGCCGUUUCACUCGUUUUACCACUCAAAUAGCCCCGCCGACCACAAUGACCCACACUUCCCCACUCCUCAGCCUUCCUAGGACCCCCAGUCAAUUUUUUCCCUAUAAAAUGCCCAUCCCUAGGCCCACUCCCAAAACUAUGAUCUAUAACACACCAAUUUGGCCUAAAAAUGCUUCAGUUUCGCCAUUCAGCCCGUUUGACCACUCAAACAGCCACGUCGAACCCAAUAACCCAUAUUCUCCUACUGCUCUUCCUGUUUGGGAGCCCCCGACCAAUUUUUGACUCAAAACAGGCUGCAGCCCCAAGCCCACCCUCAAAACUGUGAGCUAUAGCUCACUGAUUUAGCUAGAAAAUUACCCGUUUGUGCUGUUUUGCCUGUUGGACAACCCAAACAGCCCUGUCGACCCCAAUAGACCACACCAAACCACACUCUUUCACUCCUCAGCCUGUCUGGGAGACCUGCUUGAUUUUUGAUCCAAAACAUAUCUGGCCCUUGGGCCCACCCCAAGAAUCGUGAGCUAUAACACACUGAUUUCGCUUGAAAAUAGGUUGUUCGCAUUAUUUAGGCCAUUUGACUAGCCAAACGGCCCCAUUUUUGGGCUCGAUUUAUUUUUAGUCCAAAACAUUUUUGGGCGUCAAGCCCAUCCCUAAAAUCGUGAGCUAUAACAUAUCGAUUUGGCCCAAAAAUGGUCUAUUUGCGUCGUUUCAUCUCGUUUGAGCACCCAAACGGUCCCUCCGAUCGGAAAGGUCCACACUCCCUCGCUCUUCAGCCUGCCUGGGAUCCCCCAGUCUAUUUUUGUCCCAAAACAUGCUCGGACCCUGGGCCUACCUCCAAAACAAUGAGUUAUAGUACACCGAUACACUAGGAUUUCGUAUGUGUUCUGUCCCACUCAUAUUUCUUCAUUCUACCUCUACCCUGCCUAAAACCAUCCAUAACCUGUAUUUCACACCUCCACAUUGAAGAAUCAAAGCCCCUCUUCAUCACGUGGAUGAACCAACGUAACCUAACAUUUCGCAUCUUGUCCUCCACCGAAGCAGCUCUCACCUUCUCUUGAAUAAUUUCAUUCCUCACCUUAUCUUUCCUGGUAUGUCCACACAUCCAUUGCAAUAUUCUUAUCUUUGCCACCUUUAAUUUUUAGAUGUGGGAGUUUUUAACUAGCCAACACACCGCUACAUACAACAUAGCCGGCCAGACUACCACUCUGUAGAACUUACCUUUAUGUUUCGAGGGCACCUUCUAAUCACAUAGAACUCCCGAAGUGAGACUUUAUUUCAACCAUCUUUCCCCAAUAUGAUUUGUUACAUCCUCGUUAAUCUCAUCAUUGCCCUGAAUCAUAGACUCUAGAUUCUUGAAACUCUCCCUCUUAUUAAUGGCCUGAGAGUCCAUCUUCAAUAGCCUCCUGCAACACAUCACUGAACUUAUACUCCAAGUACUCUGUCUUGGUUCUACUCAAUAGAAAUCCUUUAGACUAAAGCGUCUAUCUCCAAAUCUCCAACUUAUCAUUAACUUCUAUUCGAGUCUUGUCAAUCAGUACCACAUCAUCUGCCAAUAACAUACACCAAGGCACCUUUUUCUUGAUAUGUCACGUCAAAACAUCCAUCACCAAGGCAAAUAAAAAUGGGCUAAGAGUCUAUCCUUAGUGCAACCCUAUGAAAAUUGGGAAGUGCUCCGAAUCUCCACUUACCUUCAUCACACGAGUCUAAUCCCCAUCAUCCAUAUCCUGAAUCAACCUAGUGUAUGCCACGGGCCUCCCUCCAGCCUCUAAGUACCUCCAGAGAAUCUCCUUACAAACUCUGUCAUAUGCCUUCUCAAGAUCAAUAAAUACCAUGUGCAAGUCCUUCUUCCUCUCCCAAAACUGCUCCACUAAUCUCCUCACAAGGUGAAUGGCCUUAAUGGUCGAGCGCCCUGGCAUGAAACCGAACUGAUUCUCAGAGAUUGUUACGAUCCUUAUCAUCCUUAACUUUACCACCCUUUCCCAAACCUUCAUAGUAUGACUCAACAACUUAAUACCUCUAUUGUUGUUGCAACUCUGGAUGUCUCUCUUGUUCUUAUACACUGGAAUCAUAGUACUCUACCUCCACGCUUCAGGCUUCUUCGUCGCCCUAAAAAUACUAUUAAAUAACUUUGUCAACCACUCCAGACCAACCCCGCCAGUGCUCUUCUAAAAAUCCACUAGAAUCUCGCCUGCCCCCGUUGUCUUACCCCGCUGCAUCCUGCGAAUAGCUCCCUUAACCUCCCCAACCUUUAUAUGCCUACAAUAACCAUAAUCGCGACACUCCUAAGAUUUCUUCAAUUGCAUUUCAAACACUAAAAGUACUUAAUUGUAUCAAUUACGGAACUUCUAAUUUCAAAUCUUAAAUUUCAUUUAGUCUCAAUCUAAAAAUUAAGUGGAUAAAAUUUAUUUGUUUAUUUAAAAUUUUCAGAUACUGUUUUAUUGCUCAUUAUUUUUACAAUGAUCAGUUUUAUGAUUAAUAUCUUUAAUUAUUUUAUUUAUACAUCUUAUUGUAUCUGCUAAGUUAAUUUAAUUAAGAUCUCUCAAAUCACUUUCAAAAUCACCACCCCACCAAAUACUACACCCACCUCCUAGCCUUACUCUACAGCCACCACCCCGCCUCCCUAGUUUUUAUUAUAUUUUACUUUAUCAGAUUUUUUGUAAAAUAUUUUUCUCACAUCACCCAUUUCUUAUCCCCAAGCCACCCUCCAACAACAAAACAAUAUUAUAUUUUUAUUUAAAAUAAAAUUUUAUAUUGCACCCACCCCUACUCCCCAAUACCCAUUCGACACCCCUAAUACACAUUCCAAAAAAAAUAUUUUUGAUUUUUUUCUAAAAAAAAUCUUUCCACCCUUCUCUCCUGACUCCCAAGAAAAAUAAUUUUUUUUUAUCUUUUAAGAAUCUUUUUUCUACUCCACAACACUAACCCCUAGCAACACCACCACCCCGCCUACCCCACCUACCUAGCUCACCCCUACCCCAUCUCAACCACCAUAAUCUCUUGUUCUUCCCCUCAUCCAUCACUUUGCCGCAAUGCAAUUUAUAAUUUUGUGUUAAAUAUACACAAAUGCUAUUAGAAAAUAUUUUUUAUUUAUUGAUAAAAUAUCAAUUAUCAAUUUAUUUUAGCAUACAUGCUAUUACUAAUGUCAAAUAAUUACAUCAAAUAAAAUUAUCUAUUUUUUAAGCUCAAAAUGAACUAAUAGCUACUAAUUGGUAUUUUUAUAAUCCUAAAUUUUUUGUAAAAAUAUUUACCUGAUUAAGUUCAAGCAUUUUAUAUCCCUCCAAUAAAUUAUGCUUUUUGUUAUCUAUUGAAAAUAAUUUGAGACGUAGGGGAUUAAUUCAUCAUCGAAAUGAAACAAAAUAUAUAAGCAUACACCAUUAAAGAUGACGAUGAAAGCAUAUACAAAGAUUAAGAUUAACAAUUCAGCAAUAUAUUUUCAAAGAAAUCUUUCAGAGAAAAUAAACACUUGAAUUCAUAAAAAGAAAUCAUUAUAAUGAACUUUAACUAACAUGAAAGCAAUAGAAAAAGAUGAUGGUAGAGAUAUAUGAUUAUGAUGAUAAAAAAGAGUAGUCGAAAACAUGAAAGCAAUAAAAAGAGAUGCUGAACUCUGAGGUGAGGAUUGCCCAAGAUCAUAUAAGGAGACUAAGGACCUUUUAAUCCACCGAUGUGGGACUCUCCCCUCCCUCUCUUUGAACGCCAAGACUGGACAUCUGAAGCAUAGGCAAUAUAAGUUGGGGGACUUAACAUUGAAAACAAUGAACUGGGUAGGCCUAACUCUGAUACCAUGUUGAAGUGUGUGACCAUCUCAUCUAAAAGUUUAACUAUUAAAGAGAGUACACUUUUACUAUUUAAUUAUAUUCUCAACAGUUACUUAAUAUGCUAUUUUGGAAUUGAACAAAUGAACUUUACGUGGCAUUGCAAACUGAAGAAAGACACAAAAUUUUUCUUUCAAACAGUUCAAGAAAGAAUCUUUUGUCCUUUUGAAACAAAGAAAUAGAGUCACAUUUGUUUGAUUGUUUUGUCCCUACAGUUGAACUAAGAGCACUUUGAGUGAAGGUUUUUUCUAUUAUUAAGGAUGUCCAAUUUUUGAAAAGUACUACUCCUUUCGUUUAAAAAUGAUAGACCAAACAACAUAUUAAUUUUAUACAUUAUAUUAACUCCUAAGUAGCCACCAAACCUGGAAUUAAUUAGGUAGGAUUCUUGCAUAAAUUGAUGCUUAGCCAGCUACCAAAUGACCCCUUAAUACCUUCUUUCUUUGUUCAUUGAGAAGACAGAGACCAAUGCAAGCAUAAUUCAAUUUAUGUGUAUAAUAUGUUCAGAACCAAGUUGCAGAAUAAAUACUUUACAUAAAUACAAAACUUCCUAAAUGAGUUGACCCAAUAGAUAUAAACGGUUUGAUUCACUCAGCUCCUGAUUCAUCAAUUGACGACUAUGGUAUUUUUCCAUGAGAUCUGGCAGGUAGCUUUUUUUAUAACCAGAUUUUUUUUAUAACAAAAAAAAAAAUGUGCCACUAAUGCCUCUGCAGCAACUAAAUCUUCUGAAGCAUCCAAUGAAAGUUCAGAGACUCUCUUCUCGGAUAUUGGUUUUGGUGAAUCUCUUGCUGAAAGUGAUGAAAAUUAUUCCCCAUCAUUUCGACCUAUUUUGUCAUUUUUAUCAUUUUUAGUUCUCUUUAUAAAAUGCAUUAUUGGAUAUUUCCCUAGCAAUUUAAGUGGUUGAUCUAAGAAUGGAGCAAAUUUUUUAGGUGCAGCUUGCGGUGGAAGCUCACCAGUGUCGGCAUUUGCAGGCAACUUGGAAGAUACAGUUAAGGAUGGACCAACUUCCUUCAAAAUAAUCAAGAUUCAAGAUGGAUCAUUUUUAUUGAUCCCUUUUCCCUAUAUAUGUGCAAUGAACAUGUUGAUAAUAGUAGGUAUCUUAAUGUAGGUCCAACUUCUAGGUUAGAUAGUAACUCAAGAAUCUUUUAUCAAUUCUCCUUUCUUAAGAACCCCAAAAAAUAAAUAACGCUCAAGCAAAAAAGGUAAAAUCAGACACAACAAAUACUGAUUGUAUGAGAGGUUAUACAAACUGGGGUUUGUAUAUAUACUCAAAUAUAGGACCAAAAUUGGGAAAAAAUUGAUUGACAUGAAUAAAUACUUCAAAUUGUAAUCUCCAUUUGGAUUGACUCACAUUUAUUGCGUUUUUCUCAAAUUUUGGGUUUAAAAUCCUUAAGUUUUUUCAAGGUGUUUAUGCUUUUCUCAGGUAUUGUUACAUGAACAAUUAUGUUAUUUUGUCCUUGAACUAAUGAACUCUACGUGGCAUAAUAAACUGAAGAAUGACACAAAAUUUUUGUUUCAAACAGUCCAAGAAAGAAUCUUUUGUCUUUUUCAAACAAAGAAAUAGAGCCACAUUUCUUAGACUGAUUUGUCCACUCCUGGUGCUCUUAGUUCAACUAUAGGGACAAAAUAGUUCAACAAAUGUGGCUCUAUUUCUUUGUUUCAUAAAGUCAAAAGAUUCUUUCUUGAACUGUUUGAAACAAAACUUUUGUGUCUUUCUUUAGUUUGUUAUGCCACGUAGAGUUCAUUAGUUAAAUGCCAAAACAACGUAACUGUUCAAGUAACAUUACCUGAGAAAAGAACAAACACCCUAAAAAACGUAAAGAUUUUAAACCCAACUUUUAAGAAAAAUGCAAUAAAUGUGAGUGAAUCCAAGUGGAGAUUACAAUUUGGAGUGUUUGUUCUUGUCAGUCAAUCAACAUUUAGUGUGUCUAAGUUUACCUUUUUCUGCUCGAGUGUUAUUUAUUUUUAGGGGUUCUUGAGAAAGGGAAAUUGAUAAGAGAUUCUUAAGUUACUAUCUAACCUAGCAGCUGGACCAAGAUUGUGAUAACUAUUAUUAUCAAUAUGUUCUUUGCAUAUAGCUAGGGAAGAAUGAUCUUUCAAAAUGAUCCAUCUUGAAUCUUGUUUAUUUUGAAGGAAGUUGGUCCAUCCUUACCUAGAUCUUCCAACUUGCCUACGAAUGCCGACUCUGAUGAGCUUCCACUGCAUAUUGCACCUAAAAAAAUUGCUCUAUUCUUAGAUCAAUCACUUAAAUUGUUUGGGAAAGAUCCAAUAAUGACUUUUACAAGGAGAUGUGAAAAGGAGAAAGAUGACAAAAUAGGUCAAAAUAAUGGUGUAGAAUUUUCAUCAAUUUCAGCAAGAGAUUUACCAAGAGCUAUAGCCAAAAAGAGAGUCUCUCAACUUCUAUUGGAUGCUUCAGAAGACGUUGCUGCUAUGGAGGCAUUAGUGGUACAUUUUAUUAUUUUUUAGUUAUCAAAAAAACCCUAAUUUCUAGAUCCUGUGAUAAAAGACGAGAUAUAUGAUAUUGGACUCCCAUCUCAAUCAGUAAGAAAGGGCCCAAAAUCUCUCACAUUUUCUAUGCUGAUGAUCUAACUCUGUGUGCUAUUGCUAAUAAAAGAAACUGUGAAACCAUCCGACCAACUCUUAUCAGCUUCACCAAUCACUCUGGCCAAAAAAUUAACACUCAAAUCUAAAGUAAUCUUCUCUAGAAACUGUGCUCAGGAGACCAAAGAUAAAUUGUCUCACAUGUUAGGCAUACAAUCCAAAGACAAGUUUGGAAAAUAUCUUGGUUUUCCCGUCUUCCACAAAAAAACUUACAAUAGAGAUUUCCAAUUCAUCCUAGACAAUCUCAACAGUAAGUUGGCUGGAUGGGAAACCAAAUUACUCAAUAUGGAUGGCAGAAUCACCCUUACCAAGUCCUCCCUUGCUAGUAUUCCCGCUCAUGUCAUGUAAUUCAUCUUGAUCCUCUCUAAAAUCAACUAAUUGAUUGACAGAACCCAAAAGAACUCUCUCUGGGACACCACCCCUGAUAAUAAGAAAAUGCAUCUAAUCAAUUAGGAAACCUUGACUAAUUCUAAAGCUAAUGGGGGCCUAGGCCUCCAAAAAGCUUCCAUUAGGAAUACCAUUAUGUUAUCCAGUCUAGCCUAGAGACUUUACAAGCAUCCCAACAGUCUCUGGGAAAAAAUUCUUUAAAAUAAAUUAGCCCCCAUGGCAUAUCCCUCAAAGACAACAACUUUAGAACUUGGAAAAUUGUCCUUGUGGGUUGGGAAAUUUGUAAAACUGCCUCCUCUUGGAAAAUCAAUAAGGAUGACAAGAUCAACUUCUGGAAGGCUAAAUGGAUGCCUCAUUGUGAACUCCUUCUUUCCAUCAUCCAAGCCCUUCUUCCUUAUCAUUCCCAAGAUAUUUAACUCUCUGGGGUCUAGAAAAAUAGCUCCUAGAACCUCAAGGAUCUUCCGGUUGAAAUCCCUGAGGAUCUCAUCCAAACAUUCACCAACUCUGUUUUCCCUAAUCCUAGAGCCCAUACUUAUGAGCUCAUUUGGAAUCUCACAGGUAAUUGCCUGUUCUCCAGCAGAAGUGCUUAUAAUCAUAUAGCCAAAACCUCUAAGAUCAAUUACUCCUCUAAUUUCAACUGGAUAUAGAAGGAUAAAUCCCCUAAAAAGUCAAAACCUUUCUUUGGCUAAGCCAGCAUGAUAGGUUCCCCAAUAACCUCAACCUCUCUAAGAGAGGAAUGAGACAAAAUACUAGUUGUGCUAUCUGCAAUCAUCACCAGGAAGACAAAUCCCACAUUUUCUUUAAGUGUCCCAUCCUCAAAUAUUUUGGACUGCAAACUAUCCACAAGAUGACCCAAUCCAAACAAGCUCUUAUUACCAGUCUCUUACCCUCUUACUAGCACACUAUCUGGAGAUCUCUUCAACACUCCUAAUUCAACAGACUAAUCCACUGGCACGAUAUUAUUCUUUUCAUCCUCUAGACAAUCUGGAACACCAGGAACUCUAAUACCUUCAAUAACAAAAGGGACCAUUCCAGUUUUAACCUUGCUUACUCCCAAACUAUUGAGUAUAAACAUCUUACUCAAAAGAAAACCCCAAUCAAGCAAAACCAAAUCAUUGACGUUAAGUGAAAUCCUCCCACAAGCCAUACCAUCAAGCUCAAUACUGAUAAUUCUUGCCUUAGAAACCUCGGGAAGGGUGGAAUGGGAGGGGUAGUUAGAUCUAGUAAUGGAGGUUGAGUGUUAGGUUUUAACAAAAACUUUCACCGGACUACCAACAACAUAAUGGAACUUAUGGCUCUCAUUGAAGGAUUAAAACUGGUAGAGCAAACUAAUCAUCUCCACAUUGAAAUUAACAUUGAUUCCUUGGAAGUUAUAUCAAUGUUAAAUAACAGGAACCUCCACUAUGAUACUUUGAUUUUGGAAUGCAGGUCAAAAUGGAGUGGCGGAUGCUCUAGCAAAACACGGAGCAAAGGCAAGCGGGUUUCAGGAGACUACCCUUUUUGAAGUUCCACCGAUAUAUGCAAAAGAUGCAGUUUGAGCAGACAUCUCGGAAACUUUUUGAGAGAACAAUUAGCUCUUGUACUGAUGAUUUUAACUGGCCAGGCCAGAACUAUUCCUUUUUGAACCCUGACUAAUCGUCAAAAAUUAAAACUUAAACUGCGUUCUCUUUUAUAUUAAUGCAUGUACUUUCUACCAAAAAAAUAAUAUUAUUUCGCAUAUUGAAUCAUCGAAAAGAAGAGAUAUUUAUAUCAAUUUAAAUUGAUAGACCUUGAACACUCACAAAGAAAGAUAAGUUGAAAAUGCUAUAUCAUUCCUGCAUAUUUAAAGAAUGUUAUCAAAUCAAGAAUAAUUUUUUUAAAACAAAAAUUAAAAAAUACAGUAAAUAAAUUCACGAAUAAAGCUAAUGAUAGAGAAGUAUAUGUAAAAAAGUCUAAGUGAUAGAAUUUCAUUUAUAUUCAGAUUUCAUUUAAAUACAAAUUCAAAUAUCAAUGAGACAAUAUAUAUAUUUAAAAUUAAUAUAAAUUUGAGUUGAGAUAAAUAUUGAAAUCAAUGAGACAAUACUAAUUCUAAUACUAAUACUAAUACUAAUAACAAUAACAACAUUUUAACUAUUUUUACUUUACCACUAUUAGAUUGCACUACUAUUACUAUUACUAUUAUUAUUUGUUCAUUGUUAUUUGAGAUAAAUAUUAAGAUAAAUCGUGUAGCAAAAAAAAAUUGUGUUCCAUGAUUACUAAUUAAGUACAUCUAAAUUAUAAGUUUAUCUUUGAAAGUAUGUUUUAUCUCCAAUUUAAAUUCAAAAAACUUAGAUAGAAUAACCAAUAUCUUAGAUGAGUGGUUAAAAUCGUCAAUAUAAGUCAGGAUCGUUGGGAUGGCCCGGCCCAGCCUGUAAUUUGAUAGUCCUGGGCUACAAUUUUUAUAUCCCAUUUAAGAAUAGGGCUUUUUAACCCUUCAUGAAUAAGUCUAUUGACCCGUUGGCUUGAGCCAUAUGGGUUUUGGUGACCCAUGGGUCAAAUAAAAAUAAUUAAAAAAUAAAAUAUAGUACUAAGAAUAAAAAAAGGAGUCCAAAGUUAUUUAUCGAGUUAUAUUAUUAUUCAUUAAUUAUUUUAUUUAUUUUUUAAUAUCUCUAUUUGAUUUUAAUUUUGUGUCAAAAGUUAUUCAAUUUCAUAGAUUAUUAGGAUCUUUUUGUAAAUUUGAGACUUGUUUAAUGAGUAGUAACUUCAAGCAAUAUUAUAUUGUAAAUAUUUAUGCAAUUAAUAUUUUAAAAUUUAAAUUAAGAUUAUAAAAAUAAUAUAUUUUAAAAAAUGGGCUGGCCCGUGGAGGCCCACAACCCAUAGUGUAACGGGUUUGGCAUGGUAUUUUCUAGUCAGUCAUGUUGAUGGGUCAGCCUGGCCGGGCCCGUCAAACUCUAAAGCCCAUGUGAGCUAGCCCGGGCGAGCUAGUCCAAUUCAUAUUAAGAACUCUAGGAGCAGUUAUAUAAUGAUAAGAAUCCAAUUAGAACUGUUUAGUAUUAUAACUAUCUACUUCUAAUAUGUUAUUUUAUAUUUUUUUAAUAUUAUUUUAAAGUUAAAGUCAACAAUUUAUUUGUAACGCCCCAAGAUCCCAUCCUGAGACGUCACACGGUGCUUAAGGCCACAUGUGGCCUCAAGUUAACCCUCUAAACCUGUCAUCACUUCUAGAACUCACUUUGACAAUAGUCAUGCUAAUAUAAGAGAGAAUGACAUAUCAUAAACAUACUGGAAUAAGAUACAAAACUAGAAUGCACGAUCCAAAAUACUGAAAUUCUGUACAUACCAACCCUUUAGCCUGUCAAAGCCUCUAUACAUCAAUAUCAAGGAGACAUAAGGACAAAACCCCAACUAAAUCAAACAGUACUAAAAGCCAUAACAACAAAACGUUAUCACAAAAUUACAUACACGGUCCUCGAACCAUGAGAACUCACCAUUGAGCAGACGAAAAGAAGCACCUUGCUAAUGCGGCUGAGUACCUGAACCUAUAUUAUGAGAAAAUGUAGCCCUUAGGAAAAUAUAUGGGCCAGCACUUUGGAAUGUACUAAGUAUGUGGGGGUGCAUGCAACAAUGUAAAUAUCGUCAUCAAUUUCAUGAAAAUAUGCAUAUAUGCAAUGAUGGCUCACUUGGCUUGAGUUAGUUGAAACAUACUUUUCAUGAUCUCAUCGUAAAAAAAUCAUAUGAUAAAAACCUUAUAAAUCAUCAUAAACAACUCAACUCUUCAACUCAAGACUCGGAAUAACUCUGUAAUUCAAGAAACUCGACUCUUAUGGACAUGAGAGGUUUUUAUAAUCGACAUAAACCAUGCGAGCUACAUGGAGUCUCAUACUAGGCCUUCGGCCAACAAUUAUCAAUAUCAAUCCAACGGUGGCAUGUAGUUUCAGGGGAAAUACCAUAUUUCCCGCUCGGUACUAAAUACUACUCAUAGACACAAGCUCAGAACGCGUUAGGAAAUCCACCACAAACAUCACAAGCGUCUAUCAUGAAGACUAACUCAAAUCUCUUUCACGUUUAUCAAAUCAUAAUCAAUUUGUGGAUUCCUAACUUGACUCAAAUCAAAUCAAUCUUUCUCAAUAUCAAAAUGCAUCAAUUAAUUAAGUCAUGGCGAAUAUCAAUAACUUUGUAGAAAUAUCAAGACUUAUUGUAGCAACUCAAUUCUCAUGAAUCAAUACACUCAAUAAUCCAAUUUGUCAUAAGGAAGCUUGAACCUUGACAAAUAUCUUGAAAGCACUGGAAAUACCAACUCAUGGUAGAAACUUGAAAUUCACAAUAUUAAAUAUCAAGUCAUAACUUGGAAAUUGUAAAAUAAUCAUGUUUAACAAAGCUUGAACGAUUUAUAUUCUCAUAAUCUCAUAAUGAAGUAAUUUGGAUAUAAACUCACUUGCAAAAUCAUAUAAAUACAUUGUAAAAAUCAAAGUUUUGAGCACAAGAACAAAAGAAUUGCUCUUGUUCAAAAACCCACAUACCUUAAUCUUUGAAAUCGGUUGAACUCUAGUGCUUGAGACUUUACUCACACUUGUAAUAAAAAAAUUCUUGAAGCCCACUCUAUGAGGAACUUGAUUUUUGAAGGAAUCUUGAAGAUUUAUGGAUGAUUUUUGGAAGAUUAAUUUCCUUAAAUAAAACCCUAGAUAUAUUUCUUAAGAGAAUUGGAAGAGAGAAAUGAAGAAAUUAGGUUUUGGAUGAGGAUUCUCACAUAUAUAGAGGCCUCCUAAAAUAGGAAAUGACUAAAAUACCCUUAUAAAAAUCGUCCAUCAAUUGCUGAAAAAAAUAGUUGACGACAUCCAUGACAUGCUGUCAAGCCCGUGAUAGGCCAUCACAUUGUCGUCACAAAAAAGGGUGGAUAUUGUGACUUUCUGCCUUAAGGUGAUGACAUUUUGUGACGGGCCGUCAGGCUUGUGACAAGUAGUCACAAAUUUUUCAGGCUGACACGCUAGAGUAAAAUAAGCAUAACUCUUUGCUCCCAUAUCGGAUUUUGACGAAAUGGGUAUCAUUGGAAAGCUAAUUCAAUUAUAUAUUUUUUGGUAGGUGAUGAGCUUAAUAAUUCGUAUUACAACGGAAGAUAUUCUUAUUUAAAGUUGACUAUGCCAAAAUCCUUCCCAAGAAUUCAAUCGGUAAAGAAUGUUUUGAUUCGCCCGAGCGUUAGGACAUCUUUAAAGCCUUAAUACACAUCACCCUUGAAAAGAAAACAACCAAAACACUAUAAUUUAUUUCUCAUGGGCUUGCGUCAUGGAUUCACUAUUGGUUAGAAUCUCGGAGUAUUACAAUACCUCCCCAUUGGAAACAUUCGUCCUCGAAUGUUGCCAGAUAGGCCAAGAACAAGAGAAAAAUGAGGACGUAUAUCUGGAAAGACUCACUCAAAAGACUUACUUCACUCUAUAUCUUCGAAUACUAUAGAAAAUGCAUGAAUUCGUGAUGAAAGUAGACAUACUGCUGAAUCUUUAAUAAGAAGGGGGUGGAAUUAAGAAAGAAUGAUACCUUCUACUCGCUCUAAACUCACAGAAAAGAGGUGAGGGUACUUGGCUCGCAUAUCAACUUCGUUUUCCCAAGUAGCUCUCUCAACAGAUUGAUUUUGCCAAAGAACUUUAACCAAAGGAACUUUUUUGUUCCUUAGCCUACGGAUCUGAAAAUCCAAAAUCUAGACCGAAAUCUCCUCGAAUAAAAGGCUAUCCUGAAUAUCUAAGCUUUCGAAAGAAUCAACAACAAUAGAAUCACCGAUACACUUCUUAAGCAUAGAAACUUGAAACGCCAAAUGAAUGCUAUACAACUCCGCGGGUAAAUCCACCUCAUAAGCUACUUUCCCAAUACGGCUCAGAACCCUGUAUGGACCAAAAUAAUGGGGACUAAACUUUCCCUUCUUCCCAAAUCUCUUCACCCCUUUCAUGGGUGAAACCUUCAAGUACACCAAAUCAUUAACAUUAAACUGAAUAUCUUUUCUUCUCACAUCCGCAUAUGACUUCUGACAACUUUGAGCGGUUUUCAAUCUUUCUCGAAUCAACUUAACUUUUUCCAUAGCCUCGACCACAGCAACCGGCCCAAUCACAGCUGCUUCUCCUACUUCAAACCAACCUAUGGGUGAUCUACAUCUUCUCCCAUACUAGCAUGGAAACUAUUAUUAGAUGCAAAUUCGAUCAAUGGCAAGUUCUCAUCCCAACUACCUUUGAAAUCAAGCGCACAUGCCCUCAACAUGUCCUCCAAAGUCUAAAUACUUUUUUAAGCCUGACCAUCGGUCUGCGGAUGAAAAGUAGAACUUAGACGAACUAGGGUACCAAGACCCUGCUGAAAAGCCCUCUAAGACUGGGAAGUAAACUGAGUACCCCUAUCAGAGAUGAUAGCCAAAGGAACUCCAUGCAAUUUGACUAACUCACGGAUGUACAAUCUAGCAUAAUCCUCAGCUAUAUAAGACAAAUGCACUGGAAAGAAAUGAGCUGAUUUAGUCAACUGGUCUAUGAUAAUCCAAAUCGAAUCAUGAUGAUGACAAGAAGGAGGUAAACCAAUUAUGAAAUCCAUAUUCACUUCUUCCCACUUCCAAGUAGGAAUGCCAAACUCUUGUAUUACACCACUGGGCCUCUGGUGCUCUACCUUAACUUGUUGACAAGUGAAAUACUUUGCCACAAAUCCUGUUAUGUCUUUCUUUAUACUGUUCCACAAAUAGAUUUCCCGAAAAUCAUGGUACAUCUUGGUAGCACCGAGAUGAAUAAAAUAUCGCGCACAAUGCGCUUCAGCCAUAAUUCUCUACCUUAAAUAAUCAACAUUUGGAACACACAGUCUACCUUGCAAUCUCAACAUACCAUCUCCCCCUUGGGAGAAAACCUCUACCUUUUGGUCCUUAACGGACUCCUCCAGUCUGACAAACUAGGAUCCCUGUCCUGCUUCUCCUUUACCUCUGAGACCAAAGAGGACUCGGAACUACUCUAAACUAACAUACUCCCUUCAGCGGAAUGAAGCAAUCUAACACCCAACCUAGCCAAACGAUGCACAUCAUGAGCUAAUUCUUUCUUAUCAUUCUCCACAUGAGCUAUACUACCCAUAGAAAACCUGCUAAGAGCAUCUGCCAUAACAUUGGCCUUGCCCGGGUGAUACAUCACACUUAUAUCAUAGUCUUUUAGAAACUCUAGCCAUCUUCUUUGUUUAAGGUUGAACUCCCUCAGAGUAAACACAUUCUGCAGGCUUUUUUGAUUAGUAAACACAUCAACAUGAACACCAUACAAAUAAUGUCUCCAGAUUUUCAAAGCAAAAACUACAACUGUUAAUUCAAGAUCAUGAGUUGGGUAAUUCUUUUCAUGAGGCUUCAACUAUCUAGAGGCAUAAGCUAUAACUUUACCUCUCUGCAUCAAUACACAAACCAGACAAACUCUAGAAGCAUCGUAGUACACCACAAGACCAUCAGUACCAUUGGGUAAAGCUAACACUGCGGUUGAAGUGAGUUGAGUCUUCAACUCUUGAAAACUCUUCUCACAGGCAUCUGUCCACUAGAACUUAACUUUCUUUUGGGUCAAUCGAGUCAUAGGGGACACAAUAGAAGAGAAUUCCUUAACAAAACGACGGUAGUAAUCAGCUAGACCCAAGAAACUCCUAAUAUCAGACAGGGAGGUAAGUCUAGGCCAAUUCUUCACAGCUUCUGUCUUUUGAGAAUCAACUCUAAUACCUUUGGAAGAGACAAUAUGACUCAAAAAAGAAAUUAACCUUAAUCGAAAUUCAUAAUUUCUAAAUUUAGUGACUAAUUGAUGAGCUCUAAGGGUUUCCAACAUGAUUCGAAGAUGAUCUGCAUGGUCAUCCUCACUUCGAGAAUAUACAAAAAUAUCAUCUAUGAACAUAAUAACAAACAAAUCAAGAUACCGCUUAAAUACUCGGUUCAUAAGAUCCAUAAAAGCCGUUGUAGCAUUGGUUAACCUAAAGGACAUGACAAGAACUCAAAAUGACCAUAGCGGGUUCGGAAAGCUGUCUUUGGAAUAUCACACUCUCUCACUUUAAGCUGAUGAUUGCUGGAUCUAAGGUCUAUCUUUGAGAAAUAACCUGCACCCUAUUUAUGAUCAAAUAAAUCAUCGAUUCUAAGAAGAGGGUACUUGUUCUUCAUAUUCACCAUGUUGAGUUGACGGUAGUCAAUGUAUAUACACAAUGUACCAUCUUUCUCCGCACAAAUAGAAUAGGUGCACCCCAUGGGGAAACACUGGGUAUAAUAAAGCCUUUUUCUAAGAGGUCUUUGAGUUUCUCCUUCACACUUUAAGUUCUGUGGGAGCCAUACAGUAUAGAGGGAUAGAAAUAGGUUAAGUUCCAGGAAGGAGAUCAAUCCCAAAUUCUAUAUCUCUAUCAGGUGGGACACCUGGAAGGUCUUCUGGGAAAACAUUGGGAAACUCUUUUACAAUGCUACCUGACUGAAUAGUCAGUGUCUCGGACUUGAGGUCUUUAACUCGAAAUAGAUGAUAGAUGCAACCCUUGGAAAUCAACUUCCUAGCAUUGAGGUAAGAUAUGAAAUGGCUCUUCGGAGAUACAGAACUCCCGAACCUCUCAAACACGGGUUCGUUAGGAAACUAAAACUUGACCACUCAGGUACGACAAUCUAUAGACGUAUAGCACGAGUCAAGCCAAUCUAUACCCAGAAUGACAUCAAAAUUAACCAUAUCUAGCUCAAUCAAAUCAGCACAUAUGACCCAAUGAAGGAUAGUAUCAGGACACUUCUUAUACACUAGCUUAGCAAUAACAGACUCUCCUACCAGGGUAGAAACUAGAAUAGGCUCAGGAAUUCGUUCAGGGUCCAUCCCAAAAUUUAUAGCAACCAGAGAUGUCACAUAAGAGAAACUGGAACUGGGGUCCAUCAAUACAUACACAUCAAAAUAAAAGACACGGAGUAUACCAAUGAUAACAACUGGAGAAUCCUCCUACUCCUGGCGAGGUGGUAUAGCAUAGAAGCAAUUCUGGCAUAAACCGCCAACAGUACUUGAAGAGGCACCCUGAAGAGGAACUGGGUGGAAUAGGGGAGUGGGGGCACUAGUAGCCUGACUUUGGGGACGAGCAUCUUGACUCCCAUGUCUAGCAUACGGAUAAUCUCUAAGUCGGUAGCCCAACUUGCCACAACCAAAGAAACCUCUCUGAUCAACAAAACACUCACCAAAAUGAUCUCUACCAUACUUGGCAUAUGAAGGAGGAUGAGGUAUUUUACUUACACUUUCUUGAGACCUGGAUGGGAUAGGCCUGUUCCCCUGCUCCUGCCUCUGCUCGGUACGAGAGCACUAACUGAGAAAGGCGCGGGCAUAAAUGGACGUCUCCAGAAUUGAGGGCGGUCCACUCCAUAGAAUCUGGACUGACCAAAUCCCUACUUCUCUGAUAUAGCUCUUUUGUUCCCUUUUACUCUCUUUCUCUCUUUUACCUUUUCAGCUUCAAUCUAUUAGAUAUGUAUCAUUAACGAGAAAGGUCCAUCUCCCUAUUAAGCAUAGUAGAUUUACCCUCUUUCACAACGUAACUCGAUAAACCGGUCACGAACUUACUCAUGAUGGUCCUAGAAUUAGCCAUCAUACUAGAUGCAUAUUUAGAAAACUAAUUGAAUAUAAGGCAAUACUCAUUAACAGUCAUGGAGCUUUGUCUCAAAUUCAUGAAUUUCUCUAUCUUUGCUUCCCUCAACUCUAGAGGAAAGAAUCUAUCCAAGAAUGCAUCCUAGAAUAACUGCCAAGUCAUGGGAGCGAUAUCCUCUCCUCUACUUUCCCUCCACACUUCUACCCAAUCAUAUGCAACAUCUUUCAUUCAAUAGGCAGCCAAUUCAACACUCUCCUCCUCAGUCACUUGCAUAAUCUGGGUGAUAUUUCUUACUUCAUCCAAGUACAUCUGUGGGCUUUCACCUACCUUCGACCUAUAAAACUUAGGCGGAUUCAUCUGCAUAAAGUCACGAACCUGAGCUGCAGUAGAAUUAUUCUCUUGCGUAGGUAGAACAAAAACCUGGUUGUUAGCUUGAGUAUUGGUGGUAACUGCCUGGGCUAGUACCUGAACAACUGCCCGAAAUUCUGCAUGUGACACAUGCUCAUUCAGCAGAUCAAUAGGUUAAGGUUGCUCGUUGUUUCUACGAGCUCGAUGAGGUGGUAUUUUCUAUCAUAAGAGAGCAUGAAUUAAUAGCAGAGAUAACAGUCGUAGGCACGAUAGACUUUUGAAAGAAAAAAAUGACUUUUCCUAAAACGUCUCAUAGCUUGUUGCACAUAGAUUUGGCGCGCUAUACACUAAUGAUCAAGACUCUGUGUAACGCGGCUUGCCAGAAUCCCUAGGAGUCUUUAAACCUUAGGCUCUGAUACAAAGCUUGUAACACACCAAGAUCCCAUCCCGAGACGUCACACAGUACUUAAGGCCACACGUGGCCUCAAGCUAACCCUCUAAACCUAUCAUCACUUCUAGAACUCACUUUGACAAUAGUCAUGCUAAUAUAAGAGAGAAUGACAUAUCAUAAACAUACUGGAAUAAGAUACGAACCUAGCCUGUAUAAUCCAAAAUACUAAAAUUUUGUACAUACCAACCAUUUAGCCUGAUAAAGCCUCUAUACAUCAAAAUCAAAGAGGCAUUGGGACAAACCCCCAAUUGACUUCAACAUUACUAAAAGACAUAACAACAAAACGGUAUCACAAAAUUAUAAACACGAUCCUCGAAUCUUGAGGACUCACCGCUGAGCAGAUAAAAAAGGCACCUGAAUAUCGCUAAUGCGGAUGAGUACCUGAACCUAUAUUGUGAGAAAAUAUAGCCUAUAGAAAAAUAUGUGGGUCAGCACUUUGGAAUAUACUGAGUAUGUGGGGGUGCAUGCAACAAUGUAAAUAUCGUCAUCAAUUUCAUGAAAAUAUGCAUAUGUACAAUGAUGGCUCACUUGGCUUGAGUUAGAUUGAAACAUACUUUUCAUGAUCUCUUCAUAAAUAAACCAUAUGGUAAAAACCUCAUAAAUCAUCAUAAACAACUCAACUCUUCAACUCAAGACUUGGAGUGACUCUGUAAUUCAAGAAUCUCGACUCUUAUGGAUAUGGAAGGUUUUUAUAACCGACAUAAACCAUAUGAGUUACAUGGUGUCCAACGUUUUGCCCUCCUAAGGAGAGAACCCCAUAUUGGUAGGAGUGUCGUACUCUUGCCAGGGAGUAUAACCUAAAUUUAGUGAUCAGAAUCUCAUACUCAGCCUUCAGCUCACAAUUAUCAAUUUCAAUUCUACGAUGGAACGUAGUUUUGGGGGAAAUACCACAUUUACUGCUCGGUUCUAAAUACUACUCCCGGACAGAAGCUUAGAAUGUGUUAGGAAAUCCAUAACAAACAUCACAAGGGUCCAUCAUGAAGACCAAAUCAAAUCUCUUUCACAUUUAUCAAAUCAUAAUCAAUUUGUGGAUUCCUAACUUGACUCAAAUCAAAUCAAUCUUUCUCAAUAUCAAAAUGCAUCAAUUCAUUAAGUCAUGGCAACAUCAAUAACUUUGAGGAAAUAGCAAGACUCACUGUAACAACUCAAUUCUCAUGAAUCAGUAUACUCAAUAAUUCAAUUUAUCAUAAGGAAGCUUAAAGCUUGACACAUAUCUUGAAAGCACCUGAAAUACCAACUCAUGGUAGAAACUUGAAAUUCACAAUAUUAAAUAUCAAGUCAUAACUUGGAAAUUGUAAAUAAUCAUGUAUAACAAAGCUUGACCGAUUUAUAUUCUCAUAAUCUCAUGAUGAAGUAAUUUAGGUAUAAACCCACUUGCAAAAUCAUAUAAAUCCAUUGUAAAAAUCAAAGCUUUGAGCACAAGAACGAAAGAAUUGCUCUUGUUCAAAACCCCACAUACCUUAAUCUUUGACAUUGGCUAAACUCUAGUUCUUGAGAAUUUACUCACACUUGUAAUAAAAAAAUCUUGAAGCCCACUCCAUGAGGAACUUGAUUCUUGAAGGAAUCUUGAUGAUUUAUGGAUGAUUUUUGGAAGAUUAAUUUCCUUAAAUAAAACCCUAGAUAUAUUUCUUAAGAUAAUUGGAAAAGAGAAAUCAAGAAAUCAGGUUUUGGUUGAGGAUUCUCAUAUAUAUAGAGAGGCCUCCAAAAAUGGGAAAUAACUAAAAUACCCUUGCAAAAAUCAUCCAUCAAUUGCUGAAAAAAAUAGCUGACGACUUCCGUGACAAGCUGUCAGGCCCGUGACAGGCCGUAACAAAUUGUCGGUACGAAAAGGGUGAAUUUUGUGACUUUCUUCCAUAAGUGACGGGCCAUCAGGCUUGUGACAAUUCGUCACGAAAGACCGAUUUUUAAGGCUAACACGCUGGAGUUAAAUAAGCAUAACUCUUUGCUCCGAUAUUGGAUUUUGAGGAAAUGGGUAUUGUUGGAAUAGUAAUUCAAUUAUAUAUCUUUUGGUAGGUCAUGAGCUCAAUAAUUCAUAUUACAACGGGAGAUAUUCUCAUUUGAAGUUGACUAUGCUAAAAUCCUUCUCAAGAACUCAAUCGGUAAAGAAUGUUUUGAUUCGCCCAAGCAUUAGGACAUCUUUAAAGCCUUAAUACACAUCACCCUUGACCAAAAAACAACCAAAACACUAUAAUUUAUUUCUCAUCGGCUUGAGUCAUGGCGGCACUAUUGGUUAGAAUCUCGGGGUAUUACAUUAUUACUUCUAAUUAUCUUAGCUAUUUACCUUUCUGCAAAUAUAAUGCAAAUUUAUCUUGUAAUGUUAUAAUUGAAUUAAGAAAAAAAUAUUUGAGAUAAACCACAUAUUUUUGAAAGUAAAUGAUGUAUUACUAUUAUUAUUAUUAUUAUUAUUAUUAUGACUAUUAUUAUUGUUACUACUACUACUAUUAUUAUUAUUAUUAUUAUCAUUAUUUUUAUUAUUAUUAGUAGUAGUAGUAGAUAUGUAUGUUUUACUACUACUACUACUAAUAUUAUAAGUUAUAUUUUAAUUAUUAUUAUUAUAUUUUAUUUAAUAUUUAAAUAUAUUCAAAAUAUAUAAAUUUAUGAUAUAAUUAGAGAUGUUUUAGGUCUUUUCAAGUAUGAUUUUUUAAUUUUAAACUAAUGAAUUAUUUUUAAAAUUUUCAAAGUAUUUUCAAAUUCAUAUAUUUCUAUUAACAUAGUGAAUUACUUAUGUAGGACUUAAUUACCUGCAUAACUCACUGCUAAACUAACUACCAAAAAAUAAGCUACUACCUGCAUAAAUAAUAUGCAGAUAAUCCGUAAAUUAAAAAAAAUCUGCAUAACUCUAAUUGAGGCCCUUUCAUUAUUUACUUUUGGCUUCUUAGGUUUAAGUGGGUAAGCAGAUGAAAAGAGAAAAGAAAAGACUCUCAAAUCUAGUUUCCCCAGAAGCACCUCUUUAGAAGAAAGGUGUUGUUGAAGCAACUCAUUUUCAGAUUCAAGCAGUCUUUUGUUUUGUUCCUCCUCAGAAACAAAAGCAUGAGCCGGGGCAACCAUUUUCUUUUCUCACCGGAAAUGAAGAAUAAGAAGAACACUACAAUUUAAAACCAGGCUUUAAAUUUCAAAAACAAAAUAAGAGGUCAUAAGAGCAAAAGGGGGAAAACAAAGUGCAAAAAGACCUCACCAGUAGUAUGAUACAAAGGAUGAGAGAGAGAGAGAGAAAGGAGGGUUAUAUUAAAAAUGGAAUGAAUACAGUGGAGGCAGAGCACAUCUAUCAAAUAUUAUUUGAAAAAAAAAUAGCUACAUCACCGACGUUUCAAAAUUAAGGAAACUUUUUAUCCUGUUCAGAAAAAAAUUUCAAAAUGUGUGAGUAGGACUGAGGUUGUCGUAACUACGUAAAUUGGUUUGCCCUCUUAAAAUCUUCAUUUUUAUAUUUCUUUUAAUUGAAUACAAUUUUAAGAGGGCAAACUAAUUUAAGCAGUUAAGACAACCUCAAUCCUACUCUCACACAUUGAAUUUUUUUUUCUGAAUAGGACAAUAAUUUGCCUUGAUUUUGAAACAUCGGUGAUGUAGCUGGUGUGUUUUUAAAGAUAUUUGAUAGAUUUUAUCUGCCUCUGCUGUAUUCGUUCCAUUUUUCAUAUAACCUUCCUUCCCCUCUCUCUUGUCCUUUUUAUCCUAGUACUGGUGAGGUUUUUUUGCACUUUGUUUUUCCCUUUUUACUCUCAUGAUUUCUAAUUUUUUUUAUGAGAUUUAAAGCCUAGUUUUAAAAUUGCAGUGUUCUUCAUCUACUGUAAGAAAAGGAAAUGGCUGCCCCGGCUCAUGCUUUUGUUUCUGAGGAGGAACAAAAUAAAAGAUUGUUCGAAUCUGAAAAUGAGUUGCUUCAAUAGCACCCUUCUUCUAAAAAGGUGCUUCUAGGGAAACUAGAUGUGAGAGCCUUUUCUUUUCUCUUUCCAUCUAUUUACCCACUUAAACCUAAGAAUCCAAAAGUAAAUAACAAAGGGUCCUCAAUUAGAGUCAUGCAAGUUUUUGUACUGUAGGGACUAUCGAUGUGGAAAUCUAUAUAUUAUUUAUGCAUGUAUUAACGUAUUGCUUGGUAGUUGAUUUACCAGUGAGUUAUGCAGGUAAUUAAGUCCUACAUAUUUAAUAUUCAAAUAUUAGUAGUUGGCUUAGCCUACGUUUACUCCUAUUAUGCUAGGAUAACCCUCGAUACCCCAAAGAAGGCCCAUAAAAACCCAUCUACCAAAUAGAAGGCUCUGUUGCCUUUCCCAGCUGGUUUGGUGGCCCGUUAUUAGGGACCAAAUAUGGAUGAACAUAGUUAUACUAUUCAAGAAAAUUAUAGUAUUACUACUGGGACUUUGGAUUAAAAGGGACAAAUAAGUUGUCUAAUUAAGUGAGAAUCCUUCAAGUUUUUAAAAUUAGGUGGGAGGGACAAAAAUUUUUUGAUUUUUUUUAAAAGUUUUUUUGUUCCAACACCUUUGAUAGUUGUUCGACAACUUCUAUCAGUUGUUCAACAACUAUCAAAGUUGUUCGACAAUUGCGCUAUGUUGUUCAACAACUAGGCGAAUUGUUUGGCAACUGGAAGAAGUUGUUCAACAACUGUGUGAAGUUGUUGAGGCAACUAAUUUAGUUGUCGAACAACUGUCCCAGUUGUUCAAAUGACUUAAUUUUUUUAAAAGGGACAAGUUGCGGGACCCACUUGUCCCCUUUUGUUAAUUGGAAACUGAGGUCUAUUGAUUCAUUUUUCUCACUUAAGUAUUUAACUUGUAUAUAUCAUGAAGUAGUUAGCUUAUAUUUGCGUUGUAAAUUGUAAUAUUAAGUGUAGAGAUAGUCCUAUAUACGUUUAGUACGUCAAAGAGAGCUACUCGCAAACAUUGUACAAUUCAAUUUGUCGCAAGAAGAACUUAAUCAUAACGCAAAUACUUAUUGGUUCCGAAAUUUACCCCUAAUCAAUGAUUUUAAUUCUAAUGAAUUAAGAAUAUAAGAUCAUUCAAUCAUGAUAACAAAAAUAAUUUAUAAAAGAUAUUAUCUUGUAAUAGUGGGUAUAAGGAGAGGUAGAUGUAGGCUGAGAAGGUCUUGGUAUAGGUGAUUAGAUUAGGUGUCUGUAGCUUUUCGAGGAUAUGAUCUAGAUAUAAAAAUACGGAGAUCAAGGAUGUUGUUAGUGGGUGGCUGAGCGUUGUCUAAUUUCCCUAUUAAGUAGUAUUUUUGUUAUUACUUUCAUACUAUCUUAUUCUUCUAUAUUAGAAUAAUUUGUUUGCUUUUAGUUCAGUUAUCAUAUUAACUGUUUGUCAUUGCUACCAUUUUCAGAUUUACCAUUUUAUAUGUUUUACAUGCCUAAUUUUUUUUUAUAUGUUUUACUUGAGUCGAGAGUCGAGAGUCAAUCGAGAACAACCUCUCUAUCUUCACAAGGCAGAAGUACAUGUCCAUACUACCUCUCCAAACUCCAUGUGUAAAAUUAUUUAUGUGAUUAUUGUAUAGAUCUUGAAUUGAUUGAUCAAAUGUAAAUACCCAAUGUUGAGGUAUACUUAUACCCAUUGUUGGAGGGAUGAUCUUAGAAAAAGGGUGAUUUGAUGCAAAUCUUUUAUCAAAAGAUUAUAUAGUGUAUAUUAAAUUUUGUACAUCCUUAACACAACUUAAAAAAAAAUAUGCACACUCUUCGUCAAAUUUCUGACAACGACACUGCUACUGCCUCUACUAUGUACGUGUAAAGAUAACGCCAUAUAGCAUUUGUCAUUUGCAUGACGCCCAAACUCUGACCUACCCAACCUGUCACCUCAUUUUCUGCUUUUAUAAUUCCAUAUCCUUCCAAAUUUCAUACACCAUCCAUUUCAUUUUAAUUAGAUUAAAAAUAACUAUUUUAAUUUAUUCGUGUAAUUUAUAAAAUUAUAUAAAAGAUUAUUACGUGAAGUAUUAAAUGAAGUGAAAGGUGUAUUCUACGAAUAUAUAAAUGCUAGUUUCAUUAAAUCUGUAUUUCGUUCUAAGCUCGGAUCGAAACAACUCUACAUAUAAAUAAUAAUAAUUAAAUUUUAAAAUAUAAUUUAUAUUAUACUUUUUACUUUAUAAUUAAUAUAAUUUAAUGACUGAUAUAUUAAUUAUAUUUUAUUAAAAAAAUUUAUAAUUAUUAAAGUUCUUAAUCACAUAAUUGGAUAAUUUUUUUAAAAAAUUAUUUGUAUGGAAGAAAGUAUUACAGGAGAAUUAGAAUAUAACAAGAGACCACAAGUAAUUUAAUAUUUUAUAAAAUAACAUGAUACAACAACAACAAUAAAAACAUACCCAGUGGAUUUCCACAUAGAGGGGUCUUGGCAGGGUAGAGUGUACGCAGAUCAUACCACUACCUAAGAUAAAGUAGAGAGUCUGUUUCCGACAGACCCCCAACUUAGGACCGAUAGCAAUACAAAAAAUGCAAAAUAUAAAUACAUAAAAACUAGUACAAUCUGCAAAAUAAACUAAAGUCACUAGCCAUAAGAUAAUACUACACUCACAAGAUAAUACUAAAAUUAUCUAUCUGAAAUCAUAGACAUCACUCAACACCACGAACAAGAAACUUCAAACACAAAUAAAGAAUGCUCCCUUAUUGUUACCGACACACUCUCAACCCCUAACCCUCUACCCUAAUCGGCAUUCUCCACACCUUCCUAAUCACUUCCCUCCAAUAUUUGUUCAGUCUACCUCUACCCCGCCUAAAAUCAUCCAUAGCCAGUGUCUCACACCUCCGCACUGGAGCAUCAGAGCCCCUCUUCAUCAUAUGCUUGCACCAACGUAACCUUACUUCUCGUAUCUUGUCCUCCACCGAGGCCACUCCCACCUCUCCCGAAUAAUCUCAUUUCUUACCUUAUCUUUCCUAGUAUGGCCACACAUCCAUCCCAAUAUUCUCAUCUCCACCACCUUUAACUUUUGGAUAUGGGAUUUCUUAACUGGCCAAUACUCUCCAUACAACAUAGUCGGCCGGAUGGCACUUUGUAGAACUUCCCUUUAAGAUUUGGAGGCAUCUUCUUAUCACAUAAAAAUCCCAAAGCGAGCCUUCAUUUAAACCACCCAGCCCCAAUAUGAUGUGUGGCAUCCUUGUUAAUCUCACCAUUGCCUUAAAUCAUAGACCCCAGAUACUUGAAACUCUCCUUCUUCUGAAUGGCCUGAGAGUCUAUGUAACACCCCGUAUUCAAAUACAUGUAUUGGCAUAUUCAAGUACGUGUAUUGGUCUUCUUUAUAUGAAAUUAAUUUUUUUAUUUUAUUUAUACCGAAAUUUGCCCGUCGAUGGUUCCAUGCGAAGGUUAUUGAAUAAGCUUUCCAAUGAUAUAAAGAUUUCCAAAAAAGGAUAGGUUUCGGAUAUAAUCGAGCACGUUUGAAACUAUAAAACGGUGGCCCCGAUAUUUGGGAAUAGUAAAUGUGCAGGAAAAUUUCCUGCACACAAACUACUGAGGCCAGCUAAAUUUUUUGAUCAAUUUCAAACGUUCAUAACUCCCUUAAUAUAAUGAACUAGGAGAUCUUCGACCUAUGAAAAGAAAGAUAUUUGAGUAUUCUUUCCAAUACAAUUGGUUUCAUCCAAAUCCAAUAUUUGAGUAAGGAGUUAUACUCGUUUUACUUCAUCCUAUCAAAACAGAUUUUUAGGGUCAACUUCAAACGGCCAUAACUCCUUGUACAGGACGAACUAGGUGGCCUACUUUAUAUAAAAUGAAAUACCUUUGAAUUAUCCUUCCAAAAAUACAAAUUUCACCCCAAUACGAUAUCGGAGCAAAGAGUUAUGGUCGAUAUACUUUAACUUAUCAAAACAGUCCACCAAAGGACAGAUUUGACAUUAUUUGAAUUUUAAAGGCAUUUUGGCCAUUUCCUAUUAUAUUAUGGACGGGAAUAUGUGUAUAUACAUGUAUAUGAGUUCAAAAACUCAUUUUCAUCAUCAAUCAUUGAGGAAGAACAAACCCUAGACAAAUUUGACCUUUAAAUUACUUUUGAUUCAACCGUAGAAAUUCCAAAGUAAUCCGAUAACUCCGUUUAUCAUCUCGACAGCUUCAAACGGCACCUAUUAUUUGUGCAAAUAGGAGUGCAUAAUCAAGAGGUGAAUUCUAAGGUAUGAAUAUUGUUUUCCUUUGUUCUUUUCCAUAUGUAUAUGUGUGAUAGAGGAUUAUAUGUAUUGAUUGUUAUUGAAAGGUGAUGGAAAUAGGGUUAUGGACUAUUUUGCAUGGUUUGGUUGUAUUGAAUUAUGGAAGGAGGAUAUGUUAAUUGGGUUAUGGAAGGUGGAUAUAUACUAUUGAAUUGAUGAUUAUUUAUGUCUAUGGCUCAAUUUUGGUUAAUGGAUUGGUUGGAAGGAUAAAUGGAUCCAAACUUGAUAUUGGGGGAUGUUGUAUGAAUAUGCAUGGCAUAUGAAUGUAAUUGGAGUAUAAGAGGGUUAAAUUGACACCCUUUUAUGGUGUAAUUAAGUCUUACUACUUAACAACUAGUUUGGUGAAUUCAAAUAAUUGAAUUGUGACAUUUGGUUGCUAAUACUAGACUGCUAUAUAUGUUCAUUGUAGAUAAGUAAUCCGACAGGACGGGAAGUCAUUUGGGACUAGUAUUGAAGGUUGACAGUCAAGUAUGUAAAUCAAACUUUAUGCCAUAUCUUUGACAUGAAAGUGAACAAUUGUUCUAUUAAGAAAGUUUCCAAAGUUAUUCAGUAACAUAUGAUCCAUAAUGGUUUUGUAUGAUGUCCUACAUUACCAAUGAACUUGUUUCCAACCUACAAGAUAUCAAGACAUUCCAAUACUUACUUGUUUUCCAAAUCUUACAUGUUUAUUGCACUAAUGAAUGUCAGAAAGUAUCCGGUUACUCAAACAAGAUCCAUGUGCUAUUAAUGACUACAAAACGUUUCAUUGAUAUACCAGUAAGUUCCUACUUCAUUGUUAUGGCAUUGAUGACUCCAAAACACUUCAUUGAUGUGCCAAUUAGUUCUUAUUUUAUUGUUAUUGCAUUGAUGGUCUAUUUAUAUGUCUUUUAUUUAUGUAUCAAUGUUUCAAAGUAUAAAAAAUUCGGUGGCGACCGAAAUAACAAUCUCAAAGAUUAAUUGAACUAAGUGAUGGAAGUUCUCUCUUAUUGGGUGGUAUCCAGGGGCAUAAGCCUAUCAUGGGUCGAUCCCAGUUGAUAUGUACUGGAAGCAGCCUAAUGGUCAUAGUACAGUAUAGUAAUGAUUAGAAAGUUGAUAAGAACGAUGGUAAAGUGAUUGAAUAAAUUCAAUGUACAGGUUGUCACAAGUUUUAGUAAGUGUGGUCCACUCUUAUUAUGAUUUAUUCACAUGUUUCGGAUUUCUAUUGAUAAAAUUCAAAGGGCCUUAGAUGUUAUGCAUGUAACGGGUAGAGAGACAGUAGAGUUAGCGACGUAUAGAAAGGGGAAGCUUUAUAUUGGUACGAGGACUGGAAAUGAUCUAGGGGUAUUGAUGCACCCCUAGUUACUUGGAAAGAGUUCAAAGAGGUAUUUCUUGAUCAUUAUCUUCCAUUUGAGAUUCGUCAGGCCUGUGCAGAUCAGUUUUUAAAUCUUUAUCAGGGGAAUAUGAGCGUGAGAGAGUACAGUCUCCGAUUUAAUUCAUUGUCGAGAUAUGCUCCUAAUGUUAUAACUACUAUGGAUGAUAGAGUUCACCAAUAUGUAAAUAGGAUGGAUUCAUAUCUGGUUAGAGAUUGUACUAUUACCGCUUUGAACAAAGAUAUGGAUAUAGCGAGGAUCAAAGCUUUUGCACAGAAAAUAGAAGAUUAGAGGUAGAGGAGAAGAACACAGGAAUUAGAAAGAGGAUAUUCCAAGAGGGCUAGAUCUACUGGGCAGUUUAUGGCAUCCCAAUGAGGGUUCAGACCACAUUUUUCUACUAAACCACCUAAGCCAUUAUCUUCUUAUUCUGUAGCUAGUGCCCCACCACAGUUCUAAUGAUCCAGAGGAAAUCAAUUUGGGCAUAGAAGUGAGAGUCAGAGUUUGCGGACAGUGGGGUACCAAGGGCAAGGGAAUAUGAGCCAAUCGAGACCUCCUUGAGAGCCAUGCAAUAAAUGUGAAAGGUAUUAUUUGGGCGCAUGUCGGCUGGGGACCAAUGUUUGCUUUUUGUGUGGUAUGUCAGGGCAUAUGAUGAGAGAAUGCCCACGAAGGGGCAUAGGGGGUAUGGAACAACCUACGAGGUCAUUUGUUGCAUAAUCAUCAUCGAUGCCUUAUUCAGGAAGGGGUGCACAACCAAUGGGUCGUGUUAGAGGUGAUAGAGGAGCCACGAGUUCUAGCGAGGCUCAAAAUUGUACGUAUACUCUACCGGAUUGAUAGAAUAUAGAGGCUUCCCCAGAUGGUGUUACGGGUACGUUGUCUAUCUUUUUAUUCGAUGUAUAUGCCUUAAUUUAUCCCAACUCUACAUUAUCUUAUGUUACUCCAUUGGUUGCUAGAAAGUUUGAAAGAAUACCCGAACUGUUAGUUAAGCCAUUUGAAGAGUCCACACCAGUUAGGAAAUCUAUUAUAGCUAGAAGGGUUUACCAAACUGCAUAGUAACUAUUUGUGGCUAUGAUACAAUGGUUGAUCUCGUGGAGUUAGAAAUGGUAGAUUUUGAUGUUAUAAUGGGUAUGGACUGGUUAGCAUCUUGUUAUGCCAUAAUUGAUUGCUGCACGAAAAAGGUAUAUUUCCAUUUUCCAAAUGAAUCAGUCCUUGAAUGGAAAGGUGAAAUUGGCACGCCAAUAGAUAGAUUUAUUUCUUAUUUUAAGGCAAGAAGAAUGAUUUCCAAGGGAUACAUACAUCAUUUUCUAAUGUAUUUCCUGAAGAUCUUCCAGGUUUGCCUCCUGAACAAGACGUAGAGUUUAGUAUUGAUGUAAUACCAGGCACCCAACCAAUCUACAUUCCUCUAUAUAGAAUGGCCCCAGCAGAAAUACAACAAUUGAAAGAGUAAUUGAAAGAUUUGCUAGAGAAGGGAUUCAGAAGGCCUAGUAUGUCCCUUAAGGGAGUACCAGUGUUAUUUGUACGCAAAAAGGAUGGCUCACUAAGGAUGUGUAUUGAUUAUCGGCAAUUGAAUAAGGUGACUAUUAAGAAUAAAUAUCCUCUCCCAAGAAUUGAUGAUUUAUUUUAUCAGUUACAGGGCGCCAAGUGCCUUUCUAAGAUUGAUUUAAGGUCAGGUUAUCACCAAGUGAGGGUCAAAGAGAAGGAUAUACCCAAGACAGCUUUCCAAACAUGGUAUGGUCAUUAUGAGUUUCUAGUUAUGUCAUUUGGGUCAACAAAUGCACCCACAUUUUUUAUGGAUUUGAUGAAUAGGGUGUUUAAGCCAUUCCUGGAUGUAUUGGUGAUAGUUUUUAUAGAUGAUAUUCUAGUUUAUUCUAGAUCAGAAGAGGACUAUGCCAAUCACUUACGACAGGCAUUGCAGACUCCUGUGAUUGUAAGCUUUAUGCAAAGUUCUCUAAAUGCGAGUUUUGGUUAAAGUCGGUGGAAUUUUAGAGUCAUAUUGUAUCUAGUGAAGGGAUAAAGGUUUAUACUUAAAAGAUAGAAGUUGUGAAGAACUGGUCAAGGCCUACGGAGAUUCGUACUUUUCUCAGGUUGGCCAGUUAUUAUAGAAGGUUUGUUGAAGGCUUUUCUUCCAUUUCAACACCCUUAACCAAGCUAACCCAUAAAGCAUCCAAAUUCCAAUGGAAUGAUGCCUGUGAGAAGAGUUUUCAAGAUUUAAAGAACAAGUUGAUUUCUACACCCGUGUUGGUACUACCAGAAGGCACCGAAGGGUAUAUAUAGUGUAUUGUGAUGCUUCCAAAAUUGGUUUAGGAUGUGUAUUGAUGUAGCAUGGUAAGGUAAUAGCAUAUGCUUCUAGACAAUUGCGGCCACAUGAGAAAAAUUAUCCUAAAUACGAUCUUGAGCUGGCAGCAGUUAUUUUUUCUUUAAAGAUAUGGCGCCACUACUUAUUGGGGUUCAUGUUGAUAUAUACUAACCAUAAGAGCUUGCAAUAUAUUUUUAAUCAGAAGGAUCUAAAUUUAAGGCAGCGGAGAUGGCUUGAACUAUUAAAGGACUACGAUGUUGAUAUCUUGUACCAUCCAGGGAAAGCAAAUGUGGUAGCUGAUGCGUUAAGUCGUAAGGCUAUGAUGGUGCCUAUAGAAAGGCAAGGGAUGAUUAAAGAUCUUCACCAGUUAGCUAGUUUGGGAGUUCGCCUUCUUGAAACUGUAGAUAAAGAGCUUAUCGUACAUAAUAUUGUGGGAUCUUCAUUAGUAGCUGAAGUGAAAGAGAAGCAAUAUGCAAAUCCUAUUUUAUUACAGCUUAAGGAGAACGUUCAGAGUGGUGCGACCAAGGUAUUUGAGCCUACGCGAGAAAGAGUACUUCAGUGCCAAAACCGAUUGUGUAUGCCAGAUGUAGACGGGCUAAGAAAGAAGAUUAUAACAGAGGCACAUUGUUCAAGGUAUUCCAUUCAUCUAGGAUCAACCAAAAUGUAUCAAGAUUUGAAAGAUAUGUAUUGGUGGAAUGAAAUGAAGAAGAGCAUUGCAGAAUUUGUAGCUGAAUGUCUAAAUUGUCAAAGAGUUAAAGUUGAGCACCAAAAACCCGGAGGUUAUACGCAAUGCAUUGAUCUUCCAAGCUGGAAGUGGGACAUGAUCAACAUGGAUUUCGUUAUUGGUUUGCCUCGUACAUCCUGGAAGUUUGAUUCUAUAUGGGUGAUUGUUGGUAGGCUUACCAAAUCCGCACAUUUUCUACCAGUUAGGACCACUUACACAGUUGAAGAGUAUGCUAAGCUGUACAUUAAAGAGAUAGUCCGAUUACAUGGAGUGCCAGUCUCUAUUAUAUCAGAUCGAAGAACCCAAUUUACCACAAACUUUUGGAAGUCUUUUCAGAGGUGUUUGGGAACACAAGUGAAGCUGAGUAAAGCUUUUCAUCCUCAAAUAGAUGGACAAGCAGAACGUACCAUCCAAAUACUUGAAGAUAUGCUACGAGCUUGUGUAAUAGAUUUUAAGGACAACUAGGAUGAUCAUUUACCUAUUAUUGAGUUUGCCUACAAUAAUAGCUAUCAUUUAAGUAUCAAAAUGGCACCAUAUGAAGCUUUAUAUGGAAGGAAGUAUAGAUGACCAAUAGGAUGGUUCGAAGUGGGUGAAACUCUUUUUUUCAGACUGGAUCUUGUUUAUCAAGCCAUAGAGAAGGUUAAAGUAAUUCAGUAACGACUGAAAAUAGCCCAAAGUCGACACAAGUCAUAUGCGGAUAGUAGAAGGAGAGGGCUAGAUUUUUCUAUAGGUGAUUGGGUAUUUUUGAAGGUAUCACCAAUGAAAGGGGUAAUGAGAUUUGGCAAGAAAGAGAAGUUGAGUCCACGUUAUAUAGGCCCAUAUAAGAUCACUCAAAGGUUUGGACAAGUUGCAUAUGAAUUAGAGCUACCCCAAGAGUUCUCACUAGUACAUCCGAUAUUUCAUGUGUCAAUGCUUCGAAAGUGCAUCGAAGACCCAUCACAUAUUACUAGUACUGAGGAUGUGCAAGUUGAGGAAGAUCUUACCUAUGAGGAAGUACCUAUUGCUAUUCUAGAUCACCAAGUUAAGAAGAUGAGAAAUAAAGAGAUAGCAUCAGUGAAAGUACGUUGGACAAAUCAUUAAAGGGAAGAUAUUACAUGGGAAGCUGAGCAAGCAAUGAAAUCUAAGUACCCUCAUUUGUUCAAAGAUGAAGAGGAAGUUCAAGAAACGGAGUUAGAACAUUAACAAGUAAGUUUUUUUUACAUAUGCAUAGUAUUUAUGUGAUGAUGUGAAUAUUAAUGAUGGACUUGAACUUGUUUCGGUUGAAUAACUACGCUAACAUUCGAGGACGAAUGUUCUAAAGGGGGGAAGGAUGUAACACCCCGUAUUCAAGUAAGUGUAUUGGCGUAUUCAAGUACGUGUAUUGGUCUUAUUUAUAUGGAAUUAAUUUUUUUAUUUUAUUUAUACCGGAAUUUGCCCGUCGAUGGUUCCAUGCGAAGGUUAUUGAAUAAGAUUUCCAAUGAUAUAAAAAUUUCGAAAAAUAGAUAGGUUUCGGAUAUAAUCGAGUAUGUUCGAAACUAUAAAACGGUGGCCGGGAUAUUUGGGAAUAGUAAAUGUGCAGUAAAAUUUCCUGCACACAAACUACUGAGGCCAGCCGAAUUUUUGGGACAACUUGGAAUGAUCAUAACUCCCUUAAUAUAAUGAUAUUGGAGAGCUACGACCUAUGAAAAUAUAUAUAUUUGAGUCUUAUUUCCAAUGCAAUUGGUUUCAUCCAAAUCCAACAUCUGAGUAAGGAGUUAUACUCGUUUUACUUCAGCCUAUCAAAACAGAUUUUUAGGGUCAAAUUCAAACGUUUAUACCUCCUUGUAUAGGAUGAACUGGGUGUCCUACUUCAUAUAAAAUGAAAGAACUUUGAAUUAUCCUUCCAACGAUACAAAUUUCACCCAAAUCCGAUAUCGAAGAAAAGAUUUAUGGUCGAUCUACUUUAGCUUAUCAAAACAGUCCACCAAAGGACAGAUUUGACAUUAUUUAAAGUUUAAAGGUAUUUCGGUCAUUUCCUAUUAUAUUAUGGAUGGUAAUAUGAGUAUAUAUACAUGUAUAUGUGUUUAAAAACUCAUUUUCACCAUCAAUCAUUGAGGAAGAACAAACCUAGCCAAAUUUGACCUUUAAAUUACUUUUGAUUCAACCGUAGAAAUUCCAAAGUAAUCCGAUAACUACGUUUGUCAUCUCGAGAGCUUCGAACGGCACCUAUUAUUUGUGUAAACAGGAUUGCAUAAUCAAUAGGUGAAUUCUAUGGUAUGAAUAUUGUUUGCCUUUGUUAUUUUCCAUAGGUAUAUGUGUGAUAGAGGAUUAUAUGUAUUGGUUGUUAUUAAAAGGUGAUGGAAAUAGGGUUAUGGACUAUUUUGCAUGGUUUGGUUGUAUUGAAUUGUGAAAGGUGGAUAUGGUAAUUGAGUUAUGGAAGGUGGAUAUGGUAAUUGAGUUAUGGAAGGUGGAUAUGGUAAUUGAGUUAUGGAAGGUGGAUAUGGUAAUUGAGUUAUGGAAGGUGGAUAUGGUAAUUGAGUUAUGGAAGGUGGAUAUGGUAAGUAAUCUGAAAAGACGGGAAGUCCAUUUGGGACUAGUAUUGAAGGUUGACAGUCAGGUAUGUAAAGCAUACUCUAUACUGUAUCUUUGGCAUGAAAGUGAACAAUUGUUCUAUUAAGAAAGUUUCCAAAGUUAUUCAGUAACAUGUUAUCCAUAAUGGUUUUGUAUGAUGUCCUACGUUACCAAUGAACUUGUUUCCACCCUACAAGAUGUCAAGACACUCCAAUACUUACUUGUUUUCCAAAUCUUACAUGUUUAUUGCACUAAUUAUUGUCAUAAGGUAUCCGAUUACUCAAACAAGAUCCAUGUUCUAUUAAUGACUCCAAUUUCAUUGAUAUACUAAUAAGUUCCUACUUCAUUGUUAUGGCAUUGAUGACUCCAAAACACUUCAUUGAUAUGCCAAUGAGUUCUUACUUCAUUGUUAUUGCAUUGAUGGUCUAUUUAUAUGACUCUUAUUGAUGUAUCAUUGUUUCAAAGUAUCAAAAAUGCGGUGGCGACCGAAAUAACAAUCUCAAAGAUUAAUUGAACAGGGGCAUAAGCCUAUCAUGGGUCGAUCCUAGUUGAUAUGUACUGGAGGAAGCCUAAUGGUCACAGUACAGUACUGUAAUGAUUACAAAGAUGAUAAGAACGAAGGUAAAGUGAUUAAAUAAAAACAAUGUACAGGUUGUCACAAGUUCUAGUAAGUGUGGUCCACUCCUAUUACGAUUUAUUCACUUGUUUCUUAUUUAUAUUGAGCUCCUAUAUCAUAUGUGAUUAUAUAUAGCUUUACAUACUCAGUACAUAUUUCGUACUGACGUCCCCCAUGGGGGACCUGCAUUUCAUGCUGCAGGCACAGGUACCUCAGCUCAUAUACCGCACAAGUAAGAGCCAGGAUAUCCAGCUGCUUUUAGUGAGCUCCAGCUUGCUUCAGGGAUUUUUGUGUUAUAUCCAGUCACUUUAGGUAUUGUAUAUAAGUUAGUUAUAUGGCGGGGUGUGUCCCGACCUUAGUUAAAUUCUGUGUAUUGUCUAGAGGGUUUGUAGACCUAAUGUAUAGUCAAGGUGGUGUCUUGAUAAUAGGCGUGAUGGAUCCAACGACCAAGUAUUGUAUAUACAUAUAUGUGUGUGCUCGAGCUUAUAUAGGUGAUUAUUUCCUUUUAUAUGCGACAUGAUGCUUUCCAAAUUUUGGGUUGUCAUAGAGGUAUGCAUGGGAAGUAUAAGGUUAUGAGUUGGUUCUCCCGGGCCUCCUUGGUUACGGGUGCCAAUCUGCCCCAAUAGGAUUUGAAGCAUGAUAGUCUAGAUUCACAACCAUGUCAACCUCCUAUGACACAUCACUAAACCUAUAAUUCAAGUACUCCAUCUUGGUCCUGCUUAACCGAAAUCCUUUAGACUCAAGUGUCUGUAUCAAAAUCUCCAACUUAUCAUUAACUCCUCCCCGAGUCUUGUUAAAAAGUACCACAUUAUUAGCAAAUAACAUACACCAAGGCACCGCCUCUUGAAUAUGUCUUGUAAAAACAUCCAUCUCCAAGGCAAAUAAAAAAGGGCUAAGAGUCAAACCCUGAUGCAACCCUACCUAAAUUGAAAAAUGCUCUGAAUCUCCACCUACUUUCCUUACCCGAGUCUUUGCAUCAUCAUACAUGUGCUAAAUCAACCUAGUGUAUGCCACGGGCACCCUUAUAGCCUCCAAACAACUCCAAAGAAUCUCCUUGGGAACUCUAUCAUAAGCAUUCUCAAGAUCAAUAAACACCAUGUGAAAGUCCUUCUUCAUCUCCCAAAACUGUUCCACUAAUCUCCUCACAAGGCGAAUGACCUCAGUAGUCGAGCUACCUAGCAUGAAAUCAAACUGAUUCUCAACGAUAAUCACGCUCCUUCUCAGCCUCAACUCUACCACCCUUUCCCAAAUCUUCAUAAUAUGACUCAAAAAAUUAAUACCUCUAUAGUUGUUGCAACAUUGGAUGUCUCUCUUGUUCUAAUAUGAUGGAAUCAUUGUACUUCACCUCCAUGCUUCAGGCAUCCUUCCCACCCUAAAAAUGAUGUUAAGACACUUGUCAACCACUCCAAAUCUGCUUCGCCAGUGUGUUCUAAAAAUCCACUGGAAUCUCGUCUGGACCGAUCUCCCUACCUCGAUGCAUCCUGCGAAUAGCCCUCUUGACCUUACUAACCUCGAUAUGCCUAGAAUAACCAUAGUUAUGACACUCCUUAAAUUUCUCCAAGUCCCCAAAUACGAAACCUUUGUCCCCCUUAUCGUUCAAAAGUUUAGGAAAAUAGGACUGCCACCUUUGUUUAAUAAGGGCAUCCUAAGCCAACAUAGUACCAUCCUCAAUAUUGAUGCACUUAUCCCUGCCUUUCUCCUUUAAAGUCGCAUACAAGCUGUCAUUUUAGCCACUGUAACUGCUAACUUAGCCUCUCACCUAGAUAUAGCUUAUACUCUUCCUUAUUCAUCCGCCUCUCUUGAUCAUUCGUGCUCUAAACCAAUUUAGCAUAAGCCACCUUCUUAGACUCCACCUUCCUUUUAACCUCUUCAUUCCACCACUAGUCCCCUUGAUGUUUUCCAAAUCGACCUCUCAAGAUACUAACACCUCUCUAGCGAUCUCCUUAAUGCAACUGGCAAUCGUAUCCCACAUACUAUCCAUAUCCCCUCUACUCUUCAAAGCCCCUUGCUUCUUCAUUUCUCUCCCAUAUUCAAAGCAUUAGCUAAAUUCAAUCUACCCCACUUAAUCUUGGGAUGAACCUCCACAUUCCUCUUCUUUCAGCCCUUAUUAAUUACCAAGUUCAUCACCGACAACCUAUGUUUAGUCAAAAGAUUAUCUCUAGGUAUGACUUUAUAAUCUUUACAUAGUGUUUUAUCACUCUUCUUAAGGAGAUAAAAGUCUAUCUGAGUCUUGGCCACUGAACUAUGAAACAUUUCGAAAAUCAAAAUCUCUAUGCAUAUCAUCAUAACCUAUCUACAAAGACUCAAUAUGCCCAUUGAAGUCUCCUCUCACAAAAAUUUUCUCAGUGCUCGAGACGCCCCUCAUCGUCUCAUUCAAAACCUCCAAAAGCCCUUCUUCUCUUCCUCGUCCAAACCUAAUUGCGGAGCAUAAACACUAAAAAUGUUCACCGUAGCUCAUACCAAGACCAACUUAACAAACAUCAACCUAUCACUGACUCUUUUAACCUCUACCACCUCCAACCUAAGUUCUUCAUCUACUAAGAUACCUACCCCAUUUCUAUGUCUCAUGCUACCCGAGUACCAUAACUUAUAUCCAUCCAUAUCUCUCACUUUAGUCCCUACCAUUUAGUUUCCUGGACACAUGCUAUACUAACCCUCCAUUUUCCAAGAAUCUUCACCAGCUCUAUAGACUUACCUUGAAGCAUCUCUAUGUUCCAGGACCCAACUUUCAACCUAUAAGUAUCCUUUUCCAACUUACCCCUACUAUCCCUCGCCCUCAACCCAAGACUAGAACCUAGACUCGACCCCAACCCCAACCUCGACCUAUGAUAUGACCCUAAUCCAUCAUCUAUCUCCCCAACCACCACUCAAAAGGAUAUGAUAUAAGAAUCUGAAGAAAAAAAGCCAAAAAACAUGAUAAGCAAAAGAGUAUGACUAAAAAUAGCUAAAUCAGCAAAGAAAAACCAGUAAGCAGGAUUGAUACUCACAAGUAACAACAAAUACUGUACUAAUCACAAGCAACAAACACCUACUAAGUUACGGAGAAACCAUAACCAAUAAUCCCAUAGGAAUAAUUAAAAAAUCAAAGAAGAAAUCAGGAUAGAAAAAUAGACAAGAAGCAUAUACCAAAUAAACUAGAGAAGACUGAAAUGAGUGCACCUGAUACUGGGAGAGACACAGUGAAAUACGUUUUCCUGAUCGUUUUGUCGAAUUCUGGCAAAUUGGUGCAGAAAUUGGUCGUCAGAAUUUGUUGCCACCGCCUUUACCCUACUGCUGGUACCGCAUCCCUGUACUUGGUCAUUGGAGAAUGUGCUGGUCGCUAAAAAAAUGAGCUAGAUACCGAAAUCUUGAUAUCACCGCCUGAAGUGCGGAUCUGAACUUGAAGUACCUGAAAAGGGUUAUAAAGAAAAUAAAAGAGAAGAAAAGAAAAGCGAUGAUCAAAUUACCAAAAAUUGACUUCACUUACCAAAAAUUGAUGUGGUUGUUGGGCCACAUAGAAAGGCUGCCGAAAAAGCCGUUAUCAUUUUAGUGGUCGGCGCAAGAAGCGAGAGAGAAAAAGACGAUGAUUGCGCCAAAAUCUGAUUGGGUCGCCAAAACUGAUAGGGUCGUCGGGACGUGUUUAUGGUGACCGACACAAGUAAUUUACCGGCAUCGGAUUGGUGAUUCUCUGCUAUCGCCAGAAUCUUCAAGACACGAAGAGAUAGGUUAAAUUCGUCGGUACCGUCGAUUGAAAAAUUGCAAGACGCUAAACCCUCAGCAUAUAUGACAGCUAUUAAUGUCAUCAAUUUAACUUGAGACGCCCGUUCAAUAAAAUAACAUGACAAUAUUUUAAUAAUUAUAAUUCAAUGCUGAUUAAAAAUAGAAUAAUACUGAUUUUAAUGAAUUUAUGGGUACAAAAUUUCUCAGUUAUAAAUAGAAAUAAAUUUAUUUUGAUAUUUAUUAUUUUAUUUUCACCUAUAAUUUCAUGUGACAAGAGUUGGAAAAUUCAUUGUUUUCAUACAAUACAACAAAGUAUUUCAAUCAUUUCAAGUAUAUAUAAAAAUAGUUACAACAUUCAUUUAGAACCUUUACACAAACUAACUUAAUCGUGAUCUAUAAGGAUAUUAAAUAAUAAUUAAAUUACAUUAACCGAUUAUUCCAUUCGGUCCAUUUACUUAUCAUGUUAAUUUUUUAAACACCCUUUAAAAAUAUUCUAUUCAUUCUACUCUAAUUAUUUAUUUAUCCUUUUUCAUGUUUNNNNNNNNNNNNNAAGGCAUUGUACUAUUUAUUAUUGAUUAAGUUAUCCUAUUUAAUACUCCCUCCGUUUCACAAUAACUGAAUUAUUGGAGUAAUUUUAGUGUUUCAAAAUAAGUGAAUGAUUUACAAUGCAAGGUAGAUGUUGGAAAUUUUUUCCAAAUUUACCCUCCAUUAAAUGUGCACUGGGAGUAAUGUAUCAUGUGUCUUUACUUUUUGAAGAGUGUAAAAAUGAAAAAACAUGAUAAAUUUAUGUCUUUGCUUUUUUAUUUCUUAACAUGUGUGCCGAAAUUCACCAAUUAACUUAUUGUGGAACGGAGGGAGUACUAUAUCUUUUUUAAGAAGUGAACAUCAGUGACUAUAAGGGUGUAGUUGAAUAUUAUUACUAACUUUAAUUUUAUGUGAAAAGUUAUUUCUAAAUAAGUUUUUUGAGCAAAAAUAAUUAUUAAUUUAAAAUGAAGGAAAUUUUAAUUAAAAGACAACCUGUGGCAAGAAAAAAACAGUUACAAAUACACAAGUGGAAAUGGUCUUAACAAAAAUAAUAAAGACAAAAAUAAAAAUAUUUAUCAAAAGAACAUCAUCAAUCCUUGUGAGGACUACCGUAAAUUGAGAUCCUCCCUUAUAUAUAAUAGUAAAUUGUAUUCUUUUUUCAUAUUCUUAACACUGUUUGCAAUAAAGAUUAAAGUGACAGAAACAAAUUGCAGUCAUAAUGCAAAUAAAAUAUGAAAAAAUAAGAAUUUUAUUGAUAAAUGAUAUGGAUAUAAUUAUGUUAUUCCCCUGAUUCUUCUUUCUUUAUUUUUCUCUGUAUUUCUCAAAUGUCGAAAGAUUUAAAUUUGAUAAGAACUUUUACUGCAUUUCUCGAAUGUAAAAAGAUUUGAAUUUGAUAUGAUUUCUUUUUGUAAUUCAAGGGUCGUUAGUAGCAUAUUUCUUUAAUGUACGAAGAUUUAGAUUUGAUAUGGAUUUUUUUCGUAAUUCGAAGGCCGUUAAUAACAUAUUUCUAGAACGUAGAAAUAUUUGAAUUUGAUCUCCAUAAAAGAAGGGUUUAUGGAUCUUCUUGAUAUAUUUGAUUACAAAAAAGAGAGUGAUAUUCAAUGAGUUUAUGAAAUUAUUGGGAGAUGAUUUAUCUCUUUAUUAAGGGUUUAGAGUAGAGUAUCCACCAAGUUAGGUUUAGCGUAAACUAACCCCUAAUAAAUCUAACAAAAAUUGAACUCUUACUAUAGAGUUCACAAAAUUAUGAUGUCUAUAAACGCUUUGUAUUGUCAGACGUUAUGACUACAAAAUCCUUUGCUAAAAUGUCAAAAUACAAUUAUUUUUCUUCUUUGAGAUGAUGAAUGAAGUACGUGUUAAUUUAGUGGAGUCACUUAGCUAAAGUUAUUCGUGCGGCUUACCAUGAAAUCAAAAAACUACAUCAAGAUAGGAGAAGAGAAAAACAAUAACAAAAAUACCAUAUUUAGCACAUUUUCAUAGAUCGAACUCGUGACCCCCUGAUCACAUGGAGGGAACUAUCCACAAUAAUUCAGACAAAUACUUCUCAUAGAUAAUCACAAAUUUUCAAGCAAGACUAAAUCUUUUAAGAAUUUUACUACAUACAAAGACAAAAACAAAGGGCAGUCCGAUACACUAAGCUCCCGUUAUGUGCUGGGUCCCAGGAAAAAACUAGACCACAAAGGUCUAUUAUACACAGUCUUACCACUGUGGACCCCUCUUUCCACAGCUCGGACCUAUGACCUUCUGGUCAUACGAAAACAACUUUACCAGUUACAACAAGGCUCCUUGUCUUACACACCCAAAUGAUAUUUGUAAUAAUAAAAUCUUUAGCAAUUUUUUAAAAUACUUUCUACCCAAAUUUCCAAGAUAAGCUAAAAUAUAACAUUGAUAACAUAUGGUUAAAUAAACAAUAAGCAAAAAAUGCAAACUACCCAAAAAAUUGAGGAAAAUAAAACUUGUAAUAUAUUAAGAUUAAUUUUGAACAAUAGCUUAAAAAAAAUCUCAAUUUCUCAAUAUCAAGAUUAUAUGUCAAAAAUGAUAAGUAAAAAUAGAAUUACAAUUAGGAAAUUAGUGAUAAGUAAAAGCGAACAGUAGGAGUAACACUGAAAACACAUCAAAAAUAUAUACUUUCUCGAUUGUAUUUUAUGAGGCAUAUUUUGAUCGGGCACAAAGUUUAAGAAGGAAUGACAAUUGUCCUUUAUUAAAAAAUAUACUACUACUAUCUUUAAUUAAAUGAGACUAAUAAGGAUAAAAGUAAAAUUGUAUCUUUAAAUAGUUACCAAAUAAGGAAAUAUGACAUUCUUUUUAGAGUGGACAAAAAAAAAAUGACGACAUAUAAAAUGGGGCAGAGGAAGUAUGUUAAUACUAAAAGGGCAGCUUGAUGUGGCAGUGGAAGUAUGUUAAUACUAAAAGGGCAGCUCGGUGUACGAAAGGGCUGGACUACAAGAAUUUUAUUGUGCGCAACAUUAUCUUGCAUUUCUGACAGAGGCUGUUUCUAUGACUUGAACUCGUAACUUCCUAAUCACAUGACAAUAAUUUUAUCAGUUACUCUAAAACUCCCCUUCAUUUUUUUUCGAUUUGAUAAAAAUAUUAAGAUAAGCAAAAUAUAAAAGAUACGCAUAUAAUUCUUUUUGCAAACCCACUUACAUGGAGUAAUAAAAACUUAUAAGCCAUCAAAAAUGAUAUAUGCAUGGGAUUUCCCGUUUGGUUAAAGUUUUAAUAGGUUAAUUUCAUGUAUAAUUGUAGACUUUUACUCAUUAAUGACAAAAUUAUUGAACUUUACCUCUUUAAUAAAGUAGUAGAUUUAAUGGCAUUAAAAAUCAUUAAUGAGUUUUUAUUAUGUAUUUAUAUAUAUUGAGUACAAGAAGUGAUAGACAUAUCUCAAACUAAAUCAAUUAAUUAGAAAAACAAUUUCUAUUCCAAUGGAGAAGUUCCUCCAUGUUCACCUUUUGAUUUCAAUUAUUUUCUCAAUUUUUGCUUGUAAUUUUAUGCAAUGCACAUUACUUUUCAUCCCUUAACACCACUUAUAUUAUGGAAUAUGUCAACUGAUCCAACGAAGCUUCCCGAUCCUCCGAUGCCAUCCUAUACACUCACCAUUUACAAUCUCUAUUUAUUUGAAAAGUCAAAAUUCAAGGACUAUGACUCGUUACUCGGAAAUAGGUUUGCCAGUUGUCAAGCUAGAGGAAAUCAUUUGGCAUCGGUUCUUGAAAAUGGUGAUGCGAUUAGUUCGAAUGGAACUCUGGUAAGGCCACACGAUGAGCAUGAGCGUAAAGUCUCCAAUGAAAAGGUUCCGGUAACAACAAGUACACAUUUCAUAUGUCAAUAUGUUGCAUCUUUUACUCUCUUUUUUUUGUUUCCCAUUCGGCAUCCGGUGCCCGCAUUGGAGCCCCAACUAAUCCGGAUCACACGUAGCAGGGCCCAUUAAAGUGGCAGCGCUCCCAAUAGAAUUUUCUCCAUACCCAGGGUCGAACCCUGGACCUUUGGUUAAGGGUGGAGCAGCCUCAUCCAUUGCACCACAACCCAUAUUGGUGCAUCUUUUACUCACUGAACAAGUUAAAAGUUACUUGCUAAUAGACACUAGUAGUGAUUUAGUUUGGUGGCAAUGUGGAGCAUGUAAUGCAAAUGGAUGUUACAAACAGAUAAAUAAUCCUUUAUAUGUUUCAACUAAUUCAAAAACAUAUCGAAAACUCGAUUGCCUUGUAGAAAGUAGAAACUGUGAAAUCACGAAUAAGGAAUAUAAUUGUAGUCCGUAUGGUUCCAAUAUGAAAAAACAUAGCUUCCACACAACGCCAUUUAAGAAAACAACAUCAGCAACGCUAUUACAAGAUUUCAGAUUCCCUUCCGCUUACUUCGUCAACAUUUAUAAAGUUUUUAUUAACAAUACGGAAGUCCCAAUGUUCCCAUCAUUGUCUAGUAAUUUCAAAAAUUAGGCCACGAGCAGUAGGUACAUCGCGGAAACAGAAACAUUUAUUACUCAUUUUCCUCAUGAUUUUUAUAUUGUAUUUCGUUACACAUUCAGAUAACAAGUACGUGGUAUUCCUAUGGUUAAUGUUCCACCUAGAUCAGCUUAUGACACUUGCUAUAAAGUGGAUACUGCUGGUCUGGAUCCACAUUUCCCCAUUAUGACCAACCAAAUGGCCCCUCCGACCCCAACAAACCAUGCUUCCCUUUGCCUCAGCCUACCUGAGAGCACUAGGUCCAUUUUCUGCCCAAAACAUACUCGGUCACUGGGCCCACCUCCAGAACCAUGAGCUAUAGUACACUGAUUUAGCCCAAGAAUGGCCUAUUAGCAUCAUUUCACUUGUUUGACCACCCAAAUAGCCCACCCAACCCCAUCGACCCAUACUAUCCCACUUUUAAGCCUGCCUUGGUGCCUCUGGUCGAUUUGCAGACCAAAACACGAUCAAGCCCCAAGCCAACCCCUAAAAUCGUGAGUUAUAGCAUGUCUAUUUGGCCCCAAAAAUAGCAUGUUAUUGACGUUUUGCCUGUUUGACCACCCAAAUGGCCCCGUCGACCCAAACGACUCACUUUCCAGUUCAUUAGUCUACUUGGAAGCCUUGAUCAAUUUUCGACCCAAAACAUGCUCGAACCCCGAGCCCACCCAGAACUGUGAGCUAUAGGACACCAAUUAUUCCUAUAAAUCACCCAUUUGCAUUAAUAUUCCUGUUUGACCACCCAAACAGCCCCGUCGACCCCUGUAACCCAUACAUCUCUACUUUUCAGCCUACCUGAGAGCCCCCAGUUGAUUUUUGACCAAAAACAUGCCUAGGACCACCCCAAAAUCAUGAGCUAUAGCUCACCAAUAUGGCCCAAAAAUGGCCCAUUUGCACCGUUUUGCUGGUUUCACCAAACAAAUGGUCCUUGCGACCACAACAACCCAUAAUUCCCCGCUCCUCAUCCUACUGGGAGCCCUCAAUCGAUUUUUAACCCAAAACACAUUUGGGCUCUGGGCCAACCCCUGGAAUUGUGAGCUAUAAUACACUGAUUUGGCCCAAAAAUAGCCCGUUCGCAUUAUUUUGCCUGUUUAAUAACCCAAAUAGCCCUGCCGACACCAAUGACCCACACUCCCCGCUUUUCAGCCAACCUGGGAGCCACGAUCAAUUUUUAGUCAAAAACACACAUGGGCUUUAGGCACACCCUCUGAACCGAGAGCUAUAGCACCCCAAUUUUGCCAAAAAUAGCUCAUUCACCCCGUUUCAUCCAUUUGAUCACACAAAUGGCCUAUCGCCACCCAAAGGCCCACACUCUUCCUCUUAUUAUCUAGCCUAGGAUCCUCUGGUCUAUCCUUUGGUCUAUUUUCAGCCUAAAACAUGGCUAUGCCCUAGGCCCACACCCGAAAUCGUAAACUAUAACACACCAAUUUGACCAAAAAAUGGUCCGUUCAUGCCAUUUCACCUGUUUGACCAUCCAAACGGCCCCACUGUCCCUAACGACCUAUACUCCCCCCACUCCUGAGCCUGCUUGGGAGCCUCCGAUCAAUUUUUAGACUAAAACAUACCUGAGCCCCAGGCCCACCCCCGGAACCAUGAGUAAUAGCAUAACGAUUUGGCCUGAAAAUAGCACGUUCACGCCGUAUCGCCCGUUUGACCACCGAAAUGGCCUCAGGGAAUUUUGGACAAAACAUGGUUGGGACUCGUGUGGGACCAUCAGAACCGUGAGCUAUAUCACAUCGAUUUGGCCCAAAAAAGGCCCGUUCAUAUAGUUUUGCCUAUUUGACCACCUAAACAGCCCCACUGACCCCAACAGCCUACACUCCAUCACUUGUUAGCCUGCUUGGGAGCCCCCGAUUGAUUUUUGGGCUAAACACACCUGGUCCCCAAUCACAUCCCAGAACCGUGAGCUGUAGCACACCGAUUAGGCCCAAAAAAUGGCCCGUUGGCUCAAUUUCACUUGUUUGAUCACCCAAACGGCCCCAUCGACCCAAACAACCCUGACUCCCUAGCUCCUCAACCCGCUUGGGUGCCCCUGAUUUAUAUUUAGCCAAAAAUAUAUGACCAAACCCUAGCCCACUCUCAAAAUCAUGAGGUAUAGCAUACCAAUUUAGCCUAAAAAUGGCCUAUUUAUGUCGAUUCACCCUUUUGACCCUCCAAACGGCCCCAUCGACCCUAACCACCCACACUCCUCUGCUCCUCAGCCUGCCCGAGAGCCCCCGAUCGAUUUUUGACCCAAACUACACCCGGUACCUUGACUCACCUUCAAAAUCGUGGGCUAUACAACACCAAUUUUGCUCAGAAAUGGUCCAUUCGUGCCCUUUUGCCUGUUUGACCAACCAAAUAGCCCUACCGACCACCGCCGACCCCAACGACCCAUACACUCGUAUUCUACAGCAUGCCUAGGAGCCUCCAGUAAAUAUUUAGCCUAAAACAUUCUUGGGCACCGAGUUCACCUCCAAAAUCGUGAGCUAUAGAAAACCAAUUUGGCUAGAAAAUGGUUCAUUCAUGUUGUUUCACUCGUUUUACCACUCAAAUGGCCCCGUCGACCCCCACGACCCAUAGUUCCCCGCUCCUCAUCCUGAUUAGGAACCCCGAUCAAUUUUUUUCCCAAAACACGCCCGAUCCCUAGGUCCACUCCCAAAACUAUGAGCUAUAACACACCAAUUUGGCCUAAAAAUGCUUCAUUUGCGCCAUUCAGCCCAUUUGACCACUCAAAUAGCCCUGUCAAACCCAAUGACCCAUAUUAUCCCGCUCUUCUUCCUGUCUGGGAAUACCCAAGCAAUUGUUGACCCAAAACAGGCUCGAUCCCCAAGCCCAUCCUCAAAACCGUGAGCUAUAGCUCACCGAUUUAGCCAGAAAAUUACCCAUUGGUGCCAUUUCGCCUGUUUGACCACCCAAAAAGCCCUAUCGACCCCAACAGACCACACUUUCUCACUUCUCAUCCUGUCUAGGAACCCUCUCCUUAUUUUCAAUCUAAAACACGUAUGGGCCUUGGGCCUACCCUAAGAAUUAUGUGCUAUAACACACUGAUUUAGCUUGAAAAUAGUUUGUUCGAAUCAUUUAGCCCAUUUGACCACCCAAAUGGCCCCAUCAACCCCAACGACCCACUCUCUCCCAUUUCUGAGCCUGCCUAGGAGCUGUCAAUUGAUUUUCAGUCCAAAACAUUUUUGGGUCCCAAGCCUACCCUGAAAACCGUAAGCUAUAACACACUAAUUUGGCCUAAAAAUGGUUUAUUUGCAUCGUUUCAUCUCAUCUGACCACCCAAACGGAACCGUCGACCCAAAAGGUCCACACUUCCUCGCUCUUCAGCCUUCCUGGGAGCCCCCAGACCAUUUUUGGCCCAAAACACGCUCGAACCCUGGGCCUACCUCCAAAACCAUGACUUAUAGCACGCCGAUGCACUAGGAUUUCGUUAUGUGUUCUGUCCUGCUCAUAUUUCUUAGAUCCACCUCUACCCCACCUAAAACCAUCCAUAACCAGUAUUUCACACCUCCGCACUAAAGAAUUAGAUCCCUUCUUCAUCACGUGGCCGAACCAAGGUAACCAUAUAUUUUGCAUCUUAUUCUCUACCGAAGCAACUCUCACCUUCUCUCGAAUAAUUUCAUUCCUCACCUUAUCUUUCCUAGUAUGUCCACACAUCCAUCACAGUAUUCUUAUCUCGGCCAUCUUUAAUUUUUAGAUGUGGGAGUUCUUAACUGGCCAACACACCACUACAUACAAAUAGCCGGUCGGACUACCACUCCGUAGAACUUACCUUUAAGUUUCGAGAGCACCUUCUAAUCAUAUAGAACUCCCGAAGCAAGCCUUCAUUUCAACCACCCUUCCCCAAUAUGAUGCAUUACAUCCUCGUUAAUCUCACCAUUCCCCUGAAUGAACCUGACUCUGAUACCAUGUCGAAGUGUAUGACCAUCUCAUCUAAAAGUUUAACUAUUAGAGAGAGUACACUUUUUCUAUUUAAUUAUAUUUUCAAUAGUUACUUAAUAUGCUAUUUUGUCAUUGAACAAAUGAACUUUACGUGGCAUUGCAAACUGAAGAAAGACACAAUUUUUCUUUCAAACAGUUCAAGAAAGAAUCUUUUUUCCUUUUGAAACAAAGAAAUAGAGCCACAUUUAUUGGCUUGUUUUGUCCCUACAGUUGAACUAAGAGCACUUUGAGUGGAGGUUUUUUCUAUUAUUAAGGAUGUCCAAUUUUGGAAAAGUACUACUUUAGUUUAUAAAAGAAUGGUAGACGAAACAAUAUAUUAAUUUUAUAGAUUAUAUUAACUCCUAAGUAGCUACCAAACCUGGAAUUACUUAUGUAGGAUCCCUACAUUACUCGUUGCUAAGCCAGCUACCAAAUGACCCCUUAAUACCUUAUUUCUUUGUUCAUUGAGAAGACAGAAACCAAUGCAAGCAUAAUUCAAUUUAUGUGUAUAAUAUGUUCAGAACCACGGUGCAGAAUAAAUACUUUACAUAAAUACAAAACUUCCUAAAUGAGUUGACCCAAUUGAUAUAAACGGUUUGAUUCACUCAGCUCCUGAUUCAUCAAUUGAUGACUACCGUAUUUUUUCAUGAGAUCUGGCAGGUAGUUUUUUUUUAUAACCAAAUUUUUUUAAUAGCAAAAAAAAAAUGUACCACUAAUGCCUCUGCAGCAACAAAUCUUCUAAAGCAACUAGUAAAAGUUGAGAGACUCUCUUCUCAGCUAUAGAUUUUGGUGAAUCUCUUCUUGAAAUUGAUGAAAAUUAUUCACCAUUAUUUUGACCUGUUUUGUUAUUUUUCUCAUUUUCAGUUCCCUUANNNNNNNNNNNNNNNNNNNNNNUUUCCCUAGCAAUUUAAGUGGUUGAUCUAAGAAUACAGCAACAUUUUCAGGUGCAUCUUGUGGUGGAAGCUCACCAGUGUCGGCAUUUGCAGGCAACUUGGAAUAUCUAGUUAAGGAUGGACCAACUUCCUUCAAAAUAAACAAGAUUCAAGAUGGGUCAUUUUGACAGACCCUUUUUCCCUAUCUAUGUGCAACGAACAUAUUGAUAAUAGUAGGUAUCAUAAUCUAGGUCCAACUACUAGGUUAGAUAGUAACUCAAGAAUCUUUUAUCAACUCCCCUUUCUUAAGAACCCCAAAAAAUAAAUAACACUCGAACAAAAAAAGUAAACUCAGACACAACAAAUCUUGAUUGUAUGAGAGGUUAUACAAAGUGGGGUUUGUAUAUAUACUCAAAUUUAGGACCAAAAUUUGGAAAAAAAAUUGAUUAACAUGAAUAAAUACUUCAAAUUGUAAUCUCCACUUGGAUUCACUCACAUUUAUUGCAUUUUUCUCAAAUUUAGGGUUUAAAAUCCUUACAUUUUUUCAAGGUGUUUGUGCUUUUCUCAGUUAUUGUUACUUGAAUAAUUAUGUUAUUUUGGCCUUGAACUAAUAAACUCUAUAUGGCAUAAUAAACUGAAGAAUUACACAAAAGUUUUGUUUCAAAUAGUUCAAGAAAGAAUGUUUUGUCUUUUUGAAACAAAGAAAUAGAGCCACAUUUCUUGGACUGAUUUGUUCACUCAUAGUGCUCUUGGUUUUCAUAGAGAUUUCCAAUUCAUCCUAGACAAUUUCAACACUAAGUUGGCUGGAUGGAAAACCAAAUUCCUCAAUAUGGCUGGCAGAAUCACCCUUACCAAGUCCUCCCUUACUAGUAUUCCUACUCAUGUCAUGUAAUUCAUCUCUAAAAUCCACUAAUUGAUUGACAGAACCCAAAAGAAAUUUUUCUGGGGCACCACCCCUGAUAAUAACAAAAUGUAUCUAAUCAAUUGGGAAACCUUGACUAAUGCUAAAGCUAAUGGGGGCCUGGGCCUCCAGAAAGCUUCCAUUAGGAACACUGCUAUGUUAUCCACUCUAGCCUAGAGACUUUAUAAGCAUCCCAAUAGUCUCUGGGCAAAAAUUCUUUAAAAUAAAUUAUCCCCCAUGGCAUAUCCGUAAAAGCCAACAACUUUAGAACUUGGAAAGGUGUCCUUGUGUGUUGGGAAAUUUGUAAAACUGCCUCCUCUUGGAACAUCCAUAGGGAUGACUAGAUCAACUUCUGGAAGGACAGAUACUCACUGUGAACUCCUUUUUUCCAUCAUCCAAGCCCUUAUUUCUUAUCAUUCCCAAGACAUUAAACUCUCUAGGGUCUAGAGGAAUGGCUCCUGAACUUGAAGGAUCUUUCAGUUGAAAUCCCUGAGGAUCUCAUCCAAACUUUCACCAAAUAUAUUUUCCCCAAUCCCAGAGCCCAUACUGAUGAGCUCAUUCGGAAUCUCUUUGGUAAUUGUCUGAUCUCCAGCAGAAGUGCUUAUAAUCAUAUAGCCAAAACCUCUAAGAUCAAUUACUCCUCUAAUUAUAACUUACAUUGAAGGCUAAAUCCCCUAAAAAGUCAAGACCUUUCUUUGGCUAAGCCAGCAUGAUAGGUUCCCCAAUAACCUCAACCUCUCCAAGAGAGAAGUGAGACAAAAUACUAGUUGUGCUAUCUGCAAUCAUCACCAGGAAGACAAAUCCCACAUUUUCUUUAAGUGUCCCAUCCUCAAAGAUUUUGGAGUGCAAACUAUCCACAAGAUGACCCAGUCCAAAUAACCUCCUAUUACCAGUCUCUACCCUCUUACUGGCACACUAUCUGGAGAUCUCUUGAACAUUCCCAAUUCAAUAGACUAAUCCACUAGCAUUACUUCAUUCCUUUCAGCCUCUAGACAUUAUGGGACACCAGGAACUUAAUACCUUGAAUAAAAAAAAAGGAUCAUCCCAAUUUUAACCAUGCUUACUCCCAAACUGUUGAGUAUAAACAUCUUUCGCAAAAGAAUACCCCAAUCAAGCAAAACCAAAUCAUCAAUGUUAGGUGAAAUCCUCCCACCUUCCACACCUUUAAGCUCAACACUGAUAAUUCUUGCCUUUGAAACCUCGGGAAGGGUGGAAUAGGAGGGGUAGUCAGAUCCAUUGAAGGAGGCUGAGUGUUAGAUUUUAACAAAAACUUUCACCGGACUAACAACAACAUGAUGGAACUUAUGGCUCUCAUUGAAGGAUUAAUACUGGUAGACCAAAACAAUCUUCCCCCCAUUGAAAUUAACAUUGAUUCCAUAGAAGUUAUAUCUAUGUUAACUAACGGGAACCUCCACUAUGAUACUUUGAUUUUGGAACGCAGGUCAAAAUUAAAAAGGCUAAGGAAUCCGGAAGUCAAGCACUGCUAUAGAGAAAAAAAUGGAGUGGCGGAUGCUUUAGAAAAAGAUGGAGCAAGGGCAAGCGGGUUUCAGGAGACUACCCUUUUUGAAGUUCCACCGAUAUGUGCAAAAGAUGCAAUUUGAGCAGACAACUCAGAAACUUUUUGAGAGAACAAUUAGCUCUUGUACUAAUGAUUUUAACUGGCCAGGCCAGAACUAUUGCUUUUUGAACCCUGACUAAUCGUCAAAAAUUGAAACUUAAACUGCGUUCUCUUUUAUAUUAAUGCAUGUCCUUUCUACCAAAAAAUAAUAAUAUUAUUUCGCAUAUUGAAUCAUCGAAAAAAAAGAGAUAUUUAUAUCAAUUUAAAUUGAUGGACCUUGAACAUUCACAAAGAAAGAUAAGUUGAAAAUGUUAUAUCAUUCCUGCAUAUCAAAAGAAUGUUAUCAAAUCAAGAAUAAUUUUUUUAAAUGAAAAAUUAAAAAAUGCAGUAAAUAAAUUCACGAAUAAAGCAAAUGAUAGAGAAGUAUAUGUAAGAAAGGCUAAGUAAUAGAAUUUCAUUUACAUUCAGAUUUCAUUUAAAUACAAAUUCAAAUAUCACAUAUGUUUAUUAAAAUAAGAUUAGUUUAUUAUUCUUUCUUAUCCUUAUCCUUGCAUUUUGCAAAUACAAUAUAUAUUUAAAAUUAAUAUAGAUUUGAGUUGAGAUAAAUAUUGAAAUCAAUGAGACAAUACUAAUACUUAUACUAAUAUUAAUACUAAUAACAUUUUAACUAUUUUUACUUUACCACUAUUAGAUUGCACUACUAUUACUAUUACUAUUACUAUUAUUAUUUGUUCAUUGUUUUUUCAGAUAAAUAUUAAGAUAAAUCGUGUAGCAAAAAAAAAAUUGGGUGCCAUGAUUACUAAUUAAGUACAUCUAAAUUAUAAGUUUAUCUUUGAAUGUAUGUUUUAUCUCCAAUUUAAAUUCAAAAAAAAAUUGAUAGAAUAACCAAUAUCUUAGAUGAGUGGUUAAAACCGUCAAUAUAGGUCAGGCUCGUUGGGAUGGCCCGACCCAGCCUGUUAUUUGAUAAGGCUGGGCUACAAUUUUUAUAUCCCAUUUAAGAAUAGGGCUUUUUAGCCCAUCAUGAAUAAGUCUAUUGACCCGUCGGCUUGAGCAAUAUGGGUUUGGGUGACCCGUGGGUCAAAUUAAAAAAAUUAAAAAAUAAAAUAUAAUACUAAAAAUAAAAAAAGGAGUCCAAACUCAAAGUCUAUAUGAACCAUCAUAUAUAUAUUUAAAUACUAAUUAUAUUUAUUAAUCAUAUAAAUAACUAAUAUAUAAAAUAUACUUUUUUUAAGAAAUCAAAUAUGUUUGAUGAAGAUGACGUGGCGAUGUUUAAUACACCAUAAAUGCCAUAAGAGUUUUCUUUAAAACAUUUAUUUUAUUUUUAAUGGACUAAACAUUGACAUUUCUUUGUGUUUUAUUGUGAUCAAUUAAAACAAAAUUAGGUUAAUAUUGUUAUUUAGCGAGUUAUAUUAUUACUCAUUAAUUAUUUUAUUUCUUUUUCAAUAUCUCUAUUUGAUUUUAAUUUGGUGUCAAAAGUUAUUUAAUUUCACAGAUUAUUAGGUUCUUUUUGUAAAUUUGAGACUUAUUUAAUGAGUAGUAACUUCAAGCAAUAUUAUAUUGUAAAUAUUUAUGCAAUUAAUAUUUUAAAAUUUAAAUUAAGAUUAUAAAAAUAAUAUAUUUUAAAAAAUGGGCUGGCCCAUGGAGGCCCACAACCCAUAGUGUGACGGGUUGGGCUUGCUAUUUUCUAGUCUUUCAUGUUGAUGGGUCAGCCUAGCUGGGCCCGUUAAACUCUACAGCCCGGAUGAGCCGGUCUGAUCCAUAUUAACAACUCUAGGAGCAGUUAUACAACGAUAAGAAUCCAAUUAGAACUGUUUAGUAUUAUAACUAUCUACUUAUAAUAUAUAAUUUUAUAUUUUUUGUAAUAUUAUUUUAAAUUUAAAAUCAACAAUUUAUUUGUAACCCCCCCAAGAUCCCAUCCCGAGACAUCACACAGUGCUUAAGGACAAACGCGGCCUCAGGCUAACCCUCUAAACUUGUCAUCACUUCUAGAACUCACUUUGACAAUAGUCAUGAUAAUAUAAGAGAGAAUGACAUAUCAUAAAUAUACUAGAAUAAGAUACGAAACUAGCAUGCACAAUCCAAAAUACUGAAAUUCUAUACAUACCAACCCUUUGGCCUGACAAAGCCUCUAUACAUCAAAAUCAAGGAGACAUUUGGAUACACCUCCAAUUGACUCAAACAGUACUGAAAGCCAUAAUAACAAAACAGGAUCACAAAAUUAUAAACACGAUCCUCAAACUACGAGGACUCACCGCUGAGCAGACGAAAAGAGGCACCCUAAAAUCGCUAACGCAGCUGAGUACCUGAACCUACAUUAUGAGAAAAUGUAGCCCUUAGAAAAAUAAGUGGGUCAGCAUUUUGAAAUCUAGGGUGCAUGCAACAAUGUCAAUAUCGUCAUCAAUUUCAUGAGAAUAUGCAUAUGUAGAAUGAUCACUCACUUGGCCUGAGUUAGAUUGAAACAUACUUUUCAUGAUCUCAUCAUAAAUAAAUCAUAUGAUAAAAACCUCAUAAAUCAUCAUAAAAAAUUCAACUCUUCAACUCAAGACUCGGAGUGACUCUGUAAUUCAAGAAACUCGACUCUUAUGGACUUGGCUCGCAUAUCAGCUUCGUCUUCCCAAGUAGCACUCUCAAUACUUUGAUUUUUCCAAAUCACUUUAACUAAAGGAACUUUUUUUAUCCUUAGCCGAUGGAUCUAAAAAUCCAAAAUCUUAACCGGAAUCUCCUUGAAUGAAAGGCUAUCCUGAAUAUCUAAGCUUUCGGAAGAAUCAACCACAACAGAAUCACCAAUACACUUUUUAAGCAUAGAAACAUGAAAUACCGGAUGAACGCUAGAAAACUCUACGGGUAAAUCAACCUCAUAACCUACUUUCCCAACAUGGCUCAGAACCCUGUAUGGACCAACAUAACGGGGACUAAGAUUUCCCUUCUUCCCAAAUCUCUUCACCCUUUUCAUGGGUGAAACCUUUAAAUACAACAAAUCAUUAACAUUACACUCAAGAUCUUUUCUUCUCACAUCCGCAUACGACUUCUGAAAACUUUGAGCGGUUUUCAAUCUUUCUCAAAUCAACUUAACCUUUUCCAUAGCCUCUACCACAGCAUUCGGCUGAAUCACAGCUGCUUCUCCUACUUCAAACCAACCUAUGGGCGAUAUACAUCUUCUCCCAAACAAAGCUUCGAACGGAGCCAUCUGAAUACUAAUAUGGAAACUAUUAUUAUAAGAAAAUUCAAUCAAUGGCAAGUGCUCAUCCCAACUACCUUUGAAAUCAAGCGCACAUGCCUUCAACAUGUCCUCCAAAGUUUGAACAGUCCUCUUAGCCUGACCAUCAGUCUACGGAUGGAAAGCAGCACUUAGACAAAUUUGGGUACUGAGACCCUUCUAAAAAGCCCUCUAAAACUGGGAAGUAAAUUGAGUACCCCUAUCAGAGAUGAUAGCCAAAGGAACUCCAUGCAAUCUGAAUAACUCACGAAUAUACAAUCUAGCAUAAUCCUCAGCUGUAUAAGACGAAUGCACUGGCAAAAAAUGAGCUGAUUUAGUCAACCGGUCUACGAAAAUCCAAAUCGAAUCAUGAUGACGAAAAAAAGGAGGCAAACUAAUUAGAAAAUCCAUAUUCACUUCUUCCCAUUUCCAAGUAGGAAUGCCAAACUCUUUCAUUACACCACCGGGCCUCUGGUACUCUACCUUAACUUGUUGACAAGUAGAAAACUUUGCCAAAAAUCCUUCUAUGUCUUUUUUCAUAUCGUUCCACCAAUAUAUUUCCUGCAAAUUGCGGUACAUCUUGGUAGCACCGGGAUGAAUAGAAUAGCGUGCACGAUGUGCUUUAUUGACACCUAAUUUUUGCCCUCCACAACUAAAUUUAAUCCUGAGUUUCUUCGAUUCUUAAAAAAAUCAGAAUAUUUAUUUCAUUCAAAUAAAGAAUUUUCAAAAAUAUAUUUGUACGUAAUUUUGUCAUCUUAGGUAGCAAUUAUAUAUUAACGUGUUCAAAUAUAUGAUAUUAUAUGAUUUGAUUACUUACAUAUUUACUCUAUGAAAUAUCAGAUUUCAAUUAAGGAUGAUUUCAAAAAAUAAUAAUUAAAAUCUUGAUCUAAAUAUAAUUUAUUCUCAAAAAUAAUUUAUUUGGAUAAAUAUGCAUUUGAUUUUAUUAAUUCAAGAAGCUCAGGAUUAAACAAGGUGUUAAUUCGUAUCGAAUUUUUAUUUAAUUUAGUCAAUUUAUUAAAUUAAAUCUUAAUUGAAAUUAAUUUAACCAUAAUUGCAAUGUAAUUGAUCAAUUUAAUUCAAAUUAGGCUAAAAUUUAAAAAUGAUUGUCUAAAUUUUCAUCCAUUGGCUAUUUGAUAAAUAGCGUAAAUCUCUACAUUAUUAAAUCCUAAUUCUACCCAACAAUAUUCAGAUCCCCCCAGCCCAGUUCCUUUUCAUAUUAACAGGCCCAAAAUCCCUGACCUGGCGCACCAUCAACAAAUCCCCCUUUCUCCCUUAAUCAGCAAGAACUAGUCCCCAACGUAAAAAAACAAUAGAAAAUGGAGUACAACUCCAGGAACUCGAACAACAAUGACAAGCCUGAUUCAGUGAAUCCACCAUUGAACCAACCCAAAAUCAAUCCUAAACCGUUCUUUUUCCCUAUUUCACGCGUCUCACGCAGCAGUAGGAUAAGGAAAAUACUUGAACCUUCUAGAAAACGGGCUAGGUGUCAUCUCCAAUGAUUUAAUCCCACAAAUUUUGGGAUAACUCGUAUGAUCUCAUAUAAUAUUUGGCUAAUUUCCAUAGGUUUUGGGGAAGAAUUUGUUUUCCCUAAAUCUCAUUGGUGCAACAAUUUCAAUAUUGGUACAAUCAAUAGAUGAAACCCUAAGCGGUGAGAGGAUUUUCGAAUUUCAAAAUUUAAAAAUAUCCUUCUUUUAAAUCCCCAAAAGACCCCUAAUUCGAGGGAUAUAAAAAGACCUUUGGGUCACUAUUCCGGGGGAUUUUUCGUUUCUUCUCUCCUCUUUUUUCCCUUAGGAGUUGGAAAUUUUAGAAUCCUUAGUUUUUUCUUGUUUAGAGAAAUUUUGGGUUCAAAAAAAGGGGGAAAUACUUAGGUUGGAAAAUUUUAGGUUACGGUUGAGGUUAACUUUCCCUUCUGAGGUGGAAAUAUUAAGGGAGAAAGCUAGGUUGGAACAUUUUUCUGAGAAAAAUUUAUGAUUCGGAAAAACUGAGAUAGAGGGAAGAAAGAAAAAGAAAAGAUUUCCGAAGAGAGAUUAAAUCUUUGAAGUUUUCCGGUGGUCGUGAUCCCCAUAUCAGUUCGUCGUCUUGUUUUGCUGUAGAGGUCUUCAAGACCACAGGUAUCCAUUUUAGUGAAAGGCAACAUUUCUUUGUAGUGCUACGUUGCGAUGAAUUCCUAUUGUGAUUGUAUGACAUGUGGUUUUCAUCAUCUUUAGAUCCCAAUUUCUUGAUUGCUCAUCUACUCCCAGCAUUACUGAUUAAGUUAUGUCCUAAUGUAUCAUGUUGUGGACUGUCUAUGAUUUGAAGUAGUUGAAGAUCAUAUUUUGAUUCUCACUUAACAAUUUUCAUCCUCUUGUUGCCUUGAUUCGUAGUUGUAGUUUUAUAAUCUUAAGUGCUGAGUGUAGCACGUCGGGAGGCUAUGAAAGCCCAAAGUUUCAUAUGAUAAACUAUGAGCUUUCAAACUUUGUUGUUGUUUCUGCAUUUAGGACACAUUGAUUUUUAGAGUUUCUAAUUUCGUUAUAAUUCAUCUGGGAGCAUUUGCAUUUGUUCAUAAAAUGUUUUUGAUGAAAGUUUUCUUUGAAUUCGACUUUCGUGAAUGUCGUAUUAUUUAAAUGAUGAGCUUCUAGCCUAAGGAUUGUUGCUAAUAUCCUGUUCUAAAAAAAAAGAAGGGUUACUGAGUCACUUUAUUCCUGUAAACGAUUGAAUAAAAGUGUUGUGUUUCUUUUCUGUUAAAAAGGAUGAUAGGGUCAAAGGGUUUUGCAUUCUCUUUUGGAGUUGCUAUUAGGAGCCUCCUUUGUGACCUUUAUUUAUAAAGGUUAAAUAAAAAGAAGUCUAUUCUAUUUAUAGUAUAUUCUCUCAUUUCACCUGCUUUGAUCUGAGUUUAACACAUACACUUGUAGUUAUUAGUUGAAAAUUGUUUCAAAAAAAAAUAUCUUUUCUUGCGUCGUUACUAACUCGUAUGAGCUUGAAUAUCUCCUUUAUGAAACUUUUAGGAUCUUGUUCGUUUGUCUAUUAAAUACAUCUCUUCCCGCAUCAUCUUAUUAAUGUUGGGUAAAAAAAAUGGUUUUAGUCGUAUUGCUUCUCCCCUCUUUCCUAUUUACUUCAGUACCUAAGGUUAAGAGUUUUUGAUCCGUUUGAAUAUCGAAUAGUUUCCACGUUUUAUUUAAAUCCAUCCUUUCUUUUUCGAAUUAUCAUUUACUAAAAAAUUUUUGAUAGGAUAAAAGUUGUUUGCAGUUGUAUGUGUGGUGACAUGCCUAAUAAUGUGCUUACUCUAUCGGAACAUGUUGUUAUUUCUUCUCCCAAAGGUAGGUCUAGUAAAUUUGGGAGAUAUUCUAUUUUAGUUGCUUCCUGAUUCUUCCCAACUCUUUGUUGUUAUCUUGACUUUUAGUAAUAGCCAUCUAUACCUAAAAGGGCUAGAGAACAUUAAUCACCAAAAGAAAAAUAUAUAUAUAAUAAUAAUAAUGAUUAACUCCUGCGCACAUCAAAUUCCGAAUGGAUUCUUUCCCAUUGCAUCUCUUAAUGGGCCAUUGAGGCCCUCCAUGCCUAUCAGGUCAAGCAAUUACAAGGCGUACGGAUACGAGAAGUCAAAAGAAGAGAGAAGAUGGGUUAAAGCCCCAUCUUUGAAGUGGCAAAGAGACUCAAAAGUCUCAUUUAUUAGUUUAUUUAUUUACUUAUAGAUUUUAUUCACUUUAUUCAUUUAUUUAUUUAUUUGGGCCACGAAGCCAAAGUUGUACUGAAUACAAGUGGAGUGAUACUCGAGCCAACGACUCAAAAACUAGAUUAGGAUAGGUGAAAUGGGUCGAAAACCCAAUUAGACUAGGACAUGUCUUAUUGAUUUGGGCCCAGUGGCCUAAAUCCCUGACUUUCUCCCCUUCCCCUUUUUUUUUACGUUUCUUUACCUUAUGUGUUUUGGUAACCUAGUUAAAUCCUUAGUCAAGUCGCUAAAAAGUUGGUUCUGCAUAAACACCAAAAUCUUUUUCUAAAAUUUCCUUCUUUUCAAAACUAAACCUUUUUCUAGAGUUAGUCAAAGACGAUUUCCAAACAGUCCGGAUAGCCGCAUGUUAGUGGACCUUUUAGGUACCUAACACCUUCCUAAAAUGUUAAUAAGAACCGCUUACUCAGAAUGUCAUAACUUAAACAAUUUUCCUGUUUUAGAUCGUUUGAAGUAACUCUAUAAAGGUUUCUUAAUUCCUUUUCAAAAUUAAGUGGCGACUCUCUUUCAAAAGUCAAAAUUUCCGCAAAACAGAAAUGGCGACACUGCUGGGGACUUUUCGAACUAGGUUCUAACCAAAUGUUUGAUUUCAUAUUUUGAUUAACUAUUUAUGUAUUUAUAUGUUUUGAUUUUGUAAGUAUUAACUAUCGCAUCUCAUGGCAUAUCCCUGCAUUAUUUAAACUGUUUUGGGGUUUCGUGGAUGUCUAACUUUUUAUGAGGUCCUGUCUAACUUUUUAUGAGGGACUCUAUCAAGAAUAUAACAUGCAGAUAAGACAACUUCACCCUCAUAUAGUCAGGUAGACCCGAGCUUAAAAGCAUAAAAUUCAUCAUUUUCUUAAGUGUUCUAUUCUUUCGUUUGGCUAACACCAUUUUGUUAGGGUGUAUAGGGAGCACAAAACUCAUGGAUAAUACCUUUUUUCUCACAAAAAUAUUCUAGAUUUUUAGUACCAUAGAGGUAGACCGAAGAAAUAUUGGAGGGAGGUGUUAGGCUUGAUAUGGAACUAUUACAGCUUACAGAGGACAUGACCCUUGAUACAAAGGUGUGGAUAACACGGAUUAGGGUAGAGAGUUAUGGGUUGGGAGCGCGGAGGUAGUAAUAGGGGAGUGUCUGGUUCGUAGUGUUGUGGUUGUAGUUUUUGGGGCUAGUGGUGUUGGAUUUUUUGCAUCCCGUACUAGUUUAUUAUGCACUUAUCUUUUGUGUUUAUUAUGCUGUUAGUUUAUUUUGUGUACCAUACUAGUUUAUAUGUACUUACUUUUUAUAUUUGUUAUACUGUUAUUGGUCCUAAGAUGGGGAUCUAUCUAAAACAACCUCUCUACUUUUCUUAAGGUACUGGUAUGGUCUGCGUACACUCUACCCUCCCCAGACCCCACUAGGUAGGAAUACACUGGGUAUCAUGUUGUUGUUGUUGGGUUUUCAUGGAUGUCCCAGCCCCUGUUGUUCAAUUCCAAAAUAUGUUGGAAAUACAAAUGUCUUAUUAGCACGUGAGUCGUCUGACGUUGUUCGUAUUUUCAAACUCAAGUUGUCCGCUUGAGAACCAGUGCUCAAGCCCACUCUAGACACCGAUUAUAGAACGAAAUCAAAACCCUAGUUUAGGCAUGAGACUAGGACGACCCAUUAACCAAGAGGGGUAUUGGGUCCAUUAGAAAACUUGCCCUGCGUCUAUUGACCCCGAGUCAAUUACAUACGAAUCAUAUUUAUGUGUUGAAAAAAAUACAUAUUUGUCUAAUUCAAUCCAAUAUCCUUUGGGUCGGGGGAAGGCUUAUCUUUAUCUGCUUUCAUGUAGGAUAUGGCUCAACGACAUUCCUAUAAAAAGUUCAAGAUGGUUACUAAACCUGACGAUUUCUUGAAACUAUGGUGGUACCAUAUGGGCGCAUAAGAGAAAAAGAUUGUUACAACACACAUUGGGCAUCUUCCUUCUUUGAUCGAGAUGGACGCCUGGCCCGAAAUAAUCCAUUUACUAACAAAUUUUUGGGAUGAUCAGAAUAUGGUAUUUCGCUUUGGGGAUGUUGAAUUGACUCCUACCAUUGAAGAGGUAUUGAUUUGUUACGAGAGUAUGAAAAUAUGUUUUGAGAGAAGGGAGACACAGUGAUAAGAACAUUUUAGUCCUGGUUCUGUGGGAUCGUCAAUAGAUCAAGGAGGUAUUUUUAAUUGACAACGACACCUAGCUAGGAGAACGUGAAGGAGAAAAUAUUACUUUUCGUGAGUUGUACCAUCAGUUCGGGAGAUUCAAUGCUUUUCAUAAAUUUAGGAUUAAAUAUGAGUCAGAAGCAAAUUAGAAGGAGAGGAGAGACUUUGCAUUUGCGGUAGGCCUACUUGGAACCAUGUUGUUACCACAAGGGGAAAAUGGCACAAUUCAUCUGAGGGUUGCUUAAGUGACCCAUGCAAUCUUCUUUGGAAUGGAGUACAAUUCUAAAAAGGUAUUCCACAACUUAGCUCCCAUGAUUGUUGCCGGCAUAUAUCGAGCUUUGGGAAGGUGUCAAGUCGAGAAUCAUUUCUUUCAAGGCUGCAAUCUUAUAUUAUAAUGGUGGAUGAUGAUGCAUUUGGUAAAAAAUCCUAGAACGGCACAACCCGACCACAAAACAAGGUGGAAUCUGCUAGAAUAGCACAACAUGUGGUUGUUUUUAUACAAGUUCAAAAGGGAAGCAUCUCAUGAAUUUUGGUUUAAGACUCUUGGAGAAUUAAGAGAUGACGAUGUCCAAUAGUCCAUUAACUAUCUUCUUUCAGGGAAAUACAUUAUUCGAGGAGGCGAGUGGCCUUUUCUAGUGCUUUCGGGUCUCAGGGGAACCCGUCCCUACUAUCCUGGCAGAGUUCUUACGCAAUUCGAAAUCAAGCAGGAGAUGCCUCAAAUCGAUUCUAUGCUCAGAUUCUUUACCGAAUAUGAUGAAACCAAGCCCCCGCUCAUAGACUACAUGAUAAACAGAUGGAAAAGGAGAAGGUGGACAGAAGUCUUUUUUGUAUAGGGUAUGAACCUGAAGUCAGCAAAACGUACAAGGAGUGGUUAAAAAAGAGCCUGGCCAGAGCAUUGAUUCUGGGACCGAAUGUGCCCACUCGGGUUAUGGAUGUAGAAUCCGAGCAUCAGAUCCAACUCCACAGGCUUCAGGAUAAAUAUUAGAAAAGUGAAAUCAUGCACUAACAGACGCAUGUAGAAGAUGCUUUAACAAUACGUAUGUUGAGGGAGGAGUUGGAAAGAGCUAGGCAAGAGGUUGAUGAUGCUAGGCAGUGUUUAAUCGAUUUGGAUGAUAGCAUGGCCUCUCAACGCGACCGUAUAGGAAAAAUAACUUACGAUAGCAAGGCACAGUUAUGCGGGAGUCAUCUAAUCAUUAAUAGGUAUCAAAUAGCACAGGAGGUGAACAAGGCAAAGAAGGCAAAGACAGACGAAGGAGCCUCCGGUAGCUAGUUUUUCUAUUUCCAUUGCGUGGGAACUUAUUUUCUUUCAUGUUAUUUCCCUUUUUUCUUAAAGAUUGUAUCCCUCUUUUGUUAUUUUUUGUAGGCAUUUAUGCCCUUUUUUGUGUCUAUAUAAGUUAGGGGAUAAUGGAUUGACUUUAAGGAAGCAUAUAUUUUCUUCAAAAUAGUUAGGACUGAACCCUUGGCUCAAAAAAGGUCACCCCAGUUAGGAUACGCAUUAUUAUAAUGUUUUGUAUGAUAUAAUUGUCUUAUGUGCUUAUGUGUGUUUAUUUGGAUCAAAGGCAAGUUUAUCCGCUAUACUCCUAUGGAUGAAUUUGGCUAUGACUCAAACAACUCUAUGUUGUUAUUUCUUGUCAAAUAUUUUGCAUUACUUAUCACAUAUGAAAACUAACACAUCUACCUUUGAGUUGUUUUACUUAAAAGAUAGUAGAAACUACUCCGUAUUGAUAUAAGCUGGCAGAACAUCCCUACUGCACCCGAUCAAAAGAAAACAAAAUCCCAUCCUCUGACCAUCAUUCAAUAAUGAUCGGAAAUGAUAAAGAAAAUGCAUUGACCAUCAGAGACAAUCAAAUAGAGGAACAGAGUGAGAUGAUUGUGGAAUUUGCAAGAAAGCUUGAAAUGCUUUAGUAGGAAAUAAAUCGUGCUCGAGAUUUGGCUCUCCUGGCCAUUACUGUUAAUGCUCCCACUCCAGGAGGACACGAGACUCCACUCCAAAUCCCUUCCCUCAGUACGCCUAUUCUCGGGGAUCAGCCAAAUAACAUAUCGUCCAUCUCUGCUCCUCCACUUGACCAAAAUACCAAUCAUGAAAAUAACCCAGAUGCCUACCAUCCACAAAAUCCAUCUCCAACACCACAAAACCCAUCUCUGAAUCUAUUUCCAAAUCCCCAAAACCCAUUUGAAAAUCAACAAAAUUCGUGUACAAAUCCACAAGAUUAACUCUCAAAUCCAAAAAAUCAAUCCCCGAAUCUUCCAUUGAAUAUAUCCCCGAAUCUACCAAAUUCAUUUCCAAAUUUUCAAAAUCCUUCUCAGAUGCCACCAAGUUACUCGAAAAUUCCAAAAAACCUUUCUAAAUUUCAAAACGUCCUCCCCACCUACCAACCAACUUCCUUUCAUCUGCAAAAUCAAGCCUUCCUUCCAAAUCCCCCUCAUGCCAUUAUAUCCCCCGACAUCUAUAAUCCUCGUCCUAAUCCCGAGAUCGACCAUUUCAAAGAGAAGGAGAAAGAGUGAGGACCAAGCAUGAAAUAAAGUUGCUAGCUAUGAAUGAAGAAAUCGUGAGGAUCAAAGAAUCUCAUGGAGCGAGGGACCACGAUGGUUUAGGGUACAAUGACGUAUAUGUUAACCCUGGAGUAGAUCUACUAGAAGGGUACAAGGUCCCCAAGUUUGAAGUGUUUGACGGUGCCGGAAGUCCAAUGGCCCAUCUGAGGAGGUACUGCGAGCAACUGGUGGGGAUCAGGAAAAACGAGGCGUUACUGAUGUGCCUAUUUAGCAAAAGUUUAAGCGGUGAAGUCUUAGAGUGGUUUAUGUCUCAGCAGCCGAAAAGAUGGACUGGUUGGAAAGCAUUGGCCAAGGGUUUCCUUGAUAGGUUCUCAUUCAACAUUGAAAUAGUCCCGAACCGGUAUUCACUAGAUCGAAUCAAACAGAAGAGUGAUGAGAUUUUCCAAGACUAUGCUUUUCAUUGGAGGAAGGAAGCUGCCAAAGUACAACCCCCCAUAUCCGAGGAAGACAUGGUAUCUGCAUUCUCUCGCACUCAAGAAGGAGAAUAUUAUACCAGAAUGGUGUCCGCUGUCAGGGCGACUUUUGCGGAUUUGGUAAAAAUAGGAGAAUCAUUGGAAGAAGGUAUUCGGACAGGAAAAAUUGCUGAAACCCUAACAUUAUCCGGGACUGCCAUGUUGUUGAAGAAGAAAAAUAAAGAUGUAGGCACGAUUUCUGCUGGUUCUGUUGCAAAAACAAUAAAGAGGUUCAACUCUAGGAAUGUUUUCUCUUCUCUAUCGUCACCAAACCUUCAGCAUGUAUUCUACGCCCACCCCCAAUACCAAACUUCACUUUCAAAUGUCCAACAUCAGUAUCAAACUCCACUCCCAAACAUUGAAUCUCAGUAACAAACUCCACUCCCAAAUAUUCAAUCCCAAUACAAAGAUCCACAACCAAAUAUCUUUCCCCAAUACCAAGUUCCACCACCAAAUUAUUAGUUGCAUGUCCAAUCCACUCUUUCAAAGAACCGAACAAAUAUCAAAGAACCUUCAAAUUAUCAUCAAGAACCUUCUCCUACAAACCAAAGCCACUAUAAAACCCCACGUCCAAACUACGAAAAAAAACUCCUCAAAACUUCACACCACUAGCUAAAAAUCGCACUCAAUUGUUCGAAAGACUGAAGAACGCCGGUCAUUUGCAACUAAUACAGUCAAAGUCUGUCAAUCCCAACUUUUGAUUUAAUUAUCCUGAUCAAAACUAUGCUUAUCAUUCAGGAGCAGCAGGGCACAGUACCGAGGACUAUUUUAUCUUGAAACACAGGAUCCAAGAUCUGAUUCAUCAAAAGGUCAUUACGCUUUAGUCACCGAUGCCAAAUUUCAAUAGUAACCCAUUGCCUAAUCAUGGGGGACCUAUAGUUAACAUGAUUGAAAUGGAAGAAGAAUGGGUGUCUGGCAAGACUAUUACUAAAGUGAAUUCAGAAGAGUGCAAAAGGGCGGAAGAGGUAGAAAAGAUAGAGAGAGUUAUGGCUACCUUAAGUGUCAAUGAGAAAGCCCCAUGUAUAGUAAUGACGACCUCAAUCCAAGUGUACACUCCCCCACCAAGGAAGGAAUUUAUUGUACAGCCCGCUGCUGCCCAAGGGGUGGCGCGAUCGGGACGAUGCUAUAUCCCUGAAGAAUUUACCAACAAAAAAGAUUCAUAGAAAAGGCCAAUCACUGAAGGGGAGGCUAAGGAAUUUUGGAGGCAUAUGCAACCCAAAUAUUAGUCAAUUGUCAAACAUUAAGAGAAGACGCCAGCCCAAAUCUCCAUUUUGCCACUAUUAAUGAGUUUGCAAUACCACCGACAAGAUUUAUCGAAGCUCUUGGAUGAAGCAUAUAUUCCCACAGGAACGAGUGUUGAGAACCUAGCUGUGAUGAUAGGAAACAUUGUAGGGGAAUCAUCGCAUAUCAUUCAGUGAUGAUGAGUUGCCGUUUGAAGGAGCGAUGCACAACAAAGCCUUGCAUGUCACUGCCAUUUGCCAAGAUUAUGUGAUUAAUCAGGUAUUAAUAGAUGACAGAUCUAGUGUGAAUAUUUGUCCCCUCUCCAUGUUGGUUCAAAUGGGCUAUGAUUUGGGAAAAAUUCAUCAAAGCUAUGUAAAUGUGAGAGCAUUCGAUGGAGCACAGAGAGAUACAAUAGAAAAAAUUUAUUUGUACAUCCAAAUGGGACCUGCUGAGUUCAAAAAUAAGUUUCAUGUUAUGGAUAUUCAUCCUAGCUACAACCUGCUCUUGGGAAGACCAUGGAUACAUGGUGCAAAGGCCGUUUGAUCACCCCUUCAUCAACUAUUGAAGUUCAUUUGGAAGGAUCAUGAAGUAGUCAAGGGGAAGGAAGCCGAGCGAAUCAUCCCAAUGGUUAUGUACCAGUGAUUGAAGAUGUUCCAAAGGGUAAUAUUUUCUAUACGGUUGAAAUUAUAAAUGCUGUGGAGAAGGAUCAGACGCUCCAAGCGCCAAUUCCUUCGAUCUACAAAAUUAUUGCGAUGGUGAUAUUAACAAAUGGAUUCAAGCCUGGUCGGGGUUUGGGUAAGAAUCUACAAGGAAUUAUUGAGAUUGUUAUGAUCCCAGAGAAAGGCUCUAAGUAGGGGUUAGGAUAUUAGCCUACCGAGAAGGAUAUGGUUGAGGAUAAGUCAGAGCAGAGUUUGUGUACGCCCUUUCCGCUCCUGUACCAGUCAUUUCCUGUACAGAAGGUGUCGAAUAAUGAUGGUCUUGAGGAUGAGAUAGGAUAUUUUUUAGAGGGAUGCAAUAUUAUACCAGAAGAUUUCCCAAAGUCUGGCGAGGUGAAAAAGAUUGCGCCAGUAGAGGUCUUGCAAAAUUGGACCUCCACUCCACUCAUAACCCAUCGCUCAUCGUGGUAGAUGAAAAGGCAAUUACUAAUAGUUUUAAAAUCAGUGAUGAUUCGGAAGAGGCCUUGCGAUCCACCUUUUAUAUCUUAAAACUUUCUUUUUGUAUUUUACUGCUUUCAAGAAGGCAUGGAUUUGUAUUUGUGCGAGUCAUGAGCAAUGGUUUUGUAAUUAUCUCGCAAAUUUCAUUGAAAAGGCAUUCAUUCAUUUAAAAAAAUUAUUAUUCCUAAAACAUUCCUAUUUGUAUAUUUUAUUAUUAUCUCAUUAUCAUCUAACUUGGUUUGUUUGUCCAUUACAGUAACUUAAAAUCUGCCAAUAUCAUGUCAUGUCAAAGCUUAGAUGAACAAAAUGAAGGGAAUGAUGAUGAUUGGAAGGACGGUGAUGAGGAACAAUUAUUUGAAGAUAUAGAGGAGUUUGAGAACCGAGAAAAGCCUAACCUAGAGGAAACUAAAAUAGUCAACCUCGGAGAUCACGAUGAAAUCAAAGAAACAAGUGUCAGUGUCCACCUGGCGGAAGCACAAAAGAGAGAGCUGAUUCACUUGUUGUGGGAAUAUAUUGACGUGUUUGCUUAGUCCUAUGAUGAUAUGCCGGGAUUGAGCACCAGUAUUGUGUCGCAUAAGUUGCCGAUAAAUCCAGAGUUUGAUCUAUUCAAGCAAAAAACGUUGAAAUUCAAGCCAGAUUUAAGUCUAAAGAUCAAGGAAGAAGUGACAAAAUAAAUCUAGUCUAAGGUUGUGGAGGUCAUAAAAUAUCCGACGUGGUUGGCCAACAUCGUCCCUAGGCCGAAGAAGGAUGGCAAGAUUUGAAUUUGUGUUGACUAUAGAGACUUGAAUAGAGCUAGUCCUAAAGAUAAUUUUCUGUUGCCCAACAUCCACAUCCUCAUCGAUAACUGUGCAAAGCAUGAAAUGAAGUUAUUCAUUAAUUGUUUCGCCGGGUAUCACCAAAUAUUGAUGGAUGAGGAAGAUGCAGAAAAGACGGCUUUUAUUAUGCACUGGGGUGUUUAUCAUUAUAGGGUAAUGCCGUUUGUUCUCAAGAACAUGGGUGUAACAUAUAUGAGGGCUAUGACGACUAUUUUCCAUGAUAUGAUCCAUAAAGAGAUUGAGGUGUACGUGGAUGAUAUAAUUAUCAAAUCCCGUGAGAGUUCGAAUCAUCUGACUCAUCUGGAGAAAUUCUUCAACAGAUUAAGAAAGUACAGUUUAAAGUUAAAUCCUGCUAAGUUUGCUUUUGGUGUGCCAUUAGGGAAGUUGCUGGGGUUCAUAGUCAGCAGAAGAGGCAUCGAGUUAGACCCAUCCAAAAUCAAGACAAUCUAGGACUUGCCACCGCUGAGGACCACGAAGGAAGUUAUGAGUUUCAUGGGUCGUUUGAAUUACAUUAGCAGGUUCAUCGCUUAAUCGAUAGUCAUAUAUGAGCUAAUUCUCAAGAUGUUGAAGAAAAAUUCAUUGAAUGAGUAGACAGAAGAAUGUCAAAGAGCUUUUGACCGCAUAAAGGAAUAUCUAUCUGCACCGCCAGUUUUGGUUCCACCAAGAGAAGGAAUUCCAUUAUUGCUCUACCUGUCAGUCUCAGAAAAUGCUUUUGGAUGUGUCCUCGGGCAACAUGAUGAGAUUGAUAGGAAAGAGAAAGUCAUUUACUACUUGAGUAAAAAGUUUACGCCGUAUGAAGACCAUUAUACUCUUAUAGAAAGCACAUGUUACACUUUGACUUGGCCGAACAAAAGUUGAGGCAUUAUCUGUCUUCAUACACGACAUACCUCAUCUCAAGAAUGGAUUCAUUGAAGUAUAUAUUCCAAAGGCCAUUCCUACAGGAAAGCUAUCCAAGUGGCAAAUAUUGCUGAGCGAGUUUGACAUCGUGUAUGUAACUCAAAAGGCAAUCAAGGGGAAUACUUUGGCCGAUCAUUUGGUAGAGAAUCCAGUUGAUGAUGAGUAUGAACCACUUCGAACUUACUUCCCAGAUGAGGAAAUUCUAUUCUUGGGAGAAGAUAUUACAUAAAUUUACCCUGGAUGGAGGUUAUUCUUUGAUGGAGUGGUCAACUUCAAAGGUUCAGGAAUCGGAGCAGUGUUGGACUCAGAAACGGGUCAACAUUAUCCAGUAACUGCUAAGUUGCAUUUCCCAUGCACCAACAACAUGGCCAAAUAUGAAGCUUGCAUCUUAGGUCUCAAAUCGGCACUUGAUAUGGGUGUUUGUGAAUUGCUAGUCAUCAAGGAUUCAGAUUUGCUGAUUCACCAGGUACGGGGAGAAUAGGUGGUAAAAAAUUCAAGAAUUCUGCCUUAUGUUGAUUUGGUACAGGAAUUAUGUGGAAAAUUCAAAGAAGUUGAUUUCAGACAUAUCCCAAGGAUACAAAAUGAGCUUGCUGACACUUUGGCCACUAUAUCCUCCAUGAUUUGGCACCCAGAUCAGAGUUACAUUGAUCCUUUGGAAAUAAGAUUGAAGGAGCAACCUACGCAUUGUGCACGUGUUGAAGAGGAGCCCGAUGGAAAGCCAUGAUACUAUGACAUUAAAAGGUAUUUAGAAUAUGGAAUAUAUCCUGAAGAGCCCAGCAAUAACCAAAAGAAAACAAUCUAGCGUUUGGCAAAAAACUACUUUCCAAGUGGGGAAUUUCUUUUUAGGAGGACACCUGAUUUAGGAUUUUUAAGAUGCUUCGAUGCUACGAAAGCCAAUAAAUUGAUAAAAGAAGUACACACAAAAGUUUGCAGACCCCACAUGAAUGGGUUUGUCCUUCCCAGAAAGAUCCUAAGAACCGGCUACUUUUGGAUGACUAUGGAGAAUGAUUAUAGUACGUAUGUGCAGAGAUAUCCGAAAUGUCAGACACACAGAGAUUUGAUUCGAAUGCCUCCACACAAGCUUCAUGUAAUGAAUUCACCUUUACCUUUCGUAGCUUGGGGCAUGAAUAUUAUCAGACCGAUAGAGCCAUCAGCAUCGAAUGGGUAUAGAUUAAUUUUGGUUGACAUUGACUUCUUCACUAAGUGGGUCAAAGCUGUGUCAUACAGAGCCGUCACUAAGAAAGUUGCUGCAAAUUUCAUCAGGGAUAACUUGGUUUGCCGAUUCGGAGUGCCGAAAUAAAUCAUUAAUAAUAAUGGGGCAAACGUGAACAGUCACUUGAUGAAAGAAAUUUGUGAUCAAUUCAAAAUCGUGCAUCGCAGCUCAACCGCAUAUCAUCCACAGAUGAAUGGAGCCAUAGAAGCUACCAAUAACAACAUUAAGAAGAUCUUGAGAAAGAUGGUCAAAAAUGAUAGAUCAUGGCAUGAGAUAUUAACUUAUGCUUUGCUAGGAUAUCGUACAACAGUUCAAACCUCCAUCGGGGUAACUCCCUAUUUGCUGAUUUAUGGGAAUGAAGCAGUGAUACCUGUUAAGGUUCAAAUACCUUCCCUGAGGAUUAUUUAAGAAGCUAAACUAAGUAACAAAGAGUGGGUUCGUGCUCGUUGUGAACAACUCAUGUUGAUUGAUGAAAAGAGAAUGGUUGCCAUGUGUCAAGGUCAGUUCUAUCAGCACAGGAUGAUUCGUGGUUUCAACAAUAAAUUGAGAGAUCGAAAAUUUAAAGUUGGGCAAUUAGUUCUCAAAUGCAUACUCCCUCACCAAGAAGAGUACAAGGGCAAGUUCGCUCCAAAUUGGCAAGGUCCAUACAUAGUUCGCAAGGUACUAUCUGGAGGGGCUCUCAUUUUGUCUGAGAUGGAUGGCCAUGAGUGGACUAAACUAAUCAAUUCUGAUGCGGUGAAAAGAUGCUAUGUUUGAAGGGAGUUAUAGUUUUAUGGUUCUUAGUUUAUCUUUAAUAGCCGUUUAAUAAUGUGUUUUAUGACAUGUAAUUACCUAGAACAGCUUUCCCUUUAUGUACAAACUACGUUUGACCUGAAUUCCCAAGAAAGGGAUACGUAGGCGGCCUAUGUCAGCUUUGGUCAACCCCUUAGAAAAUUUAUCCUUUCCCUUUAUGUAUGAACUACGUGAUGACCUAAACUCCUAAUAAAGGGAUACGUAGGCAGCCUAUAUCGGCUUCGGUCAACCCAUUAAUUUCUUUUGUAUAUCCCUAGCGUAGUCCUGAACUACGUUUGACUUGAUUCCUGCUUCAACGGGGUACGUAUGCGCCCCAAUGGCUCGGUCAUAUAACCCCAGGAAAUGAAAACUGGGGCAGAAUUUCUUAGAAGGAAUCUCAAAAAUUCACAAGAGAAUAUCAACAUCCAACAAAGAGAAUGAAGAUCAGCAAAGACUUCAGAUCCACUCAAGAUGAUAUCAUCUCAGACUACUUUAAACUGGGGCAGAAAUUUUGAGGGAGGCCUCAAAAUUUCAAUCAAAUACUGGAAUAUAUUUUAGAUUCCCCAGCACUAGAGGUCGAAGUUGAGAUUUGAGAAUAACCACCUGUGAUAAAGUCUAGGAAGACUGAAUCUCAAUCUUUGAUAGAUCCUCGACAAUGCUGAAUCCCUAGCUAUCCUCCGUCAAACGUCAGACAUUGCCAGAAUCAAGAGAAAGAAGGUCGUAGAGUUAGUACAUGACAUGACUGGCAGAGAUUUUUCAAACUGUUGCAGGAGUUCUCGAAACUAUUUUCUAAAAAUUGAGAGUACUUUCAAAAAAUCUACCUAAAUCUUUCACUUAAUGAUUUCCUAGAUAUCAAUUAGGACGGAGAGUCAUUGGUGGAAGUCCCAACAUGAUGAAAUACAUGAAAAAUGGUGAAGGGUAAAUCAAGGAUCGAAGAAGGUCAACACGGAGUAGUUUCACUCAAACUAAUCAUUUUCUUUGGGCACGGGGACCAAUACACAAAAAUGAGAGUCUCUUUCAAAAAUCCCCAAGCAAAUUGGGAGCAACACCAGAGAACUAAUGCUCAAGAAUGGUAUUUUUGGGUAGCCCUAAAAAUAGGUUUAGUACCCAUAUAUUGAAGACCUUUUCAAGUGUCCAUCUUAUUUCUUUAGAUUAUGGAGGACAAACAAAAGUGUCUUGUCUUCUUUACAAAUAUUGUAUUUAGAAUUUAUCUAAAAAACAGUCGCUAGCAAAAACAACUUUGUGUCUACUAGUCAUCUACCUUGAGUACAGGUACAUACAGAAAGCAAGACCCUGACAAAUGAUUUCAGGUGAAACUAUUUUUAAUAUAACGAAAGAACCAUUGCAUAUCAUUGCCAAAAAGGGUCAUUGCAUAUUAUCGCCAAGAGGGCCAUCUUAUACCAUUACCCAAGAAGGACAUUCAAUAUCUGUUGACACGCUAGACACAACGCUGGCAUCGAGGAUAUCAUCAGCAUUUAAUAUGUCUAUUGACACGCAAGACACAAUUCUGGGGUCGAGGAUAUCAUCAUAAUUUUAUAUCUGUUGACACAUAAGAUACAACAUUGGCAUCGAGGAUAUCAUCAUCAUUUUAUAUUUGUUGACACGCAAGACACAAUGUUGGCAUCGAUGAUAUCAUCAUCAUUCAAUAUUUGUUGAUGCGCUAGACACAACACUAGCAUCGAGGAUAUCAUCAUCAUUCAAUAUCUGUUGACGCGCAAGAUAGAAACACUGGCGUUGAGGAUAUCAUUAUCAUUCAAUAUCUACUGACACGCAAGACAGAAACACUGGUGUGGAGCAUAUCUCAUCAUUUUAUGAAUCAACAUUUGAAUACAUCGAGAGCAUAUGAUUUGAAGGGACACCUUUAAGUCUCUAUCUAAGGAUGAAUGAUAUAUAAGAUUUCCUAGAAAUUGACAAUUUGAGGGUCAUCUAUAAGUAAUAUUAUUUGAAAUAGGAUAGUGUGUAAGAUCACCUAUGAGUUGAUAGCCUGUAGGUCAUCCAUAAGCCACAACAACAUCCUAACCGAAUAGUGUGCAAGAUCGCCCAAAAAUCGAUAGUUCAAAGGUUAUCCAUAAGUCCCAACUAAAUCCUUACCGGAGAAUAUGUUAGAUUAUCAAAUUACUACGUCCAAGGGUUCUCCAUAAGCCGCGUCAUAUCCAAGACCGAUUAUGUACAGGAUUACCCAAAGACUAAUAAUUUGAGAGAUUAUCUAUAAGUCAUAUUGUAUCCAAGGUCGGAUGAUGUGCAAGAACCCCUGAAAGCUAGCGAUUGGAAGGAUAUCUGUAAGCCAUCUCUUAUCCAAAGUUUGAUAAUGUGCAGUAUUACCUAAAAGCUAGAAAUUCAAAGGAUAUCUGUAAGUCGCCUUAUAUCCAACAUCAAAUAAUACGCAAGAUUAUCCAAAGAUUGACAAUUUAAGGAAAAUUUAUAAAUCAAUCAUCGGCUAUAACCGGAAAAGUUAUCAUUCCAUAUACAACAAGUUAUAUAGGUAACCGAAAGGGUUUCCAAACCAGCAUAAGAUUACACGAUUGUAGGGACCGUUCUGCAUAAAGUAUCACCGGUGUCCAAAAAGGUCACCCCACUUUGAAGACAUAUACAAUCAAAAAAUUUCAUAAUUAUACAACAACCAAGAGGUUUGUUCUAUUUGUUGUUGCCAGAUAUUUCAUUCCAAAUAGGUACAUGAAGAGAUGAUUCCGCUUUUCAUGCCACAACUCACGUGGAGAGAUGGUAAAAGAUUGCAUACCUCUUUCGUGAAUUAUGUUUAGCACUAACACUUUUGCUUGAAACAUUGUCGAGAGAAUCCAAGAGGAUGAAAAUCUCAAAUAAAAAACAUAGGUGCGGAUUACUUCAGAUAGGACGCAGCACAACGUGAAAGUUUUUCUUAGCAGCAAAAUGGGACAUAGUCUAGAGAGGGACGUCAAACUCUCUGGAUGCGAGCUAAAGAAUUAUCACCACCACCAUCUAACCACACCUCUAUUAGAAGGCAUAUGGGUAUUUCUGGGAUAUUCUGGUUUCCGCUUCAUCUUUGAGAUAUAUCUAAACUCAUAUCGAGGGUAACCUCCUCUUUCUUUCAAAGCCGGGUGACAACACCCUCAGAGUUUAGAAAUUAUGUUCGGGUAAGUUCUUUUCUAUGGUUGUGAAGGAUCCCACAUUCAUGGUUAAGAGGUUGCAAGCCUCUUUUCCAAAACUCGAUCAACUUGUCACUCAUCCUGAGCUAAAGAUCGUCUGAAAUAAAAGACUAUCUUUUCUACCGAUUGAGUCGAACUACAAGCAGUCUGAUUUCCUAAAAUCUUGCAGAUAUGUAGGCUAGGAUCUAUGUAGAAAACUUGACUUCAUUCCAACCUCCCCCCUAAUCCCUUUAUUCCCCAGUUUCUUGGUUUUAUCAAAAACUCUAAAACCGAGAUAGUUGAUGAAUUUUCUUGAAAAUCGUGCUUAAGAUCAAGACUUAUGAACUACACGUGGCCUGAAUUCUCAUGAAACCUGAGAUAUGUAGGAAACCUGAUACCUAGGUUCAUCCAUAACUCCAUGAAACUCGUGCGAAAAAUCAACCUCUCUUAGAUACGAAGUUGUGGUCGGACAAAAAUUGUGAACGUCAACCUCCCUUUGCCCAGGAUUACUUACAUCCAUCCUACCCAAAGGGGGGGUAGUUGUUGGCACCUAAUUUUUUCCCUCCACAACUAAAUUUAAUCCUGAGUUUCUUCAAUUCUUAAUAAAAUCAUAAUAUUUAUUUAAUUCGAAUAAAAAAAUUUCAAAAAUAUAUUUGUACAUAAUUUUGUGAUCUUAAGUAGCAAUUAUAUAUUAUCGUGUUCAAAUAUACGAUAUUAUAUGAUUUGAUUACUUAGAUAUUUACUCUAUGAAAUAUCAUAUUUCAAUUAAGGAUCAUUUCGAAAAAUAAUAAUUCAAAUCUUGAUCUAAAUAUAAUUUAUUCUCGAAAAUAAUUUAUUUGGAUAAAUAUACAUUUGAUUUUAUUAAAUCAAGAAGUUCGGGAUUAAACAAGGUGUUAAUUCGUAUCAAAUUUUGAUUUAAUUUGGUAAUUUAUUAAAUUAGUCCUUAAUUGAAAUUAAUAUGACCAUAAUUGCAAUGUAAUUGGUCAAUUUAAUUCGAAUUAGGCUAAAAUUUAAAAAUAAUUGUCUAAAUUUUCAUCCAUUGGCUAUUUGAUAAAUAGCCUAAUCUCUACAUUACUAAAAUCCUAAUUCUACCUAACAAUAUUCAGAUCCCUCCAGCCCAGUUCCUUUUCAUAUUAACAGGCCCAAAAUUCCUGACCCGGCCCAUCAUCAACAAAUGCUCCUUUCUCCCUUAAUCAGCAAGAACUAGUCCCCAACACAAAAAACAACCAAAAAUGGCGUACAACUCUAGGAACUCGAACAACAACGACAAGCGCGAUUCAGUGAAUCCACCAUUGAACCAACCCGAAAUAGAUCCUAAACCAUUCUUUUUCCCUUUUUCACACGUCUCAUGCGGCAGUAGGAUAAGGAAAACCCUAAAACCUUCUAGAAAAUGGGCUAGGUGUCAUCUCCAAUGUUUCAAUCCUACAAAUUUUGGGAUAACUCGUACGAUCUCGUACAAUAUUUGGCUGAUUUCCAUAGGUUUUGGGGAGGAAUUCGUUUUCCCUAAAUCUCAUUGGUCCACCAAUUUCAAUAUUGGUAAAAUGGAUUGAUGAAACCUUAAGCGGUGAGAGGAUUUUUGAAUUUCAAAAUUCAAAAACAUCCUUCUUUUAAAUCCCCAAAACACCCCUAAUUCGGGGGAUAUAAAAAGACCCCUGGGGUCACUAUUUGGGGGGAUUUUUUUCUCUUCUUUGAGGGAUUUUUGGUUUCUUCUCUCCUUUUCUUUCCCUUAAGAGUUGGAAAUUUUAGAAGCCUUUGUUUUUUUUCGUUUAGAGAAAUUUUAGGUUUGAAAAAAGGGGUAAUUCUUAGUUUGGAAAAUUUUAGGUCAUGGUUGAGGGUUACUUUCCCUUCUGAGGUGGAAAAAUUAAGGGAGAAAGCUAGGUUGGAACAUUUUUCUAAGAAAAAUUUCUGAUUUGGAAAAACUGAGAUAGAGGGAAGAAAGAAAAAGAAAAGAUUUCUGAAGAAAGAUUAAAUCUUUGAAGUUUUCCGGUGGUCGUGAUCCCCGUAUCAGUUCCUCGUCUUUUUUUGCUACUCCCGAAAAGGUAACGUCCUAUUUUCGUUCAAUUUCUAUUAUAUUUCUGCUCCCUCUCGUCAUUCUAUAGUCAUGACUGUCAUUCCGAAGAUUUUGUAAGCUGGGUUAUCUGCUGUAGAGGUCUUCAAGACCACAGGUUUCCAUUUUAGUGAAAAGCAAUGUUUCUUUGUAGUGCUACGUUGGGAUGAAUUCCUAUUGUGAUUGUAUGACAUAUGGUUUUCAUCGUCUUUAGAUCUUGAUUUCGUGAUUGGUCAUCUACUCUCAGCAUUACUGAUUAAUUUCUGUUCUAAUGUAUCAUCUUGUGGACUGUUUGUGAUUUGAAGCAGUUGAAGAUCUUAUUUUGAUUCUCUCUUAACAAUUUUCAUCCUCUUGUUGCCUUGAUUCGUAGUUGUAGUUUUAUAAUCUUAAGUGCUGAGUGUAGCUCGUUGGGAGGCUAUGAAAGCCCCAAGUUUCAUAUGAUAAAAUGUGAGCUUUCAAACUUUGUUGUUGUUUCUGCAUUUAGGACACAUUGAUUUUUAGAGUUUCUGAUUUCGUUAUAAUUCAUCUGGGAGCAUUUGCUUUUGUUCAUACAAUGUUUUUGAUGAAAAUUUUCAUCGAAUUCGACUUUCAUGAAUGCCGUAUUGUUUAAAUGAUGACCUUCUAGCCUAAGGAUUGUUGCUAAUAUUCUAUUCUAAAAAAAAGAAGGGUUAUUGAGUCACUUUAUUCCUGUAAACGAUUUAGUAAAAGUGCAGUGUUUCUUUUCUGUUAAAAAGGAUGAUAGGGUCAAAGGGUUUUGCAUUCUCUUUGGGAGUUGCUAUUAGGAGCCUCCUUUGAGACCAUUAUUUAUAAAGGUUAAAUAAAAAGAUGUCUAUUCUAUUUAUAUUAUAUUCUCUCAUUUAACCUGCUUUGAUAUGAGUUUAACACAUACACUUGUAGUUAUUCAUUGAAAAUUGUUUCAAAAAAAAAAAUUAGCUUUUCUUGCGUCAUUACUAACUCGUAUGAGCUUGUAUAUCUCCUUUAUGAAACCUUUAGGAUCCUGUUCGUUUGUCUAUUAAAUGCAUCUCUUCUUGCAUCAUCUUAUUGAUGUUGGGAAAAAAAAAUGUUUUUAGUCGCAUUGUUUCUCCCCUCUUUCCCAUUUACUUCAGUACCUAAGGUUAAGUGUUUUGAUCCGUUUGAAUAUCGAAUAGUUUCCACGUUUUAUUUAAAGCCAUCCUUUCUUUUUCAUAUUAUUGUUUGCUAAAAAAUUUUUGAUAGGAUAAAAGUUGUUUGCGUGUUGUAUGCGUGGUGACAUGCCUAAUUAUGUGCUUACUCUACGGGGACAUGCUGUUAUUUCUUCUCUCAAAGAUAGGUCUAGUAAAUUUGGGAGAAAUUCUAUUUUAGUUGCUUCCUGAUUCUUCGCAACUCUUUGUUGAUAUCUUGAGUUUUAGUAAUAGCCAUCUAUACCUAAAAGGGCUAGAGAACAAUAAUCACCAAAAGAAAAAAAAAUAUAAUAAUAAUAAUGAUUAACUCCUAAGAUCAUCAAAUUGGUCUGAUUGCUAUUUUCCAUCACAAUGCAUGUGUGAAGUUGAUUCAUUUCUCUUGAAAUUCUAUAUUUUUAACCAUCAUGGGUUCCUUUUCAUCGAUUGAUCCAUCAUACUACUUACUUGUGUGGCGUUUGGUAUUCUGGAUGCGUUUUGAUUUCCUUUAUAUUUUUCCUUGCAUGUGAAUUCGUUUUGGAGUCCAAAUGGAUUCUUUCCCAUUGCAUCUCUUAAUGGGCCAUUCAGGCCCUCCAUUCCUAUCAAGUCUAGCCCUGAAAAAAAGCCUAAAAUGAACUGCAUGGCGUACGGAUAUGAGAAGUCGAAAGGAGAGAGAAGAUGGAUUAAAGCCCCAUUUUUAAAGUGGCGAAGAGACUCAAAAGUCUCAUUUUUUAGUUUAUUUAUUUACUUAUCGAUUUUAUUCAUUUAUUUAUUUAUUUAUUUAUUUGGGCCACGAAGCCAAAGUUGUGCUUAAUAUAGGUAGAGCGAUACUAGGACAGGUGAAAUGGGUCGAAAUCCCAAUUAGACUAGGACAGGUCUUAUUGAUUUGGGCCCAGUGGCCUAAAUCCCUUACUUUCUCCCCUUCCCCUUUUUCUUUACGUUUCUUUACCUUAUGUGUUUUGGUGAACCUAGUUAAAUCCUUAGUCAAGUCAAUAAAAAGUUAGUUCUGCAUAAACACCAAAAUCUUUUUCUAAAAUUGCCUUCUUUUCAAAACUAAACCUUUUUCCAAAGUUAGUCAAAGGCGAUUUCCAAACAGUCCGGAUAACCGCAAGUUAGCGGACGUUUUAGGUGCCUAACACCUUCCUAAAACAUUAAUAAGAACCGCUUACUCAGAAUCUCUUAACUUAAACAAUUUUUCUUUUUUGGAUCGUUUGAAGUAACUCUAUAAAGGUUUCUAAAUUCCUUUCCAAAAUUAAGUGGCGACUCUCUUUCAAAAGUCAAAAUUUCUGCAAAACGCGCUUCAGCCAUAAUUCUCUGCCUCAAAUCAUUAACAUUCGGAACACAAAGUCUACCUUGCAAUCUCAACAUACCAUCUCCCUCUUGGGAGAAAACCUCUACCUUAUGGUCCUUAACUGACUCCUUCAGAAUAAAAAGUUAGUUCUGCAUAAACACCAAAAUCUUUUUCUAAAAUUGCCUUCUUUUCAAAACUAAACCUUUUUCCAAAGUUAGUCAAAGGCGAUUUCCAAACAGUCCGGAUAACCGCAAGUUAGCGGACGUUUUAGGUGCCUAACACCUUCCUAAAACAUUAAUAAGAACCGCUUACUCAGAAUCUCUUAACUUAAACAAUUUUUCUUUUUUGGAUCGUUUGAAGUAACUCUAUAAAGGUUUCUAAAUUCCUUUCCAAAAUUAAGUGGCGACUCUCUUUCAAAAGUCAAAAUUUCUGCAAAACGCGCUUCAGCCAUAAUUCUCUGCCUCAAAUCAUUAACAUUCGGAACACAAAGUCUACCUUGCAAUCUCAACAUACCAUCUCCCUCUUGGGAGAAAACCUCUACCUUAUGGUCCUUAACUGACUCCUUCAGUCUGACCAAAUAGGAUCCCUGUCCUGUUUCUUCUUUACCUCCAAGACCAAAGAGGUCUCGAAACUACUCUAAACUAACAUACUCCCUUCUGCGGAAUCAAGAAAUCUAACACCCAACCUAGACAAAUGAUGCACAUCACGAGCCAAUUCUUUCUUAUCAUUCUCUAUAUGAGCUAUACUAACCAUAGACAACCUGCUAAGAGCAUCUUCCACAACAUUGGCCUUGCUACGGUGAUAUAUCACACUCAUAUCGUAGUCUUUUAGAAAAUCUAACCAUCUUCUUUGUCUAAGGUUCAAAUACCUCUGAGUAAACACACACUGCAGGCUUUUGUGAUCAGUAAACACAUCAACAUGAACACCAUACAAAUAAUAUCUCCAGAUUUUCAAAGCAAAAACUACAGCUGCUAAUUCAAGAUCAUGGGUUGGUUAAUUCUUCUCAUGAGGCUUCAACUGUCUAAGGCAUAAGCUAUAACUUUACCCUUAUGCAUCAACACACAACCCAGACCAACUCUAGAAGCAUUACAGUACACCACAAGACCAUCAGUACCAUCGGGUAAAGCUAACACUGGGGCUGAAGUGAGUCGAGUCUUCAACUCUUGAAAUCUCUUCUCACAGGCAUCUGUCCACUGGAACUUAACUUUUUUUUUGGUCAAUCGGGUCAUGGGGGACACGAUUGAAGAGAAGCCCUCAACAAAAUGACGGUAGUAACCAGCUAAACCCAAGAAACUCCUAAUAUCAGACGGGGAGGUAAGUCUAGGCCAAUUCUUCAUAGCUUCUAUCUUUUGAGGAUCAACUCUUAUACCUUCGGAAGAAAUAAUAUGACUCAGGAAAGCAACUGACCUUAACCAAAAUUCACACUUGCUAAAUUUAGUAAAUAAUUAAUGAGCUCUAAGGGUUUCCAACAUGAUUCGAAGAUGAUCUUCAUGGCCAUCCUCACUUAGAGAAUAUAAAAGAAUAUCAUCUAUGAACACAAUAACAAACAAAUACAGAUACCACUUGAAGACUCAGUUCAUAAGAUCCAUGAAAGCUGCUGGAGCAUUGGUUAACCCAAAGGACAUGACAAGAAACUCAAAAUGACCAUAGCGGGUUCGAAAAACUGUCUUUGGAAUAUCACACUCUCUCACUUUAAGAUAAUGAUAGCCGGAUCUAAGGUCUAUCUUUGAGAAAUAACUUGCACCCAGUAGCUGAUCAAAUAAAUCAUUGAUUCUAGGAAGAGGGUACUUGUUCUUAAUAGUCACCUUGUUGAGUUGAUGGUAGUUAAUGCACAUACGCAAUGUACCAACUUUCUUCCACACAAAUAGAACAGGUGUACCCCAUGGGGAAACACUAGGUCUGAUAAAGCCUUUUUCUAAGAGUUCUUUGAGUUUUCCUUCAACUCUUUAGGUUCUGCAGGAGCUAUACGGUAUGGAGGGAUGGAGAUAGGCUGAGUUUUAGGAAAAAGAUCAAUCCUGAAUUCUAUUUCUCUGUUAGGUGGGACCCCUGGAAGGUCUUCUAGGAAAACAUUGGGAAACUCUUUAAUAAUGCUAAUUGACUGAAUAGUCGGAGUCUCAGACUUGAGUUCGUUAACUCGAACUAGAUGAUAGAUUAAACCCUUGAAAAUCAACUUCCUAGCUUUGAGGUAGGAUAUGAAAUGGCUCUUUGGAGUUAUAGAACUCUCGAACCACUCAAACACGGGUUCGUUAUGAAACUAAAACUUGACCACUCGGGUAUGACAAUCUAUAAACGCAUAGCACGAGUGAAGCCAAUCUAUGCCCAGAAUGAUGUCAAAAUCAACAAUAUCUAGCUCAAUCACAUCAGCACAUAUGACCUGAUGAAGGACAACAACAGGACACUUCUUAUACACUCGCUUAGCAAUAACAAACUCUCCUACCAGGGUAGAAACAAGAAUAGGCUCAGGAAUCCAUUCAAGGUCCAUCUCAAAAUUUAUAGCAACCAGAGGUGUCACAUAAGAGAAACUCGAACUGGGGUCUAUUAAUACAUACACAUCAAAAUGAAAGACAUGGAGCAUACCAGUGACAACAUCUGGAGAAUCCUCCUGCUCCUGGCGAGGUGGUAUAGAAUAGAAGCAAUUCUGGCAUGAACCACCAACAGUACUAGAAGAGACGCCCUGCGGAGAAACUGGGCAGACUACGAGAACGAGGGCACUGGUAGCUUGACUCUGGGGAUGAGCAUCUUGACUCCCCUAUCUAGCAUAUGGAUAAUCUCUAAGUCGGUGGCCCAACAUGCCACAACCAAAGCAACCUCUCUGAUCAACAAAACACUUGCCAAAAUUAUCUCUACCAUACUUGGCAUACGAAAGAAGACGAGGUCUGUUACUUACACUUUCCUGAGAACUGGACAGGAUAGGCCUGUUCCCCUGCUCCUGCCUGCUUCUAGGUGCGGGAGCACUAACUAAGGAAGGCGCGGGCAUAAAUUGACAUCUCUGGAAUUAAGGGCAGUCCCCUCCAUAGAAUCUGGAAUGACCGAAUCCCUGCUGCUCUGAUCUAGUUGUUUUAUUCCCUCUUACUCUCUCUCUCUUUUUCACCUUAUCAGCUUCAAUCUGUUGGGCAUGCAUCAUUAAUCGAUAAAGGUCCAUCUCCUUAUUAAGCAUAGCAGAUCUACUCUCUUUCACAAUGUAACUCGACACACCGGUCACGAACUUACUCAUAAUGGUCCUGGAGUCAGCCAUUAUACUAGGUGCAUAUUUGGACAACUAAUUAAAUCUAAGGGUCAUGGAGUCUUGUCACAAAUUCAUGAAUUCCUCUAUAAUUGUUUCCCUUAUCUCAAGAGGAAAGAAUCUAUCCAAGAACGCAUCCUAGAAUAACUACCAAGUCAUGGGAGCGGCAUCCUCCACUCUACUUUCCCUCCAUACUUCCACCCAAUCAUAUGGAGCAUCUUUCGUUCGAUAGGCAACCAAUUCAACACUCUCUUCCUCAGUCACGUGCAUAAUCUGGGUGAUCUUUCUCAUUUCAUCCAAGUACAUUUGUGGGUCUUCACCUACCUUCGACCCAUAGAACUCAGGUGGAUUUAUUUGCAUAAAGUCAUAAACCCGAGCUGCAGCAAAAUUAUUCUCUUGCGGAAGCGGAACAGUAGCCUGGUUGUUAGCUUGAGUAUUACGGUAAUUGCCUGGGCUAGCACCUGAAAAUCUGCCCAGAAUUAUGCAUGUGACACAUGCUCGAUCAGGGGAUCAAUGGGUUAAGGUUGCUCAUUGUUUCUAUGAGCUCAACGAGGAGGCAUUUUCUGUCAUAAGAGAGAACGAAUUAAUAGCAUAGAGAAACAGUCGUAGGCACGAUAGACUUUUGAAUGAAAAAUAUGACUUUCCCUAAAACGUCUUGUAGCCUCUUGCUCAUAGAUAUGGCGCGCUACACACCGAUGAUCAAGAAUCUACAUAACAUGGCUUGCUUGUCAUCACUUCUAGAACACACUUUGACAAUGGUCAUGCUAAUAUAAGAGAGAAUGAGAUAUCAUAAACAUACUGGAAUAAGAUACGAAACUAGCCUGUACAAUCCAAAAUACUGAAAUUCUGUACAUACCAAUCCUUUAGCCUGACAAAGCCUCUAUACAUCAAAAUCAAGGAGACAAUGUGACAAAACCCCAACUGACUCAAAAAGUAAUGAAAGCUAUAACAAUAAAACGGUAUCACAAAAUUAUAAACACGGUCCUCGAACCAUGGGGACUCACCACUGAGAAGACGAAAAGAGGCACCCGAAUAUAUAUCACUAACGCGGCUGAGUACCUAAACCUACAUUACGAGAAAAUGUAGCCCAUAGGAAAAUAUGUGGGUCAGCACUUUAAAAUGUAUUGAGUAUGUCAGGGUGCAUGCAACAAUGUAAAUAUCGUCAUCAAUUUCAUGAAAGUAUGCAUAUGUACAAUGAUGGCUCACUUGGCUUGAGUUAGAUUGAAACAUACUUUUCAUGAUCUUAUCGUAAAUAAAUCAUACGAUAAAAACCUCAUAAAUCAUCAUAAACAACUCAACUCUUCAACUCACGACUCAGAGAGACCUGUAAUUCAAGAAACUCGACUCUUAUGGACAUGGGAGGUUCUUAUAACCGACAUAAACCAUGUGAGCUACAUGGAGUCCAAUGUUUUUCCUUCCUAAGGAGAGAACCCCACAUUGGCAGGAGCGUCGUACUCUUGCCAGGGAGCACAACCUAAAUUUACCGAUCACAAUCUCAUACGCAGCCUCAGGCCCACAAUUAUCAAUAUCAAUCCUACGGUGGCACACAGUUUCGGGGGAAAUACUACAUUUACCACUCGGUGCUAAAUAAUACUCCCAGACACAAGCUUAGAGCGUGUUAGGAAAUCCACCACAAACAUUACAAGGGUCUAUCAUGAAGACCAAAUGAAAUCUCUUUGUCAUUUAUCAAACCAUAAUCAAUUUGUGGAUUCCUAACUCGACUCAAAUCAAAUCAAUCUUUCUCAAUAUCAAAAUGAAUCAAUUCAUUAAGUCAUGGAAACAUCAAUAACUUUGAGGAAAUAUCAAGACUCAUUGUAACAACUCAAUUCUCAUAAAUCAAUAUACUCAAUAAUCCAAUUGUUCAUAAGGAAGGUUAAAGCUUGACACAUAUCUUGAAAGCACUAGAAAUACCAACUCAUGGACGAAACUUGAAAUUCAUAAUAUUAAAUAUCAAGUUAUAACUUGGAAAUUGUAAAAUAAUCAUGUAUAACAAAUCUUGAACGAUUUAUAUUGUCAUAAUCUCAUGAUGAAUUAAUCUGGGUAUAAACCCACUUGGAAAAUCAUAUAAAUCCAUAAUAAAAUCAAAGCUUUGAGCAAAAGAACGAAAUAAUUGCUCUUGUUCAGAACCCCACAUACCUUAAUCUUUGAAAUUGGUUGAAAUCUAGAGCUUGAAACUUUACUCACACUUGUAAUUAAAAAAUUUCUUGAAGCCCACUCUAUGAAGAACUUGAUUCUUGAAGGAAUCUUGAAGAUUUAUGGAUGAUGUUUGGAAGAUUAAUUUCUUUAAAUAAAACCCUAAAUAUAUUUCUUAAGAGAAUUGGAAGAGAGAAAUGAAGAAAUCAGGUUUUGGAUGAGGAUUCUCACAUAUAUAGAGGCCUCCAAAAAGGGAAAAGGACUAAAAUACCCUUGGAAAAAUCGUCCAUCAAUUGCUGAAAAAAAUAGCUGAUGACAUCCAUGAUAAGCUGUUAGGCCUGUCAUAGGCCAUCACGAAUUGUCGUCACAAAAAGGGUGGAUUUUGUGACUUUCUGCCUUAAGGUGACGACAUUUUGUGACGGGCCGUCAGGCUUGUGACAAGUCGUCACAAAAGGUCAUCACGGAUUUUUCAGUAUGCCACGCUGGAGUAAAAUAAGCAUAACUCUUUGCUUCGAUAUCGGAUUUUAAUGAAAUGGGUAUAGUUGGAAAGAUAAUUCAAUUAUAUAUAUUUUGGUAGGUCAUGAGAUAAAUAAUUCCUAGUACAAUGGGAGAUAUUCUCAUUUAAAGUUGACUAUGUGAAAAUCCUUCUCAAGAAUUCAAUCGGUAAAGAAUGUUUUGAUUCGCCCAAGCUUUAGGGCAUCUUUAAAGCCUUAAUAAACAUCACCCUUGGUCAGGAAACAACCAAAAACUAUAAUUUAUUUCUCAUGGGAUUGUGUCAUGGUGGCACUAUUGGUUAGAAUCUCGGGGUAUUACAAUACCUCCCCUUUGGAAACAUUCGUCCUCGAAUGUUGCUAGAUCGGCCAAGAACAAGUGAAAUAUGAGGACGUAUAGCUGGAAAAACUCACUCAAAGGACAUAAUUCACUCUAUACCUUCGAAUACUAUAGAAAAUACACGAAUUCUUGAUGAAAGUAGACACACUGCUGAAUCUUUAAUAAGAAGGAGGCGGAAUUAAGAAAGAAUGAUACCUUCUGCUCGCUCUGAACUCACAGAAAAGAGUCGAGGGUACUUGGCUCGUAUAUCAGCUUUGUCUUCCCAAGUAGCAAUCUCAACAUAUUGAUUUUGCCAAAUCACUUUUACCAAAGGAACUUCUUUAUUCCUUAGCCUACGGAUCUACAAAUCCAAAAUCUCAACCAGAAUCUCCUCGAAUGAAAGGCUAUCCUGAAGUAAAAUAAGUUUAAUUCCUUGAACCGAUAUUGGAUUUUGAUGAAAUGGGUAUAGUUGGAAAGUUAAUUCAAUUAUCUAUCUUUUGGUAGGUCAUGAUCUCAAUAAUUCAUAGUACAACGGGAGAUAUGCUCAUUUGAAGUUGACUAUGCCAAAAUCCGUCUCAAGAAUUCAAUCGGUAAAGAAUGUUUUGAUUCGCCCAAGUGUUUGAACAUUUUUAAAGCCUUAAUACACAUAAACCUUGACCAUAAAACACCAAAACACUAUAAUUUAUUUCUCAUGGGCUUGAGUCAUGGUGGCACUGUUGGUUAGAAGCUCGGGGUAUUACAUUAUUACUUUUAAUUAUCUUUGCUACUUACCUUUCUGCAAAUAUAAUGCAAAUUUAUCUUAUAAUGUUAUAAUUGAAUUAAAAAAAUAUUUGAGAUCAACCACAUAUUUUUGAUAGUAAAUGAUGUAUUAUUAUUAUUAUUAUUAUUAUUAUUAUUAUUAUUAUUAUUAUUAUUAUUAUUAUUAUUAUUAUUAUUAUUAUUAUUAUCAUUAUUUAUUUUAUUAUUAUUAUUAGUAGAUAUGUAUGUUCUACUACUACUACUAAUAUAAUAAGUUAUCUUUUAAUUACAGAUGAAAAGAAAAAAGAAAAGACUCUCACAUCUAGUUUCCCCAGAAGCACCCCUUUGGAAGAAGGGUGUUGUUGAAGCAACUCAUUUUCAGAUUAAACCAGUCUUUUGUUUUGUUCCUCCUCAGAAACAAAAGCAUGAGCUGGGGCAACCAUUUUCUUUUCUCACAGGAAAUGAAGAACAAGAAGAACACUGCAAUUUAAAAGCAGGCUUUAAAUUUCAAAUACAAAAUAGAAAUCAUGACAGCAAAAGGGGAAAAACAAAAUGCAAAAAGACCUCACCAGUAGUAGGAUACAAAGGAUGAGAGAGAGAGAGGAAGGAGGGUUAUGUUAAAAAUGAAAUGAAUACAGUGGAAGCAGAGCACAUCUAUCAAAUAUUCUUUAAAAACACACUAGCUACAUCACCGACGUUUCAAAAUCAAGGUAACUUUUUAUCCUGUUCAGAAAAAAAUUUCAAAGUGUGAGUAGGACUGAGGUUGUCUUAACUACGUAAAUUGGUUUUCCCUCUUAAAAUCUUCAUUUUUAUAUUCCUUUUAAUUGAACACAAUUUUAAGAGGGCUAACUCAUUUACGCAGUUAAGACAACCUCAAUCCAACUCUCACAUUUUGAAUUUUUUUUCUGAAUAGGACAAAAAGUUGCCUUGAUUUUGAAACAUCGGUGAUAUAGCUGGUGUUUUUAAAGAAAUAAUAUAGAUGUGCUUUGCCUCUGCUGUAUUCGUUCCAUUUUUCAUAAAAUCCUCCUUCCCCUCUCUCUCAUCCUUUGUAUCCUAGUACUGGUGAGGUCUUUUUGCACUUUGUUUUUCCCUUUUUGCUCUCAUGAUUUCUUAUUUUGUUUAUGAGAUUUAAAGCCUGGCUUUAAAAUUACAGUGUUCUUCUAGUUCUUCAUCUGCUGCAAGAAAAGGAAAUGGCUGCCCCGGCUCAUGCUUUUGUUACUAAGGAGGAACAAAAUAAAAGAUUGUUCGAAUCUGAAAAUGAGUUGCUUCAAUAGCACCCUUCUUCUAAAAUGUUGCUUCUAGGGAAACUAGAUGUGAGAGCCUUUUCUUUUCUCUUUCCAUCUGUUUAUCUACUUAAACCUGAGAAGCGAAAAGUAAAUAAAAAAGGGGCCUCAAUUAGAGUUAUGCAAGUUUUUGUACUGUAGGGAUUAUCGAUGUGGAAAUCUAUAUAUUAUUUAUUCAUGUAUUAACGUAUUGCUUGGUAGUUGAUUUAGCAUUGAGUUAUGCAGGUAAUUAAGUCCUCCAUAGUUAAUAUUCAAAUAUUAGUAGUUGGUUUAGCCUACGUUUACUCCUAUUAACAUAGAAUAACCCUCGAAACCCCAAAGAAGGCCCAUAAAAACCUAUCUACCAAAUAGAUGGCUCUGUAGCCUUUCUCAACUAGUUUGAUGGCCUGCUUGUAGGGCCCAAAUAUGGAAGAACAUAGUUAUGCUAUUCAACAAAAUUAUAGUAGUACUACUGGGACUUUGCAUUAAAAAGGAAAAAUAAGUUGUCUAGUAAAGUGAGAAUCCUUCAAGUUUUUAAAAUUAGGUGGGAGGGACAAAAAUUUUUUGAAUAUUUUUUUUUAGUUUUUUGUUCCAACAACUUCUCCCAGUUGUCAAAAAACUUUGAUAGUUGUUCAAAAACUUCUAGCAGUUGUUCAACAACUAUCAAAGUUGUUCGAUAACUGCGCUAAGUUGUUCAACAACUAGGCGAAGUUGUUCGGCAACUGGGAGAAGUUCAACAACUAUGUGAAGUUGUUGAGACAACUAAUGUAGUUGUCGAACAACACCAGUUGUUCAAAUGACUUCAUUUUUUUAAAAGGGACAAGUUGUGGGACCCACUUUUUCCCUUUUCUUACUUCGAAACGUGGGAGGUCUAUUGAUUCAUUUUUCACACUUAAGUAUUUAAAUUGUAUAUAUCAUGAACUAGUUAGCUUAUAUUUGGGUUGUAAAUUGUAAUAUUAAGUGUAGAGAUAGUCCUAUAUACAUUUAGUACGUCAAAGAAAGCUACUCGCAAACAUUGUGCAAUUCAAUUUGUCGCAAGAAACACUUAAUCAUCACGUAAAUACUUAUUGGUUCCGAAUAUUUAACCCUAAUCAAUGAUUUUAAUACUAAUGAAUUAAGAAUAUAAGAUCAUUCAAUCAUGAUAACAAAAAUAAUUUAUAAAAGAUAUUAUCUUGUAAUAGUGGGUAUAAGGAGAGGUAGAUGUAGGCUAAGGAGGUCUUGGUAAAGGUGAUUAGAUUAGGUACGUGUAGCUUUUCGAGGAUAUGAUCUAGAUAUAAAAAUGCGGAGAUCAAGGAUGUGGUUAGUGGGUGGAUGAGCGCUGUCUAAUUUCUCUAUUAAGUAGUAAUUUUUUUAUUACUUUCAUACUAUCUUAUUCUUCUAUAUUAGAAUAAUUUGUUUGCUUUUAGUUCAGUUAUCAUAUUAAUUGUUUGUCGUUGCUACCAUUUUCAGAUUUACUAUUUUAUUUGUCUUACAUGCCUAAUUUUGUUUUAUAUGUUUUACUUGAGUUGAGAGUCGAGAGUCAAUCGAGAACAACCUCUCUAUCUUCACAAGGCAGAAGUACAUGUCCAUACUACCUCUCCAAACUCCAUGUGUAAUAUUAUGAAUGUUAUUAUUGUAUAUAUCUUGAAUAGAUUGAUCAAAUGUAAAUACCCGAUGUUGAGGUAUACUUAUACCCAUGGGCAUAGGGAUGGUCUUAGAAAAAGGGUGAUUUGAUGCACAUCUUUUAUCAAAAUAUUAUAUAGUGUACAAAGGCUUAAUAUUAGCUAUAAUACAUCUAUAUUAAAUUUAGUACAUACUUAACACAACUAAAAAGAAAAUAUGCACACUCCUCAUCAAAUUUCUGACAACGAUACUGCUACUACCUCAACUAUGAACGUGUAAAGAUGACGCCAUAUAGCAUUUGUCAUCUGCAUGAUGCCCAAACUCUUUUAUCACUGGACCUACCCAACCUGUCACCUCAUUUUCUGCUUUUAUAAUUGCAUAUCCUUCCAAAUUUCGUACACCAUCCAUUUCAUUUUAAUUAGAUUAAAAAUAACUAUUUUAAUUUAUUUGUGUAAUUUAUAAAAUUAUAANNNNNNNNNNNNNNNNNNNNNNNNNNNNNNNNNNNNNNNNNNNNNNNNNNNNNNNNNNNNNNNNNNNNNNNNNNNNNNNNNNNNNNNNNNNNNNNNNNNNNNNNNNNNNNNNNNNNNNNNNNNNNNNNNNNNNNNNNNNNNNNNNNNNNNNNNNNNNNNNNNNNNNNNNNNNNNNNNNNNNNNNNNNNNNNNNNNNNNNNNNNNNNNNNNNNNNNNNNNNNNNNNNNNNNNNNNNNNNNNNNNNNNNNNNNNNNNNNNNNNNNNNNNNNNNNNNUUAAAUAUAUUUUAUUAAAAUUUUUAUAAUUAUUAAAGUUCUUAAUCACAUAAUUGGAUAAGUUUUUUAAAAAAUUAUUUGUAUGGAAGGAAGUAUUACUGGAGAAUUAGAAUAUAAAAUAACAUGAUACAACAACAACAAUAACAACAUACCCAGUGGAUUCCCACAUAGAGGGGUCUGGGGAGGGUAGAGUGUACGCAGAUCAUAUCACUACCUAAGAUGAAGUAAAGAGUCUGUUUCCGACAGACCCUCGGCUUAGGACCGAUAGCAGUAUAAUAAACACAAAACAUAAAUGUAUAAAAACUAGUACAGUCUGCAAACUAAACUAACGUCACUAGCUAUAAGAUAAUAGUUAUACUACAGUCACAAAAUAAUACUAAAACUAUCUAUCCGAAAUCAUACACAUCACUCAACACCACGAACAAGAAACUUCAAGCACAAAUAAAGAAUGCUCCCCUAUUAUUACCGACACACUCUCAACCCCUAACCCUCUACUCUAAUCAGCAUUCUCCACACCUUCCUCAUCACAUCCCUCUAAUAUUUGUUCAGUGUACCUCUACCCUACCUAAAAUCAUCCAUAGCCAGUGUCUCACACCUCCGCACUAGAGCAUCAGAGCCCCUCUUCAUCACAUGCUGUCACCAACGUUACCUUACUUCUCGUAUCUUGUCCUCCACCGAGGCCACUCCUACCUCUCCCGAAUAAUCUCAUUUCUUACCUUAUCUUUUCUAGUAUGGCCACACAUCCAUCGUAAUAUUCUCAUCUCCGCCACCUUCAAAUUAUGGAUGUGGGAGUUCUUAACUGGCCAAUACUCUCCAUAAAACAUAGUCGGCCUGACUACUAAUCUGUAGAACUUCCCUUUAAGCUUCGGGGGCAUCUUCUUAUCUUAUAAAACUCCCAAAGCGAGCCUUCAUUUAAACCAUCCAAUCCCAAUAUUAUGUGUGACAUCAACGUCAAUCUCACCAUUGCCUUAAAUCAUAGACCCAAGAUACUUGAAACUCUCCUUCUUUUGAAUGGCCUGAGAGUCUAGCUUCACAACUAUGUCAGCAUCCUAUGACACAUCACUAAACAUACACUUCAAGUACUCCGCCUUGGUCGUGCUUAACCGAAAUCCUUUAGACUCAAGGGUCUGUCUCAAAAUCUCCAACUUAUCAUUAACUCCUCCCCGAGUCUUGUUAAGAAGUACCACAUUAUCAGCAAAUAACAUACACCAAGGCACCUCAUCUUGAAUAUGUCUUGUCAAAACAUUCAUCACCAAGGUAAAUAAAAAAGGGCUAAGAGUCAAACCCUGAUACAACCCUACCAAAAUAAAAAAAUGCUUUGAAUCUCCACCUACCGUCCUCACCCGAGUCUUUGCGCCAUCAUACAUUUCCUAAAUCAACCAAGUGUAUGCAACAGGCACCUCUCUAGUCUCCAAACACCUCCAGAGAAUCUCCUUGGGAACUCUAUCAUAAGCCUUCUCAAGAUCAGUAAAUACCAUGUGAAAGUCCUUCUUCAUCUCCCAAAAUUGUUCCACUAAUCUCCUCAUAAGGUGAACGGCCUCAGUAGUCGAGCGACCUAGCAUGAAAUCAAACUGAUUAUCAGACAUAAUCACGCUCCUUCUCAGCCUUAACUCUACCACCCUUUCCCAAAUCUUCAUAGUAUGACUCAACAACUUAAUACCUCUAUAGUUGUUGCAACUUUGGAUGUCUCCCUUGUUCUUUUACAAUGGAAUAAUUGUACUCCACCUCCACGGUUCAGGCAUCCUUCCCACCCUAAAAAUGAUGUUAAGAACCUUGUCAACCACUCCAAACUUGCCCUGCCAGUGCGUUCCAAAAAUCCACUGAAAUCUCAUCUGGCCCCAUCGUCCUACAUCAACGCAUCCUGUGAAUAGCCUUCUUAACCUCCUUAACCUCGAUAGGACUACAAUAACCAUAGUCGUGACACUCCUCAAAAUUCUCCAAGUCCCCAAACACGAAACCUUGGUCCCCCUUAUCAUUCAAAAGUUUAUGAAAAUAGGACUGCCACCUUUUUUUAAUGAGGGCAUCCUCAACCUUGAUGCACUUAUCCCUAUCUUUCUUCUUUAAAGCCGCAUACAAGCUCUAAAAAGAUGUCAUUUUAGCCACUGUAACCGCUAACUUAGCCUCUCACCUAGCUAUCUCUUAUACUCUUUCUUAUUCGUCCGUCUCUCUUGAUCAUUCUUGCUCUCAACCAAUUUAGCAUAAGCCACCUUCUUAGACUCCACCUUUCACAUAUAUAUUCAUUCCACCACUAUUCCCCUCGAUGUUUGCCAAAUUGACCUCUCAAGAAACUAAUACCUCUCUAGCGAUCACCCUAAUGCAACUGGCAAUCGUCUCCCACAUACUAUCCGUAUCCCCUCUACUCUUCCAAGCCCCCAGCUUCUUAACUUCUCUCCCAUCUUUAAAGCAUUAGCCAAAGUCAAGCUAACCCACUUAAUCUUGGGCCGAACCUCUACACUCCUCUUCUUUCAGCCCUUAUUGAUUACCAAGUUCAUCACCAACAACCUAUGUUUAGUCAAAAGAUUAUCUAUAGGUUUGACUUUACAAUCUUUACAUAGUGUUCUAUCACUCUUCUCAAGGAGCUAAAAGUCUAUCUGAGUCUUGGCCACUUAACUAUGAAACAUUUCGAAAAUCUCAAAUUCGUUAUCCACAACCCAAAAUCCCUAGAAAAUCCAAAAGAGAAGCACUUCCUUUAUUCCUCUACCCAAAAUCAAAAUCUCCAUGUACAUCAUCAUAACCUCUCGACGAAGACCCAAUAUGCCCAUUGAAGUCUCCUCUAACGAAAUGUUUCUCAGUGCUCGGGAUGCCCCUUACCAUCUCAUUCAAAACCUCCAAAAGCGCUUCUUCUCUUCCUCGUCCAAACCUAAUUGCGGAGCAUAAACACUAAUAACAUUCACCGUAGUUCCUCCCAUGACCAACUUAAUAGACAUCAACCUAUCACUGACUCUUUUAACCUAUACCACCUGCUCCCUAAUUUCUUCAUCUACUAAGAUACCUACCCUAUUUUUUUGUCUCAUGCUACCCGAGUACCAUAACUUAUAUCCAUCCACAUCUCUCACCUUAGUGCCUACCAUUUACUUUCCUAGACACACGUUAUACUAACCCUCCAUUUUCCAAGAAUCUUCAUCAGCUCUAUAGACUUACCUUGAAGCGUCUCUAUGUUCCAGGAUUCAACUUUCAACGUAUGAUCACCCUUAUCCAACUUAGCCUACUAUCCCUCGCCCUCAACCCAAGACUAAAACCUAGACUCGACCCCAACCCCAACCCCAACUUCAAUCAAUGACAUGACCCUAGUCCAUCAUAUAUCACCCCAACCACCACUCAAAAGGAUACAAUAGAAGAAAAUAAAGAAAAAAGCUGAAAAACAUGAUGAGCAAAAGAGUAUGACUAAAAAUAGCUAAAUCAGCAAACAAAAACUGGUAAGCAGGAUUGAUACUCAAAAGCAACAACAAGUACUAUUCUACUCACUAGAAACAAACACCUACUAAGUUACAGAGAAACCGUAACCAAUAAUCCCAGAGGAAUACUUAAAAAAAUCAAAUAAAAAUCAGGAUAGAAAAGAGACAAGAAGCAUAUACCAAAUAAACUAGAGAAGACUGAAAUGAGUGCACCUAAUACAGGGAGAAGACACAGUGAAAGGCGUUUUCCUGAUCGUUUUGUCGAAUUCCAGUAAAUUGGUGCAGAAAUUGGUCAGCAGAAUUUGUUGCGACCACCUUUACCCUACUGCUGGUACCACAUCCCUAUACUUGGAGGCCGGAGAAUGUGCUAGUCGUGAAAAAAAUUAGCAAGACACCGGAAUCUUGAUGUCACCGCCUGAAGUAUGGAUCUGAACUUGAAGUACCUAAAAAGGGUUAUAAAGAAAAUAAAAGAGAAGAAAAGAAAAGUGACGAUCAAAUUGCCAAAAAUUGACAUCACUCACCAAAAACUGAUGCGUUUGUUGGGCCACAGAGAUAGGCCACUGAAAAGGUCGCUGUCGUUUUAAUGGUGGGCGUAAUAAGUGAGAGAGAAAAAGACGACGAUUAUGCCAGAAUCUGAUGGGGUCGGCGAAACUGAUAGGGUCGUCGGGACGUGUUUAUGGUGGACGACACAAGUAAUUUACCGGCGGCAGAUUAGUAGUUCUCUGCUAUCGCCAGAAUCUUCAAGACACGAAGAGAUAGGUUAAUUUCUUCGUCGCCAUCGAUUGAAAAAUUGCAAGAUGCUAAACCCUCAGCAUAUAUGACAACUACUAAUGUCAUCAAUUUAACUUGAAACGCCCGUUCAAUAAAAUAACAUGUCAAUAUUUUAAUAAUUACAGAUCCAUUCCGAUUAAAAAUAGAAAAAUAUUGAUUUUAAUGAAUUUAUGGGUACAAAAUUUCUCAGUUAUAAAUAGAAAUAAAUUUAUUUUAAUAUUUAUUAUUUUAUUUUCACCUAUAAUUUCAUGUGACAAGAGUUGCAAAUUUCAUUGUUUUCAUCUAAUACAACAAAGUAUUUCAAUCACUUCAUGUAUAUAUAAAAAUAGUUACAACAUUAAUUUAGAAUCUUUACACAAACUAACUUAAUCGUGAUCCAUAAGGAUAUUAAAUAAUAAUUAAAUUAGAUUAACCGAUUAUUCCAUUCUAUCCAUCUACUUAUCGUGUUAAUCUUUUAAACACCCUUUAAAAAUAUUCUAUUUAUUCUACUCUAAUUAUUGAUUUAUCCUUUUUCAUGUUUGCUUAGAAAAAUAAUAAAGGCAUUGUAAUAUUAUUGAUUAAGUUAUCCUAUUUAAUACUCCCUCCGUUUCACAAUAAGUGAAUUAUUGAAGCAAUUUUAGUGUUUCAAAAUAAGUGAAUGAUUCACAAUUCAAGGUAGAUGUUGAAAUUUUUUUUCAAAUUUACCCUCCAUUAAAUGUGCACCGGGAGUGAUGUAUUACUUAUCGUGUUAAUUUUUUAAACACCCUUUAAAAAUGUUCUAUUCAUUCUACUCUAAUUAUUGAUUUAUCCUUUUUCAUGUUUGCUUAGAAAAAUAAUAAAGGCAUUGUAAUAUUUAUUAUUGAUUAAGUUAUCCUCUUUAAUACUCCCUCCGUUUUACAAUAAGUGAAUUAUUGAAGCAAUUUUAGUGUUUCAAAAUAAGUGAAUGAUUCACAAUUCAAGGUAGAUGUUUGAAUUUUUUCCAAAUUUACCCUCCAUUAAAUGUGCACUAGGACUGAUGUAUCAUGUUUCAUUGCUUUUUAAAGAGGGUAAAAAUGAAAAAACAUGAUAAAUUUAUGUCUUUGGUUUUUUUUUUCUUAACAUGUGUGCCGAAAUUCAAUAAUUAACUUAUUGUGGAACGGAGGGAGUACUAUAUUUUUUUUUUAAGAAGUGAACAUCAGUGACUAUAAGGGUGUAGUUGAAAAUUAUUACUAACUUUAAUUUUAUGUGAAAAUUUAUUUCUAAAUAAUUUUUUUGAGCAAAAAUAAUUAUUAAUUUAAAAUGAAGGAAGUUUUAAUAAAAAGACAACCUGUGGCAAGAAAAAAUCAGUUACAAAUACACAAGAUGAAAUGGUCUUAACAAAGGGAAUAAGGACAAAAAUAAAAAUAUUUAGCAAUAGAACAUCAUCAAUCCUUGUGAGGACUACCGAAAAUUGAGAUCCUCCCUUAUAUAUAAUAGUAAAUUGUAUUCUUUUUUCAUAUUGUUAACACUGUUUGCAAUAAAGAUUACAAUGAAAGAAACAAAUUGCAAUCACAAUGCAAAUAAAAUAUGAAAAAAUAAGAAUUUUAUUGAUAAAUGAUAUGGAUAUAAUUCUGUUACUCCCUUGAUUCUUCUUUCUUUAUUUUCCUCCAUAAUUCGAGGAUCAUUAGUAGCGUAUUUCUUGAAUGUAGAAAGAUUUAAAUUUGAUAUGAAUUUUUAUCGUAUUUCUCGAAUGUAAAAAGAUUUGAAUUUGAUAUGAUUUUUUUUGUAAUUCAAGGGUCGUUAGUAGCAUAUUUCUUGAAUAUAAGAAGAUUUAGAUUUGAUAUGGAUUUUCUUUGUAACUCGAAGGCCGUUAAUAACAUAUUUCUUGAACGUAGAAAUGCUUGAAUUUGAUCUCCAUAAAAGAAGAGUUUGGUUUGGCGUAAAGUAACCCCUAAUAACUCUAACAUAAUUGAAUUCUUAUUAUAGAGUUCACAAAAUUAUGAUGUCUAUAAACGCUUUGUAUUGUCAGACGUUAUGACUACAAAAUCCUUUGCUAAAAUGUCAAAAUACAAUUAUUUUUAUUCUUUGAGAUGAUGAAUGAAGUACGUGUUAAUUUAGUAGAGUCCCUUAGCUCAAGUCAAUUUUGCGGCGUACCAUGAAAUCAGAAAACUACAUCAAGCUAGAAGAAGAGAAAAGCAAUAACAAAAAUACCAUAUUUAGCACAUUUUCAUAGCUCGAACUCGUGACCCCCUGAUCACAUGGAGGGAACUAUCCACAAUAAUUCAAAAAAAUACUUCUCAUAGAUAAUCCCAAAAUCUCAAGCAAGACUAAAUCUUUUAAGAAUUUUACUACACACAAAGACAAAAACAAAGGGCAGUCCGGUGCACUAAGCUCCCGUUAUGUGCUGAGUCCAGGAAAAAAUUGGACCACAAAGGUCUAUUAUACACAGUCUUUCCACUGUGGACCCCUCUUUCCGUAGCUCGGACCUAUGAUCUUCUGGUCACACGACAAUAACUUUACCAGUUACGACAAGACUCCUUAUCUUACACACAAAAAUAACAUUUUUAAAAAUGAAAUCUUUAGCAAUUUUUUAAAAUUCUUUCUACCCAAAUUUCCAAGAUAAGCUAAAAUAUAACACUGAUAACAUAUGGUUAAAUAAACAAUAAGAAAAAAAUGCAAACUACCCAAAAAAAUUCAGGCAAAUAAAACUUGUAAUACAUCAAGAUUAAUUUUGAACAAUAGCUUAAAAAAAAUCUCACUUUCUCACAACUGAAUAAUUAAAUUCCAACUUUGCCUUAACAUUAUGUCUCCAUUGAUGAUGGAUACUGUAGCAUUAAGAGCCAAUUUCUUUCCUUUUCUGGUAGUUGGUCAGUAUUUGAGCAGUAUCAUCUUCUAAAAAAAUGAACAGGAUAAUAUCACUUUAGCCCCCAAAAGAUCUAGCUAGGUGGGAGUAACACUGAAAACACAUCAAAAAGAUAUACUUCCUCGGUUGUAUUUUAUGCGGCAUAUUUUGAUCGGGCACAAAGUUUAAGAAGGAAUGACAAUUGUCCUUUAUUAAAAAAUAUAUUACUACUAUCUUUAAUUAAAUGAAACUAAUAAGGAUAAAAGUAAAAUUGUAUCUUUAAAUAGUUACUAAAUAAUGAAAUAUGACAUUCUUUUUGGGACGGACAAAAAGAAAAUGACGACAUAUAAAAUAGGGCAGAGGAAGUAUGUUAAUACUAAAAGGGUAGCUUCAUGUGGCAGUGGAUUUAUGUUAAUACUAAAAGGGCAGCUCGGUGUACUAAAGCUUCUUGCUAUAAGGGACUGCAGAGAAGGGCUGGACUGCAAGAAUUUUAUUGUGCACAACAUUAUCUUGCAUUUCUGACAGAGGCUGUUUCUAUGACUUGAACUCGUGACUUCCCAAUCACAUGACAAUAAUUUUAUCAGUUACUCUAAAACUCCCCUUCAUAUUUUUUUUUUGAUUUGAUAAAAAUAUUAAAGAUACGUAAAAUAUAAAAGAUACACAUAUAAUUCUUUCUGCAAACCCACUUAUAUGGAGUAAUAAAAACUUAUAAGGUAUCAAAAAUGAUAUAUGCAUGGGAUUUCCCUUUUGGUUAAAGUUUUAACAGGUUAAUUUCGUGUAUAAUUGUAGACUUUUACUCAUUAAUGACAAAAUUAUUGAACUUUACCUCUUUAAUAAAGUAGUAGAUUUAAAGGCAUUGAAAAUCAUUAAUGAGUUUUUAUUAUGUGUUUAUAUAUAUUGAGUACAAGAAGUGAUAGACAUAUCUAAAACUAAAUCAAUCAAUUAGAAAAACAAUUUCUAUUCCAAUGGAGAACUUCCUCCAUGUUCACCUUUUGAUUUCAAUUAUUUUCUCAAUUUUGCUUGUAAUUAUAUGCAAUGAACAUUCUUUUUCAUCCCUUAACACCAGUACGAAGCUUCCCGAUCCUCCGAUGCCAUCCUAUACACUCACCAUUUACAAUCUCUAUUUAUUUGAAAAGUCAAAAUUCAAGGACUAUGACUCGUUUCUUAGAAAUAGGUUUGCCGGUUGUCAAGCUAGAGCAAAUCAUUUAGCAUCGGUUCUUGAAAAUGGUGACGCGAUUAGUACGAAUGGAACUCUGGUAAGGCCACACGAUGAGCAUGAGAGUAAAGUGGCAAACGAAAAGGUUCUGGUAACAACAAGUAUACAUUUCAUAUGUCAGUAUGUUGUAUCUUUUACUCUGGUUUUUUUGGUUUCCCAUCCGGCACCUGGUGCCCGCAUUGGAGCUUCGACUAAUCUGGAUACACGUUGCAAGGCCCAUUAAGAUGGCAGCGCUCCCAACAAAAUUUUCUCCUGAGGGUGGAGCAGCCUCAUCCACUACACUACAACCCAUAUUGGUGCAUCUUUUACUCAUUGAACAAGUUAAAAGUUACUUGCUAAUAGACACUGGUAGUGAUUUAGUUUGGUGGAAAUGUGGACCAUGUAAUGCAAAUGGAUGUUACAAACAGAUAAAUAAUCCUUUAUAUGUUUCAACUAAUUCAAAAACAUAUCGAAAGCUCGAUUUCCUUGUAGAAAGUAGAAACUGUGAAAUCACGAAUAAGGAAUAUGAUUGUAGUCUGUAUGGUAAUACGUGUAUGUAUAAUUACAAAUAUGUCAAUGGAUCAAGAACAAGAGGCUGGAUCGCACACGACGUGAUUACUUUUGUUUUAGGCCAAAGCAGGUAAGCAUUGUUUUUUGAUGUGGCAAAGAUGAAACUCAUGGAAAGCCUUUUAGUGGUCAAUUUUCUGGAAUUGCUAUCCUCGGACGUAAUGGGUGGUGGAAAUCAUUUAGCAUCGCAAUUUGAAGCUGACAUAAUGUCCAUGUUCCUACCGGGAGCUAUCUCCACAAAAGGAUCAACACUUUACUUCCACACAAUGCCAUUUAAGAAAACAACAUCAGCAAUGCUAUUACAUGAUUUCAGAUUCCUUUCCGUUUACUUCGUCAACCUUUAUAAAGUUUUCAUUAAUGAUAGGGAAGUCCCGAUGUUCCCAUCAUUGUCGAGGAAUUUUAUAAAUUAUACCACAAGCGGUAGCUGCAUCGUGGACACAGGAACAUUUAUUUCCCAUUUUCCUCAUGAUUUUUAUAUUGUAUAUUACACAUUCAGAUAACAAGUACGUGGUAUUCCUAUGGUUAAUGUUCCACCUGGAUCAGUUUAUGACACUUGCUAUAAAGUGGAUACAACUGGUCUGGAUCCAUAUUUCCCCAUUGUGACCAACCAAAUGGCCUCUCCGACACUAACAACCCAUACUCCCCUUUGCCUCAGCCUGCCUGGGAGCACUUGGUCCAUUUUCUACCAAAAACAUACACGGUCAUUGGGGCCACCCCCAGAACUGUGAGCUAUAGCACACUGAUUUAGCCCAAGAAUGGCCUAUUUGUGUCGUUUCACUUUUUUGACCACCCAAAUAGCCCAACCGACCCCAACGACCCACACUAUCCCACUUUUAAGCCUGCCUUGGUGCCUCUGGUCGAUUUUUAGACUAAAAAAGCUCAAGCCCUAAGCCAACCCCUAAAACCGUGAGUUAUAGCACGUCUAUUUUGCCGCCAAAAUUGUAUAUUUUUGACAUUUUGCCUGUUUGACCACCCAAAUAGCCCCACCGACCCAAAUGACCCACUUUUCCAUUCAUCAGUCUACUUGAAGCCUUGAUCUAGUUUUGACCCAAAACACACCUAAACCCCAGGUCCACCCAGAACUGUGAGCUAUAGCACACUGACUAUCACUGAAAAUGACCCAUUCGCGUUGAUAUUCCAGUUUGACUACCCAAACAGCCCCGUUGACCCCUACGACCAAUACUUUUCCGCUCUUCAGCCUACCUGAGAGCCCCCAAUUGACUUUUAACCUAAAAUAUGCCUAGGACCACCCCAAAAUCAUGAGCUAUAGCUCACCAAUUUGGCCUAAAAAUGGCCCGUUUAUACCGUUUUGCUCAUUUGACCAACUGAACGAUCUCGCUGAUCUCAAUGACCCACAAUGCCCCGCUCCUCGGCCUGCUUGGGAGCCCUCAAUCGAUUUUUGACCUAAAAAACAUUUGUUCUCUGGGCCAACCCCCAGAAUUGUGUGCUAUAACACACCGACUUGGCUUGAAAAUGGCCUGUUCGUAUCAUUUUGCCUGUUUAAUAACCCAAAUGGCCCUGCCGACCCCAACGGCCCACACUCCCCGCUUUUCAGCCAACCUGGGACCCGCGAUCAAUUUUUAGUCAAAAACACGUGUGGGCCUUGGGCACACCCUCUGAACCUUAAGGUAUAGCACCCCAAUUUUGCCAAAAAAAUAGCCCAUUCAUACCGUUUCAUCCGCUUGAUCACACAAACGGCCCUUCGCCACCCAACAACCCUCACUCUUCUACUUAUUAGCCUGCCUAGGAUCCUCUGGCUUAUUUUCAGCCUAAAACACGCCUACGCCCUGGGGCCAGUCUCGGAAUCGUGAGCUAUAACACACCGAUUUGGCCUAAAAAUAGUUCAUUCAUGCCAUUUCACCCGUUUGACUACGCAAACGGACCCACUAACCCCAAGGACCUAUACUCCCCCGCUCUUCAGCCUGCUUGGGAGCCUUCGAUCAAUUUUUAGACUAAAACACACCUGAGCCCCGGUCCCACCUCUAGAACCAUGAGUUAUAGCGCAAUUAUUUGGCCUAAAAAUAGGAUGUUCACACUGUAUCACCCAUUUGACCACCCAAAUAGCCUCGAGGAAUUUUUGGACAAAACAUGGUAGGAACUCGGGUGGGACUCUCAGAACCGUGAGCUAUAUCACAUCGAUUUAUCCCAAAAAUGGCCCGUUUAUGUUGUUUCGCCUGUUUGACCACCUAAACAACCCCACCGACCCCAACAGCCCAUACUUCCUCACUUAUAAGCCUGCCUGGGAGCCCCUAAUCGAUUUUUAGCCCAAAUACGCCCAGUCUCCAAGCACACCCCAGAACUGUGAGCUAUAGCACAUUAAUUAGGCUCGAAAAAUGGCCCGUUGGCAUAGUUUUGGUUGUUUGAUCAUAAAAACAACCCCGUCGACCCGAACAACCCUGACUCCCUCACUCCUCAACCCACCGAGGUGCCCCUAAUUGAUAUUUGGCCCAAAAAAUACGACCAAACACUGGCAUACUCCUAGAAUCGUGAGUAAAGCAUACCAAUUUAGCCCAAAAAUGGUCCAUUUACCCGAUUCACCCUUUUGACCCCCCCAAAUAGCCCCAUCAACCCCAACCACCCACACUCUCCCGCUCCUCAGUCUGCCCGAAAGCCCUCGAUUGAUUUUUGACCCAAACCACGCCCGGUCCCUUCACUCACCUUUGAAAUCGUGGGCUAUAUCACAUUGAUUUUGCUCAGAAUUAGUCCGUUCGCGCCUUUUUGCCUAUUUGACCAACCAAAUAGCCCUACCGACCACUGUCGACCCCAACGACCCAUACACCCCUGUUCCACAGCAUGCCUGGGAGCCUCCAGUUAAUUUUCAGCCUAAAACAUGCCUGGGCGCCAGUCUCACCUACAAAACCGUAAGCUAUAGAACACCAAUUUGACAAGAAAAUGGUUUGUUCGUGCUAUUUCACUCGUUUUACCACUCAAAUGGCCCCGCCAACCCAAAUAACCCACACUUUCUCGCUCCUCAGCCUGCCUAGGACCCCUAGUAAAUUUUUUUCCCAAACCAUGCCCGAGCCCUAGUCUCACUCCCAAAACUAUGAUAUAUAACACAUCGGUUUGGCCUAAAAAUGCUUUAUGCGUGCCAUUCAGCCCGUUUGAUCACUCAAACAGCCCCGUCGAACCCAAUGACCCAUAUUUUCUCACUCCUCUUGCUGUCUGGAAGCCCUCGACCAAUUCUUAACCUAAAAAAGGCUCAAUCCCCAAGCCCUCCCUCAAAACCGUGGGUUAUAGCUCACCUACCGUUUUGUUCGUUUGACCAACGAAACGGUACCGCUAACCAUAACGACCCAUAAUUCCCCGCUCCUCGGCCUACUUAGGACCCCUCAAUCGAUUUUUGACCAAAACACAUUUAGGCUCUGAGCCAAUCCCCAAAAUUGUGAGCUAUAACACACCUAUUUGGCCCAAAAAUAACCCAUUCGUAUCAAUUUCCUUGUUUAAUAACCCAAACGGCCCCACCGGCCCCAAUAGCCCAUACUCUCCGCUUUUUAGCCAACCUAGGAGCCACGAUUAAUUUUCAGUCAAAAACGCACGUGGGCCUUGGGCACACCCUCUGAACCAUGAGGUAUAACACCCUAAUUUUGCCAAAAAAUAUCUUAUUUGCACCGUUUAAUCCGUUUGAUCACACAAACAGCCCAUCUCCACCAAACGGCCAACACUUUUCCUCUUAUUAGCCUGCCUAGGACCCUCUGGUGUAUUUUCAGCCUAAAACGCAGCUACGCCCUUGGCCCACACCCAAAAUCGUAAACUAUAACACACCAAUUUGUCCUAAAAAUGGUUUGUUCAUGCCAUUUCGCCCGUUUGACCACCCAAACAGCCCCACUGGCCCCAACGACCUAUACUCCCCUGCUCCUUGGCGUUCGUGGGAGCCUCCGUUCAAUUUUUAGACUAAAACACACCUCAGCCCCGGGCCCACCCCCAGAACAAUGAGUUAUAGCACAAUGAUUUGGCCUGAAAAUAGCACGUUCAUGCCGUAUCACCCUUUUGACCACCCAAAUGGCCUCGGGAGACUCAGGUGGGACCCUCAGAACCGUGACCUAUCACAUCGAUUUGGCCUAAGAAUGGCCCAUUCAUGUUGUUCGCCUGUUUGAUCACCUAAACAGCCCCACUGACCCCAAUAACCCACACUCUCACACUUGUCAGCCUGCCUGGGAGCCCCCGAUAGAUUUUUGACCCAAACACGUCCAAUCCCCGAGCACACCCUAGAACCGUGAGCUAUAGCAGGCCGAUUAGACCCAAAAAAUGACCUGUUGGCGCAGUUUUGCUUGUUUGAUCACCCAAAUGGCCCCGUCGACCCAAAAAACCCUUACUCCCUUGCUCUUAAACCCAUCUGGGUGCCCCUAAUUGAUAUUUGGCCUAAAAAAUAUGACCAAACCCUUGCCCACUUUCGAAACUGUGAGGUAUAGCAUAAUAACUUAGCCCAAAAAUGGCCCGUUUAUGUCGAUUCACCCUUUUGGCCCCCCAAGCAUCCCCGUCGACCCCAACCACCCACACUCUCCCACUCCUCAGCCUGCUCAAGAGCCACCAAUCGAUUUUUGACCCAAACCACGCUUGGUCCCUUGACUCACCUUCGAGAUCCUGGGCUAUAUCACAGAAAAUUUGCUCAAAUAUGGUCCGUUUGCACCCUUUUGCCUAUUUGACAAACCAAAUAGCACUACCGACCACCGCCGACCCCAACGACCUACACACCCCUGUUCCACAAAAUUCUUGGGAGCCUCCGAUCAAUUUUCAGCAUUAAACAUACUUGGGCGCUAGGCUCACCUCCGAAACCAUGAGCUAUAGCACACCAACUUGGCCAGAAAAUGGUUUAUUCGUGCCGUUUCACUUAUUUUACCACUCAAAUAUCCCCACCAACUCCAACGACCCAUAAUUCCCCGCUCCUCAGCCUACCUAGGACCCUUGAUCAAUUUUUUCCCAAAACACUCCCGAGCCCUAGGCCCACUCCCAAAACUAUGAGAUAUAACACACCAAUUUGGCCUAAAAAUGUUUCAUUCGUGCCAUUCAGCCCGUUUGACCACUCAAACAGCCCCGUCGAACCCAAUGACCCAUAUUUUCCCUCUCCUCUUCCUGUCUGGGAACCCCCGACCAAUUUUUGACCAAAAAUAGGCUCAAGACCCAAGCCCAUCCUCAAUACCAUGAGCUAUAGCUCACCGAUUUAGCCAGAAAGUUACCCGUUCGUGCCGUUUCGCCUGUUUGACCACCCAAACAACCCUAUCGACCCCAACAGCCCUCUCAUCCUGUCUGGGAGACGUCGCUUGAUUUUCGAUCCAAAAUACGUAUGUGCCUUAGGCCCACCCCAAGAAUCGUGAGCUAUAACACAUUGAUUUGGCUUGAAAAUAGUCCGUUCACAUCAUUUAGCCCAUUUGACCACCCAAACGGCCCCACCGACCACAACAACCCACUCACCCCUUCUUUUUAGCCUUUCCGGGAGCCCUCAAUUGAUUUUCAGUCCAAAAUAUUUUUGAGUCCCGACUCCACCCCCAAAAUCGUGAGCAAUGACACACCGAUUUGGCCCAAAAAUGGUCUAUUUGCAUUGUUUCAUCUCGUUUGACCACCCAAACGGUUCCAUCGACCCAAAAGGACCAUACUCCCUCGCUUUUCAUCCUGGCUAGGAGCCCCCAGUCCUUUUUCAGGCCAAAACACACUGGGACCCUAGUCCUACCUCCAAAACCAUGAUUUAUAGCACACCGAUGCACUAGGAGUUCGUUAUAUGUUCGGUCCCGCUCAUGUUUCUUCGGUCCACCUCUACCCCACCUAAAACCAUCCAUAACCAGUAUUUCACAUAGCCGGUCGGACGACCACUCUGUAGAACUUAUCUUUAGUAUUCAAGUGCCUCUUCUAAUCACAUAGAACUCUCGAAGCGAGACUUCAUUUCAACCACCCUGCCCCAAUAUGAUGCGUUACAUCCUCGUUAAUCUCAGCAUUGCCCGGAAUGAACCUGACUCUGAUAUCAUAUUGAAGUGAGUGACCAUCUCAUCUAAAAGUUUAACUAUUAGAGAGAGUACACUUUUACUAUUUAAUUAUAUUCUCAACAGUUACUUAAUAUGCUAUUUUUGCAUUGAUCAAAUGAACUUUACGUGGCAUUCUAAAAUGAAGGAAGACACAAAAUUUUUCUUUCAAACAGUUCAAGAAAGAAUCUUUUGUCCUUUUGAAAAAGAGAAAUAAAGUCACAUUUGUUGGCUUGUUUUGUCCCUACAGUUGAACUAAGAGCACUUUGAGUUGAGGUUUUUUCUAUUAUUAAGGAUGUCCAAUUUUGGAAAAGUACUCUGCUUUCGUUUAAAAAGGAAUGGUAGACCAAACAACAUAUUAAUUUUAUAUAUUAUAUUAACUCCUAACUAGCUAUCAAACCUGGAAUUACUUAUGUAGGAUUCCUACAUAACUCGUUGCUAAGCCAGCUACCAAAUGACCCCUUAAUACCUUCUUUCUUUGUUCAUUGAGAAGACAAAGACCAAUAUAAGCAUAAUUUAAUUUAUGUGUAUAAUAUGUUCAGAACCAAGGUGCAGAAUAAAUACUUUACAUAAAUACAAAACUUCCUAAAUGAGUUGACCCAAUUGAUAUAAGCGGUAUGAUUCACUCAGCUCCUGAUUCAUCAAUUGAUGACCACCGUAUUUUUUCAUGAGAUCUAGCAGGUAGUUUUUUUUGUAUAACCUGAUUUUUUAUAACAAAAAUAAAAGUACCACUAAUGCCUCUGCAGCAACAAAAUCUUCUGAAGAAUCCAAUGAAAGUUGAGAGACUCUCUUCUCAGCGAUAGCUUUUGGUGAAUCUCUUGUUGAAAUUGAUUAAAAUUAUUCACUAUCAUUUUGACCUGUUUUGUCAUUUUUCUCAUUUUUAGUUCUUUUUAUAAAAGUCAUUAUUGGAUCUUUCGUAGCAAUUUAAGUGGUUGAUCUAAGAAUGGAGCAACUUUUUCAUGUGCAGCUUGCGGUUAAAGCUCACCAGUGUCGGCAUUUGUAGGCAACUUCAAACAUCCAGUUAAGGAUGGACCAGCUUCCUUCAAAAUAAACAAGAUUCAAGAUGGAUCAUUUUGACUAAUCCUUUUUCCCUAUCUAUGCGCAACGAACAUGUUGAUAAUAGUAGGUAUCAUAAUCUAGGUCCAAUUGCUAGGUUAGAUAGUAACUCAAGAAUCUUUUAUCAAUUCCCCUUUCUUAAGAACCCCAAAAAAUAAAUAACACUCGAGCAGAAAAAAGUAAACUCAGACACAACAAAUGUUGAUUGUAUGAGAGGUUAUAGAAAGUGGGGUUUGUAUAUAUACUUAAACUUAGGACCAAAAUUGGGGAAAAAAUUGAUUGACAUGAAUAAAUACUUCAAAUUGUAAUCUCCACUUGGAUUCACUCACAUUUAUUGCCUUUUUCUCAAAUUUUGGGUUUAAAAUCCUUAACUUUUUUCAAGGUGCUUGUGCUUUUAUCAUGUAUUGAUACUUGAAAAAUUAUGUUAUUUUGGCGUUGAACUAAUGAACUCUACGUGGACUAAUAAACUGAAGAAUGACACAAAAGUUUUGUUUCAAAUAGUUCAAGAAAGAAUGUUUUGUCUUUUUGAAACAAGGAAAUAGAGCCACAUUUCUUCCACUGAUUUGUCCACUCAUAGUGCUCUUGGUUUUCCCGCCUUCCACAAAAAACCUUGCAAUAGAGAUUUCCAAUUCAUCCUAGACAAUCUCAACACUAAGUUGGCUGGAUGGAAAACUAAAUUCCUCAAUAUAGCUGGCAGAAUCACCCUUACCAAGUCCUCCCUUGCUAGUAUUUCUGCUCAUGUCAUGUAAUUCAUUUUGAUCCCCACAAAAAUCCACUAAUUGAUUGACAGAACCCAAAAGUACUUUUUCGGGGGCACCACCCCUGAUAAUAAGAAAAUUUAUCUAAUCAAUUGGGAAACCUUGACUAAUGCUAAAGCUAAUGGGGGCCUGGGCUUCCAAAAAGCUUCCAUUAGGAACACCACUAUGUUAUCCAGUCUAGCUUGGAGACUUUAAAAGCAUCCCAACAGUCACUUGGAAAAAUUUUUGUUAAAUAAAUUAGCCCCCAUGGCAUAUUCAUCAAAGCCAACAACUUUAGAACUUGGAAAAGUGUCUUUGUGGGUUGGGAAAUUUGUAAAACUGCCUCCUCUUUGAAUAUCUAUAAGGAUGACAAGAUCAACUUCUGGAAGGAUAGAUGGAUGCCUCACUGUGAACUCCUUCUUUACGUCAUCCAAGACCUUCUUCCUUAUCAUUCCCAAGACAUUAAACACUCUGAGGUUUAGAGGAAUGGCUCCUGUAAUCUCAAGGAGCUUCCGAUUGAAAUCCCUAAGGAUGUCAUCCAAACUUUAACCAACUUUAUUUUCCCAAAUCCCAGAGCCCAUAUUGAUGAGCUCAUUUGGAAUCUCACUGGUAAUUGUCUGUUCUGCAGCAGAAAUGCUUAUAAUCAUAUAGCCAAAACCUCUGAGAUCAAUUACUCCUCUAAUUUCAACUGGAUAUGGAAGGCUAAAUCCCUUAAAAAUUUAAAACAUUUAUUUGUUUAAGCCAGCUUAAUAGGUUCCCCAAUAACCUUAACCUCUCCAAGAGAGGAGCGACACAAAAUACUAGUUGUGCUAUCUGAAAUCAUCACUAGGAAGAAAAAUCCCACAUUUUCUUUAAGUGUCCUAUCCUCAACGAUUUGGGAGUGCAAACUAUCAACAAGAUGACCCAGUCCAAACAACCUCCUAUUUCCAGUCUCCUACCCUCUUACUAGCACACUAUCUGGAGAUCUCUUCAACACUCCCAAUUCAACAGACUAAUCCACUGGCAUGACAUCAUUCCUUUUAACCUCUAGACACUCUGGAACACCAGGAACUCUAAUACCUUCAAGAAAAAAAGGGACCAUCCCAAUUUUAACCAUGCUUACUCCCAAACCGUUGAGUAUAAACAUCUUACUCAAAAGAAUACCCCAAUCAAGCAAAACCAAAUCAUCAACAUUAAGUGAAAUCCUCCCACCUGCCACACCUUAAAGCUCAAUACUGAUAAUUCUUGCCUUAGAAACCUCGGGAAGGGUGGAAUAGGAGGGGUAGUCAGAUCCAGUAAUGGAGGCUGAGUGUUAGGCUUUAACAAAAACUUUCACCGGACUACCAAAAACAUGGUAGAGCAAAAUAAUCUUCUCCCCACUGAAAUUAACUUUGAUUCCUUGGAAGUGAUAUCUAUGUUAACAAAUGGGAACCUCCACUAUGAUACUUUAAUUUCGGAAUGCAGGUCAAAAUUAAAAAGAAUAAGGAAUCCGAAAGUCAAGUACUGUUAUAGAGAACAAAAUGGAGUGGCGGAUGCUCUAGAAAAAUACAGAGCAAGGGCAAGCGGGUUUUAGGAGACUACCCUUUUUGAAGUUCCACCGAUAUGUGCAAAAGAUGCAGUUUUAGCAGACAUCUCAAAAACUUUUUGAGAGAACAAUUAGGAUGAUUUUAAUUGGCCAGGCCAGAACUAUUCCUUUUUGAACCCUGACUAAUCGUCAAAAAUUGAAACUUAAACUGNNNNNNNNNNNNNNNNNNNNNNNNNNNNNNNNNNNNNNNNNNNNNNNNNNNNNNNNNNNNNNNNNNNNNNNNNNNNNNNNNNNNNNNNNNNNNNNNNNNNNNNNNNNNNNNNNNNNNNNNNNNNNNNNNNNNNNNNNNNNNNNNNNNNNNNNNNNNNNNNNNNNNNNNNNNNNNNNNNNNNNNNNNNNNNNNNNNNNNNNNNNNNNNNNNNNNNNNNNNNNNNNNNNNNNNNNNNNNNNNNNNNNNNNNNNNNNNNNNNNNNNNNNNNNNNNNNNNNNNNNNNNNNNNNNNNNNNNNNNNNNNNNNNNNNNNNNNNNNNNNNNNNNNNNNNNNNNNNNNNNNNNNNNNNNNNNNNNNNNNNNUGAGACAAUACUAACACUAAUACUAAUACUAAUACUAAUACUAAUAUUAAUACUAAUAAAAAUAAUAACAUUUUAACUAUUUUUAUUUCACCACUAUUAGAUUGCAAUCCUAUUACUAUUACUAUUAUUAUUUGUUCAUUGUUAUUUGAGAUAAAUAUUAAGAUAAAUCGUGUAGCAAAAAAAUAAAAAUUGUGUGCCAUGAUUAUUAAUUUAGUACAUCUAAAUUAUAAGAUUAUCUUUGAAAGUAUGUUUUAUCUCCAAUUUAAAUUCAAAAAAAUUUGAUAGAAUAUCCAAUAUCUUAGAUGAGCAGUUAAAACCUUCAAUACAGGUCAGGCUCGUUGGGAUGGCCCGGCCCAGCCUGUAAUUUGAUAGGUUUGGGCUACAAUUUUUAUAGCCCAUUUAAGAAUAGGGCUUUUUAGCCGUUCAUGAAUAAGUCUAUUGACCCGUCGGCUUGAGCCAUAUGGGUUUGCGUGACCCGUGGGUCAAAUAAAAAAUAAAAAAAUAAAAUGUAGUACUAAAAAUAAAAAAAUGAGUCCAAACUCAAAGUUUAUAUGAACCAUCAUAUAUAUACUUAAAUAUUAAUUAUAUUUAAAGAAUAUAUAAAUAAUUUACAUAUAAAAUAUAAGUUUUUUAAGAAAUCAAAUAUGUUUGACGAAGAUGACGUGGCGAUGUUGAAUACACCAUAAAUGCCAUGAGAGUUUUCUUUAAAGUGUUUAUUUUACUUUUAAUGGACUAAACAUUGACAUUUCAUUGUGUUUUAUUUUGAUCAAUUAAAACAAAAUUAGGUUAAUAUUGUUAUUUAGCGAGUUAUAUUAUUACUCAUUAAUUAUUUUAUUUAUUUUUCAAUAUCUUUAUUUGAUUUUAUUGUAAAUAUUUAUGCAAUUAAUAUUUUAAAAUUUAAAUUAAGAUUAUAAAAAAAAUAUAUUUUAAAAAAUGGGCUGGCCCGUGGAGGCCCACAACCCAUAGUGUGACGGGUUGGGCUUGCUAUUUUCUAAUCUGUCAAGUUGAUGAGUUAGCCUGACCAAGCCCGUCAAACUCUAAAGCCUGUGUGAGCUAGCCCGGAUGAGCUGGUCUGAUCCAUAUUAACAACUUUAGGAGCAGUUAUAUAACAAUAAGAAUCUAAUUAGAACUAUUUAGUGUUAUAACUAUCUACUUAUAAUAUGUAAUUUUAUAUUUUUUAAAUAUUAUUUUAAAUUUAAAGUCAACAAUUUAUUUGUAACACCCCAAGAUCCCAUCCCGAGACGUCACACGGUGCUUAAGGCCACACGCGGCCUCAAGCUAACCCUCUAAACCUGUCAUCACAUCUAGAACUCACUUUGACAAUUGUCAUGCUAAUAUAAGAGAGAAUGACAUAUCAUAAACAUACUGAAAUUCUGUACAUACCAACCCUAUAGCCUGACAAAGCCUCUAUACAUCAAAAUCAAAGAGAUAUUGGGACAAACCCCCAACUGACUCAAAUAGUACUGUAAGCCAUAACAACAAAAUGGUAUCACAAAAUUAUAAACAUGAUCCUCGAACCAUGAGGACUCACCCCUGAGUAGAUGAAAAGAGGCACCCAAAAAUCGCUAACGUGGCUGAGUACCUAAACCUAUAUUAUAAGAAAAAGUAGCCCUUAUAAAAAUAUAUGGGUCAGCACUUUGGAAUGUACUGAGUAUGUGGGGGGCAUGCAACAAUGUAAAUAUCGUCAUCAAUUUCAUGAAAUUAUGCAUAUUUACAAUGAUGGCUCACUUGGAUUGAGUUAGAUUGAAACAUAUUUUUUAUAAUCUCAUCGUAAAUAAAUCAUAUGAUAAAAACCUUAUAAAUCAUCAUAAAUAAGUCAACUCUUCAAAUCAAGACUCGGAGUGACUUUAUAAUUCAAGAAACUCGACUCUUAUGGACAUGGGAGGUUCUUAUAACCGACAUAAACCAUGUGAGCUACAUGGAGUCCAAUGUCUUGCCCUCCUAAGGAGAGAACCCUACAUUGGCGGGAGCGUCGUCUUGACAGGGAGUACAAUCUAAAUUUAGUGAUCACAAUCUCAUACUCGGCCUCCGACCCACAAUUAUCAAUAUCAAUCCUACGGUGGCACAUAGUUUCGGGGGAAAUACCACAUUUUCCGCUUAGUGCUAAAUACUACUCCCAGACACAAGCUCAGAACGCGUUAGGAAAUCCACCACAAACAUCACAAGGGUCUAUCAUGAAGACCAAAUCAAAUCUCUUUCUCAUUUAUCAAAUCAUAAUUAUUUUGAGGAUUCCUAACUCGACUCAAAUCAAAUCAAUAUUUCUCAAUAGCAAAAUCCAUCAAUUCAUUAAAUCAUGGCAACAUCAAUAACUUUGAGGAAAUAUCAAGACUCAUUGUAACAACUCAAUUCUCAUAAAUCAAUAUACUCAAUAAUCCAAUUUUUCAUAAGAAAGAUUAAAGCUUGACACAUAUCUUUAAAGCACUUGAAAUACCAACUCAUGGUAGAAACUUUAAAUUCACAAUAUUAAAUAUCAAGUCAUAAGUUGGAAAUUGUAAAAUAAUCAUGUAUAACAAAGCCUGAACGAUUUAUAUUCUCCUAAUCUCAUGAUGAAGUAAUUUGGAUAUAAACCCACUUGCAAAAUCAUAUAAAUUCAUAAUAAAAAUCAAAGCUUUGAGCACAAGAGCGAAAGAAUUUCUCUUGUUCAAAACCCCACGUACCUCAAUCUUUGAAAUUGGUUGAACUCUAGUGCUUGAUACUUUCCUCACACUUGUAAUACAAAAAAUUCUUGAAGCCCACUCUAUGAGGAACUUGAUUCUUGAAGGAAUCUUGAAGAUUUAUGGAUGAUUUUUGGAAGAUUAAUUCCCUAAAAUAAAACCCUAGAUAUAUUUCUAAAGAGAAUUGGAAGAGAGAAAUGAAGAAAUUAGGUUUUGGAUGAGGAUUCUCAUAUAUAUAGAUCCCUCCAAAAAUGGGAAAUGACUAAAAUACCCUUGCAAAAAUCGUCCAUCAAUUGCUGAAAAAAAUAGUUAAUGACAUCUGUGAUAAGCUGUCAGGCCCAUGAUAGGCCAUCACGAAUUGUCGUCACAAAAAGGGUGGAUUUUGUGACUUUCUGCUUUAAGGUGAUGACAUUUUGUGAUGGGCCGUCAGGCUUGUGACAAGUCAUCACAAAAGGUCGUCACGAAUUUUCCAGGCUGACAUGCUGGACUAAAAUAAGCAUAACUCUUUUGCUCCAAUAUCGGAUUUUAAUGAAAUGGGUAUCGUUUGAAAGCUAAUUCAAUUGUAUAUCUUUUGGUAGUUGAUAAGGUAAAUAAUUCGUAGUACAACGGGAGAUAUGCUCAUUUAAAGUUAACUAUGCCAAAAUCCUUCUCAAAAAUUCAAUGGGUAAAGAAUGUUUUGAUUUGCCCAAGCGUUAGGACAUCUUUAAAGACUUAAUACACAUCUCCCUUGACCAGGAAACAACCAAAACACUAUAAUGUAUUUCUCAUGGGCUUAAUUCAUGGCGGCACUAUUGGUUAGAAUCUCGGGGUAUUACAAUACCUCCCCCUUGGAAAUAUUCAUCCUCGAAUAUUGCCUGAUAGGCCAAGAACAAGAUAAAAAUGAGGAUGUAUAGCUGGAACGACUCACUCAAAAGACUUAAUUCACUCUAUACCUUCGAAUACUAUAGAAAAUGCACAUAUUCGUGAUGAAAGCAGACACACUGCUGAAUCUUUAAUAAGAAGGGGGUGGAAUUAAGAAAGAAUGAUACCUUCUACUCGCUCAGAACUCACAGAUAAGAGGUGAGGGUACUUUGAUCGCAUAUCAUCUUUGUCUUCCUAAGUAGCACUAUCAACAGAUUGAUUUCGCCGAAGCACUUUAACCAAAGCAACUUCUUUGUUCCUUAGCCUACGGAUCUGAAAAUCCAAAAUCUUAAUUGGAAUCUCCUUGAAUGAAAGACUAUCCUGAAUAUCUAAGCUUUCGGAAGAAUCAACCGUGACAGAAUCACCAAUACAGUUCUUAAGCAUAGAAACAUAAAAUACCGGAUGAACGCUAGACAACUCUGUGGGUAAAUCCACCUCAUAAGCUACUUUGCCAACACGGCUCUGGAUCUUGUAUGGACCAACAUAACGGGGACUAAGCUUUCCCUUCUUCCAAAAUCUCUUUACCCUUUUCAUGGGUGAAACCUUCAAGUACACCAAAUCAUUAACAUUAAACUCAAGAUCUUUUCUUCUCACAUCCGCAUACGACUUCUGAUGACUUUGAGAGGUUUUCAAUCUUUCUCAAAUCAACUUAACUUUUUCCGUAGACUCGAACACAUCAUCCAGCGCAAUCAUAGCUACUUCUCCUACUUUAAAUCAACCUAUGGGCGAUCUACAUUUUCUCCCAUACAACUAUUAUUAUACGCAAAUUCGAUCAAUGGAAAGUGCUCAUCCCAACUACCUUUGAAAUCAAGUGUACAUGCCCUCAACAUGUCCUCCAAAGUCUGAAUAGUUCUCUCAGCCAGACCAUCGGUCUGCGGAUGGAAAGCAGAACUUAGACGAACUUGGGUAUCGAGACCCUUCUAAAAAGCCCUCCAAAAUUGAGAAGUAAAAUGAGUACCCCUAUCAGAGAUGAUAGCUAAAGGAACUCCAUGAAAUCUUACUAACUCACAGAUAUACAAUCUAGCAUAAUCCUCAGCUAUAUAAGACAAAUGCACUGGAAAGAAAUGAGCUGAUUUAGUCAAUCGGUCUAUGACAAUCCAAAUCAAAUCAUGAUGAUGAUAAGAAGGAGGCAAACUAAUUACAAAAUCCAUAUUCACUUCUUUCCAAUUCCAAUUAGGAAUUACAAACUCUUUAAUUACACCACCGAGCCUCUGGUGCUCUACCUUAACUUGUUGACAAGUAGAAUACUUUGUCACAAAUCCUGCUAUGUCUUUCUUCAUCCCGUUCCACCAAUAUAUUUCCCGCAAAUUGCGGUACAUCUUGGUAGCACCAGGAUAAUAGAAUAUCGCGCACCAUGCGAUUUGUUGACACCUAAUUUUUGCCCUCCACAACUAAAUUUAAUCCUGAGUUUCUUCGAUUCUUAAUAAAAUCGGAAUAUUUAUUUCAUUCGAAUAAAAAUUUUUCAAAAAUAUAUUUGUACGUAAUUUUGUCAUCUUAAGUAGAAAUUAUAUAUUAUCGUAUUCAAAUAUACGAUUUUAUAUGAGUUGAUUACUUAGAUAUUUACUCUAUGAAAUAUCAGAUUUGAAUUAAGGAUCAUUUCGAAAAAUAAUAAUUAAAAUCAUGAUCUAAAUAUAAUUUAUUCUCGAAAAUAUUUUGUUUAGAUAAAUAUGCAUUUGAUUUUAUUAAUUCAAGAAGCUCAAGAUUAAACAAGGUGUUAAUUCGUAUCAAACUUUUAUUUAAUUUAGUCAAUUUAUUAAAUUAUAACUUAAUUGAAAUUAAUUUGACCAUAAUUGCAAUGUAAUUGGUUAAUUUAAUUCGAAUUAGGCUAAAAUUUAAAAAUGAUUGUCUAAAUUUUCAUCCAUUGGCUAUUUCAUAAAUAGUCUAAAUCUCUACAUUACUAAAACCCAAAUUCUACCCAACAAUAUUCAGAUCCCUCCUGCCUAGUUCCUUUUCAUAUUAACAGGCCCAAAAUCCCUGACGUGGCCGACCAUCAACAAAUCCCCCUUUCUACCUUAACCAGCAAGAACUAGUCCCCAAUGCAAAAAACAACCAAAAAUAGAGUACAACUACAGGAACUUGAACAACAAUGACAAGCCCAAUUCAGUGAAUCCACCAUUGAACCAACUCGAAACCAAUCCUAAACUAUUCUUUUUCCCUCUGUCACGCGUCUCACGCGGCAGUAGGAUAAGAAAAACCCUCGAACCUUCUAGAAAAUGGGCUAGGUGUCAUCUCCAAUGGUCCAAUCCCGCAAAUUUUGGGAUAACUCGUACGAACUCAUACAAUAUUUGGCUGAUUUCCAUAGGUUUUGGGGAAGAAUUCAUUUUCCCUAAAUCUCAUUGGUCCACCAAUUUCAAUAUUGGUACAAUUGAUUGAUGAAACCCUAAGCGGUGAGAGGAUUUUCAAAUUUCAAAAUUCAAAAACAUCCUUCUUUUAAAUCCCUAAAAGAAAUUCAGGGGAUAUAAAAAGACCCCUGGGGUCACUAUUUCGGGGAUUAUUGGUUUCUUCUCUCCUGUUCUUUCCCUUAGGAGUUGGAAAUUUUAGAAGCCUCUGUUUGUUUUAUUUAGAGAAAUGUUGGGUUCAAAAAAAGGGGGAAAUCCUUAGGUUGGAAAAUUUUAGGUCACGGUUGAGGGUUACUUUCCCUUCUGAGGUGGAAAAAUUAAGGGAGAAAGCUAGGUUGGAAUAUUUUUUUGAGAAAAAUUUCUGAAUCGGAAAAACUGAGAUAGAGGGAAGAAAGAAAAAGAAAAGAUUUCCGAAGAAAGAUUUAAUCUUUGAAGUUUUUCGGUGGUCGUGAUCCCCGUAUCAGUUCGUCGUCUUGUUUUACUGCUCCGGAAAAGGUAACCUCCUAUUUUCAUUUAGUUUUCAUUAUAUUUCUUCUUCCUCUUGUCAUUCUAUAGUCAUGACUGUCAUUCUAAAGAUUUUGUAAGCUGGGUUGUCUGCUGUAGAGGUCUUCAUGACCAUAGGUUUCAAUUUUAGUAAAAGGCAAUGUUUUUUUGCAGUUCUACGUUGGGAUGAAUUCCUAUGAUUGUAUGACAUGUGGUUUUCAUCAUCUUUAGAUCUUGAUUUGGUGAUUGGUCAUCUACUCUCAGCAUUACUGCUUAAUUUAUGUCCUAAUGUAUCAUCUUGUGGACUGUCUGUGAUUUGAAGCAGUUAAAGAUCAUAUUUUGAUUCUUGCUUAACAAUUUUCAUCCUCUUGUUGCCUUGAUUUGUACUUGUAGUUUUAUAAUCUUACGUGUUCAGUGUAGCUCGUUAGGAGGCUAUGAAAGCCCCAAGUUUCAUAUGAUAAACUGUGAGCUUUCAAACAUUGUUGUUGUUUCUGCAUUUAGGACAGAUUGAUUCUUAAAGUUUUUGAUUUCGUUAUAAUUCAUCUGGGAGCAUUUACCUUUGUUAAUACAAUGUUUUUGAUGAAAAUUUUCUUUGAAUUCGACUUUCGUGAAUGCCAUAUUGUUUAAAUGAUGAGCUUCUAGCCUAAGGAUUAUUGCUAAUAUCCUGUUCUAAAAAAAUGAAGGGUUACUAAGUAACUUUAUUCCUAUAAACGAUUGAGUAAAAGUGUUGUGUUUUUUUCAGUUAAAAAGGAUGAUAGGGUCAAAGGGUUUUGCAUUCUCUUUAGGAGUUGCUAUUAUAGGCCUCCUUUGUGACCUUUAUUUAUAUAGGUUAAAUAAAAAGAAGUCUAUUCUAUUUAUAGUAUAUUUUCUCAUUUCACCAGCUUUGAUCUGAGUUUAACACAUACACUUGUAGUUAUUACUUGAAAAUUGUUUCAAAAAAAAAAAUUAGCUUUUCCUGCGUCGUUGCUAACUCGUAUGAGCUUCUAUAUCUCCUUUAUGAAACUUUUAGGAUCCUGUUCAUUUGUCUAUUAAAUACAUCUCUUCCCUCAUCAUCUUAUUGAUGUUGGGAAAAGAAAAUGUUUUUAGUCGCAUUGCUUCUCCCCUAUUUCCUAUUUACUUCAGUACCUAAGGUUAAGAGUUUUGGAUCCGUUUGAAUAUCGAAUAGUUUCCAUGUUUUAUUUAAAGCCAUCCUUUCUUUUUCAUAUUAUCAUUUGCUAAAAUAUUUUUGAUAAGAUAAAAGUUGUUUGCGUGUAGUAUGUGUGGUGACAUGCCUAAUAAUGUGCGUACUCUAUGGGAACAUGUUGUUAUUUCUUCUCUCAAAGAUAGGUCUAGUAAAUUUGGGAGAAAUUCUAUUUUAGUUGCUUCCUGAUUCUUCCCAACUAUUUGUUGUUAUCUUGAGUUUUAGUAAUAGCCAUCUAUACCUAAAAGGGCUAGAGAACAUUAAUCACCAAAAUAAUCCAUUGAGUCCGAAUGGAUUCUUUCCCAUUGCAUCUCUUAAUGGGCCAUUGAGGCCCUCCAUGACUAUCAAAUGAAGCCCCAAAAGAAAGCCUAAAAUAAAUUUCAUGGUGUACGAAUACGAGAAGUCGAAAGAAGAGAGAAGAUGGAUUAAAGCCCCAUCUUUAAAGUGGCUAAGAGACUCAAAAGUCUCAUUUAUUAGUUUAUUUAUUUACUUAUCGAUUUUAUUCAUUUUAUUCAUUUAUUUAUUUAUUUAUUCAUUUGGGCCACGAAGCCAAAGUUGUACUUAAUAUAGGUGGAGCGAUACUCGAGCCAACUACUCGAAAACAAGACUAGGACAGGUGAAAUGGGUCGAAAGCCCAAUUAGACUAGGACAGGUCUUAUUGAUUUGGGCCCAGUGGCCUAAAUCCCUUACUUUCUCCCCUUCCCCUUUUUCUUUAUGUUUCUUUACCUUAUCUGUUUUGGUGAACCUUGUUAAAUCCUUUGUCAAGUCGCUAAAAAGCUGGUUCUUCAUAAACACCGAAAUCUUUUCUAAAAUUGCCUUCUUUUCAAAACUAAACCUUUUUCAAAAGUUAGUCAAUGACGACUUCCAAAUAGUACGGAUAACCGCAAGUUAGCGGACGUUUUAGGUGCCUAACACCUUCCUAAAAUGUUAACAAGAACCGCUUACUCAGAAUCUCUUAACUUAAAUGAUUUUCCUAUUUUGGUUCAUUUGAAGUAACUCUAUAAAGGUUACUUAAUUCCUUUUCAAAAUUAAGUGGCGACUCUCUUUCAAAAGUCAAAAUUUCUGCAAAACAGAAAUGAAGACUCUACUGGGGACUUUUCAAACUAGGUUCUAACCAAAUGUUCAAUUUCUUCUUUUGAUUAACUGUUUAUGUGUUUAUAUUAUUCGAUUCUAUAAAUAUUAACUAUCGUAUCUCAUGGCAUACCCCUGCAUUAUUUAAACUAUUUUGGGGUUUCGUGGAUGUCUAACUUUAUAUGAGGUCCUGUCUAACUUUUUAUGAGGGACUCUAUUCUGAAUAUAACAUGCAGAUAAGACAACUUCCCCGUCAUAUAGUCAGGUAGACCUAAGCUUAAAAUCAUAAAAUUCAUCAUUUUCUUAAGUGUUCUAUUCUUUCGUUCUAUUACACCAUUUUGUUGGGGUUUAUAGGGAGCACAAAACUCAUGGAUAAUGCCUUUUUUUCUAAUAAAAAUCUUCUAGAGUUUUAGUACUAUAGAGGUAGACCAAUGAAAUAUUGGAGGGAGGUGAUUAGGCAUGAUAUGGUGCUAUUACAGCUUACAGAGGAAAUGAACAUUGAUAGGAAGGUAUGGAGAACACGGAUUAGGGUAGAGGGUUAAGGGGUUGGAGAGCGACGCUAGUAAUGGGGAGUUUCUGGUUCGUAGUGUUGUUGUUGUAGUUUUUGGGGCUAGUGGUGUUGGCUUUUUGGCAUCCCGUACUAGUUUAUUAUGCACUUAUCUUUUGUGUUUUUUAUACUGUUAGUUUAUUUUGUGCACCAUACUAGUUUAUAUGCACUUACUUUUUGUAUUUGUUAUACUGUUAUUGGUCCAAAAUCGGGGGUCUAUCGGAAACAACCUCUCUACUUUUCUUGAGGUAGUGGUAUGGUUUGCGUACACUCUACCCUCCACAGACCCCACUAGGUGGGAAUACACUGGGUAUGUUGUUGUUGUUGUUGGGGUUUCGUGGAUGUCCCGGCCCCUGUUGUUCAAUUCAAAAAUAUGUUGGAAAUACAAAUGGUUUAUUAUCACGUGAGUCGUUUGACGCUGUUCGUAUUUUCAAACUCAAGUUGUCCGCUUGUGAACUAGUGUUAAAGCCCACUCUAGACACUGAGGAUAGAACGAAACCAAAACCCUAUUUUAGGCAUGAGCCUAGGAUGACCCAUUACCCGAGCGGGGUAUUGGGUCCAUUACAGAACCCGCCCUACGUCUGUUGACCCCGAGUCAAUUAUAGACGAAUCAUAUUUAUGUGUUGAUAAAAAUACAUACUUUUCUAAUUCAAUCCAAUAGCCUUUGGGGUCAGGGGAAGGCUUAUCUUUAUCUGCUUUCAUGUAGGCUAUGGCUCAACUACAUUCCUUCGAAAAUUUCAAGAUGGUUACUAAACCUGAUGAUUUCUUGAAACUAUGGUGGGACCAUAAGAGUGCAGAAGAGAAAAAGAUUGUUAGAACACACAUUGGGCAUCUUCCUUCUUUGAUCGAGAUGGACGCUUAGCCCGAAAUGAUCCAUGUACUACCAACUUUUUGGGAUGAUCAGAAUAUGGUAUUUCACUUUGGGGAUGUUGAAUUGACUCCUUCCAUUGAAGAGGUAUUGAUUUGUUACGAGAGUACGGAAAUGUGUUUUGAGAGAAGGGAGACACCUAAUAAGAACAUUUUAGUCCCGGUAGUGUGGGAUCGUAAAAAGAUCAAGGGGGUAUUUUUAACUGACGAUGACACUUGGCUAGGAGAACGUGAUGGAGCAAAUAUCACUUUAUGUGAGUUGUAUCGUCGGUUCGGGAGAGUCAAUACUUUUCACAAAUUUGGGCACAAAUAUGAGUCAGAACCAAAAUGGAAGGAGACGAGACCCUAUGCAUUUACGGUAGGCCUACUUGGAACCAUGGUGUUCCCAUAAGGGGAAAAUGUCACAAUUCAUCCGACGGUUGUUUCAGUGACCCAUGCACUCUUCUUUGGAAUGGAUUACAAUUCUAAAAAGGUAAUCCACAACUUAGCUCCCAUGAUUAUCGCUGACAUAUAUCGAGCUUUGGGAAGGGUUCAAGUCGAGAAUCGUUUCUUUCAAGGAUGUAACCUUAUAUUACAAUAGUGGAUAAUGAUGCAUUUGGUAAAAAAUCCUAGAACAGCAUAACCCGACCACAAAUCAAGGUGGAAUCUGCUAGAAUUGCAUGACAUGUGGUUGUUUUUACACAAAUUCAAAAGGGAAGCAUCUCAUGAUUUUUGGUUUAAGACUCUUGGAGCAUUAAGAGAUGACGAUGUCCAGUGGUCUAUUAACUAUCUUCUUUCAGGGAAAUACAUUAUUUGAGGAAGCAAGUGGCCUUUUCUAGUACUUUCGGGUCUCAAGGGAACCCAUCCCUACAAUCCUGGCAGAGUUCUUAAGCAAUUCGAGAUCAAGCAUGAGAUGCCUCAAAUAGAUUCUAUGCUCAAAUUCUUCACCGAAUAUGAUGAAAGUGAGCCCUCGCUCAAAGACUACAUGAUAAACGGAUGGAGAAGGAGAAGGUGGAUGGAAGUAUCCUUUCGUAUAGGGUUUGAACCUUAAGUCAGCGAUACUUACAAGGAGUGGUUAAAAAUGACCCUCGUCGGAGCAUUGAUUGCGGGGCUGAGGAUGCCCAAUGGGGUCGUGGAUGUAGAAUUCGAGCAUCAGAUCCAAUUCCACAAUCUUCAGGAUGAAUUUUAGAAAAGUGAAAUUACGCACUGAUAGACAUAUACAGAAGAUUCUUUAACAAUAUGUAUGUUUAGGGAAGAGUUGAAAACAGCUAGGCAAGAGGAUGAUGAUGCUAGGCAGUGUUUAAUAAAUUUGGAUGAUAGCAUGGCCUCUCAACUCGAUAGUAUAGGGAAAAUAACUUACAUCAGCUAGGCACAGUUAUGCAAGAGUCAUCUGAUCAUCAAUAGGUAUCAAAUAGCACAGGAGGUUAACAAGGCAAAGAAGGCAAAGACAGACGAAGGAGCCUCCGGUAGCUAGUUUUUCUAUUUCCCCUGUGUGGGAACUUAUUUUUUUCACGUUAUUUCCCUUUUUUCCAAAAGAUUGUAUCCCUCUUUUGUUAUUUUUUGUAGGAAUUUAUGCCCUUUUUCAUGUCUAUAUAAGUUAGGGGAUAAUGGAUUGACUUUAAGGAAGCAUAUAUUUUCUUCAAAAUAGUUAGGCCUGAACCCUUCGUCCAAAAAAGGUCACCCCUGUUAGGAUACACAUUAUUAUAAUUUUUUGUGUGAUAUAAUUGUCUUAUGUGAUUAUGUAUGUUUAUUUGGAUCAAAGGCAAGUUUAUCCGCUAUACUCCUAUGGAUGAAUUUAGCUAUGACUCAAACAACUCUAUGUGGUUAUUUCUUGUCAAAUAUUUUGCAUUACUUAUCACAUACGAAAACUAACACAUCUGCCUUUGAGUGGUUUUACUUAAAAAAUAGUAGAAACUACUCCGUGUUGAUAUAAGCUAGCAGAACAUCCCUACAUCACCCGGUCAAAAGCGUACAAAAUCCCAUUCUCUGACCAUCAUUCAAUAAUGACCAGAAAUGAUGAAGAAAAUACAUUGACCAUCAGGGACAAUCAAAUAGCGGAACAGAGUGAGAUGAUUGCGAAAUUCGCAAGAAAGCUUGAAAUGCUUCAGGAGGAAAUAAAUCAUGCUCGAGAUUUGGCUCACCUGGCCAUCACUGUUAAUGCUCCCGCUCCAGGAGGACACGGGACUCCACUCCAAAUCCCUUCCCUCAGUACGCCUAUUCUAGGGGAUCACCCAAAAAACAUAUCGUCCAUCUCUGCCCCUCUACUUGUCCAAAAUACCUGUCAUGAAAAUAACCCAGAUGCCUACCAUCCACAAAAUCCAUCACUAAAACCACCAAACCCAUCUUUAAAUCCAUUCCCAAAUCCCCAGAACCUAUUUGCAAAUCAACAAAAUUCGUGUCCAAAUCCACAAGAUUCACUCCCAAAUCCAAAAAAUCCAUCCUCGAAUCUUCCAUUGAAUCUAUCCCCGAAUCUACCAAAUUUGUUUCCAAAUUCACAAAAUCUAUCUCAGAUGCCACCAAGAUACUCGCAAAUUUCAUAAAACCUUUCUAAAUUUCAAAACGUCCUCCCCACCUACCAACUAACUUUCUUUCAUCCGCAAAAUCAAGCCUUCUUUCCAAAUCCUCCUCAUGCCAUCAUAUCCCCUGACAUCUAUAAUCCCCUUCCUAAUCCCGAGAUGGACCAUUCCGAAGAGAAGGAGAAAGAGUGGAGGACCAUGCAUGAAAUGAAGUUGCUAGCUAUGUUUGAAGAAAUCAGGAGGAUCAAAGAAUCUCAUGGAGCGAGGGACCAUGAUGGUUUAGGGUACAAUGACUUAUGUGUUCACCCUAGAGUAGAUCUACAACAAGGGUAAAAGGUCCCUAAAUUUGAUGUGUUUGAUGGUGUCGGAAAUCCAAUGGCCCAUAUGAGGGGGUACUACAAGCAACUGGUGGAGAUCGAGAAAAAUGAGGUGUUACUGAUGUACCUAUUCAACCAAAGUUUAAGCAGUGAAGCCUUAGAGUGGUUCAUGUCUCAGCAGCCGAAAAGAUGGACUGGUUGAAAGUAUUGGUCAAGGGUUUCCUCGACAGGUUCGCAUUCAACAUUGAAAUAGUCCCGGACCAGUGUUCACUAGAUUGAAUCAAACAAAAGAGUGAUGAGUGUUUCUGAGACUAUGUUUUUCAUUGGAGGAAGGAAGCUGCCAAAGUACAACCCCUAUGUCCGAGGAUAAAAUGCUAUCUGUGUUCUCUUGCGCUUAAGAAGGAGAAUAUUAUACCAGGAUGGUGUCCGCUGUCAGGGCGACUUUCACGGAUUUUGUACAAAUAGGAGAAUAAUUGGAAGAGGUAUUCGGAUAGGAAAAAUUGCGAAAAAACCGACAUCAUCCGGGACUACUAUGUUCUCGAAGAAGAAAAAGGAAGAUGUAGGCACAAUUUCUGCUGGUUUUGUUGCAAAAACCAAAAACAGGUUCAACUCUAGGAAUGCUUUCUCUUCUCCGUCCUCACCAAACCUUCAGCAUGUGUUCUACGCCCACCGCCAAUACCAAGAUCCACUUUCAAAUGUCCAACCUCAGUACCAAACUCUACUCCCAAACAUCCCAUCUCUGUACCAAACUCCACUUCCAAACAUCUAAUCCCAAUACCAAGCUCCACAACUAAAUAUCUUUCCCCAAUACCAAGUUCAACCUCCAAAUUAUCAGUCUCAUGUCCAAUCCACUCUUUCAAAGAAUAGAAUAAAUAUCCAAUAACCUCUAAAUUAUCAUCAAGUACCUCCUCCUGCAAACCAAAGCCACUAUAACCUCCCACAUCUAAACUACGAAAAAAAACCUCCGCGAAACUUCACACCACAAGCUGAAAGUUGCACUCAAAUGUUUGAAAGACUAAGAACGCUGGUCAUUUGCAAUUGAUAUAGUCAAAUCCUGUCAAUCCCAACUCCCAAUUUUAUCAUCCUGAUCAAAAUUGUGCCUAUCAUUCAGGAGCAGUAGGGCACAGUACCAAGGAUUGUUUUAUCUUGAAACACAGGAUCCAAGAUUUGAUUGAUCAAAAGUUUAUCACGCUUCAGUCAACAAUCCAAAAUGUCAACAAAAACCCAUUGCCUAAUCAUGGGGGACCUACAAUUAACAUGAUUGAAAUGGAAGGAGAAUGGGCAUCUGGCAAGACUAUUACUAAGGUGAAUUUAGAAGAGUGCAAAAGGGAGAAAGAGGUAGAAAAGAUAGAGAGAGUUGUAGCUACCUUAAGUUUCAAUGAGAAAGCCCCAUUUAUAGUGAUUAUGGCCUCGAUCCAAGUGUAAAAUCCCCCGCCAAGGAAGGAAUUUAUUGUUCAGACCGCUGCUGCCCAAGGGAUAACGCGGUCAGGACGAUGCUACAUCCUUCAAGAAUUUACCAACAAAAAUGAUUCACAGAAAAGGCCAAUCACUAAAGGGGAGGCUAAGGAAUUUUAGAGGCAUAUGCAACCCAAAGAUUAUCUAAUUGUCAAACAUUUAGAGAAGAUGCCAGCCCAAAUCUCCAUUUUGGCACUAUUAAUGAGUUUACAAUACCUUCGACAAGCUUUAUCGAAGGUCUUGGACGAAGCGUAUGUUCCUGUAGGAACGAGUAUUGAGAACCUAGCUGCGAUGAUAGGAAGCAUUAUGGGGAAUUUUUGCAUAUUAUUCAGUGAUGAAGAGUUGCCAUUUGAAGGAGCGAUGCACAACAAACCCUUGCAUGUCAUUGUCAUUUGCCGAUAUUAUGCGAUUAAUCAGGUAUUAAUAGAUGAUGGAUCUGGUAUGAAUAUUUAACCCCUCUCCACGUUGGUUCAAAUGGGCCAUGAUUUGGGAAAAAUUCGUCAAAGCCACAUAAAUGAGAGAGCAUACAAUGGAGGGUAGAGAGAUACCAUAGGAUAAAUUUAUUUGUUCAUCCAAAUGGGACCUUCUGAGUUCACAACUAUUUUUCAUAUUAUGGAUAUUCAUCCUAGCUACAACCUGCUCUUGGGAAGACCAUGGAUACAUAGUGCAAAGGCCGUUUUAUCACCCCUUCAUCAACUAUUGAAGUUCAUUUGGGAGGACCAUGAAGUAGUCAUCCAAGGGGAAGGAAGCCGAGCAGAUCGUCCCAAUGAUUAUGUGCCAGUGAUUGAAGAUGUUCCAAAGGGUAGUAGUUUCAGUACGGUUAAAAUUAUAAAUAUUGUGGAGAAGGAUCUGACGCUCAAAGAGCCAAUGCCUUCUAUCUACAAAAUGAUUGCGGCGGUGAUAUUAAGAAAUAGAUUCCAGCCUGGUCGGGGUUUUGGUAAUAAUCUACAAAGAAUUAUUGAGCCUGUUAUAAUCCCAGAGAAAGCCUCUAUGUAUGGGUUAGGAUAUUAGCCUACCGAGAAGGAUAUGGUUGAGGAUAAGUCAGAGAAGAGUUUGUGUAGGCCCUUUCUGCUCCUGUACCAGUCAUUUCCUGUAUGGGAUGUGUUCAAUAAUAAUGGUAUUGAGGAUGGGAUAGGAGAUUUGUUCGAGGUUUGCAAUGCUGUACCAGAAGAUUUCCCAAAAUCCGGCGGGGUGAAGAAGAUUGCGCCAGUUGAGGCCUUGCAAAAAUGGACCUCCACUCCACUCAUAACCCAUCGCCCAUUGUGGUAGAUGAAAGGGCAAUUACUAAUAGUUUUAAAAUCAGUGAUGAUCCGAAAGAGGCCCCGCGAUCCACCUUUUAUAUCUCAAAACUUUCUUUUUGUAUUUUACUGCUUCCGAAAAGGUAUGGACUUGUAUUUCCGCUAGUCAUGAGCCAUGGAUUUGUAAUUAUCUCAAAAAUUUCAUUAAAAAGUCCUUCAUUAAUUUAAAAAAAAUUAUUAUUCUUGAAACAUUCCUAUUCGUAUAUUUUAUUAUUAUCUCACUAUCAUCUAACUUGGUUUGUUUGUCCAUUACAGUAAUAGUAACCUAAAAUCUGCCAAUGUCAUGUUAUGUCAAAGCUUAGAUGAACAAAAUGAAGGGAAUGAUGAUGAUUGGAAGGACAGUGAUGAGGAACAAUUAGUUGAAGAUAUAGAUGAGUUUGAGAAUCGAGAAAAGCCUAACCUAGAGGAAACUGAAAUAGUCAACCUUUGAGAUCAUGAUGAAAUCGAAUAAACAAGUGUCAGCGUCCACCUGGCAAAAGCACAAAAGAGAGAGCUCAUUCACCUGUUGCGGGAAUAAAUUGACGUGUUUGAUUGUGUCCUAUGAUGAUAUGCUGGGAUUGAGCACCAGUAUUGUGUCGCAUAAGUUAUCGAUAAAUCCAGAGUUUGAUCCAGUCAAGCAAAAAAUGCAGAAAUUUAAGCCAUAUUUAACUUUAAAGAUCAAGGAAGAAGUGACAAAACAAAUCUAGUCUAAGGUUGUGGAGGUCACAAAAUAUCCGACGUGGUUGGCCAACAUCGUCCCUGUGCCGAAGAAGGACGACAAUAUUCAAAUUUGUGUUGACUAUAGAGACUUGAAUAGAGCCAGUCCUAAGGAUAAUUUUUCAUUGCCUAACAUCCACAUCCUCAUCGAUAACUAUGAAAAGCAUUAAAUAAAGUCCUUAAUUGAUUGUUUCGCCAGGUAUCAUCAGUUAUUGAUGGAUGAGGAAGAUACAGAAAAUAUGGCUUUUAUUUUUCCCUAGGGUGUUUAUCAUUAUAGGCUAAUGCCGUUUAGUCUCAAGAAUGCGGGUGCAACAUAUAUGAGGGCUAUGACGAUGAUUUUCCAUGAUAUGAUCCAUAAAGAGAUUGAGGUGUACAGGGAUGAUAUAAUUAUCAAAUCCAGUGAGAGUUUGAAUCAUCUGAAUUAUCUAGAGAAAUUCUUCAACAUAUUAAGAAAGUAUAGUUUGAAGUUAAAUCCUGCUAUGUUUGCUUUUGGUGUGCCAUCAGGGAAGUUGCUGGGGUUCUUAGUUAACAGAAGAGGCAUCGAUUUAGACCCAUCCAAAAUUAAGACAAUCCAGGACCUCCCACCGCCGAGGACCAAGAAGGAAGUUAUGAGUUUCAUGGGUCAUUUGAAUUACAUUAGCAGGUUCAUCUCUUAAUCGACAGUUAUAUGCGAGCCAAUUCUCCAGAUGUUGAAGAAAAAUGCAUUGAAUGAGUGGACAGAAGAAUGUCAGAGAGCUUUUGACCACAUCAAGGAAUAUCUGUCUGCACCGCCGGUUUUGGUUCCACCAAGAGAAGGAAUUCCAUUAUUGCUCUACCUGUCAUUCUCAGAAAAUGCUUUUGGAUGUGUCCUCAGGAAACAUGAUGUGAUCAGACAUAUCCUAAGGAUACAAAAUGAGUUUUCUGAUGCUAUGGACACUAUAUCCUCCAUGAUUCGGCACCCAAAUCAGAGUUAAAUUGAUCCUUUGGAAAUAAUCUUGAAAUGCAUUGUGAACGUGUUGAAGAGGAGCCCGAUGGAAAGCCAUAGUACUAUGACAUUAAAAGGUAUUUAGAAUCUGGAAUAUAUCCUUAAGAGGCCAACCACAACGAAAAGAAAACAAUCCGGCAUUUGGCAAAAAACUACUUUCCAAGUGGGGAAUUUCUGUUUAGAAGGACGCCUAAUUUAGGAUUUUUAAGAUGCGUAGAUGCUGCAGAAACCAAUAAAUUGAUAAAAAGUACACGCAAGAGUUUGCGGACCCUAUAUGAAUGGGUUUGUCCUUGCCAGAAAGAUCCUGAGAACAAGCUACUUCUGGAUGACUAUGGAGAAUGAUUGUAGUAAGUAUGUGCAGAGAUGUCCGAAAUGUCAGACACACAGAGAUUUGAUUCGAAUGCCUCCACACGAGCUUCAUGGAAUGAAUUCACCUUGGCCUUUCGUAUCUUGGGGUAUGGAUGUUAUUGGACCGAUAGAGCCAUCAGCAUCGAAUGGGCAUAGAUUUAUUUUGGUUGCCAUUGACUACUUUACUAAGUGGGUCGAAGCUGCAUCAUACAGAGCCAUCACUAAGAAAGUGGUUGCAAUUUUAUCAGGAAUAACUUGAUUUUUUGAUUCGAAGUGCCGGAAUCAAUCACUAAUGAUAAUGGGGAAAACUUGAACAAUCAAUUGAUGAAAGAAAUUUGUGAUCAGUUCAAAAUCGUACAUCACAACUCGACCGCAUAUCAUCCACAGAUGAAUGGAGCCGUAGAAGCUUCCAAUAAGAACAUCAGGAAGAUCUUGAGAAAGAUGGUCGAAAAUGAUAGAUCAUGGCAUGAGAUAUUACCUUAUGUUUUUCUAUGAUAUCGCACAACACUUCGAACCUUCAUUGGGACAACUCCCUAUUUGCUGGUUUACGGGAAUUAAGCUGUGAUACCUGCUGAGGUUGAAAUACCUUCCCUAAGGAUUAUUCAAGAAGCCGGACUAAGUAACGAAGAGUGGGUUCGCGCUCGUUGAGAACAACUCAUGUUGAUUGAUGAAAAGAGAAUGGUUGCCAUGUGUCAUUGUCAGUUAUAUCAGCACAGGAUAAUUCGUGCUUUCAAUAAAAAAGUGAGAGCUCAAACAUUUCAAGUUGGGAAAUUAGUUCUCAAAUGCAUACUCCCUCACCAAGAAAAGUACAAAGGCAAGUUCACUACAAAUUGGCAAGGCGCAUACAUAGUUCGCAUGGUACUAUCUGGAGGGGCUCUGAUUUUGUCUGAGAUGGAUGGCCAUGAGUGGACCAAACCAAUCAAUUCUGAUGAGGUGAAAAGAUACUAUGUUUGAAGGGAGUUCUAGUUUUAUGGUUCUUAGUUUAUCUGUAAUCGCCGUGUAAUAAUGUGUUUUAUGAUGUGUAAUUGCCUAGAACACCUUUCCCUUUAUGUACGAACUACGUUUGACCUGAAUUCCCAAGAAAGGGAUACGUAGGCGGCCCAUGUCGGCUUCAGUCAACCCCUUAAAAAAUUUAUCCUUUCCCUUAUUUAUGAACUAUGUGAUGACUUGAAUUCCCAAGAAAGGGAUACAUAGGCAGCCAAUGUUAGCUUCUGUCAACCUAUUAAUUUCUUUUGUAUAUCCCUAGCGUAGUCCUGAACUAUGUUUGAUCUGAUUCCUGCUUUAACAGGAUACGUAGAUGCCCCAAUGGCUCAGUCAUAUAAACCCAGGAAAUGAAAACUAGGGCACAAUUUUUGAGAAGGAAUCUCUAAAAUUCACAAGAGAAGAUCAACAUCCAACAAAGAGAAUGAAGAUCAACAAAGAUUUCAGAUCCACUCAAGAUGAUAUCAUCACAGAUUACUUUAAAUUAGGAUAGAAAUUUUUAGGGAGGCCAUAAAAUUUCAAUCAAAUACUGGAAUAUAUUUCAGAUUCCCCAGCACUAGAGGUCGAAGUUUAGAUUUGAGAAUAACUACCUGUGAUAAAGUCUAGGAAGACUAAAUCUCUAUCUUUGAUAAAACCUUUGGUAGAGAGCCUCGAUAAUGAAGAAUCCCUAGCUAUCCUCCGUCAUACGUCAGACAUUGUAAGAAUCAAGAGAAAGAAGGUCGUUGAGCUAGCACAUGACAUGACUGGCAAGGAUUUUUCAAAGUUUUGCAGGAGUUCUCAAAACUAUUUUCUAAAAGUUGAGAGUACUUUCAAAAAAUAUAUAUAAAUCUUUUACUUAGUGAUUGCCAAGACAUUAAUUAGGAUGGAGAGUGAUGGGUGGAAGUCCCAAUCAAAUACCUAAAAGAUGGCGAAGGGAAAAUCAAUGAUCGAAGGAGGUCAACACGGAGUAGUUUCACUCAAACUAAUAAUUUUCUGUGGCCGCAGGGACCAAUACAUAAAAAUGAGGGUCUCUUUCAAAAAUUCCCGAGCGAAUUGGGAGCCACACCAGAGCACUAAUUCUUAAGAACGGUAUUUUUGGGUAGCCCUAAAAAUGGGUUUAGUACCCAUAUAUUGAAGACCUUUUGAAGUGUCCAUCUUAUUUCUUGAGAUCAGGGAGGACAAGCAAAAGUGUCUUGUGUUCUUUACAAAUAUUGUAUUUAGAAUUUUUCUAAAAAACAGUCGCUAGCAAAAGCGACUUUGUGACUACUAAUCGUCUACCUUGAGUACAGGUAUAUGCUGAAAGCAAGACCCUGACAAAUGAUUUUAGGUGAAACUAUUUUUAAUUUACUGGAAGAACCAUUGCAUAUCAUUACCGAAAGGAUCAUUGCAUAAUAUCGCAAAGAAUCUUAUACCAUUUCCAAAGAAGGAUAUUCAAUAUCUGUUGAUACACUAGACACAACGUUGGCGUCAAGGAUAUCACAACAUUCAAUAUGUCUGUUGACACGCAAGACACAAUGCUGGCGUCGAGGAUAUCAUCAUCAUUUUAUAUAUCUGUUGACACGUAAUACACAACGCUGGCAUUGAGGAUGUCAUCAUCAUUUUAUAUCUGUUGACACGCAAAACACAACGCUGGCGUCGAGGAUAUCAUCAUCAUUCAAUAUCUAUUGAUGUGCUAGAAAGAAACGCUGGUGUCGAGGAUAUAAUCAUUAUUCAAUAUCUGCUGACAUGCUAGACAGAAAUGCUGGCAUCAAGGAUAUCUCAUCAUUUUAUGAAUCAACAUUUGAAUGCAUCGAGAGUAUUUGAUUUGAAGGGAUGCCUUUAAAACUCUACCUAAGGAUGAAUGAUAUAUAAGAUUUCCUAGAAAUUGACAAUUUGAGGGUCAUCUAUAAGUCAUAUUAUUCGAAAUAGGAUAGUUCAAAGGUUAUCCAUAAGUCGCAACUAAAUCCUUACCGGAGAAUAUGCAAGAUUAUCAAACUGAUAAGUCUAAGGGUUCUCUAUAAGCCGCGUCAUAUCCAAGACCAAUUAUGUGCAGGAUUACCUAAUGAUUAACAAUAUGAGAGAUUAUCUAUAAGUCAUAUUGUAACCAAGGUCGGAUGACGUGGAGGAACACCUGAAAGGUAGCGAUUAGAAAGAUAUCUUUAAGCCAUCUCUUAUCCAAAGUCAGAUAAUGUGCAGUAUUACCUAAAAGCUAGAAAUUCAAAGGAUAUUUGUAAGUCGCCUCAUAUCCAACAUCAAAUAAUGUGUAAGAUUAUCCAAAGAUUAAAAAUUUAAGAAAAAUUUAUACAUCAAUCGUCGGCUAUAACAGGAGAGGUUAUCAUUCCACAUACAACAAGUGAUAUAGGUAACCAAAAGGGUUUCCACACCAGCACAAGAUUACACGAUUGUAGGGACCGUUCUGCAUAAAGUAUCUACAAUCAACAAAUGUCAUAAUUAUACAACAACCAAGAGGGUUGUUGUGUUUGUUGUUGCCAGAUAUUUCAUUCCAAACAGGUACAUAAAGAGAUGAUUUCGCUUUUCAGGCCACAACUUACGUGGAGAUAUGGUAAAAGACUACAUACCUUUUUCGUGAAUUAUGCUUAGCAAUAACACUUUUUCUUAAAGCAUUGUUGAGAGCAUCCGAGAGGAUGAAAAUCUCAAAUAAAAACAACAGGUGCGGAUCACUUCAGAUAGAACGCAGCAUAAUGUGGAACUUUUUUUUAGCAGCAAAAUAGGACAUAGUCUAAAGAGGGAUGUCAAACUCUCUGGAUGCGAGCUAAAGGAUAAUCACCAUCACCAUCUAACCACGCCCCAAUUAGAAGGCAUGUGGUUAUUUUCGGGAUAUUCUGGUUUCCGCCUCAUCUUUGAGAUAUUUCUAAACUCAUAUCGAGGGUAACCUCCUCUUUCUUUCAAAGUCGGGUGACAACAACCUCAGAGUUUGGAAAUUAUGUCCGCGUAAGUUAUUUUCUAUGGUUGUGAAGGAUCCCACAUUCAUGUUUAAGAGGUUACAAUCCUCUUUUCCAAAACUCGACCAACUUGUCACUCAUCCUGAGCCAAAGAUCGUCUACAAUAAAAGACUAUCAUUUCUACCGAUCGAGUCAAACUACAAGUACUCUGAUUUCCUAAAAUCUUGGGGAUAUGUAGGUUGGGAUCUAUGUAGAAAACUCGACUACAUUCCAACCUCCCCCCUAAUCCCUUUAUUCCCCAGUUUCUUGGUUUUAUCAAAAACUCUAAAACCGAGAUAGUUGAUGAAUUUUCUUAAAAAUCGUGCUUAAAAUCAAGAUUUAUGAACUGCAAGUGGCCUAAAUUCUCAUGAAAACUGAGAUAUGUAGGAAACCUGAUACCAAGGAUCGGCCAUAACUACAUGAAACUCGUGAGGAAAACCAACCUCUCUUAGAUACGAAUUUGUGGUCGGACAAAAAUUGUGAACGUCAACCUCCAUUUGCCCAGGAAUACUUACAUCCAUCCUGCCCAAAGGGAGGGGGAAGUUGUUCACACCUAAGUUUUUGCCCUCCACAACUAAAUUUAAUCCUAAGUUUCUUCACUUUUUAAUAAAAUCGGAAUAUUUAUUUCAUUCGAAUAAAAUUUUUUCAAAAAUAUAUUUGUACGUAAUUUUGUCAUCUUAAGUAGCAAUUAUAUAUUUUCGUGUUCAAAUAUACAAUAUUAUAUGUUUUGAUUACUUAGAUAUUUACUCUAUGAAAUAUUAGAUUUCAAUUAAGGAUCAUUUCAAAAAAUAAUAAUUAAAAUCUUGAUCUAAAUAUAAUUUAAUCUCGAAAAUAAUUUAUUUGAAUAAAUAUGCGUUUGAUUUUAUUAAAUCAAGAAGCUCAGGAUUAAACAAGGUGUUAAUUCGUAUCAAAUUUCGAUUUAAUUUAGUCAAUUUAUUAAAUUAGACCUUAAUUGAAAUUAAUUUGACCAUAAUUGCAAUGUAAUUGGUCAAUUUAAUUCGAAUUAGGCUAAAAUUUAAAAAUGAUUGUCUAAAUUUUCAUCCAUUGGCUAUUUGAUAAAUAGCCUAAAUCGCUACAUUACUAAAAUCCUAAUUCUACCCAACAAUAUUCAGAUCACUCCAGCCCAGUUCCUUUUCAUAUUAACAGGCCCAAAAUCCCCGACCCGGCCUACCAUCAACAAAUCCCCCUUUCUCCCUUAAUCAGCAAGAACUAGUCCCCAACGCAAAAAUCAAUCAAAAAUGGCGUACAUUCAAGGAACUCGAACAACAAUGACAAGCUCGAUUCAGUGAAUCCACCAUGGAACCAACCCGAUAUAGAUCCUAAACCGUUCUUUUUCCCUCUUUCACGCGUCUCACGCGCCAGUAGCAUAAGGAAAACCCUAGAAUCUUUUACAAAAUGGGAUAGGUGUCUUAUCCAAGGGUUCAAUCCUACAAAUUUCGGGGUAACUCGUACGAUCUCGUACAAUAUUUGGCUUAUUUCCAUAGGUUUUGGGGAAGAAUUCAUUUUCCCCUAAAUCUCAUUGGUCCACCAAUUUCAAUAUUAGUACAAUCGAUUGAUGAAACCCUAAGCGGUGAGAGGAUUUUUUAAUUUCAAAAUUCAAAAACAUCCUUCUUUUAAAUCACCAAAAGACCCCUAAUUUGGGGGAUAUAAAAAGACCCCUUGGGUCACUAUUCUGGGAGUUAUUUUCUCUUCUUUGAGGUAUUUUUGGUUUCUUCUCUCCUCUGCUUUCCCUUAGGAGUUAGAAGAAAGAAAAAGAAAAGAUUUCUGAAGAAAGAUUAAAUUUUUGAAGUUUUUCGGUGGUCAUGAUCCCCGUAUCAGUUCAUCGUCUUGUUUUGCUGCUCCCAAAAAGGUAACGUCCUGUUUUCGCUUAAUUUCAAUUAUAUUUCUACUCCCUCUCAUUAUUUUGUAGUAAUGACUGUUAUUUCAAAGAUUUUGUAAGUUGGGUUGUCUGCUGUAGAGGUCUUCAAGACCACAGGUUUCCAUUUUAGUGAAAGGCAAUGUUUCUUUGUAGUGCUACGUUGGGAUGAAAUCCUGUUGUGAUUGUAUGACAUGUGGUUUUCAUCAUCUUUAGAUCUCGAUUUCGUGAUUGUUCAUCUACUCUCAGCAUUACUGAUUAAUUUCUGUCCUAAUGUAUCUUCGUGUGGACUAUCUACGAUUUGAAGAAGUUAAAGAUUCAUAUUUUGAUUCUCGCUUAACAAUUUUCAUCCUCUUGUUGCCUUGAUUUGUAGUUGUUGUUUUAUAAUCUUAAGUGCUGAGUGUAGCUCGUUGGGAGGCUAUGAAAGCCCCA
rnacentral:lncRNA from 1 species